CAUACCUAUAAAAUCUGAUGUGAAAUAUAAAAUAAUAGGGAUGUGUAUUAAGAUAUUAGAGGUGUGUAUUUAAAAUUUCUCUUGUUUUUAUUUGUAAGAUUUAGGAGACAGAAGAAAAGUCUAAAUUACAUGUCUAGAAAAUCUAAAUUACCUAUCUAGUCUUGUAUCCUAUCUAGAAAAAUCUAAAGAGAAAUUUUAAAUACACACCCCUAAUCUUUUAAUACACACCUCUAUUAUUUUAUGUUUCUAUUGAAAUUUUAUAGGUAAGCUAAAUGACCAAAACAAACAUCUAUUAUUAAAAAAAAAUAAUACACGCUGGAAGUAUUCUUUUCUAACAUCUUCUACCCUAAAAUCGUCGAAAGCACGUCUUCUCCCCUAACCUCAACUCUUCUCCACAAUUCAUUUGGGUUGUUUCUUUUUUUUUUUNNNNNNNNNNNNNNNNNNNNGAACAGGGUAAAAACACUGUUCAUAGGCUGAAUACAAAUUCUAAAAUUCCCGAUUUGAAUUCCUCAUAAAGUAAGCGUCAUUUAUCAAUUCCCUUAACUAAGGUUAGUCUGAGUACAAAUUUUUGUCAUUUUAAAACUCUACAUCAUGAAAUCCAAACAAUGAAAUUCUUAAUUAAUAGGAUUUAAAUUCAUGAAAUAGUAAUUCUUAUAAUUUUAAAAUUCUAUGGACAUUAAAAUUACUUUAUCCAAAAACAACGUUAUGAAGCUGGUCAAUGGGUUAAUUGAUUGAUAGAAAUGUUUCUGAUAUGUACUUCAUAGAAUAUUAUACAUACAAAUUAUACCCAGCUAUUAUACUGAUUAUAUAUCUAGGGUUAAUGAAAAUAUUGUGGUUUCUUAAAAAUAACAGGGACAAAAUUCUUGGUGUGGUGUAGUUUCCACGUUAUGCAUAUUCCACUUAUGUAUAAGAGUUAUCACAAAAACAACUUUUAUACAACAAAACAUCUAGUAUUGUAUUUUACCCAAAAUAUAAAUGCUCUAAUUAUUUUGAUUUGUAAGAUUCAUGAUGCAGAAGAAAAGUAAAAAAUGGAAGGCAAAAAAAUCUUUGCUAAGAGAAAGCUUAUCUAAAAAAAAUCUAAAUUACCUGUUUUCAACAAAAAAAAAAAAAUCACUGUUCAUAUGCCUAUGAUAUGAACAGUCGACCAAGCUUUAGUAAUAGAUAAAUUAGCGCCAACUGUCAAGAGGACAAAUUUUUGCUGGCUUGCUUUAACCUCAUUUUUCCAUUUUUUAAUAAGGGUACGUAGCCAAGUUUCUAUUUUCUUGCCCACAGAAUUUGGCCCCAGAUCGUUUUCUUGACUUCACUAUCUUUGGUUUUUUCUUCGACAAUAGUAUUUGAGGCACCAACUUCUGUCUCAUCGGAUUUACAUUAAUCACAAGAAUAUCAUGAAAGUUAUUGUGACCUAAACGCUUGCGCCACAACCCUAAUUAAGACAUCAUUACCGACUUUAAUAGGCUUUCCCAUUAGUGGUUUUUUUGUUUCGAUACAAGGAAUAAGUCAUUAGUGGUUUCUCUUGCGUGCAUUUGUGUAAUUGCAACAAAAUAGAACCCCCUAGAGUAAAAGAAAAUUACCUAUGUAAAUGUGUAAUUAAGCAGCAUUGAAUCAAUUAGCAGAGGGAAAUCUUUUAAUCUCGGACAACAAUAAAGGUAAAUUUAUACAACGUUUAUGAACACAUUAUACAAAUAUGAUCCUCUAUAUCCUUCAAAUAAAACUACAAGAAAGUAAAUUUCCUUGGUCGACCAAAAGAAAACACACAGAGUUGUUACCAAAAUAGCAUCUCAGAAACAUCAUAUUGAGAAGACAAAGUCAUUAAUUUACUCAUCUGCAGUAAGAGAAGAGUCGUCUUAUCCAAAUUUUUUGGGGAGGCAGACACAGUCAGCUACGCGGUUUCCAUUAUAACUGCCGAACAUAAUUCCGGUAAAUAUAGCAAAACACAAGGCCAACUUAAUCCAAAACCUUAAUUUUAUAGACACUUGCUAAAAUUCAGUGCGAGAUUUUAUCCAAAAAGAAAAAAUGUGGAUAAGGUAAAGUCCAAAUCAGAAAAGACCCCACCUACCACAUUUUCUAUAUACAGCUUCUUUCUAUUUCUCCCCCUCCUCCUCCUCCUCCUCCUAGUUUUCCAAGAUUAACAUCCACAGCUCUCUUUUUCUCUCCAUCUGUCUUACCCAAUUCAAGCUAGUCAAAAAGACCGCACCUUUUCGUUUAAAGCUUCACUUUUGGCUCAUAAAGCUCAAGUCUUGAUCAAGAUUUUGAGGGAUUUUGAUUCAAGAAACAAGAGGUGAAGUGGGUUCUUGUGGGUUUUUGCCGUUUGUGUCUGAAAAGGGGAUUCAGAUUUGACAUAUUCAACAUGGCAAUUGCUUCAAAGUGUGGUUUGUACAUUUCUGGGGUUCAUGAGAUUAGUCUGCGCUCCAAAUCCAGAGAAUCAAAUUCCAGAGCUUUUCCGGUUUUGGGUGUUGAAUUUUUGGGAAAACCCAUCUCAGAUUACAAGGGCUUAAAGAAUUUGAGGGCCAAGGCCCCCAGAAAUUUAUCUGUUCAUGUAUGUAAAGCUUUCUGCUUUUCAAUCUUAUUAGCUUUAAUUUUAGGAAUUUUUUGUGUUCAAGUUUUACAUGUUACUAAUGGUGUGUAAAUGUAUCUGGGUUCAGGCUCAAGCAUCAAUCUGUGUAAGCAAAGCUAUGAAAUGGUGGGAGAAAACCCUAAAACCCAACAUGGUGGAGAUCCAUUCUGCUCAAGAACUCAUUGAUUCUUUGCAUACUGCGGGUGAUAGAUUGGUUGUAGUGGAUUUUUACUCACCUGGUUGUGGAGGUUGCAGAGCUCUCCAUCCCAAGGUAUAUUUCAUAAAUUCAUAAUUCAAUUUAGAAUUAAAAAAAUUUUCCUUUUGAAAAAUUAUAGCAUGUCUAAUUUUAGCUUGGAGCAUUUUGGGAUAUAUGUUUACCAAUAACUUUGUGAAUUUGUUCAGAUCUGUCAGCUGGCUGAACAGAAUCCAGAUGCAAUUUUUCUCAAGGUUAACUAUGAAGAGCUCAAGACUAUGUGCCAUGGUCUCCACAUUCAUGUGCUUCCAUUCUUUAGGUUUUAUAGAGGCGCUGAAGGGCGAGUGUGUAGCUUCAGCUGCACCAAUGCCACUGUAAGUGUUGCAUUUCCUUCAAUGUUGGUUUGUCAUAAUCGAUUAAAUUGGUGUGUAUUUAUGGUUGAAUUAUGCUAAUUGGAUUCGUUGCUUUACAGAUCAAGAAAUUCAAAGAUGCAUUAGCUAAAUAUGGGGCUGAGGGUUGUAGUCUUGGCCCUGCAAAAGGUUUAGACGAGUCUGAGAUAUUACACUUGGCUGAGAUAGGUGAGAUAUCAGCAAGAUCUUCUCCACCAUCAACCAAAGAAGAGAGAGUGGAGGAGGAUUUGAUCAUGAAAAGUAUAGAUUUGUCUGGUGUUUGGAGUAAUGUUAUCCAUAACCAUGACAUAGAACUCGCAGAAGAAGAAAGUGCCUUGCUAAAGAUUUGAAACAGUUUAGGCAUGUUGGAGUAAAGCAGCUCCAGUUUUGUGACUUUUGUCAUACCAAUUUGUCUGCUUGGUGUUGUAAAUACAUCAUUACUAUUAGGUUUUCCAUAAGCAGGGUUCUGAUCUUUUUAACAUAGAACCCUGCAUUUUGUUAAUCUGUUAUUGGAUUUGAGAUUGUAGUAGAUCUGAUUGAGAGCUUGAUACAGAUCUAGAUUGUUACCUGUGUCAAUUUGUUUUGGUUACCUACAAUAUAUUAGUGAAUCUUGAAUGGGGUCAUGGCAAUGAUCUUUUUCCAAGUUAGAAACUUUCCUGUCAAAUAAUUCCAGGAUUUCCAGCUAUGAGUCGGACCAGUUCAAAACAUGAGUAAAGUUGAUAUGAGUUGGUUUGUCAUUUGUGGCCAGCCUUGAAUUGUUGACAAUGCUGGUAUUCUAUGAACAUUCAAAAACUUGGAUUUCUCUUUGUUCUACAUUUUGAAUUUGAAAAUGAAAGCAAAGCUUUGGGUAAUGAUUUGGCUCUUUUGGAGGUGGGAUCUUCUUCAUUGGGAUUUAUCUGUCCAUUGUGGGAAUCAAUGUGGGGGUUGGAGGUUAACAGACUAAUUUCCAAAGUUUUAGAUAUUCCUUUUUAAUGUCAUUUUCCACUUCCUCAAAAGUUCAUUUCCAAAGUAUAAUUCAUGAGAGAAAACUCAUUUUUCUCAUUUUAACUUUGUAAUUGGUUGGUGACAGAGAACCUAACAUCUGAAAUAGUGUGACAAUUGAGGUGUAAAUCAAGUCCCAUCAUUAUCAUGCUAACUCAAAAGCUAAAUUAGUUAGGUUAAUGCAUUUUCUGGUAUGAUUGUAUGAAUCAGAUAUGUAAGUUUUUCUUUUUGAGUAAAAACCAAACAUAGAAUUCGAGUUACUAAAGGUAAAUUUUGGAGAAAGAAAUGUUUCAACCAACAACUCCAACAAAGAAAGAGGUAUUCAAUUGCCAAACACAAUAGAAAACACAAAGUUGAAAACGAGUUUUAUGGGACAGAUACAAUGGGAGUGAUGUGGAUGACCCAGAAUCCGACUCAGCAUGACCCAGAAUCCGACUCAGCAUGGGUCCGAAGGAGGAUAUAAUAAUAUGACUGCAAAAUCUGAAACAAUGGGCAAGUGGUUUGAGGCACCAUCUAUAUCAUUUGCAGUAUGUAGAAGCUCUGACUGAAUCCAUAUCCAAUCCAGCACACAGUUCGGUUUUCAGUUUCCUCUUCCAUGAUAAUGGAUAGGGGAAAAUGGAUAUUUCUCUUUCUUCCUCCACAUGGAAAUUCAUAUCAUAAUACAUAAUUGGUACAGGCUUGCUCACCAUAUGAAUUGCUGAUAUUCCACCACAUAUGACUUGGUAAUAAUCGUUCUCUUUAGGUGCAGCAACUUAUUUACCACAUACAAGUGAUUUAACAGUUUGUCAUGUGUGUUAACUGGCUGCAGAAUCAUCAUUCACUCGAAGCUAAAGUGGUUUUACAGUUUAACUUAUAAGAGAGUGUUUUGUUUGUGGUUUUUACCUAAUUCAACUUCUUGAUAUGGUUUUCUCAAUAUACAAAUCCAUCAAUUAUGUGUUGUGGAAAAUGAUUGGUUUCAUCUAGAACUGAUCAAUUCGGCCACACUAAAAUUACCUUUCAAGUGAUUUUCAUCAUCCAAUUAGUUCUAGAGAAACUACUGCUUAUUUAGGACGCACAUAUUGUCAUCCAAUAUGUUAGACACCAGCCGAUUGAACUAUUUCAAUAGAAAAAUUACAAAAGAAUGAAAAGAUAGAACACAAUACACAUAACAAACCGAGAAUACCAAACUUAAGAAGUAGCAGAAUAUAUCAUAACGAGGACAACAAUGAGAAACAAUAUUUUCAAGCAGCGAGUGAGAAAAUAUUAUCAAACUUGCAAUUCCUAGUAUUUUCCAAGCGUCAAUCUUUAUUCAAAAUAGAAUAUAUGGCCGGAAACCUAAUCUAAAAGCUGGAUUACAAUAUCAAUCCCAUUAUACUCGCUCUUAAGCACUCCCUCUUCUCUAGUUGUAAACCAACCACUCAUCUCCCUGAACGAAAUUCUGCACGGAAUAAGCAUCAACAUGCUCGGCCGGAAUCUCACUACUCCACUUCACCCUCCCGGCCAAAUCUGCCCCCGGUCCCGAGUUCCCAUACUCCCCAUAGUAAAGUGUCGCCAAAGCAAACUGGUCACUCCAAGGCAUCCACCCUUCCUUUGAAACCAGACCUUCCAUGCUACAAUUCAAGAACACCGUCCUCGAAAACUCCUUCCAUGGCCUCCCUAAGUAGUUCAAAUGCACUUUGGGAUCCUUUUUGUACAACUUCAUGUACUCUUCCGUCCCGUUAAUGAAGCAGUUCCGGAACACGAACCCCGUCGCCUGCGCCGGGUCUGUCCUGCCGUGAGCCGUCACGGCGUUCUUCUCCCCUUUCUCUGGGGUCACUUCCCUAGACUCGAUGAGGAUGGUGCAGUUGUCGAACAUGGCAGCCGCAUUUCCGAAUAUGAAGUCGACAUUGCCUUGGAUUCUGCAUGACUUGUAGAGCUGGCGGUUGCUACGAGCGUAGAGAGUGUCUUGGUGCCCAAGGAACUCACAGUCCUCGAUGAUAGAGCGAUCACUGUCUGAUCGGAAAGCCACCGCCUGGUGGACCUCCUGCUUGGCGUCGGGGCCGGCCUUGUUCUCAAAUGUGACGCCGCUGGCCAUGAAGCCGUCGCCGUAAACAGCCACGGUGGCGGAGUUGUACGUCCCAAUUCCUGGCAGGCCCACAUACAAAGACCCUGUAAUUACUGUUUUGCCCAUGCCUUCCCCUAGAAACACAACAUUCCUCUUCUCUAGAGGAAUCCCAACAAUCUCUUCAUACACCCCGGCAUUUAUCUUAAUCACAAAAAAUUCGUUGGAAUUUUCCGGCGCCGCGUCCACCGCUGCCUGUAUGGUCCGGUAACAGUCAGUUUUAUCAUCCUUACAAACAGUCACGUUCACCGUCAGAUCUUUUGGUACAGAAUAGUCUGAGGACGAAUUGUUAGAGAGCGUGACCUGCCAUAAUCCGUCACGCUCGGUUUUGGGCGGGGACCAAGACUUGGUGUCGUUUCCAAAGUUUUCAUACGAAAAGAUCAUGCUGAGGGCGUUGCUGGUGUCGACGGUCAGGGAGUCGUUGAUGAAUGACAUGGUGGAGAUGACCAACUGGGUGUCGUUGGCGUACUUGAAGGCGUACCAGCAGUCAAACUGGUAGAUCAGGGCGGAGCUCAUGGCGGCGCGUGCGGUUUUGGUCCGGCCAUUUUUGAGGGCGUCCUGGGAGAGUAAUAUGCGGUACUCGGAGUUUUGUAGAUUAAUAAUGCAAUUUUUGGCGCCGGUUGUACGGUUCACGCUGCCGGCGGCGGAGUUGAGAAUGUCGGCCACCAUAUUUUGGGCGGUUUUGAGGCCGUUGAAGGAGACAUUGAGGGCUAGCUGGAGAGUUUGGAGAGGGCUAGGGUCAGAGGGAAGGUCAUGGGUUUUAUUUGACAAGGAGGCCUUGCAGGUGUCAGGGAAGCGGGUGGCUUUGCAGGCUUGGUCGAUCGGAGAUGAGGCGGCGAGUUUGGAGUCUGAGAGGAAGCGAGUGGCGGAUGAAAGGGUGAGGGAGAGAGUAAGGGUGAGCGUGAGGAGAAAAAACCGGGAUGCCAUUGACUCCACAGAGCAAUUGUAAUGUUUUGAGAUUUGAUUGUUCUUAGGAGCUGUUAAUAGGCAAUGCAAAAAUUCAAAUUAGGGAAGUUAAUGAAACCUAGCGUUACCAGGAUAGCAACAAGAUCCCGAUAAAAAUAGGAAGGUUGUUGACUUGUUGUACCCGUAUUAAACUAUAGUUAAUUUUCACAGGAACAGAAGUUUCAUAGGCAAUGUAUCCGUUAGAUUGUUCUUCAUGAGAUUUUAUACCAUAUAAAAUACGUUGAUACUUAAUUGGGUCAAAAGAAAUGUAGUAAUCCAUUUCCCAAUCACAAAAGGUAAACUUAAUCUCAUUAAUCGGUGGUCAUAAUGCAGAUCCCGAAUUUUGUUUUCUUUGAAUUUUUUGUUGAGAUGAUCAUUAAUUUACAAUGCUCAAUCGCAUUUUCCGGGUUGUAAUAUCAAUUUGGGUCCUAACCAUUCCUUUUGAGGCGGAGUAUAUAUGCUAGUAUAAUGAGUUAUUGACAUAGAGGCGCCCUACGGUAUAACAACUAACAUGAACCUUAUGGCCCAAGGGCCCAAUGAAUAUAUCAUUACCCAAAACCAUGAAGUAACUAGUAUCAACUAUAAAGUGUCUCAGCUAAACUUAGAUGCUACAGUUAAUAUGUUUAUUUCAAAUGGUUCAUGGGACCUAACUACUAUUGAGAACUUCUUUUACAGGAUCACCUUGGAUACUAUACGAUCUAGUCUCAUCUAUGUUGCUAAUAAACAAGAUGAAGUGAUUUGGGGCCUUACUAGCUCUGGGAUUUUUAUUUUUUUAUUUUAUUAAAACAGCUUAUGGCCUUCUGAUCUGCAUUAUACGGAAGUCCAUUGCCACAGAUAUGGAAAACUCUCUCCCGAUCCAUAACUCUUCCAACCUCUUCCAACGACCCUACUUUUAUAAAGUGGGAUCCUCCCCCUGCACAUGCCGACAAGCUUAAAUUUGACGGAUCAGUGCACAAUCUUUCAGCACCAGCAGCAGCAGGCGGGCUUUGUUGUCCGUAACUCCUUAGACCAUCUCUUAUUAAAAAGUUAAAUUUAACCUAUGUUUACUCUCAUCAUAAGCUAAAUUACAUUUUCUAAGAUAAAAAAUUUGGCUUGAGCUAUUUGGCUUAUGAAGUUUGUAAGCUAAAAUUAAAUGUUAUUUUAUUUAACUUUACAUUUCUCCUUUUAAUUUACACUAUCAUUAAAAUUAAAAAUUCGUUACUCACAACCAUCGCGAAAAUCUAGACGAGAUCUUUCAUAUGAGCUCCGUAUCAAAUAUAUUUAUAUAAUAUUUUUUUAUGAGUAAUUAUUGAUUUAAACAAAUAUAUGAAAAAAGAAAAAUAAAUGACUUUACCUUGGAUUUAGCUUAUGGUGGGAGUGUUUUUUAAAACCAGAAGGCUAUAAAUUUGGCUAAGGAUUUAGUUUAUGGUGGGAGACUCUGGUAAGCUAAAAAAAGAUUCCACAAAAUAUUCUUGUUUUAUAAGUUAAAUUUGGCUAAGAAUUUAGCCUACCAUGGGAGAUGCUCUUAGGCCAGCCAAUUGUUGCAGCUUCAAAGAACCUCGGGUUUGCUAAUGUCCUCGUUGCUGAGGCACAUGCUCUGAGGGAAGGUUUACUACAGCUUUAACAACAACAUCACUUCUCCGGCCUUAUGAGCAUCUUCUAUUCUACUGUAAGUCAAAUUUCAAACCAAAUUUAGCUUACAAAACAAGAGUCUUUUAUAGAAUUUUUUUAGUUUACCAAAUUCUGUCAUCAUAAAUUAAAUCCUUGGCUAAAUUAAGAAUAUUUUGGCUUACAGUAGGAGUGCUAAAAUCCAAGCACUCCCACCGUAAGCCAAAUCCUAAGGUAAAACCAUUUUUUUUCUUUUGUUAUAUAUUUGUUUAAUUCAAUAAUUAACCAUGAAAGAUAUUUUAUAUAAACAUAUUCGAUAUGAGGCUCAUACGAAAGAUCUCGUUACGAUGGUAUAAAAUUUUGUUAGUAACAAAUUUUUAAUUUAGAUGCUAAUGUAAAUUAGAAGAACAAUAUUUAAAGCUAAAUAAAAUAAUACUUAACUUUAGCCUAUCCACCUCAUAAACCAAAUUUGACUUAUAAAAUAUCUCAAACUAAAUAUUUUACCUUGACCUUUACGAUUGUAAUUUGACUUAUGAUAAGGGCAACUAGGCUAAAUUUGGCUUUUUGGUCUUAUCAAGUUAUGCAAUUCGAAGAUUAUAAUUGAUGUCUUGAUGAAUGGAAUAUCCUUGGCAAAUCAAAGUCCCUGUGCAUAUGAUAUCCAGCAUCUCACUGGCCAGUUUGCAGCUGUUUCAUUUCAUCACAUACGGAGAACAGCAAAUUUUCUAGCAAAUACUUCAGCGUCUUCAGGUCACCCUGUUUCUGAUUCUUGUAUUUGGUUGUCUCAGCUACAUCCUCAAGCACAGCCAACGUUCCAUUUCAACUAAAUGGGAACUGGUUGUGCUCAAGGGUUCUCUUUGUAACUUCUAGUUUUUCAAUAAAAAAAACAUAAGAGCAAGUUUAUAAGACUGUACGGGAAUGAAAUGAGUUCUGAUGAUUUUACACAUGAAAGCAAGUUUAAUGAGACGUGACUUUUAACUGGGUUAAUACGAACAUAAUUGCAAAAAAACAACAAUUGCUUAUAGUUUGGUGUGAUAGGGUUUAGGGUAACCUAAGUAAGAGUUAUGUUAUAAGGAUGAGCAGUUACGUCCUUUCAGAUGUUUCCUAUUGCCUAUCAGUUUUGGCUAAAUUGGCUUCUCAGAUAACAGAAUCACAAAGUUCUUGAUUGAACUCAAUUGUCAGUUGUCAGUUGAAACAGAAAACCAGGCACCUGGAGAAGCACAGAAUCUUAGUUGUCAGUUGAAACAGAAAAUAAAAUGACGGUGAUAUUACAUUGAAAGAACAAACAAACUCAUUACAAAGUCAAGAAUAUUGAUUGUGAAAAAGCCUUCAUAUACUAUCCAGCGGUGUGAAAGUAAUUUCAUGAUGUGCUUUUGGAGCCAGUACUAAGUCAAGCUUCCACAAAAACACAUUUCAAAUCUCCGUUCUUUGAUUCAAUCAUCAGGCUUCUCCAAAACAAUGGCACAAAAGGAAAGACAACACCAAAAUCAUGACACAGUUGUACCAACUUCAACAAACAAAAAUCAAAGACAUCAAGAACAAACACAGAUGGAUAUAUUGCCUCAGAGGUAGUGACAACAAUGACAUAUAUCAUCAUACUUGAUAUCUGAUAAUACGUGCAUAAAAGCAUCAUCGGCAAGAAUAAACCAUCGAAACCUCUGCAUUAGAAAAAUCCCCAAAAGGGAGCAUCGGAUUCAUACCUUUAGAACAGAAUUUCAAUUUCAAUGAAUUUGUUUAACUUUGAAUAAAUUGAAGAGAAAAAAACAGUUAUAUGCAUCAGAGAGAUUCCCAUUAGAACAAGUCAUCAAUCUCCGUAGAGUGCAGAUGUCCCUGUCUGUUUUCUCAUCACUCGCAACCCAUAGAAACAAACAGAUCUGAGCGAAACAUAAAAGAGACCAAACCAAACUGUACAGAAUAGAAAAUAUUGAAGAGCCGGUUGCCUCAGAAGUGAAGUUCUUUUCAUAGAAGUUAAUCUGCAAAGUAUAUUUAACACCAUCACAGGCAUCGGCUAAAAUCACAACAAAAAACAGAACCGAAAUAGGAACAAGAACAAUACAGAACCGAAACAGGAAUAAGAACAAUACUAGAUUACUACCAUGGAAUUGAUAGACCAAAGACCAAAUACUGGUUCUGGGUUACGAGCAUCAAACAUGAUAGCCCCAGGGCCGAGGGGAAGAAGACGCUAGAGCAGAGGAAGGCGGGGAAUAGAAGAUUGUGAGUUAGGGUUUUAGGUUGUAGUGGGUAUAUAUAGUGGCAGACUGGGCAAUUAGGGCGCAACACUAUUCGGCCCACUUCGAUAGUCACCAUGGAAUACGGACAUCUAGUGAAAAGGCCCACAGUUAGUUAAAUUAAAAUGUCUCUGAAUUAUAGUUAAGAUUAUAUUGACAAGCCCAAUACCGUAUAGUCUAAUAACAUAAGCCUUUCAUUAUAAGCUAGAGGUCGUGAGUUCAACUCACAGUAGAUUCGUUAUAUCAUAUUAGUUAUUUAUUUGAUAAAAAAAAUUACACAGAAGAUAUUGUCCAUUAAACCUAGUAGUCGAAUAUUGUAGCUUGGACGUUUAACGAUUGGAACACUCUCCUCUACCUCUCCUCCAAUUCUUUCAUUUCCGAAUAUGUUUCCUUUAUUUUUCUCUCACCUUGGUUCUGAGAAACCCUAAGAGAGAGAAUGUGAAACUCUGAGAUGGAGGUGAAGAAAGAGAGAAGAUAUAGGUUUGGAUUUUGGUUUAUGGGCAAAGGAUAUUUUUUUUUUGGGAAAUAAAUGUUACUCAUCGGUCGUACAACCCAUUCAAUUAACAAAAGCCAAACUACUAACUGGCCAAAAGCCCUGCCUGGUCAAGCAUAAUAUAAAAUGAAACAAAAUUUAGACCUCAAAUAGUCAUUAUUCCUAAAAAAAACGAGAUGCUAAAAACUAAAGUCUAAACAAGUGGACAAACUGAAAACUAUAACUAAUAAUAAAACUUACAAAGAAUAAAGUCAACAUAUAACCUUAAUUCUCCACAUCUGCCUGAAAUAGCCUUCCACCGGUCAACACAGUAAACAUCAUUGAGACAAGUUCACGUUGCAGCCCAGAUAGGAAGAGGAAGAUAAUAGGCAUCCAAAGCCCAAUGCCUAAGGCCCCAUAAGAAGCCCAAGAAGCAAGAGGCUUAACACUUUAACAGCCCAAAGCCAUUCGUCUUCCCUCCUCUUUCAGUCCACCACCAUACCAGACACGAGAUGCUUUUCACAGCCGUUCCAGCGGCCAACCUCGAUCUUCCACCAUUCGGUCCAAUCUCCUAGAGAACUGAGCCGCGCCCCACAACACCCAAAAGCAACCUGACAUGCCGCCUCUAAGCAAGCAACAACUAUAGGCGCGCUUCCUUAACCUCUAAAAACUGCUCAAGAAUAGCCAUCAGUCAUAUCCAAAGCAAGCGCCUCCUGCUUGCCCAUCGCCUUCUCCCACCUUGGUGACCAAAACAUAAACCAACGCACCGACUCCCUUAGAACAUGAGAACCAACGCUGAUAUCAACUUUCAAACGAAUCCACACAGCGAAGACGAACACCGCUGCAACUCGGUGCGACCAUAAGGCAACCCUCUUUAUCAUCUAAACCAUGACGCUUGACGACGCACUUAUUGGCUGGAUGCGAAGGAAGAUGUGCCACCACCGCCAUGCUCACAAAAUCUAAGGGUUUCGUUGUAAUUUUUGGUCUUAUUCAUACUGCUUGGUUUCUAAGAAAAAGUUGACAUAGGAAGUUUUGGUUUUAUUUUUGUGAGAAAUGAAUAGUUCAUUACUUAAAUACAAUGCCUACAAACAGAAAAAAUAGCUGAAAAUGUAUUAAUAACAAAGAGCAUAGGUCUUCAACUAGAUCAAACUAGAAAGAGUGCGCAAUAUAUGGACUAGAGGCUCUACAACCAAAUAUAGAAAAUCAUCAAUACUAACAAUUCUAUCACGUACCCACCAUUCAUGCUCACUAGCAUCUAGUCGUCGUCAUCACCAAAAGCCAUGAGGUAAUGAGGAGUACCAAAUCGAAGCAUUGAUGCCGAGCAACUGAUGUCAAUAAAACUCUGAUGCACAGAUCAUAUAUAAACCCACGACCUAGAUGAAGACCUCCCUCAAAACAACACCAUACAAUAUCGAAACCCUAGCCAUGAAGUUGUGGCUGAUGAAAAAGGACCGAGAGCUAGAUCCAAGAACCAAAUUUAAAGAAAAAUGAGGGUGAUGAACCCACGCGUGAGCACACAUAAUCGAAUAGGUAAGUGCCAAAAUGCAUUUUAAGAGUGCAACAACACAAGCUCUCGUGAAUGUUGUUGAUUGUAUUGAUGAGUUAUUUUGGUGUUGGGUAACCAAAAAUCUGAAGAAGAAAAAAUUGGGAUUGUAGUGUGAGAAAUGGUGUCCUCCUUAUAUGGACUUAGCAAUUAUUGUCCACAAAGAUAUGAAAAUCACCACAAGGGUGACUUGGACCCACAAACAUGGAACCCGGGAUAACUUAAAACAUAAAAUAAAGAAAGCAAUUAAAAAAAUCCUUAUGUAUAUCCACAACCUAUUCCUAAGCCAAACCCAAAUCCAAAACCUAGGCUCAGACCCAAGCCCAAUGAACAUGAGGUCAAAGCCACACUAUAGGCCAAGGUUGACCAAGGGAAAAGAAAACCUAAAACACUUCUGCCUAGAUUAAAGGUAUUCAGGCCCAUGGAGCCAUGGUACCAAACCGCAAAACAAGAACUAGACCGGCGUUCCAGUGUUGUCCCCUACGUCACUCUGUCGAUAUCGAACUCCCACCACCAACAUGGAACAGUUGUGCCUACCAUUCACGCACCAGCCUUCAUGGUUGAGACUCGAUUCAAUAUCCGAGUUAAGAUAUGGAGAAACCGCAGCCUUACAGACCCUUCAGCAAGCCACCUCAUUGAAUCACCAACUCUAGUCAGACCACCGAUUUCCUAUUGCUCAUACCCCGCUUCGCUACACCUUUUAAGCACUGUUGAUAUUAGAAUGUUGCUUGCAUUAAAGAAUCUGUCGCCUUGCUUUCAUCAUCCUCGACUGCAACCAACCUUCAUCAGCAAUCGAUCUCAACUCUCAGCACACCAUUAAUCUGAUCGAACCAGGUUUCACCCACUGCCCUAAUUAGACAGGACCCAAAAAUAAUACCCUCAAAACAUGUCCAGGAUAGGUUAGCCAACAAGAACUAUCCCCCUACAAGAUUUACUACGGCCACCAUGGAUUCCUCAUCCCACGUUCCUCUUAAACCAGCAACAACAAACGCGUUCAUCGACGCAAAUUCGACCCGCAAUGUCAACUUUCAAAAGUUAAGCCACCAGCUCUUAAGGACCUCAAUCUCUCCAGCUCUUAAGGACCUCAAUCUCUCUAGCCACUUGACACCAACCCCAUCGAUCGAGAGUGAAACCGCCUCGAUCAAUAGACUCACUCUCACCCAAUAACAGAUCUCAUCCAGCGACAACGUUCGUGGACGCACCGUCGGAGAGAGGCUACACUUUGUUUUUGAAAACCCUAAGACAAUGUCGGAGGGGGUACCAGCCAAACAUGCAAUUGCCACAUGUCAGAAAUUUGCGUUGUUUCAGCCUCGAUACAUAAUUAGAAGUUUUCCGGUGAAAGACACAGUUUAAGUCUUUAAGUCUAUAAGACGAUUCUUAUUUACUACUCACAUUUUUUUAUCACAUAUUACAACUUCGUGAGUUGAACUCACAUCCUCCCACUUACUAAUUGGUGACUAUGUCGUUAGACCAAAUGGUACUGGGCUAGUUCGUACAUUUUUGCUAAAAGGUUUAAUCUAAUGUUUUGCUUGGAUUGUUUAGUGAAAGCUAAAUACCAUUUCUAUAUCAAUUUAUUACCCAUGGUUUAGCAUUGCUAGAGGCGUUCCUUGUCUAAAAAAUUUAACACCAUGGACAAGAUCUUUGAAAAAGUUUUAGAUUUACUCUAUGUAAAAGCGGUGCGUUUUAUUAUUAUUAUUAUUAUUUUUUAAUCAGGUAAAUUACAACUGCGUGAAUCGAACUCACAACCUCCUACUUACUAAAGAGGAGACUAUGUCGCUAGACCAAAUGAUACUGGGCUUUUAUUAUUUCAUUAUAGUAACGUAAUUAUUGACUAUUUUUCAAAAAUAUGGCAUUCAUUGCUCUCGGCCCCUGUCAGAGCAGGGGGAUGAAGCGGCGGGUGGGGCGGCAUCGGCGAAGGAAAGAGAGAGAGAGAGAGAGAGAGAGAGAGAGAGAGAGAGAGAGAGAGAGAGAGAAAGAGAGAGAGAGAGAGAGAGAGAGUUUUUAGAUCUGAGAGAUAAGAUAGGAGGAGGGUAAAGUAGACACUUUAUUAAGAAUCAUGGAAAAUGGGCCAUGAGAAAAGGUUUUCAUUGGAUCGGGAUUUAGGAACCCUAAUUUUGGGUAUUUUGGUAUUUUCCCAAUAAACAAAGCAAUUUAGAAAAGGGUGUGGCUAUUGCCACCCCACCAAAUGCUUUGUUCACCCCACAUUUCAAUUUUAAACUAAAUAUUCCAAUACUAACCCCACAAUCAAAAAUUUUUGUGAAAAUAUAAUAUUAAACUAAAAUUCAAACAACACCAAUUCUCUACAUCUUUACAUUGGAAAAAAAAAAACAAAAUCUCUACAUUUUUCAAAUCAGAUUUGAGAAUCACUUCAAUCUUCAACAUGGUGGUUAUACAGUGUGAUAUAUGAGAUUGUUCGUUCUUAUUUUUAUUUUAUUUAUGGCUUCAAACUUAGUAUUUCAUAUAUAUAUAUAUAUAAUAUUCAUAAUCGUAAAGAAAGAACUCAAGAAAAAGAUCGAGGAGACCAUAGGAUGUGGUUUGAGAAGAAUGGAGGUAUGCGUCAAUUAUAUUGAUGAAAUAUUUGUAUAUAUUUUACCAUUUUUGUAAUUGUAAGUUAAAAGAAAGAAAAUAAAAACUAGAUUUUCACAAAAUUUUAAUGGCAGAAUUAGAAUUUUAAAUGUGGGGUGAAUUGAGCAUUUAGUGGGGUGGAAAUAGCCGCACCCUUAAAAAAAUCCUCAUGUAUAUCCACAACCUAUUCCUGAGCCAAAACCAAAUCCAAAACCUAGGCUCAAGCCCAAGCCCAAUGAACAUGAGGUCAAAGCCACACCACAUGCCAAGGUUGACCAAGGGAAAAGAAAGCCCAAAACACUUCGGCCCAGAUUAAAGGUAUUCAGACCCAUGGAGCCGUGGUACCAAACUGCAGAACAAGAACCAGACUGUUGUUCCAGUGUUGUCCCCUACGUCACUCUGUCGAUAUCGAACUCUUACCACCAUCACGGAACGGUUGUGCCUACUAUUCACGCACCAGCCUUCAUGGUCGAGACUCGAUUCAAUAUCUGAAUUAAGAUGUGGAGAAACCCCAGCCUACAAUCCCUCCAGCGAGCCACCUCGUCGAAUCACCAACUCUAGCCAAACCACCAACUUCCUAUUGCUCAUACGCCGCUUCGCUACACCUCUUAAGCACUAUCGAUAUUAGAAUGUUGCUUGCAUAAUAGAAUCUGCCGCCUUGGUUUCAUCAUCCUCGACUGCAACCAACCUCCAUCAGCAACCGAUCCCAACUCUCAGCACACCAUUAAUCCGAUCGAAUCAGGUUUCACGCACCGCCCUAACCAGACAUGACCCAAAAGUAAUACCCUCAAAACAUGUCUAAGAUAGGUUAGCUAACAAGACCUUUUCCCCCCUACAAGAUUUACUACGGCCACCAUGGAUUCCUCAUCCCACGUUCCUCCUAAACCAGCAACAACAAACGCGUUCAUCAAACGCAAAUCCGACCCGCAACGUCGACUUUCAAAAGUUAAGCCGCCAGCUCUUAAGGACCUCAAUCUCUCCAGCCACUUGUCACCAACCCCAUCGAUCGAGAGUGAAACCGUCUCGAUCAAUAAACUCACUCUCACCCAAUAAUAGAUCUCAUCCAGUGACAACGUUCAUGGACGCACCGUUGGAGGGAGGCUACACUAUGUUUUUGAAAACCCUAAGACAACGAGUUGCCACAUGUCGGACAUUUGCGUUGUUUCAGCCUUGAUCCAUAAUUAGAAGUUUUCCGGUGAAAGACACGGUUUAAGUCUUUAAGUCUAUAUAAGACGAUUCUUAUUCACUACUUAGUGGAGUAUUAGUUCGUACAUUUUUUAUUAUCAUAUAUUACAACUUCGUGAUUCGAAUUCACAACCUCUCACUUACUAAUUGGUGACUAUGCUGCUAGACUAAAUGAUACUGGGCUAGUUCGUACAUUUUUGCUAAAAGGUUUAGUCUAAUGUUUUGCCUGGAUUGUUUAGUGAAAGCUAAAUACCAUUUCUAUAUCAAUUUAUUACCCAUGGUUUAGCAUUGCUAAAGGCGUUCCUUGUUUAAAAAAUUUAAUACCAUGGACAAGAUCUUUGAAAAAGUUUUAGAUUUACUCUGUGUAAAAGCUUGCGUUUUAUUAUUAUUAUUACUAUUUUUUAAUCAGGUAAAUUACAAUUGCGUGAGUCGAACUCACAACCUCCCACUUACUAAAGGAGAGAUUAUGUCACUAGACCAAAUGAUACUGGGCUUUUAUUAUUUCAUUAUAGUAACGUAAUUAUUGACUAUUUUUCAAAAAUAUGGCAUUCAUUGCUUUUAUUUUUGAAAUUACUGGUCUAUAAUAGUCCACUAAUACAUGAGUAGAGUGGACCACACAAAAAAGGGAAAAGCGAUAAUCUUCUAAAUUAUGUGCGGUCUCGACGUAAAUUGUUUUAAUUUUUAUAUCUUAUUUUAAGAAGAAAAUAAUCAAGAAUGAAACUCAUAUGUGAAAACAGUUUACUGUUUCUUAAACCAUGUAUUCUCCCACUGUUUUUCAAAACAACAGCACAAUCCAUUGUUUUUGCUUUAAAAACGGUCAAUCUAGAAUCAUCGACUAGCCUAUAAAAGGAACUCAAAAGGAGUAUGUUGUGCACUAAAGUUUUCAUUUCUCAUUAUCUUACUAAUUUCUUGGUUAAGUUCUAUUUUCACAACAUAAAUUAUGAUAGUCCAUGUUUUGAGAAUUGUCGGGUGUGAAGGUGAAGAGGAAGAUGAUGCAGCUAAAAAGAUCUUUAUAGCAGCUAAAUCAAUCAUCGAAUCUAUGAUUUACCAGAUCAAAGAGGUAUGAUACAUAUAUUAUUUACCAGAAAAAUCAAUGAUUGAUUCAAAAACUCUAACAAUAAAGUUGUGCUUAAAUGGUUCUCUACAGUAUUUCACACACGUACAAUCGAAGAUUGUAACGAGAUCAGUUCCUGAAAUUGUUAGGUUUAUCCUUUACGAGGUGACACCUAAACAAAUGAAGGAAGCCAACAAAAAACACAAAGCGAUAAGUAUAUCGGUGAGUUAUAUCAUGCAUGUUCCUAUUAUAUGGUAAUAGAUGAAUUGGAAAUACUAGGAACUUAAUUAUAUUUUAAAUAUGCAUGUUCACCAUAAUUGCGAUUGGUGUUCUCUUUAGGAUCCGGCUAAUGAGGGGGAGUCGUACAUGGAGAUGGUUUUACGUGUAGAAUGGGACGCUGAAAGAUCGAAGUGCUAUCAUAAAUGAAUUGAAGGAUCUUCAAAGAAGCAAAGAAGAAGAAAGUAAAUGUUUAUAAGAGUAUAUAAUAUUGCUUAUUCGGUCCUAGAAUCCUAGUUAGGAUUAAUCACUACAAGUGGCCUAUGUAAUACUCGAACAAAUUUAAAAGUUUUUAUAUAUUUAGAUAUGUGUGAGCCUCGAAAUCUUUAUUGAGAUUAAUCGUAGCAAUUUUGAUAAAUUAUUCAUCGGUCAAUAUUAGUGAUUAUUGAUUGAUCUGGUAUAAUCUUUCGUGUGACCUCAAAAUUAUUUGAUGAGUUGUAACAAAAAAAAAAAAUCUGAUGAGUUAAAGUGGGAUUGUUGAAAUGUAUUUUUGAACCUUGGUGGGUAAUAGAACGCUCGAGAAUUAUGAGCCCUGAAAAAUUUUGAGAUUAUUGAAGGAUUAUUUACGAUCUUAAUUGCAAAGUAAAUUCUCAAGGAUGUUUCUGAGAAAUUUUCGCAAGGUGAAAACUUUGAUAUAAGAUUCUGAUAUUAAUAUAUACGUAACGACGAGUUCGUGAGAAUUAUCUAGGAAUUUUUCAGAGUUCUGAGCUAUUUUCUAUGAAAUGUUUAAGUUUGGAAAUUAUAGAAAUUCAUUUAAAAUAAAAAUAGAAAAGGCACGAUGCAAUCUGGAUCGUCCUUUUUAUUAUCGAUUGAUCUGAGCCGUUCGAUCAAGUAUACACUGGGAACUUGGGAAGAGGUUGGUGAAGGAAGGGCGCUUUGAGAACUCUCGCCUUACUUUAGUAAGUCGGCGAACUGGGUCCUAGAUAAUCUAAGUGUUGGAGAUUGGGAGAGGGAGAGGGAGAGUUCUAGACUGAACUCGAAUCUUCGACUCUUUACUUUCCUCAAAACACCGACCUUCCACUGAGAUGGUAUCGGGGUGCUCCACCGCCAGACAACGUCAUGUCCGGCCACUUUACGACAGCGUACCGGCAUCUUUAGCUCUCUCUCUCUCUUGGCGGCUCAAAGAGGAAAAAGAAAGAAGCUUUUGGCACCACCAACCUCCUUCACUCUAUCUCUCUACCAACCUAUUUAAUUACAUCCUCUCCCUUUCUUUUCAAACGAAGUUCUGGACAAGGAAAUUAACUCGUUGAUUUUAGAGAUGACUCUGACAGUCUGUUGUUGCUCAAGAUCGACAUAGUUGAGAAAAUUCUCUAUCCCAAUAAUGAUGGUAAGCCUAAUCGGUACAAUUUAUAUUGUCAGCACUUUAAUUUUGGACUAUUGUUUAUUAAUCUGGGUCAAGAUGUUAAAAUCUAGUUGCUUCUCAACCUAGGUUCAAACCAAGAAGCUAUCAGUGCUCCGAUGCAUAUGAAACAUUUCACAUGCGUCGAAAGUAGAGGAAGCAUUUGAGGUGCCCUACCAUUGUCAUGAAAAAGUAGAAGAAAGAAAAUUGCUUCCAUUUUCUAUCUAAUGUAGCUUAGUUGUACGUUACUAACACAACGAUUUUGAUAAAUGCAUCGUGGUGAGAAAGCCUUCCUCUAGUCAUUAAUCGAUCAAAGAUUGUAACAGUUGACAUGAGUCGAGGGCCUCACACCCAAUUAGGAAGACCUGAGUAAUCAAUCAUGUUGGUGGCUCAUCAUACACUCAGAUCACUAUCAAUGAUUUGUGAACUCAUUCAUCCCAUUCCCAAAUAACAGUUUUUCUUUACACUUCUUCACUUCACAAUUGAUAUUUGCGUAUUAGCAUUUAGCUGGGAUCUCUCAUACAAACAGAAAAAUUCCAAAUGACAAGUCUGGAGAGUUGGUGGCUUGGUAUAGCUCCAUGCUACAAAAGUACAAAUACAAAGCCAAAAGGAACAAAGGCAUGCCAAUUCGACGAUUAACGGCAGUUAUUUCUUGAUAUCAAUAUGGCUUAGUAGCUUGGUCAAAACUACAUGAUGCAGCACCUAUACAAAUUGCACGUCCUACAAGUUCACAUAAUUUUUCUAUAUAAAAAUACUUGUAUUGAUAAAGGAUUAAUGGUAGAGACAAAGAGAUAGCAAGAGAAUCAUCAUCUUAUUCAUUGAUAGGAGCCCUUUAUAUAGGGAAUUACACAAUACCAAUAUGAUAAGGAUAUGAAUACAUAGAUCUAGUCUAACUACAUAUCCUAUUGACAUAAGGCCAAGACACACAUAGAGAAUAUCCUAGAACACUCCCCCUUGUGCCGCGCGCUGAUAUGCCGAUGGUGCUGAUCUGUUGCCUCGUCAAAAACCUCGUCAAGUCAUAAAAACCCUGUGGGAGAAAAACUGAACCUUGAUCGUAGGAGAAAAAGAGUACAACGCACCCUUCACAUUUGAUAGUGACAUGUAUGUAUGUGCUAGACUCCCCCUGAAGUUCGCACCUCUCCCUGAUCUUUACAUCAAUCAUAGGGCUCUUCCUGAUUCUUACAAAUCACGGAAAUUUCAAAAACUUAGCAUGUCAAUGCUCUUUAACAUGUCUUCAAAUGUGGCAUUGGGCAAUGAUUAACUAAAUCAUGCCGUAUUGUCCUCAAAUGAUCUUUUACACUUAGAUAUUGAGGAGAAGGUCGCUUGUGAACUCAAAACAUAAGUUCGUGCAGGAAAUCAGGUUUCCACGCAGCAUGACCUUCAAUUACUAGAACAGUCGUAAAUUCCUCUAGGAAAUACAUAUGAACGAACCGUAAACGGUUUUGGAAACUAGACUCAUUUAGCUUUCCAACCGUAUAUUACACACAUUCUGGUUCAUCAGGAGCUGUUCACAAAAUCCGGUCGAAGUUGACUGUUUUGCCAAAAUCAGAUUCUCGGACAGAUUCGUCAUACUUUACGAAAACGGCUAUAACUCACUCAAUAUGAUAGGUAUGAUCAAAUGGUUGGUGUCUCUGGAAAGUAGACACAUAGACCUUUCCAAUGGUACCAAUUUCACCAUUUUCCAGUGAGUGAGAUUUCCUAUAGGUCCCGUGGAAGUUGACCUACAAAACUUGGCAGAUUCUGAUUUCGCUAUUGAUGUGUCUUUCUUAUGUAGGGAUAGAAUAAGCCUCAACCUUUCAUACCAUUAAGUAUUGAAAAAUGAGUUACUGCCAUUACAUUGGCGUUGCGUGGGCGCAUAGCUACACUUAGCUUUACAACUUUUCAUAGCGAAUGAGAUGUCAAGUCUUUCGUAUUGUGUUGAGUACAUUGAUGCGUCUAAUUGUACUUAGAUGAGAACNNNNNNNNNNNNNNNNNNNNNNNNNNNNNNNNNNNNNNNNNNNNNNNNNNNNNNNNNNNNNNNNNNNNNNNNNNNNNNNNNNNNNNNNNNNNNNNNNNNNNNNNNNNNNNNNNNNNNNNNNNNNNNNNNNNNNNNNNNNNNNNNNNNNNNNNNNNNNNNNNNNNNNNNNNNNNNNNNNNNNNNNNNNNNNNNNNNNNNNNNNNNNNNNNNNNNNNNNNNNNNNNNNNNNNNNNNNNNNNNNNNNNNNNNNNNNNNNNNNNNNNNNNNNNNNNNNNNNNNNNNNNNNNNNNNNNNNNNNNNNNNNNNNNNNNNNNNNNNNNNNNNNNNNNNNNNNNNNNNNNNNNNNNNNNNNNNNNNNNNNNNNNNNNNNNNNNNNNNNNNNNNNNNNNNNNNNNNNNNNNNNNNNNNNNNNNNNNNNNNNNNNNNNNNNNNNNNNNNNNNNNNNNNNNNNNNNNNNNNNNNNNNNNNNNNNNNNNNNNNNNNNNNNNNNNNNNNNNNNNNNNNNNNNNNNNNNNNNNNNNNNNNNNNNNNNNNNNNNNNNNNNNNNNNNNNNNNNNNNNNNNNNNNNNNNNNNNNNNNNNNNNNNNNNNNNNNNNNNNNNNNNNNNNNNNNNNNNNNNNNNNNNNNNNNNNNNNNNNNNNNNNNNNNNNNNNNNNNNNNNNNNNNNNNNNNNNNNNNNNNNNNNNNNNNNNNNNNNNNNNNNNNNNNNNNNNNNNNNNNNNNNNNNNNNNNNNNNNNNNNNNNNNNNNNNNNNNNNNNNNNNNNNNNNNNNNNNNNNNNNNNNNNNNNNNNNNNNNNNAUCUAUAUGGAUUGGAUUUGACAUUGAGGCGUCCCCAAUGAUAAUCACAAUUCAGACUUCAUAAGACGGAUUUGAGUAUCACUGAUCAAUGGAUCAAGUUGUGCCAAGCUCGCUUUCUUUCUAGUGCAAGACAAUAUCGAACCUAAGGGCCUCCCUCCUUUUAGGGAGCCACACGGCCUUGUGACACCAAUUUUGCCACUAUAUGGCGUCACCAUAUCACCAUCCAUGGUGAUGGCGUCAAGACCAACACUUUUUGGUCGCGCCAUGUCCUUUUGUAGGACAUCAAUCCUUACAGACAUAUUUGCAGCAUGUGAUCUCGUCACUUUAACACUAUAAGCAUUUGGGAUCAAGAUGAGACUUACUGGGGACAAACCACGACAAUUCACGUCGUUCCACUUGAACACUUGUGUUCUUAUCUCCCCCUAACGGCGAGAAUAUUGUCUCAUCAAAGUGAGAAUCCGCAAUUUAGCGGUGAAUGAGAUCGCCUGACAAGGUUCCUACAUAUGCGGAUAAUAGGUGGAGGUUCAUAUCCAACCUAAACUUAUUCAUCUCAAAUGACCCAUCAUUGUACGCAGUGGCAAUGCGAUUUGGCACCUAGAAAUAACAUCUAGCCGAGCUGAAGGAUUGGAGAUCCGUUUCAAUUCUGCCGAGCUCAAGGAUAGCAAUUUCGUGUCAAUCCUGGUACACAGUCACGAGCUGUAGUACAACAAAAUUCAAUGAUGGUGGGUCGUAGAUGAAUAGUAAAGCUGCAUGCAAAUAUUUCAUAGCCCCAAGACGCAAUAGAAAGAGUGGUGCGCAUCAAUAAUGUUCGAGCGACAAGCUAAAGUUGCUUGGUCGUAGCCUCGGUGAGACCGUAUUGCGUGUGAACAUGGGGUACAGGACACUUCAACUUACAUCCCGAUGAACUUCUUUAAAGAAUGGGUAGUGAGCCCGUAGAAGUAUAAGCAGCAUAAGCAGUAGAUAAUAGUGUAACACGUGACCAGUGUGCUAACACUUCAACCAACACCAUAAAGCAUAAAAGGUGUCCGCAAGUUGGUUGUAUCUAUCUACAUANNNNNNNNNNNNNNNNNNNNNNNNNNNNNNNNNNNNNNNNNNNNNNNNNNNNNNNNNNNNNNNNNNNNNNNNNNNNNNNNNNNNNNNNNNNNNNNNNNNNNNNNNNNNNNNNNNNNNNNNNNNNNNNNNNNNNNNNNNNNNNNNNNNNNNNNNNNNNNNNNNNNNNNNNNNNNNNNNNNNNNNNNNNNNNNNNNNNNNNNNNNNNNNNNNNNNNNNNNNNNNNNNNNNNNNNNNNNNNNNNNNNNNNNNNNNNNNNNNNNNNNNNNNNNNNNNNNNNNNNNNNNNNNNNNNNNNNNNNNNNNNNNNNNNNNNNNNNNNNNNNNNNNNNNNNNNNNNNNNNNNNNNNNNNNNNNNNNNNNNNNNNNNNNNNNNNNNNNNNNNNNNNNNNNNNNNNNNNNNNNNNNNNNNNNNNNNNNNNNNNNNNNNNNNNNNNNNNNNNNNNNNNNNNNNNNNNNNNNNNNNNNNNNNNNNNNNNNNNNNNNNNNNNNNNNNNNNNNNNNNNNNNNNNNNNNNNNNNNNNNNNNNNNNNNNNNNNNNNNNNNNNNNNNNNNNNNNNNNNNNNNNNNNNNNNNNNNNNNNNNNNNNNNNNNNNNNNNNNNNNNNNNNNNNNNNNNNNNNNNNNNNNNNNNNNNNNNNNNNNNNNNNNNNNNNNNNNNNNNNNNNNNNNNNNNNNNNNNNNNNNNNNNNNNNNNNNNNNNNNNNNNNNNNNNNNNNNNNNNNNNNNNNNNNNNNNNNNNNNNNNNNNNNNNNNNNNNNNNNNNNNNNNNNNNNNNNNNNNNNNNNNNNNNNNNNNNNNNNNNNNNNNNNNNNNNNNNNNNNNNNNNNNNNNNNNNNNNNNNNNNNNNNNNNNNNNNNNNNNNNNNNNNNNNNNNNNNNNNNNNNNNNNNNNNNNNNNNNNNNNNNNNNNNNNNNNNNNNNNNNNNNNNNNNNNNNNNNNNNNNNNNNNNNNNNNNNNNNNNNNNNNNNNNNNNNNNNNNNNNNNNNNNNNNNNNNNNNNNNNNNNNNNNNNNNNNNNNNNNNNNNNNNNNNNNNNNNNNNNNNNNNNNNNNNNNNNNNNNNNNNNNNNNNNNNNNNNNNNNNNNNNNNNNNNNNNNNNNNNNNNNNNNNNNNNNNNNNNNNNNNNNNNNNNNNNNNNNNNNNNNNNNNNNNNNNNNNNNNNNNNNNNNNNNNNNNNNNNNNNNNNNNNNNNNNNNNNNNNNNNNNNNNNNNNNNNNNNNNNNNNNNNNNNNNNNNNNNNNNNNNNNNNNNNNNNNNNNNNNNNNNNNNNNNNNNNNNNNNNNNNNNNGGCACAAUAUGCCAUGUUUCUAAGGACGAUGUAAGUGUACAUCUUGAUUGUAAAUCAAUAUGAACCAUAAGAGGAGAAUAGUUUCACUUCGAAAAAUUCUCAAGGCAUUCAUUAUUGCUAAUGUGAGUACAUCGAGGUCUCAAAUAGACAAAGGACGUCGAUACAACGCCAUAGUACAUAUAACUUGGAACGAAAAUCAAUGUCUAGCCGAUGACAUCAAAGUCAUGGGUAGCUAGAGCAGGAUCCGAAUCUUUGAAAUUCGCGAUCAUGAGGAUGACGUUCUUGUCCUCAUAUUGAUUUUCCAUACAUUUUUGUAUGCAUUCACAAUUUAAAGGAGUUUGACAAUCUUGAAUCAGUGAUCCGAAGAUCCACAACGGUUGCAUUAAUGUCAUGAGCUGACGUGAGUAGUUUUGACAAAAUGGUGUCUAGACCGGGAGUGUCGCUAUUAGAGCCGGCAACACCUCCCCCUCUUUUCUAGACAUCGGCACGACGUUUUCUGCAGUUGCCAUGACCCAUAUUGUUGUCCCCACAUUAGGGGAUAAUCCCAAAUAAGUUUAUCACAUUAGCGUAUAUACAAUUCCUGUUUGUAUGAUCAAAAUCAAGUCUCGUUGGUAAUUCCACACCAACUUGGAGGAUCUAGAGAACUUGAUGAUGAUCGAAUCCGCUAAAGAUUAUGGAUCAUGAUGCCACAAAAGAUCAUCGACAAUAUGUAAUCAAUUAAAGUGGUAAGCAAUCCACUUGACUAAUAACUCAACAAGUAGAGUUAUAUGAACGUUUCGAGAAACGCUCCAUGAGUGCAUUCCACAGUACUUUGUGGUCAUUUACUUUUUGCACAGAUUGCCAUUGAAGGCUUUUGUCGAUGUGGCAUCUCGGCAUCUAGGCUUGUUAGCCUGGGGUCAAAACAUGUGGUUUAAUCCUUUCUAAUGAAAGGUUCCACAGAUACCAAGCGAAGAUCCGCCUUAGGCAUCUAGUACGUCAAAACUCAAAGGAGCAGAAUGUUAAAUUGCUCUUGCAUACAAAACCAAGCUGUUAUGAGACUCGAUAGAGGUCACAAACGAUGCUUUUAAUGGUUUGUCCUUCGGAUUGAUCAUACACAAUCCGGAAAAGCCGCGAAUUGAUCAAACACAAUUCGGAAAAAGGCCUCGGAUUGAUCAAACACAAUCCGGUGAAAGGUCGGGGUUGAUCAAACACAACCCGGACAAAGAAACAAGAGUGAUCAAACACACUCUUGACCCGCGAAUAAAAUUCCGGGAUUUGGGUACCUGCACGCACAAAAUCCCAAGCAUAGAAUGGAGAUGGAGAAGGGAGGAAAGGAUUUUAUCCUCCCCGAGUUAUUGAACUUGGAAAAGUUUAAGGUUUCAAAAAACAUACCUUUCUAGAGGCUGCCGAGAGGAGAAAUAACGUUUUGACUACUUAUACUUCGAAUUUGGGGCUGAAAAUUUGAUAGGAGGAGCAGCACUAGAUGGGGAAACUGCUGUCAAAAUUUCAGGUUGAUCGGAGCAAGGGAAGGUGGUGAACCGGUGGUCGGUAACGGCGGCGGUUUGGAAUCUUCCGGCGGCCGGUUCGGAGACUUUCCGGCAGGUUCUCAGGGUGAGACCGGCGGCAUUGGAUCCGGGGCGGAGAGAGCUUUCUGGGGAUAUAAAAUUCCGGUGGAGGGCAGUCGGAAUUUUGGUCGGAAAUCGGGAAAAACAAGGCUGCCCGAUUUUAGGGUUUUGGUUUUUAGGGUUUAGAAAAAAAUCGUGGGCUAUUGGCUCUAGGGUUAGAACAAAGUGCAUGAUAACGUGAUGAAGGAUUAAUGGUAGAGACAAAGAGAUAGCAAGAGAAUCAUCAUCUUAUUCAUUGAUAGGAGCCCUUUAUAUAGGGAAUUACACAAUACCAAUAUGGUAAGGAUAUGAAUACAUAGAUCUAGUCUAACUACAUAUCCUAUUGACAUAAGGCCGAGGCACACAUAGAGAAUAUCCUAGAACAUGUAUGUCUCAAUUUCAAUGUUAUCAACGUGUUAAAAGUAACUAUUCUUUAAAAUAAGAGUAAUGCUAGAUGAACCACCUUUUGAGAAACCACCUUAAAACCCACUUUAGAUGACAUCAUAUAUGGUAUAGCCACAUCAUCAAAGCAUUAUUUGUGUCUUUUAUAUUUUCAUUUCUUCCGAAUUACAAAAAUUUCUUUUUCCUUCUUUCACUUUCAAUAAGUAAUUUUCGUCUAUAAAUUAGGUACAAGAAUAACACGCAUGUAUCCCUGUAUGUUCUUUUUUCCUCUGGUUGGUAUAUAUUCUCCAGCAUUGAUUGUUAUUUCAUCAGUUUUGAGAAACCACCUUAAAACCCACUUUAGAUGACAUCAUAUGUGGCAUAGCCACAUCAUGAAAGCAUUAUUUGUGUCUUUUAUAUUUUCAUUAAGUGCGGCUAUUGAGACCUCUAAAUUUGCUCACUAGACCUCACUCUAUUGUGAAUUAUUAAAUGACAUAUAUAUCAUCAUACACAAUGAUUAUUAAGGACAGUAAUUAUACAAAAAGAAAUAUUAUAUUUAUUCUCUUUAGACUUUCUAAUUCAAUAAUAAUUGAUUACAUUAUUUAUUAUUUUCCUUAUAUAUUUUCGUUUUCUAAUUUCUUUUCAUUAAAGCAUAUAUAAUAUAUAUAGUUCAUAAGAGCUAAAACAAUGAUCAAAUAUCGAUCAUGUGACAUAAAAUUUUGUAUUAUCAUACAUGUUGAACAAGGUGCAUAAAUAUUUUUCCAAAAAAAUAAGUGUAUAUAUAUAUACAGUCCUCUUCCAGAGUGGGAUCCCGCUUUAAAAUUAAAGUGCGAGACUCUUUAUUUCGCUCACUUUCAAGUCGUAUUUCCACAUCUUAACCGUACAAUGUCUAAAACACAGUGUGUAGAUCAUUUAUGCAAAGUUUUAUCAAAUUUGAAGAUCAUUUGAAUACCAAAUUAGAUUAAAUAAAUCAAUAUAACAAAAGUUGUCCAAACAGAACCGUUCGUGUAAAUUACGAUUACGGAAGCUCAAAUGAUCUUUAAAUUUAAUGAAACUUUGCAAGAAUGAUCUACACAUUAUGUUUUAGACAUUGUAAGGUUGAGAUGUGGAAAUACGACCUGAAAGUGAGCGAAAUAAAGAGUCCCGCACUUUAAUUUUAAAGCGGGAUCCCACUCUGGAAGAUGACUAUAUAUAUAUAUAUAUUUAUCAAAAUAAUUUAUUAUGAGGUAUAAAAUAGAGAUCAAAUUAUUCAAAAUAAAAAACAGAGAAAAAAUAACACAUACAAAAGAGAAAAACAAAAGUUAAAAAGAUAUAUAGAAUAGUUCAUGAUAAAACAUUUUCUUGCAUGAAAAAAAAUAAUCAGAAAAUGAAGGUAGGGAUAAUAGAUGUUCAAAAACAAAAAGGUAAAAUAAAAUAAAAAUGAGAGGUCUAUUGAGUGAAUAAGAGUUAAAGUAAGUAAUUAAUUGAAAUAUAUGUCAAUAAAUAACUAAGGUUAUGUUAGGAAUUUAAAAUGAGGUCUAGUGAAAAAAUACUUAUAUUAAAAAGUAAAGAAUAACAAGAAUAAGUAAUCUUCGUCUAUAAAUUAGGUACAAGAAUAACACGCAUGUAUCCCUGUAUGUUCUUUCUUCCUCUAGUUGGUAUAUAUUCUCCAGCACUGAUUGUUAUUUCAUCAGUUUUGCAACAAAGAAAUAGAACCUGAACUUGUAUUCAAACUUCUACAUCGAUCACAGCUUGAGCUAGUAUUUAUCAUACACCCGUAGACAAGAUCACGCAUACAUAAUAUUUGCUUGAUUUUAUCUUUCAAACUCGGUUUCACCAAUUGUUAUAAGGAACUGGCACCUCCCAGCAAAUUAAGAAAGAUAUAUAUGUAAAAUAUAGCAAGCAUUUUGUUCCAACCAGUGCACCAGGCACUCCAUUCCGAUCCAUUAUUUUCUAUGUUCAUCUUUGCCUCUUACCACUCUUGUUACUGGGCAGUAUAUAUGCAUAAAUUGCCAAGGAUGUCCUAAUUGCAAUUGAAGGCCUUCAAGAGUCCCCAUCUCCCAACUAUAAUGAUGAUGUACCAUGGUCUAACUAGGAAAAGAUCAGUGUUCAUUAUCAACCCAACCUCACUGAAUAUUAAUCCUCUACCCGAUCAUGGUGAUCGAAAACCAAUUCACACAAGGAGUUUUUAUACGAGGAAUCGUAGUCACAUAGAUAUCAAAGAAAACCCAUCCAACUCAACAAUAUAUGACCCAAGAAAUUUUAACAAGCAUCAUGUGAUACUCUAAUUCGAUAUGAGUUGAUCAUGGAAAAGCAGAUAAUUAAGAUGGUUGAGCCGUUGAGGAGAGGGUGAGAGGAGAAUGAUGAAGACGUACGGCAAAUGAAAAAGAAUAAUAAAAUUAGGGUUUAUAUGAUUAAACUAAGAAAGUGUAAAAAAGAAAAAGGAAUUUUAGUAAUUAAGAAUAAUGAAAAUACAAAAGACAUAAAUAAUAGGGCCCUUAAUAAUAUUUGAUGAUGUGGCACUGCCACAUAUACUGCCACCUAAGAGCAAGUUCACCCAUUGGGUUAAAAUGAACAUAGUGAUCUAGGUCAUUAUGGGUUACUGUGACUAGGCAACAGUUUUCACUCGUCUGAAAUGUGAGAUUACGGUCACGUGACAGUGACUGUUUAUUAAAUUUUAAAAUACAUUUUAAAUACAAUUAAAUUUUAAAAUAUAUUUUAAAUAGUAAUUUAUACAUAUAUAUUAUAUGACAUAUUAAAAUUAAUAUUUUUAUUUCAUGACAUAUAACAAGUCAAGCUUAAGAAAUACUUUUAUUUGAUAUUUUCUAAUGAAAAACACAAUCUAAAUUAACUAGGUAUAUGUAAAAUAAGCUAUCAAUCCAGUGAAUAUAUAUAGGGUAUAUAACAUUAAACUACCAUUUAAAGGUACAAAUGAUAAAAUAGUCUUCAAAUGUUUCACUUGAUAAAAAAGUCACCAUUAAAGCAUGUUACAUGAUAAAAUGGUCACCUCAUAACAUCUUAAAUGAUAAAAAUGUCUAUUUUCACACUUUUUACAUGACCAUUAUACCCUUCUCUCUCCCUCAACCAAAUUUCCUUACCAGACUUCCUCGACCUCAACCUUAUCUCCGCCGAAGAAAGUAGGCGGUGGCCACCGUGGCCAAGUGAGCUACUCCCGGCACUCUUUCCCACCCACCCACCCUUUCAGUAACCCAAGGCAAAAAUCCCUGAACCUAAUCUUUCCCACCACCAUCUCUGAAAACUCUCAUUCACCUAGAUCUAGCUAUACCCCUCUUUUCGUUUACCCAGAACCCUCCUCUCUAUCCUCUCACAGGCUAAGCCUUAGGUCCGAGAUGAUUUCCACCUUUGCAUGUCCGAUUGGAACAGUUAUGGCGAGACUUGGUGUUAUCGGCGAGAUCUGAGUCUCUUGGUUUUUGAAUAAAAGUGUUUUUUCUCUAAAUCAGACUUUUCUGAUUAUCCAGGUAUGUAAAUCUCUUCCGAUUCCCACCUAUUUUAGGUCUUAAAAGAGAACGAGGGCUUUACAAGAUGAUACUCUCAUGUAUGAAUCUGCAGAGAAUGAUAGCAAUGCUUUUCUGCUAAGCUUGGUGAUGAUUAUAACCUUGUCUAUUGAAUUUGUUGAGAAAGAAGGCAGUGCGUCAACAGGUAAGAUAGCUAAAACCCAUUUAUAUAUUUCCUGUUUUGCAGUUGAUGUCUUAUGUAUCCUAGGUACUAGGUCAUCUUCAUCUAUCUUAAAGAGGACCAGCCAUUUACCUUUUGAUGAAUCUCAUGUGGUGCCUGCAAUUGGACAAUCUGGUGGUAUUAAUCUUUUGUGGAAUUCCAAGUCUGUUAAUUUGCAAGUUAUUUCUUCACAUGAUAGAUUUGUUCAUUGCAGUCUUACUGAUAUCAAAAUGAAUAAGUCUUGUAUGUUCACUUUUGUCUAUGCCUAUCCCAAAAAGAACAAACAAAUGGCUCUGUGGAAUGAACUAGCAAUGCUUACCUCAGCCAGUAAUCUUUGCUGGGUGCUAAUGGGGGAUUUUAAUAUUAUUGUUAGCCCCGAGGAAAAAUUGGGAGGCAAUGGUGGUGUUACAAAUUAUAUGAUCAACUUCUGCAAUUUUUUGAAUAACAAUGGCUUGGUUUCUCUUGUUGCUACAGGCUUGCCAUUCACUUGGACAAACAAGCAUACAGAUCACUGAUUUUUGAACGUUUAGAUAGAGCAGUAGUAAAUUCAAAUUUCCUUAACUUCUUUCCAGAUGCUAAAUUGGAAAACCUCCCAAUUAUUAUUUCUGAUCAUGGCCCUAUUUGUCACACAGUAUAUUUUUUUUUUGGAAAUGAAAAAUAGAUGAUAAUUAUUUUUCACACAGUAUAAAUUUAUUUAUUUUUAUAGAAAAUUUCAUAAAAGUCUACUUUCUAACAUUUGUUCCUUCAUAAGUCCACCUUAAUUUUUUUACCCAUAUAAGUCCACUUUAAGGGUUAGAUUCGUAAUCUUACUUUCAUUUCAUACCUAAAAUACCCUCCCAAUCACUCCCUACCAAAAANNNNNNNNNNNNNNNNNNNNNNNNNNNNNNNNNNNNNNNNNNNNNNNNNNNNNNNNNNNNNNNNNNNNNNNNNAAAGAGAAGAAGAGGACUAAAACGAUGUUGUCGCAAGCCUCGAAGGGAGCGACGACGGGGUUCGUGGAGCGGGAUCGGCUGUAGUGGGCGCUGGUGGAGUGUCACCGUCGGAUCCCGACGGGUCGGGCGUGGGAAUCGGGUUGCCGGCACCUAAACCGCGGACUUGCCGAGUGCUUGUGUUUCUGUUGAGGAUUUUGGUGUGUUUCUGUUGAUGAAUGGAGUGUUUUAUGUUUCUGUUGAGGAUUUUGGUGACUUUCAAUGAGCUAGAGGCUGCUGCCAUGGCAUGUGCUGAACUGAUGGCCGCUAGACGACUUGUAAUCUGGCUUCAGGUGGUGGUAGUAGUUUUUGUAGAUGGUAGUAGUAGCUUUUGUGGUUGGUAGUAGUAUUUUUUCUGUUAGUCGGAAACCUCACAGUAGUAGCUUUUGUAGGUGGUGGUAGUAGCUUUUGUAACUGGUGGUAAUAGCUUUUGUGGCUGGUGGUAGUAGUUUUUGUGUUUCGUCGAAAACCUCACAGUAGUAGCUUUUGUAGGCGAUGGUAGUAGCUUUUGUGGCUGGUGGUAGUAGCUUUUGUGUUUCGUCAGAAACCUCACAGUAGUAGCUUUUGUAGGCGGUGGUAGUAGCUUUUGUAGGCUGUGGUAGUAGCUUUUGUAGCUGGUGGUAGUAGCUUUUGUGGUUGGUGAUAGUAGUUUUUGUGUUCGUCGGAAACCUCACAAUAGUAGCUUUUGUAAGCGGUGGUAGUAGCUUUUAUAGCAUGUGAUAGUAGCUUUUGUGGUUGGUGGUAGUAGCUUUUGUGUUCAUUGGAAACCUCACAGUAGUAGCUUUUGUAGGCGGUGGUAGUAUCUUUUAUAGCUGGUGGUAGUAGCUUUUGUAGUUGGUAGUAGUAAUUUUUGUCAUCGUUGGAGGUUAGUCGGAAACCUCACCAGAGGUCGGCCGGAAACCUUGCCGGAGGUCGGCCGGAAAUCUCACCGGAAACCUCGUCGGAGGUCAGCCGGAGACUUUUCCAAGAUGAGAGUGGUUGUUGACUUUUUAUACUAGUGGCAUUUUUGUAAAUAUAAAAGAGAGAAUCUAAUGUUUUUUAUUAGAUGGCAGUCUGUAAUUUUGUUCAACUUUUAUACCUAAUAUAAAACCCUAUUUAGGCUUAGGUGGACUUAUGUGAGUAAAAAUGUUUGGGUGGACUUAUAUGAAAUAAAAUGUCUGAAAAUGGACUUCUAUGUAAUUGACCCUUAUUUUUACAGAUUUUCCUAUUUCUACAUGUUAUUAAUUAUAUACUUUUUAAUUAAGUGCUAAAUCAAAAAAAGAAAAAGCAUUUGUUUACAUUUGCAUAAGAGCAAACGACAAAAAGUGAAAGGGGUUGUCAUGGGGCCCAGCCCUAUUGCAUGUUCAGUCCAUUGAGAAGAACAUGCUCUACACGCGGCAUUUUGAUACAGCAAAAAGAUGGCUGUGCGCUUCACGCGGUAAAUGGGGCUGUGAAAUGUUGCUGCUGACCCAGCUUGACGUCACCCACGUAGUGGGUUCAGCUGAUGCGGCGUAGUCGCUGGGCUGGUGUUCUCCUCUCAUCUGAGUUAGAUCUCUCCCUAAAAAUCUAAGAGCAAGUUCAUCCGUUGGGUUAGAAUGAAUACAGUGACCUGGGUCACUGUGACUAGGCAGCAGUUUUCACCCGUUUAAAAUUUGAGAUUACUGCCACGUGGCAUUGACUGUUUAUUGAAUUUUAAAUUACAUUUUUAAAUGCAAUUAAUCGUUUUCUGUAUAAAUAAAUAGUAAUUUAUAUAUACUAUAUGACAUAUUAAAAUUAAUGUUUUUAUUUCAUGACAUUUAAGUAACAAGUCAAGUUUAAAAAAUACUUUUAUUUGAUAGUCUAAUGAAAAACACAGUCUAAAUUAACUAAGCAUAUGUAAAAUUAGUUAUAAAUUCACACGGUAUAAAUUUAUUUAUUUUUACAUAUUUUUUCUAUAAAAUUAUAAAUCAAAAAAGAAAAAACCUUAUUAAAAAAAAAAAAAAAACCUGAAACUUUCUUCUUCUCUGGGCUGCCAUAUUUCUUCUCUGGGCACCCACAGAGGGAGAAGAUGGCGACCACCCACCCACCUUCGCACGCUACCGCUCCGCACAGCAGCAAGCAGCGCAACUCCAGCCUCCUCCGCACGUUGCCGCUCCAGCCUCCUCCGCACGCUGCCCCUCCAGCCUCCUCCGCACGCUGCCCCUCCGCACAUCGUCGUCACAGUCUCCCUGUAGUCAUCACACGCGCGUCUUCCUUCGCUGCAGUUCGUCCGUGCGCGAAACGCAGCUUCCAGGCGCGUCGCUCGGUGGAGGCUUCAUUGCUGACGCAAGCCACGAGCGUGGGCUGGGCUGACGUGGAUCAAUCUCGCCUGGGUCAGUCUUCUCCUCUCACUGGGUUGGAUAUCUCCCCAGCAAACUCACCCGGGCUAGAAAAUGAGUUAUCUCAUUUUAUGGGUGGAAGCAAAAUUUUUUGGGCUGUGUUGCUUUGCCCAUGUGGAUCCAACCUGGGUUGGAUUUUUUGCUCACCGGUGGACAUGCUCUAACCUGGGUUGAAAUAUGAGUAAACCCAUUUCAUGCGUAGAUUAGAGUUUUUUUGGUCUGGGUUAGAUUGCCUAUGUGGCUUCUAACCUGGGUUAAAUUUUUGAAGACGGGUGGACAUGCUCUAAAGUAGGCUGUAAAAUGGUUUCUCUAAAGGUGGUUCAUCUUAUUUACACCUAAAUUAAUAUUUUACUAGACAGUAAUUGUCUAAAAUGAAUAUUAGUUAUAUUCAUGAUCUACGUCACACCGGCGAGCCCAAAAUAAUAGGUUUACAAGUGAUAACCUGCCAGGAAAGUCAUACGAGCUAGACAAGUUGGCAUGGACAAGAGACUUCGCAUGGAAUAGAAGGACUAGGUAACAUGAGUUGACUUGGUUCAAUAUUUAAUUGCCUACAAAGGUGCGCGAGCUAGACAAUACAGUUUAUAUGCGAAGAUGAGUUUACAGGCGAGGAGAUUGCUUGCAUGUGAAGACGAGUAGUUCGCAUAAAAGAAGAAAAGAUGCGGACUCCGCCUAUAGUAUCUCAAUUGGAGAAGGAAGCAAUUAUCCAUAUCUGGCUUGAGCAACUACACGUGCAUGAGUUGCUUGCAUGAGAAGGGGUUGAUUCUAUUCCUUAAUCAUGUAUACAUGAUAUGUAUGCACAUCCAGCAAGAUAAGUUUAGAAGGCCUUUAGGUCUCAACGAGGUAUCGAAACACUAUCUCGCUACCUAGCUAGCAGAGGUAUAUCAAAGAGGCAACCAAGUCUAACUGCCUACGAUACAGUAUUAACGUUGAAGACUUCUACAAGUCUUUGACAUACUUUGGGCCAACACCUGUGACAUUAAAAUAAGUCUAUAUAAAAGAGUUCGAGGAUCCGCUAUAGGGACACUGAACAACUCAACAAAAAUACAAUACAACUUUCAACACAGUUGAACCCCCGACGCUAAAGCAUCACGCCUUAGCCAUUUUCUUUUACAGGCUCCCCGAAGCUUUGCUCUCAUUUCCCUGCUCGCUCCCCGGAGCUUUGCCUUUUUUUAUUUCUUUUCCAGUUGAAGCUUUGCUCGGCCUCAUGUCGAGUAUCGAUAUUGUGAUGCUCAGGCGGACUACUGUAAGUCCUUGCCUAGUACGCAAGGUGAAUCUGAAGAACUCUGCGUGGAGUUGGUGCUCUCUCCAUCCUCAAUCGUUUGAUUAGAAGCUGAAAGCUAAGCGCGCUCCGCUCCUACAACCACUACAUUUCGCAUCCGCGCGGUGGUAAACGCGCAACGAAUAAAAGAGAUUUUGUAUACCUAGACUUACUGGUGUGGCCAAAACACACCUAACAUUACUCAUAAUGUAUUUUGAACUCGUAAAAGUAUAGUAUAACUUCGAAUUUCCAACACUGAACCUGCAAUAAUAUUUAUAAAAAAUAAGUACAUAAUUUCGCUACAUGAAGGUUAUCUUUCGAUCUCGAUGUGCCUGAUCGUGCUUAAGAAAAUAUCCGAUGAAAUAUGUGACCGUUUUUCAUGGCAUCAUCAUGGUCACUAACAUCGCUUCUUUGGCACCAUAAUAAGGAAUCCUAAUUAAAAAUUGUCGAAGUCAUCCUCCUGGUCACUAAUGUCACAACUUUCUAGAUCUUCAUCGGAGUCAUCAAUGGGUACUAUUUUGCUAGCUUCAAAUCUCAUAGAAGGAGAUACUAGUCUGGAUGUUGAUUUUGCACCAGAAUUAGACGUCACCAACCCACGUCGUUCUUCCUCUGUUUUCAUAUCACAACGAGGCAAGAACCACUCCAUGGACAACGCCUUGACGUCCAAACCUACAUCUUCAAGUUCCCAAACCAAUUUCACUUUUCUUCUCAGAGAAUGGCCUUCCGAGCUUUCCUCACGCAACGACACACAAGUACUGACCCUGUGUGCAAUGUUCACGCCGUCGAUGGCUCUGUAAUCUUGGAAGUAUGACUCCAUUGUUGAUUCCCAGUCACUAUGCUUUCCCAAAGCUGUCAACCUUAGCCGACGAGAGUCUUCUAGCUUCACCAAGAGGCCUGUUUUCUGGCUGAAGUAGCCCAAAAUGGUGUGUCGCACUGUCUCUACGUUGUUGCUGCUGCUUAGUUUUGAAGGUUCAACCAUCAGUUCAAGUAUGAAGCAGUCCUCUUUGUUUAUUGAUUUGUCCGCAAACCAAUCUGACUUGCUGAAUAAAUUUGCUGUUAUCCUCGGAUUAAGACCCUGAAGGAGAGGUCCAAGGGGAAGAGGCGGUACUCGAUACGCGUGGGAGUAAUGCCAAGGCAAAAGCGUCUUGCCAUCACUCCCCGUGCUAACUAAUUUGUGGACAGGAGACAACAUUAGGUCCAAGCACCAUAGCUCCCCCUUUUGCCAAAGCAACCCCGGCAUUCCAUGUCCGCUGCCACCGCUAAUGGACUUCGAGCUUCCAGUCCUGUUUGUCAUCGUGAUCUUCACAUUGCCUGUCGCAAAUAAGUUGUCCGAUGAUGACAAAGCCUUCUCCCCGCCCACCGCCGCUACGUACUGCUUCACAAUGUAUUUAGCCCUGGCGAGGGGUUGGUGACCAUCGUUGUUGAAACAAAGAGUAGCUGGAGUCAAGGGGGCACCAAUAACUUCAAGUAAGCUAGCUAGUGUCGUGCCAUCGCUAGCCAUUGACGUUGAUUUCUUUACUGAUCUUUUUGAUUCAAUCGAUGAUUUCAUUCUGUUCCAUAGCUUUGUUGUUGUCUUCUUGCGAGGGACCUCUCCAAUUGUGUCCGAUUUCUUUCUGUUCCUUGGCUUUGUAGUGUUCUUGUGAGGAACCUCUAAAACUGUCUCCAAAUCGGGACGAUACUUUUCCAUGAACAAUGGAAUCAAGAUGAACACGGCACUAAAAUUGCGAAAGAAUAAAAACAUUGAGAAAAGUCUAUCAUGUAUAUAUACAAGUGUAUACCGGUGGCUCAUCAGGAUUCAGGGAAUCCUAAUUUUACUAGAAAUAAUAGGCAAGUUAGCUGGCAUGAUUUUCCUAUUUCAAGGAGAAAUAAUAAGCUGAUUCUGUUUCUUUUUGGGAAAAACAUGAUUUGGGAAAUAUAAUUGGCCUAUGAUUAUGUAUGCUUCCCAAAGUUGACUUAAGGUAAUCAAGUUCUCUUUUACUGAUCCGAAGAAAACAUGCAUAUGUUGUUUUACGGGUAACCUUAUAGGCUUAUAUGACCUGCGAACCCAACUCCUCUAUGGCUCUGUUUGGUCUAAACGAGGCACAUCUUACUGAGCAUAAGGGAUCUUUCUGUAAGAAGAGCUAUGUCCUAUGUAUUGAUGUGUGACAGACUCCCAACGGGGUGAACAGCAUAACCCCAAGCAUACAGUCGAAAGAAACAUCAACCAAUCAACAUAGUUACUUCAAUUUCAAUUCAUACAAUCAAAACAAUAACUAAUCACCCUUGUAUUCUAUUAGCAAUUGCAAUGUUAUCAACCCUUUAUUCUAAAUUUCUUAGAUCAUCACCAUUCUCCAAUAGGAGAAAAACAAUGCCGUUAAAGUUGAGAAGGCAUAAUAUUCAGCAAACAAAGAGAAACCAUAUAAAUUGGGAGACCAAGAUCAUCAAAUAAGGCACAAGUGCACAACAGAAAUCUUAAACAAUAAGAACCCAAAUCAAAACCAAAUCAAGUUCUCGAUUUCAUAACUCAUAAUGUCAAAAACUCAUAACCCGAUUUCCAUAACACUACAACAACCAUUGUUUCUCACUAAUCAACACGACAAAACAUAAACCCAGUAAACAAGCAAAGAACAUAGCUUUUUUCCAUGGUUGAAGACAAAGACGAAGACCCAUCAACGCAACCUUCUUGCUUCCCUCUCGGACUCGAGCAGGGUGAGGAUGUCGCCCUCCCGGACCGGUCCCUUGACGUUCCUCAUGAUGAACCGGUUCUGGUCGUCGAGAAACUUGACUCGGACUUGGGUCACCUGUCCUCUGGAUCCGGUGCGUCCCAUCACUUUCACAACCAACGCGUGCUUCACAGUCGAUUCCAUGCUGAGAUUUGUGAAGGAGGAGGAGGCGGCUGGCUUUGGAGAUUGAACAGGACGAGGGGUUGAACAAGUAGGGUUUUUGUCUGAGAUGGAUUUUAAUAUAGACACUUGACUUGCAGUUGGGGGCCUAAUGUUUUUCUUAUUCCAAUUUCUGCCCCUGUAUUCAGUGUGUUUUUUUCCUUUGUAAAUAUGAGAGGCCUCUGUCUUUUGUUAUUUAGAUAAAUGCACGUUUAUUUUUACUGCCGUAUUUAACUGUUCAGUUAAUCGACGGCAUCUUUUACUGCCUAAAUGCGAGGAAAGGAGAAUGUAAAUAGAGAGAUGAAGUAUGAGAGCAAAGAACAUGGUAAACAAUGUCCAUUCUGUUGGUGGAACUACCACUGAGUAUGUCUCGCAUGCUUAAACGCACGUGUUUCACUAACAAGCUACACUGACGUGUUUCUAGACCGCGUACGUGGACGCGGUGUGAAACUUCUACAACGAGUGCGCUCCAAUUGCCAGCUCCAAAGCGCACGUCCCUACAUAUAAAAAGGACACUCUUGGCUCCCAUGUCUAGGUAUAUGCUAAGCUCUAGUCUCACUAGAUUCCUUUUUUUUUUUUUUUUGACUAUGGAUCCUAACUUGAGUGUCAGAGAGGUGAUGCCGGGAUCCGUCCGGACGGCCUUCUGACCACUCGUUGUCCUCUUGGAAGUCCCCAGUUGAAUUAUAGUGAGAGAGCUUCUGUAUUGAGCAACAGGCCUCAUGGCCCAAACAAAACUUCUAGAGUAACUAGACGACCAUUCCGGGUUGGCCCACUUUAUAAUGGACAUUGUUAUACGUACUUUUGUACCCAAAGUAAAGUAUAUUGAUUAGAAGUUUAGGACCGUCAAACUAAAGCUGCUUUAAUUAGUUAACGUUAUCUUAGCAAAGAUUAAAAGGCGCCGAAAAGACUAAAGGACCCCCUCGUCAACUCGAAACUUUUGACAUUUUGUAUCAUACAUGCAUGCAUUUUCCUAACGACUUGUCUUCCUCUAGUAUUACCUUUUUUUUUGUUUUCCAUUCUCUUAUUGAUCUUAUCUGAGACUUUGAGUUAAUCUUAUUUCUCAUCACAACUUUCCACAUCAUGUAUGGAUUUGUGACCAUAAUCCCUCCAUUAACGGGGAACAAUUAGAUUAAAAUAGUUAAAAACCCUAGCUAAUGGCAUAUACAUCACGGCAGUGUCCUUGUCACGACAAAAUGACCAUACAUUGUAUGUGCUAGCUUGAACGAUCGUUAAGAAUUUCGUAAUUACUCCUAACUAAACAAAGUAAUUGCUCUUUGAUAGUCAAAUAUAUAGGAAUAUAAACUAAGUAAUAACUACAUGCGAUGCAUGCUAGCUAUUGAUCGGGUCAGCUUCAAUUUAGCUAGGCUCAACGAAAAUCCUAUACUUAACUGUUUAGAACUUUAAGUACAAUGCAGAUAUCAACAUGGCAAAACAAAUUGGACCUAGCUUAUAUUCAUGAUGGUCAUAUAUAGAGCUCACCACAUAUAGUGCAUCUUAAUUUUAAUUGCUUCUUUACUUUUUUUGGGUGAAAUACUAAAGAAAAUUAUAAUGAUAAACUCUCGGUUAUAUGCAAUGCUCUCAUCAAUUAAACGAAGUAUCAUUUUCAUGUCGAAGUAAGUUUUUAUGCAUGAUUAAUUGAUUAUAACAGAUUGAUAAAAAAACUUAGUUUUAUUUUGCUUCUGUUACCGAAGAAUGUUUCUUGUGUUAAAGUGGCCUUUGUGUUCCGCAAAUAAGCUCAGUUAUAAAUAAUAAUCUGACAAUUUUUUCCUCUGCUAUAAUCUUUUCGUGUCAUGUUUCUUAUUUGUAAUCCUUUUUGCCGUCUAUAUAUAUAUGGACCAGCAAUGACAUGAUACAUAGCAGCUGCAGCAAUACCUGCACAUAAUACUGGCUUGUAUUUUAUAAAUAUCAUGCACACGCAUAUCAACAUAUAUAUAUAUAGGCUUUUUCAGAUAUAAAUCUCUUUAUUUAUUUAAAAGGUAUAGAUUUUUUUAAUUGACAUAUUUUUUUAUCAUAUUUUCUCAUCUCAAUCAUUCAUCUUUUAGGUAUAUAUGAGUAGAUCUCUACAAAAUUUCAGCCAAAUUGAUAAUCAUUAAGGUAUUCAAAACUGUGAAUUACACGAACAAUUCUUAUUGAACAGAUUUGGUUCGUUCAUUGUAAUUAUAUAGUUUCGAUACGUACCUUAACGAUCACUAAUUUAGCUGAAAUUUUGCAAAGAUAAUCAUGUCAUAUAUAUCUAGAUACUAAUUGGCUAUGAUUGAAAAAUAUGACUGAAAAAUGGUUCUAUUGGUAAAAUCUGUACUUUUUGAAUAAAUAAGGAUGUUUGGACCUGAUAAAGACUGAAUGUGUGUGUGUAUUUUACCGUAAAAACAAAACGUACUUAUGAAUUUGAAGGUGGUUCUAUCUGCACCCACCUGUAGACCUGAAAAUCACACAAAUGGAGAAGCGAUCGAGGAUCCCGAAAGGAGGCCUUACAUGCACAAAUCUUAGUCUGCAUGUAUAUGAAUGUGUCAAUAUUUUCCCAGAUUUUGUGUUUCUCACGUAUAGACAGAUAGAUAUUUUCUUGUGAUUUAGAAUCCGUGAGUGAAAAGGAAAUAACAUUAGAGAACAAUACAACAAAACAAAGCUGAAAUGAGCUCUCCGGAAAACAGAGAACGAAAAGAAUCCAACGUAUUGCUAAACGUACACGUGUACGUUGUGAGAAUGAUCGAUCGGUCUUUCAGAUUCAUGAAACCCUUUCACGUUUCUUUUCGAUAAUGAUCGAUCGGUACGUCUUUCAUAUGUAUGUGGCAUCACUUAGUUUCAACUCCACCGAUAUAUCGAUCUUUUCACAUCACUUCUAGUUUCUUUUUCUUCUACAUCGAUCAAAGGCUUAGGAACCAAGCCUAGGAGCGAGCUCUUGGUUUGGAAUUUUGUACUUCUACCCCUUCGUAUAUUCUCGUAUUAAUUCAUUCCAUCAGCGACCUAAAAUCUGUCUCUGUCGAAUGGAUACAAGGCCUAACUAGCCAUCGAGUCAUUUCCUAAAAGAUACAGACAAGUCUGGUUGAGCCGUUUAGGUCUAUUUUUAGGGUACUACUAUCCAUCGUAUCAUCUUCAUAUUGAUGAAAAUAUUAUUUACAUAUAAUUUAUACAUCGAUCAGACUGAGAAGAUAGGAUAAGAUAUAGGUGAGCCAAUGAUCGAACAAUAAUGCACAACCCUAGCCUCGAACUGCGAAACUCCAUCUCCAUGUUCAAAAUCUCUAUGGAUUCUCUUAUAUGCAUGUAUAGUAUAUAUAUAUAUAUAUAUAUAUAUAUAUAUAUAUAUAUAUAUAUAUAUAUACGUACAUAUAUGCUACAAAUCAUAUAUAUGAACAACUGAGUGCUUCAUCAGGAGGCUAUGAGUUUUUCAAUUAUAUGUACAAUUAUUUUAAUCCAUUGGAAAUUGCAGAUGCAUGCAGCUACAAAUGAUUUAUGAAACUAUUUAUGGUAUUGUAGCUUUUGCAGAAUCAGUUGGGGAUGAAUAAAUGAAAUGUAGUAAUGAGCUCAUUGAGUUGUUGCCGUUCGUGUUCAGUUCGAUUUGUCAGUUUUCCGGUCCACCCCCACGUAUCUUACUAGCUCAGUGUCUCCCGAGACCAGAGAGCUAGCUCAAUAUAGAAAUUCCUAGAAGUAAUUCGACGAUUAGUACCCUGAAUUAGCAGUGUUAGAUUGAUCACAUAUGACAGUAACUGAUUAACACUAGCAGCUUAAUCGUACUUCGUCUCGAAGUUUUUAUGUACGUGUUCGUCAUCACCCACGGUAAGAGUAAACAGAUCGAUCUGCAAAAAUUGCAUCACCCAUGUGAAUGAUUCUCUACCUCUCUGCCUCUCUGCUAGGUUUUGUUGCGCAGUUUAGCCAAGUGCCAAAAUGAUGACACAGUACGUGAUGAGAAACCUGCAGCUUAAUUAUAACUAUUUGAGAUCUUUGUAGCUACCGAUAUUCAUCUAUAAAAUUCAUAUAUCCGAAUGAAUUGCAGGUCAAAGAAAAGUUGCUAUUUAAGUAUAGUUGUUCACAACAUGAACAUUGAACUAUAUUUUGCAGGUCAAGAAAUUCAGCAGACACAUAACAUGGUUUUGUUUACAAGUAUAUGUGUCGGUUUGAAUUAAUGCGGAAAAUGGUUUCAAAGAUUAAUGUAUCACUUGUAUUAUUCAGAAAAUAUAGAAACAAAUAUUCAACGAUAUUAUACUUUAGGAUUUGACAUCAUUUACGUAGCUUCUGGAAGUGAAUCAAUCAAAGAAUAUUCUUUAGGGUUUAUGAAAGUUUGUAUAUGAUAUUGCGUGUGACUUAAUCUUCCGCGUUCAAACCAUGUAGAUGGAAUAACUAGCAUGCUGCAUGAGAAAGGAGAGUGAUGCUAGCUACUUUGCUAAGUAGUUUCCACUUUAAUUAGUUGAUGCAAAAGUUUAGAAUUAGUCGGAGAUCGAUGAACUAUUAGUUACUUUCAACUCUAUAGACGGCUACGUAGAAUAAUUUUGAAAUCAACAACCACUAAUUAUGAAGUUUCGUAAUAACUGUAGCCGGAUUAUUGAGCUAGCUAGUCCUCUUCGAUCUUUACCUUUCUUGACUACGCACAUACCAAGGGGGCCCCGGGACCAUGUGAAACUAAGUUGCAAUUUUCCCUAGUUGAAGGCUGAUUUGAGAGACCAGAACCAGUAGUAGAAGGAAAAAUCAAACUCUACAAGGAAAUUAAGAACGUACCCAGUUGCCAAUUGUAGUGAAUGCUACAAUUACUCAAUUAGUCGAAGACUGAAUCAGUUGCAGACGAUCGAGCUAGUUCUAGUGGGCAUGCAACUGGGCAUGGCUGUAGCUUUAGCUACCGUAGUGUGCGAAAAGUCGAAAACUGCGAAACCAGAUAUGGGUGUGGAAUUAAUUAACCCUAGCUAGUUCAGUCCUUCGAAUCUAAAUAUAAGUUUCAAAAAAUACACACACAGAAUCACAGAGUGGUUUCUCAUCAGAAGCAGUCUGUUGGUUUGGUUUGGUUCCACAGUGAGUGACAUACAGAUCAUAUUUUAUAUAGAAAAAAAUUCAGUAAACUAUCCUGAAUUUUAGGUCUAAAAUCAGUUUGAUACCUCAUCUGUUUUUUAAUCAGUUUCAUACCUAAACUUUCAAAAUAACAUCAAUCUCGACCAAAAUGACUAAAAUAGCCCUGGUUAAUUUUUUUACNNNNNNNNNNNNNNNNNNNNNNNNNNNNNNNNNNNNNNNNNNNNNNNNNNNNNNNNNNNNNNNNNNNNNNNNNNNNNNNNNNNNNNNNNNNNNNNNNNNNNNNNNNNNNNNNNNNNNNNNNNNNNNNNNNNNNNNNNNNNNNNNNNNNNNNNNNNNNNNNNNNNNNNNNNNNNNNNNNNNNNNNNNNNNNNNNNNNNNNNNNNNNNNNNNNNNNNNNNNNNNNNNNNNNNNNNNNNNNNNNNNNNNNNNNNNNNNNNNNNNNNNNNNNNNNNNNNNNNNNNNNNNNNNNNNNNNNNNNNNNNNNNNNNNNNNNNNNNNNNNNNNNNNNNNNNNNNNNNNNNNNNNNNNNNNNNNNNNNNNNNNNNNNNNNNNNNNNNNNNNNNNNNNNNNNNNNNNNNNNNNNNNNNNNNNNNNNNNNNNNNNNNNNNNNNNNNNNNNNNNNNNNNNNNNNNNNNNNNNNNNNNNUUAUAUAUAUAUAUAUAUAUAUAUAUGUAUGUAUCUAAUGUAUGUAUGUAAAUCUUGCAGAUGUGACUGUAAAACGGCUUGCAUUGCACUUGGCGGUUUAAGGUCCCCACAGCUCAAAGGGAAGUGUCAGUUAGUUUGGGGUGACGUUGCCUGUUCAAGCGAGGCUAGCUAGCUCCCAGUUUCUACACGCACUGUUUCUCGUCCAAGCUUCUCCUAUAUAUCACCCCCUCACCCCCUCCAUUUUCCUCACACCCUCAGCUCCCUCCUUCCUCCAUUUUGCUCUAUUUUGGAAGAGGUCUCUCUUCUGCUGUAUCACUCCCAAAAGGUACUGUGUGUGUCUAAGCCCGCCCUUAAUUUGUUUCACUGGUUCAAGCUUAGAAUUCAUCAGAUACAGUAUCAAUGUUUUUCAUCAAACUCAAAACGUUGUAUUUGUGUACUGUUAUGCAGGACAAAAUGUCGAAAGCAGUGAUUUUUCUCUUGGGGCUUCUUACUCUGACCCCAUUGUUUGCUCAUGCUUAUGAUGAUGGAGGUUGGGUUAACGCCCAUGCCACUUUCUAUGGUGGGGGUGAUGCCUCUGGCACUAUGGGUAAGUUCUUUUUUACCACGUAUUUUUGUUAAGUUCUUUUUUACCUUUUACCAUGGAUACUGAUGCCCGAUAUCUCAAUCUUCUUUUGAAGAUCUGCAUGUUAAAUUAACAGCAUGUCCAACUAAUAUUUGCAGGUGGAGCUUGUGGGUAUGGAAACCUAUACAGUCAAGGGUACGGCACAAACACAGCAGCACUAAGCACAGCCUUGUUCAACAAUGGCUUGAGCUGCGGGGCUUGCUUUGAGAUCAAGUGUGUCAAUGACCCCAAAUGGUGCCUUCCAGGCUCUAUUUUGGUCACUGCCACCAAUUUCUGCCCUCCAAACAAUGCACUCCCUAACAACAACGGCGGUUGGUGCAACCCUCCUCAGCACCAUUUCGAUCUCGCCCAGCCCGUCUUCCAGCAUAUUGCUCAAUACAGAGCUGGAAUCGUCCCUGUCUCCUACCGAAGGUGCGCAUUUCGGACUCGUUUUAAAGAUCAGGGCUAUGAAUUCAUCUAUGAAUUUGUUAAAGCUUUUUGAAAUAAUCUACUUCAUAUUUUUAUUGUUUACAAAACUUUUUUCCUUUUCUGCUUGAAUUGAACUAUACUAUUCCUCUCAAAAAAGAAAAAGAAAAAAAGAACUAUACUAUUGAAAGUCCAAAAACUUAGCUAGCUGCCAAAGCAGAUGUAGAACGUCGACAGCUAGCUUUUCAGGUCUUGAAAGUUCCAAUUUCGAUCCAACAAACCCUGACGUGUUUUUGUGAUGAAUCAUUUUGUAUUUUUUGUGUUAUAAACUUCAUCUUUAUGCAUAUGCUUAUAUGUGUGUAGAGUACCUUGCCAAAAGAAGGGUGGAAUAAGGUUCACUAUCAACGGUCACUCAUACUUCAACCUGGUCCUAAUCACAAACGUUGGUGGUGCUGGUGAUGUUCAGUCUGUUUCCAUCAAAGGGUCAAGAACUAAUUGGCAACCCAUGUCUAGGAACUGGGGUCAGAACUGGCAGAGCAACUCUUACCUCGACGGCCAAAGCCUCUCAUUCAAGGUCACAACCAGUGAUGGCCGCACUGUGGUCUCUAACAAUGCUGUUGCGGCCGGAUGGUCUUUCGGACAAACUUUCUCCGGCCUCCAAUUCCCAUAAACCAAACAAAUCAAAGACGAAUAAGAAGAAGAAGAAUAAGAAGCUACAAGUUUUGUUUAGGUUAAUUUAGAGUUGAUUUGUGAGAAGGGCUUAUAUUAAAUGGUCCUUGUCGUCGUUUUGAUAUGCUCUCAUUUGUAAAGGAGCAGACAGAAAUUAAGUUAAAAUUUGGCAGCGGUGGGCAUUAGAGUAUCACCCGCCACAUUUUGUUAGGUUUUGUUAGUUAUUUAGCUAGUGUGCUCUGGUUGCUUUAGGCUUUGUUUAACUUGUCUAUGAAGCUAUUGUAAUUAGCUUUAGUUUCCUGCUGCAUUGUGUGUUUUUCUUAGUCGGAAUUGUUUAAGUGUACGACUUUUUGUUUUAAAUAAAGUCUCCUCUCCCUCUCCAUGAAGUUGAGAACAGGAUCAGUGAUCUUUCUAUCGGUUUAUUGCCGAGCAUAUUUUGUUUGUUUAUGGUAAUUUGUUUCUAAUAUUCUAUAUGAGCUAGAUUGGCCAGAUUGGGCCAUUCCUAGACCUCCAAGGUUUCAAAGGUAGGUGUCUACAUUACCAAAUACCAAGUGGGGAUUUGGGGGAAGAGAAGUCAUAUUGGGCUUGGGUAUCCAAAAGUAGCUAACCAAUUUCAAGUAAGAAGUCCAACGACAUGCCCUAAAGGGUCUCAAAGUAUCAGUGUCAUGAUAUUUUAGAUUUUGUGCACCAAAUAAUACUCGAAAUUAAUCAACCUUAAGGUGUAAAAAACUAAAAAUGACAUUAACAUCAAUAGCAACAGGAGGGAGCGAUCUCUAAAUUACUCUAUUUUGGUUAUGUUAUAAAGAUAAACACUUAAAUUUCUAAAUUUAUGUACUAAAUAUUUUUUCUGUAACCACCAUAAGUAGCCGUGUUAGUAAGAGUUUAGACAUGGAAGCUCCGCACUCAAAUUUGAAUAGUUUCUGGACCUAGAUUCUAGAAAGCUUUGUAUGGAAACAAAUUAUAAAAAUAGGUUCUUAUACAAAUUACUCGACACAUAUGUGUGAUCUUGAAGCAAUUACUUGCUAAUGCCUAGUCUAAGCCAGCCAUUUGUCAUCAACCGAUUGGACUACAUAGAUUCCACGUGGAAGGAGAUUCUAAUCCUCAUAUCCAAAUCAAAUCUUAACACGUAGAAAAAGUGGACCCCGCAACAUCUUUUUCUACCAACAGCAACAAAGUAAUAGAUUUGUGGAUACAACCCUAAGAUAAAAUGAUAAGGCACAAGGGCUUCCAUUGGCCAAUCCAUACCCCACAACCACAUCCUCACCGUCGGAGACAAAAAAUCAGGCCAUCCAACGAUCAGAUUCUAGCAAAGAACCACCACCACAACACUGAGCACUGUCAUUGACUCAUUGACAUGAUAUAAUACAAAGCCAUGAACACAAACACCAUAUUGUACAUUUUGCUUUAGCCAAACCACCUUCCCUCUACCUGAAAAUUCCAUUUUCUUGACCCAAAUUCAGGUAGAAUAGUAUGGCAACCGUCACGACUCAGGCGUCCGCGGUCUACCGGCCACAAAUCACCUCGAAAUCGAGGUUCCUUACCGGCUCUUCCGGCAAGUUAACUAGGGAAGUUGCUUUUAGGCCUGUGACAUCUCCUUCUGCUAGUUCUUUUAAAGUUGAGGCCAAGAAGGGCGAGUGGUUACCUGGCUUGCCAUCACCAGGUUACCUAACUGGCAGGUACUUAAUCAAGCUCAAACAAAUCACAAGACUUACUAUAUGUGUUUAUAAUAUGUGACAUCAGUUCUUACAUUUCUUGGUUUGUCUUUGUGCCUCAGUCUUCCUGGUGACAAUGGGUUUGAUCCUUUGGCACUUGCUGAGGACCCAGAGAACCUGAAAUGGUUUGUCCAAGCUGAGCUUGUGAACGGUCGUUGGGCUAUGUUGGGUGUAGCUGGGAUGCUAUUGCCUGAAGUCUUGACAAGCAUUGGGAUCAUUAACGUUCCAAAAUGGUACGAUGCUGGGAAAGCUGAGUACUUUGCUUCUUCAUCCACCCUGUUUGUGAUCGAGUUCAUCUUGUUCCACUAUGUCGAGAUCAGACGGUGGCAAGACAUCAAGAACCCAGGAAGUGUGAACCAAGACCCCAUCUUUAAGCAAUACAGCUUGCCUCCAAAUGAGGUAGGUUACCCUGGUGGCAUCUUCAACCCUCUCAACUUUGCACCUACUGAGGAGGCCAAGGAGAAGGAAAUCGCCAACGGUAAGUCUUAGAAAACAAGCUUCACGCUCGAUUUUGAUCUGAGGGCUUUGUGUGUGUGAACUAAUUAGGUUUGAACUUUUUGUAUAUGCAGGGAGACUGGCAAUGUUGGCAUUCCUGGGAUUUGUGGUUCAACACAACGUGACUGGCAAAGGACCCUUUGACAACCUAGUGCAGCAUCUUUCUGACCCAUGGCACAACACCAUUGUCCAAACACUAAGGGGCUAGAUCCAUCAAAAGCAAGCAAGAAAUGGAGAAAACCUGUUUUCAUUUGUUUUGUAACAACGAUUUAAUAUGGCUUUUGAGUGAUGAAAUGGGAGUGAGCAUCAAUGUAGACAAGGUUUUACCAGUGUACAGGAACCAUCAUGGCAAUAUGGCAUUAUAUUAUUAUUACCAUUCUCAUUACAAUUCACUAAUUCAUUCUCAAGAUUCUUUUUCCCCCCCCCCAAGUAGCUCAAGACAUGUUGAUGUUGCUUUCAAUUUCUAUAAGUAAUAAUUUACAAUUUGGGAUGCUCCUAAGGUACCAAAGGAGUUCAUAUACAGAUAAACUAUGAUCCUAUAUAUCUUGUACAAUAUAUAUACAUGUUAAACUAAGCCCCAAGGAGUCAAUGAGCCAUUGAGCAUCAACGCUCUUGGAUACCUCUCAAGAUUUCCUUCAUCUGUUUGGUUUGUGAGGCCUGUAAAAUUCUGCAAUGAUUUCCCCCCAGCUACAAUCUCAUGUUUGGUUGCUACAAGAGAACAAAAGUCAUAGAAUGACAAGGUAUCAAUGAAAUGACAAAAUACAAAGAGAACGCAUGAGAUCCACACAUUUGAAAUAUCUCAUUUAGUAUGGGAAAACAGAGCGGAAAAAAAUAAAAAAUAAAUCAAAGGAAUACUUCACCUGCUGGUAAGUAUUCUCAUCGUAUACAGCAAUGCUGCUAGGCCCGGAAGAUGAAAGCCAAGAAGGAUGCUCGUCACCAUACAAAGAUUGAGGCAAUUCGAAGUUGGUACUUGCUUGAUAAUCCACUGAAUUUGUUGGUAAGUUCAUUUCUAAACCAGACUUCAAUUUUUUAUCGUCUGGCACAUUAGGAUUGCAAUAUGAUGGAUACGCAUACUGCUCGCCAAGUUCUGUACUCAAACAAGCAUUUAUGUCAUACUCAUUCAAGCCACAACCUCCUUCCAUACUAGGAAUUUGCCCCAUAUUAUCAAGUUGCCCUGGAUCACCAACCUCAGAUUGUUUGCCAGUGCUAGUACUAGUGCUGGCGCCGCCGCCAAAGUAACUAUUAAAUCGUGCUACAGAGGCAUUAGUAGAGCAGUCCACAUCUCUGUAAAAAGAUGUUAAAGUAAUAAGCACAGUUAGAUCCAUUGAAAGGGAAAAGAAAACCAUCUGCGUACCAAUUGGAGUAAAUUACAAUAUAAUUAGCACUGAACAUUUUCAGGCGUUGGUUCAGCAAGGAAGCAGUAGACUAACCUAUGAGGCAGAAAGGUUGCCUCGUUGGGUAAUAACAAAUGUUGAUUGUCAUUAUUCAAAAUCCAAGGUAUAGGUUGAGUUUCUUGCAUACUACCCACAAUUAAAGAUGAAGGUAUCCCGUUUUGAAACUGCGAUGCAACAAAGUCAUUUUCAGAUUUCCUCAAUGUGUGAAAGAGGCAUUCUGCAUCAGCUAAAGCAUUUGUUACCUGGCUUGUGCAAUUCAGUGAAGCUAGUUGAUGUUUUUCAAAGUUUUCCUGACAAAAGAUGUAUCCAGCAUGUUAGAAUGAUAAGGAUCUAUUAUGGGCGUCUCAGAAAUUAGCAGUGGCCACCCUCUGGCUCAACAUUUUUAGGUGGUUUGGGUGCAUCACCAAAGCUUAAACUCACCAUGACAACAACCAAUCUAAGAAAAAUAUGCUCUCUGAUAAACUAAACUAGUUAAUGUCUUCCACAGUACAGACGUUAGUAAAUAGUGGGCAAUUCUUGUAACAGAAAAAGAGAAUGAUACCUUGUGCAGACGUGUUCGCCUUAUUGAUUCGUUAAGCAUGUCUUCCAUCUGCCUUAGCUGUUCUACAUUGUCAACCUUCUCUGGAUUACUCCAAAAGCUGAAGAGGUGGAAAAACUAGCAUAUGAAUUAUAUGACACCAAUCUCCAAUUUUAACGCAUAUAUCUCACUGCCCAAUAGGGGUUUUUUGUUUUGUUUUACACUGCCCAAUAGGGUAUAGUUACUCCUCCAUACAGUUGAUCAGAGUCUGUCUAGAGUCCACAAAAUCAGCUCACCUCCAAUCCAACUAACUUGUCUAAGGCUUUUAAACAACAACUUCAAAACAAAUGAUGCCAUAUCUAUAAUAUGAGUCAUGAACACAUGACCUAAAUUGGAACUGAAAUGUAAUUUUGCAGACAAUUUCUUUUUCCUCUUCCUUUGGUCAAGUAUUGAUUCGAUACCACAAAUGACACAUUCUAAAACACAUUUUAUAAGAUGCAUUCUUAAUAUGACCUUCAAGACCAAAAGAAAAGGCAAUACUUGAACAACCAAAAGCUCCAAAGGUGCACCUCAGUCUCUUAUGCAGUUCCGUGAGUUGGCUUUGCAUUUCUCUUGCAUGAUUUGUCAGAUCCUGCCAAUGAAAAUUAUACCAGAAUACAUGAGUUUUCAUGAACAACAACUGGAAAAAAUGAAAUAUGUUAAUGCUGAUAAACGAUAUAUACCUCAACUGUCUGUGUGCUGCAAGAAACAACAGAAGGGAAACAGUUAAGAAAAAAACCGAGAGUAAAAGGAAACGGCAGAUUUGAAAAUAUAUUGACAUACCUGGAACCCACAAACUCUUGUACAUUUACAUCGUGGUCUAACUUCUUAAAAGUUUUCUUCAGUACCUAUAUCCUCAAAGAGAACACCAAAAUGCAAGUAUAAUCGGAUUAAAAGACAGCAUAGUUUCUCUUUGUUUAAUGUAACCAAAGCCAGAGAGACAUUUGUCCACUAUAUAGGACAGUCUUACCUCAAGGCUCUCCAAUUUCCUGUUCCAGUGAAAUGGAAAAGAAGUUAGCUGUAAUGCCAUCCAAAUUCAAUCAAGCUAAGGAGAUUCCAAAUUCAAUGCAAGUAUUUCAGUACCUUUUCGCCCUCUCCUGUGGAGUUAAGUGGGCAAACUUUGCAAUAAUGUCUUCAAAAUUGCUGAGAAAGUCAAGAAAUAACCAACAACGAAAAAACGCUACAUUAGCAUACAAUAUGGAAAAAGCAAUAAUCAGACUCCAAUUCCGGCCUCAAUUUAGUCUAGUUACGUUGAAUUUGCAUCGAAAAAAAGACAAAAAAGCUCAAUCUAUGGCCUCAACAUUUUGCUUUCAACAAUACCUAUAGUACCAAUGCAUUAUAAAUCACCAGAACAAUGUAUCAAUUGAUUGUAUACUUGGUAGCAUACUAUACCUGCGCUCCCCUUGGAACAAUGUAGGCCUUCCAGUCGGGGAAAACAUAAGAAGUGUAAUGUCCACAUCACACAAGAUUGACAAUUCCUUGGCCUUCUUCAAGAUGCCAUUCCUCCUUUUUGAAUAAGUAACCUGCCGAUUGCCACUGCUCUCCAAUUUCUUUAUCUUUAACUUAACCCUUCCCAUCCUACAAAUCCAUUAACCAAAACCCUUAUGAAACACCAAAGAUUGAAACCCCUCAAUGCCUAGAAAAUGCAGAUAAACUCACUUUAGCUAUGUCACAAAUACACAGUUCUCCAAAUGAAGCUUUCAUCCCAAUUGCACCAGCACUCGACAACCAUAAAUGAACCCUCUUUCGAAUUUCUGUCCUAACCCAAAAAGGUAAAACAAUCCCAGAAAGAUGAUCACAGAUUUCUAAAAGACCCAGAUGGGAAAAACACAAAAGGAAGAAGCUUUACAAACACUCACAAAGGAAAGAUUGAAUCUUGAAAAAAAUGGUAAAAAGAAAACUCAAUGGCAAACCCAGAAAGAGUAAUAGUCAAACAAGAUUGAAGGGAAAGAAUCAAAGAAAUGGGUAUGGAGCUUUUAGCUUACAAAUUUGAGCACGACAGGUCCAGCUAUGAUUUCGGUCGUGAAAAUGAGCAAAACCAACCAGCAGAAAUUUACUGCAGAGAGAGAAACAGAGUGAAGGAGGGAGAGAAAGAAAAUGAACGGUGCGAUUUGGCAAAGAAGGUUAGACAUGCAUGGCUUUUAGCACCGAAGACAAAAUCUUGGGCUACGGUUUUGAAGAGCUUCUCCGCCAAGAAAGCCUACAUGGCCUUCUUUGCGGUAACAUUACCGGGUCCAGUGGCAUUUUCUUUUCUUUUUUUAAAUUUAAAUAGGAGAUAAAAAAUCGAAUUUGUGACCUCUACCGACAUAUAUGAUCUAAUUUUAAUAGAAAAUUUCAUAAAAGUUCUCUUUUUAAUAUUUUUUCUUACAUAAGUUCACCUUAACAAUUUUAUCCAUAUAAGUCUACUUUUAGGACCAAACCCAUCACCUAUUUUUUUCGUUCUACCUAAAGUACCCUCAGCUAUAUCUCAACCGCAUCCAAUUCGUCUCUCUUUCAUCGNNNNNNNNNNNNNNNNNNNNNNNNNNNNNNNNNNCUCUCUCUCUCUCUCUCUCUCUCUCUCUCUCUCUCUCUCUCUCUCUCUCUCUCUCUCUCUCUCUCUCUCUCUCUCUCUCUCUCUCUCUCUCUCUCUGUGCAAAUGGGAGCUUCAAAACCAGCGAUGAGAUGAUCCUCAUCUGAAAACCAGAUAUCUCCGGCGUCGAUCUGCUUCUCCGACGACGAUGACGACGCCUCGACCUCGACCUCGACGCUGCCGGCCAACGAUGACACCUCGACCUUGACGCUGCCAACUCGACGUUGACGCCUCGACUGCGUCUAAUUCCAUCAACGACGACUUCUAAUUCUGCCUCAACCUCGGCGUCUUCUGAUUUGACCUUGACGUGUUCUGAUUCGACCUCGACGCCGCCGGCCCGACGACGACGACUCCGGAUCGACGAUGACGCCUUUUGAUUUGAUCCGCUCAACCAUCUAGCGCCUUCACCUCUGAUGAAAUUGACUAGACCUACCUCUAGAUCCGAUCCAGAUAAACCCGUCAUUGCUGGCAUCAACGGUGUUGGGAAAUGAAGGCUCUACCGAGAAUGGAACCAUCCUCUUGACAUGCUCAACGCUUAACAAGCUCACAAUUGACUGGUUAUGGUUAUGAUAGUAUAUUUCCAACACAGUAGUAGUAUAUUUUUGUUGUGAUAGUGUAUUUUUGANNNNNNNNNNNNNNNNNNNNCUGGUGACAGUUAGUUUUUUUUGUUAUCGGUAAUAUCUUUUAUUGUCAGUGGUAGUAGUUUUCUUUGCUGGCGGUAGUAGCUUUCUUUGCUAUCGGUAGUAGCUUUCUUUGCUGGUAACAGUAGUUUUUUUUGCUAUCGGUAGUAUAUUUUGUUGUCAGUGAUAGUAGCUUUCUUUGUCGGCGGUAGUAUCUUUUGAUAUCAGUGGUAGUAGCUUUUGUGGUCGUUAGAAUUGUCAUAGAUGGUCGACCGGAAAGUUCGCCGGAGGUCGGCAGGAAAGUUUGUCGGAGGUCUACCGGAGACCUCGCCGGAGGUCAGCCGGAGACUAUUUGUGGUUGUUGACUUUUUACAUUAGUGGCAUUUUUGUAAAUAUAAGAGAAAAUCUAAUUUUUUUUGUUGGAUGACAGUCUGUAAUUUUGUUGAACUUUAAUAUCUAAUAUAAUACUCUAUUUAGACUUGGGGUGGACUUAUGUGGGUAAAAAUGUUUAGGUGGACCUAUAUAGGAGAAAAUGUCUUUAACUGGACUUCUAUGUAAUUGGCCCUAAUUUUAACCGACAAAUGAUUGUAAUCUCUAUUGCCACAUAUGAUUUGGUAUGAUUGUGAUAGAGAUAUAUGAUCUAAUUUUAACCGACAAAUGAUCGUGAUCUCUAUCGCCACAUAUGACUUGGUAUGAUUGUGAUCUAUAUCGACACAUAUGAUUUGGUUUUGCCACAUGAUUUCGUAUGAUUGAGAUCUCUAUCGACACAUAUGAUUUGGUUUUGCGAUGUUGUUAGGUGUUGUUUGUUUCUCAUUGGAAAAUGUAGAAUUGAACACUUCAAGAACAAAUGCUGAAAUGGAAUUUGGAUUUUACUGAUAUCCAAAAUAUACAACAAUUGUUUGGAUUGAGGGAAUAGGAUUACACUUGGUGACAAGUUGAAGGGUGGCAUCACUUGGAUAGCUCCCUAAAGAGUUUAUGAAUAAAGAAUUUAGAAUUUCAUAUUACAUUACAAGGACGACUGAGAGAGAGAGCUCGCGGAUUGAGAGGCUACAGCUGCUUCUUCCAACUCCUGCCUUGUCAAUAGUCUUGUUGAGGGCACAAACUUUGAGUUGGUUUCAAAUGGGUCUGUAUGUUCAGAUUCUACUGAGAAUUCAGCACUGAUUGCCUCGACAGUUUUCUGGAUGAAAACUGAUCUUGGCACGUAGUCCUUCAUGCGGCAUACAAAUUCCAAAUGAUCCCUAGCCUGCAAAGGAAUAAGAUGGAUUUAGAUAUCAAAGUACUAGUCAUGAGUCUUUAACUAGUAGUCAUCUGAUAGAUUAAAUAAGCUGUUAAACACAGGUUGCACCCAAUUCAAAUUUGAAUUGUGACUGAGGAAUACAGAAAAUCAUCAUUUCAUGAGGCUAACACAGUGGUGGUUUAAAAAAUCAUUACAUCAACGAACUACCUUUUUAUGAAGAAAAUGAGAGCAACAUUAACCCCUUCUGAGUUCAUUUGAGGACAAUCAUCAAUUAUUUUGGUUUCAUUCAAAUUUUAAUUCUUGCCAAAUUUGUUCAUUAACACAAGUUUCUCUUGUAUGUUAGCAAUUCGUAACCCUAUUCAUAAUGUAUGUUCAAUGUUUUAAAUUAACUGUUAGUCUGUUACUUCUAUUGAGGAAGUGUCCCAAAGUUUGAUCCUAAAAACUUGAAAGACUAAAGAAAUCAACAAAGAUCACAAAGCACUAAAAACUAAUAAGAUGACACAAGCAAAUAGCCUACUAAUCGAUAUUUAGGAACCCGUUUUGGAUGCUUCAGGUAUGCCAUGUUUCUCUCCUCAUAGUCCCAUAGGAAGGAUGUGUGGUGGAUCCACCGAUCUUUCGUAAUACAUUGAGCAUUCCCACCAAACUUGCGAUUACCAAAUACAUAAUCUGGAAUCAGAUAAAACCAAGUAUGCUGUUAGUACAUGCUUCAAUUCCUCAAGAAUAUUAGUGAAGUAAGAGUAUCCCGUGGUGCCAGUAACAUAAACUCCAUAUGAACUAUGAAGUAAUAGCCCCAAGCAUAAAAUUAAACUUGAUGCUACAUAAAAAGAUAUAAUGAUGAACUUUAAGUGAAACAAGCAAGAUCUAAAGAUGGAUGAACAAAGAAAAAGAAGCGGUUGAACACGUCGAAUUGCCAAAUAUACAAUCCUACAUACCUAAGCACCUUAUUAGGAAUAAUGCAAAAGAGUUCAUUAAGUACCAUUUUCAAGAAGGUAAAAAUCACCAAAUCUUUUGAACACUCUGUUGUACAAUUGGCUACUCCAAGACAUUAUAGGUCGCGGAUAUAGUUUCAAGCCAGGAACAGCAUCCCUGUUGCAUAUGAAAGUGACAAAUAUGGUGCCAUGAUCAACUGCAACUGUGCCUCCACCAGUAUACCUUUUAAUGACAGGAACCUGAUCUCGUAACACCAGAUCAAUGUCUAGAAGCUCUGCAUGUUUUCUACGCAGAACAUGGAACUCUUCAUAAAUCCCAGUACCAAAAAAAUACACAAAUUAAUGCAAACAUGCUCAAACAAGAAUGAAUAUGAAGCUCAUCUUACCCUGAAAUACCCAUGACAAUAUUACGAUCAUUUGUGCCAUCAUUUAUAAUGCACCAAUUAUCAGACGAGGUUCGCAGCAGCCGCUCCUCUAAAUGAAGCUGCUGCAGAAUGGGAGUUCCUUUUAAUCUGACAAGGUUCAUCAAUGGAAGCCCAACAUUUCUUUGAGGUAUAGCCAUCCAAAUUCACCAACUACAACAAAAGACACAAAAAAACCCAUCAUAACACAGAACUCUACUAAUGCACUCCAUUAAGGGUCUAAUUACAUCACCAAUGCAGCUAAUUGUACUUGCAUCAUCAUCAUUUAUCAAUUCAUUGUUUUCCUUUUCCACAAGAAACCAAUCUUUGAAAGAAUAAUGUAAGAGAAACAAAGACCCAGUAAAGAUGUGAACUUUAAUUUUGGGUUUGGAAAGAGAAGUAAUAUUCACCUGUUUUUGGUCGUCGUUCACUGAAACUCUGAUGGGUCGAGGAAGAUAAAGCCGGGGAUUGUAAAGUCACGACGUCGGGAAGCUUUGGUUUGUGGUGGAGAAUCUAUUAACUUUAAAGGACGACAUUUGGGCCAGCGAGCACAGCAGCCUCUCCUGAUACCAUCACAGCACAGAAUUGAAAAGGCCCGUAGGAGAUGAGGUUCAAGAGCAACUCAUUUUUGUAUUUUAGGGGAUCAAAAUGUUAAUAUUUGUCUUAAGGGUUGUACUUGUAUUUCUAUGAUGUUUUAAUGCUAUGGAUUUCAAAAGUUGCCGAAGCAAUUUAUAAAGCGCAGGCUGAAACAGGUGAAAUCAAAGGGCAUUAUUUGAAUGCUACUGUUUAGAAGUGAUGAAAUGAUGAAAUUUAGAUAUCUAUCGAUUGAAAUUCUGUUAAUUGAAAUUUUUAUUGUUUGGUUAUGUAUUUGAGAUUUGAAGUGUGUGAUAGCUUAAGAAAAUUAAAAAGAAAUAUAAAAAAUAAAAUUUUAAAAAGCCUUGUUCUGGAAAUGAAAAUUGAAUCCUGCAAUAAAAAUUUAUAAAUGACACCUAUUUUUGGUGGAAUUCAAGUGAGGAAUUUAAUCAAUGAAUUCCUUUUUUUUCAAUUCCAUAGUAGUGCGUUUGGAUGCGGGUGAAUUCCUAGGAAUUUAAUUAAAAAUAAAGAAUUUUUAAUUUCUUAGAACUGUUUCCCCCUUUUAGAUUCUUAUCAUGUGGAAUUAGAAAUUUUCACGGGAAAAUAAUCGUGGAAUUUGAGCGUUUAAAUUCCCGACUUAAAUUCCUUACAAAAUAGGUGUCAUUUAUCAAUUUAACUAAGGUUAGUCUAAGUACAAAUUUUUGUCAUUUUAAAACUCUACAUCAUAAAAUCCAAACAAUGGAAUUCUCGAUUAAUAGAAUUAAAUUUAUGNNNNNNNNNNNNNNNNNNNNUNUCUNUCUCUCUCUCUCUCUCUCUCUCUCUCUCUCUCUCUCUCUCUCUCUAGACAUGUCUUCUCUAUAAAAGUUAGCUUUUUAAAAUCUAUGUGAAUCUAGAAGACUUUGUAAAUCUGUAUAGUCUAAGAAUUCUUUUUGAAUCCAAGAAUGAUAAAACAAAUAAAAAAAGGGUCGCAGAAAUUUGAAUACAAUCAAUUCUAGCAUAUUCUGUCACAUCCCGACCUUUAAAUUUUUACCUUGUUUACUAGCUUGGUAUUAAUAAAAAUUUUACCGUCUCCGUCAAUAAGUUAUGGUUUAAUUGGUCCCUAAAGGGGUUUUGAGGGACGAUUAUUUCGGAGAAUUAUUCGUAGGAGAAAAAUAUGACGACGGUAAAAAUGGUAAAUUUUAGCUAAUAAAAGGUAAUUUUUAUUAGGGUAUUAUUUUUCGGGGUGUUUUAUUUUGGAGUAGGUGUGGGUAUAUAGGUGUUGGACCGGUUUGUGUGAGGCCCAAACCUAUCUCCCUCUCUUUCGUCUCUCUCUUCUCUCCCAAUUUCCCUUCCCCGAGCUCUCUCUCCCCGUUGGACUUCUCGCCGUCCGGCCACCAACCGCCGCCGCACCGGUCCCGUUCGGUCGGCCAUCAACUCAGCCACCUCCCUGGAUCGGUGACAGCCCCCCUAGCGCCGCCGUGAGGAAGAUAUCAGGCCCGAGAGGUCCGAUUGAGUUAAGCCCUCCGUCGCCGGAACUCCCUCCUCCGGCCGCCAAAGCCAGCGAUCCUUGGCUCGUUUUGUAGCCCUCCUCCCGUGCAGCAACCCUUCCAAAUGGCUCACUCUCUCUUGAGCUAGGUAAGGAGAAAUGUGGAGUUGAAUUUUCUAGGGCUUCUAGGAUGUUUUUGCUCGAUUGACCUAAUUAGGCUUGAAAUUGAUGUUUGUGCUAGUUAGGAAUGUUGUAGAGGGAGUUGAGAGGAAGAUGCUGUCAAAAAUUGAUAAGCAUUGGAGGUCGUCGGAGUCGGCUUUCGGCCGCCGCUGUGGGGGAGAUUUUUAUGGUUUUAAAUGUGGAAUAUUUAGGGGAGUUUAUUGUUAUGAAUUAUGGAAUUUUUGGAUGAGUUUUAAAUAGGUUUGUGAAUUUCCGAAGUUUUGUAAUUUCGACGGAUUAAUAAGGUAGAAUCCGACCGUUGGAUUAAAGUCGUAUAAUUUGUGGAAGGGUGUAGUUAAGGCUGCUGGUUUUAGUAUUGAGGUGUGGACCGUAUCGAAGUUAGGCAAUGAUGAGCGUGAGUAUGACUCUCGGUUAAUUUUGCCUAUUUUGUUUAAAUAUUGAAUUUUUAGUUGGGAAAUUAAUUAUAUAUAUUUGUGCCAGAGUUUGAGGAAACCUCACUGGAGUGGCGAUUUGGAUUUCGUCGGGCUUAUGCCUAGAGUUGUGAGUGGACCUUUGUUUUAAUUGAAAAGCAUGCGAUGAAUUAUUUUGUUGAUCAUUUAUUUCUUUUAAUGAGACUUAUUGAUUUCUCGGUUAUUUAGCAAUUUUUCCUUUGGAGAGUUCUGAAAAUGAGAUUUUCGGUGGAUAUGUUUAUUGGAUGUUAUGAGUAUAGUAUGUAUAUAAAUGCUAGCUAGCCAUACGUGCUUGGUCUGUCAUAAUGAGGUAAAAUAUCAUUAUGGCGUGACGUGAGUGUUAGACACAAGCGUCAUAGCUCUAUAUGAAAACUACGUUCUUUUCUGGUUUAUUUAGGUUUUCAUAUAGGGAGUCCACACGUAUAUAUACACCGUCCUCUUCGGUUAUAAUGAGGAAAAAAUUUCAUUAUGGCGCGACGUGAGCGUUAGACGCAAACGUCGUAGCCUUGUAUGAAUUUCUAUUUUUCUAAUUUGUUCAUAGAAUUCAUACAAGGAGUCUGACGAGUGUAAAUACAUACACAUAUAUGUUUAUAUAUAGUUUAGCCUGAGAGACUCCAUUUUAUUUGAGUUGGUGACUAGCCAGAGCUAGUCGUGAAAUUGUCAGUUUAUGAGUUAAGCGCUUUUGAGAGGUCGCAUGCAGUAUAAUUUCUUUGGAAAUUAAAAUGGGAAUGCAUAAAUAUUUUUUUAUUAAUUUAUUUUUGUCCACUCACUCUAACGUUUUCAAAUGUUUUGCCCUAUGCCUUUCGUUUUAAAAAUGCCCAGCUUGCAGGUUAGUUUAGUUGAGGUCGGGCGUACAUGGAGAUGAGACAUAGUUAUCAUAUAGCUUCCGCUUAUUAAUUUAUUAUGUUUCAUUUCUUCUUAUUAGAGUUGCUCUGAACUUAUAUAGGGUUGGAUAUGAGAUUUGUUUAGAUUAGUAAUUAAUUUGGGUGGUGUUGUGAUUUGGGGAGCACGAAGGCUCCAGGAGUUUAAGGUUGGAUUUAAAUUUUCAGAAGUGUUUGCAGCUUUUUAUUAGGAAGGGUUGUCCAUUUUCAAGGGAGGUUAUGCCGAAUUUUCGAUAAACUUUCCUUGGAGGUGGUCCCCGCAGGAUUUACUUUGGGUUUCAGAGUGAAAUUCGGGGUGGGUCCUGACAUAUUCCCUAUUUUACGGUAAUCUUAAAAAAAUCUUUAUAUUUCUUCCUUAGAAUUCGAAGAUUUGCCGUAAGUUUAGGAAAUGUCGUUUUUUCCUCUUCACAUUCUCUAUUUUAGAAAUAGUUAUAGAGAAUCUGUUUGUAACGAAAAGAACUUAUUUUCUUGAAAAACUCAAAUAUGGAGUUAGAAACAAAUUUGUUUAAGAAUAACCUUUUGAUGUGUUCAUCCAAACACAUAGUGGAUUCUUAACUGUCAAGCAAGUUGCUCAAAUUUUAAACAGUAACAAACUUAUAAAUCCUUGCAUGCAAAUAGAUUUGCUAAAUUCGAAAAUUCUAUAUUUCUGUAAGUAGGAUUGUUACUUACAGUGUCACAUUACACUGAUUCAUGUGCUUAUAAAUUUGAUUUGCCAAAACAAACAAACAAAAAAUGGAUUUGGUAUUCUCGUUUUCAUAAGUAAGAAGUACUAAGUUUCACUUCUUUUUGUUGGGAACUAAUCUAGUCUUCCUAAGUAUGAUAUCAACAACAACUGUGAUAUCAUCAAUUUUUCCUCCUACAUGAUUGCGGUGUUUGUCCUAGGACUUGUAUGCAACACUUGCAAAAGGGGAAUCACAGUGUUUGUCCUUGGACUUGUAUGCAGCAAAUCUUCCUAUCCUCUCUGCUAGCUCCUCUGGUUUUUCGGUCUUAAAAUCACGAUGAUUCAUGAUAUAUCCAAUCUCAUACGGGAACACAUUGUCAAACAACCCAUCAGUUGCAACUACUAUGACAUCUUCGGCUUCUAUCAGAUCGAUAAUCUCGAUCUCAUCCGCCAAGUCAGGAUCGUCGCUUCUUUUUCCAUUUCCUAAUUGGUAUGGGACAUUAAAACCUUUCCGCAGAGGUGGAGAGACUGACCGCGUAACUCGUAACUAGAGUUGUGAUUUUUCCUGAACACCAUAAAACCGCUGUCCCCAAUGUUCGCAACAUGCAAGGUUGCCUUGGCGGAGGAUCUUACUGAUCCAUGUUUGGUGUUCUUGAGAGUCAUAAUGCAAGCCGUGGAGGAUCCGAGUUUAAUGUGUUUGGUGUUGAUGUAAGCUUCCUCCAAUACUUUUAUCGGGUUGAUUUCUUGUCCAGAUUUUUGGUGAUUGUGGAUAGCCUUUUCGGAGUUGCGCAUGAGCUCCCGGGAGUACUCACCGGCAUCUACUCCCUUUGAUGCCCAACUACCAACACCGUCCACCACCCCAAUGGUCUGCUCUUCUGCAAAGAUGAAGUGAGCAUCCUCACCUUUUUUCGGUAAGUAGUAUGCGCCCAAGUCCAUCUUCAACACCACCUUGAAGUCUUAGAUACCGAUCAUACCAUCUUAGUAUCUUCAUCUUCGAGUAUACCCAUAAUCCCUUCACUUUGUCCAUAUUCUUCAUCUUGGCUAGCUAGCUAAGCUGUGUUUGUAUCCUAAUUCACCCAGUUUGCCUAGAGCUUUUAUAUAUUUUUGUUGUAUAUUGUUUUUUUUUUUGUUACAGAAGGGACCUAAAAGGCCCAAACAAAGAGGAAAAACAAAACAGCAAAACUACAAGCUAGAGGCUAGAGCAACAGCCAGUCUUUCUUGCUCUAGUAACACCAGCAAGGUCAUCAAGAACAGCCUGAAUAGCAUGAGCAGGCACAACAUCAAAGGAGAUUAAGCCAAGAUCAUGAUUGAUACUAUUUUUAGCCAAGGCAUCAGCCACCAUAUUGCAUUCUCUGAAAAUAUGCUUGAUAUUAACAUUCAGCAACUUAGACAUCAUCACAGAGCAGCUGUCCAGGAGAGAGCCAAAGGGGUGGACACCAGUAUCAGACUUCAACAUAAGCUGGACAAGGAGAGCAGAGUCCGAUUCAAUUUCCAAGUUAACAAUGUUAUGCAUAGCCACCAUUCUUAAGCCAAAGAACAGGCCCCAAGCCUCAGCAUCCAAGACCUCACCAGUGCCAAGGUUAACCUGAAAACCAUCAAUCCAGAUACCAAGAUGAUCCCUUAACACACCACCAGCACCAAUGCAGCCAGAACUGAAAGAUCUAGAUCCAUCAAUAUUCAGCUUAUAAAAAUUUUCAGGGGGCUUACACCAAGAAAACAUGGUGUAACUGAACAUAGACUGCAUAGAAGCUUUUGACUGAGCACUGGACCACUCAUCAACAUAGUUCCAAAUAACUUUAUUAGGGCAGGCAGGCAAGAUGAAAGCAGGGUCAAAAAUAACCUUAUUUCUCCACUUCCAAAUAAACCAACAAACAAAGACAAACAAAUUGCACCACUGAAUAUUGUUUUUGAUGACAACAUGACAAUGAAACUGAGCACAUAUCCAACCAUUCCAAUCCAAAGAGAAAGAAUUAGUAAUGGAACCUGGACUAAGGAUAGAGUUCCAAAUAGCUUGAGAUCUUGGACAGUCUCUUAGUAAAUGCAAAAGGGUUUCAUCAGCAUUUUUGCAAAUAGGACAACUAGCAAUAGUAGAGAAACCUCUUCUGACUCUUUGCACAUUAGUAAGGAUUUUCUGAUGAAGAACAUACCACAUGAAGGUUUUCAACUUAGGAGGACAAUUUAACUUCCAAAGAUGAGUCCACAAGGGAUUUGAAACCCCAGCAGAGUCAAAGAAAGAAUUAUAGGCUGAUUUAACAGAAAAUUUACCAUUAGCUGUGGCAUUCCAAAUCAACUUAUCAUGACCACUAACACCAAACCCAGAAGGGACACUGAUAAUCUGCAUAACAACAUGAUCAGGAAGCACAGAUUUGAGAAGAGGGAUGUUCCAACCAGUAUCACACCAGAACUCUUUAAUGGUAGCAUUCAUGUCAAUAAUCACAUGAGGAAGGGAAAAAUGGAAAAGGGUUUUACCAUCACCCACAAGUCACACCAGAACUUGAUUUUAGCACCAUCACCAAUUCUCCACUAAAGAUUCCUUCUCAUCAGCUCAACACCAUGCACAAUACCCUCUCCAAGUAUUAGAACAAUCAGCAGGAGCUAUAGAAUUAGAACUUUCAAUGCAACAAUCUUGCAAAUAUUUCUUCCUAUAAAUAUCAGCCCAUAAACCAGGAUCAUUUUGAAAAAUUCUCCAACUGGCCUUAGCGAGCAUGGCCUGGUUCAUAUCAGCAGUUUUCUUUAAUCCAAGACCCCCACGAUGAUAUUUUUGUUAUAUAUGUUGCCCUGCGUUCAAGUCUUUCUUAAAUAUAAAAAAGUAUAAAGAUAUACAUUAUGGAAGUAAAUGCAUAAUAUCCUAAUCCUUUUUGCUUAUAGGAAACUCUCCUUAAGUGAACCGAACACAAUUUAAUUCCAAUAAGAGGUUUCCUUGAAGUCUUGGGAGUAGAUCAAGUUACAUCAUAACUAGUCAUCUUUUGAGCAAGCGCUUCUAACUGCCAACUUAAACAUUACAAGUUUGCAAUGACAGGAAUCAAGGUUUAUUGUAAAGAAAAUGCAGAAAGCAAUAAAAGAGAGGGAGAAAGCUUUGGAGGCUACAUUGUGUCUAUCUUGAUUGAGAGAUAAUGAGGUUACAACAAUACAUAUAGGACUUAGAAUAUAAAAUGACGUAAAUGCCCUUGCGAUUUAAUUGUCAUAAACCUAACAUAUAGUUAACACCCCCCCCCCCCCCCCCCCCCCCCCCUCCCAACCAUAUGGUUGGGAACAAGCAUAAUGGUUGCCUGCAAACUACACAGAUAUAGCCCAAAAAAUACAAGAAAACACCCAAUUCAAUAACCCAAGAACUUGAUAUGAUAAGAUCAACUAGCUUCCAUCUUGACUUGCAGCAGAAUUGGUAUAAGAGGAGAGGCAGCUUGCUGGAAAAAAACCUCAAAGUUCUCAUGGUGAAAGCAACGGCAGUAAGGCAGCAAUAUAUAAAACAACCUGAGCAGCAAGUGAUAGAAAACUGAAAAUUUCUUCAUAUUUGACUGAAAACUGAUAUGAAUACAAACUGAAAACUGCAUAUGACUGCUAACAACUUUCUGAUAUUCAUUUGCUCACUACCAGCAACCUCACGAAAUUUGCCUUUAUCUGAAACUGAAACUACAUUUGCAUUCCAGCAGCUCAAUAUCAUCAACUUCGGCCUCUCUCUAAAACCAUCUGCAAUUUUCUCAUUCAUUCACAUAAAACAGCAGCCCAUUACUUGGAAACCAUCAACAUAAUAGCAACAUGCAGAUCCUCUCAACUCCUCUCUAUUUUGCAUAAGAAGAUCAAUGUAACAUCCCUUCACCAUUCAAGCUCUUAUAGCAGCAAUAUGACCAUUACACAUUAUACAUAGCAGAUAUGCAGCAAUCAUGGAACCAUCUCUCAAAACGAGCACAACUUGCACACAAGUCAUAUAUUCAGACCAUAAUCUAACCCAUCAAGCCAAUUCACCAGUCCAAAAACAAAUUAUAAACUGCUUCGUCACCUUUUCUUUUGGUUGACGGCAAACAAACUAUGAUAAGAAAAAUUAAACUGGAAAACUGAUGAAUUGAUCAUAACAACCCAGACUAGAGAGAAAAUCCACGACUCAAGUGAAAGAGAUGCCAAUCUGACAAACAGUACCAACUUUGCUGUAUAUACUGUAUACUAUCAUCAACUCUCAAUUCUUCUUUGCACAGUCCAUAUCCAAUUCUAAAAAGACUCUCCCAAAGUUGCACAGACCGGCAAAAGAACCCACAGAAUCAAUCCAUAACCCAACUUGAUAAGCUAGAAUCACCAAACCAUAAAAGGAAUAUAAAUUUCUUCAAUCUUAAACUUCAAACUUUGAUAAAAAUAAAAAUGGCAAACUGACAACUACUAGCAGAACAACCGAGACUAAAGAUCGAUCAAUUCCACGAUUCAAAUGAUAGAGAUGAUGAAUCGGAGAGAUAUUACCAAAUUUUCGGAAGAAACUGAUGCUAGAGAGGAGAGAGGCAGUUGAAACACAAUUGCAGAAUCCCAAAUCCAUACGACAAGACGACGACAUCGAAUGGAAAGUUUCCAGUCGCCGGAGAGAACAAGAACGUCUCCAGGAGGGAAUCGAUUCAAGAUUGGGGUUACGGUUUUGAAAUUGGGGAUCUGAAAUUGAAAGGAACUUGAAAAUGCGAAAGCAACUACGUAUCGAUAAACACAGAAGCCACAAGGUACCGGAUCAGAUACCAUGGGCUCUGAUACCAUGACAGGAAUCAAGGUUUAUUGUAAAGAAAAUGCAGAAAGCAAUAAAAGAGAGGGAAAAAGCUUUGGAGGCUACAUCGUGUCUAUCUUGAUCGAGAGAUAAUGAGGUUACAACAAUACAUAUAGUACUUAGAAUAUAGAAUGACGUAAAUGCCUUUGCGAUUUAAUUGUCAUAAACCUAACAUAUAGUUAACAUGCAACAUAGCUAAUCUUGAUCAGAAGAUUUCAAUCAAUUGCUUGCUAAUCUAUUUUUUCUUGGGUCGAAAUUGAACGGCUGAUCAGUUUUGGUCUUGCUAAUUAAGUUUAUGAAUGUAUGACAUCAGCCUUUUCAAUCUUGAAAGAUUUCAAUCACUCUCUAUUUUUUUUUUUUGCCAUUGAUCAGCUUGUUUACUCUGCUGUAAAUCAACCUGUGAGUUCUGUUUUGAGUUGGCAUGUUCUUGAAGGAUUAGUGAACAAUAAAUAUAUACUUUGCAUACUUGUUUUUAAAAUAGAGCUUUUCUCAUUACUCCUUUUACAACUCAGAGCCUCAACCUUAUAUAUACAAGAACAUGAAAUUGGAAAUCUAGUUGAUUUUAGAACAUAAAGAGUAGAAAGAAAGAAACAAAGAAAGAAAGAAGGAAAGAAAGGAAGCAAGCAGUGCGUUAAGUUUGAACUAUUAGCUAGGCCACUUCCGAAAUUUUAAGACCAAUUUGGGUUCUUCAAUUCAGCAAAAGCUAUCUUCCAUGAGCUUAACAAAUUCCUCAAAGUCUAUACGUCCAUCUCCAUUUUGAUCGAAGGACUUGAUCAUUCUUUUGCAUUCUGACUCCGAAGCUUGGAUGAAACCUAAUACAUGGAGAACCUUCUUGAUCUCCCCUGCAUCGAUGAACCCAUCUGCAUUUUCAUCAAACAAAUGGAAGGCGUCUUUCACUUCCUCCAAGCUGGGUUCCUCCUCAAGCAAGUCAGCCAUCUCCUUAGCCCCAUUAUCAUCACAUAAACUUCCCAGGUUCUCCAUAACCGCUGCCAACUCUCCUAAACACAGUUUCGUGUCACCCAAGUCUUUCGUGUUCUGUUCGACACCUACUGUCUUGUAAAUGCAAGCUUGCUGGGUUGUGAUCUUGGUCUGAUUAUUGCGGCAAACAUUGCGCAGACCAGUAUUAAGCAAGUAACUUACAAAGAAUUGAAGCGCAUACCUCAAACUUGACAAGUGUAGAAAGAAUUGCACAAUGAGCCACUUAAUAAUCAUUAUGAAAAACAGAACCCCAACAAGUGCAAGGGAGCUGCUGGCAAUUGCAUCAUCCAUGAAUGUCUUCUCCAUUUCUGGGUGGGAAUAGAAAAACUGAAAUGCUUGACUGAUUUAUUGUUAGUUGGGUUAAGACUUGCCAAUGGAGUGUGGAAGCCACUCUUCGGUGUUAUAUAGAAGUAUAGAACUACCUGAAAUGAAGUCAAGUCAUCCUGGAGAUUAAGCGUUUUGGAAAAUGCAGUCACAAGUGAUCCAAAUUUCCGUGAAAUUAUAACCAAAGACUAUUACUGUGAAAUUUCCAUACAAGUUAGGAGUUCGUCACUUUUAAUGUUUAAUCAAAUUAGGGUUGUUAUGUGUGAAAACUUCUGUGUAGUCACUAUGAGUACUCGGGGUGUGUGAGGGAGACAGAAACCCAAAACAAGUAUGGGUGGAGUUGCACAGAAGUUGCAGUGUGAAAACGAUCAAACAUGUCUAAGUCUUCUGCGUAGCCAGGAAUUAUGCCAUACGUAACAAUAAUUCUCAACUUGCAACUCCACGAAAAAUACAAAAGAAAGUGUCCAAUGUUAGCAUCGGAUUCUAUGUCGCCAAGUUUUGAUUGAUUUUAACAGAGGUAUGGAUUAUUGACACAGUUUAUCAUACUUCCGAGUAUUUCUUUUUCCAAUUUGUCACUGGCUUUCACAUGUUUCUUGUUAAUGUGAAACUCGCAUUUUUUUUUUCUUUUAGAAUUUGAUCCAUUUGGGUAGGUCUAGUGAAAACAUGUUAGGUUGCAAAUAAGACGGGACGUUACAUAAAUUGCUCAUGAUCCCGGAAUGGUCUAGCUCAAUCAACCACCAUUUUUUAACACCAAAAAGAAAAUUGGAAAUUUUGUUCCUCGUUCCGUAAUCUUCCCAAGUUAGUUAUCUUCAUAUUUUAUCACGUUUACUCUUCCUCUCAAAAAAAUUAUAUAUCACAUUUACUCGUCCGUGUGAGUCAAAUUUCUUCACCAGCAAUAUGGUUUCACUGUCUCCCUAUUAUAGUGUCCCCAACGUUCCAGCUGGAUCAGCUGGGAGUGAAUGUAUAUCGAGGUUUUGUUUUGCAGUUAUUAUUGUCUUUUCACUUGUUAACAAGAAAAAAAAAAAUCACCACUAGCCCAAAUGAUAUUGGGUCAAGAAAGGCCCCAAGAAAAUGGGUUUAUACUUUGCGUGGCCUAUUGGGUCGACCCGGCCCAACGAUUCAGUCUGAUAAGCUUAGAGAAGCAAAAACCAGCUGAGAAAGAUGAGGCCAGCAAGCAAAGAACCAACGCGCCGGAGCCGCCCUUCAUCUCCGUUAAGGGACCGAAACCCAAUCUCGCCCAGGUCUCGUCACUCCGGGCCCACACCACCACGAGCCUUUCUCCUCGAUGACGUCACCGACUUCAACAACCCAAGAAGCUUCCCUCACAAUGUGAAGAAGCAAUGCUGGGAGAAGGCGGAGAAGAUCAAAGGGCGGGACCCGGAUCGCUGGCGGCGAGACCCGCUCGGAAACACAGUGUUCCGGAAGCUCGUGGGCUGCCCCGGUUGCUUAUGUCAUGAUUACGAUCACAUUGUGCCGUACUCUAAGGUGAAGUCAUAGUCUUUUGUGUGUUUCUGUUUGUGGGGAUUGCUUGGUUUGGAUUGGUUUGUGUUCUGUGAGGUGGGUUGUGUUGGUUUUUGAGAUUAUGGCUAUGUUUGUGAUCAAAGUUCUUUGCUUUUUUGCUAUAUAUUGUGCAUUUUUGUAAUGGCAUUGUGAGCAUUCUGUUUGGAAGAUGGUACAUUUUGGAAAUGCUUGUGUUAUUCAGUUCCAUAUGUUUAUAGGACUCAAGAAGUUGUGUUCUUUUGGUCUAUGGCGUUGCUUGGAAUAUAGUUCUGUUGCUGAAAAUGGAUGUUUGUAACAUGGUUAUCUGAGACUAGAAGUUGCUCAAAUGGCUGGAUUCUGUUUUAUGGUGAUAAUUCUUGUAUACAUUAUGUUAUAAACUUAUAAUGCAGUUUUAUCAGUAUGAAUAUGUAAAUGGCUUUCUAGUUUAACCGGUUUUUGCGAGAAUAUGAAUAGCUGUGGUGAUAUAGGAUUUUGGAUCUGGUCCAGGCCUUUGAACAACCUUUAAUUACUAUUUCAGGAAAUUACUCUCACUGGGUGUAAUAAAGGUAUAUGGGCGUGUCACGUGUGAAUCGUUUACCAGGAUAGUGCCUCAGCUAAUUGUAGGUUGGUCCAAAUAAUUGUGUAACAUAAUAUGAUAGGAUUGCUACAAACAUAAUCCAGGAACUAAUGUGCACUCACUGAGGCAUCAGUUGCCCAGGAGGAGCUACAUAUCAUGUUUUAGUGAGAAGCUUCUUUUGCAAUCUCUAUCAUGGAGAUUAAAUGGUUGGCAGAGCUCAGGAUUCUAAUUGGCUUGGUGCGGCAGCUUUGUGACAACAGUCUAAAAAAUUUAGGGACGAGAGUUUCAUGUGCCUUAUGUUCUUGUGGAUGGAGAGGGAUAGUGUUUUGAGGAGAUAUUAGGAGUGAACAUUCAACACUCCUCAUACUUCUAUUUCUUUGCACUUUUAAUUAAUGUAUGCUUCUUGUGUACUGGGUGACCCAUGUUAGCAUGUUUUUGAGUUUCCUAUAUGUAGGUAAAAGCAUUUUACUUUAUAUAAUAACCUCGAUAGUUGAAUUGCUUGGCUUAUUUUUUUUCCUGUAAAACCAUGAGUACAGAAAUGGAGGAAUGAUUUUAAAUUUUUGACAUUUCAGGGAGGAGAAAGUACGCUCGAAAAUUGUCAGGUUUUACAGGUGUGGACGUAUUCUCUCUUUAGAAGCUUGGUUUAUUAAAUAAAUGUUAUAUUUUUAAUUAUUAUCUGCUAUCUCUGGUCCAAAAAAUACCAUUUUACCUGUGUUUAUAAAUAAUCUUGCUACAUAUACCUCCACUACUCAGAGAUGGUUUAGCAAAUCAGCAAGCUGAUAUCUAAUGUGGCCAAUAGCAUCAAAGAACUACUGUAGAAGAGUGCAGGACAGAGUUGUAUGUUGUGUGAAAUCCUAGUUUAGAAAUGACUGUUAAUCAGCAGAGUUCAAAAAGUGAUGAACCAUGCAGAUAAACCUUAUCAUUUCUCUCUCAAAGUCAAUUUUAAGUCAUUCACUAAAUCUCACCAAGGUUGCACAUAACAUCUUCAUCUCAUUUUCUUUUAUGUGUAGCCUGUACUUAACUUGCGCCCAAAUUUUAUUGGAACUGGAGUUCACCUUGGUUUUUCUAGUUUCUGUAUCCCGUCUUAAAGAACAGAAAAAUUUACCCUAGAAAAUAUUUUACAUUUGUUAAAAAUCUAAAACCAUGUGUUCUUCUCUUCCAUACUGUAGGCAAAAGUGAACAGAUCAAAAGGAAACCGAACAGAGUUUUCCAGGGCUGAGCUCAUACAGAAAAGUUCUUACUGUCGGGUUUCAGGUAUCCCAUGAAACUCCAAAAACUUGCGAACGUCCUUGAGAGGAAGAAUUCAACUAAUUGAAUAACAGAUAACAGAGUUUCUUUUACAUGCAGGUCGUGAUAUGGAUCUAAUUGAACUGUCAGCCUAUGGUAAUGUCAGUCCUGCAAAAGAAGAUUCAUACUGUCGGGUUCCAGGUAAUCUCAAAAAACUCCUGAAGUCCUCGAGGGGAUGAAUGCAACUAACUGUAACAUGUAGAAGUUUCUUGAAAGUGCAGGUCGUGAUAUUGAUCUGAUUGACUCAGCCAAAGGCAACAUCCGCAAUGCACAAGAGUUUUGGGGGUGUACAAUCCAAUAAUCUGUUGUGUACGCAUUAAGUUCUAACAUGGAGACUGGAAAACUAGGUUCCAGUCAUAUUUGUAUCAAGCUGCAUAGAAUGUCAUUCAGUGAUUGUAAGAGGAGCAGUAUGAGGACAGUCCAUUUACAAAUCCUCAUGCGCAAGGUUAGCUAUCUGUAAAGUGAAAACCAUAGCUUGUUGAUUACACUUGUGAUGGAUGUAUGCAUGGUCACGAUAAAUGAAAAUUCUUCCUUGACAAACACUGACUUCUCACUUCAAAUUUGUGUUUAAGGCUAGCUUUAAGUGUACCUAUUAAGACAGUAGCAUAUCGGUAAUCACCAACUUGAACUAAUCAUCUUUAGCUCUUUAAGAAAAGAUAGAAAGUUGGCUUAUAUAUAUGUGUGUGUGUACAAGUAGUUUGAUUAUAAGAUAGAUUACUCAAUCAGACACCUUCAAACUCCAAACGUGGUGUUCCUUCUAUACUCUAUAGAGGAAAAAGAAAAGAUGAAAGAAAAAGUUGGAUGUUGGUUCUCUUUUCUUGCUUUCUGUUGGGAAAGUGAAGCUUCACAUCCCACUUUCUUUCAAGUGCUUUUUCAUGUUUUUUUCUUUUCCUGAAGAAGCAUUUCAAAUGUUAGAAGAAAAAAGCUAAAGAAAGUAGAGACACACACUUGAAAAACUUUUUGUUAUUCUCUGAUUGGAAGCUCCACUAUGAUGCGUAUACAGGUGUUCCACUUCCAUUUGAAUUCCUGUGAUUUUUAUGAAUGGUCUGUAUAUAUGUAUUGAUCGUCAUACGUUUACGUGGGUAAUAGUCUACAAUACUACACAGAUUUAUUUAUAUCUUGAAAUAUGACGGAGUGUGUCGCUAAACACAAUUACUAAUGACCAAAUUAUUCAGAACUGAAUAAUCUCAUUUUUAAUCCUCUCUUUUUAUUGAACUAGGAUACGGUUGAACACAUAGUUUUUGGAAUAGAUAGGUUUGAACUUUCAAUAAGAGCACUAGACUGGAGGAUAAGUUUAUAGUGGGAGAUUGACUGACCCAUAAUGAAAAGAGCUGCAUUUCCACGAGCAAUGCAGAGAGUCAACAUUAAACUAAUAGGAGCACUUGGCCUAAUUGAUCAUAUCAUUUUCAUAGUUCAUAGGCAGAGUGCUAUUAUUGCAGUCGAAAUCGCUGACCAGAUUGAUACAAUUUUCUCUGAAAUCUUUCAUCAAGGAAAAUGAACCAAGUAUAUGAAACUCCAUAACCUGGUUCUCUAAUAAUCGACAUCAUACACCUAACUGUAAUCAGUCCUAUACCUAAUUGGUACGGGUUAGGUGUUUGUCUUAUAAACUGAAACCAAAUCCUCAGAAUUAAUCGCUAACUGAGUUUUUGUGGCCAAGUGUAAUCUGGCUUGAGUGCUUUAGUGAAACAGUUUGUGCUGUCAUCUUCACUGAACAAGAAUGAAGAGUUGCAGAAAGACUACCAAUUAGCUAUUCUAUAAGUGUUUCUGCGGACAUGUUCCAUGUUCAACUUCCCACGAUUAAAAAGGAAAGAGCUGGGGAAGUCUUUUCUUUCCUUUUCCCUUUUCACUCGGGUGAAAUUGCUAAUAAUGUAAAGCCUUGUGUAUGAAGGGUCUGUGGAAAAGGUAGAAUUUCGUGUUAGAACAGUUAGAUUGACAUGACUUAACCAACCGUUUCCUUACUUUGAUUUCUUCACAAUGUGACUUUUAUGGGUGAUUAGUUAGAAAGAGAGGUCAGUUCCUUCUAGGGUAGGGAUAUAUCAUUAGCAUUGCUGCAUUAGGCAUCAGGUACUUGUGAUCCACAAAAAGUAGAACUUGUAAGGUUGUGUUGUGUUCAAGGUUUAGUUUCGUUUUUAAUGGAUAGUCUGGUACAAAAAUCUAAUGGUUAUAAGAUAGUGAUACAGAUACUGAACCAACCCUGUCAUUAUUGUCUUCUUUGUUUCCCAGAAACUUGAAAAUUAGGCAUAUGGAUGAAAUGGGAUGGGUAGUUGCUUUCGUAUAGAAAAGGAAAAUAGCAAAAAGGAAAGGAAUUAAAAGGAGGGAAGAGUGCCAAAAGGAUUCAUGGCAUUAUGUGCAAUUUGGGUCCCCUAACAACUCAUCUUUACAUAAAAUGUGGCCUGAAUUGCUUGGUUGCACCAAAAUAUCUGUGUAUUUAUAAUUUCUUGAUUGGUAUGAGACACACAUGUGUUUGAUGUUGAUGUAUCUACCAAGGUGCUUUACAAUGCAAUUAGGUAUUUUCAUUUCAUUUCAUUCCACUAAGGUAAUCCUAUGAUCCAUAAGUUUUUUAUUGAGUUAGGACUUAGCACACUUUCCUGGUCUCUAAUUGCUCAAGUUAAUAUGUGUUACCCUAUCUUUUACCUAUGAAUCUAUGAUUAAUCUUGCUUCUUACAGUUUUUCUUCGUAAUUAUUGAAGGAGAAGAAAACAAGAAGAGAGCAGGAAAAUAUGAGGCAGGCCCUGCAGCUCAACUUGUGUGCAAGUUGCUUAGGUCCUUUGCUGGUGAAAGGGACAGCAAUUUGACCCUUGUGGAAUAUUUAUUCAAGUUUAUCUACUCAAUGGAGUCACUAAAAGAUCAAUUUUGUUGGUUUGUCUGCAACUCCAUUUCAGCUUAGGGCCCCUUCUUCAUUAAUCUUCAUCUUUUGAUCUAGAAUUUAGAUUUAGAGCAAGACCAACUAUACUGCCAAAGAUUUUUCUUCUAAUUUGAACAAAGAACCAGAGAGAAUGGAAGGCAAAGAGAUAAAGGAUGAUGUUAAUUUUACAGCUAUGUAUUUCACAUGAAGAUAUGUACAUGAACAACACAAACUCAGAGUACAUCAGAAGGAAUCUGUGCAUGCUGUUUGUUACAAGAAGGCAAAAUUAGUUUCCACUAGUACUAGUUUCCCUAUCUUACUGAGGAAACCCUAGAGUUGAGACUGGCCGGAUGGGGUUAGCUGUCAAAACUCAUUCGAGAGACGAUUGAAUCCAACCUCACUAUUCCAGCUUAUGCGAAAGGGUAACACCAUGGCGUAAGUGAACCAAUUCAAGUGCUCUCGUGGAAGUUGAGUGAUCUAGACAAGGCUGCUGGGUUGGCUAGCAUAGCCGGAGAGGUUUCAAGGACAUGUUUCUUUUGAUCACCCUUUGAUUGUGAUUGGAAGGCCUUAAACAGCCCUUUCCCGCUGCUGAUGCAAUCGUUCUUGAUCCCAAGUGUUGACCAUAUCGAACUCUUUGCAGCCUCACUUGGGUCAUCAAUCCUUAAUGUUUUCGGAACCAGAACACAUCCAUUUUUCUGUUUCGAUGGCUCUUCUUUCUCCAAGUGAACUUCUGGUCUGAGAAUCUCUCGCUCCCUUGAAUGCUUCCCCAGAAUUGGAGAACUUGAGGCAGAGUUUGGAGUCUUUUGGUUUGGAGAAGCAGGCUGUGGAUUGAACCAAGGAACUGGUACUUGGAAAGGGAUGCCACAAUUCCAAUAAGGUGCAGGAAACACUGGUAUAGGCAUUCCCGGAGGGGCAAAAGCCGGUGGGGGAACUGCGGAAUUCCAUUGAUACGGCCAAGGAACACCAGGAAGACAUGGAAUAUGUGAGGAGAAGCCAUUGGCAUUUGGAAUUUGUGGUUUCGAAGCUGUUAUAUCAUCACCAUUUUCUUUGUCCUUGCAAGGAGCUGGAAAUACUAAUUCUUCGCUCUUAUGGAAUCCAUUUCGAGUAGUACCAUUUAAGACCUUUUUAUUUGCAAGGUUUAAAACAGAAGCCAUGGAAUCACAGACUGGUGUAUCUACGCCAAAGCUAAGGACUCUGCCAUUGCUUUUCAAUCCGGGGUGGUGAGCUCCAUUUGGAGCAUCCAUUCGAGCUACUUGAAGAGCAUCGGAAAUUGUGAUCUGGCGAUAGUGUGAGGCAGAGUUCUUGUUCUUCCUACGACCAGCUCCUACAGGCACAUUCCUCAUUGUACCGCCUGCAGUCCAGUAUCUUUGACAGGCCUUGCAGAAAUGGCGUGGUUGAUUGACAUUGUAAUUGUUGUAGUAACAAAAUUUAGUGUCCAUGCUAUUGCAGCGAGGGCAUGGUAGUAUCUUGUCAGGCUUCUUCAGGGUUUUCUCUUUCGAGUUGGUUGCAUCAUUCUGUUCUUUCUCCUCCGGAGAUUUUGGUUUUGCGCUUUCUUCAUCGAUUGAGGGUGUUUUUGGGUUCACAUUACAUUCUGGUAGCAUUUCCAUACUGGUUGAGUCUUCAGUUUUUGGAGAAUCAUCUUGUUCUUCUAUGCUCUCAGUGGCUUUUGUUGAUGGUGAAUCCUGAAGUUUCACAAGUAUGCUUUAGGAACAAGUACUGAAAAAUCAGAACAGAAGCAACCAGUGUGAUAACACCUUUGAUUAAAAGAAAAUUAGGAAAAAUUGAGUCCUUUUUCUUUUGGUUUUUAGCUUCUCUGUAGUUUUCAUUGACAUAAUCAAAGCUAUUGAACAUUCCAGAUAUAGAUUGACAACUUGUGAAAUGAAUUCCAAGAAAAUUUAGGAAAUUAUUUUCACAGACUAGUGAAAAGAAAAAUAUCAAUAAUGAAAACAACAGCUUUCUUUCUAGCUUGUGGCUGUGAAGGUAUGGCUCCCUAACAGAUGGGAAAAGCAAGAAACCACUAAUUUCUAAUGGGGCAUUCAAACUAAACUAUGGGGGAAAUUCAAAUCUAAUUGAACUCAACAGACCAGAAGCAGAGAAAAGUAAGAUGAUGACUUAUCAAUUCAUUGAAGCAAAACAGAGUGAUGGAAACAGAUAGUUCUUCAAGCUUUCCACUUUCCAAACACAAAGACUCGAAACAAUUCCCAAGUUCAAAACAAAAACAGUAGUGAGGCAACAGUUUGCAGAAGUAAGAUUAACCCAUGAAAGCUCUCGGCAUUUCGACAAAAGGAUCCCUCUUAGAUUUUCCAAAACACACCUCCUCUCUCUCUCUCAGAUUCACACAAACAAGUGUAUAGAAGCUAGUGUGCAUGUACGUUACCUUGUCUUCUACAUCCUCUUCUUGAUUAUCAACUCGCGAUCGUUUUUCCUCUCUGGCCAGCGAAGUAAACCUCAAGUCCUCGUCGUCGGCGCCGGCCGGAAGCGGAAUCUUCAUGCCGAAAAGCUUGAUCGCCGGGUCCUUAGCUUCGAGCAGCAUGUUGUUGUUUUUUCUUUUUCUUGUUGUUGACUACUGUAAAAAACGCGCGAGUUCUUUCUUUCUCUCUCGCUCUGGCUUUGGCUCAAGGAAUGAGAUUUUGAUCCGUUUAAACUUUAAACAGAAACACAGAGAGAGAGAGAGGGUGGAUGCCACAUCAGCCAAAGGGUUUGAUUCUGAGCCACAAGUUCUUGUGGCCUCCAGAUUUUCUUUUUCAUUUCUUUCUCUCUCUACUCCUAAUUUCUUAAUACUUGGAUUCUCUCUCUCUUUAACCGGGAGCUGCUUCAGCUGCAUGCAAAUUCGGUGCUAUCCAACAUCGACCUUUUUCAAUUCAUGGGAGCUUGUAUGUAUACUCGAUCGGUUUAAAGUUGAUUCUAACUUUAGUAAUUAAAAAACAUUUGGAAUUUAUAUAAAUCGCUUUAUAUUGCAUUUGUCAAAAGAAUUUAAAAGUAUUUGAGUUAUAUAAGUGUAUGUUCUUUAAGGGGUAUCAUUCUAAGAAUCGACACCACGUGUGUUUGAGCUUAUCGGAAUAAGCACUUCAAAUAACAUAAAACACAUGUGUUGAGAAAAAUAACGUUUAACGCUAGAACUUUUGCAAUUGGAAGAAUUUGAUUUGGAAAAGCAUCUCUUCAUUUCUUCGAUAUCGAGAGUCAGGUUUGUUUUGAGGGUUUGCGGUAUUUUGGUAACUAGCUAUAGAACUCAGGUCAUGCCUACUAGUAUGUAUUUCAAAUGAAUUGUCCGUCAAGAUAAAAUAAUUUGCUCGUUUAAUGAUUAAUAAACGAGAUAUUAAUUUAUUUUGAUCAAAGAACCAUCCUAUUGUGCAACUUAGUCUCUAAACCAAAAAAAGAGAAACAAUGUAAAAAAAAAAAAAAAGUCUCCAAAUGAUUUAUAACAAGCCCAGUACCGUUUGGUCUAGUGACAUAAGUCUCUCCUUAUAAGUGAAAUGUCGUCAGUAUUAUGACAUAUUAAUUAUGUAUUUAAUAAAAUAAAAUAAAUACUUAUAACAAAUAAGAGAUUUUUCUAUCAAAAAAUCAGAGAACGUACACUUGCACCAACAUGGCAACAUUAUUGUGUUCAAUAACAUCAGUGUACUUUCCGAUAGACAGUUGAAUGACAAAAAUUGACAUAUUUAAGGAGUUGAAAUCACUUAAUAGAUACUUAGCCACAUGUAAUGUCGAUACAUAACGAUAAUUUAUCCCUUUUGAUCAUAGAAAGAACAACAAGAAGAAGAAGAAACCAGCUCUUCCAACGUUAAACAUGUUUAAUUUAAUAAAAAAAAAAAAAAAAAAAAAACGUUAAACAUGUUUAAGUGAGAACUGGGAAGCCUACCUAAGUUCCCUUUAGAUACUCAACACGUAUCCUAGUGCGCAACACGUGUAAGGCAUCCACCAGUUCAGCUCCACGCUUAAUUUUUUUCUAACUUCGAGAGGCUGACACGCGUCCCGUGUUAGUGGAGUGGGAUUUUUUUUUAAAACGUGAUUAAGUACGAUGUACACUCACUAAAAGCCUAAAGGUCAUAUUGACCCUUGGAACUUUGGAUCAGGAUAAUCACAUAGUUGAUACCCCCAAUUAGACUAUCUGAUUAAACAAGCCUAAUUCUAAAGAAAAAGUUAUAAGAGUUGAGUUGUUAAAUGUCGAAUGGCCCGUGGGCGGCUCAGAAUGGUGUUUAACAUGAUUUAAAAUUAAGAUAAUUAUGCCUGGUAGUUUCAUUUUGAUUUUGACAGGAUGAUUAAUUAUGUUAAGCAAGUGAUUAGGAUGGAAAUUAGAAUAAGGAAUUUCAUGGUCAUUUGUUGUUUAUUAUUUGAGCAAGUUUGCUUUCAAAUGCAAGCUAUGAUUAAUUGAUUAGGAACAUCUUAUGAAACCCUUUUCUAGUGAUGCAUUCUACAAGCCCAAUGGGUACUCUUCCCCAUUGACACACGGUGACUAUUAAGGUUUCUGAAGCCCAAUUUAUCAGCAUGUCUUUUUUAGUCGACAGCCCAAAGAGAAAUUGAAAAGAAUAAACUUGUACUACUUCCUUGAUCAUAUCUGGCACUUCACCAUCAAGAAUUUCUUUUGAUGCUUCUGUCCAAACUAACCGGUCUGCUAUUGGGUUUUGUUCCGGGAUGUUACUGGUAAUUCAUUGACGUCAGCUGUCAGGCAUAUUGGAGACACUUCGAUAUUGGUGGUUGAGGCUACAGCUUUUAAGGAAGCUUUACAUAUAGCGUGGUUGUAAAGAUUCUCUCAUGUGCUGGUGGAAGGAGACUCAAAGAUUAUAAUUGACUGUCUUAAUGAGAAGGCUUCUACUCCAUGGUGUGUUCAUUUUGUCAUUCAAGAUAUUUUGUGGCUCACUUCCCAAUUUCAAGCUAUUGUUAAAUCCGACAUGUUCAUCGUGAAGCAAAUUUUGUGACGGACAGGUUAGCCUCGUUGGGCAUUGUAGCAUCAUCUCUUUUAGUUUAGUUUUACUACUUAUCUUAUUUUGUGUACCUAGCGUUCUAUUUGGAUCAGUUGAGGAGAGGUAUGUCUUCUUAGAAGUUUCGUGUUGUAGUUUGUUUUAUGUAAAACUUUCUUUAUUUAUUGAAAUAAAUUUUUUUUGUUUUUUUUUUGCUCGUAUGGGAGCAGCAAUGCUGGAAGCCCAGGAGAGAAUAAUCGAUCAAAGCGAUGCAUGAGUGGAUCUUAGUGAAUUGUAACAUCAAGAAUCAAUUUUGUCACUUAUAUAUAUACUAGUCUCAUACCUAUACGACACGACCCAUGAGUCAUUGGUUCAGUUGUUAUUAGCAUUUUAAAUUAUUUUUGUUGUAUUAAUAUGUUAUUUCUAUUUAUUUUAUCAAAAAUAUACAGUAUAUUUAAUGAUUUUAUUAUGAGAUUUAAUCUUUUUCUAGAUUCAAGUCAGGUAAUCCACAGUCUGGUGAAACUUAAUAAAACUAUAGUUAAACAGUCAUGACAAUUUGUUUGCUCCGAGAAUUUCACUAACGGAAUUUAUAUUUUGUGUGGAUUCACGGAUCGAGCUCCAUUUUUCUAUGAAAGUUUUGGGAUUGUGCAUGUCUCAAUCUCCUAGCGUGCGAACACUGAUCGAAACUCAGUGGAAAUAAGAGAAAUUGUUGGUGAUCGAUGGAAGUACUUAUUUUCUUUAGAAUGACGAUGUCUUCUUGCUCCCUUCUAAUUCAUUUAUAAAGAAAACUUGGCAUCAUAUGUAGGAAAGGCGAGAAAAAUUCCUCUGAAUUAUCACGCCAUAACCACAUCUUCAAACCUCCUCAAUCCCUUUCUGGUCUGAUAAUCCCAUGGAUACCUAUACAAGUGUGAUCAUAUGUUGUGAAAGGAUUGACUAGCUUGAGAGGGUAUAUACCAGCUUCACUGUACCAGAUCCCAUCAGAAUGGGUUGACAAUAUAUAAAGCUAGCAUGAAUGCAUGAUGAAGUGCUGCCAAUUAAGCAGAAAGCAGUGCUUCUGAAAAUUCAGUGUGCCCUUAUUUGACGCCUUUAGCUUUUGUAACUUUCUCAACCAUUUCGGAUCGUAAGGCUUUAAGAGGUUCACAUUGUUUCCUACUUAAUCAGUAUUAUAACCUUUGGCUUGAAUUGGCUGUUACAUCAGCUAACUUAGUUUGCCUAAUCCACGAUCCUACUUUUACAGACAUAUCAUAAUUUGGAAACCAUAUACAUAAGUGGGCGGUGACCAACCAAACCUUUGAUAAGUAUGAAGUCAAACAAUAUAUAGAUCUCAAAAGCUAAACAGAUCAAUCCUAAUUCUUCUACGUAACUAGUUCAAAAAGAGUAUAAUUCUCAUCAGUUUCAUUUACUAAUCGUAAUAAUUAAACAAAAGCUCAUUCGAUUCAUAACCCUAAAACCUAAUUAAGGAUGCUGCUUGAGCUAGGCACAGUGUGUUCACUUCGAUAUUCUCAUGUAGAAACUAAAACACAAAGUUGGUAUUACAGAUUUACAAUAUAUAUGAGGUAGUCGAUCUGGUAGUCUUUUAAAAAUUUUGCUUGGAAUAUGGGAGGAAAUUUCCAGACUGCAAAUAUUAGUUUUAUGACAGUAACUUUUUCAUGCAUGUAUUUUAGAGAAAGAAACUUCCAUGCUGCCCAGCUCGCAAAAGGGGUGUGACUUGUGAGUGCGAGUCACUCCUAAAUUAUAAAACGAGCAAAUUGUCAUUUGGGAAUUACCAAACACUUGUACAUCAUCUUAAACUACACACACCUCAAUCUCAAACAGAUCUAUUUUUUUAGUGACCUAACACCACCCAUAUAUCAUCUGCAUAUGCUCUACACAUAUAAUCCAAUUCAACCAGAUCUUUCUUAUACGUUUCUUGCUAACCAAGGUAUUAGUCAACCAAGUCAUACUUGAAUCCCAAACUUUGCACCACAUUUAGUGGCUGUUGUUUAUUGACAAGCCCUUUGCUUUUACUGGAUUUCUCUCUUGCAUUCGAUUCAGUAUCAUUGUAUUGAGCUCCAAUUAUGAAUCCCACUAAGACCCUUGUUCACAAAACCCCCAACUUAGUGCAUGAUCUCUCUCAAGUCUUGCCACCCCAUCAUUCUUGUGUCACCCUCCACUACUAAUUUGCACUACUACUUACUGUGUAUGCAGCUACCUAGCUAGUGUGUCUCCCUCUUUCUAAUUUCGUGUUCAACAUUUAAAUAUCAAAUUCCACAGCCACGAUAGACAUGCAUCAUUCAUGGCUCAUUUCAAACACUGUGAUCGAUUUGCAAAUUGCAAAAGGUUGGAAACGCGUACGGCCCCCACGAAACGAACUGUGGUUUCUUUCCUCCUUUUUGACUUUAAACACUAUAAUUGUUUUUUCCACAGCACAAAACAAGGUCCAGAUAGGAAACCCACAGUGUAAUUUCAUGUAUAAAUUGAGUACUACUGCCUUUUUUUGGAUCAGACGACUCAACAUUCAUUCACAGUUUCACACAGGCUAGCUUGCUUCUUCCUGCUGCUUACUUCAAGAUCAUCAGCAAUGGCUAGCAGUACUACUCUCCUUCGUCUACUUGUUAUCUUGUUAGGGUUUUCUCUCCUCAUCUGCGCUAAUGCUGUCCCAGUUACAAGUAAUUUUCUUAUAUUAACCACCUUUUCUCAUACAUUCUCGUUCUUCUUCUACUUUGAUCUUCUUCUGACUUGUUACUUUUGCUUGCAGGAAUCGGAGGCCUUAAUAAGCAUAUCGGACCUGAAGUUCAUCAAACCGUUGCAGAGAAUAACAAGCCGGUAUAUAUAUAUUGACUCGAUUGACAAAAUGGUUUUCUAUGUCAUAUAUAGUGAGGUUCAACAUCUUCUUUCUGUCACUAAUAUUGUAGUUAAUUUGUAUAUUUGAAUUCAGAUGACAACAGAGAUGAGAUUUUCUGAGAGGAUGGAUGUGGAGCUUAAUGACUAUCCGGGAUCAGGGGCCAACAACCGCCACACUCCGAAGCCUCAAUAUGCGAGAUGUGCUGAUUGCUAAAUUAAGAAGAAUAUUUCUUCAGUUGCAAGUGUUUAUUUAUCUGCAUGUGGAUUAGAUCUCUCUCUUGCAUGAUCACUGAUUUUAAGUUUAUUAUUGGGCUGAAAUUAGAGGGGAAUGACUGUAACAGUAGGAGUAGAUGAACUAGGUGAUCGAGGUCUGGAUUAGUAUACAUAUAUAAUUAUAUAUGUACCAAGAGGAGUAUGCAUGGAUGGUCAGAGUAGUAUUGAAAUAUGAACAUCAGUACUGUACUGAAAUGGAUGUGAAAGAUCUAGCUGCUUUCUAUCUAUAUAAAUCCAGUGGAUAAAUUGGGCAGUUUAUGCAUGAUUUCAAAUCCUAUAUAUGUUCCAGUACGUUUUUUUCUGUAUUCCGGUGAUUCCCUCAUUUCCCUGCAGUUUAUGCUGGCUUUUUACGUACUAAGAUGAUCAAGGUACAGCUAGUAAAUGUGAAACUAGAACAGAAAAUUAAGACCAACGUAAAGUUAUAUAAUAGCCAAAAGGAUGAGAAGUUGAGAACUGCUUUGCUCUUUGUUCGUUUUCUUUUUAGUUCCUACAGGCUGUUAACUUGUUAUUGGAGAAAUAACCAAUUCCUAUAGAAUGUCAAAUAGUUAACAACUAGACGUAAUGGCCUUAAACAAGCAUUUGAGGCAAAUGAUCCAAAGCAUAUAUAUAAACCAGACGUCGUGUCUAAAUAUCUCAAAGCAAUAUGGAUCUCAAAGCAAGUGGAGUAAUUGUUUUCUGGUAGAUUUCCACUUUGAUUGCCACUAAGUUGAACAUUGCUGGAAAGCUUGCAAGCACAAAGUUUGUAAUGGAAUCCUUUAGUUAUUCAAACGUAUCUGUUAUCUUCCAUAUCCUCUAUCUAUAUAUAAUAAGCAGCCAUGUUGGAGCUAUAUAUAUAAACAACAUACGCUGAUCGAUCUUAAAUUCUUAAUAGACAAAAGUUAAAUUUAAGACAAAAGUUAAACUAUAUCCAAGUAACUGAUACAGAAGAAGAGAGGGGGUAUAAAAAAUAUUAAAAAAUUCAUUUGCUGAGAAUCGAACUUGGGUUCGAAGUUUAGAGCAAACUGAACUGCACAUCCACUGAUCCACCUUUUAGACGAUUCCCUUUAGCCAUUGUUAAAAGACGAUACUAACCUUCAUCUGAGAAGACUCGCCGUCAUCGGGUCUUGUGAGCCAGACUCUUGUAGCGGCGGCAUCCGACCACCCAGACUAGGCCAGACAUCAGCCGAGAUACGGGAUACGGCCGUAUAGGCGUCAUAUACUGCCGGAUACGUUCGGAUAUGCCAGGAUACGAGUACGGGUACCGAAGGGUAAAAAAGACAUUUACUAUAUAGGUUUGAAACAAAAGCAAACACAACGACGUCGUCUUCACAAUCCCCAAAUUCGAAUUGGGCGAACUCUGCAACCAGCGAAAUCAAAACCCCCACACUCUGGCGAAACCUAGAGUCACGAUCGAAGCCUCAACCCACAUCACAGAACCGCCGUAAUUCGCAGAAACCAAUCUCUCAAGGUAAAAUUGUCAAACCUCACACUCUUUCUCGAUACAAUAUUAGCAAAACCCUAACAUUAUCAAUUUGGGGGUUUCGUCGUUGACUUCAAAUUUGCUCUGUUUCUCUCAAAUUUCUGAUCCAAGAUCACAACUUUAACCCCAGAUGUCUAACGCCAAGAGAACCCAGCUCGAUUCCGACGCUGACCACGGCGACGAUGACGUCAUCAAGUUCCAGAAACUAGGGACUGUGGAUUCGUCCCCGUCAGCCGCCGGAGAGCAACCCCUGCCGGAGUAUUUUUCUUUCUCUCCGCGGCGGCCGAGAGUGGUCCUCACGCCGGAUCAGCACAAGUGGUGCUCCCAGGCUCUCAAGGUGUUCAAAGACAAGCUAGACAAGCCUGGCCUGAUCAGCCGGGAGUUUGAUGAGCUGUAUGAGCGAGCUGUGGUUGAGAAGAGCUGCAAUGUGGGUCUCAGCAGUGCCAACUGGAGGAAGAAUCGGUACGACGAGAUCUUGCCGUUUGAUGAAAGCAGGGUUGUUCUGAAGGGGAGGUCUAACAGUAGUGGAGGUGACUACAUCAAUGCCAGCUUUGUGACGACUAGCGCGUCUCGUUUCAUUGCUACGCAAGGUCCACUUCCGAAUACUUACGAGGAUUUCUGGGAGAUGGUGAUGCAGUACCGGUGCCCUGUUAUCGUUAUGCUUACUAGAUUGGAUAGCGGUAAGUGUGGAGACUAUUUUCGAGCAGAGGAUGAAAGAGAUUUUGGAAAUGUGUGUAUUGUCACUAAGUGGAUUGGAAGUAGUGAGUCUGGUGGGAGUAGUUCUUCGUUAGUGUUGAGGCUUUUGGAGGUGAGGCGUAAGGCGGGGUCAGAGGAGCCGCCUGUGUCUGUGUUGCAUAUUCACUAUCCUGAAUGGCCUGACCAUGGAGUUCCCGCGGACACGCAUGAUGUUCGUGAUAUUUUGAAAGGAUUGAUAUAUCAAGUGGAGCCACCGGAGCUUGGCCCGAUUGUGGUGCAUUGUAGUGCAGGUAUUGGGAGGACCGGAACAUACUGCACGAUUCAUGAUACAAUGAAGAGAAUUCUAUCUGGGGACAUGUCUGCUUUGGAUCUUGUUGGUACAAUAGCCACAUUCAGGUCUCAGCGAGAUGGAAUGGUCGAGACUCUGAAGCAAUAUCAGUUCUGUUAUUCUGCCAUUGUUGAUGAAUUGGAGGACCUCAUCUCGAAUCAUGGAGAUAGCAAUUGAAUAAUGGAGUUCAGAUCAAAAGAGGCAGCUGCAUCAAUUACAUUGCUCAUUGUGAUCAUUUCUUUCCUGGUGAAUAUUUUUCUUACAUGCUUUUAGCCAUUGUUAGUUUCUUAUUGAAUGAAGUAAUCUUUUGCCAACCAGUUCCUUCGAAAUGUCAUUACAUUAUGUAAUCGGUUAAUGCUGCCAUGUUAUAUAGCUGUAAAUGCAGCACAGAAAUGAAAGAUUCUUAUUCCAUGUUCUUAUAGCAUUGCUUGGAUCCUUGGACUAUUCUUAGGUCAGGAACUAGAUAAUCACAUAGGUUGGUGCUGUUCUCUGUUCUGUACAUGUUAUGACCAAAGAAUUUCUAUAUUUUAUAUGAACAUGCUAGAAAGAAGGAACAUACAGAAUUUUAACCCUGUAAUACAAAUACGGACAGAAUCAGUCUCACUUCCUUUUGCUUAAAUCAAUCUGCCAAUAAACUCGCCAGGGAUUUCCAGAAAAACCAAACCUAGGUGGUUUUUGGUUGAACCAAGUUGUCCCAACAUUUCAAGUAAAUCAGGCUCUUGUUAUAUCUGAUGAUAGUCCAGUUAAUGAUCAUUGUUAUUGAACACUUCACGCGUUUCACAGAAUCAAUACUACUACUAGUACCAUGUCUUAGAUCCAAGAAGAUUGCAACAGGUUCAUUUUCACUGCUGUUAUUAUUGCGGAUUCGAUCUUUGAAAACUUCGGUUUGGAUUUGGUAGAGUUGGUGUACUUCAUUUUGACUUGCAAAGUAAUUGCAUUGAAUAAGCAUACAGGAAUUUUAGGAUGUAAAAUUGAUGGUAGACAACUUCAAACAUACAUGUAACUUAGCAAGCUACAACCACCAAAAGCUGAUGUAUCGAUCCAUAUGUCAUAGAGUUUUCUGGUUUUCCCUUAUGUUAGUUUGGUACAGCUGUACAAUACAAUUCAUGUAACAGGUCACGAUUAUAUAAUAUUUGAGUUUAAACCUGAUGGAGAUUAAUGCGUGUUUGGAACAAACUACUAUAGGCUUUAUUAAAAAGAAAAACCUUGAACAAUAAGAACUAAGAAAAAUACAUAUUUCUGUUUACAAACCGGAAGGAAAAACUGUGUAAUCAUCCCCAAGCAAGAAACUGUGUUAUGAAAUAAUAAGCAGUACACCUGAUUAAUCAAGUGGAAUGCACACUCCGACUUAAUUUAAGUAUUCAUUCUUCAUGUCUUUGUUACUCCUGAUCUGGGGAUGGAGCAAUUGCUGGUGCUGAGGAAGGAGCAUUGCCCUGAUCGACACGCGUGAAACCGAAUUUCUUGAUGAGCUCAGUGGCAAUAAGCUGGUUAGCGCUAUCUGACGGGUGGUACUCAUCCCAGAAUACAUAUUUACUUCUGUCUUUGCAUAGUACUGAUGCAGGCACACAUGUAAGAGCCGGUCUUAUUCUUCCGAAUGAGCAGCAUGGUGAGUCUGAAUUACUGAAUCCUACAAAGGUUGAAGUUAAAUCCAAAAAAGAAAGUUAAAGAUAGAAAAUUUCAUUAUCAGAAUAAGAACAUAGUGAUGACAAGCACAUAAAAAUACCAUAUUUGCUUGGAUUGCUGAUCACAUUAUUGACAACAUCAUAAGCAUCACCAAAUCUGUAGCUGGCGUUAGGAAGUUUGGCGUUCAAAUCGUCCAUUAAUUUGCUUCCAGCUUUGUUGAAGCUGAGAGCUAAUUUGUUUGUUCUAUCUACACAAUCCCCAGAUGUACUUAGGACCCUCUGUAGUGGGAUACAACCCAUUGGUCCUAAACCAAACACCAUCAGCUGCCUUGCCCCUAAAGCAUGCAACAGCUACUCAAAAGAACACAAACAUACACACACAAGUUAGAAGAACAUAAUAAUAUCAUCAACAAGCAGAGAAGAACUAGCUCUAGCUUGAUCAGUAGAAAUGUAGAAUCAACCUGAAGUUGUGCCUUCAGUGUUUCCAUCAAGUAGUCGAUGAAGCUUUGAUCGUUGUAGUUCCAAGAAUCGCUAUAGACUGGCAUCAAAUAAUUGUUGAUGAAGUCAUUGCUGCCUAAAGCGACAACGUAACGAGCUCCUUGGAAAUACUUGUCUGCUGCCUCUUUGCCAAUUUUGCUCUUUAUCAAUGUUUGUGUCCCUAUAAACAGCUCGAUCUGCUUGGAGAGUGAAAACCUUUGAAUCUGCAAAUGGUUAAUUUGACCAAGAGCUUAGGAGGGUACAUGUAUAUAUAGUUAUAUAUCUGUUUAUUUAGGAUUGCAAUCAACUUACAAAUAAGCCACCAGUUUCAUUCAAGAUUCCACCACCUCCAGAAGCAUAGUUCACUCCAUUUUGGAGUAUCAUAUCUUCGGUUAAAGAUGGGUCUAGAAAUGCAGGUGGCCUCGGGAGACCCAUGUUAUCACCUUAAUGAAAGAAACAAACAAGUAUAAUCAGCAUCAAAAUUCAAAAACCAACAUAAACAUAACCAACUUUUUAAAUCAUAGCCCCCAAGCAGUGCUCGAGGCUCAAACUCUCUCGAGCACUACUUUGCAGGGUCAGACAAAGGUGUUACCUAUAAUAUCAGCAACUGUUCGACCAUUAGAGAAUCUCCCAUUAGGCAAACCAUUGCCAAAAUCAAUACCAUACCAGGGGAGGCUUGCUUGGGCGAGGCUCUUGCUCAAGUACUUGUUGUUUCCAACAUCAGAGAGAGAAUCGCCAAAUAUGAACUGCACCACUUUGCAGCUGUAACCAUCGAUCAGGAUGGCAAAGAUGGUCACAACCAACACUGCUACUCCCACAUUGAGCUUCAUGGUUUGAUAAUAAUCAAGCAGAUAUGUUGUAUAGGUCUUAUUUCCCAAGUAGAGGGAAGAUGAAUUUUUCUUGGAUUUGAAUACAUGUGCAGGCUGGGGAUAUAUACGAGUGAGGGAAUGUUUUCAGAUUUCAGAGAAACAGAGAGGGUAGUUUAGCUUGUUGGAUAUACCAACUCAACUACCUUGAUUUUGGUUACAAGUUAUAUACAAAGUUACAACGUUAUCAGUCUGAAAAUGCCAUAUGUUAAUCAUAUAUAGUAAUGUGAAAUGUAAAGGCAUGCUUGUGGGUUCACCUACUCAUCUAGAUUUCUUGAACCGGAAUAUCAAGUAAUUGGGAAUCUCUAGCUCUUUCAACAUGUUGGGCAAACCAUAUAUGUGCCUAUGGAGAAUGCACUCUCUAAGUGAUGAAGUUAAGUGAUCUGCAUUUCUAUCAAGUAAUGUUGUUGAGAUUCAAUAUGUAUCUAGGAAUGCUAAUAUGGUAGUUGAUUCUAUUUCAAAGUUUGUAGCCCGAUUGCAGGGGCUUUAUUCAUGGUUAGGGGUUUGACCCGAUUGGCUCAUGGAUGUCAUUGUUAAUGACGGACCCGUGACUUGUUCGAGUAGGAGGGAUGAGAGUGGAGAAGUUGCUUUCACCACCGAUAAUUCCCAAGCGUUGUAAUUCUAUUUUCUUGUUUUGAAUAAAAUUCUGAUGUUUCCUCCUAAAAUAAAGAGUUCAACGCCCCCAAGGCCCCAACAUUUCCUUCUUUUCAUAUCGUUCAAUUGUCUUUUAAACAAUUCUCGAACCAAAAAGAAUUUGCUUCUAAAAAUUUGUGUUCCCUUUUUCUAGAAUAGGAAGAGAUGUACCCAUUUUUUACCAAUUUGAUUGUGCGACUUUUCUUCGUUUGAUCUUCUAUUGUUAUUAAUUAAAUCAUACGCUGUUAGCAUCUUACAAAUCAUGUCAACCUACAAUUUGCUUGAACAAGCAAUGAUUUCCCUGAUAUUAUUCAUUCCAACUCAUUAGUACAACCACCUAACUAAACUAGAGUCGCACUUUGGUUAAUAAACUUCGUUCAUCAAUUAUUAGGAAAACUUUGCAAUACCAUUUACGACGGUUGUACACAGAGACAAACUAAGUUUAACUUUUCUUCAAAGAUAGAAACUAGAAAGUAUAGUUGUUCUAUGACUUUAACAUUAUCAAUUCAGUAUGAGCUCAAAUCGAACCCUAAUCAGUAUAUUAGGUAUGAUCAUAUAUGUUGUUGAGGAGGGUCUAACUUGUAAUAUAUAGAGAAACUUGUUUCUACCGUUGUACUGUUAAACAACGACAAACGUCGUCUGUAGAUCAUCCUUGUAUCGAUAUUGUCCUAACUUAAUUACAUUUUAUCUUUAAGGUGUUGAGUUUUAAUUACAAAAUAAUUCAAUACAAUUAGGUAUAAUCUCACAUAUAAAUUAUAUUUUAUUUAUUAUUUUUUGAUACGAAAUUUCUCAUCUUCCACGUGUACUGAAAAAUUUAUCUAGGAAGGUGGCUGUCAUAAUUUCAAUCUUGUCCGAAAUCGAAGUCCCUUCAAAUUUUAGGCUUAAAACUUACCGUUCUACAAAGCUCCCAGUAACUAGACAAAAACUUGAUGACGUGGCAGAUUCUCAGUGGUUGCAUGUAUGAUACUGCCGACCCCAUCAACGUGGCAGCAACUCGUCCCCAAGAAACUCCAAAACAGUAAAAUCAUAAAACUCCAAACAAAAACCAAACCCGAAAAUCUAUCCAGAUAUCCCCAUAAGAUCCCAGCCCUCCAUUCCCCCUAAUCCAACGGCCACCUCCCCCUCUCAUAUCCCAAACCAUAUCUCCCUAAAAGAUAAACCUUCACACUCCCUAGCUCCACCACUCACUCCACUCUCUCCACCACCCAAAAUGGCCUCCAUCGCUCUCAAAUCCUUCGUCGGCCUCCGCCGCCACUCCGCCGUCGAAAGCCCCAACUUCACCUCCCAGUCCAAACCCAUCUCCUCGUUCCCAUCAACUCCCCGAACUUUCCGCGUCCUCGCCGCCAAAACCAGCCCGAAAGUCGCGGGCCGGAACCUCCGGGUCGCCGUCAUAGGCGGUGGCCCCGCCGGCGGAGCCGCCGCCGAGACGCUGGCCAAAGGCGGCGUCGAGACGUUUCUCAUCGAGCGGAAAAUGGACAACUGCAAGCCCUGCGGCGGAGCCAUCCCGCUUUGCAUGGUGGGGGAGUUUGACCUGCCGUUGGAUAUCAUUGACCGCCGCGUCACCAAGAUGAAGAUGAUAUCGCCGUCCAACGUGGCGGUGGAUAUCGGGCAGACGCUGAAGCCGCACGAGUAUAUUGGGAUGGUGCGGCGCGAAGUGCUGGAUAAUUACUUGAGGAAUAGGGCGAGUGAGAAUGGGGCCAAUGUGAUUAACGGGCUGUUUUUGAAGAUGGAUAGUCCGGUAAAGGGAGAUGGGACGUCGCCGUAUGUGUUGCAUUACACCGAGUAUGACGGCAAGGCCGGCGGGGUUGGUGUCAAGAAGACUUUGGAGGUUGAUGCUGUGAUUGGAGCCGAUGGGGCUAAUUCUAGAGUGGCCAAGUCUAUUGAUGCUGGUGAUUAUGAGUACGCCAUUGCGUUUCAGGUAAUUUGAGACUUUCACAUUCUUUUGAUUUGAAAUUGGGUCUUGCAUGUUGGGAAUUGCUGUGUAAUGAGCUAGAAUGCGUUUAUAUAUUGGACUAGUUUGCAGUGAGUUAGCUGAUUUUGUGUCGAAAUUAGUUAAAAUCUUAGUGCUUGAUAGAGAAGCCUGUUGCUUAGGGGUAAGGCGCUCAUUGUUGUUAAGUUGUUGGUUUUUGUGUGUUUCAGGAGAGGAUCAAGAUCCCUGAUGACAAAAUGGUGUACUACGAGAACUUGGCAGAGAUGUAUGUAGGUGAUGAUGUGUCACCGGACUUUUACGGGUGGGUGUUCCCAAAGUGUGAUCAUGUGGCAGUGGGAACAGGCACUGUGACUCACAAAGGAGACAUCAAGAAGUUCCAGCUAGCAACAAGAAACCGUGCCAAGGACAAGAUUUUAGGCGGAAAGAUUCUACGAGUGGAGGCACAUCCGAUCCCUGAGCACCCCCGCCCACGAAGGCUAGCGGGGAGAGUGGCGCUAGUCGGUGAUGCAGCCGGGUAUGUGACUAAAUGCUCGGGUGAAGGUAUCUACUUUGCAGCAAAGAGUGGAAGGAUGUGCGCAGAAGCGAUAGUUGAGGGAUCAGAGAAUGGGAAGAGGAUGAUAAACGAAGGAGAUUUGAGGAACUAUUUGGAGAAGUGGGACAAGACUUACUGGCCGACUUACAAGGUGCUCGAUAUCUUACAGAAGGUGUUUUACAGGUCGAACCCGGCGAGAGAAGCGUUUGUGGAGAUGUGUGCAGAUGAGUAUGUGCAGAAGAUGACCUUCGAUAGUUAUUUGUACAAAAGGGUGGUGCCUGGGAACCCAUGGGAGGAUUUGAAGUUGGCUGUGAACACCAUUGGGAGCUUGGUUAGGGCUAAUGCACUUAAGCAAGAGAUGGAAAAAAUUGGUGCUUAGAAAGCAGGCAUUGAAAUUUGUCUAAAUUUUUUCCGGUCUUAUGUAAUAAGUACAAUCUCAUUGGAACCAAGAUUGAGUGUAAUUUUAUAUUGUAUUACAGAGACUCAGAGAAUUUGUAGUUAUAAUGUAUGUGGUAAUGAAUUGUUUUGGUAUGCGAGUAAGAGGGUGUAUUUGUAGUUUGCCAUGGUUUGCGUUGAGUUUUAACGACUAUUAGCAUCUUUCUCACUUCUACUCGUGUGGUUAAGUUGAGACAAUAUUGGUACAAAGAUGAUCCACGAGUCACGUUUGUUGUUGUUUGAUAAGGUUCACUCAAUAGGUAGCUUAGUAUUAGUAUUGCGUUUGGCAAUUUAUGUCUGAUAACGUGGUUUAUCCAUGACAUUGUAUUUCUUUGACUUCUAUGACAUUAUAUUUCUUUGACUUCUUGUAUAAGUGAAAACAUACAGAGUCAUAGAGGUAUAUUGAGCAAAUGUCCAACUUUUGUAUGCAAUGAAAUUGUCAAAGAGACAGAGAGACGAAGAAGAGAGAGUGCGGAGAAAAAAGAAAAGGGGGCAGCGGCGCAUCAUCUCAAACCCUUAUAUAUACCGGCAUCAACGACAACACUGUCGAAACAAAGAAAAGAGUGACAACAACAUCAUUUCACGCAAUCAAUUUAAACAGUGUCGUAAACUAUAAACCCUAAACUCACAAAUAACAUAGUGGAUUUAUAGUUUGAGGAUUUACGUACAACAUUGCGCCAUCAUACAAACAUGACCCUGUGACGAAAAAAUGAUGUUGUGUGCUUUCAUUUUCUUCUACCUAAAAAAUCUAAAAAAUUGACAUAGAAUGGAAAAGUGAUUGCCUAGACAAAUCGAGGCCGUCAAUAGCAAAUAUCAGAGAAGCAAAAGGAACAAAUAGAGAAGAUUCGAUUGCAUAUUGGCAAAUUGAAAUAAAGAAAGAAAAAGCCGUGUGGUAGGAGUUGGAAAAACUGGGGGUGGAUUCGUCCGAGGCCCAUCGACGGAGUUUCUCACAUCUUUCAUUUAACAAAACCCGACAACACUACAAAACCCACGCACGCUUUAUAGUCCUCUUCCUCAAUUUCGCCUUCCUCACUCUGUCUCUCUGAACUCUUCUCUGUCUCUCUAUCUGGUUGUUGUGGCCGUUCAACAACUCCAAAGGUUAGCUUCCUCCUCUACUUUCACGAUUCGAUGUCGUUUCAUUUUGCUCUAAGAGAUCUGUGGGCUCUGGUUUCAGAUCCGGUGGGCUCCAAGCUCUAAUCUUUUUCUUCGUUUCUUGCUUUCUGAAACUGAUAACUGAUUCAAAUUGUGAUAUUUGAUUUAGGGUAUUUUGUCUGAGCUCAAUUAAGAUGCAAAUAUCUGUGCUUUUUGUGUACGUGAUAUUGGGUUUGGGGUAAUUUUGUUAAAAAUAUGUGCUUUUUUUGUGCGUGUUAAAGAUGGCAGCAAAGUUUAGAUUUUUCUUGUGUAAUACAGGGUGUGAGAGAUGGCAGCAACAGCAGCAGCUACCUUUUCCGUCGGAACUGCCUUUUCCGUUGGCCGGAAAGGAGUAUCAACCGCACAGUCGAAGCCUUGUGCUUUGAGGUUCACCACCCAAAACCCUCUCAAGAGUUUCAGUGGCCUUAAGGCGGCGAGUGGAUCGUUUGCAUGUGAAUCUGAGUCGUCAUUCUUUGGCAAGGAGACCACUGCAGCUAUUCGAGCUUCUUAUGCUUUGAAAGCGCACAAGGAAGCCGUGGUGGUUCAGCAGCCGCAGGCAUCUUAUAAAGUAGCUGUUCUUGGAGCUGCUGGGGGGAUUGGCCAGCCCUUGGCGCUUCUCAUCAAGAUGUCUCCUUUGGUGUCUUCCCUGCAUUUGUAUGAUAUUGCCAAUGUCAAGGGUGUUGCGGCUGAUCUCAGUCACUGCAACACUCCCUCGCAGGUUCUUGAUUUCACGGGAGCUGAUGAGUUGGCUGAGUGUUUGAAAGGUGUGGACGUGGUUGUCAUUCCUGCUGGAGUUCCAAGGAAGCCUGGCAUGACCCGUGAUGAUCUCUUUAACAUCAAUGCCGGCAUUGUGAAGAACUUGAUUGAGGCUGUUGCUGAUAACUGCCCUGAUGCUUUCAUUCACAUCAUCAGUAACCCGGUCAACUCUACCGUGCCUAUUGCUGCUGAGGUUAUGAAGCAGAAGGGUGUUUAUAACCCAAAGAAGCUCUUUGGUGUUUCUACUUUGGAUGUGGUGAGGGCAAACACAUUUGUUGCUCAGAAGAAGAAUCUGAAAUUGAUUGAUGUGGAUGUACCAGUUGUUGGUGGACAUGCUGGGAUAACUAUAUUGCCCUUGCUGUCGAAGACAAAACCCUCAGUCAGCCUCUCUGAUGAAGAAGUUGCAGAGCUGACUGUUAGGAUUCAGAAUGCUGGAACCGAAGUUGUGGAGGCAAAGGCAGGUGCUGGGUCUGCAACAUUGUCAAUGGCAUAUGCUGCAGCCAGAUUUGUUGAGUCGUCUCUCCGUGCACUGGAUGGAGACAGUGAUGUCUAUGAGUGCUCUUAUGUGGAUUCAAAUUUGACUGAGCUUCCAUUCUUUGCUUCAAGGAUUAAGAUUGGAAAGGAAGGAGUUGAAGCUUUGAUACCAUCUGACCUCCAGGGUCUGACAGAGUACGAACAAAAGGCUCUGGAAGCACUUAAGCCAGAACUGAAAGCCAGCAUUGAGAAGGGUAUUGCAUUUGCCAACAAGCAACCAGUGGCUGCAUAGAUGCUAGCAUCCGAAUCUCCUCAUUCUAAUGACUGCUUUACAGAGGGAUAGAAAGAAUCUGGUUAUAUUUUUCUUCGGAUUUUGCUUUGCAUCAGUACUUUCAAUUUUGUGGAAUGAAGUUUAUGUCAUUCCAUUUUUCUAUGUCGAAGCACUUUGGGGAGGACAUAUAGAGUUGCUUCUGUUGUUGUAGAUGAAGGUUAGACAGUUUUGAAAUAACUUGGCUCCUCUAUUGGUUGUGUUUAGGGAUAUCAUGUAUUUCUCCUCCUGCUGUAUGUUUGCAAGAGUUGAGCUAGUCUGUGAUGCAACAAAUAAAGUUUUACCUACUUUCAUGAUAGUAUACAGUUUACCUUAUGAGCAUCUAUGAUGAAUUCAGACUUUGAAUUAUAAGCAAUUUAGCAUCGGGCAAUAGCUUCAAAAACGACUGUACUGUAUCAAUUUGACCCAAAAAAUGGCUACAAAAAGGUACAAUCGAUCGGCAAUUUUAGCAGUGUUCAGUUUUGAAUUUUAGCAAUAGCUUCCACAUUAUCUUCCAAUUAAUCUUAAAUUUUGAAUCUCUAUCUUUCACUGUAGCUUUUCACUACCAUCUAUGCUACUCUACAGUGUCACUUGUCUGAAUUUCUACAGUGAUGCUCACAUGCCGUAGUUCUUGAAUGUUCCUACCAAUAGCCAUUGCAUGAGCAACGUCCCUCCCGAAAAUGAUGAAACCGACUGCGGUCUCUAACAAUUAUCGUCCUGUUAUAAACCCCUGAGAGAAUCAUUGCAAAGUUGUGGCAAUCAACACAAGUGCGAAGAUUCUUGGCCACUCUAAUUGUCAUGCCAGGUGGAGUUGCCAGCACUCCAAAAGCAAUAGCUAGUUUCUCGCUGUGAUAGGAGAGUGCAUAUCCCUUCUCUGCUGCCCCCAAAUUGUGAAGUUCAGAUGAUACAUCAGCAACAUAACCAGCAAUCUUCAGCUGACUAUUGAUCUCAUCUAGCAUUCGGUAGAUUUCGUCCUUCCUUGGAUGUGAAACAUCAUCCACCAAAAACUCGUGGACUGUUCCAUCCAGUAUGAUUGUGCUGCAGCCUGGUGUAGUUUGAAUUGCAUUUUCCUUCAUAAACUUCCUCAAUUCAGUUAACUUCUCCCAGUUUUUAGCUGUAGAGUAAAUAUUCAUCAACAGAACAUAGUCCCCUGCCUCUUGAGCCUUGAGUUCGAUCAAAUGAUCCACCACACGUUCCCCAAGGGUUUCAUAGUUAUGAAUCCUGCAAGCCCCAAGUAAGGUCCUCCAUAUUUUCGAAUCUGGAUUAAUAUCCAUCGACAUUAUAAGCUGAUAAGCUUGAUCAAGUCGACCAGCACGACCCAAUAGAUCAACUAUACACCCAUAGUGAUGGAUAUUAGGCACUACUCCAAACUCUUUACUCAUGCGCUCAAAAAUAUCCAUUGCUUCAACAACCAACCCACAAUGACUGCAAGCAGAAAGCACACCAGUAAAAGUCUGUUCAUCAGGUAAAACACCCAUUCUCUGCAUCUCACAAAACGCUUCAACCGCGUCUCUACCAUACCCAUUCACUGCAAGCCCGGAAAUCAUUGCACUCCAUGAAACCACAUUUCUACCCCGCAUUCCCUUAAACACCUCAUAAGCCUUAUCCAAACACCCACACCGCGAAUACAUAGUAAUAAGAGCAUUACACAGAUUAGAAGCGCCACCAUAACCAUGUUCCUCAAUGUACCUAUGAACCCUUUCGCCAAACUCCAAGGCGUUCAUGUUUGCACAAGCUUGCAGCGUAAGUAAACAAGUAACAUCAUCAGGCUCACAUCCGUAGCUUCCGCUCCGCAUAACGUCAAACACACCCAGAGCGUCCCUGCUGUGGCUGUUAUGCAGAAAGCAAGAAAUCAACACAUUCCAAGCAACAGUGUCCCUCUGCGGAAUUUCAUCGAACACCUUACAUGCAUCAUGAUACUCCCCACAAGUCGAGUACAGGUUCAUCAGAGCUGUGAGUAAGCGACUAUCUGAAUGAUGCCCAUCUCUAACAAUCCUAGUUUGCACCUGAAUUCCUACUGAUAAGCAUUGCAUUUUAACACAGCACUGGAUUACGAAGAAGGACGACAGCGAGUUGCAAUGAAGCCCUCGCCGUCUGAAGUCUCGGUAGAGAUGAAUACCCUGUUCGGGUGAAUCGCUCGUGGAGUAAGCUCUUAUGAGAGUGUUGUAGUGAAUGGCAUUGGGUUUGGGGAUUUGGGCUAAGAAAUGGCGGGAGUAGGUUAAGUUUUUGAGUGGCGGGGAAAGCGAAAGGAGGGAGAGGAAGUGGAAGCAGAUAGAGGAGUCGAGAAUGAGAGAGGUUUGGAGAAUGUGGGCGUGGAUUUGGAGUAAAUGGGAUUUGUGGGUGCAUGAUUUGAUGAGGGAGAGGAGGGAGUCUUUUCGGGUUUGAGCGUAGGAGAUGAUGAUGGGUUUGGUCUGGUUUUGAUGGUCAUGGGGGGUUUGGAUUUGGGAAUGGUCGAGGGAGGUUUGGUUAGUGGUGAAGAGUGAGGGGAAGGUGGAGGUGAGACGAGUAGAGGAGAUGUUGUGAUGUUGGAGAUGGGCACAGUUUGAACGCAGGGACUGUGAGAUCGCAGUCAUUUUCAGCUCUUUGCUUUCUCACAUCUCUAUUUAUAUGUUCUUGCCAUUUUUUUCUUAAAGAGCAAGAAUUUUGGGAAAUUUUGAGUUUUGAUAUGGGUGUACCAUUACACCAUUUUGUUUAUUUUCAAGUAUUUGGAUUGAGAUACUAAAUUGGUAUGAUGGUAUUUUUCUUUGGAAAAUUCUAGUUCAAGCGGUAAUUUUUACUACCAUCACCUCGUGUAAAGCACGUGCAAUGUAGACAUGUUAGUGUAUGUAUGAACAUGUCUAUGUAUGUCAUACAUGCGGACAUAACAAACAAACCCAUUUUCUUUUUAUAUUUGUAGAUGAAAAUUUGAGUUUAAAUUCUCUGUCGCGCAAGAUAAAUAAAAUGUAUGAUCGUAUUGAGAUUUAUGUUUCAUUUCAAUUAAAUUUAGGUUCGUACAAGUAACAUGUUCUAAUUAAGAGAAAUACAAACAAUUCACUCGGUUGUUCUUGUUUCUGUUCUCGCCUCUUCAUCCAUGCAUUAUAAAUUCAUGAAAUUAUAUUUUCCUUUUCCAUAUUAGGAGUAUGUAUGAAUUAUUCUAUGAACGAUAUUUGAUAGAUAUGCAUCUAAAACAGAAAAAGAAAAAAACUAAAACUAAAUCAACCGUUUAAUUGACCAACCAUUUUCUGUAACAGGGUGCUCUGAAGAUGAAGUAGUCUUUCAGAGCCCAGUGUUCAUAUCAAGCUAUGAACUAAUUUAACCAUGUGUGCAAACCCACAAAAUCAACCUAAAAAAUCAGAAAAACUAAACAACUGAUCUGGCUGUUAUGAUAUUCCCGUUUAUUAUAUCAUCAUGCUAGCGGAAGAUGAAAAGGAAUCAGACAAAAGCGACUUAAUCUCUUCGUCUUCCUCGUCUCCUCGAUUGUCAAUAAUAGCCAUGGACUUCCCUCCACGAUUAUCAACAAUGCUGAAAUUAGAAGAAUGGGGUGGAUAAUCAAUCAGAUUCAUCCCCAUGAUCUUUCUCUUCUUGUAGUUGGCCUUAAAACAAGCCUGUCUCAACCGCUUGGUAUGGUCCUCCAGUUGCAUAUCCGGAGCUUCCUCCAUCAGCUUCUUCUCCCUCUCCAAUAACUCGAUCGCAUUCCGAAGCUUCUCUUCAUUAUUGUCAUCUUCUUCCUUUCCCAACUCCUUAAUAACAAUCAAGGAACGUUAUAUUUUCCGAUGGUGAUGAAGAAACUGAAUUGAAAUAUGUCGUACUUAAUGUUACUUUUAGCUAGGUACCUGAAUGUUCACCUGAAUGUUCCGGAUUAGGGUCUGGAGGCUGGUGAGUUUCCGAUGAGGCCAACGGCGAACACCCAACUCCCGGCACCUUUUCUUCAAAAGAGUCAAGCCGACGUUUAGUUCUUUCGCUGCUUGAGUUAUAGGCAUGUAAAAGUACUGGGAGAUUGUUUCCCUAGACAACAAUUUUGAUGAUGAAUAGCUUCGAGUACUGCUACCACUUUUCACUUCGUCUCUCAUGCAUCGCUUCUUAUGCUUCCUCUCUUCACCGACAUGUUCUCUAUCUCCGCCAUUUUGAUCUUCAUUGCUCGUAAGCAGUAAAAUAGGCUGCUGCUUUUCUUGUUGCUGUUGUUCUUGUUGAUCAUGAUCAUGAUUAGGGUGCUCAAACCCAGAAGCGAACACCUCAUUGUGAACUACAUUCUCAGUCUCAUUUGCAUUGUCUCCAAACAAAACAUCAUCUCCUACACGUUCAGAAUCUAAAUUAUUACAUAAAAAUUUAUAUAAUGAGAAGUUUACCCUGAAAGUUUAGGGCAUAUGUAAAUGACUGUUCAUCACCUUGAAAUAGGCUUCGGAUAGGUUGUAUGUCAAGAGACGAGUAAAGAGGGUCGUGAUCAUGGAGAUUCAGACAGGUCUCCAUGAAAGGAAGAGCGUCAACAAAACUAUAGUCUUGCACCAUCGGCGGAACUUCAUUUUCCCAGUCCAGUACUGGAGCAUAACCACUUCACCACCAAUCAAGAAUCAUAAGGUUAAAUGUUUAAGUACCAAUGAAAUCAAAGGACUGCAGUUAGAUCAAACAAUAAACACGAUACCUGAAAUCAGCAGGAGAAAAUUGAUUUGCAAAUGAGAAUGGGUUUUCAUUGGAAACCCCCACCCAAUUAGGGUUACUCAUGAGGGAAUGACUCUGAUGGUGACUCUUCACUGUCAUUGCACCCAAAUCGAGAAAGAGAGGAAGAGAUUAAUGGCCGGCGGUGAAUAUAAAUGUGCAAAACUCUGAUCGACGAUGACUUAAGGAAGAAGAAGAAGAAGAGGCAAAUAGUGAGUGUAUAUAUAGGCUCAUGCAUUUACAUGUAUGCAUGAAUCAGCACAACUACUAGUGUUGUAAUUAAUCAUUGUGUUACUGCUGUGGUUUGUGCGCGUUUUAAUGCUUAGUGAGAGUUACAAGAAUGUAGUAUUAAUUACUUGCUAAACACCUCUAAUACAAUUUAUUAGAUUUAGAGGGCUUAAUCAUCUUCAUCAUUAGCCUACAUAAACGUGCGCCGCCACAGCUCCUCCUCAAUCUGUUUUUUUCAUUAAUAUUAAUUAUUCCUUCUUUCUAUUUAUCUUUCUCGAUUUUGGCUAGAUAUGCUUAGUAUCUAUAUAUAGAGAUUCAUUCAACUUAUUUGGGUGGAUUUAGAGUGGAUUAGUGAGUUAAUUUGUUGGAGGAGUGUGCAUGCUUGCCAAGUCUGAUUUUCCUUCCAGUUCGGACACUUGGACUUACUGAUAGUCGAAUACGACCUUAUAUUAUUAUUUUUUGAUUGAAAUACCACCUUAUGUUUGGGAAUGACAUUUCAAAAAUAAAAAAAUAAAAAAACUUUCUAGAGGCGUAUAUGCAUGUAACGUACCAAUAAUCAUUUACACGUUAAGGGGACGUACUGAUUAAUCAUUUUGGAUGAAUUAGAAUUGAUGAAACUUACUAGUGAGUGGGGUGAGAGGGGAGAGUUACUGCUUUAUAAUUUCUCUGCGCACUAUUAUCCUUCAAUCAUUCAUCACUUUCUAUCAUCAGUUAGAAAUAUUGUGAUUAAUAUUGUAACCAAUAGUUAUAGCCAAUCCUUCUUCUAUAUCGUGUAUCUUAAUGCAUAUUAUGGGUAGUGGUGGCUGAUCCAGUAAUCGGCAUUAAAUCAUAAAAAAAUACAUGGAUUAUGAGAGAUGAACUGAUGAAUGUUUAAGAAGUUAUGAUUGAUAACACAAUCCACAAUCUUCAUUAAAGAUUAGAGAUUGUGGAAAAUCUGGAUUCUGGAAAUUCUGUUUUUCAAUCGCGAAAAACUAUCCAAUAUGCAGCUGAUGACAAAUACCCUCCCACCCCCAAAACAAAUUACCAAGCUUUUGCAAGAAUUAAUCGAAAGGUGGGAAGAUUGAAUUUUUAAUACAGUUGUUUUGUUUUCAACCCUUGGAUGUUAAUCUAAUAGUGUCUGACCAUGAAUUUCUUGAUCAGUGACUAACCAUGUGAAGACUACUCUUAAUUUUGAUCCAUCACUUUCCUUUUUAAACUAUGUGGGUUUUUUGAGCUUGAACUAAGCAGAGCGAAAAAUGAUCACCAAGCAACAGCAAAAUCCAUAAAUAAUCAAAAUAUGGAUAAUACAACCGUUUAUGCUUUUGAUAUGGUAGAAGGGAAAUAAGCUGGUCCAAAACUUUUCUUCUUCAAGCCUUUGGGAAACUCGAACUCCAGGCAGGGGAACAUGAUACUAUGAUUCAGUUUCUUCCCCUGCCCCUUCCACGGCCACGCCAACUUCCUCUACCCCCACCACCCUUGCCGCCGCCUAAGGCUUUGUUCGCAUCACCGUGUGCUUUCAUGUUCUCUGGCAAGGGAAGUAUAUGAUCCACACACUUUCUGAAACUAAAAUCAUCACUGGCUCCAUCUUCCCUAACAAGGAAGUAGCACCUACUUCUAUACAAUGGAUGGAACCGGACUUGGAAAGCCUGGAUCCCUCCACCAAUCUUUUUAUCAGGCUCAGAGUGACCCUUCUUGAGCAAGUCCAGCAAAACCAGAUAUUCAUACUGCACCACAAUACAACAAGACAUUCAAUCAAACAAUUCAAGAAUAUAAUAAAUUAAUAAUAUGUAAGAAAAGAAUUAACCAGACAUUUUGUCAACUAUAACACAUGAUAUUCUAAUAUACAUUUCAUCAAAUUCAGAAGCUGUAGACUAUUUCCACCUAGCAUUUCAAAGAAAAUAUCAUACAUGUGAGCUAGAGGGUAUCAUCAUGAUGUAGAAGAAAGGUGAAAUAACAUGUAUGAUUCAUUACCCAUAUACAAGAUGUUGCUCCUAGUUUUGUGAUACCUUAGUGAAAACUGUAAGCUAUACUACAAUGAUUUCCCUCCAAAUCCUUACAUCCAGAGUAUAAUUCAAUACUUAACAACCCAAUGUACCCUAAAUCAAUGUCUGUGAAACACCAAAACUAGAGAUAUCAACUCCAACACGCAAGAAUGAACAACCAAAUUUCACCUUUAUAACUAGGGUAACAAGCACAAGCUAAUUACAGAAACCAUUCUAAUAUCUCAAUUAUAUACCAAAACAGAGGAAAAACACAAAGCCAGAACCAAAUUUCCCAAAAUCAGCUCAACCAAGUUAACCCCAUUCUUUGAUUUCCAUACUUUCGAAACUACACCCUAAAACAAUGUUAAUGAAACACUAGAAUCGCGCAUGUCAAUUACAACUUCCCCGUCUACAAUACAAAACUAUCCACAAUGUAUAUCAACACAUGCAUCCAAAUCCUAACUCGAAUAUCAACCGCUACACGAAUAAGCCCCAAAAUUCUCAACACCCUACAUCAGCAACACUCAAAUUUCACACCCAAACACAGUAAAUUCACACGCAUUAACAAAACAAGUUUCAAUCUUUCAUCAAAGUUCAAUACUUUAAGCAAAACCAAAACAGAGCUCAAAAAAAUCAAACAGCUCUAGCUAGUUUCUAUUACCUUAUUGAUAUUAAGAUCAGUGGGCCAAUAAUGCAGGAGCUUAUAGAAAUAGUCGAACAUCUCAACCGCCGAACCGAAACUCUUCGGACCCAAGCUGACCCGACCCGCCCCGUUCUCUCCUUCCCCUAACUUCUCCAACCUUUGCUCCUCAGCUGACUUCUCCUCCACCUUCGCCUUCUUCGCCGCGCCGUCGCCGCCGCUCUCCUCCGCCUCUUCUUCCUCCCGGGCCCGCUUAGCUGUGGCAUCGCCGUUCUGGGCCUCGUCGAUAUUUUGGGCAGGGGCGGUUUCAAGGUCCAUGUCCUCGGCCGCGGGGUUGGUAUCGGCGAUUUCAGCGACGGUGGUCUCUGCCAUGAUUAAUUGAGUUUGAUGAGAGUGUGAGUGUGAAGCUAAAACCCUAGGUUCUUUGUCCUCGUUAUAUAUAGACUUCAGUAGCGGGCUUUUUAUUUAGGGCCGAAUCUGUCUCACCCGAUAUUUCCAUAUUUUGUAAUUUUUUUGGUGUAUUUAAUUAUUAUUAUUAUUUUUUUUUCACCUUUUUGCUAGUUCUCACAUAAAUCUGAGUUAUAUAAUUAGCCCAUUUAGCCGGGUACAACACUUGGCAGUGUCACGUGGUGUUCCGGAUACAGCGAAUAAUUACUCCUCAAAAGAAAUUUUUUUUGUAAUCUUCUCUUUUGCCAAGUAAUUUCCAAUUUUGUUUGCCUCUUUUUUUUUUCUUUUUUAUGUUGUAUGAAAAAAGAUUGUUCUCCUAAUAUCAUUUAGUAAUUUCUACUAUGAACUUCAAAAAUAUAGAGAAUGAAAGGCUAGUUUGAAAUCUUUGACUCCUUUUAGUUAGUUGAAAACUGACUUGGAUGGUGUCUAUGAUCAUGUCUCUAAUUGUGGUGGUGUUGGUGUAAUAGUGAGGGGACUCUUCUGCUUCGCUAGUUGGAGGUGUGUUUUUACAGGUUGGGCAUAUCACAUAUGACAUCACUAAAUUGGUUGAGGUUACAGCACGUAAAAUAGCUUGUGAAUUGGCUGUUGUGACCAAUUAUUAUGGAGUCAGACCGCCUUGAAUUGGUUCAGGCUUCGAAGGUUCCUGAUGAUGAUAUACUAUACUUUGGGCAUAUUAAGUUAUAUCAAGCUCAGCCUUGUGGUUCUUUCUUCUUCAUUUUUCAUGUAUGUGUAUAGAGAUGCUUAUAUGGUGGCUCACAUAGUUGUAAAACUAGCUCUCAAUUAUGAUUUUUAUUGAUGAAAUUGUUCAUGAUUUUUUUUUUAUCUUCAAGUUCAAGAAAUAUUACUCUCCCAGAAUAAUAUUAAUAUUUAGUCUUUAUUUUUUUGUGUUACAAAACGAAACCGCUGAAAAAAUGAGAUACCAUUUCAGGUUAAGGGGUUGGGAGCACUUUAUAUAUGACCUUUUUUUUUAUACAUAGAUGUAUGACAAUUCCAUAAGUGAUGUGUUCCACAAGAUGGGGUUUGAACUAAAAAUCUCUUAUUAUCAUGAAAAUUUUUAUAGCGUUCGUACCGUUUGCGGUUUAAACAUUUUUUCACUUGACCAACCUUUUAAAAAUAGAAAAAUAAUUUAAAAUUUACAAUGAUUAAGAAUAUAGGAUUUCCAAUAUUAAAUUUUAUUAAUCUCUAUUAAUCUAAAAAAAUCCUCCGUUUUUCAAAGUUUAUAUUAAUAUCAAUAAUCAACUUAACAAAAAAGUCGAGAUUUUCUUUCUAGAAAAGGUCUAAAUUACUUACCAAUAAAAAGAAUAAAAAAUAAUGACUUUUCUCUUUUGGACAUAGCCCACCUACUCAAAGACAAGACUCCAUGACUGACGUCCGUUACUGUGACAAAACGCGCUAAAUUGAAAACACCAUCUGAACCGCCAAAUUCCACCCAGACGGUACGAAUUUCGCUACGUGUCACCAUCCGCUACAGAUGAUCACAGACGAUCUAUAUUCCAGCUUCGGAUAGGGGUUACCGAGCCUAGCGAGUCUUAUCCGAAGCUGGUGCGGUGUCCCUUCCAAAUUUAAUUACAUUUCUUUCGAGGUGAAGAAGAAGAAGAAGAAGACGACGACUUUUCCAGAAGAGAGAAAACAAAUUUCCAAGCUCAAAGUCUAGGUCUUUUCCAGGUACUUGUGCUUCUCUUUUUCUUCUGCUAAAUUCAUCUCUGAAAUUCUUGAAAAUGUCAUACUUGUUGAUGUAGAAAUUUUGCCAAGGCGUUUAUAUUUUGAUCGCGUUUUGUGAAUUUUUGGAUUACCGAUUGGUAAUUUUUUUUCUUCUUAAAUUUGUUUUGCAAUUUGUGAGAAAGAUUGAGAAUUUAUGGUUGUAGGUGCUAAUUAUUAUUAUUAUUAUUUAUUUUUUUUGGAAAUUGAGUUUUUGCUGAGUUUAAAUGGUUGAAUCUGUUGGGGUCAUGAAGAAACAGUGAUGCUAUAUUGAUUUAAUUGCUUGAAAUGCAGGAUUGAUUUCGUUGUUUUGAGUUUUGAUGUGUGAUGAAUCUGAAUUUUGUUUUCGAAAAAAAUCGGGAUUAAGCGUCAAUAACUCAAUAUUUUGCUGCAUUAGAAUCCAGGACUGGUUAAUUUAAUUUAUCCUGAUCAUACCUGAUGCAUAGGUAUAUUGUGAGCUUUGUGUUAAUUUGAGCCGGAAGGUUUCGGAAUUUAAUGGUUGUGGUGGUUCUGUCUUGUCGGUGCAGGAGUUUUUGUUUGAGAGAGAAUGAGUGAUCACCUGGUGUUGUGUGUUGACCACUUCACGAAACCUGACAGUUUGCAAGCACCGAAAGGGACUGAGACUCCAGGAUCUUCUCUGGAGGCCUCGUCGUCAUCAUCGUCCCAAUCGGCUGAGAUACCGAGUUGUGCAAUUGAUAUUAAGGGAGCAGGGGAGAAUGCUGUAUCUGAAGAAGAGGAGCCGCUGAUUCAGACUGUUGAAUGUCGCAUUUGCCAGGAAGAGGAUGGUGUUAGUAAUCUGGAGGUCCCCUGUGCUUGCAGUGGCAGCUUAAAAGUAUCAUCUGAUUCAUUGAUGCUCAUAUAGUUUUAUAUUUGCAGUUUUGCAACCUUUUUUAUUUUUCCUUUUUCUUUUUGGGGUGGGGGCAAACGACAGUCCUUUUGAUUCUUAUGAAUUUGAAUUGGUAAUUCAUUUACAAUAAUCGGUCAGUAACUUGGUACUUCCGAGAGUUAAGUUCUUGAAGUAGGUUGUUCUUGGGCAUAUUAGUUUGAUUGUUGUUAGUUACAUAUUCUUUUCUCUCUGGUAGUAAGUGACACCUUCUAUACUGCAACCUGAAGUACUACUUGACAUGUGCUGUUUAUUCUUUUUUCUUCAUGUUUUGAUUAUGCUGAGAGAUCUUAGCUUGUCUACAUUUCUUCCUGAUUUCAUUUGUUCAUUUCUUUUUUCGCUAUCCAAUGGAUUUUAACAAGCUUUUUAUCCAAACUAAGAGUUUGGUAUUAUGCUCCUUGUCCUAUAUUUACCUAAGAAUUGCAGUGCUUUCUUGUAUUCCAAAUCAAUGGUUUAGUAUUAGUAUUUUAAUCCAAGUCUCUAACUGUUACUUCUACAAUUCCAGUAUGCUCAUAGAAAAUGUGUUCAGAGGUGGUGCAAUGAGAAGGGAGAUAUCAUUUGUGAAAUUUGUCAUCAGGUAAUUCGCUGUAAUCCAUUGCAUAUACAGUGGUCAUUUUCAAGAGUGUUUAUAGAAUUUGUUUCAUUUCUAUGUUAGAGAUUUAUGGAUAUUCUUUGUAUUCACAUAAGUAAAGCUAUUUAGAAGCUAUCAUUGUCAUGCUUGUCCACUUCUUUGAUUGCGAAGCAUCAGUAUUUUGGUGUAUCGUGAGAAUGUUAGUGUUGUCUAAUCAAUUAACUAUGAUAAUGCAUGUAUGCAAUUUAUUAGAGCAUAUGAGCAUUUUUUGGUAACCUUUGAUGAUCUCAAUGGUUGAUUGAAUCUUUUCCAGUCAUGAAUUGCACAGUUUGUGUUCACUAUGAUGAAAAAGUUCUUUUGAUGCAGCCUUACCAACCUGGUUAUACUGCCCCAUCACCUCCUCCUCAGUCUGAAGACACUACUAUUGACAUCAGGCAAGUAUAGAAUUUAAAUAUGCUUUUGAACUUGUUUAGCCAUGGGAUUUUGACAAUCUUUUUAUUUUUUCAAAUUAAAAUUUGGAAAGAUCCGGGAAUGUGUAUUUAUGAUAGGGCUAAUUGUAUGACAAUCUUCAGGCCAAUAUGGUGUACACCUUGUCUGUUUUGACCUUUUAUAUUUUGCUUCUUGAAUUUGUCUGACAGUGAGGCCUGGACAAUCUCUGGUACCCCCUUGGAUUUACGUGAUCCUCGACUACUGGCAAUGGCAGCGGCAGAACGUCACUUUCUUGAAUCUGAAUAUGAUGAGUAUGCUGAUACAAGUGCUAAUGGAGCAGCUUUUUGCCGCUCUGCUGCUCUAAUUGUAAGCCACAAUAACCCUUGUCAAUACUAGUGAAAUGGUUUAAAUUUUUGUAUUUUUAAGGUUUUUUUUUUUUUUUUUUUUUUUGGUGAAUCUAUUGGAGGAUGAGCAAAAUCAACUCAUGUUUUUAUCUUGUGGUCUUUAUUAACAUUACUCUACUCAUUAACAGUUUUGUUCACCUCUUUAGUUUACUAAGUCUCCUUUCUUCAUGGUCAUUUGGUUUGGUGUAAUUGGUUGGCUUUCUUUUGGUCAUGCAAGUUGCAUGUUGCAUAUGCAAAUGCCCAUUUUGAAACCUUGGCAACUCUCAGUUGAACAAGAACAGUGUCAUCUUUUCCUGGUUGAGAAGUUUCUGUUAUCUACAUUGACCUUUCUCCCUUUGUUUUUUGGCAGUUAAUGGCUCUUCUACUCUUAAGGCAUGCUUUGACUCUUCCCAAUGGUGACGGGGAUGAUGAUGAUGCUUCUACAUUUUUCUCUGUAAGUGCGCUAUGGAUGUUUAAUGGGUCCAAUAAAUUUGACAAUUUUGCACCAUCUAACUCCAAUGAUUAAUUAACAGCUUUUCUUACUCCGAGCUGCUGGUUUUCUUCUUCCCUGCUACAUUAUGGCCUGGGCCAUCAGUAUAUUACAACGUCGAAGGCAAAGACAGGUUAGUAUAGGCUUUGCUGUUUUUGCAGCAACAAAUACUAAAUUAUCUCUUUUCUCUUUUCUUUUUUGAACAAGAUCACAUCUAUGAGAUUGGUUCCAUCUGAAGACUGAAAUGGGAUUUCUUCUCCAUGCUUCAACUGCACUGAAAGAAUUUAGAAAACUUGCGAACAAUUUUACUUUUGUCAUCUACAAAAAGUUUACUGCUCUUGGUAGAUGAUUGCAUGCUGUAUAAUAUUAUCUUCUUGAAAACCUUUUGCCAUCAGUGGUGUUAAUAUGAAUCAUAUGACUAUUUAUUCAGAUGGGGAUUAUACUGUCUUGUCCUUUCUCUUUUUGUUUCUGUAUUGAUGCAUAUGAUUAACUGUAGCACAUAGUGAUGCAUAGCUUCUAGAAUGACAUUGUUGGUUGCAGGUUGAUUUCGGUUAAAAUAAUGCAGUUUCCCUUUCCCCUCUUUUUUUAAAUAACAUUUUAAUCUGUUUGUCUAUUACUGUUUAUCCAGGAAGCAGCAGCACUUGCAGCAACUGAGGUUGCAUUUAUGCUGCAGGCAGGGCAACGUCGUGGAUUGCAGUUCACAAUAGCUUCAGGACCUGCUGUGACUCCCCAUCAGGAGCCAAUUCAAUAAUAUCAGUGCUCCACAAUUCUGGCGAUCUUCUUUGUUUGCGAAGAGAAUGGGAACUGAGAUUUGAGCAUAUUGUUUUUUAUGCUUAGUAGCAGUAAAGAUAAAAAUCUUUAACGAGUGUCUGUAUCCGUAAUCACAUUUUUUAAUACAGCUCACUUUCUUUCGAUAAAUGUUAUAUUCCAAUGCUAUGUAUAUAAUUUGGUUCUCAAGUAAACUACACUUGAUUCAAAAAGUGUAUUUUUCACAUAUUAUAAAACUAUCUUGGAUUUCAUGAUUUAGUUCUAGUUAGUUUACUGUUAUCUUAUUUUAUACUGCUCAUGAUGGAGUAUUGUAAAUGCUUGGCAAGCAUGUACAUAGCCUUCAUUAUGUAUCAGUAUUCUUUUUCAUCUUAUAUUCCAUGUGCUUUUAUUAUUUGGUUCCUUUUGGUUUCAAACCAACAAAACCGGUCUCUGCUCUUUCCUAUCUGCAUUUUGUUGAUUGUUGAGGUGAGGGACUCAUUGAAAUGUUGCAUUAUAUGAGUUUAUUGGAGGAUCAAAUAAACUCGUUGCAGUUUUCCAUUUACAUGAAUCUAGUUUUUGAUUCAUGCACCAUUGCUGAUGUUAAAUUUAUGUUCUGGCUUUCAGCCUUGUAGAUUCCUUGCACCAUUGCUUUCUUGGAUCCAGAUGAAGAACUAACGUUACACUGUGAUGUAGUUGUUAAAAGUUAAAUGUGAUGGUGAAGAAUGAUUUGGAAAGCAAUAGUGCAUUCAGUUCUUUUACUUUAAUACAGCUCUCAAAGCAGAGAUCAGGGAUCUAAGAGCUUAAAUCCAGCUUGGACCAUGACCAGUCCACAUCCUCCAUAGGUUUUGGUAAGUUUUCGAAAAUGAAAAGAACAGAAAUAUAAAAGAAAAUGAAGGUAGAGAAAGAAUGAAAGAUGGUCUUCAUGGAUAAGUGAGAUCAAUAUAAAGAAGGAAAAAGAAGAAGGGGAGAGGCCAGAUAUGCGAGCCAAAAUGGGUUUCCUUUGAAACUUUGAAUGAGGUAACUUAGGGAGGGAGAGUUGAGCAAGCCAAAGAGAGCAAAGAAAAGCAUAAAGGAAUUCCAUUAAGCACAAGAAACCAAGACUGUGAUUUUUGGUGCAUGGAGAGAAGAGCUUGGAAUUCUAAAGCUAGAUUGUUAGCUUAAAGCAAAGUGAGUUUGGAACAUAAAGCCAUUGCUUGGUUUGUUGUUUGGUUUGUUGUUUUUGGAGGAAGGGGGUUACUAUUCCCCACCAUUACUCCGAGUUCUCUACUUUUUAUGGCUUUUUAAUUGCAGUAGCUAUCUUCUUAACUCUUAAGGUAGUAUUUCCCUACAACCCUAAAAAUAUUCCUCAAGGUGAUGAACAAUGAUGCUGUAGUCUGUCUUUGUACCACUUCCUAUGAAUUAUUCUUUAUGUACUUGGUGGUUUGAUAUGUUUAGUAACUAGAAACUGGGUUCUUUUCAAUGAUUACAUUUCAUCUCAACUUAGCUGUGUAGCCAGUGUAGGUUUGGGUUGAGCCACAUAUUCAAAGCAUUUAGCAUAUGCUUUAGGGAGCAAAUCUUGGGUAUGGAAUACUACUUACACAUCAGCAUGCAUAGGGUGACAUGGCAAGUUAAUUAGGAAAUUACUCUAGAAGUUGAUGGAACUUGAUGCUAGUCUUGUUUGGUGAGCAAGAGCAAGGCAGAUGAUAGAUGGAUGAAGAUAUAAUGCAAAACCAAAUGACAAAAGAUACUUGGCUUCCCAAGGAUAGUGUUCCAAGUUAACUUUUUGUUCAAACCUGUCAGUCUUCUAAAACAGCCUUAUAUUGCUUCUAUGGCAGGCUUAUGAUUGAGGUGAAUCUAAAACUUCCCUACAUGUUCUGGCCUUCUGGGGCCUCUAUUGUGCUUUAUGCUUUUAGUCUUCCAAAUCCCAUAAAAGGCAUACACCCUUGGCUUAAUCCCACAGGAACGAACCAUAAGAAGGAACCAAGUCUCAAGCACACUACUCAUUUCCUUAUCAUUACUCGAGACACCGAUACCUACACUACUACCACUCCAUCUCUUGAUUUUGCAGAGUGCAAUCAAACAUGGGUGUUUUGGCUUACAAGGGGGCCAUUCUUCUUGUUUGCAUUGCGUUUUUAGCUCUACAGCCGGAAAAGGUUUCCGGGUUAAGAAGCAUGGAUUUGGCUCUGAGAUGGCAUAAAGGGCACUUCUCAUUUUUUAACAGUCUGCAUGUUGUUAAGGCUGUUGCUGUAGAGAACUUGCUGAGCUUGGCGCCUGCACCAGCAAUGACAUUCGAUCCAAGUCAAUCAAACAAACGAAAAGUUCGAAAAGGAUCAGAUCCCAUCCACAACAGAUGUUGACAUGCUGAUGCAGUUUCUGAAUGCCGGAGAGUUUUCAGGGAGCAAGAAGCUGUGGAGGCUGUAACUAAUACAAAGUUGGUUGGUUAGAAUUCUAUAUUUUCGCUUGUUUUAGUCAGUACUGUUUUUUUGUUGAGCUGAAGAACUGCAGCUGAUCGGAACAAGUCAUCGAGUGAGCAUCAUCUCUAUAAUGUAUAAACAUAGGUCCUAACCAAUAGAUGAAUACUUUGAGAAUGAAGAUGCUGGCUCUCACAGAAUACAUGCAUUUCUGAUUUUUCUAUAUAAAAGACAAGAUUUUAUAUUACGGUCCUGCACCUGUGAGCUCUGACUAAUUUUGCAUCAUAUGCCACAACCUUGAUUGUUUCACACUUCACAGGCAUUGUAACAAAGAUUUCUGCGUUUUCUCUACAAAACAACCAAUGCUUAUACAAACGUAGUAUAUCAGAACACAAUCAUGAGCUCGAAGGCUGUCAUUUCUCUUGAAAUAACUAACAUUCCCAUUCUGAGUGCAGUUACUGUAGUGAAACAGGCGAUCAAAAUCUCACAUAUUAUAGCAAAAAAGGAACAAACUUUUCAUUGAUAGUGUCAAGAAUAAAAAAUGAGCUUGUAAGUAUAUAAUAUCUACCACUCGAACAAAAAGUUGAUGUUUCAUAAAUGAUGCAAAGGUAAGACCUGCAUACAUCAGACGCUCUGAAAUGGACAAUGCCAUUUUGUUCUUAAACAAGUUGAGACCUGUCAUAUCUCCUCUUCCUGUUAUAUUUAAAUUGUACAGAUGAUAUCUUGCGAGAAACUGCCUGCCAAAUCAUAUCAACAGCAUCGCCAGGCAGGGAGGGAUACUGAUAUUCGAAAUGAUGUACAACUUCCUUCAACCUUUCCCACAUUUUGGUCCACUUCUCUUCAUUUAUUCCUCGAAGAAGUUUCAGCAGGUAACCCUUCUUUAUAGCAUCAUCCCCACGAACAAAUAUGCAAAACUGUGAGUAGUCUAAGACAUCUUCAAAUGGUACCUCAAUCUCAUCACUGAUUAUCACUGGAACACAAUGACUAGCAAUGGCAUCGAAUAAGCGAUUUGAGGAUGGGGUAUCGCCAGCUAUAUUUAAGCAAAAUUUCGAUGAGGCCAUUCCUUGGGUUGCCUUGCGAACACCGUUUCCUCCAAUGCUACCAAAAUUGAAGUCAACAUCUUUCUCAUCUUUUAGAAGAUAAUACAAUUCUUGUCGAAUUACUCCUCCCUGUAUCAAUAUAAAAAGUAAAUAUUACAUUAAUUAAGUAGAUAUUAUCAGGCUAUUCUACUAUUCUAAGCCUGACUAGUGCUUCAUCAGAAUAAUGUACGACAUAAAAAGGAAAGGGAAGAACAAUAAAGCAGCUAAAAAGAGCAAUCACAAUAGUGCAUCAAGAAAUCAUAACUAGCAAAACAAAAUUUGAAAAUCCUAAUUGGCGGAUACUUCAUAACAAGAUCAAUUCAGGGAAGUAUGAUCAGAACAAAUUAAUUCCAUCAUGCAAUUUAAUUCCAAAUAAAAGCAAACAGAAAUAAAGCAUAAUCUGCUAAAAUUAUUGAGACAUUUUAAUCAUGAAGCAAUACAACAUCAUAUCAAAAAUUGAAUGAACCAUGAUAAGAGAUGAAAGAAGGAAAGACUGACAUCUUUUCUGUAUAUUGCUCCUCGGAAAUACACUAGUAUAGGACGCUCCUUGAAUGUGGCUGAUUUGCUACUGGGAACAGUCUUCACCAAAUGUCUGUAAGGAGCGAUUAUAUCCUUCCCAAGAUUUGCUAUUUCAGCAGGAUAUCUUCCAAAAUCUGCAAGCACGAACAUGGCAGAACCCAAUUUCUUUCUUGCAUCCAACAUGCUAUUUGGAUGAUGAGCAACUAUUAAAUGAUCUUUCCCACCCUUUCUUUUCCAUUCAUUCCGGCCCAUCAAAAACUGCACCAACUUGUCCUGCAACCUCUUGUUGACACUGACUUUCUCCUUCUCAUGAAGUUUAGAAUGCCGGUUGUAACUCAGAGAUGCGAAGAAUGGCACAAAAAUAAAAUCAGCUUCUCUUGGAUUGUGCACCCUGACUAAUGUACAAGGUCUAACCACAUUUACGUUAUCUGAUGAUAAAAUAUCAAGGGUGAGCCAAUAUUCUAUACUGUGCUGUAAAUUCAGCCCGCCUGGGUAAGGUGGGAUGUGCUGUGGCCAUGUUUGAUUCUCCAUUUCUUUCCAACCCAAUAACCCAAAGUGAAAUUCAGGAGGCAAGUCAUACAUAAAUACCCUCAAAAGAGCCUGCUUCGAGUCACAAACCAUGUUCUUUCUACCAACAGAUCCCACUUUCUUGCUUGGAUUGGAAACUUGACAAGCUGAUUCACUCAUUCUUUUCAAGGGUUGUAUAGCAUCUACUUGGGGAACCUCAGAAGAGAGGAAAGAACAUUUAAUAGGUUCCUUUUCCGCAUGGGGCUCAAAGUACACAGAUGUGCCAUUAACAAGCAUAAGCUCAAACACUGAUCUGGGAAUGAAAGAUGUAUUGCCAGAUUGAAGAAGGAACACAGAAGAAAGAAUUAAAAGGAACCCAGAAACUGUUAUUAGGGAGGAAAUGAACUUUGAGGGAAUCCUACUCUUUUCUGACAUUGAUGACAUUCAGGGCACCAAACUCAGCUAACAAUGCAAUCAAUGAAAUUCAUCUAAAUAUAAAUUGCUUCAGCACAAUAUAGAAAAGACAAUGCCCAUCAAAUCAGCUUCUUAACAGAACAGGUUGAUCAGCAUAACCAUAUGGAAAGAGAGACGCCCAUCUCGAAUGAGAAGCCAAAUUCUUCUUAAACAUCAGAAGGGUUUUAACAAGGACUGAAAACUACUGGUUCUCUUGGAACCCAUUGCCAAUCUACCUAUCUCUACAGCUCUACAACCAUGAAUUCAAGAAGAAAUUCUUCCUUCUUAAGGCCAGGGUCAUAAUCUAAUAAGUUUCAACUCAAUAAAGAUAGAACCUUGAAUUUCUGGGAAAACCAAAGCCUCUCUCUUGAAAUCACCACUCACCAGAGCAACAGAGCUAAUCAUAAAUCUGCACAUAGAGAAUAAACACUGAUUCAGGAGACUACUUCUUCAGCUGAAUACCAGAAUCCAUGAUUUGGGUUCUUGAUUAGUUGAGCUACAUGAAAAUUGCCACACACAAAAACACAAACAGAGGAAUUGAGAAAAAAAAUAUUAAAAGCUAAACUUUUUAUUCAUCUGGGUAUCAAAGAAAUCAAAUAUCAUGAACUGGGUCAGUUAGAACUUACAAAAGCUGCACCUGGGUCAGUUCUGAAACUUCACGGCAUGCAUUGUGCAAUAUAUUUCCAGACUGCAGAGGGACUAAGGUCCAAGAGACUCGUCGAACACAGAGAAGGGCCUGAACAAAGUCCAAUUAUCAUUUGCUAACUUUUCUUGUGGACUGUGACAUCUGAAUCUGAUUAAUACUUUAUAUCGAUCCUUUUUGGGUGUUCACGAAGUGGACAACAGAAAGAGCAUGACUUUAAGAACCUUUCUCGUGUCCGUUUGCUUAGUUCUUUUUUUGGUACGAGUCUUUGCCAAUCUAUGAAUCAUAAGUUUUUUCUUUUUUUUUUUUUUUUUUUUUUUUUUUUUUUUUUUUAAAGGGGUUUGUGGUUAUUAUCAUCCUACCGUCUUUAUUAUUUUCUUUGUUCAUCGUACAUAUUUAUUUCAUCAUACAUUUUAAUUUUAACUUAUUCCACCCGUCNCUUUUUUCAGAGAUAUCCUUAUAAGACAUCAUAUUAAGAAGAUUUUUUAAUAAAAAAAAUCUAUUAUUUAAUUAUAGCAAUAAAAGCCAAUAAUAAAGUUUCUUAAUUAACAAAAUCAUAAUAGGAUCCUUUCAAAAAAAAAAUCAUAAUUUGAUUUAGUUCCUAUUUUUAUUAAUUAGUUCAAUUUUAGUCUAUUCUAAUAAUCUAAUUCAUGUCAAACGUUCGUAUUUUAACCGUUUUUAGCAAUGAAUUGAGAAGAGAGAUGAUAUUCUUUUUGUAUUUUAAAUAUUUACUAUCGUUCAAAAGGGUAUUGUAAAGAUGAAUCAACGUACAAUGAUGAGCGAACAAAAAUAAAAUAGAUUCAGAUACGGGUACAAGUUAUCCAAUGAGAUAUUAAGUAGUUUUUGUAUAUAAUUAAUUGGUUAUGUAUUUAGUCUUUCUUAUAAAUUUGCAUUUUAUAAAAUUAAUGUACUUAUUAGUCGUUUUACAUUACUUAUUAGUAUGAUAAACAAAGAUGAUAGAGUGGCAAUAGCCGCAUCCUUAACCCAAUAAGGCACCUCAAUCACAUUGUGAUUAGUUUAAACAACAACAAGCAAUGAAACAUAUUCGAAUUCAAAGUAUUGAGUUAAUAAUUAUUGGACGGAAGAUGUAACCUGGCCAAUAAACACCCACCCCUCAUGAGCCUUUGCAGGGGGAAGGAAUGUGAUUCAUCACCUAAUAAGGCAUAUGCAUCACAUUAAACUCUAAGAUAUUAAGGUUAACAAGCUAGACACUCUUUUCUUGAGGAAUAUAUCUUUAAUAUUCAUCAUAACGACCGUUUGAGGUCAAUCUCAAAAGCGGAUUAGUUUUCGUUUACAUCCACUGCUCACAAUUUUGGACUCAAUUUGAUAAAAACAAAAAAUGCAAACUUACAUGUAGAAAAGAAAUGGUACCUCCUCAACAAGAAUGAAAACACAACCCUAAUUCGCAGCAUAUGCCUUGAUGAGCUUGGAGCCUAAGAUAUUUGUGUUGUACCCUUACACUCGUCAUGAAUGUAGUAACAACCUUGAAAUAUAAUCGUGCAGAAGCAAGCUCACGUCACCUUAGUUGAAAAUAUAGUCCAACCCAAGUUUUCAGCAAAAAAGAAAAAGGCAAUUGGGCUAAAGGCAAAAGCCCAGCCCAAUAACCCACCUCAUGUCUCUGCUAAACUUGAAUUACCAGACCGCAACCUAAGAUUCUAUCGCUGCCGAGUCAAUCCAGUGGCCUCCGAUCCUAACAUGGUGCCCAAAAUUCUAGAGCAACCUUGGAGACAAAAAUUCUAAACGCAAUUGGGAUUUGCCUUUAUAAUUUUUGUCUCCAAGGUUGCUUUAGAAUUNNNNNNNNNNNNNNNNNNNNCAAGGUUGCUUUAGAAUUUUGGGCACCAUGUUGGGAUCGGAGGCCACUGGAUUGACUCGGCGGCGAUAGAAUCUUAGGUUGGGGUUUGGUAAUUCAAGUUUAACAGAGACAUGAGGUGGAUUAUUGGGCUGGGCUUUUGCCUUUAGCCCAAUUACCUUUUCCUUUUUUGCUGAACUUGGGUUGGGUUAGAUUUUCAAUUAAGGUGACGUGAGCUUGCUUCUACACGAUUAUAUUUCAAGGCUGUUACUAGUUACUACAUUCAUGACGAGUGUAAAGGUACAACACAAAGAUCUAAGGCUCCAAGCUCAUCAAGGCAUAUGCUGCGAAUUAGGGUUGUGUUUUCAUUUUUGUUGAGUUGGUACCAUUUCUUUUCUACAUGUAGGUUUGCAUUUUUUGUUUUUAUCAAAUUGAGUCCAAAAUUGUGAGCAGUGGAUGUAAACGAAAACUAAUCCGCUUUCGAGAUUGACCUCAAACAGUCGUUAUGAUGAAUAUUAAAGAUAUAUUCCUCAAGAAAAAAAAGAGUGUCUAGCUUGUUAACCUUAAUGUCUUAGAGUUUAAUAUGAUGCAUAUGCCUUAUUAGGUGAUGAAUCACUUUCCUUCCCCCUGUAGAGGCUCAUGAGGGGUGGGUGUUUAUUGGCCAGGUUACAUCUUCCGUCAAAUAAUUAUUAACUCAGUACUUUGAAAUCAGUGGCGUAGCCACUAUGGGGCGAGGGGGUUCAAUUGAACCCUCUCACAUUUCAAGUUGAGUUCUUAGUGGCUGAGGAAAUAUACUGUCGACCAAAACUUGCCUCUUUCUGACACCCCUCAUCCAUACGUAAAAAAACUUCUAUCCCCAUGUUUUUUAAUCUUUUAAAUAUAUAUCUUGUCUUGAGACGUUAAAAAAAGCUUUUAUCCUUAUAUUAUUUUAUUUUUGUAAAAUAUAUUGCCAAUUAAUAUAGUAGACAAGUUUUCUUGCUGUCCUAAUUUGGUAUAGAUUUGCUAAUCACACAAUGUACAAUCCUAAUCAAUUCAUGAUAUAUUUACGUCUAUAUAUAUAUUCAAGCUUCUACAAUUUGUUUGUCUCUUAUCAUUCUCUCUAAAUUUCUCUACCGUAAUUUCUUUAGUCAAAACCUUCAUAAUUUAUCACUUAGAAUAUGAAAGCUUUUCUCGAGAGAUAUUAUAUAAAAAAAAAAUACAUAUUUGAUGGUGUUGAUAAUGAAAUCAUCACGAAAAGAUUUCAAAAUAUGAAUCAUCGUGGCUAAUCAUAAUUACUUUAGGGAGAUUUGUUACUUUGUCUUUUUUAAGUAUUUAUGUAUAAUUUAUACAUUUUUAUGUUAUUCAAUUAGAUUAUUCGAUUCGUUUAAUAUUCUUGUUUAUACUUUGACCCUUCUGAUGGUAGUUUCUGGUUACGCCACUGUUUGAAAUCGAAUAUGUUCCAUUGCUUGUUGUUUAAACUAUUCACAAUGUGAUUGAGGUAUAUAAGUUGUAGUGAACUUGAGUAAUUAAAAGCAUCUGACAUCUUCCCCCAAUCAAAAUGGUUGGGGAUGAACUUGUUGAAGUGACAAACGGAGAAAGACAAGAUUGAUAGUUUAAUUUCAACUCUUUUUCGAUACAAAGGCUAAUUUCAACUCUUGAAUCACCCACCCACCAAGAGCUGUGUCAAUUUACAAUACGGCAGGUCUUCGAUUGAAGAAUCCUAGAUAAAGUCGAAACAUGCAUGCAUACGUACUUGGUCACUUAAGGAUCAUAACAUUUUUUAGAGACUGAAGGAUGAAUUUAGAACUUGAAAUUAUAACAACUUAUUAGAAAGUGUGUGUUUGUGUUCAGUUGUCCGAUUAACUGCAUGUUUAUCAGAGUGUCUUGCCCUUUAAGUGAGCAGGCAGGUCACUCUAACAUGACAAGCAUCCACUUUUGUUUAAUAUUACACAAAUUUACCCAUAUUAUACUAUGGUUUGUUCAACCUCUUGAUAUACAUAAUCCGGAUUUGAAAAGCCACUGUAAGCAUAUAUAGAAGUAAUAUGACAAAUCUUAUUAAUAAAUCAAGUAAAACGCAAAUUCUGUCAACGCUAGCUCUCAUUUGGUGGUUUUUUCUUUAUUUUAGAACCAUUAGCCCAAAGGAGCGAUUAAUAAUGGGAGUACAAAGAUUAUAAAUGGAUUAAUUUUCUGCUCAACAGGUCAUUGAAUUUUGACCCCUGCAGAGAAUGAAGGAGCUGAAAGAUAAUAUUAUCUUGCAGAAUAAUUCUUUGGAUAAAAUGAUAGUGAUGAUUAAAAAUUCGUAGGGUAGGCAAUCCCUUUGGUUCAAGGGCACUUGGGUCCUCCUUGCUGGGUCUUCCAGUUGUUGUAGCAAGGGCACACAGCUUUGUUACCAUAGAAGCCUGGAGGAACACACAGACACUUUGCGCAGCAUUUCUGGCAGAAGAACAUGCAUGGCUUGUGGUACUGUGUUUUGCUACAUCUCCUUGUGCACUGUGAUGGGCAUUCUGAUAAUUCAAUUCACAAAUUACAUCACAGUGAGAACUGAGGAGUUGAAAAUAUUAACAUGCAUGUGGUUAUAGAGCUUAAAACCAAGAAGCUAGAUGGUAAAUCUGUUACUUACGCGAACUCUUAAGACUCCCAGGUCCGUACCUUGCCUGAAAAAUUACGGUUGAGUUUGUUUGUCAGAAACUGACCGUUUUAGCCGUAAGGAGGUAAAAGAACAGAAGAGAAGGAGCAACUUACACUGUCCAAGUGAUACUGGGUUUCUGCUGCCAUGGAAAUCCCAAGGAGAGCUAGAAGCAGAAGGCAGAGAAGCUUAGCCAUGGCCAUUGCUAUCAGUACUAUCAGCAAACCAAGCUUAGCAAGAGAAAUAGGAUUGGUUCAAGGAUGUGGUGUGGGGCUUGGUAUAUUUAGAUCUCAAAAUGAGAUUGGCUAUUUAUAGAGAUUUGAGAAGGGAUGCCCAACAAAGAUCAUGUUACUGCCUGAUCCAAUGAUGCUAUGAUUCUAUGGCUGCUUAUUGUUUAGCAAUUUAAAGUACAUGGUUUGAUCUGUGUUGUGGUCAUAUUCCCAAAUUGUCCCAUCCAUACCCAAAAUUCAUAGCCUUGAAAUGCAUGUUGUACUUUAAAACUACAUAAGAAUUCUAAUUAUUAUGGGUAGUCUAGUUCGGCCUAAGUUCUUUCUUAAGAGGCAAAGAAUAAGUUAGGUUCCCUAACAUGUCUGGUUCUUGUUUGUGUCCAUGGAUUAGGUACUACUUAGGUUCUUCGGUUGUUAGGUCUAAGUUUUCUGAGUUUUUUUGGCAUGGUUCAGAUAUUUCGAGCCUAAGAGGAUAGAUCGUGUUUUAUGUUGUACUUUUACUUUUAGUUUAUCAAUGGAGUGACAUCUCUAUUUCAAAAAAUAUAUAUAUAUUUCUAAUUAUUGGGUAUUUAUGAUGCUUCAUCUCUCCCUAAACCCUAGCCCCCACGGCUCGGAAAACCAGCUAUGGCGACUACACUCAACCUCUACUAUCAACCAUGUUCCCAUCAUGGCCCUCAUCAUCGUCCUUUUAGGGCGAUUCUAAGAUCAGCGAACAAGGUUUGGCUUGAUCGAGACUACCAUCAACAGUGUUUCUCGCAAAGGUGAAUUGAAUGUAGAGAAUGUAAAUGUUCAAUGACCCGAUAUGUGGAAACUUCGUCCGAGUAGAGCUAGGCUCUAGACAGAUCCAUGUUGGAUUGAUAAAUGUACAUUGAGUGUUGUUUGGGGUGGUCGGAUUUUGAUCUAGGGUUUGAUGGCGGUGGUUAAGUGUAUGGCUAUAGAGCGGCGAGUCAAUGAGUUGUGAGAUGGUGCAACUCUAGGUCAAUAGAUGGGUUUGAUGCCCCAACUAUAUCAGGUGUCCGGUCUUUGUUGAAGACCCGAUACAGAUGGUUGAGCAUUGUUUUCUUAAUUUCUAGAUCAUCAUGCGCACAUUUAUGCGUUUGUAUGGUUUUGUUGAUACGGAUUUAAGUAUAAAUCACAAUAACAACAUUUCGAGCGGUAAAAUCACAUAAUAUUACAGAAGGGUCUAGAAGUAAUUUUGGAAAGGGUGUGCUAUCACUAGUGUCUAUCUAAGUAACAUGGGGCAUUCGUUGGCUGUAGACAAAACAGUGUGAGUCGAUAAAUGAGAUGACGACGGGCACUCGUUACUUUUAUCAUGGUCCCCACAAAAAACUAAUACCCAUUUAGUUAUACCCUACACACACUUCUAUCCUACUACUAUAUACUCAUCGCUAUCCACCUUUAGAAUUUGUAAACUUGUGACGUGGAAGGAUCUUAUGGUGAGUGUGCAGAUUAUAACAUGGUGCGCCGGUGCAGGGAAGGAGGAUAGGAAAAUAAUAGGAGGGGGGUCCUAUAACUGACGGUGGUGGGCACCGGCCAUGUGAGUCUACUCGGAGCACAUGUGAUGACCCAAACCACGUAGAUAUGUGCCAAAAACGACAGCGGAUGCCCCAUCUUCUCCUGUCGUCUGUUUUGUUUUAUUUUUUUAAAUUGUUGGAGUGGGCCUCUCUCUGGCCUCCAGAAUCUAUCGAGAUGGUGGGCCUUUCUGGGAACUAAAAGUUUUAGUUGGGCCUGAGUGCCGCAUGGCCCAUCAUACUGCACGUUUUUCAUGUACGCUAAAAUUGAAUGUAGCUUCGUACGUGGCGUUAAUUCGUUUGAUCAAAUAUACCAAAAUGAUUCGUGAUUGGUGAGAUGUCACUUUACAUGUACACUAAUCAUGUUUUUCCUCUUUUUAUGGGUGGCAGUGACAUUCAAAUUUGAACCAAAAGGAGUGUUCAGUAGGGCAGCUCAACAUGCAUAGGUGCUAAGAGAGAGUAGGUGUAUUUGUGUAUGCGGGAAUAUUCUAGGAUUGAAUGCGUAAUCUAGUCUAAUUCCUAAUCCCUCAAUGCUGGGACUAAAUUGAAGAACAUGUGACAAGAUUAAGAUCAAAAUGGUGCAUUCUUGCAAAAUAGCAAUAGCAAAACCUUGCAGGACUCAAUAUCUGGAGUUUCAUCCAUUUGUGUUCUAUCUAAAUCCAAUAUGAUGAAGGAAAAAUAAUAGCGACAGCAAUGUUAAACAAACACGCAGCGACGACACGACAAAAUUAAGAAAGCACCACCGAGUUCAAAUGAAGACAAGAGAGCAUAUAUAAGGGUAAAGAUAACACAAUGUAUGACAUAGACCUAGCAAGGGGCAAGGCUUACUGUUAGCUGUUUUGAUUGGAAAUACAUGCACCUAAAUACUUGGUGUACGUAUGUGGUGAACAACUUGAGAAAGAGUCUUGUUUAGGUAUCCCAUCAAUAUCUCAUUCCUAGCUCUCAACUCGAUCUCAGAUAAGAGAUUCAUCAGAGACAUGACAUAUUGGUCCAGCUCAUGUAAGCUCUACUGACUUUGAUAAUUAAGUGGCGUGGCCACCCAAUUGUGGUAGAGAAAUAGUAGCCUGUCUGUCUUGUUCGGUUGUCAGUAUGCCAAUGGGGGCAAACGUACAUGCAAGCUAUAGGCUUCUACUGCAGCCACCCCAUGCCCUUCGUACUUGGCUAGCUCCUGCUGAAACAAAUGCUCAUUGUAUGGUUUUGGAGCUUGAUGCUGUAGGACUGAUGAUUGCUUGAAUGAGAUAAUUUUGACGCUGUUCCAACACAUGCACGUUUGGCAUUUCCUCGGGGCUAGGGCAUUGAUCAGGUUGAUCGAGAUAGAUCGAGGACGCAUUUUCAGCAGUAGUUUUGAACUUUGGAUACCCAGGCCAGGCAUGUGUGCUACCAUAUACAGUAUAUAUGUAUAUAUACGUAUAUAUGUAUAUAUACAUACAUAUAUACGUAGAUACAUGUUUCAUCAUGUCUGUAAGUUAUCUCUGAUCAUUUCAUUUUGAAUGUUAUCUAGAUCUACCUGUUCAUAUCCAGCCUAUACACACACACACAUACAUACUAUACUGUGGAACUUGAUCGAUCUGAGUUCCUGCUGUGUUGGAUCAAUAUAUCAGUAACUUUUGGUCUGAACGAGUUAGCUUUCGGUAGUUUAAUCCGAAUUAAUUGAUCUGUACAUGCAACAGCCUUGUGAAUUAUGAAAUAUAUAUUUUAUAUGCAUACUCAUCUGGCAUGGAAUCUUUCAUUAUAGUAUCUGUCAAAGCUGGCUAGAGAUCGAUCAUGAGGUGGGUCGAUCUCUAUAUGAAUUAUAAACAAAAACAUCAAAUACAUGCCUACAUACUUAUAUAUUUUAUAUCUCGAAGAUUUGAUAGGUUUUGCUUGCACCAUCCAAUUUGCCUGUUGUCGAUCAUGAAAGUGCACAACAUAGGACGACAUUCGGAAUUAAAGAAUAUUGAGAAAGAGAAAGAGAGAAAACAAGAUAACAAAAACUAUGAGUCCCAGCCAGAAUUCAUUUAAACAGAUGAAACCAGUGGUCUUCAACAGAUCGAGGACAUGGCCCAACCAAUCUAAUCAACACAUUACGGGGUAAUGAUUCUGUUGCUGGCUUGGAUGAAAAAGAGAACAGGAUGAUUCUUUAAUGAGAUAGAUAAAGAUAUAUAUAGUUGCAUAUGUCUCUAUUGGCUUCUCCAAUCAUAUUUCAGUACUUAAUGUCUACCGCUGGCAAUGUGCUUGUACUCGAUAAUCUAAUUUUCUGUUUACACUUUAUGUAUGAGAGAGAGAGAGAGAGAGAGAGUAACCGAGCUAUGUUCCAGCUUACACCAAACUUGAUCAUGACCUACAUACAUACAAUCUGAAAGACAACGUCAUUCUAGAGCUAAAGUGGCGAUGACAUAACUAAAAGGGUAUGUACCCUUCUUUGACUAGUUUCUUGAUAACAUACACACACACACAAACCCGAUUACUACAUGCAAUAUAGCUUUUAUUCUUAAGCAGGCUUCCCCCUACUCAAGUCUUAACUAGAGCUUCUCACAAAUCCAUGGGGAAAAUUAGGGCAGGUUAGAAUAAUACAUGUGUAUGCAUGUAUAAUUAUAUAUAUGCUACUUGCAGUGUUGCACAGCUGAAUUGUGGAAAGCUUAUAUUGUAUAUGAUUCUACUGCACAGCCAGUUAUUUAAAUGUGCAAGUGCCAAUUGAAAAAAGAGUAAGGGUCCAAAUGUUUCUGAUUAAGUAAGGACAAUCAAAAGCGUUACCACUAGAGCCACGCUUGUUUAAUAUUGAGCAUUCUUUCAACUAACCUACUAUAUAUAUGUUAUCUUCUAUUUGAUUCCAUCAAAUUAAAUCCACUGACCACCGAAAAGUAGAGGAAGGAGGGACACAACACAGUACAAUAACAGCAUAUAUAUAGUUUCUGUUUUUGUUUCUGUGAGGCGGCUUGAACAAGUUAUCAAAAUUGGUUGAAGCUGUUGAUAGAUACCAUGAUUGGAUGUGUGGACCUUUCUGAAAAUAUAGCAUAAUCCUAAGAUAUAAAUUGUUGUAAGAAUGAUGAAUUUCCUUUUUACCACACACAAUGGUAUGCAGAUGUCUUGUAUGAAAUCAUCAAGAUGAUACACAAGGAAAGAACUAGUAGAAAUAACCAGGAAAUUUAGGCUUCUGCACUAGUAGAACUAGCAGACUAUACAUUUCUGCAUUGCGCUUGCUAAUGGAGAAUUCGAAUUUGGGGAUAAAUUUAGAAAAGAAAGAAAAGGAAUUCAUGAAAAGAAAGCAUAAUAUUAAUAAGGAAGACAUGCGAACAUGUAGAACAUGAAUAUUGAGAAACUUUUCCUUUUGACAAUCAAAUCAAAGUUUGAUUCUCAUCUUACAGUCAUAUACAUAGAGGUUGGCAAAUCAAAUCAGAAUUCACAAUCUUUGGCAUCAUUCAGUUAACUACUUUCAGAGAAAUCAAAGACCCUUCUUCAUUCAGUCCUAUACACGCGGUUCAAUUAUGAAAGCACAGGCACUAUUAUUGUUGAUAAGAAUUAUUGGGUGGAGUAUACUCACAAACAACCUCCGUGUCCACUUCCCUCCGGUGAAAAUUCCGGUGGCAGCCGCAAGCAGCACACGUCAGCGCCUCCGCCGUGCCGUCCUCCCCACUUGCCAUGAACUCUCUGCAUCCAUCCACCGCGUACCCUCCGAUAUUCGCAGCGUGAUUCUUCUGGCACUCCCCAUACCUCACAGUUCUAACAACUGAAGAUGAAGUACUGCUUGAGCUCCUCCGGGACGACCCAUCUCUUCUGACUACCACUUGCUGUUUCUUCAUCAAUUUCUUCGGAUCAAACCCUAGAAAUCGACUUUCUUAGUCGAUUUGAUGAAAUGGGAUGUUGGAGACUUGGAGCUCGAUACCUUGCUGUACCAGCAAGAAGGCUAGCUAUAUAUAUAUCUAUAUACAGGCGCCCAAUCACUAUAAACCAGAAAAAAGAAAAAGAAAAAAAAUCAUUUUUGUAAAAAAAUAAAGGAAAAGAAAAAGAAAAUGGCUAUGUCUGUAUUUAGUUGAUGCCUAACCCUAACCCUAGCAGCUAUACUUAACAUUUUGACAUACUUUAAUCUAUACUGGUAGCUUAAUUAGUGUGCUUGCUGUAAUUCCAAUUAGCUGGCUUUAGAGAAUAGGUUAACUAGAGACAGCAUUUUCAGCAGCCCUUAUGAUUUUACCAGCACUACCAAAUUUUUCAAGCCUGGACCUUUGGCUUUGAAUAUGAUAUACAGUACUGAAAGCCAAGAACAGUCAUCGAUGUCGUCUUGUCGACUAAUCACGGGCUAACACGUCCAAAUAUACUGUCAAAACGACAAGUAGUUUAACUCUUUGUUCUAAAUCAAAGUAAACCAGUUAGGUUACCCAUAUCUCUUUUAGUCUUAUUAAAGAAUUUUCUCCAUACCGCACUGUAUUUCAGUGACUGGUUUCCAUGGAAAUCAAACUCAAAAUCCCCUUGUCCUCAUAUUAAACCCUAGAUUCUUCGAUCACUGGCUCUCUCUUUUUUAUUUGGUGAAAUUUCAAUUCUGGUGUUGAGGAUUUGGAAAUGAUACCUCAACUGCAAUUCUGCUGUCAACAGCAGUUAACGUUAAAUGUGAUGAGUGAUCAACCCUGGAUCGAUUAAGACCAGAAUCACAAGUAGCUGCUGUUCAUGAGAGCUUAGGGUGAACAAACUAAUCUUAGAUUCUAAUCUGUGAUUUUAGUGGGUCUACUUGGAUACUUAAAGACAGGUCUGCUAGGACCCUUGAGUACUGUGAACAACAACUCCUGUCUAAGUAUUACCUAAGAUCCAGUUCUUAUUAGUAUUCCUCUCCACUCCUCCUCUUAUCUAAAAUUGCCACAUUUCGAUCUCUUUGCAUCAAAUCAUCGAAUACAAUCAUUACUUUUUUUCUUCAAUUUCAACGUCAACAAGAUGCUAUUCAAAUCUGAUCUACUUUUAAUUAACUAACCUAUAAAAAAAAAUACUUUUAAUUAACUAAAAAAAAUAAAAUACCUAGCUUGUGGAGAAAGAUCGACGCAUUGUUUUAGUGAUAAGGAAAUUGUAAGAUCUGCUAAAUAUAUUAUAUUAAGGUAUGAAUUCUGUUCGAAAGUGUUGCCAUCGAUCUUUCUAAGAUUGAGAUUUCAAAGCCACUUUGUUAUAAACUUAAAACUGAAAUAAAAGACUGUUAUCUUGUCAUCAACCGAUGCACAGUUAGAAGCGUUAGUGGGUUUUGAAAUUUUGUGGGGUUAUUGAAUUGAAGCGUGCACACUGGAUAGAAACACAGAAAUCAGGCAUGAAGAUCCACCACCAUUUCAUAUCAUAAAAUCAUAUCAAAAUAAAACAAGCUGGUUUUUAUUUAUUUAUUUAACUACGUACUAACUCACACACGUUUAUAUAUGUUAGUGAGGUUUGAACUUAUAACCAAGCAGACCACGGCUUACCAAAGUAAAACAAGCCGGCUAAGAUCGAUAGGUACAAUACACAUAAGACAAAGGAGAUAAUUACAUGUACUACUUAUAGAGUUCCCAUAUAGUAAUUGACACCAUCUAGCUAGAUUAAUACUGAAGUGAGGAGGGACAAACACACACAUGUAGUUGUCAAUCAGAAAAAAGAAGUCCACUACUCACAUACAUGGAUGGUCGAUUACACAUUAGCUCUAAAAUACAAAACUAAUAUAUCAUCACAAUUGUAUUCCACAAAUUUGAGGAGAAGAUUGAUCGAUCGUGUUGGUAGUGCAUAUGUACGUUGGGAUCGAUCGAUAAGUCAACCACAGAGUUUCAUUCUAUCUAUCCCUCUUUGUCAGGAUGUUGGUGCAAUAUAUGUAGGCAAUCUAUCUAGCUAGCUACUAGCUCGAUCAUAACUCAAAUGAAGAAGGAUGCAAAAUGGCCCGAUUAAUAAUGUGUUUGCUUACUUAAUCGAUCAUCUUUACUUUAAAUGGUUGAAGCCAAUUAACCAAUAGUGCCUGAAAGUUUUUCGCCACAAAUAUGCAAGAAAAAAGGGCAAGAUGUACGAGUACAUGCCUGCAUAACAACGCUAAGAAACCACAUAUAACUCAUCUUAUGUAUCAGCUUAUGUGAUCGAUGUAUUUAGUAUUAUUCAUGCAUGUCAAUUUGGAGUGCAGCUAUUAGAACCUCUAAAUUUGCUCAGUAUACAUGUCAUGCUCUUUACAUCUCCUUUUAAAUUUUAACUACAAACAUUUGUUCACUAGACCUCCUUUCAAAUUUCUAAAAUAACAUUACGUAUGUUAUUCACAUAUAUCUUGAUAAUUUACUCAUUAUACCUCUUAUUUAUUCUCUAGACCUCUCAUUCUUUUAAUUUUUUCUUUUCUUUUUGUAUGCUAUCAUUGAGACCUCUAUUCCUUGAUUUUUUUUUUCGUUCAAACCUCUUUCACGACGUCAAUUUCUUGAUAUUUAUUUAUUUUAUUUCCCAUAGAAUGUCACCAAACCUCCAUUAUUUGAUCAAUGUAUAAGAAAUUUUUUCCAAUGAUGUCAAUUUUUCCCUUAAAAAUAAAAUAACACAAAAUAUUGGGUUUCAAAAACUUAUAUUUACCAGCCCAGUACCGUCUCUCCUUAUAAGUGAGAGGUCGUGAAUUCGACUCACAGUAAACUCAUUGUAGCAUAUUAGUUGUUUAUCUGAUAAAAAAAAAACUUAUAUAUACCAACAAGAAAAUAUUCUAACAUAAAUUAGCUUUUCUUUUUCUAUUUUACUUGUGCUUGCUAAACAUCGAACAACGAUCAAGGAUAACAAUUGUAUACUAUGUGUGUUCUUUUUUCCUCUCUAUUUUAUGUAUAUCAUGAAAUUAUUUUAAUAGUUAUUUAAUUUUUCAUUAUCGAUUUGUUUUUGCAUAUAUAUUCCUUCACCUUGUAUAUAUAUGCUUUCAACAUAUAUGAUAAUAGAAAAUUUUAUGUCACACGGUCGCUUUUGAUAAUACUUUUAGCUCUAAUUAAAUAUAUAAUAUGUAAUAAAAUUUAGAAAAUAAUAAAUUAAAAAUUAAAAAUAUAUAAGGAAAAUAAUAAAGAAUACAAUAUUAUCAAUUAAUUAUCAAAUUGGAAAGUCUAGAGAGAAUAAAUAUAUUUCUUUUUGUAUGACUAUUGUCCUUAAUAGUCAUUACAUAAGAGGAGAUAAUUGUCAUUCAAUAACUCAUAACAAAGGGCGGUCAAGUGAGCAAAUUUGGAGGUCCUAAUAGCCGCACUCAUCGAUUUGAUCGAAUUCGGUAUUUCAUUCUAGUUUCUUUCUAACUCACAGGUCACAAGUACAUGACAUUCAAUCACGAAGCCCUUUUGUGCGAAAAGAUUAUCUCCCACCAAGUAUGAGACUAUGAGAGGAUAUAUAUGCAGAAAGAUGAUCGUCAGAAGCUUUGUUCUUUGCUUUUAUAUAUAAACACAUUUUAUUUUAUAAAACAAUGAUCAACAUGUGUUAAACAACGACAAACGUGGCCCGUGGAUCACAUUGUACCGAUAUUGUCUAAACUUAAUCACAUUUAAGGUGUUGGGUUUUAAUCACAAAAGGCCUCGAUACAAUUGGAUAAAAUCCAUCUAUUUAUAAGUUAUAUUUUAUUUGUCACUUUUCUAAUGUGGGAUCUAUUCCUCUCCAAUACUUCUAACACGCCCCUUCACAUGCAAUCUGACUCAAGGUCUGCACGUGAAAUGAAUCGGGACGGAACAAACCAAGGGACACUUAGUGAUAAUCCAAUCAGAACAUUCUGACGGUGAGAUAAGAAGUCGGAACCAGGCAAGAGAAUAGAAUCCUGGACCAAACGAGAGAAUGAAUCUAAAUCGGGCCCAUGAGAAUUAGAGAAGUAAUUGGAGAGGGACCUGCUUUGAUACCAUGUUAAACAGCGACAAGCGUGGCCCGUGGAUCACAUUGUACCAAUAUUUUCCCAACUUAACAGUGUUGGGUUUUAAUCACAAAAGGCCUCGGUAUAAUUGGAUAAGAUUCAUCCACUUAUAAUUAUAUUUUAUUUGUCAUUUUUCUAAUGUGUGAUCUAUUCCUCUCUAAUACUUCUAACAACAUGAUCGAUCUCUCUAAAAACAAAUUAGGGUCCACAUAUCUCUCUAAAAAAGGAGCAAGCACUCACAUUAUUUGAUCGAAAAAGUCAGAUCGAUGAUUGAAGUGGAUUGUAGACAAAUAACAUCUUGUUGUUAACUAAUUGGACAAUAAUUAGACGGUGUAAUUCCAGUUGCAUGCCCUUCAAUCCAUCAACCAUAUUAGCACCACACACAUAUGCUCCAAUUGGGAUUAUUUUAGCACUAGCUGUCUAACUUGUUCUGGAUCAUAAACAGAGAAGAUAGACAAGGUACCCACCCCCACUACUCCUAAUUUCGUUCUUUCUUUCCCUUAGUUUGGUGACCCAUUUUGAUGAUUCGAUCCAUAUACCAAACAAUCUUCGGCCUUUCAAAAACAGCUAACAACUCAUAAAUAAAGAGUCUCUAACUAGAAUUUGAAUCGAGGACUCAAAUAUUCAUUUAUAUAAAAGCGUAAUUCAUAAGUCAUCGAUCAAAUUAAAGAUAAUUUAUUUAUUUGUUUUCCUUUCUUUAUCACGUGUUCAUCACCCAUUUACUUUGAUCUAAAUGUCAUCACAUGAGUAACAGAAAAUAUAUAUAUAUAUAUAUAUAUAUCUCUUAAUUUAAGGGCUAGCUAGGUUGAGAUUGCUGUGACUUUUAAAAUUAAAAACUGCUUUUGUUGUACUGAAUGUCUGAAUAUAAUCAAUUAUGAAUUAAAACAGUUUUAUGUUUGAUAAAUGUAACUGUCAAAAGUCACCCCACUCCAAUUGUCUUAUAUUCCUUGAGAAGACCAAAACCUAGAACCCUAGGUUUCGUGUAGCAGCGGAGACGCCUCCCAAUGGUCUGCCUGGUCUAGGCCUUUCAGGCGUCGCUAUUCGGAUGGUUGGGAUCUUGUGCGAGGUGCUCCUUCUUGAGAUCUAGUUGGGUACGGACGACUGAAGCUUGGAGGUCUGACGAGGAGGAGAUUGGAGGUGUAGUUCCGGUCUGCAAGGGUGGUGCUUUUGAGGACUGAAUUUCAGGGUUGCCAAAAGGUUAAGGAUCGACUGUUGGGGCUGUGAGGAGGGCCGGCGAGUUUCCUCGAUCCAACGCCGUGUAACAGCAUCGAGUUUUGAGUUCUAAGCGUUGGUCGCAGUUCACUGAGUUCUUGGUGUGAUGUGGUUUGUGUGGGGGAGACCGCCAGACUGAUUUAGAGGCGGCGGUUGUCUUGGGUGGUCUGAUCUGGCGUCUGACCUGGUUCUAAGGUUCAGGCGAGCUGAGAGGAGAGUUGGCAUGUGGGAAGCUGGCUUCUUUUGGGCCUGGUCCAUUUUCCUUCUUCUCUCUUACUUAGUUUUAUUUUUGGGCUAGAGUUUCCAGGUUUGGUUUACUAUGAGCGGGCUUAUUUCGUAGUCCUAGUUCAAGGUUGUUUACUGUUCUGAUCGGUGGAGGGGUAAACCAUGAAGUCUCUAGACCCUAAGUUUAUCUUGACGGAUGCCGAUAAUUAGGGUUAUGUGGAAUAAAUUAGUUUUUAGAUGUCUGUCUUUUUUGACGCAUUUUGUUUAGUUUUUGAGUGUCCGCUUUUUUGACUUUAUUUUCUUUGUAGGAUUGUACUUUAUUAUCAUCUUUUUGGAUGAUAGUCUGGUUAUUAUUAGUUUAGUCAGUUGAGCAAUGAAUGUAAAUAAGGGUCAUUUAUAACCUUCAAGCUUGAUCUUGUAAGAUCGUAUAAAUAAAUAAACUAUUUUGCCCACGGGAGCAACAUCUCUUUNNNNNNNNNNNNNNNNNNNNCUGCUAUAUAUCUAAAUCGCGUGUGAAUUGUUUUCUAAGACGUCCCUACUCCUUUUUCCUUCAAUUGAUUAUGAUCGAGAUAGGCAGGUUUUGUUUAACCUUGUCUUUGUUUUCCAUCUGUUGGUAACUAGCGGAAGCUUGGAACUGAUAGAUGAGUCAUCAUUUAGCCAGUAAUGAUCGAUUAAUUAUUUUGUUUUUGUCGCCUAAGUUCGUAUGCCACCAGGCUUGAGCAACGGUGCUUAGCGACAAGAGUUUUUUCACAUAAGUGACUACGCGACGAAAAGUAGCACUUAGGUGGAAAACAAUUGGUCGCCUAAGUCUUUUAUUCUAGCAGUGUAACACGUAUAGAAAGACUCCGGACUUAUAUUAUAGGGUUGUGUAUGAUCAACCCUCGUGAGACAAACCAAAGUAAUAAACAUUGUAUUUGAGUAUCCUUUGGGUCUCUAUAAAAGAAAACUAAUACGACUUGGCUUUUUCUUGGUGUGCAGAUGGACAAAGGAAUAGAAUUUGAUGUUCUCGACGCCCAUGGUAUUGAGUACGUACCAUUGAUGAGUCUUAGAUAUUGAGCAAACUUUUAUUACUAAAGAUCUUACUGAGAUCAAAUUCCCUGAUCCGAAUAAGGUACAGCCUCAUAAAAGAACAAAAUCUCAGGUGCUUAUGUUCCUAAGAAAGCAUACCGAUCCCACACUGUGUAGACAACAUCAAUCAAAACAUUAUCCAAAAGAAUUGUGGGAUGCCCUUGCCAAACGUUUCGGCAAUAUUCAUUCAACCUUGCUUCCGGAGUUACUUGCUCAAUGGGAUGAAAUCCGGCUAUUGGAUUACAAGUGGGUUGACGAUUUCAAUCAUGAUAUGUUUUGCCUAUAAGCUCAACUAAGCUCAUGUGGGGUCGAGAAAAGUGAAGAAGAUAUGAUAAAUAAAACAUUCUCAACUUUCCUUACUGCUGCUAAGAUCCUGAUGAAUUAGUAUAGGCUCGAAUUUCAAACUAAGCGGAUAACGACAUUCAGCGGUUUAAUGACGCAACUUCUUAUGGAAAAAAUAAUAAUUUGAUAUGCGAUCAGAUCAACUUAGCUAGGCAACAUGUUGAUCUUGGUUCCCCCCAAGAUUUCUUAUCCAGCCUAAGUUGUUCUAAUCACAUAUCAGAUUACUCUUUUCUUCCAUAAGAAGUUGCGUCAUUAAACCGAUGAAUGUCGUGAUCCUCUUAGUUUGAAAUUCGAGCCUAUAUUGGUUCACCAGGAUCUUAUCAGCAGUAAGGAAAGUCGAGAAUGUUUUAUUUAUCAUAUCUUCUUCACUUUUCUCGACCCCACACUAGCUCAAUUGAGCUUGUAGGCAAAGCAUAUCACGAUUGAAAUCGUUAACCCGCUUGUAAUCCAAUAGCCAGAUUUCAUCCCAUCGAGCAAGUAAGUCCGGAAGCAGGGUUAAAUGAAUAUUACUGAAAUGUUAGGCGAGGGCAUCCCACAAUUCUUUCGGAUCAUGUUUUGAUUGAUACUGCUUGCGCAGUAUGGGAUCAAUAUGCUUUCUUACGAACAUAAGCGCCUGAGAUUUUGUUCUUUUAUGAGACGGUUCCUGAUUCGGAUCGGGGAAUAUGGUCUCAAUAAGAUCUUUAAUAAUAAAAGUUUGCUCAAUAUCUGAGACCCAUCGAUGAUACUCAAUAUUAUAGGCAUCGAGGACAUCAAAUUCUAUAUUUGUUUGUCCAUUUGCACACAAGAAAAAGCCAAGUCGUAUUAGUUUUAUUUUAUAGAGACCCGAAGGAUACUUUUGUCUCACGAGGGUUGAUCACACACAACCCUAUAAUAUAUGUCCGGAGUCGAUCAAACACGACCCGGAAAAAUCAGGUGAAGGUGAUCAAACACACCUUUGAAAUAUAUAACCCAAGUUGAUCAAACACAACUUUGGACCCGGGAAAAAAGUCUGGGAUUGUUAACAUGCAAUUUUCACAGGCCCAACUCCCAAGCAUAGAACGGGGAUGAAGAAAGGGAGAAGACACUUUAUCUCCCCCGAUUUUAGUUGGAAUUUUAAAAAAAUACCUUGAAAACAUACCUUAGAAAUUCUUGGGAAAAGCUUGGAUGCUUGAUCGGGGAAAGUCGGAAAGGAGGACCGGGAAAGACAACGAUCAAAAGUAAGGCCGACGGUCUGGUGCGACGACAGAGUUGAAGUUGAGGCAGGGCUGAAAAAAAAAACUGAAAAAAAAAAAAUCUUUUUUUUCUGGUCUUGAAAAACAAUUUUUAGGGUUUUGAAAUUUUUUGACUAUUUCAAGGUUUGAGCCAAGUAUUGAUAACGUAAUUUAGUAAGAGAGGUUUGAGAAUAGAGAGUAGAGAGAAUCGUGAAAAGACAAAUCUUAUUCAUUGACAUGAAACUCUUUGUAUAUGGAAUUACAAAGUACCAAUAUGGUACUGAUAAGGAAUACAUAGUCAUAUUCUAACUACAUAUCUUAAUGACAUAAAAUCAAAGCACACAUACGAAAUAUCCUAGAACAAUCCUUAUGUAAAUAACAGUUUUAAUAAGCUUUUUUCAUGUUAAUUAACAAGUUGUGUUCAUAUGUUUAAAUUGAAUUGAUCAAAUAGUGAGAAAGAUCCAUUGAUUGAGAAAACUCCCUUAGUUAUUGUAUUCCAAAAUUUGAGGUUUUUUAUGAUCCAUUUGUUGCUAUAUUGAGGUAACUUCAUGGAAGAAGAAGAUCGAGUCGGGAGUCAAGCUUUAUGAUACCAGUAGGCGGAUUGCAUUGGCGAUGGUUGGAUCAGAUAUAUGCUCUCGAAUCAUUGCGAUAUAGGAAAUUGUCUGGUGGUGUGAGGUCUGCGACAGCGGGGUUUAGGCGGCGGUUCAACAAAGGGGGAAUGACGGCGAGAGGGGUGGUCCAUCGACGGUGGCUGCAGUAAGGCUUGGCAAGGUUUCGCUUGCAACUGGGUUUCGCCCAGCUUUCAAGGUUCAAGUUUGGGCAUGUGUGUUCUCCUUUUGGGCUAUAUUGCUAGAACUAUCUAUUUGUUUCUGUUUCAAGUCCCUGUCUAGUUGUUGUCGGCAGAGACGAGGUGAAUUCCUAUGUGCGCACUCAAGGUUCUUUGUUUGUUCUAGAGAGGAAACGAUUCUUUAUCAAAUCGAUGUAACCUUGCGCUCUUAGUUUGAGUAUGAAAUGAAGUGCAUGUCACUAGAGAAUGUUGUAGUCGACAACAUAGUGGGAAGCAGGGUUAAUUGUCAUAUGACUUUGCAUAAGCUUUAGAUUUCCGGUAUAUAUGUCACCGUUUUGCAGCAAAUGGAGUUUGCCCACAUAUGUAAUAUGUCACCUCUUGCUGGUUCAUGCUUGUUUGAAUAUAUAGGAAUCCUACUGAUUAUACGAGAGCUCGAAACCCGUUACAAAGAGAAUCCCUUAUGACAACCUAAUUAAUGAAACGAGUUCAUCCAUGACUAAAUAAGAUAGAGUAAUGAAACUAAUUAAUGAAAUAUUAAAUAGAACAAAAAAAAAAAGAAUAAAAAAAAAAACAAAGGUUAGCGAGCUAGGUUGUCACUCUGGCGAGGAACAUGGGUUCUCAUGACUUAGGCUUAAAACGUACCAAUUACCAGAGUCCACGGAAUCUAUACAUUUCCAUAGCACUUUAAUACCUGUUGUCUCUCAUAGCUUCCUUUGCUAGCUGGAAGAGGAAACUUCCUUCGAGCUAUCUUCAAGUCUUCAAUGGUGUGGGAGUUCGAUUUAUUAUGUCCAUGGACUUUCUCAGUCAAAACAACUCAAAAACUAGGGGUAGUAAUUUCUGCCUUGAGCAGCCUGUGGCACCGUGCUUUGUCUGUGAAUCGGAGAGAAAAAAAAAAAAAAAGUACUCAUCCCCACCCACCUAUACGGAGACUUAUCAUCGCUUCAUGAUUACAAGAAUGUGAAAGUAGAAGGAGGAUCCAAAAAUCUCAUUAAGUGCAUAAACACCGCUUGCACUGUUCUUUGGCGAAUACGGAUUAUUAUCUGUGAGAUUAGAUUUUUAAUUCCUUACUUUCAGGCUAGCUAUUAAAUUUCAAUAUGUUUAGAGAGAGUCCAACUUUCUAGUUGAUGUAAUCGUAAAUCUUAGUUAUAUUACUAACUUGCAACAUUCAGUUUAGGUUAAUUAUUUGCGUGAAUUUUUCUUGUAAUAAAAAAACCUAUUAUCUUUCCUUUUGCUUCAGAUCGAUUUCCUUAGAACAAUUGAAUCAUUCUCAAAUUCUCACUGUCCCAUUUCUUUACGAUAUAGCUAGGUUACUAUGAGGAAGAAUUGGUCAAGGAUUUCCGCUUAAAGUCAAAACCUUCACAUGUUAUGUGAUUAAGACCUUGUUAUUUGCAUAUAAUUCCCAAGGCAACUGGAUCCUGAUUGCUUUGGAUUUUCUUAUGUCGUCUCACUGUGUCACUAAAACCAAAUUAAUUAUGGGACUAAGUGAUUAAGAUUUCGAUAAUGAAAGAUGAAACCGAUAUCAUUUCCCCAUCAGAAAGGCUGUUAUAUGGAGUUCCACUAGUAUGUACGUAGCUAUUGAAGCAGUCAACGAGCCCGAUCGACCAGAGUAGAAAAUCUAAUGCAUUAGUACGUCGGCGUUGAGAAGAGACUAAUUCAAAUUAGUACACUACUAUGAUUUCUAUCACACGAGUAUUUUCAUUAAUUAAGAGAAAACUACACUAAAUAAUCACACUUAGUAAUGUCUAUUUCUCACUUGUCGGGGUCCUUUGAUUGCUUGCAUCUCAUCGUCGUCAAAAACUCUCAAAUUCAAGAUAUAUGAUUGGUUUCGACCUCUAUCUAAUAUAUAUUAAAAAUGCGACGAUACGUCCGUAUUUUUAAGACUUAACAUCGUCAGUUUGAAAGAAAUAUCUAUAUUGAAUUCCGAUCACUUGAUAUGUUACAAAUGCAUAUCUCGCAAAAUGUAUCAAAUUCAUGUUCCUAUCUUCUCUCAAAGAAAAAGUACACCAGUAGCCACCAUCACAACUUCACAGGGAGGAUUUCUCUCCACUAUGUACGUACUACUCUUUUCUAGCUUAAUUUCCCGUUUUGUUAGAGUGUCUUCUUGUGUUCUACUUGUUUUAGUACCCAAACUCAAGAAGAAUCUUUAAGUCAUGCUUCUAUAUAAUAAGGGUGCAUUACAAUUAGUCAUGCUCAAGAUUUCUUCGUCCUAAAUUAAUCUCUCCUCGAGUUGAGAAGUAACGUUUGUUAUUGUCCAAAUUAUUUUGCCUAUAUAUCCAUCUUCAUCGAACCCAUAUUACGGGAGAGCUUCUAAUGAGAACCUUAUGAGGACCGAGUGAGAAUUUUUAAAUAAACGGUGAGAUGAUGUGCAUGUUGGAAGUAAAAAAUAUCAACUAAAACUUAAAACACUCAUCUAACCGUUUCUUAUCAGCUUAGAUUGUAUGCAAUUGGAUCAUUGGAGACAUAAUCAUUUUUAUUUCACCCUCACGUUAUGCACGCAGUAACUUCUGUGUUUGGUGUAGUGUCUCCUAGCCUAUUAGGAAUAAUGAUCACCAUCAUCAAAUACUCAGCAAAUUCUUACUCUACCUGCAGGAUUAGUAGACUCAUUUUGAAGAUAAUCAAAACUUUAUAAGGGUGUGCGUGCACCUAUAAGUAUAUAUGAUGCCUUUUGCGAAGUUUCUCUCAACUUAUUCAGCUCUAUAUUUGCAUUUCUAAACCCUGAAUUUUUAGCUGAAAUAAUAUCCAAUAUAUAUUUUUUUGGUGGGAUAAAUCAUAACCUAUAUGAAAGAAGAUCUAGCAAGUAUAUAUAUAACAGUGAAAUAGUGCUAUAGUCUGGGGAAGACUGUAUUUAAGCCAAAUGAAUGCGUUAUUAAUACUGAACCUACCAAUCAAUUAAGAGCCAACUUCAGUUUCUCCAACCGACAGUACUUCAUAGUAACUCAUAACAUAAUGGAUCCUAACAUAAUAGACUAACUAAAGUGACACCCCACUAAUUAACCCGUGUAUCAUCAAUUCUGGCUUAUCCACGUCCCCGUCUUCCAAAGCUUAAUUUACCUUUCUCUUGCGUGUAACUAUGAUCAAGCAAUGAAUUUUUUCCAAUUCGAUCAUGGGGUGAAAAUGAAUAAAAAGAUAAAAAAGAAAACAUGCAGCUGCUUUUCAUUAUUUUCCAAAACAAAUAUAGCUAGAUAUACUUUUAAUUUACAUUUUUUGUUCCUUCGAUUCACUUGGGGAGUGUUAUCUUUCUGCAUCUCACGCGAGAAGAAAAAAGAGAGACAGGGAAAAAAAGAAGAACAAAAAGCAUGGUUACAAGGCUAACAAAAGCCUAACUUGAGAAAAUUAAAACAAGGAAAAUGAAACCCUAAGAUGGGGAUGGAUGAGCGGCUUUAAUCUGAUCGAUAUUGAUUAAUUUUAAAAUAGGAUAUCUUGAUCAUGAGCUUGAUGUGCACUAGCAUCAUCUAAGAGCCACUUCUCCAGCAAUGUGAGAGGGACUUGAUCAGCUGCUUCUGCUGCAGCUGCCGCGACCGUCUCCUCUAAAUUGGGCUUGCUUUCGUCUUGGAACAUCAUGAGACUAGUAUUAUUAUUGUUAGUAGUAGUACUAGCGUGACGAUGAUUAUUUCCUGCUGAUAACUGAGUCGAAGUGUUAUCGGAUAAUGUGCUGGAGUUGAAGCUACUAAACAAGGAAUCGAAACCCUGGUGGUCUUGAUGGUCCGGCGUGGUAGUUGUCCCGCUAUGCGCCCCGUCGGUAGUACUAGAACAUGAACCGUUGCUGAGCAUAUUCUGAUGAUGAACAUGGGAUUGAUGAUCGUCCGAUGAGUUUGUUCGAACUUUUGGUGAAUUUUUCAUCCAGUUUUCGAGCAAUCGAGCAAUGUUUUCGGUGUUGGACGCAUAUGUGGAUGCUUGGUGAGUUCUAGUAGUGGCAGUAGUACUAGUAGUGGCAUUAAUAUUGGAGAGUGAGGGCUUUAAGUCUGGCACAUGGUGAUGAUCAUGACUUGGUUUGUCAAGGGAGAGUGCCUCACAAAGGGCUUGUUUGGCCAUAUGGAUAUCUGUUUGGAGCCUUCUCUCCCACUGACCCUUUGAAAUUGGCUGCUGUGAAGUACCUGAAAUGCCAUCCUCAGCACUACCUGUCUGAAGCUUUCUGAGCUUCUUCUUCAGGUGGGUGUUCCAGUAAUUCUUAAUAUCAUUGUCUGUUCUCUGAGGAAGGUAGGAAGCUAUGGCAGCCCAUCUGCACCCAUAUUCAAUUUAAUUUUUCAUCAAUAUCUAACCAAGUUUUAAUUCCAUUUUUGGUUUCAAAAAUCCCAGCGUCACUCUGGAUUAAUUAUAAUAAUCAAAAGAACAAUAUAUAGAAUCUGACUAUUGGGAUAAAUUUGGGCGUAUCUAACCCCCAUAUCCAAAGACAUUAGUUAAUUAAUACUAAUAAUCUAAUCAAGUCAAAACACAUGAAAUUCACAGCCAAGAAGUAUAUGUAAACUAAGGCACAUCCAAGAUUUAAAACAUGGUGUUUGAGUUCUAAUUAUUACAGAGAGGUUUGAACUUUUGUGAGAAAUGAAAAUAUUACCUAUUACCCAGAAGAGCUUGGAGGUGGAUGAUCAUCUUCUCCUCAUGGUCGGUGAAGUUACCGCGUUUGAUGCCCGGCCGGAGAUAAUUAGUCCAUCUGAGCCGGCAGCUCUUGCUACAUCUCAUCAAACCUGAUCAUUGAUCAAAACCGUCACUGAUAAUUACUAGAAAUUAAUACUUGAUUAGUUAAGAAUAGUGCUGUUAAUAACCUAAUAUACUUGUUCAAGAAAAAUUAGCAUCAAACAGGCAUGAAUCUGGAACAUAGUUUAAGAAGAAGAAAAGGAUGAUGAGCUAGUUAGAAAGGAAAUAAGAACUAAUUUAACACCACUGUCCAUGGCCAGAAGCUAUGGAUGACUUUAAUGCUUCAAACCAACCCCCCAUUUAUAACCUUACAGAAAACAAGACAGAGUAAAAAGUACAGGCAACCCCAGAAUAAGAAGAUGAUGAUGAUGAUGAUAUAAAGUUAUAAACUAACACACAUGUCCAAAUAAAGAAAGAGCAAUUGUCAUAAUAAUUAACCAACUGACUUGAAAUGAAAGAAGGCAGCUGGGUAGAUCAAAAACCAAGUACAGCACCUGUGUUGGUAGGAACUGAUCUCCAAUUCCCAGGUCCGUGUUCUUGAAUGUACGACACCAAGAUGAUGUCUUCCUCCGGCGUCCAUGGUCCUUUUUUCACUCCAACUUUGUCACAGCAAGGUGGCCUUCCCAUUUAACCUAAUUUCUCUGAUCUAGCUUCAAGCUAUAAGUUCCGAAACUCAAAUCGGAACACGACCUGGGCUGAGCUAGCUGUAUAGUUUACGAGGAUGAGGAUGAGGAUGAAGAGGUAGUGAGAUUGAUGUUGCUCUCUCUCUCUUUUCUUUUUAUAAUGAUCUCCAGAAUCUAUCUGGUAAAAGGAUGAUCUAGGAAGAAGCAAACGUCCAAGGCAAUGGUUUGGCUUUGUCUUGUGGGUAUUUAUAGAGAGAAGAGAGAGAGGACUGUGCUGACAAUGAAUUGAAGGAAGGUAAAUGGAUUUUGUGUAGAAGUGUACUAAAGAGCUCCAAUAAGAGUCAAAACGAGACAGCAAAAUAAGCAUUUACUCGAAUUUUCCUGCAGCUGUAGCCAAAAAGUCAGCUAUGUUUAGACCCAUCGCUAACUUCAUCACUCUUGAAAUACCGUGUGGCAUUCAUUGGGGCUACUGUGGUGGCAGCAGCACCGAAUACAACCCUAAUUUACUCUCUCACUUAAAUUACCGAAAUACAACCCUAUUACUACUGUUUAUUACACUUUCCAUAGUGAGUUCUUUCAAAAUUAAACCCUAAUCCUUGUCAUGAGAGCAUGAUUUUGACGUACGUUCGGUGUUUUCAUUCUCUUUGUGCUGAUUGAUCAAACAAAUCUUUCCAUUCCUACGAAUCAUGAUUAAUGUGGUGUGAUCAUCAGAUAGUGCCUAUAUAUGUAUACACUUGGGAUCGAUUUUUCAACUUCAUUCACCGUAACUAAUGGUGGUUGAGCAUGAAUUUUUUUACUAACCAUGUGAAUGUGAUCGACCAUGAACUAUUAGGAGGGCUCAAUUUCUUCUUGAAAUGAAGGUGAUUGAGAUAAGGCUCGAUCUAAUUCAGACUCCAAAAUAACAUCUAAUGUAAUCCGAUGAAUUCUUCUCAAAAAAAAAAAUCUCCGAUGAAAGCUUUGCGGGAGGAUCAAUUAUAUGCAAUCAUGCAUGCAUAAGCUUAAUUAAUUGAAUAAAAUGGAUGAAUUAGUCUAAGUUUGUGGGGAUCAUAUAUGCAGGACCAAUCAAUACUCCAUGAUAAAACUGAUUGAUUUAUUCUUUCAUUUCUGAUACUUAACCAGAUAAUGGGUAGAGUGUUCUUUAUUAGGUAGGUCCAUCUUCUUCAGAUUGUAGAGUGACACGUAUACUUUGCUCAUGAAUGCAAGCAUACUUACUUUUUUUUUCUUCUACGGAUAGUAAUCUCCAAUCAUGUAUAAAUCUUUUUUAAAAAAAUCAUGUAUAAAACUAUAAUUAAUGAUGUAUGCUACAUCUACAAUACAAUAUUCCAUUAUUUGUAAUUUAAGAACUGAGGAUUUCCAAUUUUCCAGUUUCCACCCACCAACUCGCUUUGAAGGCUAGGGUUGUAUUUUUGGGUUUUUUUUUUUUUUUAAAAUGGAUUUCGUUUAUAAAAUCAUGUGUGCCGAGUUCUUUGAUUCUUUAGUUCGAAGUAUUAUGAUUGCUCUAUGAUUCAUAUAUAUCCGAUAUUCGUCAUUUUUAUUAAAAAAGUCUGAAAAUAAACCGAGGAUUCCGUAAUUAAAUAAUUAAAAAAAAUAUUUGGUGAUCAUCGAUUCAUAUGCAAAAUAUAAUCAACUUAUUUUAAAAGUAGUUUACAUUUUGAUUGAUUUAUACAAAUUUACUGUAAAUAAAGAAUAAUACUAGAUGAACCACAUUUUUAGGCCCAUCAAUAUCUCAUCUUAUAUAACAGUUAAAGUGACAUGUCAUGUGGUACUCUAAUUGAUGGUUCACUUGACAUUACUCGUAAAUAAAUUCAUAAAAAUAUUGUAUAAGAAUCCUUUGUUUAGUUACAUGCUUUUGGUUUAAGUGAAAGCGACUAUACAUUAUCGAUUAACAUAUAGUUCUACAGUGUAUUUAAUCAAAUAGUUAACAUGCAACUAUAUAUUAAAAUCCUUCAAUGUAUGAUAAGUACACACUCUAGCUAAUCUUGAGCAACAUUGAAGCAAACUCCAAACUAAGUCCGACAUAUACGUGAGGGUUGUUCACACCCUCCCAAAUAAGUAAUGAACGCACUGGAGCAAGUAUAGCUAGCUAGAAAUUUCAUUGCAAAUUUGCAAUAUAUAUCUUGACUAAUUAAUCUAGAUUCUAGCUAGCUCGACUACGUUUAGCCAUGAUGAUCUGACUAAUCAUGCACACCAGCAACUUUCUAAACCCUAAUCAAGCAAAACCAGAUCAAUCUAAUUAUAAUAGUACGUACCUAGUUAGGAUCAUAUAUUGACUAGGUCACCUUCUAUUUUCUGUUGGUCUUCCAAAACUGCUUGUACAUAUUAUAGAGCUAAAGGUUGAAUAGGUUUAUACCGACUUUGGUUGUUUGUUUGACCUAGCUAGUCUGCUAAUACAGACCGAUCCGAUUUACAUUUUUGGUGUUGGGCAUCCAAGUCAUGUCGAAGGUUGAUUGAUAUAAAUUCGUACCAAAAAUGGCGUUCUUGCCCAUAAUUGAAAACAAAUUACCAGAAAAAACUCCCAGUCUCCCCCAACAAAUUAAACAAAUAUAAGAACCUGACUGUAUCAAAGAAAGAAAAGAGAAGAACCUGACAGAGUGACAGAUCAAAAUGAAAGCAGUAAAAUCAAAGAGCGGUGAAUAAUGAUGCUAAAAGGAUGAGAGUGGAAGAAUUUAAGGACGUAUAGCAUGAGAUUAAGUUCUCUAAAAAUAUGCUUAAAAGAAAUAAGCUCAAUAUUCAGCAGCUGGAUUUUGUGUUUCACGCACCCGGAUCACCUCCAACCUCCAACCAAUUUCACACUCGAUCGCCAUUGAUGUUGUAAAUACGUAUUAGUUUAAAAUCACGUAGCUUCGACUAAAACAUGGUCAAAUUUUUAUUGGCAUAGAAAAAAAAAAAGAAAAAAAAAAGGGAAAAACAUAAGGUUAUGUUAGACGUCUAUUGAACAUGGAUAUUAGCAUGAAGUGUAUAUUGGGCCUGGGCUACUAGACAUUGAAUAUGAAAGUGAGUGUGUGCUCUGAUAGUAUCUGAUCAUUAGCACCUACUUAUUAAGAUCUAGUUGUGGAUUCUGGUCUCACCAACAAAAAAAAAAAGUUGUGGAUUUGUCAAAACUCCAAUAAAAUGAAUAAUAUCAUCUGCAAAAAGAAAUUGAAAAGAAAUAUACAUGCUCAAUAUAUCAACUACUGUACUGAGUAUUAGUCAACAUUUUUUUUUUUAAUAGUAAAAAGUGUUAUUGAUGUUAUCAAGCCGAUCACUUACAGUUACAUCAAAUUCAAGUGAAGUGGCCGUCUCAGACUCUCAGUUAGUUAAAUUGGGUCUUCCUAAUUUUCGUUUUCGUUAAUUGGAACUUUACGUAAUUUGUGAUAGAACAGGGUAUGCCAUGUUCUCAUUCUUGUAUUUUUCUUCAUUCUUAAUAAAUCUCUUACCUCGCGUUUGGGAGGUUUGGAAAAAGAAAAAAAAAAUGCUUCUCAAUCUUUGAAACAAUCGACAGUUAUCAAAGACGGACUCUAAAACCACAUACAUCAUGUGUACUUGAGUGGUUUAUAUGGUGUUAUCAUCCCAUCUAUUCAGACACACAGCGCUGAAAACAAGAGUCGACUGUGACAACAUUCUCGACAAAUAAACAGUUCAAUCUAUCAACUAAACAAAGAAUGUACGUAAUUUUCGAUCCCUCUUCUGUUUCCAGUGCAGACAUAGUUUAAUUAUCAAGUACAGUCGACAUAGUUUAUCAAGUAUGGCAAAUUGCUCCCAGAUUAGGAUGGGAUUUAAGUUGUCUCAAUGACUCGUGUUUGGAAACUUGGAUUGCUACCCAAACAAUGGAAUUGUGGAUAUAACAAACUCAUAUUCGUGACCUAACCCUAACUUUCCCAGACAUAUUUUAAUUUCUGUUUGAAUGGAAGUAAAUUUUAUUUCGAUUUAAUGACUGGAGUGGGUAACUUCUUAAUUAUCUAGAUUAGAGUAUACUUUGAAUUGUUUGAUAUUUUGAGCUUGAUGCAGAUGAAUGGUAACUAUCGUCGCUAUCCAUACGUAAGUCUGAUGCCUCUGCUUAGGUCUAGGGUAUUUGACUGUGUACGUAUAUACAUAAGCAGGACUGAAUCAAUACUCAGAAAUUGACUGGUACGUUCAAACUCUACUACUCUAGCCAUGACCAUGUCUUACAUAGAAGAAAAAAGAUCGAGAUAUUGGUCAUCGAUGAUAUCAAUGCCUGGAUUAUCUAUCGAGUUAUUUGUUUGGUUUCUUGACGAUGCUGGUAGAUAAGAAAUAUGCAGAGCCACAUGGACGCACGAAACCAAGUCCAAGCCAUCAUGUUCAUAAUGAAUCAACACACAGAGCCAAAAGAGGUUAGAAAGCUGCAGUAGCUUUCUUCUUUUAUUCGACUUAUACGGUACAAACUGAACAAUCCAACAGUGAUAUAUACAGAGAGUUUGUUAAGUUUGCCUCGAGAUUUCAUGGUACUGCUACACGUAUGAGAACAGUAUUGCCAUCUUUGAUCUGUUCAGGGAAAUUAUUGUGCAGCUAGCUAGGGUUCAAGAAGGGGUCUCUCAAUAACGUACUGUUCGUCGUUGGAGCGAUUACGUUUUCAUUCAAUAAGACGUAUAAUUUGAAGGGGUCCAACAAGAGACCGCUCGUUUGUCUCUCUGUCACUUUCAUUUGGUUGUUCAACCAUUCAUACUCUACGUAAGCAACCUGGACAAAACGAGGACUGAAAUAACAAAGACCCUAAAAAUAUCAGAAGUCUUGAGGUCGAAAUACCAACAGAAAAACUAAAUAAUUUUCAUGUAUAAAUGACUAAAACUAUACUGUAAGUAAAAAUGAUCGAGGAUGUUAAUGUGUUUAGUAAGGAAUCGAGACUCGUUUGAAACAACAAUUAUGAAGAGAGUUUCGAUUAUAUUCUAGGAUGAUAUUGAGAUUUCAGAUUCAAAUACAUGAUUAUGCAAUCAUAUAUGGUGUACCGAUAUCUAAUGAAUUCUUGCUUAACAUGUAGUUAGUGAUGAGAACUCAGAGGAUUUGAUGAAAUAAUUAAAGUGUAGUGAUUUAAAUUAGUUAGCAUUGGGGUCUUAAGAAGAAAACAUAUGCAGGUCAUGAAAUACAACACUGAUAUUGUUCACAUGAUGUACCCGCCAUACAAUUGUAAGGUAUUUCCCCAUUUCUCUCUUCUUCUUUUUAUUCUUUGUUCGAUUUUUCGACCAUUAGUUCUUGAUAUCUUUUUGUGUUCUAUGACCGUACUUCUCAUUAGAUUUACAGAAGCACUUCUUGUGAUUACAGAAGUACUAGUUUUUGUUUGGUAUAAGAUAGUUUUUGUUUCAGUUCUUCAAUAUACUCAAAGUGUUCCAACCACUAACCCCAUAAGGCAUGUACGCAUGGUGAUUAAAGUUGGGGAGAAAACGAUUUGAAACAAACACCUGCAAAAAGAUUAGUUAGAUCGAUGUGUCAUCUAUGAGUGCUGCAUUAUAGAACGAAACUACAACCAAUCGACGUCCAUUUCCAGACUUUAAGAAGGACUGUAAGCAAUUAUAUUGCUUUAGAACUUGACAUUGUAUUAAACCUGCGUAUUACAUGUUCUUGUAUUAAUAUACUUACAUGUUAUUUAAUCUGAGUUUAAGAUAUAAACUUUAUACUCUAUAUAUUACUAUUGGAUAAGUUUGUAAGAGUUUUUGAAUUCAAAAAAAAAAAACAAUUACAGUUAUUAAGCAGUUGAAUAACAUGACAGUUUCUUUAUGGAUGAAACUGUCAUGGCUGUGCUCUAUAUAUAUGUCUAUCUGGUCCUUUCUUAAACAUACAAGUUCUUACAACAAGUCUCAUCUACUUGAAGAACAUAAGGUUUGAAGAACAUAAGGUUGGAUUAAGGAGAAGGCUAACAUGGAUAACACAGGUGAUUAGCAUACAAUAGAUUAGUAGAUUUUCAUAGACUGCAGAUUAAGAUACAUAGAUAUAUUUCUAUCCUAAAAGUACUCAGCAAAACAUACAGAUAUUAUAGAUAAGUUCAUAGCAUGUUUUGAUCUGAUAUAGUCUAAAGUAAGGUUCAAGUUUUGAUUCUAACCUUUCAAGAACACGAUAUAGGUACAAUGAUUGAGCAAAAUCUUGGUUUCUUUCUACAACUAGUUAACUUAGGUCGUUUUACUUCAGAUUUAAGACAUAAGUGUCCACAAACAACGUCAUUAUUAAUUCAUUGUUGUCAUUGUUUUGUGGUCGUUGAAUUGCUCGAGCUCUCUCUCUCUCUGUUAUCUUUCAUAUGUACUGAUCAAUAUCGUUAGUGUUUAAUUGUGAAGAAGUGGCUAGUGAUCAUUAGAAACACCGGUUCAAUAUUCCUGCUGUUUUAGUCACCCGUGCUAUAACAAGUAUGAAGUUUUGACAUACACAAAAGAUAUCGUUAUUAGUCUGUGUGGUAUCAUUCACAAUAAUUGAAUGUAGCGUAACGUAUGAUUCCAAAAGUUCAAUCUAACCCACCGAUUGAUUGUACCAUUGUUUCCAUUCACAAUAAUUGAAUGUAGUGUAACGUAUGAUUCCGAAAGUUCAAUCUAACCCACCGAAUUGAUUGUACCAUUGUUUCCAUUUUCAUCAAAUAAAAACAAAGAAAAAUAACCAAAACAAAUGAACAAAACCUUGCUAGCUAGAAUGCUUGAUUGAGCAUGUACAUGUGAUUUCUCUUGGCUCUCAAUUUCACGCAUGUCCUACUAAUUAAGGCCACAACUAACAUACAUCAACAUGUACAUGACAAAAAAACAACAUAUGUAUUCGUCUCCAAAACCAUAUGAAAUUUUAGUAUGAAGACUGCAUUUAUUAAUUAGCUUAUUUUAGUAAGUAGCUCCUCGAUGGAUCGCUGAAGGACUAGUACGUUAUUAUGAAUCGAGCAACCUCAAUUCUCAGAUCAACUAGUGUUGUAUAUUGUUACUACGUAGUACUCCUAUAAUUGUUAGAACUUAUUUGUCACAAUAUUAUUUCAUUCCAGCUAUACGUACAUGUAUGUAUCCUGACUAGGCCGUAACGAGUGUUUGAUUGUAAUGUAACACGAGGACAUCGUUCUCAUAUUCUUGAUUCCACCUCCCAUAUUGCUACCUGAAUGAACUUAAUCGAGGAAGACAAUAUUAGGAGACGCAUUGCAUUCGUCUCUUUCGUUGAAAGGGAUUGAAUAGUAACAAGUGGCGCAAUAAUACUAUCUCAUUGUGUGAUCCAAGUGUGCAACAACGAAACUGCAUAAUACAUAUUCGAUACGUUAAAUCCAUGCGUAGUGUAAUUGAAAGUUCUUGUAAUGAUACUAGCUUCUUAGUGAUGGCUCAUUUUGGACGUUAACGAGUGGUUAAGUUGUUGAGUCAAUAAUGAUGAUCUACGAGUCAUAUAUAUUUGUCACUGUUUAACCGAAUUAAUCGCCCGAUUACAUUAAAAUAUGACUGAAUAUUGUAAAGAGAGAAGAGGGACCAAACCAAGACUCUUCCAUAGAAAUGCCGAUGCGAACCAAGUUUAUUGAUUGAGGUUAUUUUCAUUCUUUCUUUUUUGGUAUUGCGAGCUAACCUAUGUACUUAUUGUGAGUCGACAGUAUAUUCUUCAGUUAAAUCAACCUGCUUCAAGAACAACCUGGAUAAGAAGAUCUUGAGCGACGUAUACUUGCUCUAAUUUUCAUGCCCUACUUAAUUAUCACGUACCGAGUUAUCAAGUGUACAUGAUUAGUCGGAAUAAGAUGGACUCACAUAUAUCGUUAUUACCGAUGCCAUGCAUGCAUCGAUAUCCGUUAACGAACUUGUCACAAUAUAUGCAGGUAAUGUGUCGUACUUAAGGUCCCCAUAUAUUAUGUGUUGGUUUGACAACAAUGUUAGGUCGAUUACGUCCAUUCAUGUUUGAUUUUUCAUGCAUUGCUAUGCAGCUCGGAGCCCUAGCUCCAUGUCGGUGAGGCGGCGGUUGUGUGAUCAUAAGAUGAGGUAAUUACAUUGGAUCUAGCUUGAUCAUCAAAAUAAAAGAAGAAACUGUAAAAAGAAUCAACAAAUUAGUAUAGAAGAAUGUCUAAUUAUUUUGAUUGUUUUAUGUAUUGCGCUUUUGUUUACAUCGGAGGAGAUUCAAACUACUUAUCUAACCCUAAAUCUAGUUCCAAAUCUCUAAAUACAGAGUCUCCUAACGAACAUAUAUAAACCAUCAACAUUACUUAAUUUGUUUUCUCUUUUUAUUCCGAAUAAAUUUGCUCUUAUUUUGUCCCAUAUCAUUAAGAACAUAUGAAGACAAGACAAUUUCAGCCAGCGAUCAAAAAUUUGUUUUACGAUUAAAGUCGGCAAAACUAGUAUUGCCUCAAACACAAUUCAAGCACAACAAACGUCCUCUCCUUGUCACAAAUUAAUUUCGAUCAAGCAGUGCCACUCCCACUUACAAAUAUUAAUGCGUUUUGGGAACAUACGGAGAGUCUCAUGACGAACAUAUAUAGACCAUUAACAUUAUUUUUUUUAUUUUUUUAAUACCGACUAAAUUGACUCUACAUUGUCCGAUAUCUUUAAGAAUUAACGAUCAGAUAAUUUCAGCCAUGGAUCCAUCUUUUUGUUGUUUACGUUUAAAGUCAGCAAACAACGCUCUAGUGUUACCUCAAUCACAAGCACAACAAACGUUCCCUCCUUGUCACAACUUAAUUUCGAUCAAGCAGUGCCAUUCCCACUUAAAAAAUAAUGCGUUUUGGGAUGAAAUCAACAAUACAUUAGAAUGUGUGUGAUCCAUACAUGUAAUUGAUAAUUCUUCCAGUUCUUGAAACUAGCAGCGUGUGAACCUACUUAGCCACCUUUGGUACAUACAUACCUAAAUAUAGUUGUAUAAGACACAUUCGAUUAAUAAACUAAACUCUCGAUGAGAAAAUACCUAUAAAUGAGCUUAGAAAUAUCUCAAUUCGUGAAUUGUCUGUGUAUAGAUACGCCAAUUAUGUAUACGAGAAUUCUCCGAUGCAUGUACGAGGGUCUACCUUGGAAAGUAAGUAAGCGUCAUAUUCCACCAAUAAUUAGAUUGAUUACGACUUCAUUUCCAUCCUGGCACUGAGGGCUUUUCACGAUUUUGGUCUCCUUGUUAGAGAGUAGCUAGGGCAUACCUGAGUAAUGUUUCUAAUAAUGGAUUACCUGCAUAUUCUUUCAAAUAUGAAAACAGAAAAUAUAGUCACACUCACUCACACUUCGUUUGUUAUCCUUUCAAUAUAUCGAUCUGCAGGGAUUAUACUGCAACUCUGCAAGGACAUGGUAGGUACGUACUGUUCAAAUAUUUAUUUCAGCCAAGUUCUAACUCCUGGGAUCUACUCCCCAUAUAUAUAUAUCUUGGUGAUCGUCCAGUAGUAAUGACUAACGUCAAGCCUCAAAGUUAGAUCGGAUCGGAUGGAGUUUUUAUUUUUCAUUUUGUUUUAUCAGUCAAAUCAAUCCUUCGAGUCGUGAUAUCUUUAUAAUACGUACAAUGUAUAGCAAAUAUGAGGACAAUAACAAAUUACUAAAACAUAUUAGAUAGAUCGAUUUUGUAAAAUAAAUAUCAACAUAUAUAUGCCAAACUAAGUUGACGUUAAUAACUGCUCAACUCAUAAUAUGAAUUAAGCGUGAUCCUCAACAAAAUGUCACAGUUUAAAACAGAUAUGACAACCAAUAAAAUUUGAAUCAUAUCUAUAAUUAUUAUACGUUAUUUUGAACUGACGUUUCAUAGAAUCGAUUGUAUCUAACUUAUUAAUUAUCGCAAAUAUUACCCAAAUGUGAGGGCUAUGUCGAUCGAAUUGCAGCUCAUAUGAUUUGCCCAACAAACUUCAUUCUAACCAGACUUUAAAGAUGGUUGGCCAAAUUCAUCUGUCAGAGAAUUUGAACAUAGAAUCAUACCCAAACAGAGUUAAAACUUAAAAACAGUCGCGCUCUCUAUGUCUUUUCCUUACACGUGUACUACAACGUUGGGCCUUGUGGAGUCACAACUUGGAGCCCACCAUCCAAAAGGUAGAUUUUAAAUUUUUCGUUAUUUAAAGAUUGGGCUCAGUUGAGAAAUUGACCGUCAAACUUUUACGACGUCGUUUUCUAGUUAAAGCCAAACCCGCGACCCACGUGAAGUCGUGACACGUAACGAACGAAACCCCAUCUCUGCCGACAAAUGAUUCAAUGUUAGUAGAGACUGGUGCUUAGCUAUAUUACCAGUAAUCUCAUUCACUAUUGAUAAUUCUUUUAUUAAUGAUUUAUUUCUUAGUUGAAUUGUCAAAAUUAUUUGAGAAUUUGAGUCUGAAAAUUAAGAAUUUUGAGUGUUAUUAGGUGUCGUUCUAGAUUUAGAACCGGCUAAAAUACAUGUAUUCAAAAUAAAAUAUUGAAAACUUGUUAUAUUUUACCUUGACAUUUGUAAAAGACGAGAAAUUUCGAGCAUUAAAGAUAUAAAUAUGUAUUAGAUCUUGAUUUUCUUAUUGCAUACGUAGGCAUCAGCAUUAGCCCACAAUCGAAUCAUGAUCAACUGUUUUAUUCGUUAUCGUACGUAACAUUGCGCACACAAUCACAAAAUUGAUUUGAUUUUCCGAAAACAUAUCAAACUUCAAAAACGAUUGCUAGUCUUUGUGUUUCUUAAGUGACAAUUUAGAAAGAGAAUUGUUUUGGUCGGAGCAAAGUACAGUGCAAUAUAUAUGCAACUAAUCAACUAAAUUGAUUUAGACUCUAGCAGUUAUCGUUCGAGAUAUGAUAGUAGCUAGCCUUUAUCACACAUAUAGAUCCGAACCAUAAGUUCUUUACAGUACUAUUGUUUUAAGAUAUCUAUCUGUCAUCUUAGAAUCACUUUUGGUAUCCUAUAUAGGUUAAUUUCAGCAAAUUGGCUAAUUUUGAAACAUUUGGUAAUAAAACAUAGGUUACGAAAAAAAAAACACUUAAAGUAGCAAAUUGACACUAUAGUAUUCUAAAAAAAAUGGGGAAAAAAAUUACACGCAGUAGAACCUAAAACAGAACGUUAUGAACUUCGAAGGUGUACUACUACUCAGUUGCAUCGCAUAGGUAGGUUUUAUGUUUUUAUUUCAUGUUAAUGAUCUUUCGAGAUCUUCAUCUGAUAAUGUUUAAUUUGCAUCAAAUGUUGUUGAUUCAUCAGUUGCUUCUUAAAUCAUCUUCCUUAAGCACUCGUUUGACGAUGUGACUUCUAUCAAGUAUAUAUGAACAUCUCGUCAAUCCAAGUCUUUGCUUAUGUUGUUUCUUGUUUCUUUGUUUCCCAUUGCCAACAAAUUAAUAGAAGUAUAUACGAACAUAGGAUACUUUUCUGCCUCAUUAAUUAUCACAAAAAAUUCAAGAAAUCAAUUAGACAAAAUUUGAAACACGUUACUAUAUAUACAUUACAUCAUAUAUACAUAGGUAUAUAUGAUCGUUAGUACGUAUACAUAAAUUCUUAGGAUUAGGUACCACUUAUGGACAGCACAGAUGAAACCCUACGAAAAUGAAGGGGUCAAAUCAUCUUCGUAGUCUAUUAUGGUUAUGGCCGGGGGUCUUUCUCACAUAAAUGCAUGAACAAAUUGUGCUAGCUACAGUUCUUACUGAUUUGAUGGGAUGGGUUACGUAGUUACGUAAAAAAUGACAGUAAUCAUAGUACAUAGUAUCAUCUCUACGCAGUAUUCUGGGGAGCUUGCUAGUUCUGGAGAAGCUUGCUCCACGUAAUGUACCUUUACUUCAAUUAUGGUAAUCAUUCUUCGUUUCAUGGUGUUCUGGAAAUCUGGAAGCAUAUGGGGACGUCUGAGUUGUAAUGGGAGACACUGAGAUGGCACUGCAACAAGAACCUCGCACUCAGCAGUACUGCCAUUAAGGGAGUCAUUUAAGCUAGAUCGACGUACUGUGCUGUGUUAAGAGUAUAUGUAGGCCCAAUCCAAUGUAGUGCAUUAGUACAUAUGAAAUGAAUGAUCUUAGCUUCAUAACCCCUCCUCGCGCUCAAAUCACAAAAGCAUAAGUAAUAUUAAGUGGAUGCCUCCUCCCCAAGAUUUCAUCAAGAUAAACUUUGAUGGUUUAGGUGUUCUCUUGUUGCUUAUGUUCGUCGAAUUGGGAAAGCCAACGUCCCCAUCGGAAGCCACAAACUCUCAGAGACAGUCUUCUCAAAGCAAAACAGUUAACUUAAUUACCCAAAACCAUUGUCGAAGGCGAUUUAUUCUCUGGUCAUCAACUGCAUCGAUAGAAAGUUUAAGAUCCUUGAAAACUUCUACUGCUUAUCAAAGAUAUCAGAACUAUUGAUUCCACCUUUUCAAUUUUCAGCAAUAUCCUUCAACCAUGUUUUUUGAGAGAUGAAUUUUGUUGCCAAUGCUCUUUGCUACUUUAGGCCACAGCUUGGACAAUCCUCGCAUGUAGGAUGUGAAUUUUCCUAGCCCUUUUAUUCUUACACCGGGCCUCCAGACUCUUAAAAUCGGCCCAACUCCAAACCAUUACUGUCUAAAAUAGGUGUUGCUUGCAGUCACAGACACACGGAAGUGAGGUAUAUCCUUCCAAAUAACUGGGGAGGCUUGGAUAGUUGGAUGCGAUCAUGCAUAUGAAACAAAUGCUUCCAAAAAAAAAAAAAAAAACCUUACAAACGGAGACAAGAUUUUUCGUUACAUUGGAAGGGAUCGAAUAAGCCCUCCCAUUUCUUUAUAAUGUCUCACCAAUCAGGCUAGCUCUAAAGACUGGAACAAGGAAUCAUGUAUUAAAAACGCAAAUGAGGAUUCUGGACAUGUCAGACCGGCGACUGAGUAUCAGCAAAAUGAUAGAAGAAAAGUGCUUAUGCAGAUGCACAUAUGUGUACAAUUCCUAGGAGCAUAACCUUUAGUGUUACAUGAUCUGCAACUUUUCUGAUCACAAAACUGUUGUAUGAGGAAACCCAUAUAUCUGGCGAAGCGAAACAAACUCUAAUCUUUGGAUUCGAAGUUUUCUUGCAAGAACUGGUAAAGCUCCUCAGCAACUAUAGCAGGAUACUCCUCUUGCGGAAGAAGAGCGCCUGGCACCUCAACAAACUUACUCACUCCCUUGGCUUCCCUGAGAGCCUCCAUUUCUGCUUUUGACCUCUUUGGAGGACCUUUAGUGGACACAACAAGAACUGGUAUCUUUUUGUUGCCCAUAUCUGCAAAGAGUUCAAGAAAUUCCUCUCUAGAUUGUACAGCGUCAAGAAGACCGGUCAAGAAAGCAGCAGGUGCAUAGCGAGCACCUUUCCUUUUGGUUAAGGCAUAUCUACUUUCAAUAAUUCCAGGAGUCACAUUGUCAGGAUUUGAAUAUACAUGGGAUUUGUACUGAGAUUCAAUUGAUUUCUCAUUGCUGACAAGCAUGUUAUACAUCAUCCAGCCUAAAGCAGGGGCUCUUAAGGUGCCUCUAAGCAGUCCAUACCUAUUGCUUGUGAACAAAAUGGAGAGAUCAUUCAGUUUCAUGUAACAGAUAGAAGCAAAGGAAUGGAUAUCGUGUGUGAGUCUACGAAUAGUAAACUGAAUUAUAUGAAUUAAUUGAUCUUUCUCUGGGCCAUGCCUAUGCAGAACAAUUAUCGUGAUUUUGGGUGCCAAUUAUGAAUCAAUAACUAGCAGUUUUUCAUCAGUAUUUGAGGUUCUCAGUAGGUACCUUGUUUCCAUGCUAGAAUCUCGACCAAACACAAUAGGAAGGGGACCAGCCCAGGUGGGUGCAAUAGCAGCUAUCGCUUUAGGUUUGACUGCACCCUGCUUUGCUGCACGGAUAGUUAGAGUGGCAGCAUGUCCUCCUCCAAAUACUACAAGAUCAUUUUCUGGUUGACAGCAAGAGUAUUAGCAAGUUAACUUCAAAAGAAAAGACUUGCAUAUUAGUGUAGCGUCAUCAUAAGGAGAAAAACUCCAUGAAUGAAGUAAACAAAGAUCCUGUAAAUAUACUUGAUUUCCACCAUUACAAGGCGGAGGGAAGCACAAAGGCAGUUUCAAGUAAUUAUAUCCAGUUCAAAAGCUCGAGUCAAACAUAUGCAUGCUACUAUACUUCUUGCUAAAAAGAUAUAGAACAUAGCAAGCUUAUUAAAUGAUAUCUUAAGUAACAAUCGACCAAAAGAAAGUAGUCAAUCAUCAACCUGAGCCAUUUAGAGGACCAUCUGGUGAAUUGAUGAAGUCGACCAGAAAUUUCUCCAUGACAUCAGCAGUGUAGUCCAUCUUUGGCCUAUCAGAGUAUCCUAGACCAGGCCAAUCAACAAUAGUCGCUCGCCAAUUAACAUUACCAACUUGCUGAACAAUAUUACUUGCUACUGAUCUCCAUUCUUCAACUGUGCUAACAUCAGAAAUCGUUGGUAUCAUAAGUAUAUUCUUACAAGGACCAUCUCUCUCCUUUUCAUACUCCUCAUAGUAUAUGUUUAUAGAAUCACCCUUAAAUUUCCAUUGCCAAUUAUUGGUCUGCAACAAACUACCAUCAUUCAUUUGUGAGGCAAGGUAACAAACAUGUAGCACUAAAAUCUCAGAUUUAUAUCAAAACAUCUCUUUACACAGAACACCUAUGCCAAUACAAUUGAAAAUUACAAUUUCCAAAUGCUGUUGCGCUUAUACAGUGAAUGCGCCAUCGACUUCUAGUGAAAUUUGGUUCAUUUCACUGAAAAAUAAAGGUAUGCAGACAUCGAUUAGAAUGGAAGUUUUCGUCUAGGUUUUCACAGAAUUUAGUAUGAUAUGUAACUUGUGUAUCUUAUGUCUCAUCUUGCUAUGUAGAAAUUUAAGUUUUGCCUUUUUGUAUAGGGAGCUGAAAUUUGCACUCCAAUUUGUAUAUCAUCUUAUUACUUGGUCUCAAAAAUUCCCCCCUAAAUCACAGACAAUUUCAUUCAGUUUUCUCAAAUUUCCAAUACAUUCAUUAUUCAAACUAAUAUAGAGGUAUAGAAGCCACAAUUAAAACCCAUAAGCAGAACGAAUAACAAACACAUGAAUAAAUUGAACUGAAAACAAGAAAGCCUCUUCAGAAUGAUAAGAAAAAGGUGCAAUUGGGUCUCUGACCUUUGAUGGAGCUGACGCUUUAUCGUCCACAGAGAGCUUGGAGUAGUCCAAAGUGGUUGAAGCCCUAACCGUUAGGGUUCUGUGGAAGCAAGCAGUCUGAGACAAAUUGGGUUUACGGAUUCUGCAGGAGAGAAUAAGGGAAGGUCGUGAACAUGUAUUGAAUGCAGCAGAGAACGCCAUGGACAUGUUGCAGAAAUGGAGAGAGGUCGAAAAUUGUAUCAGGGUCUCUGUGAGCUUUGCGUUUGGGAGGAAGAUGCUGACCACUAGUUAGUCACUUUGAUUUUUCUGCUGAGAUUUUGAGAACCAGAUGAGAUUAUGUGUCCAGAAUAGUUCCAGCAUUAUCAGUCAAACCAAAAGCUCAUAGUUUGUUGACUUUUCCAUAUCAUGUCUUUGGGCUAUGAGAACUUUGGAUUUGGUAAAUAGUGAACUGGCAAUGGUAAAAUGUAAAAUCAAGAGAGUUGAACAAGUUUGUUCCCUUUUGAUUUGGAAGUAAAUUUUGAGUUUUCCUCAUUCCCUCCGGAGAUUCAACGGCUUCCUUUGAAAUUGUUUGGAUCAAUGACAUAACCCAUUUGGCGAAACCGUUGGUAUCCUUCUUUGUUCUCUUGGCCAAACCCUUUUGAUUUACAAGUAUAUUCCUGUUAUGACUUUCUGUGCUCUCUUAACUUACAGAAGCUAUACUAAUUCAAGUGGUUUGUUAGUCCUGGUCACCAGUAGUCGUUGCAUGAACAAGAGCCGUCUUUGAAGGAGUGAAAGCGGCUUCUAUCUCUCACAACUAUCUCCGAUCUAUAGACCUUAGAAAUCAGCUUCAUCACUGUAUGACAGUCUCUACAAACCCGCAAAUUCUUCACUAUCCUUAUCAUCCUUCCUUCAGGCAACCUUGCCAACCCAAAAGCUACCGCAAGUUUUUCACUGUGCAUGAACACUGAAUCUUCUUUGUCCUCCACUUCUAUGUCAUGCAAAACACUCCCAACCUCCGGCAAAUAACCUCCACCAACACGAAGUUUCAACAUUAUCUCCCUCAACUUCUCAUACGCCUCUUCUGUAACCUUAUUUGAUUUAUCACCAGCCACAAAACUAUACAUGACCUUGUCAACUUCUAUCACGCUCCAACCUGGAGUUUUCUUGAUCUUCUGAUCAGCCAUUGAUCUUCUUACAGCAGCAACAUCCUUCCACUUACCUGCAACAGCAUACACAUUUGACAAAAGAACAUGGUCACCUGAAUUGUCAGGGUCCAGUUUGGAAAGCCUUUCCUUCACUUGUUCUGCCAACUCAACAUUACCAUGAAUGCUGCAUGCCCCUAGAAGAGUUCGCCAAAUAAUAGCAUUAGGAGAUAUUGGCAAUUGACACACAAAACCAUAGGCCUUCUUAAGUUUCCCAGCUCGACCAUACAGGUCUACCAUACAACCGUAAUGCUCAAUAGCUGGGUCUAUACCAUACAUUUCUCUCAUCUUGGAGAAAUAUUCACAUCCUUCGUUAACCAACCCAGCAUGACUACAUGCAUACAAAACUGAAAUGAAUGUGAUCCCAUCAGGCCUAACUCCAGAAGCUUCCAUCUUGCGGAAAACUUGUAUUGCUUCUUUUCCAUAACCAUGCAUUGCAAGUGCCGCUAUCAUUGAAGUCCAAGAAACAACACUCUUUCUCUCCGGCAUUCUCUCAAAGACCAACCGAGCCAUCUCCACAUUCCCGGACUUAGAAUACAUAUCCAGGAGCGCAUUAUUGACCGAAAUCAACGAAAGAAAUCCACCCUUCUCCACCAAACCAUGCAAAACUCUACCAAACUCAACCGCUCCAGCCUGCGCACACACAGACAGCACCCCAGUCAAGCUCGCCUCAUUCGCCCCAACUCCCUCCCUCUGCAGCUCCCCGAAAAACCCAAACGCCUCAUCAAAACAACCGCUCUGAGAAAACCCAACAAUCAUAGUACUCCAAGACACAUCAUCCUUCACCGGCAUCCUCCAAAACGCCUCCCUCGCCAGCGCAAGCUCACCCGCCUUAACAUACCCCGCAAGCACAAUAUUCCACGACGUCGAAUCCCUCAACGGCAUUGAACCAAACACCUCCUCCGCAACCUCCACAUCCCCACACCGAAAACACGCCGUGAGCACCGCGUUCCACGCCACCACAUUCGGCUCAGUCAUUUCAUCAAACACCUUGCGUGCAUGACCAACACUCCCACACUCGCCAUACACACUCACCAGAGUGGUCCCGACGAACAUAUGACUAUAUAGUCCAUGGAUAAAAGCCUGACAAUGCAGCUGGGUCCCUCCACUCAACGACCGCGAAUUCGCCGCGGCCUUGAGUGUGAAAGCGAACGUGAAGCUGUCAAUGGAUACCAUAUUUUUACGCCGCAUUUCACGGAACAGGAGAAGCGCAUUGUGGGGAUUAUCGGAGUCGGCGAGUCCGCGGAUGAGGGUAUUGUACAUGAAGGCGUCUGGGUAAGGGAAAUGAAGGAAGAGGCGGCGAGCGUAGACGAGUAAGUCGGAGAUUGUGACGGCGCAGUGGAGGAGGAGCUUGCCGAAGACUAAUGGGUCUGUGUCGAGGCCGGUCUUGUGAACAAAGGCGUGGAUUUGCUUCACGGUUUUGAGGGUUUUGCAUUUGGGUAAUAAGGAAGAGAAAAUAUGUUCGGCGGCGUUCAUUCUAGGCUCAGCACAGUUUGAUUGGUUCAAAAGCCUGAAGCUUUUUCGCGCCGUUUCUGGAACGCUUUGACACCGGAACGGGAAAAUUUUGGGCUGAAACCCGAGCCCAUAGAAAACCGAACCGAAAUGCAAGUGACCGGAACCGAACUGAAAAAAUUGAAAAUGAUAACGAACCGUAAAAGAUCGACAUUGAAUCGCGUUGCGACUGAUUCGAAAGUUCUCCUAUGUACUGGUAUACACUUGCAUCAACACCUGUUAGAGCAAGUUCACCCGUUGGGUUAGAAUGAACACAGUGACUCACUGGGCAGCAGUUUUCGCCCGUUUGAAAUAUGAGAUUGUUGCCACGUGACAGUGAUUAUUUAUUGAACUAAAAAAAAUGAUUUUUAAGUGUGAAUAAUGAUUUUAGUAGUAAAUAAAUAGUAAUUAAACAAUAUGACUUAAUGAAAUUAAUUUUUUUAUUUCAUGACAUUUAAUUGACAGGUCAAACCUAGGGAAAAAAAAAUUACAAUAAUUUGAAAUUUCCUAAUAACUAUCUAAUUAUCGGGAUUAUUAUCCUCAUUACAAAAGAAAUCGGUGUUUGAAUGAUCAUUGUCAUUGAUGGGGUUUGUAGAUUCAUCGGUGGAAGGUGGUUGGGGAUAAUAGUAACCGGGAAAAGGUGGUUGGUAACAUCCACCAGGAUAGGGUGUUUGGGGAUAUCCACCAGGGAAAGGUGUUUGGGGAUAUCCUCCUGGGAAAGAUGGUUGGGGAUAUCCUUCGGGGAAAGACCCCGACAAAUUUGCUUGUGUCUCCGCUAUCGCCUUUUGUUUUGCUAGCCAAUAAUCUUUCCUAGGCCUUGGCGACAUAGUGAUUGGAUUCAUUUCCAUGAUACGCUCUUCCCUCUCUUGGAUUUUGAAUUGCUCAUUCCGCAUAUCCAUUUGGAGCCGCAUAUAUUCUCGUUGUUGUUGGUCUUGCAAUUGCCUUGCGUAUGCUUCAUCUCGUUUUUCCCUUGCUGACAAGAGUGAUGCUUGGCUGUUUGCAAGCGUCACGACAACGGUUGCAACAGGUGAUUCUUCUUUGGUCGCCUUCCCUUUUCGGUGUGCUUCCUUUGCAGCCUUUCUUCCUAUAGGUCGCACAUUCGGGUCGGGAGCAACUUCAUCAACAUCUUUUUCUAAGUUGAUAGGAGAUUCAUCACAACUUGGUUGCGUAGAAAUCCCUUCAUUGCCUCCCAUUGAUGUUGCCGCACUCAUCUCGGUCGGAGAUGGAAUGUCGUGAAAUGCUUGAAAACCUUGAACAACUUCAUAGCAAGCAAAACUCGAGAAAUCGGCCUUUUGGAGGUCUUCCUCCGGACUCCAUCUCGGCAAAGUUGUGUUAACUCCGGCCAUGGUUGAAACAAAGGUAAAACUUAGAAGGUGAAUUUGGAAACUAGGAAUGUCACAUCCCGACCCUUAUAUUUUUACCUUAUUUACUAGCUUGAUUAUAAUAAGAAUUUUACCGUCCCCGUCAUUGAGGUAAUAGUUUAAUUGGUCCCUAGAGGUAUUUUAAGGGACGAUUAAUUUCGGGGAAUUAUUCGUGGGAGAAAAUAUGACGACGGUAAAAAUGGUAAAAUCUUAACUAGUAAAAGGUAAUUUUUAUUCGGGUAUUAUUUUUCGGGGUGUUUUAUUUUUUGGAAUUGGGUUGUUAUAAGCUUAGACCGGUUUGGGGUGUGAGGCCCAAACCCAUUUUCUCUUUUCUUCUCUUUUCUCCUCCCGGUUCCCUCUCUCUCCCGAGCCCCUCCUGCUGCCCGGUUUUCCAGCCGUCCUCCUGCCGCCGUUCGGCCACCAUCUGCCGCCUCUCCACCUCAGUUCGGACCCCCAUCUCCUCCUCUCCCUCCCCGGCCUAGCCCUCGAGCCUCUAACCCGCCGGAAGAGGAGAAAUCCCGCCGGAGACGCCGGGAAGCAUUUCGCCGGAACUCCCUCCUCCGGCCACCAACCCGGGCAAGCUUGAUACGGUUUUGUAGCCCUCCAACCCAGCAGCCUUGCCCUAAAAGGACUCACUCCCUCUUGAGCUAGGUAAGGAGAAAUUUGAGGUGAAAGUUUUAUGGUGUUUUUGAUGUUUUUAGUCGAUUGCCCUAGUUAGGCUUGGAAUUGGUGUUUGUGCUAGUUAGGAAAGUUGUAGAGCAUGAUGAGAGGAUUAUUCUGUCAAAAUUUCAUAGGUUUUGGAGGUCGCCGGAAUUGGCCUCCGGCCGCCGCCGGUUUGGGAGAUUUUUAGGGUUUUAAAUGUGGAAUAUUAAGGGGAUUAUAUUGAUGUGAUUUAUGGAAUUUUUGGAUGAGAUUUGGAUAGGUUUGUGAUUUUCCGAAGUUUGGUAUUUNNNNNNNNNNNNNNNNNNNNAUUUUUGGAACAGGACAAGAGGAGGCCCGAGCAGAGGAAGCCUCGGAGCGUCAUCAGGCUUAGGCCUAAUUAAUGAGUUGACUUUUAUUUUAAAUAUUGUGCAUGCAAAAAUAAUUUAUGUUGUUAGAGAAUAACCGAAAUUGAGAAUUUCGGUGAGUAUGUAUAUAUAUCCAUAUUUGGAUGAUUAUGAGAAUAAUAUGUAUAUGGAGAAAUGCUAGCUAGCUAUACGUGCUUUUCCACCAUACUGAGGUAAAAUUCCAUUAUGGUGCGACGUGAGCGUUAGACGCAAUCGUCGUAACCCUAUAUAAAUAUAAUAAUUUAUAUAGGGGAUAUGCGCAUAUAUAUAUAUAUUUAUACACCGUCUUUUCCACCAUAAUGAGGUAAAAUGCCAUUAUGGUGCGACGUGAGCGUUAGACGCAAGCGUCGUAGCCUUGUGUGAAUUUUCUAUUUGUCUUUAUUGUUUCAAGAAAAUUCAUACAAGGGAUAUGACGAGUGUAAUACAUACAUAUUUUAUUUUAGCCUGAGAGGCUCUUAUUUUUGAAGUGUUGAUGACUAGCGCGGCUAGUCACGUUUUGAUAAUUCAGUAAAUUUUCAAAGGCUUUUGAGCUGGUUGCAUGCAAUUAAUUGUUUUUCCACUGAAGAUAAAUCGGGAAGCAUAAAGAUUAAUUUUCUUUUAAAAAGUUAUUUUUGUCCACUCACUCUAACGGUUUUAAAUGUUUUCCCCUGGACCUUUCUUUUUAAAAUGCCCAGUCUGCAGAGUUCGGGUUGGAUCUAGUAGGAGGCGAGGCAUAGUCACCCGCAUUUCCGCCAGUUUUCAUCAAUAGGCUACCUGUUUAACCUACUAGUGUUUUCUUGCUAGUGUCUAGUAGCUCUGAAUAUUUUGGGAUUAUUGUAUAUUAUGUUUAGAAUUUCUGAAGGAUAAUUAUGUGAUGUUUGGACAUGUUGUAUUAAGAGUGUAAUUUGGAAUUUUCGAGUUAGGGUUGUCCAUUUUCAAGGGAGAUUUUCUCAAUCUUUUCAGUAAAUUUUCCUUGGAGGUGGUCCCCGCACGACUUACUCCGGGUUUCAGGGUGAAAUUCAGGGUGGGUCGUGUCAAGGAAUUUUGAUGUGUUAGAGAAAUUGGUGUGGAAUGUGUAAAAUUAUGAUGGGUAUUUAUAGGGGAUUAUAGAAAUUUUUUAAAUAUUUUUUUUCUUACCGUUAUAAACUUUUUUCUCAACGGUAAGAUUCAAAAAAAAAAAACCAACGGCUAGCUAAUUGCAGCCGUCAGAUUGCUUCAGCAACGACUCAGAUCUUUUGACCGUUGCAUUCAAAAUGAAAGUGAGCAGCGUUGGUGGCGUGACGCGUGUCAGGGUGGGGUAGAAGCUCGCACGUCGCGACAAAAAGGAGAAGACACGCGCGGGAAGAAAGGCUGCUGUUGGUCCGUGCAUUUCACGCACUGAGAGAGAGAGUUGGUGCAGGUGGGCUCAUGACUGAUGCAGGCCGGCUCGUGGCUGAUGCAGGCAUGACGUAAGCCACCUUUUGGGCUCGUGGCUGAUUGGACCAAUCUCAUUCUGGGUUGGAUAUCUCCUCCAACCUGGGUUGGAUAUGUCCCCCAAAAUCUCACCUGGGUUAGAAAAUGAGAUAGCUCAUUUUAUGGGUGGAAGGGGUGUUUUUUUCACUUGGGUUGGAUUCCUAGGUGGCAUCUAACCCGGGUUGAAUUUUUCUUCAUGGGUGGACUUGCUCUUAGGUGAUUUAUAUGAUAACCAAAACGUGUACAUAUUAUUUUCCAACUGUUAUUUAUGUUGGUUUAAGUGCACGUCGGCGCUCUGAUCUUAUUUCUGUAUUUAAUUAUUAUUUUUUGAGGUUUUUACAAGGUAUGAUUGAGAUUAAGUUUUUACAAAACUCAAGAGUUUAAAAUCCAAAUGUUAAAGUUAGAGCAUCUCCAAUGGUAUGAUCUUUUUUGCCACAGAAGCUUAACAAUUAGUUUUUGACAGAACCACAAUGCUCCAACUCAGAGUCAAAUCUACAUAGUUGCUACCGUGGUUGACAGUUCUCAACUUCACUGUCAAAUUUGACAUCUUCAAUUCAAGAUGUCUUUGUUUGUUUAUCAUUGUUUCACUCUCUCUCUCUCUCUCUCUCUCUCUCUCUCUCUCCCUCUCUCUCUAAAUUUAACAUACCCAUUGGAGUAGAGAUUCUCAAAAUAGACUAUGGCCACAUCAGCCUUCAAAAUUGUCAAAUUUUGAAUUUGACACAAACCUUUUGACAUCUCCACUAGAGAUGCUCUUAGAGGUUAUAAUUGACGGUGCCAUACCGAAAAAAAAUAGAAAGAAAAAGGAUAAAACAUACUUGCCAAAACAAAAUUGUACCGCCCAGUACCUUCUCGUCUAGUAACAUAGUUUCUCGUUCGAGUUAGAGGUUGUAAGUUUGACUCACAUAAUACUAGUUCUUGUUUAUGAGUCGUUUAUUUUCAUAGAAAAAAAAAAAAACUAAACCGAGCCGCGAGUCAAAAUUGAUUCGGUUCGGUUUGGUUUAAACAACCUCCCAGCCCUUUGGGUAAAGACCACGUGGCUUAAUCUGGCCCGUUUACGAAAGCACGACACAGCCGUUGGAUCCUAGGGCAACUCAGCCUCCUCCUCUAUCUAUCAUUUAGGCCACUCUACCGCCAUAAGAGAUUAACAGAGUCGAGUGAGAGAGAGAGAGGUCAAAAUGGUGCAGAGGCUCACAUACCGUUCGCGCCAUAGCUAUGCUACCAAGUCCAAUCAGCACCGGAUCGUCAAAACCCCUGGUACUUCUUUUCGUUCCCAGUUUCAUGCUUAGCUUUUAAAACUAAAGCCUGUGUCUUGAUCGCUGUAAAUCUGUAAUCACAAGUAAAAAAGGUUUGCAUCUUUUGUGAUAAAAAUCCAAUCUUUGAUAGACGUAGGCUACUUUAGUUUGAUUAUCUCAUUUCUUUUUCUUUGUUUUGUUAAUAAUCUUGCUUUUUUUGAUGAAUCUAAUGUGAUAGUAGAGCUUAGUUGUAUGGUAAUUUGGCUAAAGUGUUCGUGUUCUAUGUUGGGUGCUAUGAAGUUUUGGAGUUUGUAAUUUAGGGAAAACUAGAAUGAGAGAAAUAAGAAGCUGCAUUGUGCAAUUAGUUUAUGAGAAAGAAUGGUUGCUAGAUUUGCAGUUGGAAAUGUUUAUUUCUUGUUGUGUAUUACUUAGAAUCAAUAAAAUGUGAUAUGAAAUUGCCUUCAUCCAUCCUUUUCAGAGUGUAAUUAUUUGAUUGGAUGUUUCUAGUUGGAAAGAUGAUGUUGUUGAAGUUAAUAUGGAACCUAUUGUCCAUAUUGUAUUAUGUCCUGUCUCUCGUUUCAAUGCUCUAGAAAGUAGUAUUUACUGUUUGGUACGAUCUUUUCGUUGUUGUGGUUGCAUUUGAAUUCUGCAUUGUAAAUUUGUCUUCUGUUAAUUUUGUGCUUACCUCAUGGCUAUAAUUGAUAUGUAGGUGGGAAGCUUGUGUAUCAGACCACUAAGAAGAGAGCAAGUGGGCCCAAGUGUCCUGUUACUGGAAAGAGAAUCCAAGGGGUACAUUGAUUGCUUGAGUUCUUGAAUUGUUUACAUGAUUUUUUUUCUCUCGUGUUGUUUUUCUGUGCUGUUAUUGUGAAUUUCAGUAUGGUGUCUCUAGAAGUAGUAUUGUUUGUUAGAUGACAUUCACAGAUAAACUUAUAAUGGCAAUAUACUGUUAUCAGGUUAAGCAAUGUGGUCUACUACAUAUGAUUGUUGAUGAACUUGUUCUAAGUAAUGACCUAUAGUUUUCGUUUAUAGGACCUUAUAUGCUACCAUGCUGAUAUGAAGUUCCAUAGUUCUUUCCUCACUAAUUAAAGUCUUCUGUGUAAUUUUGAUGAAUCAUGAAUUCUUGUAUGUGCCAGAGUUUGUGAUUUAGAUCGUGCCAUUUGUGUCUUAGUCAAGCAAUAUCAUGUCAUUUGAAACUAUAUUCCAAGUUGUAUUUUCUGUGUUUGCAGGCCUUUUGAUACUUGUAAUUCUUACUCAUUGCUAUUUGCAGAUUCCUCACUUGAGACCUGCUGAAUAUAAGAGGUCUAGACUAUCAAGGAACAGGAGGACCGUGAAUCGUGCCUACGGCGGGGUUCUGUCUGGUGGAGCUGUUAGGGAGAGGUUUGUAGUUCUAGAAAUUUAUGUGUUUGAUCACUUGUUUGAUGGAUUUACAUUUGCAACCUUUUUAAGUUUGUUUCAAUUACUUAUGGUUUCCUGGUGAUUUUGUGAUUUUGCAGGAUAAUUCGAGCCUUUUUGGUGGAAGAGCAGAAGAUCGUGAAGAAGGUAUUGAAGAUUCAGAAGGCCAAAGAAAGAGCAGCAUCAAAGAGCUAAGAUGCUACAGUUCAUGUUUUUAAUAUUUGUUGAUCUGCAUGCUAGAAAUUUUGACAUUUAUUUGAGAGGAUGAAGAUUGUUGCAACAAUGUUUGUUUUCAUCAAAUGCAGACAAAAAUUUUGAACUAUUUUCCCCCGAAUAGUGUUUGCUAUGAUAUCUGAUACUAUGUUGCUUCUGCUUAUCUUAUUUCUGGCCUCAAUGAAUGAUGUGCCAAAUAAAAUAAAUUGUAGGAGCAAGACGAAUGAAAUUGGUUUCUGAUGAAUACCAGUAACAUCAUACAAUGUGCCUUAGGGCAUUAUUGCAAACACACUAGCACAGUCCAGCAACCAUUAACAGUGGUUCUGAUAUCUUCACUAGUGAGAACCAGACAGAUUCGUAUGUAACCCAGUCCUUUCACUUAUUUUUCGACAAAACCAUGAAAAAAGCACACAUCUAAACCAGCUAGCCGCAAGGACUAGCUGAUCGAUAUUGUUAGGUGCGCAACUAAUGUGUCACCUUCCACAUAACGUGACUGGUUAAUGUGAUUCACUCCCUCUAGCUUGAUUUGUUGGUUUAUAAAUUUGAAGGAGCUCAACAAGCUUGUCAUGAGGAGGGCUUAUUUGUUUCACCAAGGGAUGUUCAUUCAGUGCGGUGAUCCAUGAGAACAGUAAUGGAUACCUAUCUGGAUCCAUCGUUUUGAUACCAAACACUUCUUCAUGAACCUUAUGAGGGCUGAAUGUGACAACCAUCAGUAUAUCUAGAAGUCCCAAAUUCUCGCCAUUGGUGAAAGAAGCACCUCCUGCAAGAUACUCCUUCAUUCCUUCUUCAAAUACUCCCAGUCUCUCAAAUACGUCCUUCACCGCUUGUUCUAGUGCUUCACCCUGUCCCUGACUUAUCACUACUCUGCUGAAGCUCUCAAACAACUGUAUCAAAAAAAGAGAGACAAAUUAUGGAAAAUCCUAUCAAACCCUUAGAUGUGCAGUGUUGGUGCCAAAAAUUAGCAUCUCUCACCUGUUGCUGGAUAAAGCUAGCCCAGAAUCGAAAUUUGGCUCUUUCAUAAGGAUCUUCAGGAAACAGCUUAGGACCAGUCUUCCAAGUUUCGUCAAUGUAUUCUAGGAUGAUGUACGACUCGGCUAUAGGCUUCCCAUCGUGGACAAGCACUGGAACCUUUUUGUGAACUGGAUUGUAUUUGAGGAGCAAUUGACUCUUGUUUGUAAAAUCUUCUUCCAUGUACUCAUAAGGUAUGCCUUUGAGUUUGAGGGCCAGUUCCACUCUCUUGGAGUAAGUACUUGCCCACAUUUCGUGUAGUUUUACACUGCUCUCUCCUUCCAUCUCAGCUUCUAAAAAGAACAGCCUAGAUGUUCAGGCCUCAGGGAUGUGAGCCUUAUAUAGAACCCUUUACCUGGGAAUUUGACCUGAAAAAUGUAGAAGUUUACCGGUACACACUGGUAGCAAUAUUCUAAGAUCAUUAUUAUAAACAAUACAGAAGAUAAGGUUGCGAAUUUGACAACGGUAGCAAUAUUCUAAGAUCAUUAUUAUAAACAAUACAGAAGAUAAGGUUUCGAAUUUGACUAGGUUCUUCUUGUGUACUAAGAAUCUAAGAUAGUUAUUGUAGUAAUUGUACAGUCUUGUCUCCACUUUCUUUACUUGCACGAGAAGUCCGUGUAAGAAAGAAAAAUGCUCUGGACCUUUCAGAGUUUCAAGAGACCAGAGCUAUAGUCAAGAAUUCAAGAAUUUAAAAAAAAAAAAAAAAAAAGAAAACCAACACACCAGGACAGACAGAACUUCACCUUGACCAAAAGAUUAAGAAAUAGAUAGUUACACAAUUUUCUUGGUCAUUAGUCGUAAACAAUCGAUUUCUAUAUUAGUUUUACUUUUCAAGUGAAGCUGUGAUCCAAAAAAGAUUAGUACUGAGAAAUUUACCAAUUACCAAACACUGGCGAUUAGCUCAUUGACCAGGAAGAGAGAGUUCUUAUCAUCUUUUCAUUUCAACAUAUACAUACUGUAUAUUCAUUCAGCUUUUCAAGGAAGUAAGCUAGCCUCCCUCGUCUUAUUACAUAUACAAACAUACAAUGUGCCUACUGGCAUUAUUUCCAACAACCUCUAGUUCUUAGCACGUAACGAAAGGGAUCAAACUUGCUGAUCAAAAUAGGUAGAUGACCAGCUAAUGUGAUUCAGACCCUCUAGCAUGAAUUGCUCGUUUUAUGAAUUGAAGGGUCUCAACAAGUUUGUCAUGAGGAGGUUGUAAUCCCUUCAUCAAUGGAUGCUCCUUCAAAGUUGUAAUCCAUGCGAACAGUAACGGAUUCCUCUCCGGGGCCAUCAUUUUGAGACCAAACACUUCUUCAUGAGCUUCAUAAGCGCCAAAUGUUGAACACAUCAAUAUGUCUAGUAGUCCCCAAUUCUCCCCAUAGUGAAAGAAGCACCUCCUGCAAAAUACUCCUUCAUUCCUUCUUCAAACACUCCCUGUUUCUCAAUCACUUCUGCGGCCGCCUUUUCUUGUGCUUCACCAUAACUUGUCACUACUAUGAGUACGCUCUCAAACAACUGUUUUAGCAAAAAUAUGAGUCAUUUGACAGAAAUAAGUUUUUGUGUUAGAUUAGAUAUAGUACAGCAGCACUUUUUUUUUACCUGUUGCUGGAUAAAACUAGCCCAGAAUCGAACUUUGGCUCUUUGGUAAGGAUCUUCAGGCAGGAGCUUAGGAGCAGUCUUCCAAGUUUCGUCAAUGUAUUCUAGGAUGAUGUGUGACUCGGAGAUGGGUUUUCCAUUGUGGACGAGUACAGGUACCUUCUUGUGAACUGGAUUGUAGUCGAGGAGCAACUGGCUCUUGUUGCUCAAAUCCUCUUCAAUGUACUCAUAAGGUAUGCCUUUGAGUCUGAGGGCUAGUUCCACUCUCUUGGAGUAAGUACUAACCCACAUUCCAUGUAGUUUUACUUCGUUUUUUCCCUCCAUAUAUUUUCCUCUACAAGUACUGGCUUACUUCUUUGUGUUCACGGAGGUGAGCCAGCAAGCGAGCCUUUAUAUGUAUAUAUAGAUUUCAUCAUGAUCAAGAUCUCUCAUGUUUGAUUUGUUGUGAGUUGCUGGUGAGUGGUGAAUAGUCAAACUUGAAACCGUUGUCUAUACUUGUAGGCUUCCAUGUUAAGCAAGCGAUAUUCUAAGAUCAUGAAUAUACAAAAGAACGGUUGAAAGGUAAUCUCAGUAGCUAAUUGGGAAAUAAGGGUUCCUUCUACAAACACGAAAGCAUCGUUCAUAUUUUCUUAACACUAACAUAGUUAAUAUAUAGUUAUUGUAUAAUUUGUUCUCCUCUGCCAUCUCUAUUUCUUGACUUCCUGCCCAGAUUAAUGUUCAUUUUACUCUAUUAGUUGCCGGUCAAUGGUCAGGCAUCCGAGUUUUUAUCUAUGUUUAUCAACUCAUUGUCAUCACCAAGGUGAAAACAGCACCUAUACUUGUUUGUCUAAAUUAAGAAGAAAAUGUGAUUGAGCCUAAAACACUGAUUAUAAUAGGCUUUUAAGGAAAUUCCGAAUAAUAUCAUGAAUCAUAUAUGUAUUCUAACAAACACUAACUAGCAAAGAGUACUACCGUAACAAUAUACCCUCAAUUUCUCUACCACAAAGAGAGACUGCACUUAUUUAGAGAACACAGCAUUAAGAACCUUCCUUAGAAGAUACUUAAUCAUAGCCAUAAGACAGAUAAAAAUUAUACAGCAGAUCGAAAGCAACUUGAUCAAGAGAUAUAGCUGAAGAGACGUCGGCUCAUCGGGAUUGCCUUCUUGGCUAUGGAUUUCGGUUGGCCUUGCCUUUCGAUUAAUUGGAUUUGGGUGGCAGAUAGGACACUCAUCACGACUGAGCUCGAGCCAUGGAACAAUACAAUGUUCAUGAUAAAGGUGUAAGCAAGGCAAGCGAGUAAGCUUAACACCUGGAUUCUCAAAGUCGAAGUACUGCUUACAAAUGACACACAUUGUCCACCCAGCACAAGUAUCAUCUCCUAAUUCUAAACGAUCAAGUCUCUCCAACUUCUUCAUGGUUGCUGCAAUAGUUCUUGCAGACCUAUUGUUCAUUACCACCUCUUCAUCACGCCAGCGAGCAUAAUUAUUCAGAUUCUAUUCCAAAGUCCAUUCGUAUAUGUCUACAUUAAGAAACACAUGAUGAGGCAGCUCCUCCAUGACCCGCACCACCUUAUGAUCAAGUAUCUCCGCAACGAUAGUCGAGUACUGCUCAUCUCCUUCUGGAACACCCAUGCUUUUAAUGACCUCAGUGAUUCUGCUGAUCAUCAAUGGCGUCGAAGUGAUGACCAUGGUAGCUCGGUCAGUUUCGAGGGUUCCUGGAUCAUCAGAAACACCAGCGUCAACCUGUAUCUCACUGUUUCUUACAACAUUUUUGGUUAAUUUGAAGUGAUUAAACUUGAUGGGAAUCUGAAGUUGUCGCUCAUCGGUCACGGCUGGAGCUUCCUUAUUUGUUCUCCACUCGACUUUGCUAACAUAGCAACGACGGUGGGGUCGUUUCUGCCAUCAAAUUAGUAUAAGAGCUUGAGAUUGCGUACAAUUUAUAUCAAAACAAGCAGGAUGGAAUAGACGACCACACUCGAUGGUAUCUUAUUUAUAGCAUACGAUUCUUACCUAGUUUUCCCCUAAAUUUAUAGGAAAGGGAACCAAGUGUAUAUGGUAAGUAUUUUAUUGGACAUUAUCUUCCCUUCUAACAAAAAAAGAGAAAAAAAAUAAUAAUCUUCCUGAUCUUACUUGGCCAUAGGGUCCUUGGUGGGAAACGGCUUGUCUGCUUGGACUAUCUUCUGCUUGGAUUUGCUUUAAGUUAUAGGAGUGCCACGUUCCUUUAAUCAAAUCUAAUGGUUGAAAUGAAGACUCAUGGAAUAGCCCAACUCUCACAAAACAUAACAGCAGCUCCACAUGACAGAAUGUCUUUUUUUUUUUCUUCAAAAUUUCAAGAUGGCGGUGCUCCGGUCAAAUGGUUACACAGUUUUCUUGGUUCUCAAGAAUCAAAUUACUAGUAAUGCACUUUUCAUCUGAUGCUGCAUUGAUCCUAAAAACUGCACUAAAACUUCUGCCAGAGAAAAACAGUUCUACUCUUCUUUUUCCUUGAUCCGAGGGAUUAUUUUCAGUGCAUCGACGAAUCAUUUACAUGUUUUUCAUAUAAUCAAAAGUUAGAUAAGGUAACAUCUUCCUGGAUCCGGCUGAUGACGGCUUCCUUGGGGAACAAAGAACUGAUCUAUUAGUUGGUCAAUGACUUUAUCACCAAUCUAUUAUAAUUGCCGAUAUCUUUUUCACAUGACAGAAGGGAUGGACUAUACAGAUAGUAUAUACUAUGUUCAAUGAUUUUUCACUCUGACCAAAAUAAUUUAAUCUUAUUUUAGAAAUUCCCCUAUAGUUAUAUCACCACUGAAAAUAAUUGGUAUACAUUUUUUUAGUCCUGUUUUAGAUGAAUUCUUCAUGAAGACUUGGCAAAGAAGUUAAGAAGAUAACCUGAUCGAACUCUAUAUAAAGCUGCCAACCAGAAAGAGUCGAGUCACUACCCAAGUGAAACCUCAAACCAGAUUAAAAGAGAGAGAUGGCAGAAGAAAAUGUGGUGAGUCUACAUGGAACGUGGGCUAGUCCUUUCUCCAAGUGUGUAGAGCUGGCCUUGAAAACCAAAGGCAUUCCCUUUGAGUUUGUUGAAGAAGAUUUGAGGAACAAGAGUCCAUCACUCCUCAAAUACAAUCCGGUUCACAAAAAGGUUCCAGUACUUGUUCACAAUGGAAAGCCCAUUGCUGAAUCACUCGUCAUUCUUGAAUACAUUGAUGAAACAUGGAAAACCGGUCCUAAGCUUCUGCUGGAGGAUCCUUACAAGAGGGCUCAAGUUCGCUUCUGGGCUGGCUAUCUCCAACAACAUGUAAGUUGCAUAUGCAUUUUGUAUCUGUGAGCUAAUUAGUUGCCUCUGAAUCUGUCAAACAAGUGAGUUUCUAGCUAAAAUGAGUAACUAUUUUGAGUUUGUUACUUACUUUCGAGUGCAGUUAUUUGUGACUAUGUCCCUGGUGUGCAAAUCUGAUGGAGAAGUACAAGAGAAGGCCAUCAAGGAAUUGUUUGAGAAAUUAAAGACAUUUGAAGAGGGAAUCAAGGACUUAUUCCCAGACGGUGCGCCUUCUAUUGACUGCAGUAACAAUCUGGGGCUUCUGGACAUUGUAUUGUGUUCACAAUUUGGCCCUCAUAAAGUUCAAGAAGAAGUGCUUGGUAUAACAACUAUUGACCCAGAGAAAAACCCACUCUUGUUUACUUGGCUGAAAUCUCUGAAUGAGCUGCCUCUGGUGAAAGAGUUAACUCCUCCGCAUGAGAAGCUAGUAGCAGUUCUUCACUUCUUCAGAAACUAUGCCCUCAAAUCUAGUGCUGCUUGACCUUAUGACAUGAGGUUUCAAAAUUUGGAUACUAUAUGAUGUCCUAGAUGGCAUGUAUCCAAAAUUUGGAGCAAGUUUAAUUUGGUUUGUCUAGAAGGACUCUUAUUUCCUUGGCCAUCUUGUAACUUUCCUAUGUGUCCCAUCUAUAUACUAAUAAGAGCCGACGAAUUCCAGCUGAUUUAUAUCAGUUUUGCCGGCGAAGUUAUAUAUUUUCUGGCUAUUAGCUUAAGGUGAUCGAAUAAGUCCAGUUUCUCAUUAAACUUCCCAAGUUCCCAGUAUUACACUAUAUACACUGCAAGCAAAGUCAACUUGUUGAAGACGCUGAAGAAAGAUUACUGAAUGAGUGAAUGGUAAAGGGAGAAGUUUCAACUUUCCUGUGCAUUUGCUUUGAUCUGCUUUUAUUAAAAUUACAUUCUCAACUCAUGUAUUUUUUCACAGUGAAAUUGGUCAUCAUCUUUAGGUUUAGAUGGAUGCAUGGAGGUAAUUUAAUAGUUUUCCUAUAAUAAAAUACCAACUUGUUAUGGAGCUAGAAGCUGAAAGUGGCUCAUAUAAUAGUAUAACUUGUUGAAAUAUUCCCAUCACAUUUGGGAUGUACUGAUGUAAUACAAGCCAAAGUAGCUGAAAUGAAAGCCGGCCUGCUUAUUGAAUCCAGAAGUUGAUACAGAACAUAAUAAAAGAUACAGAAGCAAAGCAAGAACAUGCAAAUUAAGGUCAACUGAUAGAGAUUAAGAUGAAGAAGCUGGAGGAUUGAUGAAACUCUGUCUCCAGGGCCCAAGAAUCGACACCAGCUUUCCGUGAGCAGGAAGUGUCUCUAAAACUUGAGGCAGCUCACUCAAAGCUGUUAUCCAAGCGUUUAGCAGUGGAGUCUUUUCUGGGUCUAUGAUCUUUAUGCCAAGGACUUCUUCUGAAGCUCUAAAUGGGCAAAGCACUGAACUUGCUACAAUGUCUAGUAACCCCAAAUGCUUGGCCUCAAAAGAUGGAUUCCCAUCUGGGAAAAAGAUCUUGAUUCCUUCAUCAAGAACCUUCAGUAGUUCAUACACCUGACACAGGGCUUUCUCUUGUUCUUCUCCCUUGGUUUUAAUUACUGUCAUCAUGAUGUCACUGAACUGCACAUAGGAACUCUCAAACAUUAGUCCUUGAUCAGAGUUUUCGUAUCGGAUCUUAAACAUAAAAUGCCAAGCAUACCAAAAACUGUGACUUGUUAUGAUCCAUAUAAUCGCAAUCAUACAUAAAUCUAGAUCAACAAUCAACACAUAGUAUUUUCUUGUUAUUCAAGAAAUUGUUAAAUGAUGUCCUUAAUGAUAGAAAAAAUUAAGCUAGCUAAGCAUGGAGACUAACCUUUGUGUGGACAAAGUCAACCCAGAAUCGAACUUGAGACUUUUCAUAGGGAUCACUUGGGAGAAGUUGAGGACAAUCUUUAAAAGCUUCUUCAAUAUAUUCGAGGAUGACAAGAGACUCAGCAAUAGGUUUUCCAUUGUGAACAAGAACAGGGAUCUUCUUGUGAACUGGGUUGUACUUGAGCAGCUCAGGGGUCUUCUUCUUGAAAUCUUCUUCCACAUAUUCAUAGGGUAUGCCCUUCACUUUGAGGGCUAGUUCAACCCUCUUAGAGAAAGGGCUUGCCCACAUCCCAUGUACUAUCACACUGUCUUUUCCUGUCAUCUCUCUAUUGAUCACUGCUGGGGAUACUGAGUUCAUCAGUUCAUGUGUAGCAUGCUUCUUUAUAUAGUGUCCAACUCUCUUAUUUUUUCUUCCUUUUUAAUAUGUAGUUUCUAGCUCGUGAAUAAGAAAAUGCAUCUAAACUCUAUAGUCUUGAAAAUUGAAACUUUGCCAGUAUGCUGAUAUUGACCGAGUCAAACAAAUAGACGAGGGAAACUAAGAAAUUUUUGUUUAUAUCAUUGAAAAUUCAGCUUGUGAUGCAUGUGAUGUGGAUACAUUUGUGAAACGGCAUCAAUAAUUCAGUAUAUCAUUUGGAUUUAGCGAAGGAAGUCUUUCUGAUAUUAUUGUUGUGGAUCAACCGGAAGCCUAUUGUAUAUGUUAUUGCACUUGACUUUUUAAUAUACUAGAAGCAAGAUUAUGCAGAUGCAUAGAUGCGCAAUCUAAAAUAAUGUUAUGUUGCUGGCGUGAUAAGUUAUGCUAGUAAGAAAAUAUAUAUGCAUAGAUAUAACAACCCAUAUCAAUAUUGAAAAAUACAUGCCAAGAAUGCAUAAAAAUAUGAAAAAAUAACAUGUCAAGAAUGGGAUUCGAACCCAUGCCCUUUCGGACCAGUACCUGAAACUGGCUCCUUAGACCAACUCGGCCAUCUUGACUAGUUGAUCUUUAUGAGCUACAACACAUUAUCAAUAAGAUAUCCAGUUAAAUCUUAAAUACAUGAUUAUGCUCCCGCCUCUUUCAAAAAAUGACAGUCUACCCAAAUGCUCCCCCUUUUCUCUACACAAAUCCGAAUGAAAUCUCUCCUCAAUCCAAAAACCCAUUUCAAAAUCUCACUCUCCUCUCUCAAUUUCAUAUCCUCCCUCGCCUAUGUCGAAAACCCACCUUAUCCCCAAACCGAAAACCUCAAAAUUCCCAGUGUUUUUGACCCCUUCAAAUUCUUCAGUGACUACACAACUUCAAUCAACUGCACUAUUCGAAACACCAGAAUCUUACAUGCCCACCUUCUCAGACUCCAUUUUCUACUCUCCAAUGUCUCCAUUUCCAAUUCAUUACUUGACUGUUACUGUCGAUCUGCUGCCAUGGAAGAUGCACUCCACCUGUUCGAUGUAAUUCCUCAGAGAAAUGUUAUCUCUUGGAAUUUCAUGGUUUCGGGUUAUAACCGGAACUCGGUGUAUGAGAGAUCAUGGGGAGUGUUCUGCAGGAUGCAUUGUUCGGGGUUUGAGCCGGAUGAGUUUACUUAUGGGAGUGUUCUUUCGGCUUGCGCUGCGUUGCGAGCUCCUGGUUUGGGUAAGCAGGUUUACUCGCUCGCGACGAAAAAUGGGUUCUUUUCUAAUGACUAUGUUCGGUCUGGAAUGAUAGACUUGUUUGCGAAAAAUGGUAGCUUUGAGGAUGCUUUGAGGGUGUUUUGUGAUGUUUCGUGUCGGAAUGUGGUGAUUUGGAAUGCUCUUAUCUCCGGGGCUGUGAGAAAUGGAGAGAACAGAGUUGCGUUGGAAAUUUUUCGGCAAAUGUGUUGUGGGUUUGUGUUGCCGAGUAACUUUACGUUUUCUAGUGUCUUGACUGCCUGUGCUGCACUUGAAGAGAUUGGGAUUGGGAAAAGUGUUCACGGGUGGGUGAUUAAGUGUGGUGCAGAAGAUGUGUUUGUUGGGACUGCUAUUGUGGAUUUAUAUGCCAAAUGUGGAAAGAUGAAUGAAGCUGUCAAGGAAUUUUUCGGUAUGCCAACAUGUAAUGUGGUCUCUUGGACUGCCAUCAUUUCUGGUUUUGUAAGCAAGGAAGAUUCUAUUUCUGCUGUCAAAUUUUUCAGAGAAAUGAGAAGAAUGGGAGAGGAAAUAAAUAAGUUUACUGUUACUAGCAUACUCACUGCAUGUGCUAAACCAUCCAUGAGUGAAGAGGCAAACCAAAUCCAUUCACUGAUAUUGAAAUCCGGACUGUAUUUAGCUCCAGUAGUUGGGUCUGCUUUAAUUAAUGCGUAUUCAAAAAUAGGAGCAGUUGAUUUAUCUGAGAUGGUGUUCAGGGAGACGGAAACUGUAAAAGAUCCUGGUACAUGGGCUGCAAUGAUAUCUUCUUAUGCGCAGAAUCAAAAUCCUGGAAGGGCAACUCGAGUUUUUCAGAGAAUGUUACAGGAAGGUGUGCUACCAGAUAAGUUUUCUACUUCUAGUGUCUUGAGUAUUAUAGACUUUUUAGUUGCAGGGAGACAGAUCCAUAGCUACAUUCUCAAAGUUGGGUUGGUCACAGACAGUUCUGUUGGUAGUUCUCUUUCCACAAUGUAUUCGAAAUGUGAUAGUCUAGAGGAAUCUUACAAGGCAUUUCAGCAAAUUCGUGAAAAAGACAGUGUUUCAUGGGCCUCAAUGAUUGCUGGUUUUUCAGAACAUGGCUUUGCAGAUCAAGCCCUUCAGUUAUAUCGAGAGAUGCCAUAUAAAGAAAUUAAACCCGAUCAGAUGAUUUUAGCUGCAAUUUUAAAUGCAUGCUCUGCUUCUCGUUCCCUACUGAUUGGUAAGGAAAUUCAUGGUCAUGCUCUCCGUGCUGGAGUUGGAAGAGAUGUAGUCGUUGGUGGUGCAAUUGUGAACAUGUACUCAAAAUGCACUGCUCUAGAACUGGCUAGGAGGGUGUUCGAUAUGCUUCCUCAAAAAGAUGAAGUUGCAUGCUCUUCACUGGUUUCAGGUUAUGCCCAAAAUGGGUGCAUUGAAGAGGCACUUUUGCUAUUCAAUUAUAUGCUGACGGCUGAUUUGACCAUUGAUUCCUUCACAAUUUCAUCCAUUCUUGGGGUCAUUGCAGUUGUGAAUAAUCCAAGUUGUGGAACUCAAAUGCAUGCCCACAUCACAAAAAUUGGUUUGAAUUCAGAUGUUUCUGUUGACAGCUCGCUAGUGAGAAUGUACUCAAAAUGUGGAAGCAUUGAAGAUUGCCGGAAAUCUUUUGAUCAAAUUGAGAACCCUGACUUAAUUUGCUGGACAGCUAUGAUUGCAAGCUAUGCUCAGCAUGGGAAAGGUGCAGAUGCUUUAAGAGGCUACGAGCUUUUGAGGGAAAAAGGAAUCAAACCUGAUUCCGUGACUUUUGUUGCAGUUUUAUCUGCCUGUAGCCAUAAUGGAUUGGUUGAAGAAGCCUAUUUCUACUUCAAUUCAAUGGCUAGUGAUUACGGAAUUAAGCCUGGUUAUCACCACUAUGCCUGUAUGGUUGAUGUUCUUGGCCGUUCAGGGAGACUGAAAGAGGCUGAGAGGUUCAUUAUCAAUAUGCCUAUUGAACCUAAUGGUAUAAUAUGGGGAACACUGCUUGCUGCUUGCGUGAUACAUAGAGAUGUAGAGCUUGGAAAGCUAACAGCUAAAAGGAUUAUGGACUUGGAGCCAUGUGAUGCCAGCACAUAUGUUUCCAUUUCAAACAUGUGUGCAGAUUUGGGCCUGUGGGAAGAAGUCGCGCAAGUAAGAAACCAGAUGAGAAGAAAUUUUAUGAAGAAAGAACCUGGUUGGAGCUUAAUGUGAACUAAAACUGUAUUGUGAUUGGCUUAGUUCCCACAGGUGAAUAAAUUUGAUUUCUAACUUUGAAGCUUGGUAUCAAAAUUACUGUGAAGAUGGACAACAAUGUUAGAAUCAGCAACAAGUCGGAAACGCAUACAAUGCGUACUGUUUACCCUCUUUGAUGAGUUGAUCAAUGUUGCCCAUCUCAAUGCUCGUUUUACUUAUAGCCAUAGGGUGACUUUUUAUUUUUUAUUUUAUUUUUUUUAUUUUGUUUUUUUAAAAGGAAGUUAUGGAGACCAGAUACUGAGCAACUUUCCAAUGAAACGCAUGAUAGAUUUGAAGGAACAUUGCACUUUCAUUUAGAAGUUUAACAUCACUGGAGCUUCAACUUGGAAGGUGCGCUAACAUCAAGCUAUUCCGACUUCCAUUAUUGCUCCUUUUAACUUAUCAAGCUGCAAUUUUAAACAAUGGAAUUUUUAUUUGCAAUACUCUUAAUAUUUUACCAUACUCCGAUAGGUCAAUGUUGAUAAGUUUGAUCAUAGAUCCUUUCAACUUCUGGCAAGGCAUGUAUUAAAAUGCAGAUGUUUUAAUAAUAUCAAUCCCCAUCAUCCAACAGCUUCUGUUUUUCCAGUAUAAGCAAUAUUACUCCUAGCACAACAUUCACUGUUGAUAGUCGAACUUCUGUCAUUCUAAUUUCUAUAUCCUGACAAGGAUAUAUCCCUUGUAACAUUUUGAUUCAUCAUUCAUUAUGAUCACAAUACACAAUAACUUCUAUAAGCUUGUCCUUGGAUCCUCCUGCACUUCUCCUGACCAGAAACAUGAUUAAAUCACAGACACCAUGUUCUCGAACCUUCCUGCAAGCAUAGCACGCAUUAAGAAAACAUUAUAAUCCCUGUUGUGAACUCUGUAAUAUGCUCAUAAGAAAGACCCAACAAGAUAGAGCAGCGAGCAUGUGGAUUGGUGGAUCCAAUAAAUGUAACCUCACCAAAAAGAUCCCGUAUGAUGUGCUUGCUUAAAGAACCAGACAAUAGUUUUGGAACCAAAACCAAAGGCCACAUAAGAUCACAUCUUCUCAUGUAUCAUUAAAUUCCUGCAUGACAGCCAACACAUUCUGAAUUAAAACCUGAAACAACAUACGAGAAUCAUGAUACUUUCUAAGAUCGUCCAUGAGAGAACCAGGAUUCAGCAAUAAAAACAUGUGAAGCUAAUGAGGGAACAGUAAUUAUGAACAGAUAAGAAUCAGAAAAUUGAGAAACAGAACAAGAAGACCAAAGCCAGAAGACCCAACCACAUGCUUCCUCCCAUUAUACAGAGGCAAAAAAGGGCAUGACACAUUUGGGGUAGUUCCUAUAAAUAGCAGCUAAGGAAUCUAGUCAGUAUCCAAAAUCAAGUAACUUGGCAUUACGUAUAUAAAGCAUAAGUUAACUGCCUGUACCAAUGUAUAUUUGGCCGUGCAAACAAGAUAAAUGCCAAUACUCGAUGUCUCUGUAAAGUCCGUGACAAAGAAGGCUGAAAAUGGAAAAUAGCAAAACUUCAGUCAUCUACUUAGCUGUGGCCAGUGAUCUAAUUAAGCUUAAGAAAAAAAAAAAAAAUAAAUAUAUAUAUAUAUAUAUAUAUAUAUGAACAAGAGCGAUAGCGCAGCAGUAACUUACUCUUAGAAGCCACCGGAGCACUGAUAACAAAGUUUGCCACUUUGAAGUUUUUGGAGUCACUAGGUUUUACAAUCUCAAGAAGUAUGUUACGGUGUUACCUAAAUGGAUAAACAGAUCUUUUCAACUGUCACAAAGUUUGUUGUGAAGUUGCAGCAAGUGGUGGGGAACCUUUUUUUGUUUUCUUGACCAACUUUUUAUCUCUAAUUCCCUCAUAUAGAAGCUCGUAAGCAGAAUAAGUCACAUGACCCUUCUUCAAUAAAUCUUCUACAAGAAUCUUAGGUGCUGCUAUUUCCUUCUUAUCAACUUCAAAUAUAGAAUUGACCACCUCAGGAACAAUGCCUUUGCGCACCAUCAGGUGGAUGAUACCAACAGCUUCGUGAACUCUAUGCUUCAUGCAAAGACAAUUCAGCACUCUUCCAAAUGUCACCAAUGCUGGAAUGAACCCCUUCUCAAUCGUUUUCAGGAGAAAAUUGUACCCUAAAUCAGUGUUUCCUGCUUUGCAGAAACCAUCAAUCAUGACACGAUACGUGAAACAGUCUGGCACACUGUUACUGUCGCCGUCACACAUCUCACAAAAUAGCUUUUCUGCGGUACUCAUUUCUAGCUUUCCACAUAAAGCAUUGAUCAUGAUAUUGUAUGUUGCAGUUGUAGGUGAUAUAUCAUAUUCCUGUUUCAUUCUUCGAAAUAGAUGGUACGCUCCAUCCAAAUCCCCAUUGCUGCACAAACCACUGAUCAAUGUGCCAAAACAAACAAUAUCUGGAGUCAAGCCCUUGUUCCUUAUUUCCUGUAGCAUGUCCAAGGCCUCAUUUACUUUCCGAGCUUUGCAAAGGCUUUCUACAACUAUGUUAUACGUAAUGAUGUUAGGAAUACACCCUUUCUCCAUCAUCGCUUGAAAAGUGCACAUCACAUCCUCGUAUUUUGCAGACUUGCAGAGACCAUUUAACACAGUAUUAUAUGUGAUCACAUCAGGAGUAACACCAUGACUCCACAUGCUAUUUAUUAUCUCAAUCGCAUUAUUCAGAUUCAACUGUUUACAGUAACCAUCAAUUAGUGUAUUAAACGUAAAUAUGUCAGGAAGGUAACCUUUGGCAAUAGCAUCAUCAACAAGUCUACUGGCAUCAGACACAUAACCCAUCUUGCACAACCCAUUUAUAACUAAGUUGUAAGUCCAGAUAUUGGGACUGCAACCCUUUUCCAACAUCUCAUUCAUCAGUUGUAAGGCUUGCAAGAUAAGCCCAUUCUCUGACAACCCUUUUACCAAUGUGUUAAAUAGACCAAUAUUAAGCUUUAAACCCUUGCCCAUUGCCUCCUUAAACACAGCUAUGGCACGGUCUGCGUCGCCAUCCUGGAAAACCCCCUUUAUUAAAGAGCAAUAUGUGAAGUCAUCAGGUACAAACCCCUUGAAAAUGGCGUCACUGAGAAUCUUAUCUGCUUUCUGUAUCAUGCCCAAUUUGCAAUAUCCAUCAAUUAUACUGUUGUAGGUAAAGGUAUCUGGCUGAAAUCCAUUGUUCACCAUUUUACGCAUAUAGGACUCCGCUUCCUCAACCUUAAAGUUUUUACACAAGCCAAAGAUCAAUGUAUUAUAGGUGACAACAUCUGGAGUUAGACCUUCCUUCAUAAAACCAUCUAACAUUCUGACAGCCCCAUUAAGAGAUCCUCUUUUGCACAGCCCUUGAAUGAAAAUAUUAAGUGUAAACAAAUUUGGAGACACUCCCCUCUUCAUAACCUUGUUGAGAAGCUUUUCGGUUUCUUGGACAUCCCCCUUCUUGGACAGGGUGUGUAUAAGCUUAUUGAAUGUGGUAACAUCAGGGCACAUACCUUUCCCAAGCAUGACUUCAAACAAUUCACAUGCCUCAAUUUGGUAGUUUCCUUCAUAAAACCCACUGAUGACUGUACAAUAUGCAACAGCGUUGAACUCACAGCCCUGCGAAGGCAUGUUAUUAAGAAGCCUCAAUGCAGCUUGAGGUCGACUAGUCCUACAGAAACACUUUAUUCGUAUUGUAUAAGUAUACACAUCUGGAAUAAUCCCGUUACCUAUCAUGUUCAUAUACACCUUAUGGGAUUGAUUGAAAUACCCAUACUCAACCAGUAUAUUCAUGAUUGCAUUAUACGACUGAACAGACGGCUCACAAUUAUAAAAGUCCAUCCGGUGAAACACAUUCACAGCUUCUUCAAUCUUUCCUUUCCUUCCAUAAUGCCUCAUGGCUCCAAUGUACACUCCUUCUAGUAACCUGUUAUCAAUAUUCAUCCUCAUCUCAGCAAGCACAUGCUCCAUGGCUUCAAACUCCCCAUGAAACCCAAAUUUCUCAAUCAUACACUUGUAAGUUGACAAUGUGUGCUUAAACCCAUCUUCCUUCUUCACCGAAUUAAACAUCUCCAGUGCUUUGAAAGGAUCCUUUUGACACAUUACAACAGCAGAAACAUGCUUAGGAAGUAAAGGACGACUCAUCCCAAAUCUCUAUAACUGAAAGAUUCUAGCAAUAAAACCCAUAACCCAGAAGAAGUUAGCUUCAGGCUUUAGCUAUCCUGAAACCACAAUAAUUUUAGAUAAAAAUUUCAUCACUAUUCAUCUAACUUAAUAGUAAACUCUCAAAGCUAAAGUUCCAAUCUUUGAACAGAAAUAAGAUAAAAGCUCCAAUCUUUGGGUUCUCUCAGAAUCAAAAUUCACUCUGUACAGUUUUUAACGGAUAAAUAAAAGUGAAAAAUCACCAGAUAAAGGGCAUUUACCUGAAAUGUAAAAGCUCCCCAACUCGUUGAAUGCUCUGAGUAGCUGAAAAUGAUUUUCCAAAAACAGAGAAAUUAGCAUCAAAUUGGGGCAAUUAGGGUUUCCAAUUGAGAAAUUGAGCUGAAGAAGAAAGCUAGGUAUAUAAUCCUAGCCAUGUCAUCAAGUGUGGGACCCAAAAUUUACUUUCUUCUUUCUGACGUGGCAAGAUCAAGUAUAUAACCUACAUGAGGCCUCAUGGUGCUGCGCUGCAGAGUAUCAGAGGCUAAACCCUCUUGGAUUGCCGAAACGAAAUCAAAGCUGGGAUUUUUAUUUCAGAGAAAGCUUGAGACUUUGAGACAGAGAGGAGAAGAAGAUGGGUCAGUCGGGUCAAUGGCUAGAGAAGGCGCUGGUGGAUCUAUGCCAGAAGAUGGAAUCGGGUUUGGGCUUGGAUCAGGAUAUGAUUUCGGGUCUGGUCUCCUACUGUGAGCUAGCUGAUCCCAGAGACGCUAAAGAAUACCUUGAUGUAAUGACUUCAACUUUGUCUUUGUUCUUUCUUUUUCUGCUAAAGAUUUGUGCUUUUGGAGUUUUGGGUUUUGGGUUUCAGUUUGUAUGAGUUUUUAGAAUCAAUUUGGGUAAUCUUGGAUUUUGAUCUUAGUUCUUGAAUUAGGGUUUGAAUGUGGAACUGUUCAAUGUGAUUUGGGACAUUGGGGGUUUCCUUUUGCUAUUCUUGACUGAUGGUUUAGAAUGCAUAUGUUGCAUGACACUAAAUUGAAGAAUAAGAAGAAUACUUCUGGUUUCUGUAGUGUGACUGGUGUCUUUACAUUUUGAAAUGUGUUAGGUUACAUUUUCUCUACCCUUAUAUGUUGCUUUUACUCGAAGAAUCUACUGCUUAGUUAUUUGAAGUUUGGUUUAUGGUGGUUUCUAAGAUUAGUGUUGUUUUCGUUUGCAGAACAUAAUAGGGCAGAAGGUGGGGAAGUCUGUGAUUGAGGAAUAUUUACAGAAAAGAGGGCGUUCUGAUCUUUGCAGCGGGACCCCAAAUGUUCCAACCUCGAGUUUACAGGCAUAUGUUAAGGCAUCUUCAAGUGAGUAUACUGUAAGUGGGACCAAGAAACAAUUGAAAAUGCCGAAAGUGGCUAAAGUACCGAGUCAGCAAGCAGCUUCUACUCCUUCUAGCUCUAAGGGAAAGCCUGUUCCGCCUCAAGCCAGUGAGUCAAGAACCACAAAUAAUGCAAACCAAAGUAAUUCUAAGAAGAAGAAGGCAGGAAAAGUUGUUUCGCUUGCGGAGGCUGCUAAAGGAUCGAUUGUAUUCCAGCAGGGCAAGCCAUGCUCGUGCCAAGCGCGUCGCCACGGGCUUGUGAGUAAUUGUUUAUCAUGUGGGAAGAUAGUCUGUGAACAAGAGGGAGAGGGACCUUGCAAUUUUUGUGGAGCUCUUGUGCUGAAGGAAGGGAGCAGUUAUGCUGGUCUGGAUGAGAGUUACACUCCUGUGGUGUCAGAUGCGGAGGCAGCAGCUGAAGCUUAUGCGAAGAGACUCGUUGAGUAUGAUAGAGACUCUGCAGCCCGUACAACAGUUAUUGAUGACCAAAGUGACUACUUUGAAAUUGAGGGGAACAGCUGGUUAUCAAAAGAGGUGGGUAUUUCUCUGUUGUAGCAAGCAUUACGUGUGUGUGUGUGUAACUGUGUGUACUUAUUAAAUUUGCGUGCAUCUCAUUUUCACCCAUAUUUUGUUACUUACAGGAAAAGAAACUUCUAAAAGAGAAGCAGGAGCAAAUUGAAGAAGCUGAGCGGGCCAAACGAAAUAGAGUAGUUGUGACUUUUGAUUUGUUUGGGCGCAAGGUAAUAUAACCUUUGAUAAUGGGCUUCGUCGCUUAAUGAGUUGGAUUUAAUGCUGCAUGGAAAUAUUGGACAAUUACUAAUUUCCCAUUUUUUGCUCCAGUACAUUUGACAAUAAUUUCAUUUUCUUCCGUGUUGCUUUGUGCAGCGCAUGAAUAUUCUGCAUUGUCUGAGGUUGCACAUUUUUUCUUUUAACAUUUGGUGUUCUGCAGGUACUUUUCAAUGAAGAAGAACUUGCUGAACUGGAAUCCGAAAGCUUAACGUUGAAACCACUAGAUGAAAGGGAAGUGAACCGGAUUAAACCAAAUCCUGAUCUUAAAGUGCGACCACUCUUUGUGGAUCCAGGCCCUAGGAACAAGCCUGUUGUGAAAGGUAGGAAGGAAAACAAGAACCCAACCAAAGGCUUGUGCUUAGAGAUAACAGGGAGGGUGCAGCAUGUUAACAAUGAUUUGAAAGAUCUCAUGACCGACGAUCAGUUGGAGACAACUUCAAAUGAUAAUUUUUCUCAAGGGCCUUCUGUAAGUGGAGGUGUGCUUGAUGACGAUGAUGGAGGAAAAUGUUCUCUAGACUAUCGUUAAGGAGAUUAUGGGUGUAUUCUUGUUCUCAUAGGAGAAAUUCAUUAAAGGAAUUGAAGUAAUAUACAUGUUCCUACUUAUAUCUUCUCUUUUCUUGUGCAUUCCUCAAGUGACUUUAACAGAAUUGGGAUCAAUUUUCGUUUGUACAUAGAACAAUGGCUAAUGAAAUUUUACUUGUUACAAUCGUUUCAGCUAGUGUUUUCUCGAUUCCUUUCUUUCUCUCUCUCUCUUUCUCUUUCCCAUCAGAUUGAAAUUGAAAUAUUAACAGUUCAUAAUGUUCUCCGUAAAAAGAUGCACAUUACUACAUAAUACAGAUCUACAUUUUCUAUCGGAAGUCUGUAAUAGAGCUUUUACCAGCAACUUUUGUACAUGUCCUGGUGGCCAUCAAGCUCCUUUCGUGAAGAACAUCAUCCCACCUUCCUGCAUCGGCUAGAAUAUUGGAUGAAGCAACAUGAUCUUCAGCACCAUGCAAUGUGUUCAGAUCUGCGAAUCUACUAACCAAACACAAUCCUCUACCAAAAUCACCAUGAACUCGACACGCAUUAACCAACAUCCUAUAUACAACUGCAUUUAGUUCUAUAGGCAUACUCUUCACAAACUUGUGUGCCUCCUCUAGUCUUCCUGCUCGCGCAAGCAUAUCAAUGAUGCAUCCGCAGUGCUCAAUCCGGGGCUUGAUGUGAUACAACCUGCACAUAUCAUCAUACAAGUUCAGACCUUCAUCAACCAAACCAGCAUGGUCACAUGCUGAUAGAACACCUAUGAAGGUAACAGAGUUCGGCUCCACUUUCUCAGCACGCAUUUUUCUGAAAGCAAGAAUAGCCUCCUUUCCUUCACCAUUGAUCGCGUGACCCACUAUAAUUGAAGUCCAUGAGAUAACAUCUUUGCUAGGCAUCUUAUUAAACACAACUUUAGCAAGGCUCAUGUUCCCGCACUUCGAGUACAUAUCAAUAAGAGCAUUGUGCAGUACAAUGCUGCUUUGAAGAUGUAUGUCAUUCUCUAUAUAAGAAUGAAUGCCAAUACCAUGAGACAAAUCCCCUGAGUUGCGGCAAGCUAGGAUUAAUCUUACCAUUGUUACUUCAUCUGGCCUUAGCUUUCUUGAUUGAAUAUGAUUGAAUAGCUCUAAUGCCUCUUGAUUAUGACCACAUUCGACAUAUCCAUGAAUCAUAGAGUUCCACAACACAAUGCUUUCAUCUUGAAGAUUGUCCAAGAUUUUUCUAGCACACUUUGUUGAUCCACAUUUGGAAUACAUAUCAAUCAGAGCAGUUCCAAUAGCCACAGUGAUCUCCGCUCCACUAACUGUCAUAUACCCAUGAACCACCUUCCCCAUACCAAGAUCUCGACCAUUAGCAGCAGCCGAAAUCAAACUACUCAACGACACUCUAUCAAAUCCAACGUUGCCUGCUCUCAUUUCCCUAAACAAGUACAAAGCUUUUCUACACUCACCAACCCCGGCAUACCCUGCAAUCAUGGAAUUCCACGAAACCAAAUCCCUCUCAGGCAUCUCAUUAAACAUCCUCACUGCUUCACCCAAAUGCCCAAACUUCGAAUACAAAUCGAUCAGUGCAUUACAAACCUCAUUCACCAAAUCCAAACCUGCCUUACAACAGUGUGAAUGAAGCACCCUCCCCACAAUAAACCCAUCCAGUUCCACACACCCCGAAACCAAAACAACCAAAGUUACAUAAUUUGGCCUACAUUCCAAACCAAAAGAGCAACCCAAGACUUUCUUGAACAAACCAAUCCCCUCAUCUAACAUACCAUUCUUCACAAACCCAGAAAGCAUACCAUUAACAGUAACAACAUUUCUGUGAGGCAUUACAUCAAACACCCUACAAGCAUACCAAAUCAAAUUCUCAGAACACGAAUACAAAUUCAAUAUACUAUUCCACAAAUUCACAUUAUACUCCAAACCAAUCCUAACAACAUGACAAUGCACAGCUUUCCCUUCUCGGGUAGCCCAUAACUUGUUACAUGCUUUAACCAAAGAAGCAUAUACAUAAGGAUCAACAACAGGGCCAUUACGUUUAAGCCUCUGCAUGGCUCUGAAAACAGAGACGACCCGAGAAGGGUCGGCUUCCAAGUUGAGCCGGCGGACCAUGAUGGGCCAUGUGGGCGCAUUGAGGUGUUGUGUGUGGUUGAAUAAGGCGGUGGCGUGGUGGAGAGUUGAAGGGUUUGAAAGAGUGAGGUUUAGGAAGGGUAUAAGGAAUGAGGGGUUUAAGUAAAGGAGGCCAGUGGUGGUGAGCUGGGUUUGGAUUUGGAGGAGGUUUUGGGGGGAGAAGAGGUUGGGGUUUUGGUGGAGAAGAUGAGUCAAUCUUUGUCUCAUUAAUCAAAGCAGAGUGGUGGGUUUUCUCUCUUUGGUUCAAAACUCCAAAUCAUGUGAAGCUAGUAAAUGUAAGAUUUACAGGAAAGAAUGAAUGUCUUUUUCUUCUUCUUGGAUUCUUUAUGUCAAAAAGGGUAUAUACAGUGUGUAGUGAAAAAGACAUGGAAAUGUUAGGUAAACGUUUUUAAAAAUGGUUUUCAAAAAAUAUAUUUUAAAACUAUGAGAAAAUGAGAUCAUGUCUUUUCAAAUUUGAAAAUGUAUCUGACUGCAUAAAAUAAAUGCAGUUCAUUCUCGAAAUAAAAGAAUAAACGGAAAACGUGAAAGAUAAAAUCUCAAGCUUAAUGGUGUGCAUAUAUGUACAUGAUAAAACAAGAAUUAAAUUCAUUUUACCCCUCUGAGGUUUGAAGUUAAUUUUAUUUCAGUCACCGUUCUCUCAAUUUUGAAAAUGAUUAAAUUCACUUUACCCCUCUGAGGUUUUGGGUUAACUUCAUUUCAGUCUCCGUUCUUUCAAUUUUAAAAAUUUACCCCUUAAAGUUUUUAAUUUUCAUAAAUCAUGCCCAAUUGUUAAAAAUCCAUCUAAUUUUGACUUUAUAACUCACUUUAAGGGCUAAAAUAGUCAUAUAACAAUAAAAAUCGUCUUGACAUUUUUUUAAGAUUUCAUGCUAGCAUUUAACAUCUAAAUUGGUUGAAAUUUUAGCAAUUGACAUAAUUUAUGGAAAUUGGAAACUUGAGGGAGCAAAUUUUCAAAAUUAAGAAUAUGGGGACUAAAAUGAUGUUAACCCCAAAUCUCAAAGGGGUAAACUGAAAUUAAUUCUUUUAAAAAUUUACCCCCUAAAGUUUCUAAUUUUCAUAAAUUAUGCCAAAUUGCUCAAAUUCCGUCUAAUUUGAACGUUAAUUUUAACUUUAUAACUCAUUUUAAGGGCUACAAUAGUCAUAUAACAACAAAAACCACCUUUGAUGACCAUUUUUCUAAGAUUUCAUGCUAGCAUGCUAGCAUUUAACGUCCAAAUUUGACAGAAUUUUAGCAAUUGUGUAUGAUUUAUGAAAAUUACAAAUUUUAAUGGGUAAAUUUUCAAAAGAAUUAAUUUUAGUUUACCCCUCUGAUGUUUGAGGUUAACAUCAUUUUAGUCCUUAGGAACCGUGUCAGCCACAUCGAUGUAAGACUAGUUCCUCAAAAGCUGGUGGAGUCAAAAUUUAUGGCCCUUACUCAUUCAAGCGAAAGUUUCAAAAACUCAACUAUAUCCAUCUAGUUAUGGUUUCUGCGUAAUGCUCCCAUCGAAUUAAGUCUCGUCAAGAGACGCAACAAGAAAGGAUACGCUCCAAGAUAAGCACCCAAGAGAUUUAAGAACAUCCAUCGAUGACAAGAUUGAACAACCCAGAAAUACAAUUUAGUCCAAAAUUAUCGAACAUAAAAAGUAAUUGAGUAGUGCUAGAGACACCAAAUAUUCAUACCAAAAUCAUGUACCGAAUGAUCAUGUGCCAAAUAUUGAGUAAUUGGCAUGUGUCAACGAUCUUCAGCUAUAUUUAAAAGGAAUUGCUAGAUGGAUUUUCUUUUCUAAUUCUUUAUCAAUAGAAAUUGAAAAACAAUAAAUGCUUUACUAGUUUUUAUCAAUAGAUUUAAAAUCAAUAAAAUUGAAACAUUUAUUUUCAAAAGAACAUCUAAACCUUCUGAAAGGUCAUCGCUCUCAUCAAGAGGAGAUGAUGAUCUGCACUCAACUAUAUGGAUUAGUGCCUGAUCGAAAAAAACUAUAUGGAUUAGUGAGUGGUCUGGUGAUUACUUCUUGGUGUUGGAUACCUUUUUUUCCCAACAAUGACAGGGUGAAACGAAUUGCAACAAGUACAUGAUUAACAACAUGAAUGAAAAGAUCAAAGCUAAAUCAAAGAUUAAUACAGAAAGAGCAAAGUUAACCCGAAACCUGAGAAUCCUUGUUACAAUUUAUCGAUCUCGAAUCCGCACACCCAGUUCCAUCCGUUACCGUUUUGUUACCUACAUUCCACAAUGUGUUGUAAGUUGUAACAUGUAGGGAGUGGGUAAACAUAAAUGGUGUAAACACAGUGUUUAGUCCACCUUCACCUAACAUGCCAUCAGUUGUCUGCAAGUCAGCAAGUGGAAACAAAUAAUGACAUACUAUUAGUUAGCCAAAACUAGAAGACAGACAUAUGCUCAAAAUAAUGCAACUAAAUACCACUUGAACGUUGAAUGUUGGAGGGAGUUUCAUGCUCUCAUGCAUCAUACGUAUUUUAGUAUUUUACUGAUUGAGUUUUGACUCGUAUGAACAAUUUGGCUUAGUUUCUCGGAUCCCCUCCAUCUGUGUUAGCUGAACAUAUAUAUUGUUUGCCUGUUUAAAAGUCUGUUUAACUGUUAGGGUAAAAUCAUGUUACAUUCAUCGAUCAAACUCUCUCCCUCCCUCAUAAGUCAUACCAGCAAGUCUUUGCACACUAAUGUUCAUGUUCACUGUGGAAUGAAAUGCAGGCGUACGAGGUCAUGAAUAUAAUUAAGUAGGUCAAAGAUGCUAAAUAGCACUAGUAAUCCCCUUAAAAUGGGGAUCAUGGACCUGCCACAGCGAUGAAGAGUUGACUUCCUGAGUCUUUUUUUAUGAGUUAACUAGAUUUGUUGAGUAUACUAUGGUAUAGAAUUUCCUGGCAUUUCCCUUUCACAAUUUUCAGAAACAGAUUCCUUAGUUUCAAGCCUGCCUAAUUUUCUUGCUGUAGUGAGACAAAAAGAAAAAGGAAAUUCCAUUUAUACCCUCUGCACUACCAAUCCAGAAGAAGAUCAGCAGCUCAUGAGCAUUCAGCUCCGAUGAGCAUUCAACUCUGCAGAUUGAAUUAGUUAGUCUCCUUCCUGCUUUGCUUACUUUGGUGGAGUCAGGUAUUCAUCAACAGAUUUCUCAGUAUGUUAUAUGGUUUUGUCUCGUUUUCUUGACUUGUUCAGUUGUUCUUGUUCCUUCAUGCAGACUUCUUGGUUUGAUGUUCAGAUCGAGCCCGAGUUUAUUUAUACAUCAUAUCUUUCCUUCUAGCAGAUUCUAAAAGAUGGCGGAGGAGAGGACGGACUGCAUCUGCAUCGCCGUUAUUAAGCGGAUAUGGACUCUAGUGAAGCGUCCGUUCAUUUCCAUGGUCAAAAGUUCCCAGGAUAAUCAAGUUAUUGCUGUCAUGGAUGCCUCAGCAUCUCUCUCUUCAGCGGCCAGCAGCUCAUCGUCCGAAAUGAGAGCCAGCUGUGUUGCCGCCGGACCGGUUACUUCUUCAUCCGCAGCCGUUGAGCGGAAGUAUGAUGUGUAUUUGAGUUUUGGGGGUCCUGACACUCGCAAGGGUGUGAUAUUUGAAAUAUACGAUCAACUGCAGACGAGGGGAAUCAAAACAUUCAUGGAUGACCGAGAAUUUGAAGUAGGCGAUCCUGUUUCUCCCACUCUUAUAGAAGCAAUAAGAGAAUCAAGGUUUGCAGUAGUUGUUUUCUCGCGAGACUACGCUUCUUCUACUUGGUGUUUGGAGGAACUUACAGCAAUCUGUGAGUGUAUGAAAGACGAGAACAGAAUCCUCCCGCUUCUUUAUCACGUACAGCCCUCUGAUGUGCGUCUUGGAAAGAGGAGAUUCAAUGCAGCUUUCUCUGUGCUUGAAACCUCCAGUGGAUCGGAGAAGAUGCAGCGGUGGAGUGAAGCUUUAGAAAAGGUGGCCAAUUUCGUUCGCUGGAAUACGCAGGAUUAUAAGUAAGCAUGCAUCUUGAGGCUAGGAUUAUAAUUGUGCCUGAGGCUUAUUUGACCCUUUAUUGUUGCUUGCAGGACUCACAAACAACUUGUUGAAGCCAUUGUGGAAUUUCUCCACAGUAAAGUACUACCUGAUGCAAUGGGGUCCAAAGAGGAUUUUGAAGGAUAUGAAGAACCAAUACAAGCCAUGGAUGAGGAAAUGAAGGAGCUAACAAUUGAAUCUUCAGCUUCUCAGUGGAAGCAUGAUGUGUUUUUGAGUUUCAGGGGUCCUGAUGCUCGCAAGGGCAUUGCCUCCUAUUUAUUCUAUGAAUUGCAACGCAGAGGAAUUAGAACAUUCAUGGAUGAGGAAGGGCUUAAAGCAGGGAACCAUAUUUCUUCAAAUCUCCUAACCGCAAUCAAAGAAUCAAGGUCUGCAAUUGUUAUUCUGUCACCAAAAUAUGCUUCUUCUGCGUGGUGUUUGGAUGAACUUGCCAACAUCGUUCAAGGCUGGGAAAACAGGAAAACAUUAAUUUUCCCAGUUUUUUAUAAUGUGGAACCCCAUGAUGUCCGACAUCAAAUUGGGAGUUUUGAAGAACUCUUCACCGGACAUGGUAAACAAAGGCAUGGAAAGAAGGUGCUGAAUCAGUGGAAAGCUGCUUUAACAACAGUGGCCAAUCUCACUGGCUUUGAAUCAAAAAUAUAUAGGUAAGCUAGGACGGUAACUAUGUUAACUGGUGUUAUACUUAUUGGAAAUAUAUUUAGCUCAUGAUUGUUUGACUUGUCCUUUGUUUAGGUCUGACAGACACCUUGUCGAAGAAAUUGUGCAAUAUGUCUUCAGUCAAGUACGAAAUCUGGAAAUUGAGUCUCCAGGUUCAAAAUUUAAAGCAACAAAAAAGGCCCUGGGUAAGGUAGUGGAGGCGCUUAUAGAAGAUGAGAUCGCUGCCAGCAGUGUUAUCGGAGGCAUCAUCAGUAAUGAAACACUCGCUUUUAUCAGUCAGGCAAUAACGUUAUUGCCUUAUUUCAAUAUAUAGAUCCAAAGUGUGAAGCUCAAAUUUGAAGACUAAAUAUUUUCUUUAGUUGCAAUCUUCUUCUCCUUAUAUAUUAUCAAUUCAAAAGAGUAACUAACGCAUACACUUCAAAUUCUGAAAUCUGCGUUUUCAAUGUUCUUAGUUAGUCCAAGCUUUACCUGACAUGUUACUUUAAUUAGUUGACUGCAAGUGGAGAGUGGAGACAAUGAGAUAUAUACGACGUCGCAAAAACAAGCAGAGGAUAAUGCAAAGAUAUAUAAUACCAAUUAUGUAUUAUAUAAUUGGAGUAUGCUCUCAUGCAUCUUGGUAAUUCUAGUUUUACUGAGGUUAGACUCGUAUCAGGGUGGCCUUUGGGCCGUGCGAUGUGUGUGGCCGCACAAGGUCUCCGAUUUUUGGGAGCCUCUGAAAAAAAAUUAUUAUAUAAAUAUGUAAUAAGUACUAAAAAUAACUGAUAUGUUAACAUGUGCUCUUGUAGCAUAGGGGCAUCUGUAGCAGUGUAACUAAAACUAUAGUUAAAUUUAGCAAUAAUUAUGAGAUUUAGCAAUUGUUAUAAGAAUUUGGCUCUAGCAGUUAUUGCUAAGUGUAGGUUAAGUAAUAUUUUUAACGAAUUAUAAACUGACACGUGGAGAAAAAAAAGAGGGAAAAUAUAAGUAUUCAUUUAGCAAUUCAUGGCUCAGUUGACAAAUUUAUCAAUUUUGUUUAGCAAUUCUUAAAUUUAGCAACCAUUUAGGUAUACUGUUGGAACUCCUGUUCAUUCGAAAAAUUGACAAAUUUCAAAAAAAAAUUGAUUUAGCAAUACUGCUAGAGAUUAUUUAAGACUUUUCAUCUUUAUUCUGCCACCUAAGUUCGAGGCCCACAGCCUCUUUUGUUUAGUAUUUUUCUUUCUCCUUUUCACCCCUUUUUUCUCCUUUUUUUCUUCAUUUUUCAUCCCUUUUGUAUUGUUUUUUUUUGUUUGUUUUUUUUCUUGCAUUUCAUCCCUUUUUUUCCCUCCUUUUUCGUCUGCAUUUUUGACCCCCUUUUUCCCCCUCUUUUGCGUUUUUCUUGCGAUUUCAUAACUAUGUUUCCUACANNNNNNNNNNNNNNNNNNNNCCUUACUUUUUGUUUUUUUCUUUCUUUUUUUUUUUUUUGUCGUUUUUCACCAUUUUUUUUUCAUUUUUCUUCUUAAGAAUCUUAGGAAUAUGUUAUUUCUUGUACUUCAACGAGUGAUUAUGAGUUUUAAUAUUGAUUUGUACAUUCGGGAUCAAACUUGUGUAUCUAAGGCCACAUUCAAAAAAAAAAUAGGCCACAUUCAAAAAUUCGCACAGGGCCUCAUAUUCCAUAAGACCGGCCCUGACUCGUAUAUAUCUUAAUGAAUACUACUGCAUUGGCUAAUUAGUUUCUCGGAGUCCAUCUGUGUAUAUAUUGUUCGCCUGUUUAAAAGUUUCUCCAACUUUUAGCUAAAAUCUGAUUACAUUCAUAAAGAACUUGGUGUUCACUGGCAGGGGAAACUCCCUCAUACCAACAAGUUUUUGCUCGCUAAUGUUCAUGUUGCCACGUGUUCAUUGUGGAAUGAAAUGCAGGUGUACGAGGUCAUGAAUAUAUGUUGGAUCUCAGUAUGAGAGGCUGCAGUUGUAUCCACACUUUGACAUAUCCAUACUUGGUAAACUGAAAAAGCUUUUUAGAUUCUUAGUAUGAGAGGCUGUUGUAUGAAGAAAUCUCCAAAAGAGAAUGUUGGACUUGACUGAAACUAUGGUACAGAGUUCAGAUAGUUCCUACUCGAGUGAUAUCAAGGUUGCAUAGACUAGAAGAAAUUUACAUGCAAUGCAGUUUUGGAGACUGGGGUAGUAAAUCUGAGUUGCCACAUUUUUGGGGUUAAAAUGCCGACUUUGAUGAGUUGACUAUACACAACCAUGAAUUUCUUACCGGAUCGGUUGUUUAUCAAUGUGGUGACAGCAAAAACAGAGGUUCUAUGUUACAGCAUAACUAACCUUCUUGAGGAACAGGACAGUGGGAAACUACAUGGACUCAAGUAUCUCUCUCUAGAUUAAUUCAGUUAGUAAUUUAUCGGCUUUGUAUUUGAUUUCAGUUAGUUUAAUUGGAGAUUAAAUAGUGGUUUCUUCGUUUCUGUUGGAUUUUCUAGCCGAGUACAAUUGAUUGAUACUAGUUUGAGUAGUUUCAUGUAUCUCAAUGCUGGGCGGUUAGUUGUUACUCUGAGUUUUGAAACAAAAAACCAAUUCUAGCUAGUGCAAGGUCAAUGUGCAAUGAGAGAUUCAGAGAUGGCUUGGUUUACCUCCAUACGCAGUGAUAUCAAAGCUUUGUAGAUUAGAAGAAUUGUGCAUGAUGUACUAUGGAUUUGAGGAACGGAAAAGUCACAUUGAGGGAGAAGGACAAGAAACUAAUAUUGGUUUUUUUUUUUUGAUGGAAAUGGAUGUUACUCCAGGGCCGUAAAGCACAUAUAUUAAAUCAACAAAUAGGACGAGCGAGAGUUAAACUUCAAUACAAGUCCAACGGCUGGUCAACCGGGAGCAUAGUUCCGAUACAACACGCAAAGCUUACAAAAGCUACAAAGAAUUACUAACUCAAAAAAAAUGUCCACAAGAGGACUUUAUUUCAGCCUCAAAAGCAAUAACUUACAUAACGUACAUAACCAACCAAAGUACCCCAGCUCAAUGAAUCGAGGCCUAAGAUCCUUCUGGUGUACCUUUCCAUCAAAAAAGGGGGUAGACUCGUCAAUAAGUUAUGUAGGGAUCUUUCGCUCCAUCCACAGAACCCGGCCCAGGUCCAAACCAUAAUUGAAAGGAGGAAAAGAAAAGGUGGAGGCCCAAAGGCUCAGCCCACUAAGGUGCAAGUUGAAGCCCAGCAAAAUAAGGCCCAUAUCCACCUCACUCCUCUCUCCCGUUCAGUUCAGACCGGCGCCGAAGCUCGCCGGAGGAGACUCAUGCCGCUGGUUCAGUCUGGUGGUUUUGCCGCCUUGAAACCUAUGAUGACCGCUACCGGUCGUUGCUGCAACAAAAGCUGCCUUUGAGAAAACAAGGUCGAAGACCUCCUUCUUCUUGUUUGGAGACAAGAGAAGCCUCCGCCCCUUCUCAACCCGACGCAGAAGCUUCAAACCCGAUGAUGUCGUUCACCCAAAACCGACAACCUCCGCUAAGAACAGAGGUGCUAACCUCUGAUCAAGCUGACUUCAUCGCCGCCGCUUCCUCAAAUCGACUGAGGCGUCGCCGUCGAUAGGAGAGUUGGAAAGCUUCCUCCUCUCUUUCAACUCAACACCUCUGAGCCACAAGACCAGAUCUCAACAGAUGAGGGAACCCGAUCUAAACCCGGCAACUACAGUCGUUGUCUCACCGGAGGGGAUACCACAAGGACCAACUCGUCGUCUCCUCCACACAAGCGCAACCCGGAGUUGCUCCACGCUUCCACUAGUGUCGCCUGACGAUCUGGACCAUUGCACCGCACGAAGUGCGUCAUCGUUUUGCUUCCAAACCCUAGGUUUGGUCUUCUCAACUCCGACAAAAAUGGAGCGAAUUCUUCUAAAACACUUUGUCUGAUUUGGUACGUAUAUUGAUUUGAUCUUAUGUUUCGAACUAAUAUUGGUUUUAGUGACUCAAUAAGUAUAAAUAUAAUGAUAAAUUUUAUAGAAAUGAAUAGAUGUAUCAACUUAAACGAAAUAAAGAACACACACAUCCCAGAUCAAAAAAAAAAAAACACACACAUCAAUCGUUGAACGAUAUCAUAACAUAGAACCAAGUAGAUUUUCAUAUCCAUUUUAGUAUCUUUACAUGCAAGUUUUUUAAACCGUUACUAAUCAUGGAAGUUUUUUGUUCCGUUACUAAUCGUCUAAUCAUGCAAGUUUUUUUUUUUUUNNNNNNNNNNNNNNNNNNNNGCUGCUUGGAUCUUUUGAUCAAAAUAAAAAGAAUCUUUUGCUUAAAUCUCAAGGUCCCCAAGUUUUCUUUGCCCGCGGGACCCAAUGAACCAAAAUAGGACACUAAACUGGCGGGGAUACAACAUCAUCAUCGUCCCUUUUUCGCCCCCAAACAUGCGAUCUUAACUUACCCAAACACUCUUCUGUCCAACAACCGACUCUCCCUGUCCUCGGACUCAUCGCACUCUUCUGUUUUCACUGGCCUGCAUCCAAACACCACCAGACACAUCGUUCUACCCAAUCCCUCAUCUCCAAUUUCAGACACACCCACACAUUUAACUCUCUCUCUCUCUCUCUGAUUCCCAAGAUGAAAAGGCGUUGAUUUGAUUGGACCCACAAAGAUUGAAGCUUGCAGGCCCUACGAUCCGUAAGGCUUCUCAAUCCUUUUGAUUCUUCAUUAAAGUUUCAAUCUUUAUGUUUGCCCUGCAUUUUUAUGAUCCUUUUAUUUCUGGGAUUUGAUGGAGAGGUCAAGAUAGUUUGAUUUGAAUUUCAUUUUUGGUAUGCUAUGUGGGUUUAUUGAGCAAUUGGUGAUUUGGGAUUCACGUAUUUUGGGCUUACAGGUUGUGAUAGGCUUAGCUGAGAGGUAGGUUUGGAGUUUCAUGUUAUAAAAUCUUGUAUCUCUUAAGAUAGAAUUGGCUUUUGUGUUCUAUUACUAGUGGAAUGUUUGUAACUGGCCAAGUUUACUAGAAAAUCAAUGAAGGAAUCUUCUUGAUUAGUGUGGAGGUUAAAUUUGCAGUCUUUGAUUAUAUUUUUUGUUACAUGGUUUAGUAUUUCAUACAUUAUUAGCAAUUUAUUAUAUCUGUUUCUAACUGUAUUUGUUAGUUCUCCUACACGCCUUCCCCCCUUUGGCUAUAUCCCAGAGUCGAGUAGUUGUAGAGUUUGAAUUUUGUAUGUCAUAUACUUUACUUUUCAUCUUCUUGGUCAAUUUUAUUUUCUUUGAUUUCCUAAUUGCUUUUUGAUAAAAAUGAUAUUCAGACAAAUGAUGGCGACUAAAGGGAACUCAGGAGACAACAGAAGUCGAAGUUCGAUGUCAGUUUUCAUUGUAGCUGGUCUCUGUUGUUUCUUUUACAUAUUGGGUGCGUGGCAGCGAAGUGGUUUUGGAAAGGGAGAUAGCAUAGCUGUGGAGAUUACCAGACAGACGGACUGUAGUAUCCUUUCCACUCUGAAUUAUGAGACCCAUCAUGGAAUUGAUGAAGGACCGGUCAAGGAGUUCAAACCAUGCCCCAAUCGCUACAUUGAUUAUACUCCUUGUCAGGACCAAUUGCGAGCCAUGACUUUCCCCCGAGACAAUAUGAAUUACAGGGAACGACAUUGUCCUCGUGAAGAAGAGAAGUUGCAUUGCCUUAUCCCAGCACCCAAAGGUUAUGUGACCCCUUUUCGGUGGCCCCAAAGCCGUGACUAUGUACCCUAUGCCAAUGCGCCUUAUAGGAGCCUGGUAGUCGAGAAGGCUAUUCAGAACUGGAUUCAAUAUGAGGGCAAUGUCUUUAAGUUCCCGGGUGGUGGAACACAGUUUCCUCAUGGAGCAGAUGCAUAUAUCAAUGAACUUGCAGCUGUGAUCCCCAUGGACAAUGGGAUAAUUAGAACAGCAUUAGACACUGGAUGUGGGGUAACAUUCUUUUUCUUUUUCCUCCUUUCAGUCUUCUAGGCUUUUCAUACUAGCACUUGUCUCAAUCUGAUUUGAUCUUGAUAUUCCUGUAGAUAUUAGACUUUGAUCUAUUUGAUCUAAUGCUCAUAUUGGUUCAUGCUUCAUAGGUUGCCAGCUGGGGUGCUUACCUGUUUAAAAAGAAUGUUAUAGCCAUGUCAUUCGCACCAAGAGAUUCUCAUGAAGCACAGGUUCAAUUUGCUCUGGAAAGAGGUGUUCCGGCAGUUAUUGGUGUUCUUGGAACUAUAAAGCUUCCAUAUCCUUCUAGGGCCUUUGAUAUGGCUCACUGUUCUCGUUGCCUCAUUCCAUGGAGUGGAAAUGGUAAUGUGAAUAAAAAAUUAGAAUCCAAAUUGAUGGUGCUGAUGUAUAAUGUCUUAAACAUCUCUAAACCCAUUUUAUCUCCUCAAGUUCAUAUGACAUUUGUUCAUUGCCUUUGCUUUGCUGAGGCUGCCUUGACUCCUUGCCUUUUGCCAAUCCAGCUUCCACCCCACUCACUCUGCCAUGUUGAUGGCAUAUGGCAUUGCCAUGUUUAUUUUACAAAAUUCAGGAUCUUCAUUGUUUUCAGUAUAGUUUGAUGAUGAAAUUAUCUAUAACAUGACAUCAUACUUGAACUUAUUUUGCAGAUGGAAUGUACAUGAUGGAAGUGGAUCGAGUUCUUAGACCUGGUGGUUACUGGGUGCUUUCUGGUCCUCCUAUUAACUGGAGGAACAAUUUUGUUGCAUGGCAGCGGCCUAAAGAAGAACUUGAGGAAGAGCAGAGGAAGAUUGAAGAUACUGCAAAGCUUCUUGGCUGGGAAAAGAAGCAUGAGAAGGGUGAAAUUGCCAUAUGGAGGAAACGAUUAGGCUUUCAUCAUGAUCAAGAUCCUCAACCUACUAUGUGUGAUUCCAGGAAUGCUGAUGAUGUUUGGUACGUCACUUACUUGACUUUCUGGACUCUUUUACAAAUACAAUGUAUUAUCCAAUUAGUUGAUUCAAUUGUGAUAUUUGAUUGCCAAGAUGAAACUUAGAGAAUGUAAUGUGUAAUGUCUAUUUAACAUCCUAGGGUAAGAGGGAAUUGCAUUGACUGUUUUAUUGGCUAGAGAAAUAAUCUUAAUUUGGUGGAUCCAAAUUAAUAUGAGAUAAGAUUCGUAUUACCAAUUUGAAGGGUUGGAAUUAAGUCUGAGUAGUUGGGAAAGAAAAUGUAAAAGUUCAUAACAAAUAAUUUCAGACCGGUUCAUGUAGGAUUUUUUUUUACCUUCUUUCUUAAAUUUUGGGUUAUGAGUUUACUUUUAUGCAUAUAUUUAGUAGAAUUAAAAUUUGUUUAGUCCUUGUGGUUUGAAGAUGACAUUUGUUUAGUCCUAAUGGUUUUAUUUUAAUCUGAAUGGUCCUUAAAGUUACGAUUUUUCAUCCAAAUAGUCUUUCCGUCAAUUUUCUCAGUUAAAUUGCUGACGUGGCUGUUAAACUGAGAAAAUUGACGGAAUGACCAUUUAGAUGAAAAAUCAUGACUUUAAGGACCAUUCAGAUUAAAAUAAAACCAUAAGGACUAAACAGAUGUCGACUUCAAACCACAAAGACUAUACAUAUUAAAAUAAAACCACAAGGACUAAACAAAUGUCGACUUCAAACCACAAGGACUAUACAGUAUUUUACCCUAUUUAAUAUUUGACUUUGAUAUUUCCCAGGUACAAGAAGAUGGAAUUGUGCGUAACUCCUUCUCCCGAGACUAUUGUUCAUGACGAGGAUGGUGGCAUAGCAUGGAAGCCAUAUCCCGAAAGGCUCAAUGUUUUACCUUCUGGAAUAUCCACUGGAUCCGUCCCUGGAGUCUCUGCAGAUACAUUCCAGGAUGACAACAAGGCAUGGAAGAAACAUGUGAGUGCUUAUAAGAGGACCAACAAAUUGUUGGAUACGGGAAGGUAUCGCAAUAUUAUGGAUAUGAAUGCCGGUUUUGGAAGUUUUGCUGCUGCCCUUGAUUCUCCUAAACUCUGGGUAAUGAAUGUUAUGCCCACAAUAGCUGAGAAAGACACUUUGGGAGUCAUAUAUGAGCGUGGAUUAAUAGGCAUUUAUCAUGAUUGGUAAUUCUCGAUCAUUCUUUUCUUGUUCAUAGUUUUGUGGAUGCCUUUGACAUGCAUAUAGUCAGAAAACAGUAAUGAUAUUGUUCGUCUGAUAAUCUUUUUGUCUUCUGCCAGGUGUGAAGCCUUCUCCACGUACCCAAGGACAUAUGACCUUAUUCAUGCAAAUGGUAUUUUCAGCUUGUAUAAGGAUAAGUAAGUUGCCAUACCCUUCUUACUCUUUUCCUACAUGUUAAAGUUUCUGGCAAUUACUCUAAUAGAAAAAAAAAAAAAAACACCAAUGCAGGUGUGAUGCUGAAGACAUUCUUCUAGAGAUGGAUCGUAUUCUACGGCCUGAAGGAGCAGCAAUAAUUCGUGACCACAUGGAUGUGCUGGCCAAAGUAAGCAGAACUGUGAAAGGAAUGAGGUGGAAAACAAAGAUUGUGGAUCAUGAAGAUGGCCCUCUUGUUACAGAAAAGGUGCUGUUUGCAGUUAAACAGUACUGGGUUGCUGAUGAAAACAAUUCUACAUCCACAGAAUGAUUAAGAAAGAAGCAAAACAGACACAGGCAAAAAGAAAAGGAAAGAACAGAAAAGUUAAAGAAACAAAAGGGGGGACGAUUUAUUGUCCUAAGCAAACAAAGCAAGUCGUAAGCCGAGGGCUUCUAUAUCAUUUUUGUUAAUUGCCAUGUUCAUCCCCACCUUUGUUUUUUUUUUUUCCUCAUCAACAACACAUUUCUACUGCAUUUUCGUUCAAAUUAGUUUAUAGUUCCUGUAUGUGACUUCAUUUUAACAUAUACAGAUUUACUUGUAGAUUGACCCGGCAAUGCUCGUGGCUGAAGUUGAUGAUUUAAUUUAGGGAUCCCUUUAAUUUAAUCUUCCUCGUCAUACAUUAAUUGUUUAUCCUAUCCAGUAGAAUCUGUACUAAAGAAGAAGAGAUGCAGCAAAAAUCUGUGUGUUCACCAAUGUUAAAACUUAAAACUAAUCAAAAACUGGAUUAUUUGUCUGUUUGUUGACAUACUGGAAAAAUGAGUAAAAAACACCAAGAGUACAACAUGAUUUGAUUUAGGGAAAGGAGGACCCUUGUUGCCUUAAGUCUAAGAGUGUAGGACCCUAGUUCCUUUUCUGUUGCAAUUACACUACCCACAUAGCCUACCUAUAAGAACUAGUACUUGAGAAGCCAAGUCAUCUCCAAAGCCUCCUAAAGCUUCUUGUCAUUCAGAACCUCCCUUGGCAUUUUCCAGUUCUGUGCUCAAUUUCUGUUUUUCUUUUGCUUCUCUAAAAGCCAUGGAAAGAGAGGCUAAUAAGGCCACAACUCCAACAACUCAUACCCGCGACGCCUCGUUUUCUUCUUACCUCACCAGAGCAGAAGGAAACUUAGUGUUCAAGUCUCCUGCCUUGAACUUGAGCAAAAGGAUUGAUCAGGACGGCGAAAUUAGUGUCUUCGGCGCUGAAAGAUAUUUCAGCAUGAUGCUAGAAGAUGAUAGUCCAAGAGUACUUGUGGACUAUAACAACACAAGCAGAGCUGGUCUGCAGCUAGAGAAGCAAACAAAGACUAGCAGGCAAGGAACUCCUAGUGCUUGUUCUAAUGCAAGUUGGAACAAUCAAACUGAUUAUUUGCCUUCUUGGAGAAGAAACCAAUCUCCGAACAAGAAGAAAAAUGUGAAUGGAAAGAAGAUAUUUUCCGGCUUUGUCUGCAGUGGUUCUUGUUCAGAUCAGAAAUCCAUUCAUGUUCAUGAAGUUAAUGUUCGUGUUGCUAGAGAUUUCAAGAAACAAAGUUUUGGAAUGGAUCAUCAUGUCAAGAAGGAUCAACCAAGAUUUAAGGCCAAGGAGGUUGAGCUUCUACACCACUACCCUAGCUUUGGAGGAUCAAACAAAGAACAUCUUGCGUUUGCAAAUUUUGGAGCUAAAGAAGAGAAGGCAAAACAAGAAGAAGAAAAGCCACGAAAAUCCCUGGAUGUGUUUGGAUCCGAAAUCAUGAAGAAGGGAGAAGACAUAGUGGCAAUAAAUCUAGAGAGGAGACUUUCCAUGUUAUCUUGGGAUGCCAUUCCAAAACCUCAAAGCCACUCAAUUACUUCUGGAAAUGAUGAAAUGAGCAAUGAUGAUAAUGAGAGUGAUGCUAGUUCUGAUUUGUUUGAGAUUGAGAACUUAACCGGAACCGGUCAGCCAUUAAUGUUCACAAAGCAAGCAUCUGACGGAUUGACGUCCAUGGCUUCCCCAACCAAGUACGGGUCAAGUGAGGCCAGCAUUGACUGUAGUGUUGUCACAGCUAAUGUUUUCUCAGCUGCAGUUUCAGAUUACGGUAAGAAGAACUUAGUGCCGGCGAACCAACUGCAACAUCAAAGCUUGGAAUCAAUGUGGAAAGUAAGGAAAUUUACAAUCUGAGGCUAACUAAGGUGAAAAAGUUUCAAGUGCACAUGCAAUGCUGUCUGCUGUCUUGUACAAGCAAGUAGGGAAAAUGUGAAACUUUUCCAAUUGUAGGUUAAUCUGCAGCAAAUAAUGUACGUUUCAAAAUUGAGACCAGCUUUACUUUUGGAUUGUCAUGUUUAUGUCUUUCAUUUCAAUCCUACUUGCAUUUGCUACACAAUCUCGCAUGUUAUGUUUGUGCAUAAUAUCCAAAUUCACGCUCUAUUGUAGCUCGAUCCGUCUCGCAUGUUAUGUUACUAAAACUGUUAAUUUCGAUCAUGCAUGGCAUCUUCGACAAGAUAACAACAUAACAUAACUUGAACACUAUACAAAAUAUCUAUAAUGUUAUUCAAAGGCAAAACAUCCCAAAAAACACUAUGAAGAGAUUCCGGACUUUUGGGGCCAUUUGCACCAAAAGAUUAAUAAUACACACUUUAACCAACAAAUCUCCCAACUUUUAAAGUUCAAAGUUUAUCUUUGUUCUCUUGAUUUACAAACGGGUGACCUUUCAUGUUUUGGAGCUUUCUAAUGACUUUACCAGAACUGCUUUCCUCAAUCCACCUUUGCCUCACUCAUGAUCUUUAUGAAUAUACAAGUCUAGAAACCAAAAGGCCCUACAUGGAGAGCUUAUGCAUCACAAAGUACUAACAAGCAGUCGAAAUCCAAUCGCAGUUGGCUGUAUUUUCAGCCCAACAUUGGCACGUUGCUUGUGAUCAGCUUGAAAUCUGAGAAGAACUUACCAGUUUGAGAGAAAAAACAACUACAAAACACAGCUUCUGUCAUUUCAAUGAAGCUAUACACUGAUACCAAAUUAGAGAAACAAAUCUGUAGGUGUAAAGGGUAUUAACAGAAAACAGAAGAGCCCCUGCGUUAAACAAAUCCACCUGUUCCGGGUUCUUUGUCCAUUAAAGGCAAUGAAUUUUUCAUGGUAUAAAAUUAAAGGUGACAGACUGACACCUUUGUUUGACAUAGAUAGAGGUAGGAGGUCUCAAUGAAGAAGAUAUUAUUGAUUAGAAUGAUAUGUGGAAUUGAAACACACUAAGGAAUGUGAUCAUAAUGACCCCUUUAAUUAGGAUAUGAUCCAACUUGUUGGGUGGCAACAUUCAAUUCUCUAACCAUCUUACAACCAGGUGGAUCCCAUGCUUCUUUUCUUCUCUCACUUUCAUGCAACAGAAACUUGUGAGGACAUUUAGGCAAGUUUCAGUGCAAACCACGUUUUGUCAAUCCAAAUAUCCAAUUCCUUUCUAUCGUAAUAAUUGAAUAAAUGUUGUAUCAGAUUAUAUAUCAGCAAACAUUGAUGGAAAAUAAACUCGUCCCAACUUCUCUUUUUUUCGCAAAGAUGAUCUUGAAUGGAUUUUUCGCAAAUAUGGACCACGGAAGUUACUGUAAGAAGUGACUCCUGCAGUGCUACUCACUCAAUAAUGUCUGUUUGCGUAGUUGAAGGACUAUUUUGCCAAAAAACUGCAUGCUUUCUGUCUGCAUCAUAUAUAGUCGCUAGUAAUGGAAGAUUUCAUUGAAAUGUCACCAACAACUUUCAUUUGGUUAGCAAUAACCUUAAAAGUUCCUUAUCAAGGAACUGGUAAAUCUUUAAGAAUUGGGAAGGCAGAUGCAGAAUGUGAUAAACAGCGAAUAAAGGAAAUGGUAGAUAAGCCAUGAAUGCAGAUGAAAGCUGGAGUAACAAACAAAACCAAGCAACAAGUGAAGAAAGGUAAACUUGUGAAGCUGAGUAGGGACCAAUAUGUAUAGGUUGGGUUAAUGCAUGGUACCCUGAUCGAUCAGUACCUAUAUCAAAAUCAUGAGGCAUAUAUAGUCACCCUGGACCACUGUCCCUCUAGUUCUAGGGGAUCAAAGUUUGGUUCGUCUAAUAAAAGAUGGAGAGGUGCAAGACGACAACCUAGUCGCCAUACAUUGACUGAGAGAAAUUUAACUAGAAGAAUGGUCAAGCAAGUUAAGAAAUUUAUUAAAUAACGGUUUAAGCUCUAUAUUAAUUAAGCUGGUGAUUAGCAUGAACUGAUUAACUGUCAAUUAGUAGUGAGAGAUGGCAGAGGAAACCAGAGUGAUCCUCCAUGGAAACAGACUUAGCCCUUAUGUUAAGAGGGUGGAAAUGGCCCUCAAAAUCAAAGGCAUACCCUAUGAGUUUGUGGAAGAAGAUUUGAAGAACAAGAGUCCAUUGCUCCUCAAGUACAACCCUGUUCACAAAAAGAUUCCUGUACUUGUCCACAAUGGAAAACCCCUUGCUGAGUCUCUUGUCAUCCUUGAAUAUAUUGAUGAAGCCUGGAAAACUAGCCCUCAACUUCUACCAGAAGAUCCAUAUAGAAGAGCCCGAGUUCACUUUUGGGCUAGCUUUCUGCACCAACAGGUGACACUAGCUAGCUACAUGUAGCUUUUAGCUAUUCCUGCUUGAUAGAACUGUGAAAAAAGAUGGUUCAGGAUUUCUAGAUUUUCUAGUAGUUUAGAAUCUAGAAAAAGUAUGCCAAUUAAGUAUUUUUCAUUUUCUGUUAAUAAGCGCAAUAACAAUAUCAAUCAUUUAGGUUGUAAAGUUCAUGUAAUCAUGUUGGUAUUUAGUUCAUAUAUUCAAAAUUACUGUUUGAUUUGCUCCUUAGUAUAAUCAGUUAUGCCUACUUGAGGCCAAAAAUAUAAAAAAAACAUGGAUAGUCUGAAGACACACAACUAUGCUCUAGACAAACAAAGAAUUGAGUGACUUUUCCUCAAGCUAGUGAACUGAAAAACAUGCUACUGUGGUUUGGUAAUGCAGUUGUUUGAGGCCAUUGUCUUAGUGAUCAAAACAGACGAAGAAGCACGACAGAAAACGAUCAAAGAAAUGUUUAACAAACUGAAGUUACUCGAAGACGGAGUGAAGGAUUUAUUCUCAGAUGGCAUUCCUUUGGUGGUUGACAACAAUAUCAAUGUAGGUCUACUAGAUGUGCUCAUGUUUUCUAUCUUUGAUUCAUAUGAGGCUCAUGAACAAGUCCUUGGAAUAAAGGUGAUAGACCCUGAGAAGACACCAGUAAUAUAUUCCUGGAUUAAAUCUAUAAAUGAGCUACAUGUGGUGAAAGAGCUGCAUAUCCCUCAUGAAAAAGUGCUGGCAUCUGUCAAGCUUUUUAGAAAAUUGUCUAUGAAUUCUACUGCAGAGACUUGACCAAGUACAGAAUACUGAAUGUAUUUACUACUUGUUAAACUCUGUAAUGUUACUGUAUCGCAAACUUGGUUAAAUAAGGUUGUAAUGCUAUUGCCUGCUUUCAAAUAUUUAUCUCUUUGGAUCUCUAGCAGUAACAAAAAAUAUUGUUGAGUGAAAAAUAUGUAGACCAUGUGCCAAGUUCAGGAGCAGUAGUGUGUAUAGUCUGAUCUUGUCAGAUGAUAGCUACUGUGAAUUAAUUAAGGUAAAUAUCUUAUCCUAUAGAACAGUAGAGAAAAUCUGUAUCCAGCCAGACUAUCAAAAUCAAAACCAUGAGCUAAGCAUCCAAGCAAAAACCAUAUAUAGGAGAGGGAGAAAGAGCUAGACAGGAAAUAAGUGAGUAAAAUGGUAGAGCAAAACAAAGUGAGCUUAUAUGGAAUAUGGGCUAGCCCAUUUGUUAAGACGGUGGAAUUUGCUCUCAAAGUGAAGGGUAUACCCUAUGAAUAUCUGGAAGAAGAUUUGUGGAACAAAAGUCCAUUGCUCCUCAAGUUCAAUCCUAUUCAUAAGAAGGUUCCUGUACUUUUUCAUAACGGGAAAGCCAUUGCUGAGUCUCUUUUGAUCAUCGAGUAUAUUGAUGAAACCUGGAAAACUGACCCUCAACUUUUACCAGAAAAUCCAUAUGAAAGAUCCCAAAUUCGCUUCUGGGCAAGCUAUAUGCACCAGGUGAGUAGAUCCUCACUUUUCUGAUUUUACCAGUAUUCUUAGUCUCUUGUGAUCAUAUUAGGAGGCAUAGAGUAGAUCAAACAUCCUAUCUUUUCAUUAGUCUAGACUCUAGUGUGACUUGUAAACAUUUCAUUCAUUUUAUUUGAAAUGCAUACAUUUCAUGCAGUUCUGCACAGGUCCCAAAUUCAUGAACUUUUCUAUUGUGUUUGUAGUUUGUACUUAUUAAAGCUGAUAUGGAUUCUCCCCAAAUCAAGUCUGAUUUCAAUCAAUUGUUAUCUUCCUAAUUUCAUUGUAGAAUCAUCAAUUGUGAUCUCUAUUGAUUGCUUUGCAUAAUUGUAGCUAUUCCUAAAAUACUAGCUAUAGGAUCUGUAUAUAUCCAGCUAUUGUAAACCAUUUUCAAUCAAUGAAAACCCAUUUCUACAGUACUAUCACAAUUUAUAAUUCCUCCGCUAACAAAGUAAAGAAGUCUCAAUGUGUGCAGGUGUUCUGGGCCUUGGCGGUAGUGGUUAAAACCAGUGGAGAAGCACAAGAGAAAGCCAUCAAGGAAAUGUUUGAGAAAUUAAUAUUACUUGAAGAGGGACUCAAGGGUUUGUUCCCAGACGGCUAUGUUGCAUCAGCUGAUGAGUUUAGCAAAAAUGUACUAGAGUGGAUCAUGUUUGCAUUCUUUAGCUCGUAUGAAGCUGUGCAUGAAGUUCUUGGCAUAAAUGUUACUGAUCCUGAGAAGACUCCACUGUUAUUUUCCUGCAUAACAGCUCUGAUGGAGAUACCUGAGGUGAAAGAGUCAUGUUACCCUCAUGAAAAGAUGGUGGCCUUCCUGAAGUCCUUGAGAGAAUAUGCCCUCAAGACUACUACAGCUUGAAUGUAAUACACAUAAUGUCGUUCGGUUUGCUUCUUCUUGUGAAAUUUGAUUUUGUAUGUGUCGGUGAAAAAGAUGCACAUUCCUCGUAAAAGGGUGGUGGCAUCCCUCAAGCUCUUUACAGAUUAUGGACUACUAUCAGUACUGUAAAACGUAUUUGCUACUUUGUUAUGAUCAUUAUAAGAAUGCUAUUGCAAUGCAACGUAGACAAGUUAUUUGCCUUUGAAUGCCAGACUAGUUAAAUUUGCACUUGAAACUACACAUACAUAUGCAAUGACGCACUCAAUGCUAGCUGAUCAACCCGGUAGUUGAUAAUCAGAGCAUACCACUACAAUAGGAUCGGUAAAUUGUUUGACCUUUUCUGUCUAUAUAUAAAAUUCCAAUAUACACUUGACUAAGAUGAAACUAUACAUACAUAUGCAAUGACUAUGUUUUUGCUACCGGCUUAUCGACCAAGCAAUGUGGAAUUGCUUGCUUUCUAAAACUAUAUAAGCUGCAAGUAUCACAUGAAAUAAGCAUCCAAGUAAAAACCAUAGGAGAGGAAGAAGAAAAGUGAGCCAGAGAGAAAUGGCAGAGCAGAACAAGGUGAUCCUAUACGGAACCUGGUUUAGUCCCUACGCUAAGAUGGUGGAAGUCGCCCUCAAAGCGAAGGGUGUACCCUAUGAAUAUGUGGAAGAAGAUUUGUGGAACAAAAGUCCAAUGCUCCUCAAGUUGAAUCCUAUUCAUAAGAAGGUUCCUGUGCUUGUCCACAACGGGAAAGCCAUUGUUGAAUCUCUUGUGAUCAUUGAAUAUAUGGAUGAAACCUGGAAAACUGGCCCUCAACUUCUCCCAGAAGAUCCGUACAAACGAUCCCAAUUUCGUUUCUGGGCUAGCUAUAUGCACCAGGUAAGACUUGAGUUUUGUUAGUUUGCCACCAUUAAUUUACAAGUUUAUUUUAUUUACUUACACUCACCGGACAUGUUUGUGGAUCCACACCAAUAGUUUAAUUUCUCAUAGUUUAUAAUGAGUUAAUGACACGUAAAUUUUAAAUCAUUUUCAUUUCAAAGAGUGACAGCACAUUUAAAAUAUUUAAUAGAAUGUCAUAUAAAAGAAGUUAAAUGAGUUAAGAUUAUGGACCUAAGAUUAUAUCGAAGAUACAAGACAUAUUUACCCAUGUUAAUAUCAUAAACUUUUUAUCAUUCCUGGAAAAAUAAAUGUACACGAAAUUCAAGUAUUUACUCUCAAAUUGGUGCAGGUGUUUGAGGCGUUGACAGAAGUGGUUACAACUAGUGGAGAAGCACAAGAGAAAGCCAUCAAGGAAACGUUUGAGCAAUUAAACUUACUUGAAGAGGGACUAAAGGGUUUGUUCCCAGAAGGCAUUGUCUCAUCAGAUGGUGAAUUUAGCAAUGGGAAACUACUAGAGUUGGUCAUGUUCUCAUGCUUUGGCACAUAUGAAGAAGGUCUGCAAGAAGUUUUUGGCAUAGAUGUUAUAGACCCUGAGAAGACUCCACUGUUAUUUUCCUGCAUAACAGCUCUGAUGGAGAUACCUGCACUGAAAGAGUCGUGUAAUCCUCAUGAAAAGAUGGUGGCCUUCCUCAAGUUCUAUAGAGAAGAUGCCCUCAAGUCUGCUACAGCUUGACCACUAAUUUUCAGUCAAUGACUAUGUACUACUCUGAUUGAGUUUGCUGCAUCUUAUUCUCAGAGGGGUGUAUUGUAUAUGGAAUUAGUGGAAGUUUUAAAGAAGUCUAUGGAAUUUGAAAGUCUAGGUGUAUUCAAUACAGAUUUUUAAAAGUCCAUCAAAGUCUGGGUGUAUUCAACUAAAUUUUAAAAAAUCAUUAUGAAUUCCACCAAAAUUCAGGGGUAUUCAAUUAAGACUUUUUAAAAUGAAUAGAAGUUUAGAUGUAUUCAAAAUAUCAUUCAUACUUAUAGAAUUAAUAACUCAUGGAUAAUUGUGGACUUUGUAGUGUAAAUUACACACACCAAACUCCAAUAUUUUUCCAUCCACUAGAGCAAAGAUUUGGAAAAGUCUACGACAGACUUUCUCUUUACAUGUGAAUAUGUUGAUCCUACAAUACAUCAUCUUUUUUUUAUUUUUUUAUAAUAUUUUGUGCUAUCAAUGUUCUAUUCUACCUAUUCUUUUCAAUGUUUUUUAAUGUUAAUAUUUUGUUGUAUUUCAAUUGUAAUGCUUGGAACCCUCGAUAACCUAAAAUAUUAUCUAGUAACUCUUGAUAUUAGAACCACAUGAUCAUAUAUUAUUAUAUUGGCGUACAUGAAUUUAAACUUGUGAACAUCUAAUGUCUCACUUUAUAAUAUGUGUUUUUGGUUUACGUACUAUGCGUGUUGUUAAGUUAAUAUAAUUUUUUUUGUUACCUAUGUUUAUGUAUUUCAAUCAAAUAUUAUAAAGGUAUGCAUCGAAAUUAGAUAGAUGAACACUCAACUUAUAAUCGGUGUCAUUAUGUGUUUGUCAUUGCAUCUUUAUUUUUUGUUCAUUUCCUAUAACUCUGUAAGUAUUAAGAAAUCUACAUAAGUCAUUCAUAUGAAAUCUGUAGAUUUCAGAAAUCAGUGAAAGUCUGUGAUUAAAAAUCGAUGGUUUUAAGAAAUCAGUGAAAGUCUAUGAACUUUUUAAAGAGUCUGUAGACUUUUCAAAAAGUCAAUUGAUUAAAAUAAGUCUGUAUGAAUCCAAAUGCAAUACACCCCCUCAUUGUCAACUUUGUGUUUGCUUCUUCUCAAUUUUGAGUCAAUAACCCUGCUACUAACCGAUGUUUACCUAGUGACAUCUUGUAACAGAAUAAGUUACUAUAUUUAUUAUUUACCCCUCACGAAGUUGUAGUUGAUUAUCCAAUAAAGAUCAUGCAUAUAGUCAUGUACAAUGUAAGUAUCUGAGUUUCACUUUAAUAGUUGGUUAUAAAGUGUGUUAGAUCGAUCUCUCAGUGAAAAAUACUUUUCUCACCAACAUUAUGAAUCACUUUUCAUACUUUUCAGCAAUUAUGUUGUUGGUCUAAUGAAAACAUGUUAUGCUGCAAGUGAGGCGGAAGCUGUAGAGGAUCCUAGUCAUAAGAGGGCUAUGUUCGAACCCUAACUUCAACAACGAUCGUACAUAUAUUUUUCAGAGCUAUUUUUCAAGUUUGUUUUUUGUUAAAAUCGAAGUUCACAUUUUCCUCUGUGUGAAAACAAUUAGGUGAAUUGUAUGAAAAAAUAAAGAAUAAAUAGAUAAAUAAAAAAUACCAGCAAAGCGUUUUCUCUUUUCAUCGUUUUGACUUAAAUUAGAUUUAUUGGAAUCAGACUCUGUACCUAUAAUAACUCUCUAAACAUAUAAAGAAAAAAAGAUGUAGAUGAGAAAGCUAAGAAGAUAUUGAGAUAAAAAGAGAGCAGACCAUGUAGCUCUUUUGAUAUUUCUAUUUCAACACACACAUAACAACAGAUGGUUAGGUUUAUAUCCAAAGACUUUGAGAUGCUGCUAGAACAAACUAAAUCACACAUACGGCUAGAUGUUUCUCAGCCGCUAAGCACUUCAAGUAAGGUCAAAGAACUGUAUAAUACAAAACUCUAAGACCAUAAUAAUUAACUAUGAAGUAAAGCAACAAGAUUCUAACAAGAUUAGGGAGGAAUCGCGGACUGGAAGUCAGACUUGAUUCUUUGUUCUUCGUUCGUCUUCUUCCAAAAUUGAAGGUUUGUCAGCAUCUUCUUCUAUGGUUCUUCAUUUUCCUUGGUAUAAUUGUAAGUAUCUAUUUCAAUUACUGUUCAAUUGAAACACAUUUUAGGGUCAAACAAUUUCGAAUCUUAGAUGAGUUUAAUUGUUUCAGGCUUUCAGCUGUGUUGCAAUCUUAGAACUGGACGAUCCGAAGAGGUAAGGUGUUGUGAUUUACUGUUUUUGAGUUUCUCUGCAGUCUGAAGUUGGGUUUCUCUGGUCGUUUGUAUUUGAGAGCUCAAAACUAGAUUUACUUUACAACAUCAACACUUUAAUAGCUAUUUCUCAUCGUAUUGAUGUGCCUGCUUCAAUUGCAGAGGCAUUAAGAAAUGGCAGAGCAAAACAAGGUGAUCCUAUACGGAACGUGGACUAGCCCCUAUGUUAAGAGGGUGGAAUUGGUCCUCAAAGUGAAGGGUAUACCCUAUGAGUAUGUGGAAGAAGAUCUGAGGAACAAAAGUCCAAUGCUCCUCAAGUUGAAUCCUAUUCAUAAGAAGGUUCCUGUGCUUGUCCACAAUGGGAAAGCCAUUACUGAGUCUCUUGUGAUCAUUGAAUAUAUUGAUGAAACCUGGAAAACUGGCCCUCGACUUCUACCACAAGAUCCAUACAAACGAUCCCAAAUUCGCUUCUGGGCUAGCUAUGUACAGCAGGUGUCUGAGCCCAUGGUAAUGGUGCUCAAAACCAUUGGAGAAGCACAAGAGAAAGCCAUCAAGGAAGUGUCUGAGAAGGUAAAAGUACUUGAAGCUGGGCUCAAGGGUCUGUUCCCAGAUGGCAUUCCUUCAGUAGAUGAGUACAGCAAAAAUGUUACACUACUAGAUUUGGUUAUUCUCGCAGACUUGGGCGGCGGAUAUGAAGUUCAGGAAGAAGUCUUUGGCGUAAAGAUUAUCGACUCUGAGAAGACUCCACUCAUUGUAUCCUGCAUAACAGCUUUGAUUGAGCUCCCUGCGGUGAAAGAGUCGCAGAUGCCUCGUGAAAAGGUUGUGGCCUUCCUCAAGUUCUUUAGAGAAAAUGCCCUCAAUUCUGCUUCAGCUUGAUCCAUUUGGUUUCAUUGACCAUGUACUAUUGUGAUUCAGUUUGCUUCUCAUUGUCAACUUCAUGUUUGUGUGCAAUAACCCUACUACUUGGGGCUUUGGUAACCAAUGUGUUACCUAGAUUUGUAUCCUAUAAUAGAGUAAAACUCCUUGUACCACACUUAUUCCUUAAAUUUCUCACGAAGUUGAUAAUCUAGUGGAGAUCUUGUACAACAUAGGUCUUCAACUUUUAUAUAUCAUUCAGGUGGUGAAAGUUUCAACCUAUGUGAUGCAUUAUGUUUCCGACUUUUCGUACAGUCAUGGAAAAGUAUAAGAAAAAACGAAUUUUAAAUGAAAUAGACAGCCCAGCCCAACAAUGUAUCUGGGCCGUAGCCCACAUUCCUUUUCAUUACCUGUCAAGCUCUGAUUCGUGUGCUGUCUGUACACCCCCAUUGAGUCCCCCGUAGCCAAUUAUGAAACCCCCCCAAAACCCUACUUUAGCUCUCAGCUCUCUCUCCCUCUCCCUCACUCGCAAUUUCACAAAAGACCAAGAGCGAGUUAGGGUUUUAGCCAAAACAAAAGCUUCACUGAAACCCAAAGAUGGUGGCGGACAAAGGGAAGAAGCCCAAGCUUUCGGACAAGACCCAAGACGAGAACCCUGACCAAAUCGACGAGAAGCUCGUGCUCUCCAUCGAGAAGUUGCAGGAGGUCCAAGACGAGCUCGAAAAGGUUCCACCGUUAUCCCCCAAUUUACCAAGUUCUAUCUCCCUUUCAGCUUUAAUUCAGCUCAGGAUUUGUUUUUCUUUCGAAAUAUCUACUCUGUUUCAGAUAUGGGUUUUUCUUGAAAAAGAUAUUUGGAAUUGGGUUUGAAUUUGAUUGUUUUAGUCUCAUGUAUGAAUUGCUUUGGGAAAUUUUUACUGGGGUUGAUGGGUUUUUUGCUGGAAAGAUAAACCCAUGAAGGAUUUGAGUUGUGUUGGGAAAAAAAUUUGAGCUUUAGUUUAUUUAUAGGCACAUUCUUGGCUGCAAUUGACUGUGUUAUGCUUGUUUGAACUCUGGUGUAACAAUUUGUUAAUGUUUAGGUAGCCCGCAAAGCCGGGGUUAAAAGCUGUUUCCAUGUUUGUUUAUUUCUUACCUUAGAUUUGGUUGCUGGGCUUUUGUCGAUAUAGAUUACCCUAGUGCAAAUUGACUAACCUUUGUUGGAUUUUUCUUUUUCUUAAUGUGAAGAUCAAUGAGGAAGCCAGUGAUAAGGUCCUUGAAGUCGAGCAAAAGUACAAUGAAGUUCGCAAGCCUGUUUAUGAUAAGCGAAAUGAUAUCAUCAAGGCCAUUCCUGAUUUUUGGUUAACUGCGGUCAGUGAUCUGUCCUUGUGUUUGCGUUCAUGAGAAGAAUUUGUGAAACAUAAUAUUUAGAUUUAUUAACUUUUUCCUUACUAUGCAGUUUAUGAGUCAUCCCGCGCUUGGUGAACUUUUGACGGAUGAGGAUCAAAAGGUUUUGUUUCAUCUUAAUGAGUUGAAAACUAAAUUGCACUCUUACCAUUGCAGCUCUACUUAGUUGCUCUGAAUAAAUGUCAGUUUCAAUUGCAAACUCAUUAUUUGCUGAUCCAUCCUGUUUUCCAUACUCAAUGAAGUCAUUAUGAAACCCUUUUUCUUUAUUUCUGAGCAUUACUUACCAUGUCAUAGUAUGAGAUUUCUGUAGUUGAUUAAGAUGUGUCUUGAGCGUAUGUUUUUAAUGUGGUGACGUGUUUUCAUUUCAUUCCAUUAAACCAUCUCACUUUGCGACACUGGUUGAUGUCACAUAUUUCAUCUUUCAUAUUGUCUUAUUCUUUACUGGUCUUGUCUAGUAACCUUGAGUCAUCAUUUCUUUUCCUCUUAUAGAUUUUCAAGCAUCUAACUUCUCUGGAAGUGGAGGAUUGCAAAGAUGUGAAAUCUGGUUAUACCAUUUCACUUGUGAGUUUCCUUAUUUAUCUCCAAGUUGCAUUCAGUCGGUUUUGUCUUUUAAUAUAAAAUAUGCUGAGAUAAUCACUAAUGACAUGUAACUGUACAGUUCUUCAGCCCCAAUCCUUAUUUUGAAGACACAAAGCUUUCAAAGACCUUUACCUUCCUGGAUGAAGGAACAAAGGUUACUGCUACAUCAAUAAAGUGGAAAGAAGGAAUGGUAUAACAUUUGUCUACUCAAUUUUAAUAUCGCUAAUGUUGUUAUGGUAUCAAUACUGACUGCAUGAUUCAUAUGUGAAGGGCAUACCAAAUGGAACUAAUCAUGAGAAGAAAGGGAACAAGCGACCUCCCUCUGAGGAAAGGUUAGUUAUCCAAACAUGUUAGUUAUUACUACUUAGACUUGUUUCAUACUGUUUCCAGUUCUUACUUUAUUUUAUCUUUUGCAUUGUAGCUUCUUUAGCUGGUUUGGUGAUAGUCAAGAGAAAGAUCUUAUGGAUGAGAUUCAUGAUGAGGUUUGUUACUGUCUGAAAUAGACAAAUCUGUUUUUCUGACCAAUAUCAAAGCCUUUCUGAACUUUCACUUGUUCCCGCAGAUUGCAGAGGUCAUUAAGGAGGACUUGUGGCCCAAUCCUCUUACUUACUUCAGCCAUGUAAUUUCACUUGUACCUUAUUCUUUCUAUUUAGUAAUAAAUUUGGUUAAUGCUGGCAAGCUUUGACUACUUGCCUCUUUUCUAAUGUUUGUUGUUGACCUCACAGGACGCUGAUGAUGAUGAGUUUGAUGAUGAUGAAGUUGAUGAAGAGGUAAUGCAGAUCCUUGUAGUGUUAUGUUGAAUUCUGGUGUUCUGCUUUUCAGGGUUUUCAUUAACAUUAAUAUUUAGCAACCUUGUUUUCUUAUCUUGCCAUGGCUGUCUAUUUUUUUUUUUUUUUUUUUUUUUUUUUUGCAAACUUUAUGUUCACGUGAAUGGAAGAAAUUGGUUUCUUUUUCUUCCUAUAUCAUGCAUGGAUUACUGCGGAUGUUGUACAACUAAUGAUUCCCUAAAUAUCUGCCGUCCCUAGAUGGUUGUAAUAGUUAGUACCAUAUAACAGUGAUUGAAAUUUCCUUGUUACCGCCCCAGUCUUGCUCGUUAUACUGGCUCCUACUCAUAUGAUACACACAUACUAUAAAUUACAAAAAUGUUGUGAUAUGUGAAAAAUAGCCAUUCUUGCAGAAUUGUAUUAUCAAGAAAAUCGAGUUAAAGCAGGAGAACUCGUUCUAAUAUUUUCUGUUUACCUUCUUACAGGGAAAGGAGGACGAUGACGACUCUGAAGAUGAUGAGGAUGACCAAGAGGACGAUGAUGAGGAUGGUGAGGAGGAUGAUGGAAAGUGAAACACUCGUCUGGGUCAUCAAAUCUUUUGCAUUUGCUGGUUUGGGAAGACACAGUGUAAAGUGGUUUACAAUAGUUGGUUAAGUCAAAGUCAAGUUUGAGGUGUUAGGGGGGAUGGCAUUUAUUACUCUUUUCUUCAAAGCAUUGGGUUGUGUAGGCACCUGACUGCUCUCAUAGCCAGUCACUGGUUUUAUUUUUGUAGCUUCUUUUCGGAUAUGCAAAUCUUAGCUGACAAUAUUACAGUUCUCUGUUAUCUUCUUUUCUUUUUGAUGUCAUCAAUGAGGAUAUAUGCCAUUACAGUAUUAUUGAAGUGAUAAUGUGAUUACAUAGUGUUUUUGUUGUGUUUCACCCCACUGGACAUCCUUAUUUGAUGCUUUUGCCCAGAUGUUCUGACUUUAAAGUGUUAUACAUUCAAAGCAUAUGCUUGUAAGAGUGCUCUGGCAAUCUCAAUUGAGGGACUGCUAUCAGAGGAGUCUUCAUAUAGCAGACCAAUCCUGGGCUCUCUGACAUGUCAAUCUCCUUUGACGGGACGCCUUCGGGCAAGCUCCAAGCAAAGCUAUGCAAAAGGUUUCCCAACAUCAGUAUGACCAAGUUGGUGGCUACUUGUGCUGCUGGGCACGUACGCUUUCCUGCACCAAAUGGCAGAUACCCAAAACCAUGCUCCUUUGUCUCGAUGAACCUCUCAGGUCGGAAACUCUGUGGGUCUUCCCACACAUUUGAGUCCCGCCCGAUGGCCCAGACGUUUACAUGAACAGCAGUUCCCUUAGGAAUGUCAUAGCCACCAAUCUUAACAUUGGCACUGGCUCUGUGAGGCAGCAUCAAUGGGGUUGGAGGGUGAAGCCUCAGUGCCUCUUUGGCAACACAUUUCAGGUAUGGAAGGUUUGAAAUAUCAGCCUCCGUCAUUGGCCGUUCCAGCCCUAUUACACGGUCAAGCUCCUCUUGCGCCUUUCGCAGCACCCUCGGGUUCUUGAUCAUCUCUGCCAUGGCCCAUUCUGCUGAUAUUGCAACUGUAUCCAAGCCAGCACUGACCUGUCCCCAAAGUAAUCCUCCAAUAUCAUCCUGGGUGAGAUCAUAUUUCUCUUGAAUACUUAGCAAUGCGCCCAAAAAAUGUUUCUCUUCCCCCUUCCCUAUGUGAUCCUCCAUGAUUGCUCGUUUUAGAUCGUCUUCCUCUGCCCUCAUUUUAGUAAGUGCUAUACGUUGAGGCCACAAAACCCAAGUAAGCCACCAAAUCUCUUGAACAACAGCAAGAAAUGUCCCACCCUCUGAUUUUUUAGUCAGAUUUCCCACGAACUCCUUCCCUUGCUCGUUUAGCACACCCUCUUCAUUCUCGAACCGCUUUCCGAACAGUAGCCGUGUGAUGUUGUUGAAUGCCACAGCUACCAAAUACCUUCUGAUCACUAAGCCUCUUCCAGAGUCACAAGCACUAGUGCAAUCUUUGAAAAGUGACUUGACCAUGACUCUAACUUCAUCUUCCCUAAUGUGUCUAUAAGUCUCAAGGCUCUUGGUAGAGAAAAGCUCAAGCACACAAACAUUUCUAAGCUUUGUGUAGUGAGGACUAUAAUCAGCCCAUAUAAGACCCUCGCCAUUUCUGCUGAGUCUAGAAUAUGUCCAAUUCCUGUGCCUAUUUGCUAACUGCUCAUCAUUGUCUUUGAGCACUUGCUUUGCCAACUCUGGGUUUGACACUACUACAUGCAAAUGUGAACCAAACCACACAGACAUGAUUGGACCAUAAACUUGUGACCACUCGGAAAAACACCGAAAUUUAACGGCACCCAUGGCGAAAAGGUUUCCGAUUACCGGCAAUGGGUAAGGCCCAGGAGGAAGCUUGAACCUUAGCUUGUUAUAGAGUUUGUAAGCAAGGAAUAACAGAAUUAUUGACAUGGGCAACAUAACAAGAGCCAUUGUAGAAGAGGGGUGUGUUAAUAUUCAUAGUUGUGUAGUUAAGGAUCUCCCAAUAUAUAUAGUAACCUUUUGGAAGGCAUUUCUGUUAGAAGAAGAAAUGCAUGUGUUGGGAUAAGAGGCCAUCAAAGCAGGUUGUUUAUGGGCUUAAUUAAUAUGAGAUUAAGCCACACAUGCCUCUAGCCUUCCAAUUCUGUUGAGUAGUUGGGAUCAAUGUUUUUCUUGCACCCUAAGAAAAAGGAAGUAAGAUUCAUAUUUCUUGAUUAAUCUGGGGAAUUUUUUUUUUUUUCUUUUUCAUAGACAACAAAUUAAUGAGUUGAUAAAUGCCUUUUGCACAAAGCACAUGCAUUUGUUUUAAAUUUUGGUGACCAGUGGUGCUAAAUAAAGAAAACUAUCAUAUAUGUGUAAGAUAUGGAUAUCAUCAUUUCUUGGAAGGUCGCUGUAUGAUUCUUGUGGUUUGGUUUAUGCUCUGGUCUCUAUCUGAAAAAGGGAUCCUGGAAUAAAGGGUAAAAAGUUGUAUGGAUUUCUUUAAUUUUUUACUGAAAAGGUAAAAGAUUUGAGGUGUAAAAGUAGGAUUGUUAAUUUACAAAACAAAUCUGCUUAGAUCUUAAUUUGGACUAAAAAGGUUGAUGCAAAAUGAUAAUAAAAUUUGUGUUAGUGGUUAAUAGAAAUUAAAUCAUUGAUCGAACGCAAUGUAUAUUCGUAAAUUACGUUGACAUUCUUAAGUAAAGAUAAUUUCAUUUCAAACUUUUGUGUUAUUUGCUUAUAAUAAGUUUAAGUUUCUAUUGUAUAUCAGUUGAUAUGGAUUGGAAUUUUGUUUGAAUCCGAUCUUUUUCUCCCGCCUAGUGUUGAGAGUACUACUCAAUGUUGUGAAUGUCUUAAUCUUAAUAUCUUACACCCUUGGUAGUUGUCUCAGAGAUAGAAUAGAACAAAUUUGAAGCUAUAUUUGCAUGGCCCUUAGAAGUGAAAGAAGGAAAAAUGGAGUCUUGUUAAGCUUAUAUAAGCAAAGUGCAUAUAUGAUAUAUCUGUGGUCCUCAUACCACUACUCCAAUGAACAUCAUCAUCUUGGUAUUAUAUAUAUCAACCUGAGACCAAAUGAAAAUUUGGCCAAAAAAAAGCCCUACUGAUCGAGUUAUAAGCUUGGUCACUAUCUCCAUUUGAUCAGUGAUGGUAACCAUGAAAGUUUUAAAAUUUUGGAAUUAUUUUCUUUUUCUAGCUAUCACAGAGUCAGAAUCUCAGAUGAGAAAUAACAAAAAGAAAAACAAAAAAUUGAUUGAAAAGCCAAAUGAAUGACAAGUGAGAAUCUGAGACUGAUGCUGAGCUCAUGUCCUGGUGUCCAUUGUCCAAGGAAGAUACAUACACACACAUACUGGGGAUUGGUUCAUUGUCAUUUCAUGCUUAGUUGUUGCCUUCUGAUUGGAUUUCUGUAAGCUUGUUUGGAUAAGAUAAUAUAUUUCCCUCUCAUGGAUUCUAAGCGCCAAGUCAUCCAAACUGAGUUUCUUCAUUGGUCCAGCCAAUGUUACCUGCACUGCUGCACAUCUCAAAUUAUCUCAAGAACACUUAUAUUUUUGUUCCAUAUAAUAUAUAUCGUCAUAUUUUUGAUAUUGUUAGAGAACAACACAACCCACUAAUGCUCAAUAUAUUGGGUAGUAUACCUAUCCUUAGAUUAGGUGGAUAUGCUUUUUAAUUUUUAUUGGCUAAUAGUAACAGUGAGUGGUUAAUCAAAGUGUUUCAUAUAUGCUAAGGAAAGUGAUACACCUUUAAUGAAUGCAUAUACAUAUAUAAAGCUAGUCUUAUAUACAUAGAGUCAAGUCUUAAAAGUUAAAACCAUGCCAUAUAUAUGGUGGGGAAACCUGGUAAAAUCAAACUCGAUCUAUUCAAUAAGAUAUAGGUUCAAUUCAACAGAGAAAGAGUUAAAUACAAUCAUAAGUCAAGUAAAACUUGAUUGUUCUCAUAUCUUUCAACUGUUUUCUUAUUGAUAACUUGGAUGAUAUUUUUUAUUUUUUUUUGUAUUUUCAGGUAUUUCUAACGUAUUCUACAGAGGAAAUGGGAAACAGAAGUCUCUUUCAGAAAAGAAAGGGUGGAAUAGUGAGGACUAGCUGGCUCAAGUAAUCAAAGGAGCUAGGGAAUACGUAGUGCAUGAAACUGCAGCUAGAGAAGACCAAGGAAAGGGAUUUAGGUGUGAAUCACAGAAUUAAGGGAUCCCAAUAGCUUUUGCUUUCUUUGUUAACAGAGACGAUGAAGUCGAUCAUUACUGAGAUGAGUCGGCCGGAUUAAUAGAGGCAGACAGAAAGUUAGGAAAGUGAUGUGACUCAACUCCUCGACCUCUUUCUCUCCCUCGAUCCUCUCUGUUUUCCAAAUAUUCCACUAGUGCCACUUCCAACCCUACAUGAAGGCAAAGAUUCCAACUGUCUAGUACUCUAAGCUCUAAAACCCAUGUCACCACAGUGCUUACUUUGCUUCCAAAUCAAUAAGCUUUUCAAUUAGGGUUUUCUCUCUUUUCAGUGCCCACUGAGUUUUAGAAUCAAAGAACAAGGUUAAGCUACCCCCAAUAUAUGCAGAUGUAGAGUUUAUAUGGGUGAGUUUAGCCCUAGCUAACUCCUUCUUGUCAAACUUCAAAUUGCCUUGCAAUGGUGGAUGAACCAAAUAUUAGCCUUGAUGAGCUAUAUGAGAAUCAAGUCCAAGCUCAAUGAUUUUCUUUAUGUUGAUAUUGGAAUCACUUUAGGGUUUAGGAUUAUAAAGUUGGUUUUAGGGUUUAGGGUCUAUUAAUCUUUUAUGAUUGGUUUUCUAACAGCUAGCUAGGCUAGUGGGUGGUUUGGAUUUGUACUCUAUCAAAUUAAAGAACAAAAAUGAAUGAAAUUUGCAUUUUCCGUUUUACAAUUCAUAAAUUGUAAUUGAAAACUAUCUAAUUACAUGCGGAAGGAAGCGAUAUAUAUAAAUUGGAAAAAUGGACGCUGUACCAGUCAAACUAUAUUCAACAUUCGUUACGUACAUCAUUUGUACCAAGUGAAUUUAGACAAUUUGCUAUGAAAUCAAACUUGCUCAGCUCAAUGCCUCAAUCAAAACGGAAAAAAAUGACAAUAUACAAUGAUGACUUUUUUGCAUGAAGAGUACUACUCUAUUAUUAGCUAGCCUUGCCUAAUCGAUCGCGAUCUGUCACCAAUGAAAUGCUCAUGUAUGGUUUAUCUAUAUAUAUAUAUAUAUAUAUGUAGAGAUGAUGAGUGGAACUCCCAUUAAAUUUCAACGAGAAGAUAUCGAUGUUAACAAGCUUAGCUAGUCGAUGACCUUGCUAGCUAGACAGCAGAAUAAGAUGGGUAAGCUGUCUCGUUCACAUUUGCAUCGGCAUACAUAAGUGGCAAGGCAUGUGGUCUCAGAAAAGGCAGCAUAAUUUGCUAAUAUCUGGUUCAAAUUUCUCGACAGAAACCCCACCAUUGCCGUCAUGAACAGCACCUUAUAGUUGCCACCCCCAUUUGAUAUGUAGAUCGAUGUGCGAGUGCGAGUGCGAGUGGGAGUGUGAGUGUGAGUGUGAGUGUGAGUGUGCGAGUUCGAGUGUGUGUAGAUAUAUGGAUAUACGGCCACAGGUUCUUUAGAAUGGUUCGCCUGCAUGGAGCCCCAGUUGGAUUUGUUCUAUCAGCUUCAUGAAAUCAAUACUUUGAUGCUUCAUAAAUUGUGAGUUAAAUUUGAUGCAGUUUCUGCCACUUGAAGUGGAUAUAUCAGGGAAGACACUAUUGAUAUGUAUGUAUGAUUUGAAGGUAAAUAAAGAGUUAUUAAUUUGUUAGGUUCGAUCUGCAACAUUAUCAAACUCAGGCAAAAGUCGAUCAUGACCUAACAAAUUAAAGUUAUAGUAAAGGGCAUAUCGAAAGGUUAUCAAGAGAUCACAAUCUAAGCAAAAAUGCAUCAAAUUAAGACACUGUGCUUGAAUAAAACAUAAUAAUAGAACGGAGAUGAACUCUAAUGUUAUGAUCAAGCUAAGAUCGAUAUCGGCUAAUUUUAAAAUGACUGGAGAAAGCAUCUCAAUUUUAAUGAGCAGCUGUAUUAUUCAUCAUCAUCAUCAUCCAUGUUAAUCAGUUUCGAAUAAAUUUGGUACGUAGGGAAGUUGGGAAUUAUCUAAAUGUCGUUAAUUGUUCAGAUUAAUUGCUUAUUCUCUGCAACCAAGGUAUAUACACCAUGUUGAUACAGCAAACUUGUUUGAUACAGUAAUGUAGGUUGAAAAUUAAACUGCUGAAAAUGUAUGAAAGAAAACCAAUCGAGUUUGUUUGUUUGUUUGUUUUCUUAAUUAAUUAAGUAGAUUGGUAGAAUGAGUGGAAGUAUGGACCAGGAUUAGAUGUAAACAAACCUUAACAGAUUCCUUUAGAAAAACCAAAAUGAUUUAGAUGGGCCUGCUGCUGCUGCGCACAAAGAACCAGUAGCUCCAUAUGUUCAUGAUUGCAUAUGAUCAGCUAGCAUUCUGUAAAAAUUUAAUAUUUGGAGCUAGUACUGAAUCCAAGGCCAUCAGCUGCCCAGGAGGUCCUAACUGGUAACCCACAGUACCAUCUAUUAAGGGACACCAGAACCUUAACUUUUAAUACCAUUUGGCCUGCCUCUCAUAAUUCAGGUAAGAUAAACGAGAGUCGAAUUCUUACUGUGAUGGACAUGUAUAAUACGUGGUAGUACUCGAUCAUAGUAAACCUAGUUAAAGCUUCUCACACAAAUUGCCACUCAUAUAAAAUUGCUAGUUUGAUCUAUAGUUGAAGUGAAGUAUCGUAUCACUACUAGCUAGACUGUGCGUAUGUACAAACAAUCUGUUUAUCAACCUAUCACAGUAUCGUAGAAUACAAAGAACUUUGAAAUUCUAAACAAAAUUCUGAUAAAUAAUAUACAUUUGAUUUAUAUAUUAACAAUAACGACCGGUUCUUUAAUUUGUGAUUACUGUAAUCAACAUAUAUAUAUAUAUAUAUAUAUAUAAGAGAUUGAAAAUAUUAGUUGCCUGAAGAUAUAUAACAAACUAAACACACAUUUCACGAUCUAUUUUUUUAUGACAGUAAUUACUAAUACUUGACUCAGUACGUCGUUACUUCUUACCGUAUAAAUGGUGCAUUGUUUCUUUUUCUUGACUAGUUAUUUCAUACCCAAACAUAACUGCCCAAAUUGAUCACUAGCAAGCCCUGCUAGCUAGCUUAUAUAUGUCCAAGAGUUCUAAGCCAAAAGCAAGGAGUGGAACAUAGAUGGUGAUCGGAACCCUAGCCUAACCGAGAUAGUUGAGAAACCUCCUAAAGCCCAACUCCGGCCAUUAGGGGUUAAUUAAUCUUCAUCACCAUGUUGCAAAUUUAAUCUUCAUCGAGCGAGGAUCCAACUCCAUCCAGCUGCUAGCUAGAAAUUAUAAGAAAGAAAGGCUGGCCGAUGAGAGCUUGCUUAGGUGGUGCAGCAGAGCCAGAGAGCCAGAGACUGAGACUGAGAGAGAGAGAGCAGAAAAGGCAAAUAAAGAAAAGAAAAGGGGGCCAAAGGCAAAACGAAAUGAUUACUUGAAUGAGUCCCCGGGUCCCACCCGAUAUAUCUUUCCUUUUCCAAGUCCUCUAAUUUUUUUUUUUUUUUGACUUGGGAUCGGGUCCCACCUCGGCCACCAUUGUCUUUAUGGAUUGAAUGAUAAAAAGAGCACCUCACGUGGAGUCUGAACCAAAGGGGCUGUCCAACCACAAUCAAAAAAGCCAAUUCCCACAAUUUAAUUAAAAACCUAAUUUUCAAAAUUCCAGAUAUUAUGCACUCCAAAUUAUUUCAUAUUUUCAUAUUUCCCUCUCAAAAUUAUGUAAUUAAAUUUAAAAAAUAAAAAAUUAGAAAAAGGAAAGCGAGCUAGCUAGAAAAAGCUCAGCACAAGAAGAAAGCAAUUUCUUUUCCUAAAAAAUUUUGCUUUUUAAAGCUCACCCAUAUAAUUCCCACUCAUUAUCUUUGUUGCUUAAAGCUUGCCCUCUUCCCUCCCUUAUCUUCUCUCUCUCUCUCUCUCUCUCCCUUUCUCUAUGUACAACUCUCCCAGGACUACCAUCACCACCAUUAACAUUACCAGUGUCCAUAACUCUCUCUCUCUCUCCUCUCCUCCUGUACUACUGCUACUACUACAGCUCCAUUUUUUAACCCAGUCCUACACAUCGAUCAACUUGAAUUUAAAACACAGACAGACUAGUCUAGUCUAGUCCUGUAAAAAAAGAAAUUAGAUCGAUCAGAGAGUACUCUCUGUAUCAGUGAGUGAGUGAGUGAGUCCGGUCCUGAAAGAGAGAGACCCACCAGAACCAAUUAUACUAAAUUAAGGCUAGCUCUGUGUUCUCUACCUAAGCUAAGCCCCUCUCUCAUCAGUCCCAGUACUACUACUAUACGAUACUAUUUUCUCUCUCUCUCAUAAAACCCUACACACAGUUUUGCUCACUCGUGUAUACUAGGACUGGGCUCAUCAUCGUCGGCGUUUACAUCAUUUCACUUCUUUCAUGCGAUCAUGGAAGGCGGGGAUGAUCACUUCCAUCACCACCACCACCACCACUACCAACAGCAUCACCACCGCCCCAACUUCCCGUUUCAACUCCUUGAUCAGAAGAAAGAAGACGAAGCCGCAUCCUGUUCCAACAACUCCGCCGCCGCCAGUCCUUACCCUUCUCUAGCCAUCUCCUCCGCCGUGGAUCCGAUCAACCCGUUAAACAACAACACCGCACCAUCGUCCACCGCAGUCACCACCGCCGUCGCUGCCGAGCCCUCCAAGAAGCCUCCUCCCAAGCGCACCUCAACUAAAGACCGCCACACCAAAGUCGACGGCCGCGGGCGCCGCAUUCGAAUGCCGGCACUCUGCGCGGCCAGGGUGUUCCAGCUCACUCGCGAGCUGGGACACAAGUCCGACGGAGAAACAAUCGAGUGGCUACUCCAGCAGGCCGAGCCGGCCGUGAUCGCCGCCACCGGAACCGGCACGAUCCCAGCUAACUUCACUUCUCUUAACAUUUCGCUAAGAAGCUCCGGUUCAAGCAUGUCGGUGCCGUCCCAGCUCAGACCUUCAUAUUACAGCCCCAAUUUCUCGUCGUCCAUACAUCAGAGUAGUCAGAACCAGCGGCGGAAUCUGUUUCAGGGUUUGGGCCUUUCGUCGUCGGACAGCUCGUCGACGCUGCUCAAUUUCCAGACCAACACCAUGCACUCUAUGCUUCAGGCCAAGCAGGAGCUACGUGAUACGGUGUCGUUGGACUUAUCCGAGGCGGCUUCAGCGGCGGAGGGGAGCAUGGGAAGGAAGAGAAGGCCGCCGGAGCAAGACUUGAAUCAAAUGGGAAGUGGGUAUUUACUGCAGUCCAGCGCGGGAGCUAUCCCGGCGAGCCACCACAGUCAGAUUCCGGCGAAUUUUUGGAUGCUGGCGAAUUCCACUAAUCAAGCAGCAGUGAUGAGCGGAGACCCAAUUUGGACUUUUCCCUCGGUCAAUAACAGUGGGUUGUACAGAGGCACCAUGUCAGGCGGCUUGCAUUUCAUGAACUUCCCUACACCGGUAGCGCUGCUGCCUAGUCAGCAGCAUAUGGGGGGCUCCGGCGGCGGUGGAGGCGGAGAUAACGGCGGAAAUGACGGUAGUGGUGGAGAUCAUCAUAAUAACAUGAACGACGGGCAGCUGAACAUGCUGACCGGGCUGAACCCGUACCGGCACAUGUCCUCGGACUCGCCGCAUGAGCAGCAGGCCAGCGGGUCCCACUCGCACCACGGCGGCGACGACCGGCACGAUAGUACUAGUCACCACUCGUAGUAGAGUAAGAAGAAGAAAGAAAGAUGGUUUCUCUUUUCUUUUUUUUUGUUGGGAUGGAUUUUUCGACAUCAAAUCAUAAUGAGUAUGAAUAUGAUCGAAUGAAUGAAAGUUCAUCGUCGUCGCCGUCGGUCGUCGGUCGAUCGUCGUCGCCGGUCCCCACAUGUGUAGUAGUUUGCCUGUGUAACAACACACGUGAGGUUUGUAUUGAUUGUCAUCUCUGAGUUUUUUUUUAUUUUACUAUUCAAUUUUUUCGUGUGAUUAAUAUUUUACAGCACCCUUUGGAGGGAAGUUUCUCUAGGGUUUGGAAGUCGAAACCAAGAAAAAAAAAAUGAAAACACUAUUUAACAUGGGUAUUAUUUCUGGCUGCUACUCUUGCUCAGAGUUUUCAUCUUCUUAUUUUUACUGCAUGCGUAGUGAAGUCAAUAUAUACUAUCUUCAUGAUUGUUUGUGUAAGCAAAUUUAUUGCUUUCUGUUUCUGUUCUGGAGAAAAUGACUGGUUAUGCUUAGCUAGGGUAAGUCUCCCACCUAACAAACAACUGGUACUGGUUUCCCUUUCCAUAUAUAUUUUCUUUGAUUCAGUCUGGGCCACAAGUUUCAAAAGCGGGAGAAAGAUGAAACAGUACUCUGCGGUUUUUCACUGCAAUUUACGUAGUAUUCGAAAUUUUACACUGCUCACCUCAGCCCUAGCUAGCGUUCUUUCUUCUUCUUCUGAGUUCUCUCCGAGCUGCCAUGAAUGAAUCUUCCAGCGUUUACUGCAUCAAUGAUUUCAGAGAGAGAGAGAGUAGGGUUAAUAGGACGGGGGUGGGGCCCGGCACCCUUAUCAGUUCCAGGUGUUGGCUCAGGUGGGUGGGACCCGCUACUGGGGACAUUUGCCCAAGAGCCCAAUAUACAACGUCACUGACAAACAGGUGGAUCAUUCCUCCCUCCAUCUUUUUUUAUUUUCCUUGAGGAAACGGACCCACCGUGGUCGCGUCAAUCUGAACCGUCUGUUCCGAUGAACGGUGGCGGUACAUUUGAAUGAUUGGAGAAUCUGGUGUCUUCCUCCUCGAAGUCCUUCUUAUUAGUUAUUAGUUGCCGGAAAACCUUCGAGAAGCUUAAACCCUAGCUAUAUAAAUAUAAUGAAGUAAUAUUAUACAUGCGCCCGAUUGGAUUUGGAUUCUGGGUAUUUGAUUUGUAUAAUAUGAGUGAGAUAUAUAUAGUUGCUGAUCCGGAUUAGAUCAUAGGGUAUAAUCAGAGAGAGAGAACGGAGGCCGGGGACUGUCAAUGACAUUGACAAAGGGGGCACAUGAGCUAAAUCUAGUAAUGUCCUAUCAAGCAGAGAACAUGAAAGGGUGGCCACCUCUGGUGGGUGUGUGGGGUUUUAUGGGUUAUAUUUGAUUUCAUCUUGAAAGAAUAUUCACACUCGAUCUCUGCACAAAAACAUUACUCUAAGGUUUUGUGUUUCUACUAAUCAGUUGUUGACAGUUGAUUCUGAUGAGGGGUCUGUUUUGUGGUGCUGAUUCUGACUGUUUUGCUUCACGUAUAAGUGCUUCUUGCAAAAGCACUUUGUGAUAUGAUCUAUGAUCUAUGAUCCAUAAUAAUUAAUACGUUAUUGAGUGUUUCUCUUACAAAGCUUGAAACAAUACUUAUGGAGAAGCAUGUUAAUUUUGUUAGUUUUUUUAAUUGAAGGUUCAUUUGCAUUUGAUUAUUAUUAAUUAACCAAAUGGUUACAGACUUGUAGCAAAACCACAGUGAUUAUUUCCCAUUUCAGUUUUGGUAUCAGAGCAAAACCGAUUGCUCCAUUUUGAGAUGGCUGGACGUGACCAACAGCGACGUGAGUCAAAUGAAAUGAAAUAAUCAAUUAGUCUUGACUAUGAAGAUUCAAAUUAUAUCUUUACUUCUUCUGUUCAUGAAAUUUUGGAAAAAUAAAUAAAACAAUGUAUCGGCAUAUAUGACUUAAUUACGUACAUAGAAGAAAUACUGAAAUACUAUGAUGAUACUUAAUUUAAAAAAAAAACUAAUAAAAUCGCCGAGAAUUAAUUAACAAGGUAGUGAUAGCGCUUUAGUUAACAAGGUAGUUAAUUUAUAAAUUCAAGCACAUCAUCACCAGUCAUGCUUUAUCGUACAUGCUGCAUUCACAAAGCACUCUCUUUAUACCAUCUUUAUCGAUAGUUAAUUCGAUCGGGUGGAAUAAAUUAUGGAUAUGACAGAUUUAAUCGGAUAGUGUACAUAUAUACAAAUCAUAAGCAUAUGUCUCUAUAGUCUGUCUGCAUGUAGACAUAAUCAAUAAAAUUAGACUUUUGUAGUUGUCACGGCUUCAUAUUUAAUACACGAUAACAACAAGCAAUCACUUUAGAAUUGUUUUGUGUGGUGCUUUAUGCGUAGCUAAGCUAUAUCAAAAAGGCUCGAAGAAUUAGGAUCGAUCAAGAAUAUUAUUAACUAUACCAAUCAAAAAUGCAUUUUGAUUGUCGAAAUUAAUCAUUAUUUUUGAGUAUUUAAAGAAAAUAUGUAAAAAUUAGCCAACGAAGCUACAAAAAUAUGGUAGACAAUCUAAAAAGAAUAACAACGAUUUUCAAUUUAGUUAAUUUUCGGCCAGAGUCUGUAACAUAGGUAACGACUAUCACAUUGCAUAAUACGUCUGUCAAUGUUAGGAGAUUUUGGAGACAUUCAUUCUAUACUGUACCAUAUAAAUAAUCCAACAACUUUAGCCAAAUGUACGUAUGUAUACACUAAUACCGUAUAUACUUUGUGUGCUUAACUCAAAGGUUAAAACUGAAUCAAACUGACCAAGUGGGGAAAAUGAAAAAUACGUGAAAAUGAUGCAUUAUUAUUAGGUAGUCAUAUCAUGAUUCACAAAUGUAUGACAAGUGUGUUUUGGCAUUUACUCUCUUUUAUGUGAAAUCAUGAUCGCAAAUUAUAAAUCGGUCUGGGCCGUACAUAUAUAUAGCACAUGGAUUCGAAGACCACCCAACGGUCCCAAUCUCCCCGCCAGAGAGACCCAAAAUCAAAUCUUGUAAUGGCCAAAAACAGCAUGAUUAGACCCAAAUCUAAGAUUACUAAUCUCCUAGUCUGAACCAGCAAGCCUCUCUAGCUCCCUCCAUUAGAUACACACAGAAUCAAGAUUAUUCCCACUAAUUUUGAUUCUUAAACUUGGGCCCCGGGAGAUCUGAGGAACCCUAAUUGAGGAGGGGAGGGUGUCGAUCCCACUUGGGGGGGGUACAUUUUCUUUUGUGUGAUAUGAGUCGAUGGGUACAGUGGGCAGGUCACAUGUGCCUCUCUGCUUACUGGCUUUUAGCCUAUAUGGGAUUGUUUGUUGGCAACCAAGCAAGUGAUAUUAAGGGGUCAAGACCCACCAGCUACCACAUCCACUACCUCCCCCCUUAACUACUGAACUGUCAUGUUUGUCAAAGAGAGACAUUUCCCUGUGGCCUGUGCAACUGUUUGUUCACGACACCUCGAAAUAUCUAUAGUACUCGUGAGUAUUGAAAGUCCUGAAGCUUGAACGCCUAACAUUAGUCCGCUAGUCGCUCCUGGAUUAGUAGUCUAGAAUUUCAGUAGUUUGAAACACUAGUCAUAAUCUAGAACCAUCGUGUGGACAGACUACGAUAUACAAAUUUUCCGGCUUGAAUUCACGAUGAAAUGAUGAUAUUUUCCGUUUAUAACAUGGAAAACAUGUAGGAAUAGUCCCCAAUUAAGUAGUCGACCUCUUUAAAUGGCGUCUGUAGCUCAAAGAUAUUCUUUCAAGUUCCCACCAAUACACUCUGAACUGGUUUAUUAGGGGUCCAGGCGGUCCAGAACUGGGGACUGACUGCAAAUAAUUAAUUGGCAUAUAGUAACAAAAAUAGUUAAUUUCGCUGGUGGAAUAUUUAACCAAAAUUAUUAACCGUCUCUACAUGCAUUUGUCCUAGUACUGGUAUGUAUAGGCCAUAUAUCCCUGAAUAUGCUACGCAUUCAUUUAUGAUGAUCAAUGACCAGAGAGACUGUGUGUGACACCAGAAGUCCAGAACAGAUGUGCUCAAGUCUUUCUUGGCAGCAAAGAAGAUUGUCUCAUGUCUUAAAUUUGUUCUUCCUCUUGCUAAAGAAAACCCAGAUUACAUAUCUCUUCAAAAUUGUGAACCUUUGAUCAAACUUUUGUAACUAAAUUGGAAUCAAAUUUGCCAACCAGCAAAUUUGAUAACCACUAUGACCAUCCAAUAACGACAACCCAUAUAUGAAUUAACUCUCUCUCUCUCUGUUCUUUUUUGAUUGGAUGGUAAUUGCAGGUUAUCAAAUUUGCUGGUUGGCAAAUUUGAUUCCAACUAAAUUGAUGCGUUUAUUACUUAAAACUUUACGAUCUUUCAUAUCAAGUAUUGAAAUUUCGAUUGAAACACGAUAUAUUCGUUAUUGUUUACGGUGUAAGUCAUGAACUAAUCUAACCGUUCACUGUUCUAAAAUUUAGUUCACGAAAUAACAGAGAUGGAUGAUUUUACCUUGAAAACAACACAAAAGAGUGAGAGAAAGACCCUACUUUUCUUCCUUCUGGACUUCUGGUCAAAGGAAAUAACAGAAAGAUAUGAUUGCUUUUACUUGCCUUUUUAACCUCUCAACCCCAUUCACUUUCCAGAAUUUACAGUCUUUUACCAAGAGAGCCUAAUGGCUUUUGGUUAAAACGGGCUGGUGGCGGUGACGUGGUGGCGCAUCAGCAAUGCAUCACUCAAAAACGGCAGCUCUGCUCUGGUUCAUCUCCGCCUUGCUCUUCUUCUCUCUCUUCCAGAUGGCCCGUCGGAACUCCGAUUCCGCUCGCAGUAUUCACCCCUCCGCCUCCGGUAACUCACCAAACUCACCGUAUUUCAAUUCCUUCUCUUUAUUCCGGCUCUGAUUCAUAAUUUCUGGUUUAGAUUCUGCGAUUCCGAUCAAGGAUCGGAGGUCGGCGCUGUACGAGAAGAUGGCUAGGGAUUUGGACGAGAAAGGUCCGAUGUUUCUGAAACGCGGCCAAACCUCUCAGUCUCUGUCGCUCUUCGAUCUUUUUACCGUGAAGGAUGGAUCGGUGGCGCCGGUGCUUAAGGUGAAGUUGAUUUUCUUUGGUGAAUUGAUGGAAUGAAAUGUUUGUGAGUUUUGGAAAUUUUGGCUAAAUUGAUUUGAAUGUUGUUAUUUGUAGGCAGCAGAUCCCCCUGUUCGUGCUAAUGUGUUGUAUCUGAGCUCACACUACUCGCUUCGAAUCUCGUAUGUAUUGACAUUGCUUUGUUGACAGUAUUUUAGCUUAGCUGAGUGUUUGUGUAUGGCUUAUAUUAUUGAGUUUGGGAAUUCUAGGAGUAUAUGAUAAUGUAAAGGAGCAUAGAUUGAUUAUGUGAAAUUAAAACUAGUUAGUAGCUCUCAGGGCGGUUCAUCGAUAUUUGAUUAUGCAAUAUUUGUUGAUUAGUUACUCCAGAUUCUUUGGUUUCCAUGUGGAAGGUAGUUUAGCUGCAGAAUCAUAAGAUUUGGGGUGAUUUUCGUAACAUAAGUUUGAUACUAUCUCAUUAAAGUCAUGCAUUCAUGCUUAGCUUGAUGCAGGGAGGCGCUCAAACCUAUUCUUGAUCCGUACUUUGAUAAAUGUAAGCAAAUGACCUCUGUUUUAUAAAACUUUGACAUUCAUAUAUGAGUUGGCAGAUUAGGCAUGACAUAAAAAAAAGAUAAGGUUAAGGAUAGUUUGUUUGUUUCUUUUUCAACUAUGAUGUCUUACUUUUGCUGUCUAUCUUGUAGUGAUCUGGUUUCAGAACUCAAAUUUGUAUCAUUUUAGUAUGUUCCACGCCUCGCAUCAUAUUUCACCUGUUCCGGCAACUCAGGAUGAGGUGAAGUGCCUACUUGUAACCCUUUUACCUGUUUCUUUAUUCCCAGAUGCCGGUUUUAGGUUUGCAACACUGUCUAUUGUCCUCAGAUUGAAGCUGAAGCAGCUGCUGUUGGAGCUGUUGUAGAAGGCCUCUGUCCUUUAAAGAUUGUCUUAGACAGAGUGAUUUUAACUUCAACAGGUGUGCUUCUUGGAUGCUGGCAGGUUUUUUCCAUACUCCAUAUACUCACUCUCUCUUUCAUCUCUUCUCGUGAUGUAGAUCAUGCUUCUAAAAAGUGUGUAUUUCUCAAUAUCAUAUAACCCUCUCUUCCUCUCCCUCCCUUCCCCAUCUGAGGAGAUCUUGACUUUUUACAUAGCAAUAUGUUGAAUCAUUUAUCUAUUAUCAUCAUGGCAAUUACGAUUCUUACUUUGUGUGCUGUCUUCCUGACUUGUUUGUCACUUUAGGUUAGUGUUUCCCUGUGUUUGUUGUUGUUAUUUGUGAAACUCAGUCUUUCCCUAUGUUGAAAUUCGUUGUAAAACCUUAUUUUGAUGGGUAAUGACUUAGAAGGUUAAGCAGGUGAGAAGUUUUAAUAUUGACAUCUAUUAGGAUUUCUUCAAUGAAUUCUCAUAAAGGAGCAGUCUUGUAUUAAUGCAAUCACUAAUUCUUUUGUGAUAUAUGUGUUCCAAUGUAGGUAGUGUCCGGAUCAGAUCCUAUGACCAUCCGUGCAAAACUAAGGACUGCGCUUCCAAGUGCACCUGAGAAUCAACUUGUGAGAACCAUAUCUUGUUUCCUUUAAUACUAGCAGAUGAAGACUCAUCUAGUAAUAGAAUACUCUAUAUGACUUGAGAUGAUCGAAUACCUCAGCCUUAGGAACGAAAGCUUUUUCCUCUUAUGUAUAGUCUUUUGUAUGUUUCUUGUUGGCCAUAUUGCCUUCUGAAGAAAAAUGUUUAGCAGAUGACUGCUAUCAAGGUAAAUCUUGUUAAUCUAGUAAAUAUAUGGUAUAUUAGUAAUGUAGACUGACAGUAAAUAGCUUAUGGAACUCUAGAUUGUACGCUUCUAGCACUUGCUAAUCUGCUGCUAUUGUUUCCUGCAGUAUGAUGAUGCUAUUCUUCACACAUCAUUUGCAAGGCUUUUGGGCGAGCCAAAGGCAUCAUCCGUGGUAGUACAUCUCAACACUCUUUUAAUGUUGCAGUUGCAGUUACAAUUGAAAUUGAUUAGGGGAUAUGCUUCAAGACAAUAUUCAUAUUGAAAGAAAAUUAGGCUCGUUGCUGGUGGCAUAUUUAGUUUCAUAGUUUAAGGAGUUCGAUAAUUCUUGAUAAGAUCAAGGGGAUUCCAUCUAUUUAGAGUUUAAGGAACACGACAUACAUCAUUCACUUAUGUCAUCAUUUAUGCUGUUACUGAUUAUCUGCUUUAUGUUCAGGUGCUCUCCAGUACUUCAGAUCAAAUCCACUUCUUUCAUGAGCUUGUUGAUCGUAUAAACAACAAACUCCAAGGAUUUGAGGUACACUGUCAUUGGUUUUUAGAAACACUUAUGGGCUUUCACCAUGUCCCAGUCCAGUAGGAACCAACGCAGAUACUUGCUCAAGAAAAAGAAUGGAAAGAUCAUGAUUUCUAUCCAAAAAUUGCAUGUUCUUAUAGCACAUGUUUUUGUGGCCAAAAUCCAUAUAAGCCAAUAAAUAACUACGACUUAUUUUCAUUUUAAGAGAUUUUGCUGAGACGCUGUUCUUGUGCUUAGGCUUCUAACUUCAAGAAUGUGUGUGUAUCAAUCAACUAACAAUGGCUUCUGAAUACAAUCCAGGCAGUGGUUACUGAGCUCUGGUAUGUGGAGGAAUUUGAUGUUUUGGCUCUUGCAUUGAAUGGAAGAAUGAAGGUGCGCAAGUUCCAACUUGGCUGCGCAUGAAAUACAGUAGUCAUAUAUCACAAGGCUUAUACAAGAAGAUCUCUCAUGAUAAUGAAGAUAUGUAGAUGGUAGCAUGGUUAGUUCAUCCCCCAGCUCUUCGUUAUUCAUGUGUACUCAUCUGUACCGGAAAAUCCACAGACAAAGAAAUAGGUGUUUGUUUUUCUAAUAGAGGACUGAACUUGAUGGACAAUUAUUUUACUUAAAAGGUGUAAAGUGCCACACAGGCAAGCUUCCAUAUUGUUCUGUUUAAAGACUCUGCAUUCAUCAUCUUCAACCUUGUCGUGACGUUGUGAUUGUAGCCUUAGAUGAGGUGAGGGCAAGCAUCAUCUCAUGGCCAGCACACGCCUAGCUUCUUCUGCAAAUUGAAUAUUGUUUUCACUUUCCAACAAAGACUCGCGUGCCUGUUUGCGGAUACCACAAGUCUCUUGCCGAGAAUAUCAUACUUGAAAAUGUAUAAAAGAUUACAAGAACAAAACAGGAGGAGUUUGCAAUGUAACCCAAAAUGUACACUUAAAAACGUGCAGUACUCCACUAAACAAUGUCAUUGAACUUGAGUCGAGUAUCCUCAAUAAAACCUCACUUUCUUUUGUCUAUCUUCAUAAGAUUCGAGUAUUAGGCGUAGUUAUAAUUCGCCUGAAUGAUAUACGAAAUGUUACUUCUUAUAAAUUUUGGUAUAUCAAGUUUUAAAAAUAUUAGAUUAGCGUCUAAUGUUUCCAUCCCGACCUAAGAUUAGUAUGAUAGUAGUUUGCCAUCAAGAAACCAACAUUGCCUCUCUUACCGUCAGUUUCGAUUCAAUUUAGAUUUGUUGUUCGAUUUUCUUAAAUACUGUACGAAACUAAACAACCAAGGUAAAACAAGUAUCAACAAAACGAUCUCAAAUAUGACCCGGUCGAUCAAAACUGUUCGAAAUAUUUGAAAUAUUUACGAUACACGAACGUUUUUCUACACAUAUCAUGAGACAAACUCCGCUAAAAGUCGCUAGCACAUGACAAGUGAUGACAGGUCACGUGGCGUGCUCACGUGUCCGGGUUGAUCGCACUAAAACGGCGAGCGCACGCCACACGCUUUCUCUCUCCCGCCACACUCUCUGUCUUCCUCCACCGUCGCUCGCCAUCUGCAGUUUUCCUUCAUCCCCAUCUUUCUCUUUUAGUCUCUUCUAACUCUUUUUAUUACGUACAAAUCCAAACCCUCAUUUUUCCUUCAAUACCCUUUUCCAUUUCUCUUCCAAAUUUCCCCCCAUCUUUCUCUCAAUCUACAACCCAAUUUGCUCUCCCCAGCAUUUUGAUCUUCAGGUUGGUCAAGUGUUUUUGUUUCUGGAAUUUACCAAUUUGAUAUCUGCAUGUUAUUGGUUUUAGUUUCAUUUAAGAAAGUUGAAAUCUUUUCUGGGUUUGGGUUUGAUUUAGUAUCUGCUUGUUGGGUUAGUUUUAAUCAAGAAAAAGUUGUCUGUUUCAGUUUGUUUUGAUUUGAUUGGUUCAAUUGCUUAAUGGGAGUUGUGCAGAAGAUUGAUUUGUUGGGAAAGAUAACUAGGGUUUGACUUUAAAGUCAAUUUUGUGAUGAAGUUGUGAAUUUGGGAUUUUGAUGAGCAUGUGCUUUGUAGGAUUGUAAGACAAGAGUCUGAAAUUUUGUAUUGCUUUGUGAAUUGUAGGGUGUGAGGGCAUGGGUUCCAAGGAUCCUGCUCCGGUGGUUGACAAGGUGAAUGGGGCAACGCCGGCGCCGGUGGACCAGUGAGUGUUACAGAUCUUAUAGAUGCAAUAGUGUUUAUGUGAUUGCUUGGAAUGUCAAUUACAUGUUUUGAAAUUGUUUGACUUUAGAAACUUGAUGUAAGAUAGUGUAAGCUUAUAGAGGAGAAGGGUGCAAGAGAGCAAUGUAAUGAAUUAUGUACUUGAUGAGCAUUUUGAAUCUUGACAAAAGUGUUCACUUAGGUUCUUUUAUUGAGACAAUUUGAAACCUUCUUGAUAAUUGAUGAAUUUCGGAUGAAUCACUUCCACAUGAUGUAGCUCUGUUAAUAAAAAGACGAAGAAAAAGAAGAAACAUCAACCCUUACUUUAUUUGAUUUCUUCAUAUGCAUUCAGAAUGCACUGAUAUUGAUAUGCUUACAUUAUACAAGUUUAGCCUUUAGGAGGCUUUCCCAACAGCAGCUCCUCUGGGCAUGUAUAUGUCUGAAGUUCUUUGGUUUUUACACGAGUGUCGAGUAUGAAAAGUUGAAAACCACCUAGAUUUCUUGUUUAGAUGGUCACAAAGGUAUUUGAUGUGCAGGGCUUGUCCUGGCAAAAAGAUUCAGGGAAAAGUUCCUAAGAGAAUCCACAAGGCUGUGAGGGAGAAACAGAAGCGUGAGCAUUUAAAUGAUCUUUUUCUUGAGCUGUCUGACGCUCUUGGUAACUUCUAUUGCCCUUAUGAGAACAUAUAAUCUUACUUUGCAUCACUUCAUCGUUUAUUCAUAAUUAGCUUUCAAAGUUUUUCUUUGAUCAUCAUCCAUAUGAUGUUGGGUGGUUAUUAAUUGAGAUAGUUCUUGCACAGGACUGAAUCAGCAGAACACUGGAAAGGCCACUAUACUGUGUGAAGCUACUCGACUACUAAAGGAUUUGCUUGGUCAAAUCGAAUCCUUAAGAAGCGAGAAUGUAUCCUUGUUGUCUGAAUCUAACUAUGUAAGUCAUUCAACAGCUUUCUUCCCCUAACAAAUAUAUGCGUAGUGGUUUCUUAUCAAUCCUUUUUUCAUCUAAUCAGAUGACUGUUGAGAAGAAUGAACUCCGAGAGGAUACUUCUGCCUUGGAAACUCAGAUUGAAAGAUUGCAAAGUGAGCUACAAGAGAGGGUGUUCCAGUCGAAACCUGACCUUAAUGUACCACCUGUAGAAGUGGCAGCCCAUUUUACCGGAAAUUGUCUAGGAUUGCCUGCUCAAGAAUCAGCUUUGCAACAAUCACCUGCUGUAUUUGUCAUGCCCCUCCUCCCUGAUCUCCAAACUUAUCCACCAGCAGAUUCCGCCCACCUCACAUCCAAGACCAACUCAAAUGUAAGCAAACCACAUGCUAGGUAUCCGACCUCGACGGAUUGUUGGCCAUUUCAACUUCUCGGUGAGCAACCAGCAGCAGGCAAAGACGCUCGACAGAAUGAUCACAGUGCCAGCGGAUAUAAUGGCCAUGUUAACAUAUAAUCAGUCUAUGUAAUUGAAAUUAUUUGUAGCGCCAUGUUCUUUUACCUUGUCUCGGGUUAACUGACAAUGCCCCCUAGUGCUAGUUUUGUAUAUUUCAUGAAGGUAAUACAAGUGCGUUUAGACUGCACAGAUCAAAAGGAUUCAACUUAUAAAUAUAAAUAUAAUAGAGCUAUAAACAUAAAGUCUGUCAAGAAUUUUGGUCCUUUAUUUGAGGAUGAGAAUCAAUAUCAAGAAUCUUGCUUUUGUUGCCCGAUUUCUCCCGACGAAAUCUCGCCAUUCCUUGAUUUCCUAGGUGAGAAGAAACCAACAAAUCUCAAUAACAGAGACUUUUAGCUUGACAAUACGAUACCUUAGAAAUUUAUAAGACGGUAUUGUUUAUUAGCGUCGCUAUAAACACACUAGUCGCUCUCCUCUCAGAACAGAAGCACACUAGUAGCUGAACACACAACUUCAUAAGCUGACAAAGGCAAAAGAAAAAAGCAAAAGAGAACCCAAGCUUUUUCCAGAAGCUUCAGUUUCAGUUCUGAGUUGCAGACAUUGAGAACUCGGAGAUGGGAUCUGGUGCCGGAAGUUUCCUCAAAGUUCUCCUUAAAAACUUCGAUGUUCUUGCCGGGUAUGAACUGCUAUAACCCACUUUACCAAAACCCAUCUUUUUCUUCUGCUUUUUUGUGUGUUUUCCUUUUCUAAUCUGAUUUCGGCGUUUGUUCUUGCAGGCCUGUGGUUAGUUUGGUUUACCCUCUGUAAGUUUUAGUUCAAAGAUUAUAGCUUUCUGAAUUAUGAUCCUUUACUUUCUUAAGCAUUGUUUUGUUUUAGUGUAAAUUAUCUGUAAUCGGUGAAUUGGUUUUGGGUUGUUGUGCAGGUACGCCUCAAUUAGGGCUAUAGAGACCAAAUCUGCAACUGAUGACCGCCAAUGGCUUACUUAUUGGAUUCUCUAUUCUAUGAUUACACUCUUUGAGCUCACCUUUGCCAAACUUAUUGAGUGGUAAAGUUCUUUGUUUUUAUUUUAUUGUUUGAUUUGGUUCAUUGAUGCCAAAUCUGCAUCCAGUUGAAUGUGCUCUGUAUGGAUAGAUAAGAUCAUCAUUCAUUGAAUUUUCGUGUAAGAUGCAUUGAGGAUGCUUCCAUCUGAUUAGUUGGACAGAACAUGUGAUAGAAUUUCGACUAUAUGAUGCGUAAAGGAAUACUUGUUCUGGUUUUUGAACAGAACAAAAGCUUAUUGUGGUGUCAGUGGAAGAUCUAUAGAAACUUAUCUUGAAUGUUGCUAGAUUUGUGUGAGCAUUUGAUAGCAUUAGGUUCUUAAUCCAAAGAGGUUAUAAAAAACUAGUCAGUAAUAUACUAAUAUACUGGCGUUCUUAAUUCAUUGUGGCAGGAUCCCAAUCUGGUCAUAUGCCAAGCUGAUCAUGACUUGCUGGUUGGUCAUCCCAUACUUCAGUGGUGCUGCAUAUGUCUAUGAACACUAUGUCAGGCCGUUUUUCCUCAACCCACAACAGACGAUCAAUAUUUGGUAUGUUCCAAGGAAGAAGGAUGGCUUUAGUAAGCCAGAUGAUGUUCUAACAGCUGCAGAGAAGUACAUUGAAGAGAAUGGUACUGAAGCAUUCGAGAAACUCAUUCAUAGGGUAUGUCCAUUGAUAAUACUAAUACCUUUCUACUAUGUAUACCCAUCAAGUACUCGGUAUGCUGCUUUUUUUAACAAUUGCCGCUUUACGACUGUUAACUUGUACAUUGUGUUAUAUUGCAGUCUGACAAGUCCCAAAGGAGUGGAGGAUCCAUCUUUGAUGAUGAUCAUAGGUACUACUACUGAGGCUCGUUCUUGCAACACGUUUUCAAUGUCAUGUGGUUCCUUGGUGGAGUAAACAAGAUUUAGCCCUGAUCCUUUCAUGCCCUCUACUUAGGUCUUGCUUUGUUUUUGUUUGUUUGUAAAGGAAACUCAACGAUCCUUGCUAUAUGUAAUUAAUCGUGGUUUGAUAUUAUUUUCUUAAUUAGAUUAUAAUUUCUUCCAUGACCUUAUUUCAUUUUCUUUGCCUUAAAUUGUGAAUCCUGAGCUUGUGGAUUGAAUUAUUGUGGUAUCAUGCCUAGAAUGUACAGUGCAUCUUGGUAAGCUCCUGCAAAAGAAACUCUGUUUCCUCCAUUUUAUCUGUAGACUGGGGAUAUAGAUGAGCUCUGGUUAACUACUGAGCAACCAUGUUGGUUUAUAUACUGGCAUGUUUAAUUUAACUGUUUGAGCCAAAAUAAGACUCAACUUUCAAUAAUUCUGGUCUUCACGCUACACAAACAAAGCAGUGAAAGAUGCUAGGGCCUGGGAAUAGGAAAAAGUUAAUCCGAGUGAACAAAUGCCGUUGCUUUCAACAGAACUACUCAAGACACACACUGUUAUUAUUGAGAAGUCAAUUCUUUUCAAUCCACAACCGUCUGUUCAGCACAUACAAAGAGGAAUAAGAAGUUCUUCACUUGACCGACAGAGAACACUGAUCCAUGGACUUGUUUAACUCUAGCUAUCCAGGCAAAUAGCAUAUCCAUGGUUAAAACUCAGUGAUCGGUUUCUACUUGUGUUUCUUCUUCAGCUUCAGCAUCUUCAGCGGAACCCACCGAAACGAGAUAUUCUUGGGCUUUGGUAAGAGCUGAUUCUUUUGCAUCAGCAGCAUACAAUAUCUUCUUUAUUGCUACGGACAUCUGCAUUAAAUUUAAUCAGAAGCAUGAUGAGUGAAGCAGUUAACAACUGUGCAUAUAAUCCUACCAAAUCAGUGUCAAGAGAUGUGUUGCAAAUAUUUUGUAACAGUCAAAACUGCUCAAACCCAAAGUGUGGAAAAGCAAGAGAUGACCUAGCUCUGAAGAAAUAGAAGAUAGUGAGAAUUACAUGUCUAGAGAACUCAAAGGCAAUAAGCUUAAGUUUCAUUGAGCAUUUCAAUAAUUUACGUCAAAAAUGAUAAAAAUAUUGGAACUCUAGCAAUUAUAAAUUUCCAUUUCUCACCCAGAUGCAAAUUGAGUUUAAAAACUGGGGUAAUACAGUUACAGGGGAAGAAAUGACAGAUUAAGUAGCUGAUCCCUUAACAGUAUAUGUGGAUAUUAAAAGCGAAACUACAAGAGCAAUAAAUACUUUAUUUGUCAGAAAAUCCUACCGGGACACUCUCCAAUUCAGACGUUUGACAAAGAAUUUCAAUAUCCCUCAAUUUUCCAAAGUAAAAGUCUCUUUCUUUUUCCAAAAGGUCCACCGAGAGCUUGAGAUCUGUUAUCUGUAGAGUCAUAAACAACAUUGUAGGACUUGACCAAAUUACUAAAGCUAAACAAACUUUACUAUUGUAGUAGGUUUUUAUGAGUCAACAGAGUUCAAACAAAUGAACACAUGACUGAUAGUUUAUUAACUGAUGAGGGCAAACCAGCUCAAGGAAUACAAUACUUUUUUGGAGAGACAAAUCGAAAGAGAGUGCAUCAGUAAUUAUGAUACCUCCUUGGUCAAAGCUUGAACCUCUCCUGCAUAAUAAGUGCCACCUGCCACUGCACUAGUCUUCCCUUGCUUUGGUCCUAAAGAAGCAAGCAUCAAACAAGCACUUGGAUGUGUUAAUAAUAUAAUGAAUGCAGCAUCAUAACAAAAUUGUUUUUCUUUAUGGGGAUGGAUUCCAACCAGAGGUUCUGCGAAGACCAACUGGGUCACCUGAAUUGUUUGCUUGCAGUGAUUUUGAGAUUUUUUGAGAACCCUUGGGAUGCCGUUCCUUCCCUCCCUUGCACCUUCGCUCAACAGGAUUGUAAUUUCUAGGAGGAAAGAAGAAAAAAAUUGAAUUGAAGUGAAAGAUUUAUCAGUUCAAUACUAACCAACAUUCACUAAAAAGAGAAGACAAAUACAGAAGAUGAUCCAUACUCAUUCAUAAUGCCACCAUUGACAGAAUCACAGUAUCGUUUCAGCCAUUGUAAGAACUCCAAGUUGUCCAAAGGCCUGCCUUUAACAAGCCUAUUGACUUCAAGAGGCUGCAAGACAGCCAAUGAAAAAAUGAGAGAGAAUGGCAACCAAUAGAAAUAAAAUAAGUUGGUCAAGCAGAAGCCCUCACCAGUCCAGUUUUCCAACUCAUUUAAGUUAAACUUUACAGUAUCACAAACUAUCCAAGUCGUGGAAGACCAUCAUUCAGAAUUUGGUUUCAAGCAACCAACAAAACUGGUAUGUUGUAUCAUUAUGGAAUAUCUCAGGCUUACUCUCAAAAGAUCAUUCACUAGAGUCUCAACAUAUAACUAAUUGAGGUGUGAUUACAUACAAGAUACAACCAACAGAAACAACACUGUUCUUAUAAAAUGGGUCUUGCAUGGUGAUCUUUUGUUAUUCCUGAUAGUCUAGAUGGAGUUGAGACCAACCAACUAUUAAGGCUAAACCAGAAGUACCUAUACAUGAAAGCAAGACGUUCUAGAGCAAAUAAAAAUAAAGUACGAUAAAAAUACCUUCUCAAUUUUUAACUUAUUGAACACCUCCUGUAAAAUCUUAUAGUUCUGGAUCAUAUCAUAUUCUGUCUUCGCAUCAAAAUUGACCUGCAAUAGACAAAACAGAUGACGGGCAAACCAAUCUGUUAUGGAAACAAAAAAAAGGGAUACUGCAGCCAUUCUAGCAAUAAAGAUGUUAAUUCAAAUGUAAUGUACAGAUUGAAGAUGGUGAUACCUUGUGCAUUGGAACAACUCCAGGAUAGGUCAUAUCCAUCAUUUGGCAUUGCACAGCACCAGAUGCAGCCUAGCCACAUUUGCGCACAUAGUUAGAAAUAGAUGCUUCGUCAUGGUUAAUGUUUACGAAAUGAAAUUAUCAUGAUGUGACAAUGUGUUCCAAACUCAUAACUACAAUUACUUCUGCAAAUCUACCAGACAUCCAACUUCCGGUAACUUAAUUAAAGGAUAAUGCAAUUUUCUUUCCGAACACUCGUACUCUUUGCAUUCUCCAAAUCUUUCAAAACCAACCAGAUAACUAAUGUUCAUAACAUACAGGCGUACAGCAAAAAUAAAAAUGCAAUUAGCUAAGGGCCUCCUGGACCAUAACUCGGAAUCAUUGAGGUGUACAUUCAAAGUUACCUCAAGUUCAGUGACAAGCAAAUACCAAAACCCACAAUUCAGUUACCUAAUUUGUCAGAACAUACCCACAUGCACUUGUGAUCAAAUGGGUCAGCCAAAAUGCAUGAAAAGAUGCAAAAUUUACAUAACAUCUAGUCAAGACAUAUAAAUCAUUAAACUUUUCAGCACUAAUUACCACAAUUAACUUAUCGGUGGGUAACAUUUCAGCUCAAAAUCAAGAAAAGCACCAAACUUUAAAGCAUAUACACAUCAAUAUCCAAGCUUUCUAACAUUAGCAAGCAAUCAAGGAAAGGAGAAAUGUAGAAACACAGAAAACCCAAAUGGGUCACAAGAACUAGUUAAGAAUGCUCAAACAAAGAAACCCAGAAUCAAGAUCCUAUCUUUUUUGCUAAUAAAAGAGAGAUAUAGAGAAAGAAACCUCUUCGAUACGAGAGAGAUUGAGCUGAAGACGAUUGUUGAUCCAAGUCAAAAUCUCAUUCCUUCCAACAAAGUAAGCACUGUCCAUAAUUCCAAUAUUGGAAGCCAUUUUCAACCCAAAUUCCACAGUCUUUCAAUUCAGAGAAAGCAGAGAAAGAAUGGAAAAUGCAGAUAUAAAAGUGGUGGGGAUUUAAAGAAUAGGAGGAUGAAGAAGAUUAGGGGUUUUGUUUUCAAAAAGGAAAAUGAGCUGAGCUGAAACAAGAUUUUGUUUUUGUAUUUUUUUUAAAAACAAAGAAAACAAUCUCAAAGAAGAUAGUGAGAAACAGAAAAACCGAAGGAAGGGAAUUGAAUUGAAUUGAAUUGAACGGUGAGAAAAUAAAUAGGGAGAGAAUGGAAACCGAAAUAAGGGGUUGUGUGUUUUUGAUAUUCUUUUGCAAUGUCGACGAGUUUUCGUAACUGCAUUUGUCAAGGAGAGACCAAUUAAGCUAAAGGGUUGGCAUUUGUUUUUGUUUUUGGUUUUAUUGAAAUUUUUAUUUGGUCGAUAACAAUUUUAAUGGGAAGCCACGCCGGACUGGUAGUGACCUUUUCCACAUGCAUCAUUGGUCCUAGUGAGGGACGGCACAGAUCGCACAAUCACUCAUACACCACACACUCUCUGAGUCCUAUCAAAUUGCAUAGUGUGGUUGUUGGUUGUUCAAGAUGCUUGUAGACGGAGUGUCGUUUCUUGAUCGUCAAAAUAAGAAUAACGAGAAUCAUUCAAAUUUAUGAGGAUUCCAGUAAUAUGGUAAUGAUUCCAGUGUAUUUGAAUGAUUCUCAUGUUUACUAAUAUAUAAAUAGGUAUUUGAAUGAGUGUGGAUCUCAUUAUCAAGGGAUUCAAAGCGCUAGCUCGGGUCAUAAGAACUUUACCGCUGAAUAUUUUCAGAGAUUAGCUCGCUUCCCAUAACUCAAGAGGGCAUCUCAUCUAUAGCCAUUUCUAUCCGUCCGCGUGCAUUGGCGACGAGUGGAGUGCCACAAUUCCAUUCAUCAUUUUUAUCUACAUAAGCCAAGGCUCACAGUAAACCUUUUGAAUACAAAUCGUCGUGCUGUUGACAACUCCCAUGUUCGCUAAAACAAGGGUGCUCUGCAAAAGACUAUUGAGUGGCAUGUUGAGCUGAUCCGACACCAAGGGACUUUCAAUUGGAGAACUACGCAACACGAUAAGGCUCAAGAGGAGUUGGGGGUACUUUGUGGUAAUAACCGCUGGAUAUCAAUGACGGAAACCUAAGAUAAAACAAAAAGAAUAAGAUUCUACUUGAUUCCCCAUGGGAUUAGGAAUCAUUCCAUCCCGAUUAUUUUACUCUCCAUGUGUCUAUGAUUCAUGAGUUUUUACAUUUCUUAUGUCUUUGAUCCAUGACAUUUUUCCAUCUCAAACAAGUAAAUGUGCCUUUAGGUGAGUGUUACAUGUAAACAUCUUUAGCUCUUUGGUAAAUAUAUUUGAAGAAUUAAACAAUGAUGAUUGGUAUUGAAACUCUUAUUAAAUGAACCAUACAUGGGUGUCCCUUUGGACCAAAGCCAGAUUUGAUAUUAAACUCAUCAAAGUAAGGUGCCUUAAAUGCCUAGCAAUGUAAUGCAAAACUUGGUAGUUGUAUCCUCACAGCUCAUCCCUUUGUCGGUUUCAAUUUUUAUAAACUAAAAAACAAAAAAACGUAAAAAUGAACUGGGUCCGAUACACAAACCCAAAAGUAAAACUGGAUCUGAUACAUAGGCCCGAACUUAGAACUGGGUCUAAUACGUCUUGUUUGGUUUGAUCGAAGGGUUAGGGUUUUAGGGUCCCCUGCUGUUAUAGGGAGAGCGAGCUGAGAAUUACAGCUAUUUUCAGUGAGAAAGAGGCACCAGUCGCCGCCGUGACGGAGUGGAGCAUCCAUGGUUCACGUCGUGUGCUAACGUUUCUCUAUUUCCUUGACACUUUACUAAGUACUGUAUAUAUCAUAUAGGAUCAUGAUAUUGAUAUUUGAAUAUGUGAUCACGUUGCUGAUUUUUUUUAGAUUACAGAAGUUUUGAUUUUCAUGAUCAAAUUUUAAAAUUUCAUUUGAUUUCACUCUUUUGGCUUUUUGGGUGGUGAUCAGAUUUAUGUUUCGCUAAAGUGCACUCUGUUAAGAUGGAGAAGGCGUUGUUCAGCGCAAUCCAUAUUCUUGUGGAGCGUAACAAGCCCAACUAUUGUAACCGACUCACUCACUCCAUUAUAAGUAGCUGUUCUUCAUUCCAUCCAUGACAUUCAAGUUGAAAUCUUUUUGUACAAUUACCAAAAAUCAAUACCAGUAUAUCCUUUUGUUUUCUCUUUGUGCUACAGUGCUAGCUUCUUCUAUUAUUGCUUGCUUUCUAAGUUUUUCUAUGGUUGAUCUUGAUUUUUAGCACACUUUUCAGUAAGUAAACUUUAGGAAAAGCUGAGAUAUAUGAACAUAUAUAUGCUUGAAUGAUGAUUGUGCAAUGUGCCUCAUAAAAUGAAGAUGAUCACCAUCUGUAUUUGUUCCCCGGCCGCUUCCACUCUUAGUAUUUGAAUCUUACCAAAUCUCUGGAGACAAUUAGUAACUGUGUAAAACUGUAAAUGAUGAUGAUUAGCGACAAGAACUCAAAUGAGUAACAAUUGUCUCCAAUCUUAAUUACCUCCUUUUUGGGCAAGGGUUUAGGAUUUUUUUAAUCUUACUAAAUCUUUAGAUGUAAAUCUAAGGGUAGAGAGAAUUAUUUUUAAGUUGAAUUAUUUUGUUUUCAACCCUUAAAUAUAAAUCUGUUAACGGUGACUGACCAUGAAUCUCUUAGUCAAUUACUGACUAGGUGAACACUAUUUUGUGUGUGUCUGUGUGUGUAUAUAUAUAUAUUAUAUUUUUUUUUUCUUUCUCUAUAGUAAUUAUAGGAGAUGGUUACAAUUUUAUGCUCUGUUGACUAAUUAACAUACAUACAUCAAAUAUAAAAUUAAUCAAACAUGCAUGGAUGAUUCUUAUGCCACCUUUUUUUUUAAUCGAUGAUUGUCUUUUAUGAUAGACUGAUGAACUUGUAUGUAGUUUUCAGUUUUUAUAUUCUUGCAUGCAUGUUUUUUUUGUACUUGUCUAUCGAUAGAUGAUAAUGAUCGAGUAUGUAAUGGCUAUUUCAGAUUUUCGUUUUACCUAAAUUUAUGAAAGUCAUGACUGACUAUUUCAAAAAAAAAAAAACAAUCUAAGAGAUAAUUUGUGCCAUUAAGAAUUUUGUGCCGGUAAUUGAGUUAGUGAUAUGAAAAUUAAAAAAGCAACAGAUUAAUACGAUUUGAUUGUUCAUAAAUUUCCCCAGCAUGAAUCAUCAUGGUUUCUACCAUAUUACAGUGCAUUAAUUAAUAAAGAUAAGCAUGGCUACCACGUACAGAAUCACAAAUUAUUAUUGAAACAUAAACGGAACCUUUGAGUGGAACUAUAGAAGGUAAGACGUGAAGACCUAAGAUUCAAUUUCAAAUACUAAAUCCUUGCGCGCGAGAGAGAGAGAGAUGACUCUAUAUCUUGCACAGCUAGCAGUCUUGUGUUUAUUUUCUUCAGAUCAGCAGUGACUCAGCAAACGAGUCUAACUCAACUGGAUAGUUCUGAUCUUGAUCUGUAGUAUUCAGAAGGGCCUGCAGAUAUUCCUCGUAUAUAUUUUCCCCAGUGUAGUCAUCACCACCAGCUGCAACAUUAGGUAUGAUUCGAGACUGAUCACACUCGAAAUUAGACGACGACCAAUCACAGUCAGAGAAGACCACCCCACCCUCUUUGAAAUCCGACCAAGGAAUAACAACAUUGUUAACAUGAUCCAGAACUUCAUCCUGGCUAGAAGACAGUGCAGUGCUUGCUGUGGUAAAUCUAUCUUUUCUUGGUAGGUUAACAAAGGAAGUGACCCUGGUGGGAUUGGGGAUAUGGACCUUAGGCUUUUCGGGCACUAAGCUUUUUUCAUUAUUGUUCUUGUUCUUGGCUUUGUGGUUCUGCUGCGUCUUACUCUUGUUUUCCUUGGAAGCCGGAGGCUGGGAUAGUUUUUGGUGCGUGCUCGGGUCAGUUCCUUCGCUCAGGAGCCUUUUUCUGAGAUUGGUGUUCCAGUAGUUUUUGAUAUCGUUAUCGGUUCGACCUGGAAGUCUACCUGCUAUGAGAGACCAGCGGUUUCCGAGAAGUGAAUGCAUUCGGAUAAUUAGGUUAUCUUCGUCUGGAGUAAUGUUUCCUCUCUUGAUGUCUGGCCUCAGGUAGCUCAUCCAUCUUAGCCUGCAACUCUUCCCACACCUAAGGAGACCUUCAUGCACAAAAACACAAAAUUAGAGUGUACGUGCAUAAGUCACCAACAUUUUUUUGGUAUAAGAUAUGUCACCAAUCAACGACUAUAACAAAACAAGAAACAUAUAUAUCUGAGCAUCAAAAUAAAAAAAUAAAAAAAUGCAAAAUUGGUUUGACAUUGUAUUAUGUAUACCAGCUUUUUUGGGCAAGGUUCUCCAAAGGCCAUGACCAUGAGCUUCAACAUAUUUGGUGAGCAAUGUGUCCUCUCUGGGAGUCCAAGGACCUCUGUGCAGACCAACCUUAUUUGAGCAACAAGGAACCCUUCCCAUAUCUAGCUCUCUGUCUCUAAUUACAGAUAUGAAGUAGCAGAGAAAUGUUGAUAUAUAUCUUUCACUCUCUCUCUCUCUCUCUCUCUCUCUCUCUCUCUCUCUCUCUCUCUCACUUAGAUAAAAGGGAAGAGACCAAUGCUCUCUGACCAGAGAGGCACAGAGCAUUCUCAGACAUGAUUAUUGUCCUUCUUUGAUUGUAGGAAUUUGGGAGCUUAAUUAGAAUUCGCUACAGAAUUAUCUUUUUACAUUUUGACAAACAGAAUUAAAUUCAACGAACCUUCUUGGCAAAAUUACUUGCGCACAACGACCCUUCUUGCUGUCUGACCUUCUGGUUCAUGCAGCAUAUGAUCACUUAAUGAAUGUUAAUUUUUUUUUUUUAAAAGGAAAUAAAUGAAUUGAGGAAAACCAAUUUUCAUGAAAACAAUCGCAUGGCUCAACUUGAUCUUGUAAUCUGGUUUCUACAGUUGAAGAAAUUAAGGACAAUAUAUGAGUCAAUGACUUAACAGUGUACGUGGUCCAAUUAUAAGGUGUGACCACACUCAAUGAUCGAUAGUAGCACUCAUUCCAUACUCAUGAUCUUGAUUCAUCAACAAGGUCCUUUAAUUUGUGGAUUAACCCAGUACGAACCCUAGAAAAAAGAAGUCUCAAAGUAUGUUAUUUGAGUGUCAUGCUGGAUCUUAAACUACUACUUGAUCGUUCUACCACAUUACGAGUGUCACAACUUGUUUGAUUCGAUCGACUCGUCCUAAAUAUAUAUUGAGAUGUAAAACAGUAUACAGUAUGUUACCUGAAUGUUUAUGCAAAAUAACACAUCGACUCAUCUUCAAGCUUGAGAAUCACUACCUAAAUAACCUAGAUAUAUAAAGAGUCACUACCUAAAUAAAGUUGGGAAUCUUCGAAUAACCUAGCCUUGUACGUACACAUACUAUUAGAGUACGUUUAACCAUACAUAUCAAACUCAAGACCUAAAUUAAUGUUCUCAAAUAAUCUACCAGAGCACCAUACAUGCACAGAGGAAGCUUUGUUACUUGUAUGGCUAGUACCUUGUACUGGCACUCUUAAGAAUGUAUAUGCAUGUGCGUAUUUAUAUCGAGCGACUAACAAUGGCCUCUGAAUAGUGAAUACAAUUCAGGCAGUGAUUACUGAGCUCUGGUAUGUGGAUUAAUCGGAUGUUUCGGCUCUUGCAUUGAAUGGAAGAAUAUCGAUAGUAUAUAUAGUCACAACUCAUAUCAUAAUCAGACCCAAAAAAAGAAAGAAAAAAAGUCAUAUGGCUAGCUGCUCAAGAUAUUGACAGUAUGAAAUACAGUAUAUAUAGCCAUAUAUCACAAGGCUGCCUAUAUUUAUAUAUGAUAAUGAUCCAUGAUAUAUAUGUAGAUGGUGGAAUGGCUAGCUAGUUCAUCCUCAAGCCCUUACUCUAUUCAUGUGUUUCUCCAUUUUGGCCUGCAAAUAGUACUGGAAAUCCGUACUGAUGAGAAGGGUACGUACGGUGUUUGUAAGUUAUUCGAUUAAAGGACCGAAAUUGAUGAACAAUUCAAAGGUAUACAGUGCCACACAUGCAAGCUUCCAUAUAGUGUUCUGAUGUUUAAGAAUUUUCACCAUUAGCCAACCCUGAAUCGACAGGUGAAGAUUGUAGAUUAUUGAUAACAUGGCAUGUAUCACAACUCUCUUGCCGAGAAAAUGAGGGGUUUGCAAAGUAAGGAGAUGUUCCAAUGAAGACCUUAUCAUGAGUACCUUAUUGGAUGUAGACUUAAACCGUAUUUUUGUUUUUUGUUUUUUGAUUUUUUGCCUUAUUAAAUAAAAAGCAGAGUACCUAGUCUUAGCUUGGUGCCUCGCAAGAAUUAUUAUAAACGGAAACAUUAUAGAUUCGCACUGGGGAGAUAUCUAACCACUAUACCAUGGGCGCUACAAUAGAAGUACAUGAAACGUACUUUACUGUAUUUGAAUCAUCUCGGUCGUACGUUUUAAUCUUUAUGGAUUAAUGAAUUUUCUUCUAUUCUAUAUAAAAAAGAAGAAGAAGAGAGAAACAUGUUAGGAAUUCACAUGUAUUGUACAUAAACUUCUCAUCAGAUCCGAAUUGUGACGCGUUCAAUGAAAGUUUGGUAAAUACACCAUUAGGCAUGUAUAGUUGAGCUAACAGGAAAAUUGAAUUAUCGUUGCGCCCAUAUGACAAACGACCAUAGAGGAAGGACAAAGAGUAAGACUCUACAUGAAUAUGAGCAAAGGUAACCAGGGACCAUUAGUUUUUUUACAAAUUAAUCCUUGUUUGAUAUAUUCAACCAUGAAUGUCAUUAAGUAAUGUAUAGCAUUUCUUUUAGGUCUCGUUUGUUCGUGGAAAGUAUAUAUCAGGAAAUAAAAGUUGUUUAUUUCCUGUGUUUGGGAAAGCAAAAAGAAAUGAAACAUUUUCCUGAUAGAAGGGAAAAUGUGGAGGAAAAUGGUUACUUCUAAAAUCCAAAAAAACCACUUUCUUUUCUACUUUCUAUGCAUUAAUUACUCACAACAUAAUAUUUUAAUAUAUUUUUAACAAUUUUCUCGUUCUCUUUCUUUUCUCAUGGGAAAGAGGAAGGAACCACUUUCUUUUUCACGAACCAAAUACAUGGAUACUGGCUUGAAAGAGUCGAUAUGUCGAUCAGAGCCCACCCUGAGGAUUGCAGCCUGAUCGUGAUCAAGGCCUGGCAGCCAUCCCGAACAGGCCUCUGGCGAACUUUUCAUCAUUAAUAAUAUCAAUAUAUUAUGCAGAAAGUCAGGUACAAUAUUUUCAACCGUAGGCCAUCCCUUGUGUGGAGUCCUAGUCUCGACCUUCAUCAUCUUGGCUCCCUUCUCGCUGUAUGCAGGAACAUCAUGUCUAGAAUGAGGUGAAGCUAUCUCGUAUUUUCAUAGAGUCAAAUAUGACUGCAAAUGCCUUGGCAAAAUGCAGCAUAAAUCAUGAGCUUGGUUUGAUCAUCUUUGAAGCCAGAAGAUCUAGCAACUACCACAAUGUUUAGUUUCUUCUUUUGUUUUGUUUGUGCUUUUCAGGCACCUUUUGUAACCCAAAGGAAGAGAUACUGCUCUAGCGUAGUGGCAAUCUCCCUUCGUUCACUUCCCAUGCUUGGGAUCAUUUACUUUUUCAUUUUCCAUUGUUGGUUUACGUGUACAAAUUGUUUAAUUUCCUAUUGUUUGAAAUCUGAGAAUAUAUUUCAUUGGCCGAAAAGGCCAUAUAACCAUAUAUUGCUAGGUCAAGUAGGAGCAAGCUCCGAUACAAGCUCAUUAUUCAAACUAUAGCUAAAAAAUGACAAAGAAAUCCAAAAACAACGUUCAAAAAGGUGGACAGCUACACUAAAAAAGAUAAUUAGCCUAACAAGCUAACAAAGAGCCAAAUACAUCAACAUGAGGCGUAAGACCCAACGACGUAUCAUUAUGUCAAUGUAUAGGUAAAUACUUGAUUAAACUCGCAUAGGGAUAUAAUGCUCUAAACAUCAUGUAUACGCCAACCCACACCUAACCUAGCACAAGUCUGAUCCAAACAAGCCAACAGAGAAGAGAAUGGUAAGUGACAAAGUGGGCUAAGGCCAAGGCCCAACCCACACUUCAGGCCGUAUUCCUGCAUACCCGAAUUUACUAGAGCCCAACAUUUAUCAGGGUCGUUGAAGCUGCCGCCUCCAUCGAUCAAUCCGGUGGCCUCCUCUGUCAGAACCACAUUGCACCUAGAAGUCGAUAUACCUCCUUUUGUAAUCAAGACCAUCACCAAGAUCUUAGAACCCGAUAUGCCUUUACAAAACGAUGUCGUCUCCGAACUCAAGGUCGUACAUUGGCGCACACAGACCCUAUCCGUGAACCCUUUCCUCAACUAGACUCUGUCAAACGGUGCCCAUCGAGCCGCCACCAUGCUCACAAAACCCUAGGUUUCAAAUAAGUUGUUGAGUGUGUACGUGUUUACGUUUACAUAUUUACUGUUUGUUUUUCGGGUUUAUUCGUAUUAAACACACACGUGUUGUUCCUCUUUUUUUAUUGUUACUAAGUGUUUUUCGUUCAUUUGAUUUACAACACUACUAACAUGGUUACUUUGUUACUUUGGUGCUGCACACUAGGGUUUGCAACAUGGAGCUUGCUUGGGUUAUCUUAGAUAGUUUCACAUGGGUUAAUUCUUACGUGACGUCCUUGAAUAAAAACAAAAAACAAAAAACAAAAAAACAAAAUUAAUAAGAAAACAAUGAAAUGGGUCUUGAUACAUUGGCCCAAAAGUAGAAGUGGAUCUGAUACAUAGGCCCGAGCUUAGAUCUUGGGUUUGGUUUGAUUGAGGGGCUAGGGUUUUAGGGUGUGCUCUUAUAAGGAGAGCGAGCUCAGAAUUACGGCUAUUUUCAGAGGAUAGAGAGAAAGAGAGGCACCAAUCGCCGCCGUGACGGAGUGAAGCAGCCAUGGUUCACGUCGUGUUCUAUCGCAACUGUAAGUUCUCUCUAUUUCUCUGGCUUUGAUCAGCACUGUAUGUUUAUCUAUAUGAUCAAAGUGCUGACUUUUAUAUUUUUGGUUAGAAAGUUUUGAUUUUGAUGAUCAAGUUUUAAAAUUUUCAUUUGUUGCUUUCUGGGUAGUGAUACAAUUUAUGUUUUGCUAGAAUGUAUGUGGUCUUCAGUAGUAAGCUUUAGAAAAAGAUGAGAUGAACAUAGGCUUAAUGAUUGUGCAUGGUGCCUCAUAUGUGAAAAAGUAUUGGUAAAGAUUCAAUUAUGAUGUGUGUUAGCUGAUGGAGUUUGAGGAAGAUGUAACUUUGGCUCAGUUGGGUAUAUUUUUGUGGUUUGAUUGUUGGAUUCUGAUUGUGUAAUGGAAAUUGUGAAAAAAUUUCAGAUGGCAAGACAUUCAAGAAGCCUCGUCGUCCUUAUGAGAAGGAGCGUUUGGAUGCUGAGCUGAAGCUGGUGGGAGAGUAUGGGCUGCGUUGCAAGAGAGAGCUCUGGAGGGUUCAGUAUGCCCUGAGCCGAAUCCGUAACAAUGCAAGGAUGCUUUUGACCCUUGACGAGAAGAACCCCCGUCGGAUCUUUGAGGGUGAGGCGCUUCUCCGGAGGAUGAACCGUUAUGGGCUUUUGGAGGAGGGUCAGAACAAGCUUGAUUAUGUUUUGGCUUUGACUGUGGAGAAUUUCCUUGAGCGUCGCCUGCAGACAGUUGUGUUUAAGAAGGGUUUGGCAAAGUCCAUUCAUCAUGCCCGUGUGCUCAUCAGGCAGAGGCAUAUCAGGUGAGUUUACCUUCUAUUUUUUGGUGGUCUAGAUGUAGACGACAAUAAAUUUUAGUAUCACUAUAAUCGUCCAGGGAAUUAGAUGAUACCAUCAAUCUCAAAUGAAUGCCUCUGUUAACAUAUGAUCAAAAUCAGAUGCUUUUUGUCUUGGUAUGUGUGUGGUACUGGCUAGUUUAUUGGGAAAAGAAUAAACUUGGAGCUGAUGGGUGGUGUGAAGUUGAAUCUGUGAGUUUUGAUUCUUCAUGUAUCGCACUGUUGAAAGCUUGCAUUUCUUACUUUUGGAAGUUAUCUUCUGACAUUAGUGUUAUGUACUUGUUCACAUGGAAGCAGUAGAGUGCUUUCAGAUAUUCAUGUUCUGGGAAGGUUUGUGUUGUUUUCCUUGUUGUGAUUGUCAUGUUGUUUUCCUUGUUGUGAUUGUCAUUUCUGCUAAUAAAUCCUGUGAUGUUGAUCUGAAUGAGAACUCAGCUUACAAUUUAGAUUUAACAAACAUCAAACAUCGAGCAGUACAUGGUUGAUAAAUUAUUAUUUUUGAUAAAUACCUUUGUCAUGUACUCGGAUCACAUAGGAAGGUUUCUGUUGUUUCCUUGUUGUGAUUGUCAUUUCUGCUGAUAACUCAUGUGAUGUUGAUCUGAAUGAAAACUCAACUCACUGAUUAAAUUUAACAAACAUUACACAUCGAGUAGUAUGUGGUUGAUACUUUUUUUUGAUAAUGCUGAUGGUUUUUGUAUUUUGCAGAGUUGGAAGGCAAGUGGUGAACAUUCCAUCCUUCAUGGUCAGAUGUGAUUCCGAGAAGCACAUUGAUUUUGCCAUUACAAGUCCAUUGGGUGGCGGAGGUCCCGGUAGAGUCAAGAGAAGGAACUUGAAGGCAGCUGCCAAGAAGGCUUCUGGUGGAGGAGAUGGAGAUGAAGAGGAUGAGGAAUGAACAUCUGAGUUGAAACUAUUUUCUUCUAGGACGUGCUUCUCAAUAACUCCUACAUAGGUUUAGUCUCCUACAGGUUUUUGAAUUAGGGAGUGAAACUCCUCUUUGCGUGCAAGAAAUUUUUUGUUUCUUUUAAGAUUAAUUUUAUACCAGUGGAGAUUAUACUACUGAAUUUUUCAGUUUUCACCCAAUGUUUUCCUUUGUGAGCUGUUGGUAUCUUUAUACUUGGUCCUCCUUUUUCUUAUAUACCCUUAUUCUUUUUAUUCUUUGAUUUUGGAAAAAGUCUAGCACAUCAUCAAUCUGCUUCUCGAGUACUCAAUCGCCACAAGUCAUCGACCCAACAACACCAAUCUUCUUCUGCCUUUGCCAAACCCCAAAACCAGAAAUGGACUCCAUCAACGUUCCCAAAGGCUACGGCAAGGUAAACCCAGAACACCACCUAGAAGUCCAAGCUCAGAAGAUCCCUCAACUCCCCAAAAGGCCGAUCAUCUCCACCCUUGUCAUCUCAGCAAUAGCCGGCCUGACCUUGGUGAUCGGCCUCAUGCUCGUAGCUCUCAUCCAUAAAUCCACCACCGAGCCAAUCGACGAGUCUCCAUCCCUCUCCACCUCCGCCGAGUCAACCAUCAAAACCGUCUGCAAUGUCACUCUGUACCCUGAGCCUUGCUACACCUCCAUCUCCUCCCUCAACAGCUCUCCUAAACCAGACCCACAAUCCAUCCUCAAGCUCUCUCUCCAAGUCUCCAUUUCCGAGCUUUCCCAACUCUCUUUGGUGCUGAAGACCAUGAACUCGGAUGCGGCGGUCCGUGACUGCCGGGACCAGGUGGAGGACGCGCUGAGCCAGCUCAAUGACUCGGUGUCGGCAAUGGUGGUGGGAGAAGGGUUGACUGAAGCAAAGGUCAAGGACGUCCAGACGUGGGUGAGUAGUGCGGUGACGGAUCAGGAGACGUGCUUGGAUGGUUUGGAAGAGAUGGGAUCAGCGAGUGUUGAUGAUGUGAAGAAGAAGAUGAGGAAGUCGAUGGAGUUCACCAGCAACAGCUUAGCCAUUGUGGCUAAUUUCGACAAGUUUAGCCACAUUCCACUUCAUUGAUUAAGGACUAGGUGUUUGACAGUUUGGAUUGUAUCAUUUUCUGAAAAUCAGAACUCUGUUUUCAUCUUGUUUAUAGAUCUCAAGUGUUUCUAAAAAUGUGUAUAAUUAUUCACAUCCAAUUCAAUAUCAGGAUUUUUGUUUUUGAUUUGUUUCAUGUAGAUUUCGAUAAGUAGACCAUAUGGAACAAUAAGUUGGCUGAUGUGAGUUAAUUGAAUCCUAUAAUUUCUCCCUCAAGUCUCAACACAACUCGGAUCCCAAACUUUGAAUGUUUUCUUUUGUUAAUCCUGCGGACUCGUAAUUCAGUUCCUGUUUGGUUGUUUGGUCGUCUGAGUUUUGAGUUACAUGAUUUACUCUACGGUUUAGGGUGGCAUUUGUUCUUUGUAAUGCUUCUCCGUCCGUUUGAUAUUAGUACUACUUGGUCUCUAUCAACGGGGCAACCGUGUAGCAUAAGUAUUUGGCACGGCUGCCGUAGCACAAUGUUACUCAUUUCACUUAUUUCAGGGCUGAUAUAUGUUUGAUCGAAAGAGAACUUCAUUCAUUAUGAACUCAAAUACAACAAGAUCGGGUAUAAAAUCCUAUAUAACCAAUCACAUUUUACCCACUAGACUUCAGACUGAAAGUAUUUACUGACACGCUGAAUAAACGACAAAGGCCCUGACUCUAAGCAAAUGAACGGCUGACUCAAUUUUAAAGACCUGAUAUAUACUUAAACUAUGUUGUAUAUCUUCUUUUGCCGAACAUUUAUUUUUGUAAUCAUGUUAUGUACGUAUAAAUUAGCUUUGUUGCGGAUGCAUUUUAAAUUUUUCAUCAACUAUGAUCCUAUUGUAGUCAAGACUUUGUUUUUCUCUCCCAAUUCAUUAAAAACACGCCUAGAAAUUUUGAACUUGCUUCCCAAUCUAUCAAGAUUACGGAUUAUAUAUAUGAAUGGAAACCUAUGCUUGAUAAUAAUAGGGUAUUAGCAAAAAUGACCUUACAAUUUGAACUUUGGUAUAUAUCUUCUCUGUUUUGAUCCCUUAAUCUAGUUGAUCAAUGACUCAUACAUCCAUUUUACCAUGAAUCUCCAGAGAUACUCUUAAUUUGCAUAAGAACACCGAAACACAUUUUAGCAGACACCCUAUACCCUUUUAGUUGCUUUCAGUUUUUCCUCGUCCUGAUUGGUUUUAAUCUUUUAAUGAUUGUGAUACACUAAAAGCUUAGAAAUGUUUCUGGUCAGUACUGAGUAGCUAUAGCCACAUUAAUAUAAGGGGGACCAAAAAUUAUUACAUGCUAAUAGCUAUUAUAUUUCAACAAUAUAGAGAGACAUGCAUCUCAGGGUACACUGGAAAAUUAAAACAAGGAAAAACAUAUUUUUCUCAUUCUACUUAUAUUGUCUCUCAUUGGUUGGAUUACAAUAGCAACCAAAUUAAUUAACUCAUAUUAUACUUAAUAACAGAUAUACCCAGGAUCUGUUUUGACAUGAAAUGGAUAUAUCCAUAUAUCUCGAGAGAGAUCGAGCUGCAUCAUUAAUCAGUUAAUUAAUGGUGGAGAGGAGUCGAGUAAUAAGCUCUUCAUCAACGUCUGCAAUUUCUGCAGAAUCAUGCAGUAGUUGAGAUAGUCUUUGGCUCAGGUCGCCUACCUCUUUAUGUAGCCUCUUGAUGUAAGAACAAGUUUCUUCCAAAAUAGUGGAGGCUGAUGCCUGCAACAUAUAUAACCACAUAAAAUUAAUAUUGAUAUAUUAGUUUUGGAGAACUAAUAAUAAUUAAGAAACUAAAAGCCAUGCAUGACUGUCCAAAAUUUCUAUAAAUUCGUUACGGUUUCUGCUUCUUGCUAGCAUAUAUAGCUUUUCACCAAGACAAUCUUAAAAGCGCAUGAGGCUAGCUAGCUCUGUUAGCUUUGAGGCUGGAAAUUCCACCAAAUUAUAACUGCAUUAGUUUUAAUUUCCUUUCCAUCACGUCUCAUUCCCAUUGUCUUUGAGCUUGGUCAUAUACCGAAAAUGUUCUCUGGCAGUAAUUUAAGAUGAAUCGUAUUAGGUGUUCAUCAAUCUCGACAAUCUCUCAACAUAAGCAUAUCAUGGUUUUGUCCUUGAUGAAGUGAAAGUUAGUAAUCUCUGAACAUCGUUAUUAAAGAUUAGUCGUCAAGAGAAAAUAGAGAAUCAAUAUGUGAAUGAAUAUACCAGAAACAACAGAAGAAAGGUGAGUGAAAUGGAAAAGUGGCCCGUACCGUUGCAUUUCGCCUAUGAUUAAGCUGUGGUAGCAGCGCUUGUAGGUUUAAGACGAGCUCCUUAAUCUCGUCCUCUGUGGGUUGAGAAGCUCUUGUUCUUCGGCUUGACAUGGCUAUAGCUAUAGGUAGCUGAAACUGCUGGAAUCGCAAGCUUUGCGUUAUCACUGCUUAUUUAGCUAGCUUCUAACUUCUUCUACCUUCCUGCAGAGAAUGGCUAAGGGGGGAGAGUUGAAGGUAGGAGGCAAGCACUGCUUAAAAAGAGUGGGAAAAUGAGGCCGAGACACAAAUCGUCUGGUUAGAGAAGGACAGCAAUAAUAUUGAUACGUUGUUCAGGACCCAUUUGUACAACCAUUUGGGACAACAAGGGCCCCCUUCUUGAACCAAAAAUGAAAUAGGGUCCCUUUCUUGGCUUAUGAAAUUUCAUCAAAAUGGCCAAACACCUUAUUAGUGGUUCUAAUUAGGGAAUCUCAUCUGCCCCUAUUAGGACACGUGGCCAAUUAAGGUUGCUAGAUUGCUAAUCAGUGUUUAUUAGUAGAUAACUGAUGUUACAUGCUACCAAAAAGAUACUUUGUCUUGGCACCAGUAUAUUUCACCAAGAGGUGUUUCUUUGUUUGGUGCAUGCACUGCCUAGCUUGUUCUAAUGUUCUAUAUAUCUUGAUGAAUUCUUUUUGUUAUGGUUUCAUUGGUUUGUGUUUUUUUUUUUUUUCUUUUCGAUUCUCUAGGGCUUCUGCCUCUUCUUCUUUGUCAAUUAAAACGUUUUGUUUAGUUUGGUUUUGUUUCUGUCUGAAUGGGUUUCUGAAAACGAUCUGAUGAGAUUGAUCGAGUAGGUUUACAUCGCCAAAUAAAUGUUUCUCAUAAGCGUGUGUUUCUUUUGUCUCGGGACAAACAAACAAAGUAUUUAUUCAAAAUAAGAUUUGAUUAGACUACACUAUCUAAUCUCUGAGUUUGAUCUUACAAAAAAUAUGUGAUAUCUGAGUCAAUUUAACCCUAGUUACUGAAUUACUACAAGUAAAUGAUUAGAUGGACAGUCCAAAUAAAUCUCCAAUCCCAAUGACUGAAUUAUAUGAGUUAUGUCUUUUUAACUAGGACGAACAAUCACAUCAGCUACUUCUGCGUCAAUAGUUAAAUGACUACAAAAUUAAGGCUGUAGCUGAUGAAUUCUCUAUACUCUGAAAUGAGAUUUGUCGUCGCAUCAGGCAUGGGCAAAACCUAACUCAUUUGCUUUGGGAUUAAAAGACAUAUCAUAUGGUUAAAAUUCGGUGGAGAUCGUAAGUUUCUAGGCGAGAAGAUAGAUCAAAAUUUCAGAAAGAGAUGCAAUGCUUUUCAUGGAAGUGAGAACUACAUUGUUAAGAAUCGAAGAAGACUCGGAAACCAAUGAAACGGGUGACACAGUUUGCUUUCUGAAGAGAUGUGACAUCGCCGGACAAUGAAGCUUGGCAUCAGAAGGAGUUGAUGUGACAAAACAAGAACAAGUGGUUGAGUGACUAAACUAAACAGACAAUGGUUACGAAGGCGCCAUCUGAGGCUGUGAAGACUUGUUUGGGAAAAAAGGCCAAUCAAUGAGAUCGGUUUUGGCCUCAUUUACCAACCAACCUCUUUCUCUCUCAAUUUUGGCCCCUAAAUUUCCGGUGCCCCAAGGCAGUACUGUACUUGUGCCCUCUUUCUGCAGCCGGCGCGUGGCACCGGUGCACUGUUAUGAUUAGCCAACAAGGACUCUUCCCUCUUGCCAUCAACUGCAUGAUGUGAACUUUUCUUAAUGAUAACUUUGGUACAGUGUCUCAGUACUGGGUAACUGAUUAGCUCUGCCCCUCUUCUGUUCAUGGACCCCUAGCUCAGUCUUCUUCAAUGUCUUGCCGUUAUCGAUCCUAGGGCAUCUUGCAGAGUAGGGUAGGGCAAACCUUCCACGACUUGUUCAAUUCUACCCUCUUCGAGCUGAAGAGGAAGAUGCAACAAACAGUAGAAACUGUAGCUCAGUAAUUUGUAACAAGUACUACUCUUCGAAGGGACGACUCAUUGUACAAGAAGAUUCUUGUUUUCAGCUUUUCAUUUUAUGAUUUCAGGGUAAUUAACUUCUGUUGCAGCGUAUAGAGUUCAAUAUGAUCAUAGAUUUGAGUACGAGAGACUGCCUUCAUCAGAACCCUGUCAUAAUGCAACUAAAAUUCUCACUGAUCGAUCGACUUUGGCAGCAGACUAGUUACAUAAGCUGUUGUUUUACUGUUGGAUCUCAGUUUUCACUCGACAAUAUUCAUGUUACAGUCUGAUGUUCCGACUUGAAAUCCAUAUUUUUUUCAUCAAAUUAACCAACUUAGCAAGCUAGUUCCUAUUCUGUACUUUUCUCCAUUUAGAACUGUGUAUAUCAUGCAUGAGUAGCUAGCUAUCAGCUCUGACCCAUUGCUUAAAUUGUAGCAAUAAUAUCAAUGAACAGUGGUCCAUGCACUGCAGGAUCGAACAGUAAGCUUUUAUUUUGGAAUGAGAUCGAACAGUAGGUUAUGUCGAUGAUCUUCACUGGUGAAACAUCCAACCAGUCUGAUUGUAGACACGUUUAAUAUUUCUUAGCUCACCAAGCUUACCUAGUUACCUUCUAUAGCAUUCAUGCAUGAUCAAGAUCCAUAUAUCUGUGACUCAAAUUCUUCAUGACAAUCGAUCUAGUUGCAUGGAAAACACAUGGAUGGCAGAAGAAGCUCAACUUACCAGUACAAGCUGCUAGGGUUACCUAACCGAUCGCCAUUUGAUGAUUGAAUAUAUUGAAAAUUAUUCUUCAAACGUGUUGAGGGCAAAGUACUUAUCGAAAUGUGCGAAAUAUACAUAAUCAUCGAAACAAAAUGUGUCGAUGGAUUUAGAGUAACGUGUUCGCUGAAUAGUCUCGAAGGACCUGGAGCAAGUAGAACCAAACCGGCGUCACUCUCGGCGUGAUAGUGAAGAGAAAUUAAGUGGCCGGCCCUGAUCAACUUUAAUUGUGGAACAGUGUUGUUCAUUUGUUUUGUCACCACCGGUACGAGCAGCUAGAACCUACUGGCUGUCAUAGCUAGGCAGAGAGAGAGAGACUGGUGUGGGGAAGGGGAACAGAGUACAGUGAUUGAUGGAAAGGAAAAUCAUUUUCAGAUUCCAAUAGUGGAUAUUCUUCAUCUAGCUCGCUUCCAUCAGCAUGGUGUAUAACUAGAGCAAGCAUUAUACAUUGUGUGUAACCAAGUCACCUUCAUUUCCAAGUGUAAUCCUAACAAGAUUGAUCCACAUUCUAGCCACUCUUGUGUUCAGUAUGCGGGGUUUAGAUUUUCAGUUUCGGAAUAUCAUAGCAGGAGUGUAUUUCCCUAUACCAUAUGUAUGUGAACUCGCAAGGAAAAAAAAAACAUUUAUCAUUUAAUUGUAUAAGCAAAUCUAUGAGAAAUUUUGAUCAAAUUUAACAACUAAUCGAGAUAGUCAGCAACUACAAAGAACUGAACAAUUUUCCUCAAAAUGGCAUGAAUGUUUCUCUUCAUGUACAACACAACACUUGGGGCGCCCCUCAACUUGUAAAUACUCUACUCUUCACAAUCUUCUCUGCCUCGGCCACGCUCAAAUGUCUAAUUCCUUUCUCCUUCAGCCAUGUCUCCUCUCCUGCCAAACUACUUUGAAGAUCGUCUUCCCCCAUUUUCAACAGCUUCAGUCCCUCACUUACUCUAGGGAAGAAACCCUCGGGUCUCAAACACCAAGCACCAAAUGCCCCAAAUAAAACCUCUAAAUCACUACCAAACCUCUCAACUCCUCCAUCAUGAAACUUUGCAUUGCUCAUUAGAAUACCACUGAAAAACAGUCGAUCUAUCCCACCAGCCAAACUUCUCCAUACACCAACAAAGUCUACUGCAUUCAAAUUAACUUCUACCACCGAUACUUUACCUUGCAAAUAAUCAAGCGCGCCAACUAAAUACUUAGAUACUGCCCAACUAUCCUCAACCUUUUCCUGCCACUGCCUUCUGUUCUUCACAUAAUCUCGACAUUGAGCAUCGAAUCCCCUCAAUAUAACAACAGAAAUUUUUUCAGCCCACUCUGUUCUAAACUCCUCCAACUUUACAAUGUCUUUGUAGAAAAUACCAUUUUCAGGACCUUCAACUGGAUCUACAUUGCCAGCUUGCUCACUAACCGACAGUCCUGGUUGAUCGUACUGAUUUGACCCAAUUUCAAGGAAAAAUACGUCCUCACACCAUUCCUUCAAAACAGAUUCAAAGUAGCGAGCAGCAUUAAUGCAAUCGGCAACUUUAAUCAAAGCAUCAUUGUCUGUCAAGGCAGUCAAACCUUCAGCUUCUUGACACCUAAAGAGUAAGCAGUCUAAAAAUUUGUGUAUAAUAGGUCCCCCAGCUAAUCUGAGAAACCUUGACCGCAUAGAGAUUCUAGGCAAUGAUCGGCAAUGAUCAAUCACAGAUGAUAGGUACUGAAGAUAGGCACUGGAAAUUACAGGAGCUUUGUGAUCUUCAGCAUCAGAUAAAAGACCUGCUCCUUGGACUUUCACUGUCCAAUUUCUCUCAUUGGUAGUUUCAAGUUUCAACUUAUCUAGUAUAUCACUUAAUUCUAUCUCUGCCCAUAAAUCAAGCCAAUCUGGUCGAUCACAGAAAACAUUAAGAGAAGAAGCCUUUACGAAGUUACCGUCAUCCUCAAAUGAAAGUAAGAUUCCAGAAUGUUCUAUCAGAGACUUGAUUCGUUUAUCAAAAGAUAUCAUCAAGUCCACAAGAUGAAGCCAAUAUGUUUUAGCCUGUUCCUGAGUACCCAUCACACCAUCCUCAUCGGGUUGAGCGUAUUUUGGGAAUAUCUCUUUUGCCAAGUAUGUCGAUAAGGAGGAUACCAUUCCUGAAAUCCAUUCUUCUCUGCAACUGUACCCAGUUAACAUUGCUUCAUCAACCAAUGGCUGCAAUAGCUCAUCCAUAGAGUCAACAUAAUCUCUGGUGAUCUUGUAGACAAGAGCAAAUAUAAAUUCUGGCUUCUCAAUCCAUUUUGAGAAAUGGCGUUGGGAUGCCAAGGCAAUGGGAUUUACAAGCUCUUCAAUCACCCAAAGUGGCUGGUAGAGAGCAAGUUCCCGAUUAUAUCCCUCAAGUUGCCGCGAUUUUCUUCGUCUUUGCAAUUCUUGUAGGCUGCAAAGGGCAAAAAAGUUCUCACAGUACUGGUCUUUAACAUCUCCUUGCAUUGUGCAAAGAGGAUUUUGAACAUCAUUUGAUCUCCCUGAAGCUGGAGUUGAGGAAGUCAAAGUUGAAAGAGGUGGAGGCCAUCCAAGGGAAGUAAGAAGUGCCCUGUGAUCUGCUAUAGCCUGGGGCCGUAGAAUGGCCAGAGCCCUAUCUACUCUAUGAUCAACUGCUGACACAAGAUGUGCCCACUGAGGGUGCGUCUUUGUAACUGAAGUUAAAAUGUCUUCCGUCAGUUUAAGGGUUUUAAUAGCAGCCAGACGCAGUUCCUGCAAACAACAUUAUAUUACAAAAGAUACUUUGAUAUAAAAUACUUUUUGGUUUGAAAGCAAAGGGUGCUCACUUCUGAAUUCUGUUUCACGGAAUGCUUCCAUGAGUUUUUCUGCAUGGUGGACGAUACAGCAUCUUCAAUAUCACCAAUCAUAGUUUGAAGCUUCACUGCUGUCUCUGAAUGGACAAAAAACAAAAGACCAUGAAUUGUCAGAAAGUUCGCAUAUAAAAUGAUCAUUUUUUGCAAUAGGUAGCACCAAGGAAUAAAAAUGUAGUAAGCAAAACAGAGAAGGAAAAAAUAAAGGACAAGAGGCUAAGCUAAUAGUAAUUGCAGACAAUACACAAUAAUGAAUGUGGCUGGAUGAUUGUGAUACUCCAGAUAAGGUCUCUUGCUAUUAAGCAAAAACAGUAUCGUAAUUUGUAAAAUCAUGAAGGUCAGGGAUUCUUCUAGGAAUUUUCUUCAAACUUAAUCCUCUAUCACUACCUAAAUAAAGUUGCGGUUAUGCAGCCUUUACGACCGUAGAGGCAUUCACAAUGCAGAUCAUAUAAAGUACAUUACUGCAUUCACAAAUCAGAACAGAGCAUAAAAGAGUUCAAAGAUUACUCCCACCGGAUUAAGUUUCUUAUUCACAUCAUUCUCUUAUCCAACACAUAACUGAAGCAUUACUAAUGCAGAAUUUCCAACCAUCAACGCUACAAUGUAUUAAAGAACUAUUAUUCAAUCAUACACAAAUGAUUUCUUAUCAAAACGAAAACAAUUAUGCAUAUAACAAAUCCAAUGCUCGCAACAAAAACCAGUCCUUGAGAUUUACCUGCAUAUGCUCUAACUGACUCAACCCUAGCCACUUCCUUCGCCAGCGCCGGCAGCUCUUCCCCCAGUACCUGCUCCACUCUUCCUUCUCCAUCUGCCAAAAAAAAAAAAAAAAUCACAAUCGAAAUUCAAGAGCUUCUGAUAGAGACAAGGAGAGCGACGUACGCGAACCUGAGCUGCGGGAGCGAGUAGAAGACUGGAGGGAGGUCAAUUGGGAACUGAUGAGGCCUAAGAAGCCGUGGGCGCGAUCGGAGACGGAGGCGUAAGCUAGAAGGGAAGAUCCGAGGCUCCGAUUGAGGUCGACUAGGGCUUGAUCCAGGUCGGCGCAGUGGGCCUGGAGCUCCGAGAGGAGAGUCGGAGCCUGGCUCAGAUUGUGAUUGGUGCGGAGCUUGGUGUUGAGGAAGGAGAGGAUCGAGGGGGAGAGGUCCGACGCCGGAGGCAGCGGAGACUGGACCACCGAGUCCAUGCUUUCACGCCAUUCCGGUUUCGAAUGUGCCUUUGCCUUAAUCCAAGGGACUCCAAAUUGACUUCCAGAUUCAGGAAAUGGUUUCUCGGGUCAACCCGGGCAGGACCACAACACUUGGGCUACCUCUUCUACUUUUUUGUAUAAUGGGCUCUAUAUUAUGGGCCUUACCUUCAAAGAAAAUCAAAACAAGCCGGCUACAAAUCGAACUCGCAACCACCCUUGCUUCUAUCAUACUCAAAUAUAAAGAUCGAGUAUGAUUCCAAGUUACUCAUAGACUCCAUCAACAACAAAAUCAAAAUUCCUUGGAUGUGGUCUAGACAUCAUACAACUAGCCUCUCGUUUUCAUCACAAUAGAUUCCGUCGUGUUUGGAGAGAAGCAAAUUUUCUUGCAAAUACAAUUACUGACAUUGUUGGCAUAAUGAAAUUCCAUUAUCCUCUUUCAUAGGCGGAGCCAGAAACUAGAAAUGAGGGGUGUCAUCAUUAACAAAUUUCUCUAAUUCAGUUAGAUUGCAAAAGCCAAACACAUAUAAAGCCAAAGUUUUGAGGGGUGUCAUGACAUCUUUUGGUCUAUAUGUACCUCCACCUAUGUCCUGUUUACAUGCUUUUAACUUUGAUUUUCAUGACGUAGAUUUCGUUCAGGAUUUUCCAUGUAACUGUUCCUUCUCUUUGUAUUUAUUUCAGAGAGAAAAACGAAAAAAAUCAGAUUUAUGGAUCUGGGCCUCCAAACUUUCAAUAAUACAGGGACCGAAAGCCCAUGGCCUAAGCUAUUGAAGUGCGUUUUCAACAUCAAAGCCUAUUUUUGGACUUGGGCCUCGGAUCUGAGCAAAACUUAUUGGCAAUGAGGGGAUGCCUAUGUUGGCAAACCCCAGUUACCCAAGUAACCCAACCCUCAUCAGUCAUCACCUUCCUCAAUCAAACACAAAAGAUUGUCUUGGUUUAUUUAAAUUUUUGGCUUUUUUUUUGUCGCUUUCCAAAGUGCUGGUACUGAUUGGUUAUAUUUCUAGAAAAUCUGAACCAAGAAGGGAAAAACUCUUGGACUCUAGCAGAUAUGAUCAUCUCAUUCUGUUCUAUUGUGUCAUCUGAAUUUUAAACACUAUCCCAUAUCAGAUAUGUUACCUUUAUAUAGUGCAAUAUAAACCGACCCACCAUCAUAAUCGCACCUAAAUUUGCAGCACAAUGUUAGGCUUUUACACUUUGGACCACUCGAAACAUGUCAAUUGGGCACCAAAGGCUAACAGAACACAUUUUAUAAUAUUAUGGCACACAGUAAUGCUUCCUUUUGACCCUUCCCUUUAGGCUUUAGCUAUCUUCCCCUGCUGGUUGGUGAAGACUAUUUGCAUAGUUCCAUUUCAUAAUGCACCUCUCUCUAUUACCCCAAAUCAAAGCCUUCUUAACAUGGAUGUGUUUUUCACUGUCUGAUAAUUGUGACAGAGAUUGGAACCUACACCUUUGUCACAUUACAUCAGUGAUAGAGCACCCAAAGCAAUAAUAGACCAACUUCUCGAGCAGCAGUAGAAGAUUACGAGUCGAUUUUACCACCAUAUUAUCCAGUUCACAAGUGCAUUAUUCCAACCCUUUACACUUGACCCUUGUUUCUAAAAAUGUCCUUUUCAAUUCCUUUCGGGGCCGCACCAAAAUAAGGAAAAGAGUGAUCCCGGCAGUAACUUGUGUAGCAGUUAAGGUAACUGUUUCAGCUCAAAAAUGGCUACCUUUAGGUUUCCUUCCCUUUCAUGGAGUAUUUGAAAGGGAAGUUCCAAAACUUUCACACUUGCAGUCGCAGAGGCAGAGAGAGAGAGAGAGAGAGAGAGAGAGAGAGAGAGAGAGAGAGAAAGAGCCAAAGAGGAAAGAGAAAGAGACAGAGAAGGUCAGGGGAGGAGUCAGAAUGGUUCUGCAGAACCACAUCGAAGAUGGAAGCAAUAGACACUGACUUAAAAAUAAGGAAUAGCAGAACCCAUGUGAGCUCUGCAACAGUGGAAUGGGAUUGGCUCUCCUCCUCCAACAUAGAUUUACAUUCAUUUGUCUUUGCAGGUGAAAGUACUUAAUUAAGUACACCAUGGAGCAGACAGCCAGGGGAAGCUAGUACUUGCUUUCAUUCUCUAGGGCAGUAAACAUGGUGUACAGUAAAAAGAAGAAUAUGACCAUGUGGUUUAUAACUACCCAACAAUAGAAAAGUACGAUAAAAACAAAGGACCCAAAUAUAGAAAAAGGGUGAAGAAUAUUUACAGGCCUGAAUGAUUGCAGACUUGUACUUUUACAUUUAUACCCACAGGACCUGAAAUGCCAGAUUAAAGUAUUGCUAAGGCUGCUGCUCGAACAGUUUGUUCCAAAGGUUUAAUAAAUAAAUACCCCACUUCUUAUUCUGGACAGAAAAUCUAGCAAUACAGAAUUUAACUGAUGCAUAAUUGCAUAUGUAGUUAUGUACUGUAUCAAAAAAAAAAAACUGAUGCAUAUGCAGAAACAGAAUUUGAGGCUCAAUAGAUUUUCCAUGUAAAAACCAACUAGCACCUUUGGCAUUUCCUUUCCUCUUUCUUACUGCAUAUAUUCCUCACCAGAAGCCAAAUUUCAUACAUGCAGUUAUCUGAGAAACAACUGUCAGAGAAGAAAACAACUGCCCCGAAAAAGAAAAAAAUCUAGAAAAAAAAAAUAAAAAAUUCUCUUCCCGUCGCCAUUUUCUCCUCUCAUGCAUCAUCCAAAACCAAGUUUCCAACUUCCAGGCAACAAAUGUCAUAGCAGACGAACAUGUGUGAGAACUAAAUGGAAGCCUAGAGACUAACAGCGUUUCUGGACAUAUUCACGUAAAUGUGAACUGCACAGCUCCUCCUGAGCAAGCAGUUCGUACUAGUCAUCAGCAUAUGUACCAUUUUUUUUAUAGAAUUUUCUGGUAAUGUAGUGCAUAGUGUUUGUUGAAUUUGUAUUCUAUGAUUACCAAAACACCCCUGCUCUGGUGUCAAUUAAUCAUUAUUAUUUGAACACCAUCAUUACUGAGGAUAUCAGCACUGAAGGAAAGAUAUUUAAAUUUUUUACCAAAGCAGCAAUAAACUUGUGCAUUGGAAAGAAACUAAAAUAAGAAAACAGAGAGCAUAUUGAAUCACCACAAAUAUUAUCAAACCAAAUGAAAGAACAAGGCCACUAAUGCAGUCAUCAAUCUACAUGGAAUUCGCCAGUAACUUGAUUUGCAUCUCUGUGUUGUGAUCAAUCUAGGUCUCUAGACUUUUCAAAAUUGCUCUCUAAGAUUUCAAAAUAGUAUCAUGCAGUGGUAGACAAUCGGAGUGACAAGAUUUUGGUCACAUUUAGUUUGCUAAUGAAAUUGGUGCAGAGAUUGGUAUGGAAAGUACAAGUACAAAUAAUAAGGUGAAAUUAAGUGCAACCAGUCACAGGAUCUCAAAUGAGAUAUUACACUCCAUGCAGGAAUUUAGGAAAGAGGAAAACCUGAUGCAAAUUCCCCAUCUGUAACUUGAUCUGAGGUAGCUGCAGAACCAAUUGGAAGUUCUUUUCACCAUACAGUUCCUGUUUUUACAUUCUCUGAAAUACCACAUUCACAAUUUAACUCACAAGCGGCAAAGAGAUUGAAAUCCGCACAAACCAACUUUAGUAAUACACCAAAGCUGGUUAAGUGUUUCAAAUCUUUAUACUUCCGGGUCUCAAUAAAUGGAGGAGAUAAAACAAUGAAAUCAAGUACAGACACAAAAGAAGAGGAAAAUUCAAAGUUUACUCUUCAGCCAAAUCAUAAAAAUGACCAAUCACCUAAAUUAUUUUUAGGGUCCAUUCAGAUUCCGCGAGAUCAGGUGAGCAACACAAAAGUGCAUAUACGAGCUUCUAGGAUCAAGAUACAUUAUAUAUUUAUAACAGAAACAGAAGUCGGUUUUUCCUCCUAUUUGGGAGGGGAAAAGAGAACUUGGAGUUAUAUUAACUUCAGAAAUAAAGAAAACGAAAAAUGAACCAUUACAUAAUUCCUUUAAUGUUUCAAUUAUGAAAUGGACAUGACAACCUACCAAUUUAUCAAUACUUCAGCUUAUUAAUCUUUGCUACUUCUACAUGAUACAACCUUUAAAAGCUCUCAAAGUAACAAAGGGGUAAAGAAAAGAGAUGCAACACUCUAAAGGUAAAAUUAAAAACUUUAAAAAAAGGAAACUAACUCUGCAGGCCUCCUUUCUGUAAAUGUAUCUAUGACUCUACAUUAACCUGAAUAUUCUCAUGUUGAGGGCAGAAAUUACCCAGAAACUGGAACGCAAACUCCUUGAAAGGAAAAAACUGUAAAUUUCACCCUUCCGGCCAGCACAUGGUGUAACGGAAACCGGACACCUCAGCAUCCCAUCACUGCACAAUUAUAGACAAAGCCUCCCGGAUCCUUUACAGCAAGCAGGUUCCACUGCGGCGGACCUUCAUCAGGGACCCAAGAGUUAAUUUCAAUUUGCCCUACGGUUGAACCCCUUGGUCCACCAAUUACAAUUAACCGAUUACCACAUGCCCGAAAUGCUACUCCCCAACCAUUCAUUGAGGAUGUCCGCUCAGGCAAUCUCCCAAUAGUAAUCCACAUGUUCCUCUCCUUAUCAUACUUUCUCACCUCCUGUUCUGCAUGAUCUGCAGCAUACAGUAUGUUAUUUACAACUGCAAGCAGAGGAGGUGCCUCAGCUGUAGCAGGCAUAUUAGUUCCUCCAGCCCCUCCAUUUUUUCGGGGGUGCAUGUUAGGUAUCUCAGUCCAAGUCCCCCUCUCCAAAUCAUAAACCUCCCCACAGCUAAGUGCAAUUGGGCUGCCCACUCCAAUCCCGCCAAUGACAUAAAACUUGCCAUCCAUAAAUACCCCAGACGACAUUUUUCUAGGUUUAUUCAUGCUCGGAAGAGUCAACCAAGUUCCUGUUUCUGAAUUGUACAGCUCAGCAGUGCUCAAGAUAUUGCCACAUGGAUCGCAACCACCGGCUAGAAUGGCAAUUUCCCCACUGCUAGCAGAAGCGAACAAGCACCUAGGUGUAUUCAUCAAUUGGCCGGAUGACCACUUGUGUGUCAAAAGGCUAUAUUUGUAAACCACAUGGGACGUUAUUUCCUUUCCAAAUACAAGAAGUUCAGUGCCAACGGCUAACGACUCCUUAUCUGAACACAUGAAACAUCCAUUUAUUUCCAUUUUAGGCAAAGGCAUCCAAUGUUCACGAUCUGGAUUAAAUGCCCACCAUUCAGAGAGAGCACAAGAGAAGUAAGCCCAAUGUUCUACAAUACCCAUUUUUCGCCUCAGGGUGUACAGCUCCCCACUUCGAAUUAGAGACCGGAAACUCCUACACAACAUGGCAACUGAGCCAUAAUCAGCUCUUGAACAACGAAGGAGACAGUGUAUUGAGACAUCCCUUCCAAGUUGCUGGAAUAGUGAAUUCGGAUCGUAGUUGUUACCGUCAUGAUCCUGAUCAUUUGGCUGGUCAGUGUUGGCAUAGGAAAGAGCAGGUCUCUGGUCAUUUGGCUGGUCAGAUUGGGCAUGGGAAUCAGCAAGAUUCUGGUCAUUUGGCUGGUCGGAUUGGGCAUGGGAAUGAUCAAGAUUCUGGUCAGUUGGCUGGUCACAGUUGGCAUGGGAAAGAGCAUGAUUCUGGUCAUUUGGCUGGUCAGAUUUGGCAUGGGAAAGAGCAAGAUUAUCCAUCACUGCUUCCACUCGGUCAACAGCAUCUGCGUGCUUGCAUGCCUUCCUCAAUGCCAACUCUUCCCCAUCUUCAAGUGGGCGCUUACUGUGUGACGAUUCAAGAACACAUUGAGUGUUGUACAUCCACUGACUCUCUUGCUCACAGGAGCUCGGAAGCUGCCUUGAAACAAGAUAGGAAGGACCCUCCAACAUGCUGUUGUAUUGAGCUGCCACAAAAGAAGGGCUUUCCUUUGUUAAUCAUCAAAACAAAAUAAACCAAAGAACAAAAUGAAAUCUACAUUUUCAUUAAUCCACAUGCAACACCAAGUCACCAACCAUGAUUGACUUAUCAAACCCCCAAAAAAGAAAAAUCUCAAUCUCUAAAGUUUGAACUAAAUCAAGAAAUCAUAUACCCCCAGACCAACAAAGAAGAUUCAAAUCAAGAAACCAUGAGUACCCGUUUCACACAGCAUAGAAUUAACAGCAAAGCAGCAAACUUUAAAUUGAUCAUUUCUGUGAAUUGGGUGUAUCAACACAUAUAUCUAUAUAUCCAAAUUUCUCAGCAAGAAAAACACAUGCAAUAAUGCAUUUCAUCUACAAUCAAGUAAAAUUGCUAAAUUCAAAUCCAAAACAUAAACGUUCAUGCAUGAAUGAUGAAUCCAAUCCCAUCCUCACAGAUAAAACAAACCCAAAUCAGAUCUCUGGUUUAAGAAAAAAAUCCAGCAAACAGAUAAGCAAUUGAAAAAAAAUGAAUUAUCCACAUGACAGACUGUAAUCAAAGAAAAAUAUUAAUGCAGCAGCAAAACCCAAUACAAAGAACCUCCCUUUAACAAAAACAAGAGAUCCAACCACAAUUUCAUGUCAACAUCAAACAACCCAUCUCACCUUCAAUCUCAACAAAUGUUUGCUCUCCAAAAAAAAACACACACACACACAAGAAGCAAAACAACAGAGACUCUUAAUAAAAAGGCAAAGAGAGAGAAAGAAAAGCUCACGAUUGGGGUGAGAUGAAGGCGUUGAGUGCCCCAGCUCUACUUCUUCUUCUUCUUCUUCUUUUUCUUCCUCCACCCUGUUAGAUUNNNNNNNNNNNNNNNNNNNNAAUUAAAUUUUAGUUUUUUUUUUGUUAAAAAAAAUAAGAGAAAGAAGAAGAAGAAGAAGAAGAAGAAGAAGAAGGCAGUGGGGUCUGAACGGGCUAGACUGGCCGGGUGGGUGAGGAAGCUGAAACCGCCAACGGCCGUUUCUGCACGUGUAACGAACUCUAUGUUGAAACUCAACUCUUUAGCUCCUCUGGCGCCAGAACAGAGCCCCUUCCUGCAUGCAGAGUUGGUAGUCAUGAUAAUGGUGUUUUGGUUUUCGAUUUCUUUUUUGCUUUGGCCAUUUUGCUUUUGAUGGCAAACCUGGUUUUCAUGGGCGUUUCUUUGUUUGGUUGCGAUUUUACAUAUGUGAAUGAAUUAAUUUUUGGUUGGAUUUGGCUGAUUGAAUUAAUGAGUUGGAUUCUUCGAGGAUAGAGUUUUGAAUUUUGGGUUUUGAUGCAUGAAACGGUUUUGGUUGCUCACACACAGAAGAAAAUACUGAAAAUUUCGUGACUUGGGGAAAUGUAAUUAUUAGUAUUCAACUUUCUGUUAGUUGAUGUUUAACUCACAACCUCUCUGAUUUAUAAAAUAGAGACUUAGGCUAUUAGAUCAGAUGAUAUUGGGUUCUAACAUGAGUACUAACAUCUACUUCUUGUGGUCACUUACGAGUUGAAUUUGUGAAUGAAUUCAUAAUUCGUAAGUGAAUGUGUUAAAUAUGAAUAUAUUUUACGAGUCAAAAGAAUCUACAGAGUUCGAUUUAUCUCGCUUAGCUGAAAUCUCGUCAUUACAAGAUCUUAUAUACAUACAUGUAUGUUACUAUGUAUAGGCAUAAACUUAUUAUGCUGCUGCACGUGGAUCAAACCACGUGUUAAUGUCUCUUCUGAUUGUUAUGAUAUUCAUUCAUAAUAAGACGUUACGAUCUUUCAAGAUCCCAUUAUAUAAUUAGUGGAUUUAGUGCUAUGUUAGAAUCUCAUCAUUGAAGAUUCCACAUAUAAGAAUUUGUAUGUGACAAUAUGUAUGAGUUUUCAUCCAAACGUAAUGUUACAUGAUCUGCUGAAUUGUCUUUUCUGAUUGUUAUGAUAUGCAUUUAUCAUACGUUAUAAUCGCUCAUGAUUCACAACAUAGUUAGUGUUAUGUUAGGAUCUCGUCAUUGAAGAUUCCACAUAUGAGAUUUUGUACGUGUCAUUAUGUAUGAGAUUCCAUCUAAACGUAACGUUACAUGAUCUGAUCUUGUCACAUAAAUCAAAUGAAAUGAUUGGCGCCCGUGUUUAGUGCAUGAUUCGUUUAAAUCCAACCUAAUGAUUUUUGUUUUUGUCGCUCUCUCAUGUUUUUACCGUUUAUUAUCGUUUUUAAUAAUUGUGUCGUAUGUGUAGUUAUAUUGUCUUUUUUUUUUAGUAAUAGCAAAGCCAGAAAAUAUAUUUAUCACAGGCUAGAAUAGGUCGUUACAUACCCGGCCCUCUCAUUGCCUCCAGGACAAUGUUGUUGACCACGUAAGCUGGAGAUACCGCGCGACCGCCACAAUCAAAGAUAACUUCUCAUAUCACCAAUGAGACAAAGGGGACCAAACUGGCGAGCCGCUCACGGAAACCUACAUCACUCAAUCCCGCCUUUAGAUCUUCUUUAGAUCACUCGUCCGGCCGCACUUGUCACAUAACAAAGAGGUUAGAGACUUGCGUGGGAGCCGUCGGACGAGGAAGGAGACAAAGACUGGGAAACUUGGGUAUAGACGUAGUAUUGUAUCUAGGGAAAAUGCCCAUUUGGUCAAAAAUAGCAAAAGUAAACCCCCCAUCCAAUGAAAAUCUUAUCCUUGUGCCCAUUCCAAUUAUUCUUAAGAAAAAGACGAUAUUACCCUGUCUUUGUGUAACUAAACCCACACAAAUCUCAUCUCUCUCUCUCUCUCNCNCUCUCUCUCNCUNUCUAUNUNUNUCUCGUCUCUACUACGUAACUACUCGUUACGUAACUAACUACUUACUUACGUACGUAACGUACGUACGUUCGUUCUAACGUACUCUACUAGUAUACGUCGUCGUCGUACGUACGUACUAACUAACGUACGUACGUACGUACGUACGUACGUACGUACGUACGUACGUACGUACGUACGUACGUACGUACGUACGUACGUACGUACGUACGUACGUACGUACGUACGUACGUACGUACGUACGUACGUACGUACGUACGUACGUACGUACGUACGUACGUACGUACGUACGUACGUACGUACGUACGUACGUACGUACGUACGUACGUACGUACGUACGUACGUACGUACGUACGUACGUACGUACGUACGUACGUACGUACGUACUACUACUUACUACUACUACUACUACUACUACUACUACUACUACUACUACUACUACUACUCUCUCUCUCUCUCUUCUCUCUCUCUCUCUCUCUCUCUCUCUCUCUCUCUCUCUCUCUCUCUCUCUCUCUCUCUCUCUCUCUCUCUCUCUCUCUCUCUCUCUCUCUCUCCACCAUCAUCGCCCGCCGUUCUCAUCCUCAGAUUCCAAAGCCUCACAAUUGUCGCUGCAGCAUGCGACGAUCACCAUAGCCUCGUCGUUGUCCUCCUCCUCUGGAGCCGCCAUGUCAGUAACAACAGUAGUAAACAUCAACCGACGUUGUCCAUCGUCAGCGUUCUCGAUCGUCAAGCUCAUUACCAUAAAACUGAUGUGGAUGAACGUACCUCUUCAUCUCUUCAAGCCCGAGUGUGAUCGGAUCGGGUCGUCGGUGGCGAGGGUUUUGACCGGAGAUGAACACCUAACCAAUCUGGUUUUAGAUCUACAGUUAAGCAUUGUAAUGCUUUCUUCACAUAGUCUUAUGUUGGGUACAAGAAGGAGAACUACUCGUGGAGGGAGGAGAAAUAUGCAUAUGAAUAAGAAUAUGAGGGCUAUGGUACUGUAUGUGAUAAACUGAUAAUUAUUGAUUGUGAUAGAUAAACAAAUAGUUUUGUCUAUAUUUGGGUUAUAACUUGCUGAAGUAGUGAAAUUUGUAUUGGAUCUACACUAUGUGUUUAUAUGUGUUUUGACUGAUUAUUAAGGUCAUUAAGAGUUACUAGGAGUUAGUAAUUUUUUUUAAGGUUUCUUUUUUGUUGGAAAUUACCUUCUACUUAUUCUUCUUCUUCUAUCUUAUUUGUUCUUCUGUAUUUUUAUUGAUUAUUGGGGUCAGUAACCCGAUUAUUGGGGGUCAGUAACUGAUUAUUGGGGUAAGUAACCAAGUUAUUGGGGUCAGUAACCUGAUUAUUAAGAGUCAGUAGCUGAUUAUUGGGAAGUCCGGCGGCGGGUGACCGGGUCUGGUGAGAUUUCGGCUAAGUAUUCUCUCUCUUCCAUUUUCUCUCUCUAUGCAUAUUUAAGAGGUGAGGGCAAAAUAGUCUUAAAAUAAUAUGAUUUGUUAAGACUUUAGUAAAGAUUUGUGCAUUUGGGCAUAAAAUAAGUUACUUUAUAUUGGAAUGAGCUCAUGAAAAAGAUUGUCAUUAGAAUGAGAAAUAAGAGGUUUAAAUUAGUACUAAAUAGACAUUUUCCCUUAUAUUUAAUAUAGUCCUAAACCUCUAAAACAUUAUUCCUUCACUAUUAUAAUAGUUAACGUACAAGUACUCACAAAUUCAUGUAGAACACAAAGAAUUUAAUUACUUAUUACCAAUGUUUUCUUAAUUAAGUUUGUAACCAUUACAAGUGGUCGAGGCCUAAUUGUGAAACCCUCAUACCAGGUGUGUAUCCCACCUACGUUGAUUUGAGUUAAAUCCUAAAUUCUUAAUAUAUUCUUGGUAGCUAAAAAGAUGAAACGUUAUAAUAAGAUUCCUUGACACAGAUUAGUAUUUAUGGGCAUAAAAAUGCUUUGAGGAAACCUUUAAGGCAGAAGGAAACGUAUUAACUUGAUCUCUUACGUGUAUUAAUCUUUGGGUCUAAAAAAUCAUGUGGAUACCGUGUUGAUCCCUAACCAAAAAAGAAGAAGUUCUUAUUCCAUAGCAAAAGUAAAGAAAUCUAAGAAUUAGAAGAGAGUUCGAGAAUGAGAUUAGGACUAGGCUAAGUUGGAUAGACGUAUAAUUAGUCUUAAUUAGCUAGCUAGCAAAAGGGUUAUGCAUGAUUGGUUUAAAUGACACAAAGAGUAGGACCUUAACAAUUGCAUCUUAAUUAUAUAUACAAAGAGCAUUAUAUUGUACACAGAAAAGUGAAGAACUAUGACAAUUUUCAUGAUAAUGACUUUGCUUUAGAAAGGCCAAGAGCUACCACAGAACAUUGAAGAAAAAGCAACUUAAAUAUUAGCAACAAUGUCUCAGAAAAACAAAUAUUAGCAACAAUUUCUGAAUAUUGUUGUGAGUUCUGAAUAUUAUUGUUGGCAGUUUGUCUGUAGCGAUAUUGUUGAAAUGGUGGAACUAAUUAACUUUCUUGUAUAAUAGGAACUAAUUAACUUAAAGACCCUCUAAAUCAAAGUGUACAUAUAUAAUACUUGCUUUACGUCUCUGAAGGUUCUCAUUAUCUGCAUAUAUGUAACAAUUCGAGCUUAGCGUUUACUCUUUUAUUUUCUUUUGUCUGCUCUUUUUAAAUCUGUUUUGUUUCUAUUUCUUAUUGUUUCACUUGCCGGAAGCAGUUCUGAAAAAUGGCAGCAGAAGCAUGUAUAUAUAUGCACCAAAUGUAUCUACGAUCAUCACUUGUGAAGCUGUGCAUAUUUGAAUAUAUAUGAAGAAUUGAAGCCAAAUGAAGUUGGUAAUGGAUGACAUUCCUAGAAGGUAAACCCAUGAUUUGUUUUGAGGACUUAUUCAACAGUUCAAAGCUUGAAUUGAACCAUAUGUAAAAAUAAUCAAGUACAAAGUGUUGAGAUACCCACAUCGGGAAUAUGAGACAUUGUCUGUGGGUUAAUAAGGGUUUGGUCCACUCCACCCAUUGCCAAUUGAUUUUGGAUGUGAACCCUAAACUACUUUAUCAUGGUAUCAGAGCGGGUUACCCACGUCCACGUGUGAAAUCCAAUGGCCACACGAACUCCACAUCACCUUAAAUGUUGUCAACGUGUUAGGCUUGAAAAUUCGCCACACGUGCGGGGGCGUGUUGAGAUAUCAAUCCCACAUCGGGAAAAAUGGGACCUUACUUGUGGUUUAUAAAGGUUUGGGCUACUUCAUCCAUAUCCAAUUAGUUUUGAAUAUGAACCCCAGACUACUUUAUCACAAAGAUUAAACUGUGUUAGAUUGGUACUCUCAGUUUAACUCGAUCAUUUCGAGUUGAUAUGCAGGGGUUAAUCUCAGAAACAAUGCUAGACUAAUCCAAUGUAUUUAGCUAAUUCUCGGGCCUAAGGCCACAUCAAUGAAAGAACCUUUUCAAUGUCAGCACCUGCAUCAGAUGCUAUGUGGUCUCUGUUGAUACACACCUAGUGCUUCAAGAAUAAAAUUAGCAGGACUUUAAUAGUUUUUUUGUUCCAUCGAUGGAUAUCACCGAUGACUUAGACAGAGAAUUACUGUGGAAGUGCAAUAUAUAUAGGCUACUAAUGAACAAAAUUGAACAUAGAUUAACAAAGUUAUACAUGAAGAGUUAACAGAUCACAGAUGCCUGCUGGGUUCUUAGCAUAGAAUCUUGCAUAUGUAGCUAGUGUGAUUGAUCAUACCACUGCCCACUAUAUAUGCUUUCAGCCUUUCAUUGAUAUCCAAACGUACAAGAGUUGGAAUUAUUUAGAACAACUAGGAAUAAUAAAUGAAAGUUUCAAUCAGUCAGCUGGAAUCAAUAACCUCAAGCCAAUGUCAGAAAACCACUUGCAGAUGUCCCAUACAAGACAAGAAUGAAUCAAAUGCAUGAAAUGAGACAUGAACAGAAGCUAUGAUAUCUAUGUCACAAAAGAUCGAUGCUAGUUAGUUCUAUUCCUUUCAAUCCCGUAUUGAGAAGUGAGUAAUGAAUCAGCAGUGGAAAGCGAAGAUUCUCGAGCAGAUCGAUCGACUAAGAACUCGCAACAGGCAGCCGGGGCAGCCAAUUUAGUGUACGUAGUUGCAUUCAUCAACAUACGUAAAAUGAUCCAUUUCACGAAUUAGAAGCAAUUUAUAAAGAAAACCGGUACCUGAACAUACACAUGAAUACACUAGCUAGUUGGAUUUGUGUCUUUCAACGCUUAUAUAUUAUGCACAACGUACUAAUAAGUAAUAACAAACCCUACUAAUUCUUCUGAACUCAUCUUCAUCUACUGAAGUACUGAAAGAAAUAUAGUUGCUAACAUUCGUUUCAAUAUACUCGUACCGGCCCUUCACACUGUAAAGCUUUGAUAUUGAUUGAAUGAUUAGUUCAGAAAAGGGUUUCGAAUUUGCAGAAGAUGAUUUUGCUUUCUCCUGAAAGACCAAUCGAUCAGUUGGCAUAACCUACUGCACUAAACGAAUCUGCUUUGACUUGGAGUUUAACACCUGCAUAGAAAAAGAAUUGCUUGUUGUUGCUUGAGUGAUAUAUAAUUGAGUGGAUCACUGAAACUCGUGAGGCCUAAGUCAAGAUUAAGCCCAAAUAUCAUAGUGGGGCUUCUGUUGAGGAAGUUACCCAAGAGUUCAAGACAUUCAACCAAGAGUCCAAGACAUUCUACCAACUGGCCCACCAGAUAAGAGAUCUGGAAAAAGAGGUUCAACAUUAUCUUAUUCGAUUUUUUUUUUAAAUAACCCGCCGGGGCAGAAUUGUAUAUUUAUCACAAGUAUGAUAGAUUAUUACAUACUCUACCGCUGUCAUUUAUAGACAGACAAUGAGCUAGUGAUGUGGUAGUAUCCACAAUGGUGCAUAGACAAUAGACAUAUCGCUAUUCAAUAUGGAUCAUAGAGUUAGCGGUAACCUUCUUUCAGUACUACUCCAGAGAGGCGAUACUUGGUUGCACACUAGUGCAUUAGCUUCCUACAAACAUAGGAAAUUUAUUGGGAAAAAACUAGUAAAAACUAUUCUAAUUUUUUAGAGGCCAAAAAAGCAUUGGAGAAGAAAGAAAUAACAUUAAAUAAAAAAAUAAAAGUGGGCUAGAAGCCCACCCUAGAAGGCCCAAGAACUUCCAAGAGAUGCAUCACCUAUAGAGCCCAAAACAUGCAAUCCAAAGCCCGGCCCAUUCUCAGAACAAUGACAUGUCGUACGACAUCGUCUUUUCCGCAGUCGAUCUACACCGCAUGACGCGCACCAAUCGCCGCCGUCACAACGCCACAAACCACGCCGUCCUGGCCUAGAUCGGUUCGCCUUCACAUCGUCAUAGUCUCCGCAAGAGUCAAGUCUGUCUUGACCACGCCGUGAAAGUGAGAUGGAGCAUGAAAACUCAGGGAUGUUGUCCGAAGACUCUGCAAGCGACUUUCCUAUGGAAAAACCUUCAGCCUUCAUUGAAUACCCGUCCAACAUCACCUUAGAUAGCGAGGCGAGAACCAGCCAUCCUAAGGUGUCGCCGGACAGGAAAAUUAGGUGUGUUUGGGUGUUCGCCGGCGAUGAGACAGAGAGAGAGCUUUAGGGUUUUAGUUUGAAUUCUUAUACAUUAUACAUCGGUCAUUUAAUACCUUGACAAAAAAAAGGGCUUUAAUACCAGAGCCAAAUUAAUUACUAAUUUUGGCUAACUUGCUCAUCAGAAGCUAUGGUGCUUUCAAGUUUAAACUGAGAUUGAUGGGUUUGUCUGUGGUCCAGAGUGCAGACAUAUAUGACAUACAUACAACUAAGAAGAGAUUGCACGUGCUUAGCAUAUCUGCAUAAGAUUGAGAAAUAUGAAGAAAAAUUGCCUAGAACACCGUAUGCAUGCUAAUUUCCGAGAUUGAUCACACAAAAAACUUGUUAUAUGUUUUUCUAAUCUAUUGGGCUCUCCAUCCUUAAACAUCUUGCCAAAAGAAAAUUAAAGAUUCAAGACUUUUACAAUUGUAUUAUUAAAAGCCAUCAAGGUCAUUUCAUUACUCAAGCCAGAAUGACACGGAUACAUACAUUUCCCUGUCAUAUCUUGGACAGGUUAAAAACUUGGCAUGUUAGCACCACUCAUUACAUAUUCAGUGAUCGUUUAUUUCUAAACAAAAAAUAAAGCGAAAAAAAAAAGUUAGACAAAACUAGGUGAAUAGGCACAUCCUAAUAACAAGGAUUUAGUGCAAAUAGACUAACUAAAAACAUAGAACUUAGAAGUGGGCUAAAGCAAAACUCUAAAAAUCAAAUUUCGAACCUAAAACCCUAGCCCAAAAUUAGACCUAAUUAAGCAACCUUAAGAGAAUGGGCCCAGCCCAAAGACCCAUCAGAAAGGUGACCCGGUCCAUGCCGACCUCCACCGUCCUCCAAAAUCGGCUUUGCCAACCAGCAUGUCAGAAGAAGAACGUCGUCGCAUGUGCCCUAUGCUUAGUACUAGUGCCGCCGACAACAACAAACAUAGAAACCUUAGACUUCGAUCUCUCCAUAGCAGGUCGCAUAAGCAAUUGCUAUCAAAUCCUCCCUACACAAGCCCGAGCCCAGAUUCAUCUAAACCUCUAGCCAUCACUAUCCUCUUGAGAUCACCUGAUAAAAUUCAGUUUUCCACUUCGAUCUCCCUGUCUGGCAGAAGACUAUGCGACUACAAGGCCAAGAGGCCCGCCAAAUUGCCAAGCCAGCCAACGAACGAGAUGAAGUUUGGUGCUUAACGCCACCACCCUUAGAGUUUUGGGAGAGAGUUUUCAAGUCAUAUCUUGCACUAGUUUGAUUAGUCUAAAAGAUUUUCAAUUCAAGACUUUUAAGAUCAUGAACGUACUAUGACACAGCCUAUUUAGUAUAAUUUGUAUAUUAUUUGACCAAAAUUUCUACCUGUAAAUCAUGAUUUUUUGAGCAAUUAUAAGUGUAACGGAAAUAGAGUUUUUUUCUUCUUUUUCUUUCUUCACAAAUUUAAGAAAACACAAAUUGAAAUUCUAGCAGUCCGUCACUUGGAGGCGUGUAGCAGCUCAUAAAAUUAUGUUUGCAGAUUAUAUACAUCAUAGAAAUGUUCAUAACUUUACAUGGGUUUAUUUCUUAUAUGAAACAGAGUCCUUCAACUACGUGUCUUGGGUUUCGCAUACAGUUUUAUUGACAGUGUCUUUGUAAAAUCAUGUCAUGACUCAUGAACCUUUAUAAGGAGCGCGCAGAUUUCUCAACCAACAAUUUCACAUCUUCUCCAGGUUUUCCAUUUCACUGUUAUAUAUAAGAUUCCUCGCGAAACAAUAUUGUCAUCGGUCUUUCUGUAAUUCUGUCAAUCAACAAGCUAGGGUUCUUUCCAAAGAGAUAGUUGCCCUAAAAAUUAGUUGUAUAAUAAGGCUUUGUUUUCUGCAUGCAGUUGGGAAUGAAUUGAUUAAACUAGCUAGUUAAAACGAAAGUAGGCAGACUUAAGCCCUAAAAACGGCUUAAGUCUUUCCUUAAGGGGAAAGUUUUUGAUGUUUCUAAGGAUCUGAAUGAUUUUUACCAAAAAGAUGAGCUUUAUUGGGCUCAACGUGCUAAGGAGAAUUGACUUUCUUUAGGUGAUAAGAACACCAAAUUUUUUCAUAUGCAUGCCACUAUUAGGAAACAAAGAAAUAAAAUUUAGGGGAUUAAAAAUGAUUUGAAUAUUUGGAUCACUGAUCAUUCUGAUAUUGCUAAAAUUUUGGUGUAGAGUUUCAAGAGAAGAUUUAACUCCGGAAAUUAUGGUGUUGGGGCCGAUUUCUCCUUUUGUGAAAUCGUCCCUAAGAUAGUUUCAAAAGACAAUAAUAAAAUGCUUUUGGCCCAUGUGUCCUCUUCAUAAGUGGAUAGGGCUAUCAAUUCUAUUGGUGGCUUGAUAAGGACACUGUUAAUGCAAUUCUUGUUGUGGACUUUGAAGAUGAGUUUGUUUGGGUUCCAUCCCCGAAUGGAAAGUUUUCUGUGAAAACGACCACUUGGCUGUAAUUUAAAACUCUUAAACACUUAAAAGCUGAUUAUUUGAAUAGAAUUUGGAAUCUGAAAAUUCCUCCUAAAGCUAAGAUUUUUGCUUGGCUUCUUUUGAGAGGUAGACAAAAGACCAGGUCUUUCUUGGCUCGUUAUAUGAAUGGUAUUGAUUCCUCAUGUGCUCUUUGUGGUACUGCAGUUGAAGAUAUUAAUCAUUUGUUUAGAUCUUGUUCCUUUUCAGAUUUGGUUUGGACUUUUGCUGGUAUCUUGCCUUUCCCCUCCAACUUUCCUAAUGUGGAGGUUUGCCUUGAACAUAUUAUGGAUAAUGAGCCUCAUCACUCUGUCUUUGAAGAUUGUGUUCUAGUGUGCUGGCAGAUUUGGAAGUCUCGAAAUAACACCAUUCUGAUCUACUCAGUCCACUCCCACCUCAAUUGUUUAUGUUGUGGCCUCUAUUGGUGCUUCAUACCGCAAUGUUAAUGGUCCCUCUGUUGCUCCUACUUCAAAAGCUGCUGAAAUCAUUCGUUGGAUCCAUUAUGCUCCAAAUUGGGUGAAGCUCAACUUUGAUGGGUCUGUUAUCUCCACCUCUGGUGCUGUUGGCUUUGUUAUUAGAGAUUCUUUUGGGGUUCCCUUAGUUGCUGGUGCACGACGACUCCAUAUUUCAAGUGUACCAAUUGCUGAGUGUUGUGCCCUUAAAGAUGGUCUUGCUGCUGUUAAAAGGUUCAACUUCAAGUCUAUUGUGGUUGAAGGAGAUUCUCUCUUAAUGAUCAAUUGCGUUAAGAAUGCUUAUGAAGUCCCUUGGUGUCUCAAAUCCCAUGUUAGAGAUGUCAUUCAUGUUGCUAGUGAGUUUGAUAAUAUCAGUUUUGUUCAUGUCUUGCGAGAAGCCAAUUUCUUGGCUGAUGCUCUUGCAAAUCUCGGGCACAAUUUGCAUGCUUCGAAGAUUUGGCUGGGUGCCCUUCCUCCUCAGGCUGCGCAAGCAUUACAGUUAGAUACUGUUAUUAUUCGUUGCCCUACAAGCGUCUUGUUGUAAUUUUCUUUUUCUUCUAAAAAAAAGGAAAGUAGGUAGUGUCAGUCAUAGUGGGCAUUCUUUUUGCAACCACACUCUCCCUGCAACCAAAAGCAAAAUCGAUGGAGAUCGAAUUAAUCAUUUACAAGAUACUAGAUCCAUAUCGCAUGUAAUUGGGAUUAGGAAUAUAGUGUAUGUUUCCCUGUACGAAUCAUUCCGGCCACUCGGCCAGUUGCUAGCUAUAGCAAUUAGCAAAUUCAGGAAACCAUUGUCUUGCACAUAGAGAAAGAUACGAUCGAUCGAGAGGUUCACACAAGAGUGAAGAGCAACUCAAUGAUCACGUUGGUCUGUCAGAUUGAGUUGCCAACUUGCCCUAAUAUUAGAAGGAUUGCAACUUGUGAUUAAACGUACUUAUAAACGGACGUAGAGAUCAAAUUAGCUGCUGAUUCUCUGGUUCUCUCUGGCAUGUAUAGUACUAGUCGAUGAUCAGCUAGCUAGCAAAGACAAGAUCUAAUUAUUAACUAACAAAAGAUGAACUUUGAACUUUCUCUAUCUUAGUUUUUCCUAUUUCUAGAAAACUUUGUUACUUCUUCUGGUUUAUGAGACUAGAUUCAAUUCGAGUUUAGUCUCCUAGUUAUAAACUAAGAAGUAAGAAGCCUGGAGUUGCUUCAAACUAUGUAUGUGAAACAUAUGGGAGAGAAAUGUUUUACGUUUACAUGAAGAGUCGAUCGACCUACUGCUAGCAGAACUAAAUCAAUUCCCUAAUGUACAUGCAAAACCCUAGGAGGCCAGGAUUUUAUACAACCAAUCAAACCUAGCUAGAAACCUGUCAUUUAAAGAGUCCGGAAUUUUAUUUGUUUUCAUAUAUAUGGAUAUUAUUAAUUGAUUGGUGGAUAUUGUUGAUCGAUUAUAUCUUAGUUUUCUUCCCUCAAUGCAUGGAGAGACGGGAAGAUGCUGUCUUCUAUAUAUCUAACUUCUCAACGUGCACUGGUUUUUCAACUCUUGCUUCUGUAAGCUCUACAUCCAAGUUUCAAAUUAAUGUUGAGCAUAUACUAAAGACAAUUAAUUAAGCUGUGUUAGGGGCGAUCGAUAAGACAUAACCAAAACCUGAUAAUAGAAGCUCUUAGACACAACCAGUCCAUGAAAAUACCUAUAAGUUUCGGUUGUUGAUUAUUGUUCACCUCGAUCUAUGAAUACAUAUAAAUUAAUUUGUUCUCAAUGUAUCGUAUAUAUGAUAGUUGUAUCAUGCAUGUAAAACCCUAUAAUGUCUAAAUAAUGUAAGUGAAAAUCAACUUUGUCCACUUCUACAAUGAGUGAUGAGUGGAAGGUUCUAUAUGUUAUAUAUCUUGAGGUCUAGACUUACGGGAUUGAGAAUAGGGUGUCGGUUUUCACAUGAUCAAGUUAAUUAAGCUUAACAUGUACUAUGUAUGAUUAUAGAAUGUGGAUAUUGCAAAAACACACGUACUGAAUUAGUAAUUAAUCUGUUAAUUAACAAUUACGAUGCAAACCAUCUGGUCUAUACAGUUAAUCAGUUACUUAGGACAGUUGAAUUAAGCUCAAUUAAGCUAGAUUGAUAGCUAGCUAGCUAGCUACUAGAUCAAUAUAUUUUGAAGCUCAUCACCUUCACUGAUCGACUUAAUUGGAGGGCGAGACUUUGAUUAGUUAAUAUCUCCAGGAAACAGAUAAGUGAUUCAAUGAUUCGUAUUAUAUACAGAACAGGCUACAGAGAGAGCAUAUGCUAUGAGAAUCGCAAUAUCUUUUUUGGAGUUUCAAAAACUGAGCGCAAUCUGAAGAAAAAUCACUGGAUUUGGAAGAACCUCAUAAAAAAUUACUUAACCGAAUUAAUUAAAUAUCUAAUUAACUAAGAAAUGAGGUUUCCCUCAUGACAUUGAGCACAGUCCUCGCUGUCUAGUGAAUCUUAAGUCAUGUGCUGCGAGAUGCACGCUGAUGAGCUCGAUCGAUUAGCCACUGCAGCAUGCAUGCCUCUUUAAAUUCCUAGCAGUCAGCUGCACCAUGUAUUUAUACUUGUUUUUUCUUUGAUAUCUCAUGCUUUGAUGAUUUGAUCAAGCUGCUGCAUCGAUCCAUAAGAUUACCUUUUGCUUCAAUCUUUCUGGUAUCUCCAAUAAUUUUCUUUAUGUUUUAAUUAGCUACUUCAGGAGUUUGGUUGAUGUGGACUCACAUGGAGGCAAACUGGCUAGUUUGUUAUAAAAAGACUAGGAAAACUUGGAGUUUGGAAAGAUUAUGAGUAUAGAGAAUGAUUUGAAUCACUUAUAUUCUUAUUGUGGCUCUGUUUCAAAUCGAUCUUAACAUUUAAGCAUCGAGAGUUUGAGACAAUCCAGAAUUUUAGUUUUAAAACAUCAUUUGCGAUGAAUAUAAAUUGCUUCAAAAUAUUUUUACAAGAAAAUGUGAUCAUCACAUAUACAGUAGCAUUCAUAUAAUUUGAGUUAAUUAUUAAAAUUAAAUCUACUAAUUGCUAUAACUACGUACAAAUUCCUUUCUGAAAUGACAUAGUUAGCUAAACUAGCUAGCUUAAUUAGAAAAGGCUCAUCUUGGAGUUUUCUUGUGAAAUUUAUAUUAAAAAUAUGUGUUAGAUUGUGAUCAUUAAUCUAAAAUUCUAGUAGCUAGCUUGUUAACUAACUAUUGUAUUAAUGUAACUACUAGUUGCUCUUGAUGUUUCCCUGGAAACUAUUUAUUUUUUGCUAGACUAAUACUAACACAAAGGGACCACUACUACUUGAUGAUCAUGAACAUACUAAGUUGAAAGCUGAAUUUCUGAAUAAAUAUCACGAGUCAAACAAAUAUAAUUGGAUAUAUUUAGACCUUGCAGGAACGAAAAACCAAUAGAAAGUUAUAUUAUGAUAAUGAUUUCUCAGUGAGCCAUCAGUGUAUUAAUUUACUUGAAUUAUGAAAGUUGCCUUUACCACCAUUUGGGUCAUAUAUGAUAUAUGAAACGCACGUGAAAUGGAAAAUCAUGUAGAGUUCUAUAAUCAAAAUUUAUAAAUUAUAGUACUACAAAUUAGAUCUUUAUUCCCUUGAUCAUAAAAUCAACUGUGAUUUCUGCAGCCGACCACAUAUAUAUAUAUAUAUAUAUAUAUAUAUAUAUAUAUAUUACUUGUUUUGGUUAUGGAUGUACUAUAUAUUAUUAGUAUUUUACAAUUAAAGAUUCCACAACAAGUGCUUCUGCAUAGGGUACUAAAAAUCAUUGGAUACGGUAUAUUAUUGUUUACAGUAGUUUUCAACUGCAGCUAGUUAGUUAGGGUAAUGCUAGGGUGUGUUAAUGCAUGUGAUGCAUGAACUUUGUUUUUAAAUUGUAAAAUGAGUCCUCAAAAGUGUAAUAUUAACCCUCAAAAUUGUAAUAUAUAUGAGUCGUUAAAGUUGUAAAAAAAAAUAGUUAUAAUAUUAUCCUCAUUUGUUUUUAAAGUGAUAAUUGAGUCAUCAAAGUUAUAAUAUGAGUCCUUAAAGUUGUAACAACUUUUUUUUAAUCAAUUUAAGGACUCAAUUAUCACUUUAAGUACACAUUUUAUCAAUUUAAAGACACUUGAUUACUAAUGUUGUAAAUAUAAAAUUUUACAACUUUAAGGACUCAUAUUACAACUUCGAGGACUAAUAUUACUAGUUUAAGGACUCAAUUUACAAAGUUGAUGCAUCAUACAUUCACAUGCAUAUAUUAACACAUUGUAGAAUUUUCCAGUUAAUCAGGUAUGCUUGUUUUUUGAGAUGAAAAAAAAAAAAUAGUGUGAUAUUAUCGUAAAACAAAAAUGAAAUUAAAAAAAUAAUAAUAAUAGAGAGGAAGAAGCUGCUAGUUAUAGCUGAAAUGUACAUCCAAGUUGAGACCAAAUAUUGUGGUCGAUGAAGAUGUUGCAUUCACGGUCAAGUUCUUUUAUGCAGUUCAUCGAUGUACCAACACAUCAAUUAGAAAGGAGAAAUCUCCAAAAUCCUAGGCCACAGCAGCAGGUUCAGACCGUGCUAUAUAUAACUCUCGUAUGCAAGCGACCAUAUAUGGCAUAGGCUUCACCUGCAUGCGCCUCUCGGUCUGCCGGAGAUUGAUACAGAACCUAGCUAUUGCUUCUACGACGUAAUGAGUCUUUAAUUAAUGUAUGGUAAAAUUUUCAGUUACAUAUGCAGAGGCAGAGUCAGAAAUUUAUCUUUAAGGGGGCCAGAUAAUAUAUAAUCAAAUGAAGAUCUAAUCUUUACCGAUAUAAUUAAUCAAACGUAAUUAUCAAUGUACAAUUGCAUGUACAUAAAGGUUACACAUUUGCUCUUAUUUUUUCAUUAACCUCCUCAAAUGUUUAAACCUUAAUACAUAAAUUUUAGAAAACCUCGUUAUGGAAUUAGACAUAAAUUACAGAUUGACAUUAAUCUAUUUUAUUCAUUUAAGAAAGCAAGAAAUAAGUGCAAAGACGUUUUCUUUUUGUUCCCUUGCUCACUUCAUAAGUAGUUUCCAGAUUUAUAAGAGGAGUGUCAUCAAGUAUAAUCACCCACAAGCUUUUCCUAAAUUAAUAGCCAUCUUAGUUAGAAAUCAUACAUCAACCAAAAGAUCAAGGGGUGCCACGUCGCCCUUUCGUCUUUACCUAGCUCCGCUAUUAUACAUAUGUAACUCCAAACUUUUUAACUAUAGGAAGAGAGACCAACAACAUGCUUAGCUUUGCAUCAACUAUAUGUCUAAACUGAUUCAGUUCGAUGACUUCGAUCUGUAGUGUACAGUGAUAUCACCACAAAUUUUAUGAUAAAAUACGACGGUGGUCAUAGCUAGGGAUUAGAAGUAAAAAUUAAAAAAAAAUUAAAUGAUGACCCGGGAAUUUCGAGUCGGUGAUCAACUAUGCCACGUGGCUCUAUGUCACCUCACUCGGGGGGAGAACAUGGCGUGUUCACCACCUUUGACUGGUCAACACUUCCGACCCCCCUCACGUAACCCUAAUUUUAAUUGACUGCUCUCUCUCUCUCUCUCUCUCAGAGAGCACUGCUCGAUCCAAAGAGAGGAGAGUGUAGGAUAUUUCUUCUUCUUUCUUUUUUGGGUGUUUCACACACGGAGUGAGCUACUUGGGAGUAGAGAGAUCCAAAGCUCGAAUUGAAAUAAACAGGGAUCGUGAGGGGAGGACAGUAUGGCGUAUCUGUAGCAACUUGAUUCUCUCAUCUCUCUGAUCUCUCUCUCUCUCNNNNNNNNNNNNNNNNNNNNNNNNNNNNNNNNNNNNNNNNNNNNNNNNNNNNNNNNNNNNNNNNNNNNNNNNNNNNNNNNNNNNNNNNNNNNNNNNNNNNNNNNNNNNNNNNNNNNNNNNNNNNNNNNNNNNNNNNNNNNNNNNNNNNNNNNNNNNNNNNNNNNNNNNNNNNNNNNNNNNNNNNNNNNNNNNNNNNNNNNNNNNNNNNNNNNNNNNNNNNNNNNNNNNNNNNNNNUCUCUCUCUCUCUCUCUCUCUCUCUCUCUCUCUCUCUCUCUCUCUUCUCUCUCUCUCUCUCUGGCUUCAAAACCCUAUUUAAAUACAGAGCUAUGCCACCCCUUUUCUCUCAUUCAAUUCUCUUCUACAUUACCAACAUCCCACGCCUUGGUGUCUUUGUGCAACUACACCGACCCAUCUCCUCUAUUCAAAUUCAAAGCAACACAAAACUUAGCUCCAUAACUCGUAUACUCCUUCCCCAUUCCCCAACACAUAUUCUCUUUUCCCCCAACCACGACUUCUUAUAUAACUUGAACACACUCCCUUAAAGCUCCGACACUCACAGCUUCCUUCCCAUUUGUCUCUCUUAAGCUUUAGCUAGCUUUCAUUUUCUCUCUUCCGAGUAUUAAUUGUAUUCCAUAUCAAUCCGUAAACCAUAAAGAAUGUCUACCCGAAGGUCAAGAUCUAGGCAAUCUGGUGGUUCGAGAAUCUCUGAUGAUCAAAUCAAUGAUCUCGUCACAAAGUUGCAGCAGCUUCUUCCUGAGAUUCGCAACAGUAGACGUUCCGACAAGGUAAAAAAACUAUCUACCUAUAUACAUUUCCUUAGUACUUGUCAUCAUUUUCGUUUAUUUUUCUCCUUUCAUGUUUAUAGCUUCUCUUUCAUGCGAGAGAUCACUAGUGUAAACCCUUGAGCAACUAAUCAGUGUCUAACUAAUGGCCAUGGCUCACUGUUUUAGUCAAUUUCUGCUUUAUCCUGAUCAAGAGAUCGAUCAAAAAGCGGAGAUUUUGAUAGUAGGGGUGUGUUCAAUAAUCUUGUUUACUGAUACUUCUCAUCAGUUUACAACUUACAAGGACUAUAUAUUGAUUAUAUUCUUACCUAGAAAUUAUCUGGUGCAUUAUACAGUUUAGAGUGUUAUACUGUUUGCAAAACCGAGUGUCCAUAAAUAAAAGAAGAAAAAUUUAUGCUUUGGAAGUUGUAGAGAAUCUAAUCACGUAGACUGUUACUGGAUAAGAGAUAGUAAUCAAAUUAGAUUUGUGAUAUACAGGUCUCAGCAUCGACGGUGUUACAGGAAACGUGCAACUAUAUAAGAAACUUGCACAGAGAGGUGGAUGACCUAAGCGAGCGACUGUCGGAGCUGUUGGCAACAACUGACACGGCCCAAGCUGCCGUAAUCAGGAGCUUACUUUUGCAAUAGAUCAGAGAACCGGGGGGCCAGUUAAUUCAGGAUGAUGACGUCGCAUGUUUAUGAUCAAUUAGAUGAUGAUCAGUACUUUACUACUAUAAGAUUAUGUAAUAGCUAGGCAUCGUUUAAUCUUCUCAGUUUCAUCUGUUUCUCUAGCGUUUUCAUUUUUUCUAGGGUUUUUGUUCAGUAGUAGUCUAAAGCUGUAGCCGCUGGUUAAUGAUCAUGAUCGAUAUCCAGAGAAGAUCCUUAGGCAAAGCUGUACUUGUACUGCUGUGUGUUACGAUUGAGGAGUUGAUGUCAUAUAAUAAAAGACUCUGAUCAUCAGUUUUCACAAUAUAUCUCAUCUCGUUCGAGCACUCGAUUUUAUCUCUGUAAUCUUGUUUAAUUAACCUGAUGGAUUAUUGAAAGAAAGCGAGCAUCGAUCCCUAUUUUAGAUGUUUACUUUAGAUCAGUAAAAACCCUAUCCCGGCCGACCCUUUCUGCUUGUUUGAUUAAUCAGUGUAAGUAUGGGUGCAUGUAAACUCUGUUCUCUAUAUAGUAGAAGUAUGGGUAGCCCUUGCUAUGCACUUUCACUACUCAAAAUAAGCCUCAAAAGCUGCAAGAGGAUAAGCAAACAUUGACUUCUCCAGCUUCCACUAUUGCAAUUGCACGUCUAAUAAUAUGAUCUCAUGCGUGAAAGGCGUUUUAUCUAGAAUCUCUCCACAGAUGUAUUAGAAAAGGGGACUUCAGUCCAUAUAUUAUAUAUUACUGAUGUACAAAAACAAUAUAAACAUGAUCCUCACGGACUAUGUAAAAAAGUAAGAUCAUAGGUAAUUACCUUCAUUGGAGCACAAGUAUUGCAUGCUCUCUUACCAAAAGGUUCCAUAACUAGCCCUGCAUCUCGUUUCACACCAAUCAAUGCAUGAUUCAAACACUGCAGCAGGGAGGGGAUUCUCGGGGCACCGAUGAGGGAGGAGGCGACUCGAACCUAGCCAACUCCGAGGCGGAGACGCCUGGCAAAGAGAAAAUGAAGAUGGACUGCACCGAAGGUGAAGUAAGAAUCGAGCACACUCCACCCUGAAAAGGGUCCACCAAGGUAUAUGUUAAUAUGUAUAUUUAGUAACAUAAAUUGUGUCUCUAUAUGUUCAGGCCUAGAAUCGACUAAUAGUAGUGUAUGUCUACCCGUUGAUAUUAAAUCAAAUAUAUAUAUAUAUAUAAGGAUUAUCAGGUGCGGACGUCCGUACGGGUUUUCUGCCGUUUCUCCACCAUUCCAGCGCCGGCGAUGCCGUUUCUUUUCCCCGGCGUGAUCCCAGACCUCCCCCGACGGUGUUGGAAUGAAGAAGAAGGCCGGAGAGAUCAUGAUCGGAGGUCCACCAUGAUUGGUCGUGAAGUUCUGAGUGAGAUUGCUGCAUAGACCUCCGAUCGCGAUCUCUUCGGCCUUCUUCUUCAACAUCGUCGGGGGAGGUUUGGAAUCACGCCGGGGAGAAGAAAUGGCGUCGCCGGCGCUGGAAUGGUGGAGAAACGAUGAAAAUUCGUACGGACGUCCGCACCAGAAACAGAUUGUGUGUAUAUAUAUAUAUAUAUAUAUAUAUAUAUAUAUANNNNNNNNNNNNNNNNNNNNNCACUUUUCGAUCGAAUUUCCUCAUUUCCACCGUCUAGUAUCUAAAUAAUAUUGUGUAAAUCAUCUCUGCAAAAUUUCAGCCAAUUUAGUAAUCGUUAAGGCCCUAAAAAUUGUGUUUUUCUGGUAUAAACAUGAACCGGAUAGAAUUCAGUCCAUCCAUUUGUUUUUCGAGUUUGAGGGCCUUAAUGAUUACCAAAUUGGCUGAAAUUUUUCAGAGAUGAUCUACAUAAUAUUAUUUAGAUACUAAACGGUGGAGAUGAGAAAAUUCGAUCGAAAAGUGGUGAAAAAAUGAAAAUCCGCACCGAACCAUUGGUGCGGACGUCCGCAGUUGAAAAAAAUCCUAUAUAUAUAUAUAAUAUACUUUUGUAUAGGUAUGCUUACCUAAGAGGUAAUUAUAAUGGGACUGUGAGGGACAAGUGACUAAAAAUAUACCUAAUUAAAAUUGUCUUCCGUGUGAUCAGACCUGUAUGAGUAAGAUAACUUCGUGAACCAUAACAUGACUUUCAAAUCAUGAUCUGAUAAUAGGGAUUUCAUGGUCAGGGAAUAUAAAGAAAAACCCCCCAAUUCGUACGUAUGAAUUCGGGUUGAAUAUGGGCCUAUUGGGUACUUAAGCAUUCACCCUGAUACCCUGGUCCAUUGGGGCCAAUUCCCUUGUCAAGCUCCGGAUCCGGCACGUAAACGACGUCGCUCCGGAACACGUUGACAAAUAACAAUUGCUCACAAAAAACAAAACAAAAGUUUCAGAGCCUCGUCAACAACAACGAAGCAAAAGGAGUUGUACAAUUUCAUAAGCUCUUGAAGAUCAACCAAGUCUGGUAACGAUCUCAGACCCUUUUCUUAUCAAUCACUCAAUCUUUACAUAAUCACUGAGUACUAAAUAGAAUUGCGGGUUUUGUUUGAUUUUUAAUCCUAACUGUUGGGUUGAGAGGUUUAAUCUUUUUCUUGGUUUUUUCCUAUGCAGAUUUUGUGAAUUGGGUUCUCAGGUUAUUUGGGGUUUGAGGGAGUGAAAAUGGUGUUGGUUUUGGCCUUGGGGGAUUUGCACAUACCCCACAGGGCACCUGAUCUGCCUGCAAAGUUCAAGUCCAUGCUUGUUCCUGGCAAGAUCCAGCAUAUCAUUUGCACUGGGAAUCUCUGUAUCAAAGUAUGUAUCUUUCUUAUCUUUUUUUGGUUUCUUGUUUGGUUUCAACCAGUUUUGCUUUGUUGGGUUUGGGUCUUCGCUUUUUCCGAGUUUUGUGCAUGUUUGAGUUGGUUUUUGCUGAGUUUUAAGCUGUUUCGUUGCCCACAAAGAGAGAAUUGGUAUUCCUUGGUGUGUUUGUUAUUAACAUUAUGUGCAUAUGGCUGUAAAGACUUGUAUUCGGAGUAAUUUCCCUCAAACCGGUUUCAAUCAGUCAAGACUUGAGAGGAGUAUAUGAGUGUUCAUGCAUCCAUGUAUUUGGUUUGAUAUGAAUGCAACAAGGUUGGUUCUUAUUUCACUGAGUCAGUUUCAACUCCCUUUAUAUCUUAUGGGUGUUGCUAGACUGCGCACAACCAUUUGGUUGUUUUGUACAUUUACUCUAAAAGCUGUUAAUCUAAGAGAUGGGUGAAUUGAGCAUAGAUUUGUAUCUGUUUAUCUUGGACACUUUACAAGCAGUGUAAUAUCUUUGUGGCUACCAAUGUUUUUAUGUUUUCAUUGUUGUAACAGUACUCGGGGUAUGUUUGUUGCUGAGAAACUUGUUAUGAAUUGCAGGAAGUUCAUGACUACUUGAAGACUCUUUGUCCCGACUUGCAUAUUGCUCGAGGUGAGUACGAUGAAGAGACAAGAUAUCCAGAGACCAAAACACUGACUAUCGGUCAAUUUAAGUUGGGACUAUGCCAUGGCCAUCAGGUUUGAUUUCCUUCUGUCUCUUCUUUUAUUUUACGCUCUGUCCUAUAGAAUUGCACUAUGUAGGUUUUAGUAUCGGAAGAAAUUGGAUUUGGUUUCAGACGGAACAUUAUUUCGCUUUCCCUGACUGAGAAUGACCUAAUCCUUACACCUGUGUCUUCCACACAGGACACAUUUCCCUAUUAGAAUAUAAGCUCGAUUUGUCACUUCAAUCAUAUCAUAUGUGUUUUUAAGAUACCGCUCAUCCCAUGGUGCCUAUAAUUUGAAACAGAGUUCUGUUUCUUGAUGUUCUAUCAUUUUGAAGAGAUCAAAACUUUGCUUGCUCUAUUUGUAAAUUGGAUCAAAAGAAGUUUUCUUUAAAGAGUAGAAACACAGAAAUUUAGCUCCAGAUGCAGUAUAGGUCAGCUACGGGCUACCACAUACUGUUUCCUUUUGUGGCUUCCCUAAUUGGAGCAAUUAUGGAUUGAAGUCGUUCCAAACUGUCAUGUGCAAUGAAAUUGAUGCAGUGUAGUUUCCAUUUCUUUUUUAUUAGAAAAGGAUCAUUAGAAAAGGAUCUGCUUUGCCCUUAAAUCUCUUCUUAAUUCACCCUGUGAGAAUUAGGCUGUAAUGGGUUUUGGUGCUGUGUAGGUUAUUCCAUGGGGGGACCUAGAUUCUCUAGCCAUGCUUCAAAGGCAGUUAGAUGUAGAUAUCCUUGUCACAGGUCACACCCAUCAGUUCACAGCCUACAAGCAUGAAGGGGGUGUUGUUAUAAACCCUGGGUCUGCCAGCGGAGCCUAUAGCAGCAUCACCUAUGAUGUCAAUCCAAGCUUUGUCCUCAUGGACAUUGAUGGCCUUCGUGUGGUUGUCUAUGUUUAUGAACUCAUUGAUGGGGAGGUUAAGGUUGACAAGAUUGAUUUCAAGAAGACAACUGCUACUCACUCCGCUCAUUGAACACAAAUUUUAUCUGUUGGAUUUGCUAUAGACUCCAGGAUUCCUCACUCCUUUCUGUUAGUGAUGUAUGCGAUCCCAUUAUCUUUGUAUUAAUGGGCAAUUUUCUGGCUUAUAGAGAUCGACUCAGGUUCUAGCUUUCUGUGGAUUUGAUUCACUUCUGAUAAUGCUCGACUCACUAAUAUGUGUUAAUGACUUGGUUAUUUGUAUGGCAGAUCUCUUUCACAAAGCAACUAUCCUGUUUAUCGAAACUCUGGGAAAUAGAACAGGGCAUCAAUACACCAUUAUGAUUUAGCUUUAAAAGAGCCACUAUUGAGACCAUAUUUUGUACCUUUUUGUUUAACUGUUGUGUUAUAAGUUUUAGGUCUUUCAAUAAGACACAUCUCAUUUUGAUGGUUUCUGAUCAAUAUGAUUAGUCGAUAAGCCUCCGCCCUAUCCUGAUUCAAAAUAUUGAUUACCCUUGCAAUAAGACAUCGCUCUUUUUUUAUGGUUUUGAUCAACAUGAUUAGCUGAUAAUACUCCGGCUAAUCUUGAUUCAAAAUAUAGAUUACCCUUGCAUAGUAGAUCAAAUUUGCACAAACCUUAACUGGUACGAGGGCAAUGAAAAACUAAUCCAUUACAAAAUGAGAAUUUGAGAAGUAUGAGAUAGGGUAAAACGACAGGUACUUAAAUGUAACAUGGAUGUAGGCACCAUGACUUUCACAAGCAUGCUACCCAACGUAAUGAAGUCCGAUCAUGAAAGUAAGAUCGACAUGUUCAAGUCAUAUAUUUGUGCAAAGAAAUGUACAUCCAGGUAACCAAAGGGGCAAUUGUGUCUUGGUUUAUCACUGACAAUAUGACCGAUUCAUGACAACAAUGAAAAGUGGUAAUACUGUCUUUGUUUAGGUUAUUUUUUUUUCUUAGUUAGUUGUUCUAUGUGAAUAUUCUUUUAAAAAAAAAAAACAAAGUGCAAAUGAAUUUAUUUUUGCAUUUUCUACAUUAUUAUUUUGAUUUUUUUUGUUCAUCAAUCUUACAUAUUUAUGGAUUUCGUUUACAAAAUAAAAAGAUUUAGAACGAAAACAAAACGAAACGCAUGCGUGAGCGCAGCUCUUUCGCACGCGCAUCGCACGUGCAGAAAGGCUAGUAAUAGAGAAUGAAAACUUAAGUUGCCUAAACCGUUUUAAGAGAUUAAGAGUUGAGGAACUCUUCAUGCCAUAUGUCUCUCAAACCGGCCACCAUCAAUAAGCCUAACACCUUUUCAAGCAAUCGCAAAGGUGGCUAGUGUUCGAUGAAAAGCCAAGACUUGGUUAUUUGGAUUGCCAUGCAUCGUUGCUGCAUAUGCUCAACACAAUUUCCCAUUUCAGGCUCUAGCAGUUGGCAGUGCUACGGUGAUGAUAAUUAGUGACAAUGUGUUCGAGUGUUGUUUGCCUGAUUUCAGCUUGAAUGUGUUUGAAGGCAUUGGUGAUGUUUUUGUUUACAAUGCUUUGAUUAGUAACUUAGUAUGUCCUAGUAUGGUCUUAUCAUCAAUUGCUUCUUUGCUAGCCAGAUAUACCAAGUGAUGCAUGCCUUUCAUCAAUGUGGUUUCUUUGAUUUUCAGUGAUCAAUGGUCAUGGACUUGUGAUUAUAAUUCAAUUCUAAUUUGGAAUUACAACGUGAAGAUUUGGACUCCUAAUGUGUUUCGGAAUUUUGUUUCAUCAGGAAAAGAAGUACGAACUUUGUACAUUGCUUUACCUUUCUCCUACAUCAAUCAGGAAACUUUUUCUUAUACGAGUGAGAAUGGAAAAUAAAAAGCUAAGUUGCAUAAGCGCUCGAGUUAUCCUUAACUUUGAAGUCACUCAUCUCCAUAACCAAACAGGAUUUGGGAAUCACAAUUCAAAAUGAACCCGCUGGUCACUAAAUGAAAAGAGUUGCAAGCAAUGAUGCAAUACAAGUCCGAACCUAAUAAUGAAAACACAGUAAUUAUAAAUACUAGGCACUGGCAGCUCCAUAAGUCCCUAUAAGCUUUCCUCUUAUUACACUGUGUAUCCUUACAGUUUUUCUAUACUUGCUUUGUUUAAGAUGGCGAGUUGUGAUGUAUGGCAACCAGAAAGUCCAGAAAUCGACCAAUUAUACAACACUUCCUCAGAAGAACCGGAGUUCUCGAUUGAGAUUUUUGCUUCCGUUGAUGGAAGUGGGCGCUAUGGACAGUUCAAUGUGCAGUGCCAUCUUUUGACAGAUAUUAGGGAAUCCGGGUAUGUAAUCUCCAUCAUGCUUUCUCGGGUGGGGGUUCCCUAUCAUGUUCAGCCAUCAAUGAUCCAAAAGAUUUUUACUGAUGCUCACCACAUAGCUAAUGAUCCUAGUAACAUGUACCUCAAGAUUAUUCCGAUGGUAGUGUCUCUUAGAGUAGUAUCUGAUCAGGACCGGAUACCUGAAUUUCCCGUCCAUGAGAUAAGGUUUGUCUCCACCAGUAAGUCAGCAAUAGAAGAGAUGCUUGAGUCGAAGACAAUUGAAGGCUGCGAAGAGCAAUGCGUGGUGUGUUUGGAUGAGAUUCCAGUAGGGGAUGAAGCCACAUGCUUGCCUUGCUCACAUGUGUUUCACGAAAGUUGCAUAGUGACUUGGCUGGAGAAGAGCAAUCUUUGCCCAUUGUGUCGAUUUGAGAUGCCUGCCGCAUACGCAUGACAUCUCUCUUUUCAUUUUUUUGAGUGUCAUUAUUAGAAAUUUAGAAUUUUUUCUGCAGAAUGAUGAAAAAUGUAAUCAGUCUUUCAAGCUAAAAUCUGUACCGGCCGUAUAGUUCUAAUACAAUUUCCGUUAGUUACUGUUCUGUUCACAAUUUUACUUUAUUUCUCUUUCUGUUUCUGGUAUGUGAUAUAAGAUAUAUGGAAGAGUUUGGUACCAAACCUUAGCCAUCUUGAGGUAUCAGACAUCCUUUUAUGAUAACCAUUUUCCACCUAAUUUGUUGAACCAGCCAGUUAAUUUGGUGAGUAACAGAAAAAUGAGAAAAUUAAAAUUGCAAUUUGAUUUCAAUAUUAAAAAUUCACGAAUUCUGAAACAUUUAACUGAGCUAAAUUUUAUUUAAUAGCUACAUAAAGGGGGGUAGUUCUCACAAACGGAUCAAAAAACAUGUAUGCAUCUCUAGUUAGCUGUGAACCUAUAGACCAUAGAAUGCAUAUAAGUGUCUCCUGGAUUCAAAAUUUGUGAAGGGAAAUUUGGAUGAUUCACGGAAUCUGGGAAACCCUGCGUCUCCAAGCACACUGCGGCAUACUUUUUAUACACAAAUCCACCUUUCCCUUUCACAUCAUUUAGCAUGUUACUAGUGUAGAAUUGCAGCCCUGGCUGGUUAGUCCACAGCUCCAUUUUUCGCCCCGAAACACUGUCAUGCAGCACUGCAGCCUUCCUCAAGUGGUCAGGGCUGGAAGGGUCCAUUAUGUAGUUGAUGUCAUAACCAUCAGGCAGCUCAUUGAUCCUGCUACCAAUCUCUCGGGGCUCAAGGAAAUCAUAUGCCGUUCCUUUAACCGGGGCAAUGUCACCAGUGGGGAUGAGUUCAUCAUUGACUGGAGUGAUGUUGGAACCGAAAAUGUGGAUUUUGUGUGAGAGGAUGUCACCGCUGUUGUGGCCGCGGAGAUUCCAGUACGUGUGGUGGGCUAGGUUUACUGGUGUGACCUUGGUGAGAGCUUUGGCUUCCAUUUUAAUAGCUAGUACGUCAUGUCCAACAAACAUGUAUGUUACUGAGACUGAAAGAUCACCAGGGAAGCCUGCAUUAUUCAGCAGAAUUAUCAUGUUAGUUUUCUUAAAAAUAUCAUGAAUUCAUAAUAUAAUUCAUAACCAAUCCCUAUCUCUAAACCCUAAAUCAUGCACCUUCUUCACCAUCCCGACUAUCAUAGGUGAAUGUUAUGUGACUGUCUUCAAUGUGACGCUUCACUGUCCAUAGAACAUCACUGAACCCUUUAGAGCCACCUGAGAUACAUAUACUUAUGUAAUCAGAUCCCUUUUGUUUAUCAAAUAAAAGUUAUAUAUGCAUCAAUGCAUGGUUUAUCAAAUAAAAGUUAUAUAUGCAUCAAUGCAUGGUUCAGAAAGAAUAUCAGAAUUACGAAUAAGAUCACAAAAAAAUGAAGCUAUGUACCAUGGAGAGUGUUCUUUCCAUGAUCAUUAGCAACCAACUUAUAGUGGUUUCCAUUCAAAGUGAAUUCAGCUCUACCAAUUCUGUUAGCAACACGCCCAACGGUGGCCCCAAAGUAGACAGAAUCAUUCUGAAAUAAUUUGAAGCAAAGGAUUAGGCGAGAUUAGGUCUUCAAAAUCAAUAUAUUGUAAAGAAGUAUAUACUAGUACGUCCAGUGCGAGUCACUCAUGAAGUAAAGGCCAACACCUUUAUUACAAUAAAUUAGAAGAUUUGUAAACUUACAGUGUAAUCUUUGAGGGCUUCGAACCCAAGAACAACGUCAUCUAAUUUCCCUGAAAAUAAUAAGAGGAAAUAAAUUAUACAAUGAACCUAAAAUGCAAUUGUUGAGGAAUAUAGAGAACUUGAAAAUAUAUAUGAAUGACAAACCAUUCUUAUCAGGGAGAACAACAGAGAGCACAGUUGCACCAUAAUUUGUCAGCUUCACAGAGAUAUUUCCCUUCUUCAAUUCAUAAAUAUCUCCCACCUUUUCAUCAUUUGCCUCAGAAAAAUUCAAGAUCAAAGGCAGCAGGAAAAGAAAACACCAAUACAAAGAUAUCUUAUUAUUCAUCUUAGGUGAACUAGUUAGCAACAAACACUGCACCAAACAGAAGGCAAGGCCUGAAUGACAAUGCAUACAUAUAUAGAGUAGAUCGAUGUAGAUGAUAUCUAGAUGUGAACUGAUAAGAUAACCGACAGAUUUGAAGGCUUUAAUUUGUUGUGGAUAAGGAUACACGUAUAUGUUCGUUGGAAAGAUAAAGAGUUACUGAUUAAAAAUAUUCAAAAUUGAAUUAUGGAAUUAGAUCUCUCAGAUUUCUGUGUAACUAUUCCUAACGGAUUCGAUCGACCAUUCUGAGUAGGAUGCAAUGAGCUGCUUUCAAUAGAACACUCUUCUUAUUUCCACUUUUAAAGGGUUGAAGAUAAACAACCUUAUAUGGAGUUCUUUUCUCUUUUAAAUUCUGGAAAUAAAUAAAUACCAUUGUCCUAUUACUAUUACUAUGAGCAAUUUAUAUGUACAAAACCAUGCCUCUGCUUGUAUUAUUCGACCAAAUUUUCUCUACUUAAGACGUUAGAUGCAAGUCUUUUGGGUGCACUUGCAACCUUAAUAAAGACAUCCUCUAGAGUAGUAUCUGCCAGGCCCCAAGCAUAGACUGUGAAUAUCUUCUUUACAUGCUCAACUGUUUGGAAAACAUCUGCAAUUCUGACGUCACUUUUAGGGAACUCGAAUUUUUGUGUUCCGGCGAGAUGGUAUACCCUGAUGGCAUUCGGGGCGAGUCCGUGUAUCAGGCUCUCUACUUCUUGGUCAUGACAUGAAUCUGUUGUGAUUGUGAACACGUAUGAUCCUCCAUAUCUGCCCUUCAACUGCGUUAUAAUAUGGCAAUGACAUUACCACAAUGAAAACAUACUUAGGUACGUGAUAUCUAUAUUUACAAAUAUGACAGUCACCGUGGUAAAAAAAAGUUACUUUUUGAGUAAUUUUAGUUUUACUAAAGGUAGUUACUCCACUAACAAUAUUUUUACAAAUUUAUGAACAAAUUGUUGUUGAUAACUUUGUUCAAUUAUUUAUUUAUAAAUGUGUAAAAUGAAUGUUGUUACUUUGUUGACAAUGUCAUAAAUUUGGUUCGAUUAAAUUGUAAUUUUGGUUUAAUUUGUUGUAAAAUGUUUGUAUGAUAUACAUGUACCACUAGUCUUGACAAUGUCUUGUCGUGUUUUACUGUGUUCUUGUCUUGUAAUUAAAAGACCUAAUAAUGAUCAAAAGCGUACCUCUUUUGGAUUUCCUAAGCACUGCAUUCUUCCAUCUACGAAAAUUCCUAUUCGAUCACACAAGAACUCUGCCUCUUCCAUGGAAUGCGCUGGAUAUCAUUUGCAGAUUAUCACAGCAUUGAGUGAGUUAAUUAGUUAAGGAGGUAAUUAAAUCAGGUAAAUUAAGGAGAGAUAGAGAGAGGGAGAGAGGGAGAAAGAGACUGGUGAGUAUGAUGACUCGGCUUUGCUUAGCAAGCUUUAUAACAUUCCAUAGAGUGUUUCUUGAAGCUGGAUCAAGUCCGGUACUGGGUUCAUCCAUGUAAAUAGCCUACAUAUGUAUGGAUUGGACAAAUGAACAAUUAACUAAAACAGUAUAACGUUAAUUAGCAGUAAAAAUGAAAUUAACAAGUAGCUUUGCUUGAUUAAAUCGAUAUGUGAAAGAUGAAGAAGCACUUACUAUGGGAUUCCCUAUGAGUGAAAUGGCGACGCUAAGCCUUCUCUUCAUACCUCCACUGUAUUGCCCUGCUCGUUUGUCAGAAACCCCGCCGUUAAAUAGAUUCAGAUUCUUCAAAGAAUCUUCCACUGCCUUCAUCACAGACGAAUCUAGAUUAUUCAGCAAACAAAUCAACAGCAUCUACAUGCACACAUAAUCUCAAAGUAUUGGACUUACUUUGGUUAAGUCGGAACCUUUAAGGUUCUUAAGUCUCCCAUAAAAUAGUAGAUGCUCUCUUCCUGUUAGGGUUGCCCAUAGUAGGCUAAAUAUAUAUAAUUUUCCAGAAAGAAAGCAUCCAAAACUCAUUAGAUCGAAUUUACUAUCUAAGGGAACCAUGAAGAUCUUAACGAGAAUCAGUUUUCCUUACUCGUGUUGUGGACAAACACCAAUGCAGGCAUAUAUUUCAUUCAUCUGAGUUACAAGGUCCAACCCCUGAACAUAGGCUGUGCCAGUGGUUGGCUUUAUCAGACCAAUCAUCUGUCCAAAAAUAUAUCAUAUGAAAACUAAUUACCUAGAGGAAAACACUGAUGACUGAUAUAAUACAGAAACACACACACACACACACACACACACACACACACAGGAUCAUGCAUAGGAAUAGUACCAUUUCAAUAAAAGAGGUCUUUCCUGCACCACUAGGACCAAGCAUACCAAAGCAUUCGCCUUGAGGCAAAGCAAGAGACAACCCUCUCACUGCAAAUUUCUCAGGGUUUCCAUCUCUUCCUGGAUACACCUUCUUUAUGUUGUCACAUAUCACAACAUGACUUGUAUAUUUUGCUUCUUCCAACAGCUUGUCAACCUUUUCCUUCUGAAGGAAAUACAGCAAGCAACCAGUUAGUACUAAAAUUUUAAAUCCAUCGAUCGUGCAUAAACCCUAAACCUAAAUAAAUUAUAUCGCUUUUCAAAACCUCCUAACUUAUAAAAAGAAAGAAAGAACAAGAAGGUUUAGUACUUGCCUCCUGAGCGACAUCAGGUUUCUCCAUGUCACCAUACCCUUUAGAUCCAAGCCUCUCCAUACUAGGGAUUUGGAGAGCCGGUGCUUUCUUUCUUCGCAAGAAGAAUAAAGGAGAUUUUCCCCAAGUUACAACUUGAUCUAUGUAAAAUGCAAGAAGCAGCAGCACAGCCCACUCUAUUGCCAUGAUGGCCAGGACAUCUUUCAUACCAUUUACGCUAUCAUUCAAAUUCCCCCAACGCAUACCACUAGUCUUCAUGAUUUUCCCAUCGGUGGCAUAUUGCAUAAACUCGAAUAAGCCUCUGUAGAGAGAGAAGCCAGGAUACAACUCUAGAAAAAUGAUCCACCCUUCUGCAUGAGUUCAAUAUUAACGCAAACUAAGUUCAAUAGUCUAUAUAUCAUGCUCAUCAUUCGUUUAUAAUAAUAAUCAAAGUGUACAGUAGUAUUAUAAACUACACAGAAGUGUUCAAAUACUUCAUCAACUUUUAGAACUACUAUUAAUCUUCACUUACUAGGCAUGUGAACAUCCAUGAGUAGAUCCUGGAAGAAAAAGCUUCCCAGAAGCCCGCUUCCGAAAACGUAAACGUAAGCUACAACUGUGGCCAUAAAUAUGAUUUCGAUUUAAGCAUAAGCACGAAAUAGAGAUGCAGAAUGUUCCAAUAAAUAGAGUAGCCAAUAGUCAAUUCUAAUAUCAUACCUGUAGCACUCCUAGUGUGCGAGAACAUUGACGACAGAAGAAAAGCCAGCGCUAUUUGCAAGUUUAUAACAAAGAAGUAAAAGAUAAAUUGGAGGGAGUAGUCAUGUCUGUAGAAGAAGCUUAACCCUGCCGUAGAAAACAUACAUGCAGAUUAACUUCAACCAGAGAAAAAUAUAUCACAAGCAAGAAAAAUUCUUCGGCAUAAUUUACCUACCUAAGAUUGAACCAAAUCCAACAAAACAUAUAAUGUAGGACAUAUAUAUUGUAAGAAAAUAAGAAUAUGAGAUCAUCCAAUAAGGUCCAUCACCAAGGCCAUGCAUCUUCAUCAUCACUCUCAGUCUUUCUUGUUUCUCAUAAACCAGAUUCGCUAACACUACCUACAAGAACAACAUAUCUAUCUCAGUAUCGUAUUAUCAAGGUUUAUUACACGCACACACACACACACACACACACAUGUGUCUGUAUCAUCAACAUUAUUAAUCUUACCGGGAACAACUGUAAAACAACCCAUGUAAACAACACUGGACCGAUAAAUGCCCCCAAAUCGGGAAUGUCUGAGGUAAAACCCUUGGGCAUUUCUUUAACAAAGUCGAACCGAAUCGUCUUAGCUCCUGUAAGAAACUGAAGGUACGCGUUUGAUACCUGUGAAUUACACUUGUUAGAACUAGUAGUACUGAUCGAAUAGGUGAACAUUGAUCACUGCAUAUAUAUGCAGUAUUUCUUAAGAAAUUAACCAAAAUACGCAUUUGGUAUUGUACACUUGAAUACCAUAUUAACCAAGCGUGGAACUCGUUUGAUCACUUCCGGAUUGGUGGUUAUUGAUUGCAAGAAAUCCCUAUUGCUUACUGUUGAAUUGUACCAUAUGUUCACAUUAAAAGAAUUUUCAUCCGAGUUUGAGAUAUCUAACGCUGCAAGAAAACUUCAACUGUUAGUAUAUAUUGCCCUACAUGAUGACAGUUAGUUUAUAUAUAUGAUUAUUGUGAGACAGCAAUGGAGUGCGGGUGUGUAAAUCAGCUAGAUUAAUUAGUUAACCUGUAAGUAUUCCAUUAGCUUUGUUCUUUUUAUUCCCCCCGGCGUCACCUUUGAACAGUUCAUCGUUUAUUUCAGAAGAACUAUUACGCCACAAUAUUAGAUAUGGGAGACAUUCAAUAUCUACAUGAUUCAGAACAAAAUAUUCGUCAGGUAAUUUGCAUAAAAAUACUUAAUUGAAGGUACGUUAUAGCUGGAGAAAAUACUACAACAAAAGCAAGACCUUAAUAGUUCUUACCUGUUUCAAAUGUGAGCUUUGAUGCUACUUGUAGUUUUGUGCUAUUUCUAUUUAUAUUAGAGUCUUCAUUAUUAUCACAUUGUUCCUGCAGAAUAUAGAGCUGGUCUUGUGCAACAAUAUCGUCAGUGAUAGCAAAAUCUCGAUGAAGGCUUGUUUUGUCAUCGACUCUUGAAGUGGUACCCUAUACAGAUAUUCAGAAUAAAAUAAAAUAGCUCAUAAUAAUCAGUAUUUACUGUAUACAUGCAGUACAUAUAAGUACGUACCAAAUAGAAAAGAAAAAAAAAUAUAGGAGAUCGAAGAGAAAUGACAACAUACCAUGACAACUUCUGCCCAAUCGGUAAUGCUGUUGGUGGAAUUUUUAGGGAAACCACCAGCCGGGAACAUGUUAUCACCCAAUCCUACAUUCCCAUAGGAUAAAGUAAGGCAAAUUAGUGAAGGAUUUUUAUUCAUAAUACGCUAACUACUACAGAUAGCUAACACGCCAGAUACGUAUAUCAGUUCCUAUCCAGAGCGGGAAUUGCUACCUUGUGCUAAUGUCUGGUUAUUCCCGGUGAUGAGCGUGGUGACAGGACAGCCAAAGUUUUCGUUCUUCAUGCAUGACUCAUCGGGCAAGUCCGUCCAGGGAAAGAUAUCACUUCGGACAGCACGAGCAUAAGGUUGUGGUACUUGUAACAAGGGAGGCCAUUCUAUAGGAGAAGGGAUUGGACACUGUAGGGGAAAAGUUGAUGUAAUUUCAUAUGGCGAUGGCCCUUUCUUGCAAUAAUCAACGCUCUUUUUCACAUAAUAGGUCUCUGUUCCAUAUUGGAUAAGGGCACAUAAAGUGCAGAAGAAAGCUGGUAUUAGAAUGAUUGUAAUGUUGGCGCACAGUCUUCGUUUCUACAUGAAAAAUGAAAUUCUCAGAUAUACAAUACUCAUGAACAUGAUGAUUUCACCACCAUAUAUAGCAUAAAAAUUACAAAGAGCUAGAGACCUGAAAGGUUAAGUUCUUUCUGAGCAAAGCAUUGGAUUGGACCCAGAAAUUAGCUUGGCUACCAACAAAAUCCGCCAUUACUCAAUCUUCGAAACGAAGGGAAAUCCUUUAAUUUGAUACCCAAGAAACCCAAGUUUGAACCAAAGAUUCAGAACCAAGUCUCAAAAGAGAAGAGAAAGAAGAAGCUGUAUUGUGAAAAACAAAAAAAAACAGAAAAAGACACAGGAGACUUAGGGAUGGCAAUAAUCCCCAGCGGGUAGGGUACCCACGGGUAUUCGACCCUAACGGGGAAGAUAUACGGGUAUAAACGGGUAACGGGGAUGGGGAUCCUUAGUAUUCGGAUUCUUAAAUCGGGUACGGGGCGGGUAUGGUAUUUUGAUAUUCGUCCCCAUCCCCACCCAUUAAGGAUGAAAAUAUUAUUAUAUAUAAUUAUAUAAUUUAUUAUUAUAUAUAUUUAUAUAUAAUUUAUAAAUAAAUAUUUAUGUAAAAAAAUUUGUAAUUCUCUUAAUAAACAUUUAAUGGACCUUCCUUUUUAUUAUAUAUUUUUAUUCUCUUAAUGAAAUUUACCGGUAUUGUUAUGUUUUAACCAAGACUUGUAUUUAUUUUUAUUGGAUUGAAGUAUGAAACUUAUUUAUUUUGGUAUUUGAUUUUAAUUUCAUACUUUUAUAUAAUUGUAUUUCGUAUUUAAAAAAAAAAAUUUAAUUUAAUACAUAAUUGUUAACGGGUACGGGUACGGGUAUGGAAACGUAAUCCCCAAAGGGUACGGGUACGGGGAAUCUCCAUUAUCUAAUUACGGGUACGGGGACGGGUACGGGGAUGAAAAAUGUAAAAAGGUAUGGGUACGGUAUUUUGAUCCCCGUACCCUACCCUACCCAUUGCCAUCCCUAAGGAGACUAUACCCUCGCUUUAAUAUGACCUGCAUUCUUUUGUUGCUAAAUUAAGCAAGUCUCGAGAGGUAAAGCCCGAUUUGUUGGGUUACCAUCACAAUGAAAAAUCCUUUGUUCAUUAUAAGGAAAAAAAUCAUAUAUAUAUAUGGACGGCUAAAUGAUCACUAUGAUAUGAUGCCUUUAAUUUCACAUCACUGCUUUCUGGCUUUCUGGAAUGGUGCUGUUACUGGCUUACAAUCCUUACAUUAUUCGAUCACAGACUCAUUUGUCUGGUAGCAGUGGAUCACAGCCAAAUUUGGUAAAUACCAUAUACUAAAUUAGUAAAUUAUGCUUUUUACUAAAAAAUUUGCCCCAAUAGGAACAAAUGAAGCAUAAGUAUUUGGACAGAGAACCAAAAUGAACUUGAAGUAUCUGAAACCUUAUUACGUGUCAGCUUCCCUUGAUGAAGACUUCCUUGAUGAACAUAACAAAAACAAGGUACUAUGAAUGCUUCUUUGACUUGUUCUAUAUAACAAUAGGAGAGAUUCUUUACAACGAGUACAUACCUAUUUUAUAUCAGCUAUAGAAGGAAUAGAGAUGUAUAGUUAUGUAUAGUUCCAGAUAUAAGAUAGAUUAUUGACAUAGAAAAUAUAUGAGGUAGGCGCUCACUAAAUUAUGGCAAUUAUUCUAAGACAUUGGACGCUUGAGCCCCAAGUGCGACCUUGAUGAAAACAUCCUCCAAGGUAGUGUCAGCUAGACCCCAUGCGAAAACUGUGAACUUGCUCUUUGCAUUCUCCACGGCUUGGAAUACAUCUGCAAUGUAGACUUCUUGUUUUGGCAACUCAAACUUCUGGGUUCCGGAGAGAUGGUAUAUCUUAUUAGCAUUUGGGGAGAGACUCCGCACUAUGUUCUCCACCUCUUCCUCGUGAUUUGAAGAUGUCGUCAUUGUAAACACAUAAGAUCCUCCAUAUCUAGCUUUCAGCUGUAAUAUGUCAUUGUAGUAACAAGUGAUACGUUUAGAAAUUGACUAGAAACACAGAUACCAAUAUGAUCUAUGACAGUACAGUAUAUCGAGAUGUUAUGGCACUAAUUGACCGAACCUCUUUUGGGUUUCCUAUGCACUGCAAGCUACCAUCUACGAAAACUCCUAAACGAUCACAUAGAACUUCUGCCUCUUCCAUGGAGUGCGCUGGUACGUAUACAAGGAUUACAAGCUUUGUAAGUGAGCUAAAGAGACAAAAUAUAUCAUUAUCCUGUCAUUUGACUGGCCUCGCUACAAUUGUCUGUGUGUGUGUGUGUGUGUGAGAGAGAGAGAGAGAGAGAGAGAGAGAGAGAGAGAGAGAGAGAGAGUAGUAGUUAGUAGUAGUNNNNNNNNNNNNNNNNNNNNNNNNNNNNNNNNNNNNNNNNNNNNNNNNNNNNNNNNNNNNNNNNNNNNNNNNNNNNNNNNNNNNNNNNNNNNNNNNNNNNNNNNNNNNNNNNNNNNNNNNNNNNNNNNNNNNNNNNNNNNNNNNNNNNNNNNNNNNNNNNNNNNNNNNNNNNNNNNNNNNNNNNNNNNNNNNNNNNGAGAGAGAGAGAGUACUUGUUAGGAUGAUUGCACGAUCUUGUUUUGCCCGCUUCACAACAUUCCAUAAAUUAUGUCUUGAAGCUGGAUCAAGUCCGGUGCUGGGCUCAUCCAUGUAAACAACCUACAUAGAAUUUGCAAAUGAAGCAGUAAAUAGGAUAUCAAGAAAUUUACAGGGAAAAUUGUCACACAGCUAGAGUAGCCCAAGAGUGAUCAAGACAUACUUUAGGAUCGCCUAUCAGUGAAAUUGCGACGCUGAGCCUUCUUUUCAUACCUCCACUAUACUUUCCAGCUACUUUGUCUGCAACCCCACCAUGAAAUAGAUUGACACUCUUCAAAGAUUCCUCUACUGCCUUGAGAAACAAAAUUUAGAUGCAGAACAAGGAAAAACAGCUAAGCUUAAUCUGCAAGCACAAAAUACAUAAAUGUAUGUAAUGACUUACUUCUCUUAAUCCAGAACCUUUGAGGUUCUUAAGUCUUCCAUAAAAAAGUAGAUGCUCCCUUCCAGUCAGGGUUUCCCAUAGUAGGCUGCAAAUGUCCCAAACUCAAGAAGUUAUUUAAUUCAAAAGGGAAAGACCAGAAAAGGAAAUUUAUGCCUUCUUGACAGAACAGGCAGAUAUCACAGCUUACUCAUGCUGUGGGCAAACUCCCAUGCUGGUAUAUAUUUUAUCCAUCUGAGUGUUGAUGUCCAAACCUUGAACAAAAGCCGUGCCAGAGGUUGACUUCGUCAGACCAAUCAUCUGUUGAGAGAUAUAGAGAUGUCAUGAACCCAAAGAAUCACAAGAGCAAUGAAAUGUAAGAAUGUUGUAGUCACAUGAGAAAAUCCAAAAGGGAGAACCAAACCCAGAAAUAUUAAUCAAAUCCAAGGAGGACAACUACCAGAGCUGAGUGAAGCAGAUGUAAAUAGCUAUAGCGCGGGCUAAAGUGACAUUCACUCGUGUUAUUCAAAUAUAGGAGUACUUGAAGUUAAUUAUAAACUCCAAUAAACAUUUCUGUUAUAUAUUGGAGUAGUAUAAUAUUACUUUCUAAACAAACUUUCCAGCUUUUUAUCACAUUUUGUUUUAGAUAAUCAGACGCAAAGUGGUAAUGAAUAUUGAUUCCACCAGAAAACCAGAAAAAAGUUAUGUCUAAGGAAAUUUUAGUCAUAUAUAUAUAUAUAUAUAUAUAGAGGCCGGAUAUGAAGCGCACGUGCGUAAGUGCGCACCGAGCUCCAUCCGGCGCACCUCCACCCCAGCGGACUCAAGCAGCGUCCCCGAUCACUUUCCCUCCCCGGCGAGUCCGCCGAAUUCCAGUUUUCCGGCGAGAUCACCCAAAACUUCAAAUAAAGUCGAUCUCGCCGGCGUCGGCGCUGGAGGGUGGAGGGUGGAGCUUCGUGCGCACUGCGGACGUGCGCUCCAUAUCGUUUCCGUGUGUGUGUGUAUAUAUAUAUAUUAAGUUGAUGGAAAAGGUCCAAUCAGUAUACUCACCAUAUUAAUAAAAGAGGUCUUCCCAGCCCCAUUAGGGCCAAGCAUACCAAAGCACUCCCCUCGAGACAAAGCAAGAGACAUCCCUCUCACGGCAAAUUUCUCAGGGUUUCCAUCUCUUCCAGGAUAAACCUUUUUGAGGUUGUUGCAAAUAAUUGCAUGACUUGUACCCGGUUCCAGAAGCAAAUUGUUGACCUUCUCCAUCUGGAAAGGACGCGAAAGCUUUGUUCAUGUUUACAGUAAGAUGAAAACUUAUAAAUAUCCAGUAGAUGUGCAUCAACAAAAUACCCACUGAAAAUUCGUAUGAGUAAACAACAUGAGAUAUGCAAAGGGUAGUAAACCUAUGAACUAUCAUCAAAUUAUAUAACAAUCACUGACUGAAUCAUAGUAAUCCUAACAGGAGUGAUUUUAGCACUCCACUUUUCAACACUUUUUCCAUUGCACUCCACAAUUAAGUAGUUGAAAGCGGACUGCCAAAUCACUUCCUGAAAAAAAAAAAAAAAAAAGUACAAUUUCCAUCUUCCAACCUAAACGAUCUGGAAAAUCAUUACAGUAACUCGUACCAUCCCUUGUGGUGCACCAGUCAGACUGGCUCGUUCAGAGCAUUAGUAAUUGCGCAAUGUAAAUAUAAAAAUAAUGCGGACUGAUAAUUGCAAGAAAGAGAUACCUCUUGCCCAACAUCAGGUUUGUCCAUCUGCAAAAUCACUUUAGAGUCCUGUCUUUGCAAACUAGGCAUCCUACGAGAUGACAGUUUCUUCCUUCCUCUUUGAAAGAAAACUAAGGGAUGUCUCACACUUCCUGAUGAUGAUACAGCUUGAUCUAGGUAGUAUGCAAGAAAGAGUACCACAAACCACUCAACAGCCAUGAUAAUCCAGACCUCUUUCAUCCCAUUCUCUCUAUCACUCAAAUCUCGCCACCGCAUCCCAUCAGUUCCCAUAUAAUUCCCAUUAAAGGAAUACUGAGCAAACUCAUAUAACCCCCGAUAUAAAGAGAAGCCAGGAUAUAGCUCUAGAACAGUGAUCCAACCUCCUACAAGAAACCAAAACAAUUUCACAAUUUUUUGUGGGAAUUUUUUUAUGUAUAAUUAAGAAGUGGCAAAGUUAGAAGAAGUAUGGUACAUUUUAGUCCACUUACUAGGGAAUGACGAAGUUUGGAGGAAGAACUGAAAAAGAGAGGCUCCCAAAAGCCCAGUUCCAAAGACACAUAUAUAACCUAUGACUGUUAUCAUCAAAAGAAUCAUGAUAGACAUGUCAAUCAACUCAUCAUGCAAGAUUAAAUUCAAGAAGUUCCACUAGUCCAAUAUAUUUCCAUGAAAAGACAAACAAAAUAUUCAAACCUGCAGAAGUCUUCACGUUUGAAAACAUAGUAGAUACUAGAAAAGCCGUUGAUACUUGCAAGUUGAUAUAGAUGAAGUAAAAGACAAAUUGGAUGCUGUAGUCAUUCAGUGUGAAGAAUUUUAAUCCUGUAAAACAGUCAGCUCUAUUAAGCUAAUUCAUCAAAUACUUAGUUCAAGAAACUGGAAGUAAAGCCAGAAUAAUAUAUACUUUUCAAGAUUAUCAUAUUUACCUAUAAGUGAGCCAAAUAUAACAAAACAUAACAUGUAGAUUGAAGAUACUGUGAGAAAAUAUAUAUAUGAAAUCAUCCAAUAAGGUCCAUCACCAAGUCCAUGCAUUUUCAUCAUGAUUCUCAAUUUUUGUUCUUUCUCAUAAACCAGUGAUGUCAACACCACCUACAUCAGAAUUGAGCAAGAAGGGAAAGGUAUAAGUAAUCAUGUGUAGACACUGAUCAAAUUUAUGUGCAUAGCAUGGAUGAUAAGAUUGGGAAAACUGAGCUUUUACAACUAUUUCAAGUGGUAGUUUAAAAGGUUGCAAUUGAUUAAGGUACAGCCUAGCAUAAGAAAAAAAAAUGUGGUUCAAUGGAUAGGUUCAGAUUCAAGUUCAGAGGCAAACAUUGCUAAGUUGUGGAAGAACUUGUAGCAUGGCAUGUUAACUUCAUGACUCCAAUAUUCAGAUGAUACAAGACAACAAAGAAGAUGAUGACGUACAAAUCUGACGAUAUUCCCAAUCAUUAUACAAUAGUUCAGACAAAAGGGUGGUUUGUAAGGUAAAUGCAAUUGGCCACCUAUUAAAUUAAAAAAAUAAAUAAAUAAAAAUUCUAGCAAAAUCCAUGACUACAGACGAGUCUUGUAAACUUGACCAAGUUCUAUGGAUGAACAAUGCUUCCCAUACUCACCGGGAAUAGCUGUAAAAUGACCCAUGUGUAGAAGAGUGUACCAAUAAGAGAAGAAAAGUCCAGCCUGAGACUGGUUUCAGGCUUGGGCAUUUCUUUGACAAACUCAAGCAAAAUGUUUGUACCAUAUCCUAGCAAAAACUGAAGAUACGCAUUGGAUACCUGUGAAUAUAUAGAAUUGUUAGCAGUUGUUAUUGUUUGUCAGUUGAAAACAAAUAAAGAAAUAAUAAUAAUAUCAUCCUAGUCAGGGAAACAAUUUAACCAAAAAUCACAUGCAGUUUCAAAUGUAGGAGAUCGAAAAUACCAUUGCUCAUUGACAAAUUAUGAAUCAUUGAUUGCAACAACAGAUGCAAUGGCCUGAUAGCAGCAUGGCUAACAUUAGCAAUUUUUUUCAGAAACCUAGUACUGGCUGCACACUCCCAACAGGCCCAACUACUACAACUCUAAUGCUCUAGCAGCAUGAAGGUUUGGUAAUCAGGUCCAGACUACUACACAAGCAGAACUCCUAAUAACAUUUAUUUCCCACUUCUCUCAAUCUUGCUCUAUCUUCCGAGUCAAAGAUACUUGUGAAUUAAAGAGACCAUAUUCUUUAAACUUGUAAGAUUCACAGAAAAUAUUCUUAUGAACAGUGACACACUGACUUUAAAAAUAAAAAUAAAAAUAAAAACCAUUACUCUAGACUCUAGAUAAAACUCAAUAUAUAUGAGCUAGAUAUAUACCAAAUUUACUGAGCGUGGAAUCCGCAGCAAAGCAAUAGGACCAUUGCCUGUGUCAUUCUUAAAGGUUGAAUUAUACCAUAUGCUUACAUUAAAGUUGUUCCUAUUCGAGUUAGAGAAGUCAUAAGCUGCAUGAAAACCACUAUCAGUAUUGCGCUGCAAAUACAAAUGCUUUUCACAAAAACAAUGGAGGCAGAUAUAUAAAGUAGAUAACCUGAAAGUAGUUCAUUAAUCUUCCUUUCUGAAUUCCCAUAUCUGUAACCUUUAUAUAGCUCAUUGUUUACCUCAGAAGAGCUAUUGCGCCACACAUGCAAACCUUGAACACAUCUCACCUCUGGGUUCAAAACAAUUUAGGUGAUUAAAAGAUAUAGAAGGUGACAUGCAAAAGAAUUUGUGUAUGUGGCCACACAAAGAAGUUCAAAGCAGAGCUCGAAUGUUUCCGUCAUGGAUGUGCGGACCUUAAAUUGUAGAGCAGAAAUUGAGACUUUAAGAUCUACUAUAAAUAAAGGAGCAAGGAUGUGUUUACCUUGUUGUAUUUCAAUGGAUGAAAUAUUAAUGGGAAUAGAAAACACAGAGUUUUCUGAGCAUUUGCUUUGCACGUUAUACAUCGGAAGACCCGAAUAGAAGGCAGGAUCCAGGAAAUUGGAAUAUUCAGGCAAUGAUUCUGAGCCCUGAGACAUUUCAAAAGAACUGACAUUAAGGUAUGAGGAAACUAAAAAGACAAAAUACUAAAGAAGAUAAAUAGGAUGGUAUUCUCCAACAAAAUGAAAAGUAAAGAAACGCGGAGAAAGACAACUUACUAAGACACUACUGGCUAAACUAUCCGGAUUAUCAGAGGAAUUCAAAGUAAAAGGAAUUGUGAACAUAUUCCGAGCCACAACUAACAGAAUGCAGAAAAUAACAGUGUUAAGUGAAUCCAAAAUGAACAUACUAACAAAACAAUUAGCAGAGAAAGAGAAGGUAAAUACCUUCACCAAGAGAAUGAUUAUUCCCAGUGAACAAUAUGGUUACAGGACAAGAUCCUGUCCUCUUGCAUGAUUCGCUCGGCAAGUCCUUGUAUGGAACAACAUCAGAUAUCACCGCGCGAAAGUCAGGAUUUGGGAUUUGAAGCAAUGGCAGCCAUUCUGGAGGAUGAGGAAUGGGACAAGUGGCCGCUUGAUCCAAAGUUGAGUACUUUAAUCCACAAACUUUCUCACACACGCCGUCUCCAUUAGUAUCAAUGCAAACACAGCCACACCUAUUUUCAGGCUUGUCGAGUUCAAUGUUGACCAAAAUUUGGAUGAGAAGCAGCAAUGUACAGAGAAGAAUUGGGACUGAAACUAGCCUAACAUUCUGUUUUAUAUUUCGUUUCUGCAUAAAACAAGUAAACAACAUAAUACACCAUUAUCAUAACAUUUCAUAUAUCUCCUAAAGUCACACAAUUUCCAACUCAAAUCUCAAUAUAGGGUCAUUAAACCAAUACAUAAUCACAUUUACCAACUGAAAGUGACUACUUGAUAAAUAAAUAACUAAAUAGAAAAGAGAAAACGACCAAGAAUCGAUCUUUAUGUACGAAAAUGAAAGAAACAAGCGAACCCAGAAGUGUUGAUGCUCUUUGAUUACGUUAUAGUAAUUAAAAACCAAAUUUGAACCAAACCCAAAACAAGAAGAUCACAAAAAAGAACCCAAAACAAGAAGGGAGAGAGGGACCUGGAAAGUUAAGCUCUUUCUGAGCAGAGCAUUCGCUCGAGUCCAGAAGCUGGCACGGCUCUCCGUCUCCGCCAUCGAAUACAAACAGUAGCAGAAAAAUUUGAAUUUCCCACUCAAAAUUCAAGCUUGCUCAUUCGUUUCUUCUUUGCUUUCUGAGAUUUAGGUGAUUGUGGACGGCAUGGCUUUGUAAUAGUUUCAUGUUUAUAUAGUCCAAAAAUCAAAUAUAACAAACCAAUAUAGUCCGAACCUUUUGCUUUAUUUACGAAAAUGACACGACGCCUUUUUUUUUUUUGGUUACAAAAUGACAUGCCUUCGCGAUCUUUGGUGAGAUAAUCUAAAUAUUUAGGUGAAUUGGUUUUUUUUUUGUGCGGUUUCAGAUCAAACACGGAUACUAAAAAGAUCUAUAAAAUUAUGUUCAAAAGGUUAAGCUCAGUUUGACCUGACUCACUUAAAUAUUCAUAUUACAAUAGUUAACCAAGUGAAACUAACAUGAUGUUCACUUUCUUUACAUGCAUCUUUCUCACCCAAGUGCUAGGUGACAUGAUACUACAUGUUUGUUUUCACUUUGUUUUUGGUAAUGAUCUAAGCAAAGAGGAGACUAAACGAGACAUAUUAAAAAUAAUAUAGAAUUAAAUAAAUUUAAAGACCGGAUUGGGUGGGUUAGGACCUGACCCCAUAUCAAAUCAACUUUUAUGCGUGUUGAUGUUUUUUGAACCAUGAUUUGUACAGUGUGGUGGUAUUGCAUUUUUGGUGUCAAAUACUCAAAUGCAUACCUAUAUUCGUAGAUACAAGCUAGCCUCCUAACAUGCACUCUACACAUACCAAUUGGCUUUUUUGUUUGCUUUUAAACAAAUAUAAAAAAAAUCACGUAAAUGAAAAAAACAUAGAUUUCUUAAUAGAGAUCUAUGAAUCCAAACAAUGUCAUUUUGCAUUUGAAGACUCAUGGAUCGGGUUAUUUCUUAUGAGAGAAGCUUCUCACUCUGUAAGAUUACGGCCAUUUCGAUGAUUGCAAAGAUGACCCUGUUUUAUUCGUGAGAGAUUGCAAGUGCAGCAAAAAGAGUGGACACCUUCUCGAUCAAACCAUUACAACGUUAAACAAAAAAAAAACCCAAAAAUUGCAAGCCGUCCUCUCUUAUCUCUUGAAUUCUUUUAUCCAUUGAGUGUCAAACAUAUUUGUGUAAAUAUAUCAUUCACUCAUAAUCUAACUUAGAACGUGAGGAAGUUUCAGUGGCAAGGGAGCCCUUCUAGUGAGGGCCCUUAAGUUGAGGACUUGGUGAGGACUUUUCAGCUUAUCCCACAUUUCGAUCUUAUAUCUACAUCUUGACCGUUCAGUUUAUAGGUAUUUAUGAGUAGAUCAUUUAUUCAAAUUUUCAACUAUAUUGAAAAUUGUUAAGACAUUCAUAAGUAUGAUUUAUCAAUUAUGAACUUGAACGGUUCAUAUUUAACAGAUUUGGUUCAUCUAUUAAUUUGAUCUAGUUUGUUAUCUUAACGAACACCAAUUUGGAUGAAAAUUUGUAGAAAUGAUCUACUCAUAUAAACCUAAAAACUGAACGGAUAAGAUGUCAAAAUGUGAUUGAAAAUUGGGUCUUUUAAACCAUAAACCGAAAAGUCCUUACAAAGUCCUCAACUUAAGGGUCCUCACUAGAAGGGCUUCCUCAGUGGCAACACCAAGGGAAUCUUUCUAAAAAAUGAUAUUGGUCAAUCCAUUUUACAUAUAAACCACACUCCUUAUCUUAAAAAACUGAAGAUAUGGUAUGGUUUCUUGCAAGACAUGCUAGACUGAUUUUAAUUAUAUAUACUACCUACUCCUCCAUGAACCAACAUCAUUUUCUGGAGAGGAAAUUUCACUCAAGUUGGCUAGCUUAUGAAAUUCGUAAUUAUUUACUUCUAUUUCUUGCAAUACAAGUCACUUAUGUCUCAGUUUUAAACAGAUUAUGUCACGUAAUAGCCAUUUUAUAAGAUAUGAACAUUUUCCAAGAACUUACUAGAAAAGCUGAUCAUAGUGGCAACUCCGUAAAUCGACUACAAACAACGACCAAAUGCGUAAAUUACAGAGCCUAAGACCAACGGCUGUGUGGUAAGUAAAGUAAAAAAAGAAAGUAACUAUUUUUGAAACAGUGGUAAAGAAUUUCCCAUAUCCUCUCGCUCUCGCGCCACUUUGUUUGAUCACUUAAUUUCCCCAUGCACACCAAAAAUCCGAACCAACGUCAUCGGAAAUCAUGGAGUUGGUGAGCGGAUUCCCGUUGCUCCUCCAGCAAUUCACGGCCUUGUUCAAGAAGAACCUCCUCCUGGCGUGGCGGCACAAAGUCGGCACCACCGUCCACCUCUUCUCUUCCUUCUUUUUCAUUUUCCUCAUCUUCUGCAUCGAGAAAGCAAUCAAUGUUCACAACGCGUCGUCCCCGGAGAACAAGAGCGUCACGGACCCCGAGCCGCUGGUCUCGCCGCCCAUCCCGCCCUGUGAGGACAAGGAUUUCAUCAAGAAGCCGUGCUAUGACUUUGUGUGGAGCGGCGACGACCCCUUGAUCAACGACAUUGUGGACGCCAUCAGGGACAACAACCCCGGCCGGCGAAUCCCCGCCGAAAAGGUAUGAUUUUCAAAUGAAGUAGUCUACACAAUGUACAUUUUUUUUUAGAAAGAAGACAUAGAAUUGCAUUAAACGCAACUGAGAUAAGUACAACAGAUAUAAGUACAUCGGAUUUGUCAUUGUGGUUAAUCCUCUACCGCAAAAUUGAAAUGCAGGAAACAAAAGGCAAACCUAACUAAUUAUGCGUUGCCUGAGGGUUUUGAAUAUUUGCACAUGCAUGCAGGUGAAAGCGUUUAGAACACCGGCUGAAGUAGACGAAUGGCUGCUGGAUAAUCCUAAGACUUGCCCGGGAGCUUUGCAUUUUACGGUGAGAAGUCCCGAUGUGAUCAGCUAUGGCGUGCAGACUAAUUCCACUCAAAUUUUAAGAAGAGGGGACGGUGAAGAUCCCACCUUCAAAUUCCAAAUUCCGCUUCAGAUUGCCGCGGAGCGUGAGAUUUUUAGGCAUCUGAUUGAUGGUAUUGUGUUUCGCUUCGUUUCUUAUGACAUUUGCAUGAUUAAUGUCAUUCCACUCCUUGCUUUACAUGCCUGCCUGCUUCUCAUUCAGUUCCGGAUUUUAGCUGGAAUAUUUCUUUCAAGGAAUUUCCACACCCUGCAAGGGAGGUGUCCUCAGCAAUGCAGAAUAUGGGACCAGUCUUCUUCCUUGCAAGCGCAAUGUUUGCUUUUGUGUUUCAAAUGACUUCUUUGAUUACAGAGAAAGAACUAAAGCUCCGAGAGGUAACAUUUACUUCAACAGUCUAUCUAUUCUUUCUAGUUACAUAAUGUGCAUGAAUGCUAAUCCGAUCAGGUAUUUUCGGAGCAGGCAAUGACGAUGAUGGGUCUUUAUGAUACCGCCUACUGGUUAUCAUGGCUUGCAUGGGAGGGAAUCAUGACAGUUCUCUCAUCGCUUUUCAUAGUUCUCUUUGGAAUGAUGUUUCAGUUCAAGUUUUUCCUAGUCAACAAUUUUCUAGUCCUGUAUCUUGUCUUCUUUCUUUUCCAAUUGAAUAUGGUACGACCACUCUUCCAUGAAAUUGCUUCCAUGUUCAUUUCUGUACUACUUAAGCAAUGAAACAAGCUUCCAGUCCAUGCUCUUUUAUUUGUCAGAUUGGUUUUGCCUUCAUGCUCUCGGCCUUCAUAAGCAAGGCAUCUUCAUCCACAACUGUGGGUUUCAUCAUAUUCAUUAUUGGCUUUAUAACCCAGGCAAGAUUCUCCUGCAGGUUAACAUUUUCAUUUCAAUUAGGGGUUAUUGGUUCAUUGGCAAUAACAGGAUCAGUUUUCUCAUGCAUUGCAGGGCGUUACAGAGAUCGUUCCUUAUAAACCUGGAAUUCCUGUUCGAUAUCGAAUCGUUUGGUCUUUCUUCCCGCCCAAUCUUCUUGCCAAAGCUCUACAGAUACUCGCUAUUGCAACAGACACUGCCCAACGUGAUGGGAAGGAGGGGAUUAGGUUGAGUAAAGUAUCAGAUUGUGAAGAUGGGCAUAAAUCAUGUGUUAUAACAAUUGUAUGCACGCAAACACGUCUUAUAACAAUACAUUUGAUGUUGGUUCCUAUGUCUUGAUGUGUUAUUGAUCUUUCCAUCUUAAACCUUUGAUAGGGUGACAUUUACAAAUGGCUUGUAGCUACAUUCUUCCUCUGGUUUCUUCUGGCUAUCUACUUUGAUAACAUUGUCGCAAAUGCAUCUGGUGUGAAAAAACCAAUGUAUUACUUUUUAACUCCUAGCUACUGGUUAGGGUCAAGUGGGGGAAAAGUACAAGGUAAGUAGUGUGAUCAGACUCGAGAUUAGUUUUUGCUUGAGUUUUCAUUUUUUUUUCAAUCGUAUGUACUUAUGAUCCUGAUACUUUUCUUUCUGAUCUUUUCCUAGAGGGUAACAAAGCGGUAACAAAGGAUCAUAUCGCUCCAGAAGAUGUGGAUGUCCUUGAAGAGGAGAACCUUGUCAAACAACAAUCUAUGGAAGGCACACUUGAUCCAAAAAUUGCAGUUCAGAUACGCGGACUUGUUAAAAUAUAUCCUGGGAAAAAAAGACCUUUUUGUUGCUGCUGUUGCUGCUGCUGCUGCAAGGAGACUAAACCUUACACCGCUGUCAAGGUAAAGAAAAAGAAAAUCUUUUGCAUUUUUCAGUUCUCAAUUUUUCAUAAGGAAGUUCAGACCUUUUCUUUGUUUGUAUGGUAACCAUUUAUUUUGUUGGAUCACCUUCAGGGAUUAUGGGUGAACUUUCCAAAGGAUCAAUUAUUUUGUCUACUUGGACCUAACGGAGCCGGGAAAAGCACAACAAUCAGUUGUUUAACUGGAAUUGCACCAAUUACUGGAGGAGAUGGUAAUAGUGUUGAGUCCAUCACUCUAAAUAAUGAUGAAUAUCAGAUCAUGAAGUCCCUAAGGAUAUGAUAAAAUAGUAACAUAUACAUCUUUUGUUAACAGCAUUAAUUUAUGACCAUUCUGCCCGAAGCACCGGUGGUAUGGCAGCUAUUCGAAAACUUAUAGGAGUUUGUCCACAGGUGACCUGCUCUAGCUUUCUCUUACUCUAUGCCUCUCUCUAUCUCAUGAUUUUAACUUUGCUGCAGAAAUCUAUAGAAAAAAAAAAAAAAAGGGACUACAUUUAACUUGUCUGCUUCUCAUCUUCCUUGUUAGUUUGAUGUUCUUUGGAAAGCAUUAACUGGGAAAGAGCACCUCCACCUGUUCGCUAAGAUUAAAGGCCUGUCCCCAUCUUCAGUAGAAAUGGUAUGUGAAACACUAACCUGAAUAUAUAGGUUAAAUAUCUGAACUGUAGGUAUCAUGAGCUCGAAGAAGAAUGACUGUUUGGUGUCUAAUAUACUACUUUAUAUGGAUGCUCCCUCUUGAAUGCAGAUUGCUCACAAGUCAUUGGAGGAUGUGAAACUCAGUGACGCAGCUAGCAUGAGAGCUGGGAGUUACAGUGGUGGGAUGAAACGUCGCCUGAGUGUAGCAAUGGCAUUUAUUGGUGAUCCGAAGUUGAUCAUUUUAGAUGAACCGGUAUGGACAUUACAACUUUUGGUCAUUGAGUUAAUCUACUUGCACUGCUUAUGAAAUAGAGAUUUAUGGUCUGCAGACAACAGGUAUGGAUCCCAUAACAAGAAGGCAUGUAUGGGACAUCAUUGAGGAGGCCAAGAAAGGGCGUUCAAUUCUCCUAACCACACAUUCAAUGGAAGAAGCUGACAUUUUGAGUGACCGGAUAGGAAUCAUGGCAAAGGGGAAGCUGCGUUGCAUCGGAACUUCAAUCAGGCUCAAGUCACGUUUUGGGAGUGGUUUUAUUGCUAAUGUGAGCUUCAGGGGAAGCAGUGAUCCACAAAAUCAUGAAGCAGUGAAGCACUUCUUUAAACAGGUAUGUUAACUCUGAAAUAGUUUGAACAUUUUCUUUAUAUGCGCUACAUGUUUAACUUAGCUGAUGUUUUGAGUUUUGAUAGCAUUUGGACGUUAUACACAAAAACGAGACCAAUUCCUAUCUGACUUUUGUUAUUCCACAAGAAAAAGAGGGACGUUUACCGGUAAUCGUUUCUCUUUCCAUGUUCAUUAUUCUGAAUUGUACCUCAUUCUCAAAAAUAGUUAUGAUCCUCCUAGUCUUAACUAAAGCCUCACUUGGAAGUUAUACAAUUCUGUACAGAGUUUUUUUGCUGAGCUUGAACAUAGGCAACAAGAAUUUGGUAUAGUUGACAUCCAACUUGGUCUUACAACUCUAGAAGAAGUUUUCUUAAAUAUUUCAAGACAAGCGGAGCUAGAUGCCGCCAUGGCAGAGGGGAGGCUGGUUACUCUCACCUUAACAUCUGGAGAGUCAGUUGAGGUAAAGCACAACUUCCUUUCUCAUUAUAUUACUCUGAGCAAGACAGAUAUAAGGUCAUCUGUGAGUUCAUGAUUUCUUGAUUUGCUUUUCUAAAAGUAUUGCAAUGACAUUGCAGAUACCCGUAGGAGCCAAGUAUGCGACGAUUCCAAAAACAGAAUCCGAAGAGCAUCCACAAGGUCUUAUGGUAGAAGUUUACUGGGAUCAAGAUGAGACCGGCAAACUUUGCAUUGCUGGUCACUCAUCCGAAACUCCAGUACCUCGUAACAUUGAUCCCAGGAGUUUACAUUAGCUAGGACACUCAACCAGUUCAAGUGGAACUGUGAUUCACCCCAACAAAAUCAGCAAUCCUAAUUCCCAUUGAACUGUCAUAGUACAUGAAUUCUUUUGUAACUAUAGUGAGCAACUGAGCACCUGGAUUGGGAGUGUUUUUCUUGAUGUAGAGUUUCCACCCCUUUUCCGCUCAAGCUCUAAAAAUCUGAUUGUAGAGGAGGUUUAGGGUUCCAAACUUGCAGGACCCAUAUCCCACUUUGUCACUUCAAGAUGCAAAGUGAAACUCCACCUGUGUAGGGAGGUCCUAACUUGAUUAGAUUGUUAGCUUAGCAGUCGGUCUUGUUUCACAGUUAUGCUACAGCUAAGGUUCUUCGCUUCUCAUAUUAUUUGAUUCCCUGAUUGCAAUCAACGUCAAUGCUUUUGAAUCUGAUAAAAAAGUAAAAAUAUCAAGUUUCAGAUACUGAUACCUGCAAAUGUUUGGACUUGUGUAAGAAAUAUACAGAAACAGAAGUGAGUACCAAAUACGAUUAAGUUUACCGUAACAAACAUGAAAGCACAAAUAAAACCAUAAUCAGUCACUAUACAAGACCAGUAGGAACUGCUGGAAAUCAUGUCAAAGGACUCCAAACCAACCAGUCUUUAGAUUUAAUGCAAGAUAGUAGAAGCAUGAAACCUAUGAUGUACAUUCACACACAUCCCAAAUGCAGACAAAUCAGGAAAGGCUCUUGGCCCAACACAAUCCUCUAACAAUAUAGACCACGUUAUGGUUUCACAACACUUUGAAUCACACUGCAUAAAUCAAAAACUGAGACGAAUAUCUGCUGCUUUAAUUGUAAUAGACACCCAAGUGGAUUUACGAAUUCAUCUUCUCCACUCUGCUUGGCUUGCCUUCCCUGCAAAGUCAAACAGUAACAGGGUGGCUCAGUAUACUUUUGAGUAACUAUAUUGUCAAGUGAAAAGACUAAUAGUUUUGACUUCUCGCUGAACUUCCUACGGGAAAGGAACACAAAAUAGUUCAUCUGCACUGAGACUGUAAGAAUAAAAUUCAUCGCUCAAAAUCAGCAAAGAUAUGAUUUUUUUGUUUUGGAAGAAUUCCAAUAGCUCAACCAAAUAUGCAAUCUGUUUCCACUUAUCACAGGGAAGGAUAUGUAAAUUAGCUUUUAAAGGUUAAAAUCAUACCAUUUCCGUCUCUGGAGGCCGACAGAGAUUUGUCACUUUUGAUUUUUCCACCUGAUUGAACCAGUUUCUGUGUCCUUGGAGACUGUGAAGUGAUUUUUCCAUUAGCUGAUGAUGGCAGAGAUUGACGGCGAGUGGAGUUGGUUUUCUCAUUCUUCUCAGUAGCCUCCAGUCCAAGCCUAGGAGAUCCUUGUGCUCUCAGCUUUGCCUUUGCAGACUCAGUUGCUGCCAUAUAGCUUGGCAAUGUUGGACUAUUUUGCAACCCAUUCUCUGAACGUUCUUGUUUAGCUGGAGUUGAUGUCUUCCUGCUUGAUUUAUGGUUGUCAUUGCUUGUUAAAUCUUCCUUCUGGCUCAAAACCCCAUUUGGAACAGGAAUGUUUUCAUCUUUUUUACUGCUCUCUGUUAAUAUGUUUGACUCGACUGCAGCUUCAUCACUAGGUGUAUUUAUUUCUUUACCAGUGCCCUCUGUCAAAGUCUUCAAAUCCAUUGCAACCUGAUCAUGGGAUGAUAAGUCAAAGACCUCUUUUGGCGCUGAUGCUUCGGGUGUUAUUUCUGCAUCAGGUAGAUUGGAUGGUGUAUCUAUUGGCCCUUUCUUCAUCUUCUCAACAGAGUUAUCUGUGAUACCUUCAAAAACAUUAUGACCUGAAGCACUUGAUGCCUUUUCCAGAUUCUGUUUAAGAUUCUGAGUUUCAACUUCCGUCUGCACGGAGUUCUCUACUAUGGGAGUAUGAACCUUCCUCAAGUUGCGUUUAACCUUUUCAAGCUCAAUUUGUGGAUUUUCUACCACUGGAUCUGCUGGCUGGCUGGAAACUUUCCUAAGGAUACGUUUGGGUUUCUCAGGUUCAGAGGUUGCUUGCACCGACACACUUUCAACAUUUGCAGAUGGAAGCCUCCGGGUGGUUCGCUUUACCCUGCCUGUUUGAGGAUCCCGAUGUGUUCUCUGAGAUUUUGAAUCUGGAACUUUUCUUGGUUGGGGAAGUGGUUUCCAAAAAUUGGUUGCUGACCAACGUUCUAACCAGUUUGGAACUGAAUUUGGAUCUCCAGGUUCAUAAUGUAAACGCAGAGGCAUGACAAUAGGUGAGAAAGCAAGAAGCUGAAAAGACAAAAACCGAACUGUUACAACAUGCCAUCUUGAAAUUUUCCGAAUCAUACAAACCAAAAUGUUGCAAGUCAAUCAGGAAAUUCGUUGAAUAAAACUUUUGAACAGAAUGUCAACGUACCUUACUAAUGAAAACAUUAACCGUUAGCUUUGCCAUUUGAGUAGAGAUAUUAACUCUAACAGGAUCCACUAGCUUGCCCUCCUGCCGGACAAUAUAAAAGAGGAAUAUAGUUAAGGGCAGCACGAAGGAACACAUAACCCAUGAUUAACUACAUUUAUAAAUAUCAUAUGACAAGUGAAUGUGGCUCAGGUGUUUACUACAAUAUAAUAUAUUUAGGAUGAACAUAACAAGAAAUCCACAAGGUUCCUUGCUAACUGAUAGACAGUGAUUUAACUAAUAAGUGAUAACUAGGGAAAAAAAAGAAGUAAUAACUAGGAAUUGAUAAGUGCCAAAAGUACUGAAUACUUGUACCAUAGGCGGCACAUGGCAUCUGUUUUGCACUUCAAGACCAAUAUUAGACUGCCUGACUUGUCGUCCACGACUGAGUGCCUGUAGCUUGACAAUACCCAACAUACUGCCUAGUGUAGCAACAGCUUGUCUCCUGACCAAGUGCCCACGGAUAAGUGCCUGUAGCCUUAUUAUGCCUUUUAGAGCCCAAAAGGCGCGGCGAGCCUUCACAUAGUAUACCAAUGUCAGUGAUUAUACUAAUAAUGUAAAAUUCUGGCACUGGACAAAAAUAUACAUAAAUUGAUAUGAUUUAGCAGCUGAUGUAACACUACUUUUGCAAGAAAUUUACCAGAUAACCCCUAAAGGCAGCCUGUGCCUUUGUUGCAGCUUGCUCUUGCCUGAUUGUUUCCGGAUCAUAUACUGCAUUUUGUGGUGUAGACCCUUGUGAAUCUGUACUUUGGGUUCCUGGCUCCCCAUCACCUAAUACACUUGGAGCUUCCCUGUUCUCCAAUUCUAACCCUCUGUUAUUAUCUGUGGUGUUCGUGCUUUCAUGAAAAGCCACAGGUGGGUUUGAAACAAAUUCAGUUCCUGCUUCCCUGGCAGAAACCACCACCUCUUUUUGAUUUGAAAUUCUCUGUAAACCCGAGAUAAGAAACAGUAUUUGUGCAUGUCAAAGCUUCUAUGAAAUUCAGAAAGUAUGUAAACUUCUGAAUAGAUUCAAUGUUAAGAAAAAAAAAUCUGGAAGUUUGUCUUAACAUCAAGACAUAAGAAAACUAUUGAGUAAGGUGCAUGCAUUUGUUUUGCAAUUGUGCAUUCUUACCUCUCUUCCUUUUGAUAUAUUAGGUUUGGAUGACUUCUUCCCAAACAGAACAGUCUUGAUCCAUUUAGCCGGUGAUUUGCCCAUUGCAGGAAGGCCAAUAACACGCAAUCCUGAAUCCCGCUUACUGCAGUGUUCCACACAAUCACAAUUAGAGUAUACAUAAAUAACAAACUGAAAAGUCACACUCAUGCAAUAUAUUCCAAUAAACAGGAGGAAUAAUCAUACAAUGGUACAGAACCAAAUACUGUAAAGAGCAAAUCUUAGGAUGCUUAUGAUAACAUCAGACCCCUUGUGUUGACUUCAAACAAUCUAAUAAAAAAAGGCUUUUAACAUUUUAGCUUAGUUCAAUUUUGUCGUAACUCAUACACUUCUAAGAACUGCAUACAUCAAAUCAAAGUAUACACCCAAUAACAGAGAGAGCUUGAUCUUAGCAUGCCUAAAGUUUCAAACUUGCAACUAUUAACACCUUGAAAAACAAGAACCAAAUGCCAAAACACAAUCCACAUUUGAUCUAUUUGAGCAAAUUAACUAAUAACUCUUAUACUAUACAUAAGGAGGAACCAACCAUUUUUUCCAAUCACAGCACACCUACUGAACCCAAAAGGAUACCCACCCAGAAAUUCACAAAACCCACAAGAUCUUAGAACCUCAACAAAUUGCAAGACAGAAAUGAGGUCCAACCACCCCAGAUCUGAAACUCACUUACCAAAUGUAGACCUUUCCAAAUCUUCAAACCAGCUUUUCCUGCAAAACACAAAUCUCAAAACAAUCAGACCCAGAAAACAAAAGAGGAAACUUUCCCAAAGAUUUAGCAGAGAAUAUCAGAUUUUUUGAAAGAAGGAAAAAAAAAAAUAGUACCAUAUGAAGAGUUCAGUGAGUGAGCAGAAACCCAGAAUGUGAUCUAAAUUAACAAAAACAAAAAGAAAAAACUAUAAAGCCAUGUCCUUUGCUUUACUCUCUCUCUCUCUCCACUCCUCUCCUCUCUGUACUUCUUACACUGACUAAACCCCCAAAAGAAUUUAAAAAAAAAAAAAAAAAAAACUGAAUUUGAAUAAAUUGGUGACUGGAGAAGGCACUCUGGUGUGGUAAGGUCCAGCUUACAAGAGUAUGCGAUUGGCCAAUUUAACUUGCUUAUCUUAGUAACUAUGACUGUUUUAAAUCAAACGGUUGAGAUAUGGAGCUUACGGUGGAGACGAGUGCAGGGGAAUUUUGCGUUUGGAAAAUAAAGAAGGAUGCGUUGGCAGUCCCCAGUGCAGUUGAGCCAGUUAACUUCUGAACCAAGGGUACUGUGUCUUUAUUUAUUCCCAAGCAUAGUGGAAAUGACGAAGUUGCCCUCGCGGUUGGAUAAUUGGAUCCUAGGCGCCAUUGGGCGCGUGGGGAGAUCGUGGCCGUAGAUGUGGGCGGCAGAGGUGUUUGGGGGAGCGGUGGGAUUAGGCUUGAUAUUGUCACGGAGUGCGUAUGCAGGAACCCAGUGUCAUUAUAGUCAUUACCCGAUUUUACCAAAACACCCUUCAUUAAGGUGCUAAAGUUAUGUACCCGCACCAACUAACAUUGCUGCUUAAAUGUUUUUUUUGUUGUUAAUAUUUUUGUGAUAAAGAAUGGCCGGAUUGCGUUGCCCCGUGGUGGACAACCGGUUUAAUUGACAGGGAUCGGUGUAGGGAUCAUGGAGUAGUUUUCCGGGAGAAUGUUGGAGUGGUGGUUAAAAACUCGAAGUCACGCACCACCUACCUUCACAUGAGCCUAAAAUUUUAAAAGACAUUUGGUUGCUCUACGUAUAAUUUUGUGUUCGAUGUUAAUGAGAUUCGAUACGUAGUAUAGAAUAUAGUGACUGAAAACAUUUUAGUACAUAGGUACCUAACACAUUGAAAUUUCAUUCAAGAUAAAACUUGACCAAACCCAUCCACCAAAAUUUUAACUUAAAAUAAUGAAGAACAACUCAAAGAGACAACACCUAUUAUAUAAUCAUGGAAACAAACAGUCUCUUUCACUUUUCAUUAUCCAGAAAGUUGGUUGCAAUACUCAACAACUAUACCAACGCUUAUAUAAUCAACAUUGUUAGGGCAGACUUUGUCAAAUUACUUGAUGCAAGACUAGACUAUGCCGAAACCUUACCAAUAAGAUUCUUUUCCAAGAUCAGGAAUAACCAUCAUCCCAAGAUUUGAUGUCGGACGUAACACUUUUUAGGCACACGGUCUAACAUCAUGCAACUCUUUUGAUCAAAACCAAAAAUGAAGAAAAAAAUAGAAUGCAACUCUAUCUCGUUUCCCCCAACGGAGCAAGGACGUGCUCCGUGAGAAAUAAAAAUGGCUCGGUACUAACUAAACCACACCGCAAGUUUGACCGGUUUAACCGUAUAUCAAUUUAAUUUCCGGUAAGUUCAAUUUUCGGUUGUAAAAUAUACAGCCCGUAAUGUAUUUAGCCCAAUAAAAAUAAAUUCCGACCCAAACUGCAUGUCCAGCCCAAAAUCCUAAAGUAAGAUAAACCACUUUCGUCCAUACCUUACUGUCAACCGCAAAAUGGGUUCUAAACGGCAAAGCGAUUUGAAAUUCGAAAUUCGAAUCCCUCAAAGCAUAAAAGGCCUGGGUCCCAUGCAGCGCCAGCCGUUGCAACAUCGUCAUCACACGCCGUCUACUUCCCCAAACCCAUAUCCACUUCCCACGCGUCCACCACCUCUCCCAAUCACAUCCGCACGAUCUCACUACUCCCACAAGUCAAUUCCAUAAAACCAAUAAAAAACCAACACGUGGAAUAACAAGCUAGACACGAGAGUAGCCGAACGCGAGUCGGAGAGUUACCAUGCGGGGAGCGUGUGGUGAGGAUUUGAGUUUUUGUGUGGGGUAUUCCUACACUUUCCCGCUCAAACGAAUCAGGUCAAAAUUGGGAAAAAGGUAAAAGAAAAUAAAAUUGAAUAUAAAUUAGAGGCAGAGUCUGUGAUAGAAUUUCAUUUUGGUUUGAGAGAGAAGCAGAGAAGACAGAGCAAUCGAAUCGCAACCCGAUUGAUCAAUGGAAGAGCCCCAAUCAGCCCAGUCUGCCCAAUCAGGUAUUUAGAUUCAUUUCUUGUUAGUUUUGCGAAAUUGGGGCUUAGGUUUUCUUGACUGUGUUUACAGGAAAGCUUCUUCGCUACGGGCUGCGAUCCGUGACGAAACCGAAGGAGGUGAAGCUACCGGCGGCGGAGUUGUCCAACCCCUCCGCGGCUUCUAAGAGGUACGUGGCGAUGUGUUAGGGUUAGUGGUUGGAUCGGUCAAUUUGAUGCUGAAUUUUGCAAAUCGAGAUGUUUAGAUUCAAUGAUAGUACUGUGAAUGCUUUCGAUUUGAUUUUGGAUUUCAAUUGAAGUGUUUUGUUUCGGUAACUAACGAUUUCGAUGUAUGAAACUGCUUGAAUGUUAAACUCUAGUGAGGGAGUAUGAUGUUUGAGCAUUGAUUCUAAAUUGCUAUACCUUUUCGCUGAUGAUUGCGAUGUUUUGCCUUGAAAUUGUACUGAAUUGUGUACAUGGGAUGUCGAUUUUCAGGGGAAGAGCUGCGUCGAAUGUGAGCAAAAGUGUGAGUGUUCUCGAUCUGUCGGGCAAGGACAAGCCUGUUAGGCCACCCAGGAGGCUCUCCAUUCCUAACAAGGUGGCUGGUACUCCAGCUCCGAAACUGGGUGGGAACAUCACUCCCGUUUCCGAGGCUAGAUCAAGGAGGUCUGUGAAAAGUGAAACACCUGCUUCGGAUGCUUCUAGGCUGACAAGUCGGAAGAAGUUUAGUAUCCUGUCCUCGGAAUCAUACUGGCUUUCACAGAUUAAGCUCUCUGAGGCUGCUGGCAGGCACUCAGUUUCGCUUGGGUUUUUCAAACUAGCCUUGGAGGCAGGAUGUGAGGUACAACUAGUUUAUAAGUUUCUUUUUAGUUUUCACCUUCCAGGUGUUUGGUCAUUUAACACCUCCAUUUUUUGAACAUAGUUCUUUUGAAUGUGUUAAUAUGUCAUGUAUCAAGGUAUAUGUGUUUGAAAUUAUGUGCAAGACUUAAUUAUGAUCACUCUUUUUUUCAGCAACCUCUUCAGCGGAUGCGGGAUGAGCUAAAAGCUUAUGCACUUCGUCAUAAAAUUGGUGAUCUUGCUGAUCUUGCAGUCCCACUGAAAGAACUAUUUGAGAGCUAUGGUGUUGUAGAAAAUGAGCAGGUGCAGGUCUCGGAAACCUGUUCUCACGUACCUGAAGAGGGGACUCGGUCUUCUGAUGAAGAUGCCAAGAGCUCUUCAUCGACAAUGGGAACUAGGAAACUGAAACCCAAGUCAUUGAACACUGAUAUUGCUCAAGUCACUCCAGUCAUAAACAAACCCAAGAAGGAAGUACCUCAGAAAAGUAUUCCUGCAGCCAGGACUAGGGCAUCUGCGGCAAAGAAGUCUUCAACUUCAGCACCUGUUUCUGAUUCUGGUACGCAAAGAUCAGCAGCAAAGAAACCCCAGAAACCAAUUAAGCAAGAAGCUAAGAAUGAAAAGGAUAGGAAGAAGCAGGGGAAAUCUGCUGUUGAACAAGGCAAGUGUAUGAAAUAAUUUCGUUUGUGUGGUUAUGUGUACUUGUCUAGUCAUCGCUUACUUGUUCAGUGUUGUGUUACAUUAGCUAAUGAUUUGCUGUUGUCACAGGGUCAGUUAUCCCUACAUCUGUAGAGGAAGCACUCAAUGAGAACAAAGAAAAUGAGGUGAGCUGGUAUAUAUAUUGCCUUGUUCCAUUGCAUCUGCAUCUGGAUUUGUCUGUCUUUUGCUUCAUUCUGCUCUGGAUUCCAUUGACUCUUUUUUCUUCCUCUGCAGGAUGCUGCCUCAAUGGAGGAGAUAAAUUUGACUGAAGUUGCUUAAACAUAUUACCCAAGAAGCUAAACCAAUUGCAUUCUCAUACUCCUGCUGGGUCUGUCUGUAGUGUUCUUUUUUGUGGAGGAUUCUUAUGUAUAGAAGGUUUUAGGAAUUUAGGUGAAAGGUUUUCAGGUUUGUUUGGUACUUUGGUGAAACCAUUUUAUUUGCGUGUCUUUGGUUUAAACUGGGGUUGUUUGUUUAUUGUUAUUCAACUGCUGGUGAUUUCGAUUGUACUGAACUGCAAAGUUAUCUAUAUAGUGUCUAUUCGUCAUCAUGUCGUUAUAUACACCUGUUGGAUUGUGUUCCAAGUAAUCCGAUGCUGAUAAUUUACAGUUGCUAGUUCUUUAUGAAUUAGGACUAUAUGAAUUGCACUUUCACAUUUGUUUGAAAGUCAGGGCUACCGUGUUAUAGAGUUGGUCUCCAUGCUACCAAAGCUGUAGUGAAAUUGUUAGGAUCAUUCCUAACCUUCAGCCCAACCUACCUUCAUCAUGUGAUCCUUUCAGUUCCCAGUUGCGUUUUCUUGUGGCAGCAACCCAGUUCCCAGUUUGCAGCAACUCAGUUCCCAGUAAUAGUCUGCAUCUUAUGUUUUGUCUCUCUAGGCAGUGCCUAGUUUGUUUGCAUUCUAAUAGUAGUGGUCAUUUAACCCACCUAUAUGUAAGGAGCCUCCUCUCCUGGAGAAAGCCAUCAACGAAAUGAGUUUAGUUUAAUUUACUUGUUUUUCCUUUCCAUUGUUCUUUGAGCUUAUCAUCUGGUAUCCAGAGCCAGAGCUUGAAGGGUCUCCGAUGAGGAACCUCCAAGUUUCAAACCCAUCCUCCACCCACCCCACAUCUUCCUUAGUCCCACCCAUCCCACCGCCUCGCAACAACAACACCUAGCAAUCAAACCGCUCAGCCAUACUUCUUUCCACCGACCAUCUAGCCACUUUUCAGGCUACCGUCGAUGACCUUCAAUCUCAGUAUGAUGACGUGCAGUACUCCAUCGCGGCGAUAGCGCGCAGCCAAACUCAUAUGAACCACUAACUCGCCACUUUCCGAAACAUCAUUCUCACUCGGUGGGAAAACCACCCUUCUACCCCAGCACCACAAUUUGCUGCUGCUGCCCUGGCCUCCUCCACCAACACCCAUAUUUUGGAGCCUUACUCGCCACCCAUAUUUUGGAGCGUUACACUUUGGCAAUGACGAUUCAGUUUGAAUGAGCGCUUAUGAGCUCCGUGUUUUGGUCACAUCAGUAAGUCUGGGCGUGCAAAGUCUCUUUUAGUUGUUGCGGGCGUGCCACCGUCCGGACGCGGAAUGUAAUGGUUGUAGUAGCGGGGUGCGCUUAGCCUUUUGCUUCUAAUCAAGCGACUGAGGAUAGAGAGAGCACCAACUCCACCGCAGGGUUCUUCAGAUUCGCCUUGCGUACUGGGCAAGGACUUACAGUAGUCCGCCUGAGCAUCACAAUAUCGAUACUCGACGUAGGAUCGAGCAGAGCUUCAAUUGGGAAGAAGAGGAAGAAAGAGAAAGCUCCGGAGAGCAUACGGGGAAACGAAAGGAAAGCUCCGGGGAGCGUCUGAGGUUCGACUAGGUCAAGAAUUGUAUUGUAUUUUGUAGAGUUGAGUUGUUGUAUUGUUUGUUGUGUGUAGUGUGUGUGUAGAGAAGGUCUGCUCGAACUCCUUUAUAUAGAAUUACUUAGGGCCACAGGUAUUGGCCCAAAGCAUGUCAAAGACUUGUAGGAGUCUUCAACGAUAAUAUGGUAUCGUAGGCAGUUCACCGGACUUAAUUAGUUGCCUCUUGAUAUAACUCUGCUAGCUAGAUAGCGAGAUAGUGUUUAAACACCUCGCGGAGACUUGGACGUAUGUCACUAGAUGUGCACUCAACUAUAAUUAAGGAAUAGAAUCCUUAAUCAAUAUAUAAACCCUCUAACCUCCUCAUGCACGUAUGACCGCAUAGUCCUUUAAGCGAUUAAGGAUUUUGCUUUCUUAUCCAUUUGAGGUAUUGUAGGCGGGGUCUUCUCUUGCUAGCUCAAUCGAUAUAUGUUUAUAUAUAUACCAAGCGGAGCCCGCCUCUCUCCUUCUUUCACGCGAACUGCCUUCGCAUGUAAGCAUAGUUAACAUAUGUGAUUAAUGGAUAACAUUCUUAACCAAUGCAAACUCCUUGACAUGCACGGAGCCAUCCUUUAAUUAACAUCAAAUCAGCUCGCGGCCCUUGGUAUCUAUCUCUUAGGCGAACUCCGUCGCAUACAAACUUCUUCGCAUUCAACCUCGAGUCCCUUGGUCCAGCUCGCCCGCCAACCAUCUCGCAUGCAACCUCUUCGCAUGCAUAUAGGAUAAGUAUUGCUUCUGUCCCGCUAUACCACAUCCAAGUGCAACAUACCCUUAUCCAUUUCACAUGCAAUUAAGGAUAACUACGCUUUUAUUCAGAAUGCUGGCGGGAUUCUUUUCCAAGCCAAGGUGAGCAGGCGAGAUGCUCCCAUGCAUGCACACGUACCCUUCAUGCAAUUAAGGUAUUCAAAAUGUGGCACCGCGCGGGAUGCUUUUCUCCAAUAUGGGAUGCGGCGCGAGAUGCUAUCAAGAUGCUCAUGUGAUCAAAGAACCACAAGCCAUGCACGUGCUCUUGUAUAUACAAGUCGGGUGCGAUGCUAAGUCAAGGCGAAGUGUUCCAAGCCGGGGCGAGGUGUUCCCCCAGCAAUUAAAUUUUUCUUGUACGCGAAGUCCAUUAUGCGGAGUCCAUUCGUAAGCGGACUGUCCAGCUCGCAUGACUUUCUGGCGGGGGCCAUCACUUGUAAACCCAUUAUUUCGGGCUCGCCGGUAUGACGUGGACCAUAAAUUUAACUAAUAUUCACAUAGACAAUUACUGUCCAGUAAAAUAUUAAUUUGGGUGUCAACAUUGCCCCCCAGCCUCAAAGUCAUGAAUAUCAAGAAUGACUGAAGAGGUUUAUGUUUCAUGCUGCCCCAAAGCCACUGGUAUUGACUCGGCUCAUACAUCAAAGGACUGUAACAAGCCUGUGAAUAGGCCCUAAAACUCAAGUAUCCAACAACAAAGUAUUGUAGCGAAGCUGCUGUACAAUUCGCCUAGUACCAUAUUAAUCAACUAACGUUCAAUGAAUUUAACAUAGGUACCGUAGCAUUGAAAAAACUUGCGCCUCGCUUGCUCUGCUCUUGAAGACAUGGUACCAUGCAUACAGCUUGAGUAGAUACUGUCUUCGAAGAGAUGUAGCUCGAGUGGAUGUAUUUGGAAAGGAAUCGUCUGACCUCGAAGGGAUGUACCUCGAAUAGAUGUAGCUCGAAGGGAUGUACCUUGAGUAGACGUUCACUUUGACUGGAUUCAAAAUUGCCCUUAGCUUGAGUUCUUGGCGAUGGCGAACCAUCUUCUUAAUAAUCAUGGAGUGUACUUCGCUGCCCCCCAGUACAAACCAAGGAGAGUCAAACAAAAGGUCUAUGUCUGCGAAUGACCGCAUAAUCUUGAAUUUUUUUUUUAGAGGCCACAGGUGUUGGCCUAAAUAAUGACCAAGACACCUCAAGAAGGGUCUAAAGUCUGAAAUAUUUGGAACACAUCUCCAUCCCAUAUGUGUCCCCCAGUUUUGAUGUCUGUUCGACGAUACUUGGGAAGAAAUGAAGGGCAUCAAAACUUUAGUAUGCCCCCCCAGUGAAGGAGUUGUAGUACCAUGCAUCAUUGAAGUUAGCAAACACCGAACAAGGUUGUGGAUCGGCCUUGAAUAGAUCCCAGUGUAUGAAUGAAGGUAUACAAAACUUAUAUGGAUGCCCCCCAGUAAAAGAAAGCAUGCUGCAAGGUCAUGAAACACAUUGAAAAGGCACAUUGCAAAUUCGCGCGUAUCCUGACCUGUCUGCAUUCAAACUGCCAUAACUCCCUCCAGGAAUGUCGGAAUGAUGAACCGUAAAAUCCUCUGAAAAAUAGACAUCCAGAGAUUUCUGUUGAUAUAAGGCUCGCCUACUAGGUCGUCCUGGAUCAUUUCAGCUGAAUCGGCGAAGUUCUUCCUGGAUCAUUCCAGCUGAAUCGGCGAAGUGGACUGUCCGGCAUCCUGACCCGCCUGCAUUCAAACUGCCAUUACUCUCUCCAGGAAUGGCGAAAUGACGAACUGUAAAAUCCUCUGGAAAGUAGACAUCCAGAGCUUUCCAUUGAUAUAGGGCUCGCCUGCUGGUUCUUCUCAGAUCAUUCCAGGUUGAUCGGCGAGGUGGACUGUCCGGUAUCCUGACCCGCCUGCAUUCAAUCUGCCAUAACUCUCUCUAGGAAUGGCGAAAUGAUGAACCGUAAAAUCCUCUGGAAAGUAGACAUCCAGAGCUUUCUGUUGAUAUAUGGCUCGCCUGCUGGUUAUUCCUGGAGCAUUCCAGCUUGAUUGGCAAAGUAGACUGUCCGGUAGUAGCUGUUGCAACUUUCAGCAACUAUUAGAAUUUUCUUCUCUGACUUGACUUCGCUAGCAGCAAUUCAAGGCAUAUGGAAUGCCUUCUUUAUUGUCUCCAGGCCUCAGGGAUAGGCCUCAAAUAAAGUUCAAGCCUUCUAGAGGCAAAAACGUUGUCUUGCAUUUCAGCAAAACCAAGAAUCUCUUUUUUUUUAUUGUUUUCUGCUAUUUGAUUUUUUUUUGUAUUCUUCUUUUUUCAAUGCGAGAAAGAAAGAAAAUGAAAGAAAACAGAAGCAAGGACUGAAGUAAGGCUAAGAGUAAAGGAAAGAAGAGAGUAUAGCAUGGUUAGUUACCCUUCGUAAGGCCACAGGGGAGGCCACCAAUGCUUCACUCCAAGCCUCGUCGCCGUUAUGUUCUCGGCGUGAGACUCUUGUCGUCGAGAAUUUCCAAGUGUUGAGCAGGGCUGCUUCCUUUCCAACACUUGGAAAUUCUCGACGACAAGAGUCUCACGCCGAGAACCAGCAGGCGAGCCCUAUAUCAAUGGAAAGCUCUGGAUGUCUACUUUCCAGAGGAUUUUACGGUUCGUCAUUUCGCCAUUCCUGGAGAGAGUAAUGGCAGUUUGAAUGCAGGCGGGUCAGGAUGCCGGACAGUCCACUUCGCCGAUUCAGCUGGAAUGAUCCAGGACGACCUAGUAGGCGAGCCUUAUAUCAACAGAAAUCUCUGGAUGUCUAUUUUCCAGAGGAUUUUACGGUUCAUCAUUCCGACAUUCUUAGAGGGAGUUAUGGCAGUUUGAAUGCAGACAGGUCAGGAUACGCGCGAAUUUGCAAUGUGCUUUUUCAAUGUGUUUCAUGACCUUGCAGCAUGCUUUCUUUUACUGGGGGGCAUCCAUAUAAGUUUUGUGUACCUUCAUUCAUACACCGGGAUCUAUUCAAGGCCGAUCCACAACCUUGUUCGGUGUUUGCUAACUUCAAUGAUGCAUGGUACUACAACUCCUUCACUGGGGGGGCAUACUAAAGUUUUGAUGCCCUUCAUUUCUUCCCAAGUAUCGUCAAACAGACAUCAAAACUGGGGGGCACAUAUGGGAUGGAGAUGUGUUCCAAAUAUUUCAGACUUUAGACCCUUCUUGAGGUGUCUUGGUCAUUAUUUAGGCCAACACCUGUGACCUCUAAAAAAAAAAUUCAAGAUUAUGCGGCCAUUCGCAGACAUAGACCUUUUGUUUGACUCUCCUUGGUUUGUACUGGGGGGCAGCGAAGUACACUCCAUGAUUAUUAAGAAGAUGGUUCGCCAUCGCCAAGAGCUCAAGCUAAGGGCAAUUUUGAAUCCAGUCAAAGUGAACGUCUACUCAAGGUACAUCCCGUCGAGCUACAUCUAUUCGAGGUACAUCCCUUCGAGGUCAGACGAUUCCUUUCCAAAUACAUCCACUCGAGCUACAUCUCUUCGAAGACAGUAUCUACUCAAGAUGCAUGCAUGGUACCAUGUCUUCAAGAGCAGAGCAAGCGAGGCGCAAGUUUUUUCAAUGCUACGGUACCUAUGUUAAAUUCAUUGAACGUCAGUUGAUUAAUAUGGUACUAGGCGAAUUGUACAGCAGCUUCGCUACAAUACUUUGUUGUUGGAUACUUGAGUUUUAGAGCCUAUUCACAAGCUUGUUACAGUCCUUUGAUGUAUGAGCCGAGCCAAUACCAGUGGCUUUGGGGCAUCAUGAAACAUAAACCUCUUCAGUCAUUCUUGAUAUUCAUAACUUCGAGGCUGGGGGGCAAUGUUUACACCCAAAUUAAUAUUUUACUGGACAGUAAUUGUCUAAAGUGAAUAUUAGUUAAAUCCAUGGUCCACACCGGCAAGCCCGAAUAAUAUUGGGUUUAAAGGCGGGUUGCCUUGCUUGCGAUAUCACGCGAGUUGGACGUAUGAGAAGAUGUGUGAUACAAGGAAGUAUGUAUAAUUGAGGAGUCUUCUCCUUGAGUUGUGUUCGGUUCCGCGAAGCGAGAUGCCUUCGAGAAAAAACAAGAAGAGGAUCAGUUCGCAUGGAGACUCCGCCUCCUCAUGGUGUGUACGUGUCUUUGGUAGAAGCAUGCAUAAACUAGGGGUGUCCUCCUUGGGUUGUGUUGCUUCGCGAGAAGAUAUAUCAAGUAGCUAGGACUCAAAUUGCUCCGCGAGGACAUCAUGAUUGGGUUCCCUCGCCAACACCAAGACUUUGGGAUAUAUGAGAACAACUACAAAGUCAUGCGAGCUCGAUUGAGGUUGGCGCAGAGUUGACUUUACAUGAGAAGAUUUCGUGUGGUACUAAGAGAGGGACGUGAAUUGUGAGCCGCCAACAUGAUUAGAUAAGAGGCAAUUAUCUUUAAUUGUUUGAAAGAGCGAUCUCGCAUGAGUAAUCGGAGGUUAUGUCUUCUUUAAUUAAUAAACAUCUUGACGCGACCCGUGCAUGGCUUAUGAGUAUCUCGAUGGAAUCUCAAGGGAAUCUCGCCAGCAUCCCGCCGUUCCCUUAAAUAAAGAAUGAAGUAGUGUUUAAUUGCAUGAUCGAGCCAGUACGUGAACAUGCAUGCUAGAGAGUAUGUGGUCAGUAAGGUUUUUUGUCCUUGUCAAAUUAUCAUAUAUGGUUGCAUGGGCAUACGUCCACGUCCAGAGAGUCGUGUUAGAAGGCAAUCAUUGUGCCUGCAUGACAUUCACGUUCAAGGGUUAGCAUUCUAAGGCAAUUUUGAUGCCUUUGGGAUAAUAACAAUACAGUAAUAUCUAUCCCUACAAUGUCUCAAUUGGAUAAGGAAACAGCAUCCAGUAGCACAUGUCCAAAGUCAUCAUGAGGUGUUCUAACUCAAGUCUUCUAGACAGAGGCAGUUAGUUACUUCGCCAAAGGAUAAUCACGGCCAACAAGUGAUUAACAUCGUCUACGCCACGUUUAUCGUUGAAGACUCCUACAAGUCUUUGACAUACUUUGGGCCAAUACCUGUGGCCCUAAGUAAUUAUAUAUAAAGGAGUUCGAGCAGACUCUCUACACACACACACACACAACAAACAAUACAACAACUCAACUCUACAAAAUACAAUACAAUUUUCGACCUAGUCGAACCUCAGACGCUCCCCGGAGCUUUGAUUUCGUUUCCCCGUACGCUCCCCGGAGCUUUCCUUUCGUUUCCCCGUACGCUCUCCGGAGCUUUCUCUUUUUUCCUCUUCUUCCCAAUUGAAGCUCUGCUCGAUCUUACGUCGAGUAUCGAUAUUGUGACGCUCAGGCGGACUACUGUAAGUCCUUGCCCAGUACGCAAGGCGAAUCUGAAGAACCCUGCGGUGGAGUUGGUGCUCUCUCCAUCCUCAGUCGCUUGAUUAGAAGCAGAAGGCUAAGCGCACCCCGGUACUACAACCACUACAUUCCACGUCCGCGCGGUGGCACGCCCGCAACAACUAAAAGAGACUUUGCACGCCCAGACUUACUGGCGUGGCCAAAACAUUGGCACGCCCAAUGGGACCAGGGUAGUCUCUGACGUCACCUUCAUUGGGAUCGACGGUCGGAAACAAAGAUUCGAUAUGAUUUGCAAGAAAAAUUUGAUGCUGUCGAGAGAAAAUAUGCCGAACUAAGAGCUGCUAGCCACAAAAAACAUGUCGAACGAAUGGCUGCCAUCCUCAAGCAACACGCUGAGGAAAUGGCUGCUAGAGAGGCUGCUAAAGAAAAGGAAACGGCUGCUAGAGAGGCUGCUAAAGAAAAGGAAACGGCUGCUAGAAAGGCUGCUGAAGAAAAGAAAAAAGCUGAAUGGGUUGCCUUUACAGAGAAAUGGGAUGCCAUCCUCAAGCGACAUUAUGAGCUUGAGGCUGCUGAAAAAAACGAAAAGGCUUUACAAUGCCUAAAUGUGAAGCUUACAGUUGACGAGCAUGUCCCUGCCAAAAAGAUUGAACUGCCUAGCAGCCAAUCUAAUGGCAAAGAUUUUCCUUUGGACGAGCCCACGUUCAAAGAAGAAAUUCCUUUGUCAAUCAAUGACAAAGAACCUGAGGUCGAGGCCGCAAAGAUUUUGGAUAAUAAUCCUAUCUCAAAGACUGACGGUGUUCCUCAGGAAACGGAGCUUGAAGAUAGGACAGAACAGUCCAUCUUUGAAGAUGAAAUUGGUUCGAACAUUGAUGAUGGCGAACCACAAAUUCAUAUGAAAGGUGUCCAAGAAGCUAGCUUCCCUAUGCGAGACGUAUAUGUGGACACAAGUCAGAUGCAUGGGGGGCACGGCGUAACUCGCCUUCUUUCUUUAAUCCACCACCAUGAUCAAGGGCAUGAUCAACUCAAGUUUUGUCCUAUUACUGAACAUUAUCAAGAAGCUGCCCCAGGUCAUGACAAACUUAAUUAUACAUGGUGUGGUGGUAUACCCAGGCCAAUUCGUGGCCUCACAUUCCAAUAUAAUUGGAGUCUCUGCAUGCAAGUUCAAAGGCCAAAUGAUGGCUUUAGUAUUGUAUGUGGGAGACAUUUUUACACCCAGAAUUGCAAGUUUAUUAUACAUGGGUGUAAAGUCGAGUAUUCUCAAUGCCAUCUCACUAUAGUCUGCAGCAAGGACUUGGCAGCAUCUAAACAUGAUGCUCAUGGAUUUCAUAUAUCUGCAUCAGAGGCAGAGGUGGAUUCGCUGGGUUGUGGUGACUCCAAAAUUGAUUUUGACACAGCGCCAAUUUAUGAUGAAUAUGAUGAAGACUAUAUGUUGNNNNNNNNNNNNNNNNNNNNACUUUCUUCAAAUUUUCAGGUGGUUGACGCACAACGUCUCUGCUCAACACUUGGAAAUUUUCAACAGCGAGGUUCUCAUGCCGGAAACAUAACGGCGUCGAGGCUUGGAGUGAAGCAUUGGUGGCCUCCCCCGUGGCCUUACGAAGGGUAACUAGCCAUGCUAUACUCUUUUCUUUCCUUUACUCUUAGUUUUACCUCAGUUUUUACUUUUGUUUGCUUUCAUUUUUCUUUCUUUCUUGCAUUGAAAAAGAAAAUACAAAAAAAAUCAAAUAGCAGAAAACACCAAAAAGAGAUUCUUGAUUUUGCUGAGAUGCAAGACGACGUUUUUGCCUAUAAAGGCUUAAACUUUACUUGGAGGCCUAUCCCUGAGGCCCGAAGACAAUACAGCAGGCAUUCCAUAUGCCUUGAAUUGCUGCCAGCGAAGUCAAGUCAGAGAAGAAAAUUUAAUAGUUGCUGAAAGUUGCAACAGCCACUACAGGACAGUCGCCUUCGCCGAUUAAAAUGGAAUGAUCCAGGAAGAACUAGCAGGCGAGCCUUAUAUCACCAGAAAGCUCUGGAUGUCUAUUUUCCAGAGGAUUUUAUGGUUUGUCAUUCCGACAUUCCUAGAGAGAGUUAUGGCAGUUUGAAUACAGACAGGUCAGGAUACACGCGGAUUUGCAAUGUGCUUUUUCAAUGUGUUUUCAUGACCUUGCAGCAUGCUUUCUUUUACUGGGGGGCAUCCAUACAAGUUUUGUGUACCUUUAUUCAUACACCAGGAUCUACUCAAGGCCGAUCCAUGACCUUUUUUCGGUGUUUGCUAACUUCAAUGAUGCACGGUGCUACAACUCCUUCACAGGGGGGCAUACUAAAGUUUUGAUGUCCUUUAUUCGUCGAACAGACAUCAAAACUGGGGGCACAUAUGGGAUAGAGAUGUGUUCCAAAUAUUUCAGACUUUAUACCCUUCUUGAGGCGUCUUGGUCAUUAUUUAGGUCAACACCUGUGGCCUCUAAAAAAAAACGUUUGACUCUCAUCGGUUUGCAUAGGGGGGCAGCGAAGUGUCUUGUGCUCGACUCUCAUUGAUUCACACUGGGGAGCAGCGAAGCGAGCUAUAUCUAUUCAAGGUAUAUCCCUUCGAGGUGCAUCCGUUCAAGGUAUAUCCCUUCGAGGUCAGACGGUUCAUUUUCAAAUGUAUCUCUUCGAGGUACAUCCAUGGCGAGUCAACAAGUCCAUGGCGAGUCAACAAGUUUUGGCCGCAAGGUGCAUCCAUGCGAGGAACAUCCUCUCGAGGACAUCAGCUGCUCGAGCUCGAGGUACAUCCGUGCGCGGUACAUUCUUUCGAGGACACAACUUCGCUACAAUGCUUUGUUACUGGGUACUUGAGUUUCAAAGCUUAUUCAUAGGCUUGUUUACUCACAGUCAUUUAAUGUAUGAACCGAGCCAAUACCAGUGGCUUUGGGGCAGCAUGAACAUAAACCUCUUCAGUCAUUCUUGACAUUCAUGACUUCGAGGCUGGGGAGCAAUGUUUACACCCAAAUUAAUAUUUUACUGGACAGUAAUUGUCUUAGUGAAUAUUAAUUAUAUUAAUGGUCCACGUCAUGCGAGCGAACCCGAAAUAUAUUGAGUUUAGAGACGGGUUAUCUCGCCGGCAGAGACAUGCGAACUAGAUGAUAUAGUUUGCAUGCGGAACAGAUGGAGGACCUUGCGAAAUAUAAGGUUGCACGUGACCUUGCGAAAUAUAAGGUUGCACGUGAGGUGGUAGGCGAGCUGAAUAUUCACACGCGAGGCGAGGUGACUUCGCGUACGUAGGAGACUUCGCGAGGGAGCAAAAGAAGAGUUUGACUUCACAUGCGAGGUGGAGGAGUUUGCACGUGAGUCUUAGAUGUGGAGUUGCUAUCAAAGUCUAUAUACGUAUGUACUACAAUUGUUAUAAGUGCAUGCAUGCGAGCCGCCCAGUGGAAUGCUGCCGGUCCAAAGUUCGCAUGAAAAGAGGAGUCUACAAAGUCUAAGUUCGCAUGCGGAAUGGAGGAGACUUCGCCUAGAAAUCCUGGGCAUACAUAUGCGGAGCGGGGGAAACCUCUCCUGGGGAUAAUAUGUCAAUCCUAUCUACAUAUAUAUAGAUAAGUAUAUAUGUCAAUUGCAAUUAAUGCAUGCAUGAGAGACGUACUACGUACAAGCCAAGGUUGCCAAGCGAACUAGAAGUUUGCAUGCAGCGGACUCCGCCUACAAUGAAGGAAAGGACGCGGAUCCCGCCUACAAUGUCUCAAUUGGAUAAGAAAGCAAAAUCCUUAAUUGCUUAAAGGACUAUGCGGUCAUACGUGCAUGAGGAGGUCAGAGGGUUUAUAUAUUGAUUAAGGAUUCUAUUCCUUGAUUAUAGUUGAGUGCACAUCCAGUGACAUACGUCCAAGUCUCCGCGAGGUGUUCAAACACUAUCUCGCUACCUAGCUAGCAGAGUUAUAUCAAGAGGCAACUAAUUAAGUUCGGUGAACUGCCUAUGAUACAAUAUUAUCGUUGAAGACUCUUACAAGUCUUUGACAUGCUUUGGGCCAAUACCUGUGGCCCUAAAUAGCUCUAUAUAAGAGAGUUCGAGGAUCUGGUUGACACACUACACACAACAAACAAUACAACAACUCAACUCUACAAAAUACAAUACAAUUCUCGACCUAGUCGAACCUCAUACGCUCCCCGGAGCUUUCCUUUCGUUUCCCCGUACGCUCUCCGGAGCUUUCUCUUUUUUCCUCUCCUUCCCAAUUGAAGCUCUGCUCGAUCCUACGUCGAGUAUCGAUAUUGUGACGCUCAGGCGGACUACUGUAAGUCCUUGCCCAAUACGCAAGGCGAAUCUGAAGAACCCUGCGGUGGAGUUGGUGCUCUCUCCAUCCUCAGUCACUUGAUUAGAAGCAGAAGGCUAAGCGCACCCCGGUACUACAACCACUACAUUCCACGUCCGCGCGGUGGCAGGCCCGCAACAACUAAAAGAGACUUUGCACGCCCAGACUUACUGGCGUGGCCAAAACACUCCGCCACCCCAAUCCGACAUGGGACGAGUUUGUGGCAGCCUUCAUCUCUCGUUUCGGCGGCGGCACUCCGUCCAACUUCAAGAGCGCCCUCUCCCACCUACAACAAGCCGGGUCUGUCGACGAUUUCAUUCUUGCUUUCACCAACCUAUCUUGUCGCGCUCCGAAUUGGCCCGACAGUGAACUUGUUCACAUCUUCAUUGGGGGUCUGCGCCCCGAGCUUCAGCAAGACAUCCAAGUGUCGAAUCCCAUCACCAUUGACGAGGCACAACGCCUUGCACGUUUAUUUGAGGCACGCAACGCUGAGCUCCGCCAUUCUCAACAUUACAGACACCGCACCUUCUCCAACCCACUCCCCAACCGUUUCCACACACCCACCCAUCCCACUUCACAUCCACCUCUUGCCCGCCUACCCCCAGCAAACCCCACACCUUCCACCACCAGAACACACAUUCCCACACCACCACAAAACACCAAUUCCCGUUCCUCCUUCCGCCUCCUUUCUACUGCUGAACAGAGAGAAAGGUGAGCCAAAAAUUUUUGUUCAAUUGCGAUGAGCAGUAUUUCACCAACCAUGUGUGCAAACGGUCAUUUAUGGCCAUCCUCGACUUGGCCCAAACACCAGACGAGUACACGGAGGUUGAACCCGACCCACCACUGCUCACCGAGGAGCCAGCCCUCGAUUCCUCCGAGCCCAUUUACCAAGGAUUAAAAUUUCGACCAUCAUAGAAAUUUCGACCAUCCGAAAAAUGGAUGUUUUGACGGAAAUAUCAGAAAGUAUCGAUUUUAAUAAAAUUUCAAAAAAGAUAAUCUAGAAAUAUAUAGAGAGGUUAUAUAUCAAAAUGUCCUUUGUAAUAAUAAAUAGCACCUAUGCAGCAUUGGUUGAGGAGCUUGGAUGUCAUUGAAGCAAUCAAAGUUUGAUUCACAUUAGUUGCACCUUGGCUUUUGUGCUAUUUUUCGAAUUUGGGCCCAUUUAUUGACACUUUGGGCCGAAUUAAUGACCUGAUAUAAAGAGUUGGGCCCAUUUAUUAAUAGGAUAUCGUGAAUUUUGCCUAAAAUCCCGAGAUUUCCAUAAAUAUCGAGAUAUUUUGAAAAUAUCGUACGAAACUAUUAUGGGAAGUAAAGAUAUUAUCGCUAAUCGAGAAAAACGAAAAUUUCGAUUUUUCACUCCUUGCCAUUUACCCACUUCACACCAUCACCAACACAAAGCUCUAUGAUAUAACGUGUUUCAAUGGUUCCAUUGGCAAUGUAACCAUUAACAUCUUCAUUGAUUACGGGGCCGCAAUGAACUUCCUCAACUCGGCUGUCAUUAACAAAUUGGGACUGGCAAUUGCCCCCGUAGGGCCUCUUCGAUUCAUAACUGCAUUGGGCCAUUUACUCACUCCUUCCGGGGUCGCACACAAUGUCACAGUACAAACCCAAACCUACAGUUUCACCGACUCCUUCCUUUUGUUGCUGGUGAUUGGCUACGACCUUGUAUUAGGGGCACAAUAGCUUGAAACCUUGGGAUUUAUUGGUUGGCACUUCCGCGACAAACUCAUGGUCUUUGUGGUGGAUGGCCAACACCAUGUUUUGCGAGGCGAAACCUCCAAUCCGAAGGCAGACAUUGAUGCCGCUAACAUCUUUGAUCUCAUCCCACUCAAGCAGUUUGAGUCUUUCUCACCUUCCCUCGCUGUUUUGGCCGAAGCUGUGCCUUUAGUGCACCAACCAGAGAUUACCCUCCUUCUCCAGCAGUUUGGGUCUCUUUUUAAAGCUCUAUUGGGCCUCCCUCCCCAACGAUCCAUCGACCAUAUGAUUCCACUCCUUCCUAAUUGUGGGCCGAUUAAUGUUCGCCCAUACACUUAUGGUCACUCUCAAAAGUCUGAACUCGAGGCCCAAGUCACCACCAUGCUAGCUCAAGGCAUCAUUCACCCGAGUUCUAGCCCUUUCUCGUCGUUGGUGCUUCUUGUUCGCAAGAAAGACGACAAUUGGUGUUUUUGUGUGGAUUACCGGGAGUUGAAUGCAGUCACGAUCAAAGAUCGUUUUUCGAUUCCCAUGGCCGAUGAGUUAUUUGCCGAGCUACAUAUAUAGGUCUUCCGUUUAUUCCAAGCUUGACCUUCGGUCCUACUAUCAUCAAAUUUGGAUGCAUGAGACCGACAUCUACAAGACCACAUUCCGAACACACGAUGGACACUACGAAUUUGUGGUGAUGCCCUUUGGUCUCUCGAAUGCUCCAUCCACAUUCCAAGCACUAAUGAAUGGUACAUUUCGUCCACUCCUUCGCAAAGGCGCGCUCGUUUUUUUAUAUGACAUAUUGGUGUAUAGUUGUAUACUAUAUAGCAAGGAUUUUGAAUCGCAUUUGAUACUCUUGGAAAUGGUUUUGUGCACCUUGCAAUCUAACCAAUUGUUUGUUAAGAUAUCCAAGUGUGAGUUUGCUCAAUCAAGUGUGCAUUAUUUGGGUCAUAUAGUCUCAGCCCAAGGUGUUUCUAUGGACCCGGAAAAAAAUCAGCUGCAUCAUCAACUGGCCCAAGCCCAAGACAAUUAAAGCAUUGAGAGGAUUUCUAGGUCUAGCAGGGUACUACCGCCGCUUUGUCAAGAGCUUUGCAUGGUCACCAGCUUCGAUAACAUAUCGAAAUUUCGAUUUUCUGUUUUUAAAAGGAAAAUUAAUUUCGAGCUAUUUUUAUUUCAAUUUCUAUUAUUCUUCAAAUUCUUUGUAGCUUAAGAAAAUUAUUCUAAUUUUCAGUUUGUUGAAUUUUGUCUUUUGAGCCUAUAGGUUUAAACAAGAUGUCGUUACGAGUUUGUAGGAUUUUACGGAAAUAUUUUUGGACAUCGGAGCUAUUUUUAAUGAUUUUUAGAAGUUGGUAUUAUUUAAAAAAAUUUAUUAAAAAUAGAAAUAAUGUUGGCUCGAUCUCCACCGUUGGUUUUGUUAGACUGCCAAAUCCGGGCAGUCGAUUUGGGUAUGUAUAUAGUGGAUUAGUUUGGAUUGGAUCAGUAAAGGAUUGUUUCGACUGGUCGAGUCUCCACCGACCCGAAGAACUGCGACGGAGACCGCCCUUUCUUCCUCCGUCGUUCGGCCGCCUCCCGACGCAUGCCCGGUGUCUACAGCUUCGUCUCGUCGUCCCCAAUGUGGCUGUGAUGUUGGAUUUCCAUGGAAAGCUGAGGAGAGAGAGAAUCGAAAGAAAGAAGUGUUUCCUGGGGUCGCCGGUGAGUUUUUGAUUCCGGCUAAGUCGAGGUGUCGCACUGAUAUGGAUAGCUUCGUCUCGAUCUCGGGAACCUUUAUUUAAAUUGAUAAUUAUAUUUUAAAUGAAAUUGAGUGAUUUGUGUGCCAUUGAGUAUAACUCUUGGAUGUUAUUGUUUUUCUUUAAUGCAUGUGUAUUCGUUGACUUAUAUGAUUAUUGUUAUCGUUUUCCAUAAAAGCAUGUGUUGGAUGAUAUAAUACGAGUAUUGAUAUUCAGUUUGCAUGCAUUGUGAGGAAUUGUGAGGAAUUGUGAGAAAUAGUGAGAACGGUGAUUCUGGAGAGGAGAAUGAGAUCGAUAGAAUAUAUAUAUUUUGUGUAGUUGAGUUUCCUCAUGGGGACUUCCAGUAGCUAUGAUCAGCCCACAUGCGCAAAUGAGUAGAGAAUGUAUGCCUUUUCGACAUAUGAGUCGAUAAAACAAUCUUUCGGGUUUUGAGACUAGGGACCAUGAGGUUAACAAAAGACUAACAAAAGAGGUACUGGAGUUUAAAUUACUGAUUUGUUAGGUCGUAUAUUCAAGACAUCUACGCGGUAUGGGAUGUAUAGGUACAUAUGUCUUGGGUGUAUGGACUAAUUAACCAGUAAUAUAGUGGAGGGAAUGCAUUCGCAUUUAUGCAUCGUUUUUGUCGUUAUAUAUUUAAAGUAUUGUUUGAUAUUUGAUAACUUGAUUGUGUGAUAUAAAUAAGAAUAACCUAAAGAGGUUUGGCCCUACUGAGCAUAAGCUCACCCCUAUAGAUUUUUGUUUAGGUGUACGAGGUACAACACGUAUUUCUAGAAGACUAACUGUGACGUUACUUUACGUGUACAAGAGUCGAGAAGUACGGAAGAUUAGAAGCCACAAGACCUAUUUCGUCUUUGUAAUUGUUUUUGUUAUUACAAUUUGUUUUGUUUUUAACAAUUUCUGAAAAAGUAUUUGAAAUUGUUUUAUUUUCUUUUACUUUUCCUGCUCACGCCUUGGUUUCAGUGUUAGGUGCUUAGAAACCACCGAUGUUGGGUCCAGGGUGUGAUAGCUUCCGAGUAAGCUUUCGUUGAUCUCAAAUCCGCCAUCACCACAGCUCCGGUCCUAGCUCUUCCCAACUUCGAUGAGGAGUUCUUCAUCGAAACCAAUGCUAGUGGAUUGGGGAUCGGUGUCGUGCUCUCUCAAAGCAAGCACCCCAUCGAAUUCCUCAGUCAGGCUCUUUCUCCACACAACCAAUUGCUCUGUACAUAUGAGAAGGAGAUGUUGGCAGUGCUACGUGCGAUUUCUAAAUGGCAUUAGUAUCUUUUAGGUCAUCACUUCACCAUCAUCACUGAUCAUCAACCUUUGGUACACAUGUUUCAACAGCGGAUUCACAUUCUGCACAGCAGAAGUGGAUCUCGAAGCUCCUGGGCUUCGAUUAUGCAGUCCAAUACCAAGCGGGUAAGUUGAACGCUAUGGCUGAUACCUUGUCUCGCCGUGUAGAAUUUCUCAGUAUUCAGGGCAUCUCAGCUCCCAUCUUUAAUUGCCUUCCAGCAAUUGAUCAGGCUUGCCGCUCUGACCUGGAUGCUGACGCCAUCAUCAGUGCCUUGGAAACAUGUGGCCCAGCACCCGCACGAUUUUUACUUACUGCCGGUCGCCUCAUGUAUAAGGACAGGGUUUCUAAUUGGCGUUCUAAGAUCUUAUUUGAGCUUCAUGAUACUCUCACAGCAGACCAUUCCGGUUUCCUCAGAACUUUCAAGAGAUUGACAUGCAAUUUUGCGUGGCUUGGAGUUCGCCGGGAUGUUAUGAAGUAUGUCGCAUCAUGUGAUCGGUGCUAGCGAGUCAAUUCGGAGCACCGGGUCUUCUCCAACCACUUCCUAUUCCUAACACAAUUUGGGCUGAUAUUGCAAUGGAUUUCGUCCAUGGGUUGCCCGCCUCUGAUGGCAAGACCUCUAUUUUGGUAAUUGUUGAUCGGUUGUCCAAAUACGGUCAUUUUGUGCCAAUCACUCAUCCGUAUACUCCUGCUCAAGUCGCCGAGGUGUUCACCAAACACUACCAGAAGAAAGGCUUUAGCCGAAGAAUUAUUUUUUCGUCGGCUAAAGUCCACGUUAGCCGACGAAAUUUUCCUUCGUCGGCUAAUUUAAAUUUUCAUCGGCUAUGGUCAACUAUAGCCGACGAAAUUAAAAUUUUGUCGGCUAAAGAAAUUUUUUCAUCAGCUAUAGUCUAUGAACUUUAGCCGACGUCUAUCUAAAAGUUUAGCCGACGAAAUUAUAUAUUUCGUCGGCUAAAGUGUCUUAUAUUUGCAGAUCUGGACAACAGCUCAUCUGGGAAAAAAAAAAAAAAAGAAAGGAAAAGGGAGAAAAAUUAAACCCUAACCCCUAAACCCUAAACCCUAAACCUUAGCCGACGAAUACCCUAAGAUACAACUUGUUGCGUCUCAUCGAUUUGAAACUAUUUUCAGUUGAAGGUCCAGCCAAAAUACGUAAUUUAGACGAUCCAAUGACAUUUUCCGUGCUUUUAGGGGUUUGACUUACGGGAUUGACCGUCUGGAUCGAGCCCUUAACCUUGUCGGAUCAAGUUGAAUUUUUUCUCAUACAUGUAUUUCAUCAUGAUGGUCAGAUCUGACAGUCAGAUUUUCGUUUCUCAAGUUUGAUCAUCACAAUCACAACAUGCCUACUAAUGUUGUGUAACUAGUUUACCGAGUGGUAAGUAAAUGUUCCGUUACAAAAACAAACUAUACGUAGAACCUUCAAACGUAAAAAAGUCAUGAAAUAAGAUAUGACCAUAAUGGUGAAAUACGUCUACGGUUGAAAAAUCACUGUAUUCCGGUAAAGUCUCGGUGCCGAUAGUUGCGGUCAAUGCAAUUUUACAUUCUUUCUCCCUAUGAAUAGCCCUAUCUUCGGUGGUUAUUUUUUGUAAAAUUUUUAUACGACUUGUUGCGUCUCAUCGAUUUGAAACUAUUUUCUGUUGAAGGUCCGGCUAAAAUACGUAAUUUAGAUGGUCCAAUGACCUUUUCCGUGCGUUUAGGGAUUUGACUUACGGGAUUGACCGUCCGAAUCGAGCCCUUAACCUUGUCGGAUCAAGUUGAAUUUUUUCCCAUAUAUGUAUUUUAUCAUGAUGGUCAAAUCUGACGGUCGGAUUUUCGUUUCUCAAGUUUGAUCAUCACAAUCACAACAUGCCUACUAAUGUUGUAUAACUUGUUUACCCAGUGUUAACAAACUAUACGUAGAACCUUCAAACGCAAAAAAGUCAUGAAAUAAGAUAUGACCAGAAUGGUGAAAUACGUCUACGGGUGAAAAAUCACAGCAUUGGGGUAAAGUCUCGGUGCCGAUAGUUGCGGUCAAUGCAAUUUUACAUUCUUUCUCCCUAUGAAUAGCCCUAUCUUCGGUGGUUAUUUUUUGUUAAAAUUUUUAUACGACUUGUUGCGUCUCAUCGAUUUGAAACUAUUUUCUGUUGAAGGUCCGGCUAAAAUACGUAAUUUAGACGGUCCAAUGACCUUUUCCGUGCGUUUAGGGAUUUGACUUACGGGAUUGACCGUCCGGAUCGAACCCUUAACCUUGUCGGAUCAAGUUGAAUUUUUUCCCAUACAUGUAUUUUAUCAUGAUGGUCAAAUCUGACGGUCGGAUUUUCGUUUCUCAAGUUUGAUCAUCACAAUCACAAUGUGCCGAAUGUAUAAAAAGUACUGUAGCCAACGACAUUAUUGAAAAUUCGUCGGCUAUAGUUAAUAAAAUAAAAUAAAACAAAUAAAUUAAAAAUAUUAAAUAAAAAAUACUAUAGCCGACGAAAUUCAUUACUUUAGCCGACGAGAUUCACAGGUUUAACCGACGAAUUUCACAGGUUUAGCCGACAAAAUAAAAAUUUCGUCGACUAAAGGUAUAGGGUAUAUAAUUAAACCCAGCGCUCAACAGCCUCCACAGCGCUCCAAAAAACCCUAAAAAACCCACCACCGCCUCCUCAAGCCAUCUCCGUUCUGCUCCAGCCCCGAUCCCUCCUCAUCUUCACCGUCCUCACUAUCUUCCUCAUCUUCGUUUUCACUUCCACCCAUCAAAAGGUAACUCUUUUCACCUACAUUUGGUGGAGGAAAGGUAUAUCAUAAUUGUACACUACUUCUGCUUGUUUGGCAGUAUCUGUUUGUGGGUCGUUGGAAUCUGCUUCCUUCCUCCCUCCCUCUCUCUCUCGCUCUCUCAUAUCAUUUCUGACAUUUUAUCUUACAUAUUCCUUUGGCAGGAAAAGCUUGGUUCUGAAGCAAAUUCAGAACCGAAGAGAAGUGAUCCAGGUGGUUCUGAAAUUGGCAAUGGUGAGUUUCGAGGAUUUAUUCUGCAGUUGUUAUUCUUGGUGUUUGUUUUAUUUCUUCCCUGAAACUAUCAUUUAUCUUUUGUAGAUCCAAUCAAUGGGGUUGUCCCGGUCGAACAGAAAUCCCCGUCUAAACCAAUUUCCGUUGAGGAGGGUGAACACCAAGAGGGUAAGCAUGAAAAUCAUCACAAAAAUAUAUGCUCUUAAUUUCGGCGCAUCAUCUUACAACUCGUGCUGUGACAUCGUAGAGGAGAGUGCUCCACCCGAGAGGCAGGUCUCCCCUCAAAAGCUCUACCGCGUAGCUUUAUUGAGGAAUCGGUUUGCAGACACAAUAUUUAAAACGAAGGAGAAGGCACUACUUGAAAAGGUUUGUAAUCGCUACCUGACUUGGCAUCCAAAUGCUCUUCUUUUUGUCUUUUUUGUUUUGCAUCUUACGUUUGUGAUUGGUUAAGUAUCUUCUUAUUUUUGGUCCAGGGUGAUAAGUUGGAUCCAGAAAAACUACGAAUUGAGAGGGAGGAACUUGAAAGGAGGCGUAAAGAAGGUGUGCUUUCUAUAGUUAUUUGAUAUAAGUAUUUCGUAUGAUGAAGUACAUUUUGAAAAAAGGCUCGAAAAAAACACGCUUGCAAGCCGAGGCCAGAGCUGCAGAAGAAGCUCAAAAAAAGGCUGCAGCUGAAGCUAGAGGGCAAAGGGAACUAGAGAGAGAAGUUGCUCGCCAGGCAUUGCAAAUGGUAAGUAUAGAAAGAUCAUUCUGAAGGGAAGCAUCUUAGAUUCUUAAUAAAUCAGCUGACAAAAAUCUCGUUGCACAGAUGGAAAAGACUGUUGAAAUCAAUAAGAACAGUCGUUUCAUGGGAGAUCUAGAAAUGUUUAAGGCUGGUGACGAUGAUCAUUUACCACAUUACAUCGAGGAAACCAGCCCUGAGCAUUCUCAUAAUGAGCCUGGUAGUUUCAAACUGCAGGGAAGCAGUAAUCCCUUAGAGCAACUUGGCUUAUUCAUGAAGGCCGAUGAUGAUAUAGAAAUAGAGGAUGUGCUUGUUGUUGGUUGUAUGGAAUUGUUUUGGUGUAUUUUGCAGGUUGCUUGGAAUGGUAAUUUAGAAAUUUCGGGUUUUUUUUUUUACUGGAAUGGACUUAUAGCCGACGAAACAUGUAAGAUAUUCGUCGGCUAUAGUAUUUAAUUUUUUUUAUAAGGUUUCGCCGACGAAUUAUGGCAUGUUUUGCUGGCUAAACCAUUCUAAAGCCGAUGAAACAGACUAUAUUUCGUCGGUUAUAGUUAUUUUUAAUUUUUUAUUACAUACUUUAGCCGACGAAUAUCUUAAAUGUUUCGUCGGCUAAAGUCUCAGACUAUGGUCGACGAAACAUUUAAGAUAUUCGUCGGCUAAAUUUUGGGACAAUAGCCGACGACGUCUUCUAGUUUCGUCGGCUAAAGUCAUCGCCGGCGACUCUCUCCCGAUGAAACCAUAGCCGACGAAGGCUCGUCGGCUAAGAUCUUAGCUGACGAAUUAAGCUAACAGGCCGAAACGAAAUUUCGUCGGCUAAAGUGCAUGUCUUGGUAGUGAAAGAGAUAUUUCAGCUCCAUGGCACGCCUAAGACUAUUGUCGGUGAUGAAGCAACAAGCUGAUAAGAAGCGCACUGAUCAGUCAUUUGAGAUUGGUGACUGGGUUUUUCUGAAGUUGCAUCCCUAUCGGCAACAAUCUUUGGUGCGCCGCCCUUCACAGAAGCUUGCCCCUCGUUUUUAUGGACCCUUCUAGAUUGCUGCAAAGGUAAGCUCCUUCUACCAGAUAAUUGCAAGUUGCAUCCCAUUUUUCAUGUGUCUCUCCUUAAACGCCGCAUUGGUGACCAUGCACCGGUUGCUUCUACAUUGCCUCAAUUUGAUGAUCAUGGCGUCAUUGAGUGGAAACCAGAGCGUGUGCUUGACAUGGCUAUCUUCACCAAACAUCGGCGCUCAAUUACGAAAUGGCUUGUGGCUUGGGAGGGACUCCCUCUGGAAGAUGCGACUUGGGAGGAAGCUCGUGCCAUGGUUCGCAGAUUUCCAGACUUUCAAGCUUGUCCUUAUGGGGGGAGGACUUGUUAGCAUCAUUUCUAACCCUCAGCCCAAUCCUUCAAGCCCAUCAGCCCAACCUACCUUCAUCAUGUGAUCCUUCACGUACAGUUGCGUCUUCUUGUGGCAGCAACCCAGUUCCUAGUUUGCAGCAACUCAGUUCCCAGUAAUAGUCUGCAUCUUAUGUUUUGUCUCUCUAGGCAGUGCCUAGUUUGUUUGCAUUCUAGUAGUAGUGGACUGUAACUUUUGAAUUCAUCAACCCACCUAUAUGUAAGGAGCCUCCUCCCCCGGAGCCCCCGGAGAAAGCCAUCAAUGAAAUGAGUUCAGUUUAAUUUACUUGUUUUCCUUUCCAUUGUUCUUUGAGCUUAUCAGAAAUCUGAUGAAAACAAAACAUACAUGUUCGAUAUAAAUUGUAUACAUCUAUUCUGCACUUGUGACAUGAACCAAAAGAAGCUAAAGGAAACAUUAUGACUUAUGAGCAAUAUACAUACGAGUACCCUUUACUGAUUAAAUUGCAAGUUUCACUGCAGCACACUAACACUAGGCAUAAACCAUUGCAGUCUUUCUGCUCCCCCAUCUUUCAAACUAAACACUCCCGAGUUAUCAACUUCACCUUCCUCAUCACCAAUGUAGUAGAUGCAAUUAGGUCUAUACUCCGGGACAUCACACGCAGCUACCGAGUGGUCAUGUCCUAAAAAAAUUGUAAUCUCACCUAAAUUCCUGAUGUAGUGCCACUUCUUUUCACGAUAAUAGUAAACCUCAAACCUUCUGAGGUUAUCGUCAUAGCUUUGAUGCCGGAAAACAUAGCUUGUCCCCGAAAAGCUCAACAGCAUAAAUUUCAGUCCUCUUAAGCUCACCAAAUGCACCUUUCCCCCAUCAAAGAACAUAGGCAAGGCACGUUCACUAUGUUUGAGAGAAAACCCACAAUAAUCACAAAGUACAAGCCUCCCCAGCUCAUUCAAUGCAAGCAACUCCUUGUUUGCGGAUGCGACAACGUCGUCGUAGUGAUUCCCAUAACCUUGUAAAAUAGUCCACUCCUGGUUACCAUCUUCGUAACAUAUUAGAUUUCGCUUAUCUCCGAAGAUUGCAAGGACUUUGUAGCCUCUAGGGUUGCAUAACGGGUCUGAGGACAAUGUGGCCUUGUCGACAGUGCCGUUUCGAGGGAGCUGUGGGAGGUUGUCGACUUGGUGGCAGGUGAAUGCGUCGAGUAGAGUGAGUGAUGAGUUUUGGUCAUCCAACAAGAUGAGCCAAUCGGCGGAGAAUCCACAUAUGGUCUUUUGAUGAGCGUUUUCGGGUAGAUCACACCGGUGGACUUGAUUGGUGGAGACUUUGAGGAAGAAUCUGGAGUGUUUGGUGAUAUUGUGCUGAUGUUCUUCAGGUUGGUAAUGGCUCGGAAGCAUUAGCCAUGGGAAGUCUUCUGAAAGUUCACCAUGUUGAUGAGAGAAAAGGGAUUAAGAGAAUUGGAGCAAUUUGCGCUCAAGGUAUAUUAAUAUAUACAUAGAUGACUAAGGAGGAGAUUCCUUUCUCUACAGGUAAAGGAGUCCUGAUACAGACCGACUUUAAUUUUCUUACCAAGUAAUUGUUUGAUUUUCUCUGUCAAAUUGUUUCGAAGCUGCACCCAAAAUACGAAUAUAUUCAAUAUUCUACAGAUCACCUAGCUAAAAAGAAGUAUUCGAUAUUCUACAGAUCACCUAGCUAAAAAGAAGAAAAGAAGAAGAGGUCUCUUAACCCAAGAGACCCCACGAACUCGUAAUUUCUCAGUGUCAGUUAGGUUAGCUAACCAACAUGUCACGGCUCACCGACUCAAGAUUUAUUUUUUUAGUAGAGCCAGCAGGCAUCAACCAUUGCAUUCUUUCAGCUUCACCAUCUUCUAAACUGAACACUCCCGAGUUUUCAACUUUGCCUUCAUCAUCAUCAGUGAAGUAUAUGCAAUUGGCUCUAAAACCCGGGGUAUUACGCACAGCCAAUGAAUGGUUAUGUCCCAAGAAAAUCGUAAACUCCUUCAAAUUUUGGGUGCUGCACCACUUUCCUUCAUCGUACCUGUAAACCUCAAACCUUUUAAGCUCAUCAUCGUAGGUUUCAUGCCCGAAAUAGUAGCUCGUCCCUGAAAAGCUUACCAGCAUAAACACGUCUACAUGUAUGCUCACUAGAUAAACCUUUUUACCAUGAAAGAAAGAAGGUGGUACACGUUCGUCACAAACCGGUGGAUCGCAGACCAUCAACUUCCCCAACUCACUCACUGCAACAAGGGCCUCUUCUGUUUCGAAAAGAAUGUCGUCGUAGUGAUUCCCAUAAUCUUGUAACAUAGUCCAUUGGUUAUUAGCUUCUUCGUAACCGAUUAGCUUUCGUUUGUCUCCGAAGAUUGCUACGACUUUGAAGUCGUAAGGGUUGUAAUACGGGUCUGCAGACAGUAUGGCCUUGUGCACGGUGCCGUUUCCGGGGAGUUGGGGGAGGUUGAUUUGGUGGCCGGUGAAUGGGUUGAGGAGAGUGAGUGAUGAGUUCUGGUUGUCGAAGAAGAUUAGCCAACCUAGUGAGAAUCCACAUGUGGUUUUUCUUUCUCCACAAGCAUUCUUGGGUAGUUGGAGAGUGUGGACUCUGUUGGUGUAGACGUUGAGGAAGGAUUGUUCUAUGUGUUUUUCCUCCACUUCUUUGGAGUGGUGCUGGUUGGGAACCAUUAGCCAUGGAGAGUAGCUUACCAUGUUGAGAGCCAAAGGAAAAUUGCAUUAGAAACUAGCUUGGUAUGGAUGGAUCGAUGGAAACUUGAAGCUCUUCAGUUUUAUAUUUAUAGUCGUCAGAUGUUAGUAUGAAAAUAACAUCUAAUUCUAUGUGAAUUAGGAGUCUUGAUUUUGAACGACUUUAGUUUUUCAGCCAGCAGCUUCUGCACAAACUCCAUUUAAUGACAGGAUUAGGGAUAACAUAGGUAAUUGCUUCAAAAUAACAGAAUGAUACUAUUGUAGAUACUGAAUGAAGUUCAUAACAAACCAAUGCAAAUCGAUACACACAUUCUAUUUUACAAGAGCUCAACCACCAAGCAACGUGGGCAAGACAUAAUUGAAAAGACCAAACAAUCCUAAGAGUCUUAAUCCGAGGAAAAUAUCGAAAUACAGGAUAAAUGUUGAUAAGUUUGCACAAUCUUUUUCUCAAACUAGCAAUGCCACUUAUAGCAUAUGCAUCCGGACAUAUUCAGACUGCCCUCCCAGCACCUUAUGAAGGACUCAGUCUGCUGUCCAACUCUGUUCCACGAUUUCCCUAACUCUUCGAUUGUACUCUCGCUUGUUCUCGCUAAACAUGCGAGCAGCUUCUGAAUUUGCAGGAGAAUUCGGGUUCGGAUCACAUAGUAGUGACUGCAAUAAGUAAAUGAAAGAUGUUAAAGUCUUGGAUCUAUAGCACACAAAGUGUUUAGGUUUCAUUAAAUGAUUCAUAUUCAAGAAUGCCAGAUAUCUACAUUUACAUGUACUAAUAUCUAGCGUGUUUUGUGAAUUAUAAUGAACAACAAUUUUAUCCGCACGGACAAACGUACCUGGAUAGACGUAAGUAUAGCUGCCACAUCAUAGAUAGGACUCCACUGAUUUUGCAAAAUAUCUAAACAGAUACUUCCAUCGGCAUAGACUGACCAGUUUUGGAAAGAAAAGUUGAAUUUGAAUCAGAAACCAGAAGAGAGAUAUCGAACAUGAAGCAGAUAAAUGUCAACAUACAACUUACUAUUUGGAUGAAACAUCCGAGAUACAAAUCGCACAGUUGGUGGUUUGUUUGGAUAAUCUUCAGUAAACUGAAGAGUCAACUUGAACGUGCCUGCAUAGUUCAACAAUGUGGAUAUUAAUAGAGUUAAGGUAAUGUAGCAGAAAUAUUGCAAAGAAGACGAUUAUAUGUUAUUUUAAGCUUCCAGACCUCAGAUUUUUAUUCUCUAAUUUUCUUUUCAGAAAGUAAGAACUGUUUUUAAUAAUUUAGUCAAAUAACAGAACAUAGACAUCUAUUCAAUGUGUUAGGUAAAAGUUAUCCAUCAUUCCACCUAUUGAAAGAAAAUUUUGACCAAACUGGGUCUCCUUUAUCACUUUUCUGCUUAUGCAACACAAGUAUGAUUUAGCAAACAGUAGUAGUUGAGAUAGUACGUUUGCAUGUCUUCAAAGAGACAGAUUAAUUUAACUUUAAAAUAUGUUGUUGAAGAAGAGACACCUUAAGUGUUUGAAAUAAUCAUGCAUACAACAAUGAAAUGUACCAAGAAUGACCAAUCCCAUAUCAAUAUCAAGGAAAAGGAUUCAUCCAUCCCAUCCUAUAUCUGAAAUAGCCCUCUAUAAUCCAACAAGAAGAUAAAACCCACAGCUUAGAAACCAUUGUGUAAUUAUGUUUAAUUCUAGUAUAACAUAGUUCCAUUUAUUAUGUCAUCUUCAUCCAAGAAUGUGAAACUUAGUAUAAAGUAACUGAACCAAAGCUUUAGAUAAAGGAUUUACUGACCUCCAUCCCAAGGGGUAUCAUCAGGCCUGCAAUCCAAACAAAACAAAAAUUGAGAAAUGACUUAUUGAACUGCACUUAAGCAUAACAAAUAGCAGAUUAUAUUUUUGCAUUUCAUGUCAUCCAACUCACCCAAAUAUAACGGCAUUCCACAGCAUUAUAUUGUUGUCUUGGGGUGCCCCACUAAUCCCUGCAGGCGGGUCCUGUUGCAGCCUCUUGAAGUCUCUCAUCAGCCUCUUCCUUGCAGGAGUCGACAUCGCUACCCCGCUACCACCUAUAAAUCAAAGUAAUCACCAACAAGAAACUUCAUUAUAAGUUUAUAACUCAGCAAGUGCUUUCAACAUAAACGCAAAGUAUAAGCUAGCAAUCUGUCCUAAUGCCCACCAAAAAGAAUACUACUUUGAGCACCAAAUUUGCAUACAGUGGAAAUGACAACACAAAUAUGCACCAUGAAACACCAACUUACGAAUACAAAUACUGAUACCAAAUAAGUGGAUUACAUGCACAGAAAGGCAAAGCUCAAGACUAUGAAAAAUUGAGCUCAAACAUUAGAAAUUCCAGUUCAAUUAAGCAACUUUUUACAUGUUUACAGCUUCAUUAUGCAACACAACCAGGCUAAUCAUCUUUCUAUUACAAUUGGUCACUACGAUAAACCCUAAUUCGCAUUCUUACAAACAAAAGCUACCAACUUGGCCACAUCCAAGCUCAAAGCUCGAAUCUUUCACCUCAAACCAAAUAACCCACCUCAAAAUCAAUCAAUUUGCGAAUCAAAACUGUAAAACAGACCACAAAACAAGAGAAACUGAACAUGACUGGAUGGAAAUUAUCCUCACCUGGAGCUCCUCCAAGAGGUCUCGAUCCGAAUCGGGUUGCUGAUUCAGAGGCCAAGAGGGUGAUCGGGAAAGGGUUUUGGGAGGUGGGUUUUGAUCAGAUCGAGUCCAUUAAGGUUUGGGCAGAGAGGCACACAGAGGAGCUCUAUGUAGCUAUAAGUGAGGGAGAGAGAGAGAGAGAGUUUGUUUUGUUUAUAGGCUUGUGUGUGAGGAAUGAAAGAGAAUUUGGAGAUGGGUUGGGUCGGUCUACUCAGCAAAGGUCCCUACUACUUUGGUCUUUGGCUAGUUGGCCUCUCUCUUUCCUUUAUCAGCCUUUCUCUUUCUCACAAGUGAAUGGAGGAAAUUCCUUCUACCUUUUUCCUUUUUCUUUUAUUUCUUUCUUUCUUUUCUUUAUUACUUGUUUUUCUUGUUUCCAUUGUUAUGUCAUGGGAGACUCAAGAUCUGCUGAGAGAGACUAUUUGAAGAAGAAAAAUAUGUUGCAUCUUUUAAGUUUGUUCCAUCAUCCAAUUAUUGUGUAAGAUUAUAACAAAUAACUAAUAUUUCUGUUAUAGUUUUUUUUAAUAGUAUUUCGGUUAUAGUUUGUAGUGAGUAAAUGUGUAUGACUAUACGUUAUAUGAUAUGAUCGUUUUGCGUAAUUUUUGUUUGAAUGACUUUGUCAUGUUUACUUUCUAAUUAAUUGUUUUCUUCAUUUCAGUUUCAUUAAUUACUACAAUCAUUCAAACAUCUUUUUGUUCGGGUGAAAAGUGAAAGCAUUAUCAAUUACGGCAACAAAGGCACACGUACGGUCGAAGCACCUGACCACAGAACUAGCAAAGCCGGGCCGAGGCAUGGACAUGACCGAGGCGCGAGCAGGGUCUAUAUAUGUGUUCUAAUUAAGCAGGCGACCGAGGCAUGAGGAGCUCAAGGCUAAGCAAGGCAUGCAUGAGCAGGGUUAAUUCACGAGCUUAUAUAUACGAGUGAAAAUGAUACACAUCUUACCAGUUAGGUCAUGUAUAUACAUAAUUCCUGAUCAAAUACAAGCUAAUGUGAGCUGGUAAUGAAUCCCACAGGCUACACCACACUAGUACUCAUCUAGUAAAAAGUACUUAAGAACUAGAACACAAAAGUUUAAUACACAAUUUGAUGAAGCAUGGAACGUAAUUUCCCUGAAGUAACUCCUUGAAUCAAUAUUACAAAUUAACAAAUAAUUAAAGAAAAAGGUCUAUAUAUAUAGCACAUAUCAACUCUUGUGAUCUUCACUAGGAGAUGUAGAUGCACUCUUGUGGGUGGCAAAUGGCAAUGAAUUAGGUGGCUGCAGAAACAUCAAACUCCCAGGCUGCGAAAUAUUUGCCGGUGAAGAAUUCGGUUUGCUCAAAUAGGUUGAUCCACAUCCGGUAAUAUUGCCCCCUUUAAUUGCUGUUUGCAGAUAGGAAGAAGCAGUAGCACUGUUACUGCUACUAAUUCCCGGGAAGUUCUCACCCCAUUUCAGUUUCUGAGCCAAGAUGUUAUUAAAGUGAUCUCCACCUGCAUUCUGAUUAUUAUUGUUACUUCCACUCCCACCAUUACUACUACUGCCAAUGAUUGAUGUCAGUGCGGCUGCUAGGGCAGAUUGGAAACUUGGAUCCGCUGUAAUUGCCUUUGUUGCUGCUGCAAUAGGAUCCGGUAACUGAAACUGUAGAGGAGUUGGAUUGUUCUUCUGCAUGUAGUUUUGGUACAUGUUGUUUUGCACAGGCUGCUGCUGCUGCUGCCUUCCAAGAAUAGUAUUCUUGUUGUUGUAGGGUAAUUGUGUUCCAUUUCCAUAGGAAAGGAACCCAUUGUUAUUCCAUGACAUGAUGUUGUUGGAUUGAUCAGAAGAACCAAAGUUGAGACUGGUGGGAGGGUAUAGUACUUGGUGAGCAGAAUUUAAAGUUGAUGAAGCAAAUUUGUUCAUGUGGGAUGAGGAAGAGGAGGAUGGGUUUGAAGUGAGGUCCAAGGUGAUUGUUGGUAGUGAAGAUGACAUGGAAGAGUUGGGUACGUAGAAUCUCGAUCUUGAGUUAUCCGAAACAUAGUAAUUGUAUCCAUGAAGGUCGGCAGCCGCAGUUGUUGCCCCAACUGAGGGGUUCAGGCCAGGCCGGGAUGAGCUGGAUGAUGAGCCGGACAACAGCAUGGAAGCGGCAGCAGAAGUGGUGGAAGCCAUGGCGGUGGCUGACAUUGGAAGUGGGUGAUUGUGUGCUCCUUCGUACGUGGUGAUUAGGAUGGACAUGUCAUCUGCGCAUCUUUGCACCUGAAAAUCAAAAUAUAUCACUAGUUACAAUUUGAAUCACAAUUUUAGACCACAUUACAAAUAAUAUAGGUAAUAAGCAUUAAGCAAGUCUUACCUGUUUCCUUACUGGGCAUGAUGGUGCAAUGGUGCAACGAUAGUAUGCUCUAGGGCAAGGGUUUCCUUUUGCAAUCUUUUGUCCAUAUUUCCUCCACUGGCAUCCAUCAUUCAUCUGUGUCCAAAGUCAAUCACAUAUUUUGUUAAUUAAACUCCAUUAGGCAUGUAACGAUGUAUAUAAGUACGUAUGGAAUAAUGAUUAAUCACUACUUAAUUAUUUGUAUGAUGAACACUAACCGUUGGGGUGUCACAUCUAGCUCUGACUGAAACCCUAGCUUUUUUUACUGGGCUCUGCUGUGCAACUUCAUCUUCUACUAAACUUCUCAUCGUCUUGAGAACCUUUUUUGGCGGCCAUGUCUCGCCUGCUUCAUCUUUGGGCACUUCUUCAACGCUGCUUGCAGGGCUUGGGUUUGACAAAGGCACCUGAUCAGUUGUAGUACUACUUGAUUUAGCAGGUGCUUCAUAUUUGCAGUCUAGUCCUAAAGACAAGCUCUUUUCAUCAUCCGUCUCCAUUUCUUUCCCUGCUUGAGUACUAGGGCUUUUGCUCUUUUCCUCGACCCUUUUCCGUUUGCCAGAAAAUGAUCCGAGGCUGAGGGAAAGCUGCUCAGAUUCCUCAUCGUCUUGAUGAUUAUCGGUUACAACAGUAUCCUUACUGGAUUGGGUUGCUUUCUGUUGAACGUCAUGGUACUGCAUUUGAAGUGUUUGGUAGUCCUCCAUCAUUCGGUCUAAGUACUUCUUCAGCCUUUGGUUCUCUUCUCUCACCUCACUCAUCUCGGCUCUGGCAGAUUCUAGUUGAUAAUCCUAUAACAUUUUAUGUUUAUUAGCACUACGCUUUGAUUCUCCAGCUCAUAUAUAUAUAUGCAAAUCAGUACUAUAUAACAAGUGUAUAUAUAUAAUUAAACAAAACGAUCAAGUGCUUGAAAAAUUAAAGCUCCGAUCGAUCGAGUACGUACCUGUUCCUUUCGGCUUGAUGAAGUAGAAGCCACUGAAUGAUCAGGUUCAGCCAAAGAGGACCCUUUGAUGUUACUCGUGGUUGAUAUCUGUUCGAUUAAGCAUAAUCAUUGAGAAUAUUAGAACUCAAAGAACUAAAUAUACUGUAGCUACUAAUCUGCCCAGUUAAUUGAGUAUUGUUGUCUGAAAAUUUAUCAACCUCAUAAUCAAUAUUAAUGGUUUAAUUUGCAGAAGGGGAAUUAAUGGCCUACAGUCGUCGUUUUUUUAAUUUGCAGAUGGAGCAUGGUCAGCCUUAAUUAGAAAUGGUUAAUUUAGACUUCAAGAUCUAAUAUAUAAUGCCAAAACAUCAUUGUGGAACAAGCUCCCAAUCUGCUGUUGUUUUCAUAAUAUUAUCCUCUUCUUGAAUGUAUAGAAAUGUGAAGGUAAAACAAAGAAAUCUGUGGAUGAGAUAUUUUCAAAAUUACUACCCUUCGUCUUCUCUUAAUUUUAAGAAAAGGUGCUAUAAUUUCCUAAGUGAUGGAGGUUUCGAUCAGUUUAAUUAAAUUACCUGCUUCCCGAAACUCUGAUUUUUCUGUCUUGGUGAAGAUGAUUUCCUUUCAUUAUUCUCCUUCUGGCCUGCUCUUUCAGUUCCGGCCUAUAAUAAUACACAGAUCCACAGAAAUUAAUUUUGAUAAUUAAUAUAUCUAACAGAUAGAUAUGACCAUCGAUCAAAUGCAUGCCAGUAAUAUAUAUCCUUUAACAAAUUCCUAUAUUAAUUAUAAGUUCUUCGAUCCUUGAGAUAAUAUUGGAUCUCGAUCCAUAAAGAGUCUAACUUAAAAAGAAACACAUCGAUGCAAUAUAGGUGUAGUUAUUCGUUACUUACUUUAAGAACACUUUCUUCUUUGCCAUGAGCUUCUCGAUGUUCAUCAUGAGCAGCAGCAGUAGUACUAGAUUCAAGCAGUACUACUCUCUUCUCUUCCUGUUCUUGAUCUCCAUGAUAAGGUUUUUCGACAGCUGCAGCCUCCAUUAUAUCUUUUUAUCUCUGUAGCUUGCGUUCGAAAACGUUUUUCCUUUCUUUCUUGUCAUCAAUUGUGAGGGCCUCCUCUUCUUAUAUAGAGCAGCAUGCAGUAUUUGACCGAAACCCUUAUAAAUUAUUUCAAACCCUCGAAAUGUCAACUUACCCCCCAUAUAUUCUCCAAUUGCAGCUCUAGUUUAGAGGUGACAGAAUCAUACACACAAACUGCAACUAGCUACUUUCAAUUUUUUCAUUAAUCUUGUUAAUAAUUGAAAAGGAAAAUCAAAGUGAGAAAAAUGGGAGAAGAAUUCAACGUCAACGUUUGAGAUAUAACGAGAAAAUAUAAGAAAGAAAUAAUGGGUUCGAGCCGCAAAGAUCGGUCCCCACGCAAUUCAAACAAACACCAUCGUUGAAGUUUCCGACGUCUUUGCCGAAAGUCUCACAUGGGGAUUAAUUCUUUUCAUAAAUUUUGGCUCGCUAAUUCGUGGUCAAACAUUGAUUUUGGCCUCACAAAUAGACUCUGAGCUAGAAAAUCUCAGACUUUUGAAAUAAUCAUUAACCUCCAGUCACCGGAGUUCCGUUUUCAGGGUCGUCGGUGGGGUUAGGGUUUUGUAAAAGGUUAAGAUUCAGGUCCACUUAUGGUGGUUAACUAUUAAGAUUGAGGUCAGAUUUCAAGAAUUGUUUGCUAGCUCUAGCUCUUCUUCAAGUCGUUAAUUCUGGCCAUGCAAUUGACCCGGCGCGGCUUGUAAUUAACUUUAACGUUCACAUGCAUGAUUUGUACUACACGUUGGAAUUGCAAGCUUAUAUAUCAUUAUAUAAUUAAGAAGGGAUCCUUAUUUCUUACCAUUAUCUUGUAUGUUAUCCAUAUAUAUAGUUAUUGGAAGGGACGUUUAUAGUUAUAGCGAAACAUUCAUCUAAGUUGCAUGUACUCGAUCAUUGUGGAUUUACAGAAUUACAUAGUUACAGUUGUUGUGAGUGUGGAAUUGAAUCAUAAUUCCAAUAUUAAUUUUGCUAUUCCGACUCCAAUCAAAGGAUCAAAGCUUAGAUAUGUGUUUCAUGCUAGUAUUUCGAUUAAAAUUGAUAAGAUCAAUAUCGACGUUCGUGCACUUAGGACCGGGCAUGUCACAUUAAGGAUCGAAAUUUGUCAUACAAUGUAGACAACAUUAUGAAUCAUUCUCGCUCCAUUGCCAUGAGAAUGAUUCGUACUAAGCGAGAAUAAUUCAUACUUUUUAGUCGUCUUGACCUUUUUUUAUAUUUUAAAAGGAGAAGAAAAAAAACCUUGCAUACCCACCAUAUUAUAUACACAUUAGGAUAUUAUGUAAUAUUGUCUUAUGGCAUGCAAAUUGUGUCCUGCCCUUUUUUUAAGGGCAUAUACAUUCGGUGAUAAUUAUAAAAAUUCUACCAUGAUGAAGGGUGAAAGGACGUGACUUAUGCUGACAGAUGAUAUUGUUCAAGGAUGGGAUUUCUUCCUAGAUCGAGUUAAUUAAUAAGCAGGUUGUGUACAUAUUGUCAGAGGAUUAAAUACGGUGGCCAUCGUAACUUGACAGAAUUCAUAGCAACAUAUCCUUUAUAUGUCAAGGUAAGACGUACUUGAGAGGAAUUAUACCACAUCAUUCGUGAUUCGUUCUAAAACGGAAGAACAAAAUAUACGAGUGUUUCAACACUUUUGACAUAAUGGAAGGAAAAAUUCUAUUUGAGAAAAAAAGAGACGAUCGAGUAAUCAAAGUGGUACUAGCUAGCAUAUUAACAAAUCGUCCGAAGCAUAUCACAAUCGUAUUUUAAAACUGAAGUAGUCCACUUGUUAGCGUAAGACUCGGACAUGAGCAGCCCCUUGUCUAUAUGUUGAUUAGUAAACUAAUUACAUCGGGAUCGAGAUCGUUGACGUCUAAUAAUUUGCUUUGAUUCAUUCCAACUUAUAACCUGGACUUGGAGAGACAAGAACACACUUAACUGUCUCUAUAUAUAUCUGUGUACAUAUGUGUGUGUAAAUGCAUGUUAUAUUAGGUAUGAAUACUGAAUACAGUAUAUUUAUUAUUGAUUGACCACGAAGAAAAAAAACUUGGCUAAAAAGAAGAAUAUAUAGAACAUAUAUAGUGCUUCAAAUUAGGGACUCUUUGAUACAUAGUGUGUAAAUACAUGACACCAUAAGAAUGGUAAGAUUUAUGACUUAUAAUUAUAUACAUGUAUGAUGAUUAUAAUAUAAAUCUGAAUUUCUAAGAAUGCAUCGUGUACUUACACGACAUCGUGUAUACAAGAAUAUAUGAUCGAAAUAAAACUCUCUCAUGCAUCAUAAAAGAAAUAAAACGCAUAUGCAUGCAUGCACGCAUCACGCAACAUUUAUGUGAACAAUGCAUAAAGGUGUACACAAUUCCGUAAAUUUAUUCAACAUAAGAAUGAUAUAUAUCUUAAUUUGCUAUAUAUGUACUGAGUGAUAUGGAAAUGUAUAAGCACUGUCAUUCGGAUCACUUUUGUAUAGAGAGCUUUCGUAAUUUCUUAAUCAGCUUAAACAUCCUAGCUAAUUAAGAGGUCAAUGCUCUGUACUUAAUUCUUGCUUGUCAUAUAUAGUUUAUAAUAAGCAUUAUUAUCUUACAUGUAACGUGUAGGUGGUACUGUAACAAAUUGCUUAGUUUAAUUAUGGAUAUUAGUCUACGAUUUGGAAUAAUUAAUUACUUUAAUUUAUUUAGAGGUUCCAAUACGUAUAUUUAAUCAGAAAACUGGGAUUUCAACCCAGUCAUGCAUAUAAAAUACAGAGGGGCCGUGCCUUAUUGGGAUUAUACAUGGAUCAAGAACAACUAUACGUAUAUUUCAUGCAAUAGGGUCGACGUAGGAGAAUUCCAAUUAUACGUAUCCUCGCGCGAAAAGUCACCACCCCCUCCCAACCUUGAGAGACUUCUGCUAGAUACGUAUACUUGGUUUCGUUCAUUACAAAAAGAAUUAUUAACUAUAAAUAUAUCUAAGCUAGUCAACUGUUAUAUAUGAUUCAAAUUAACAUCACUGGGAUUUGGGUUUUGUUUUAUCUAAGCGCAUUUCGAAAUGGAUCUUUAUAAGAAGAGAGCAAGAUCGAUUAAUAUGACAUGUAGUUAACUUAUGCAGAUGAACUACGUACAUGCAUGAGUAACUCAGACCAGAAAUUAAAAUAGCAACCAAAUAAUUUUCCAAUUUAAUCUAAACUUGUAAUUCUUUUACAGUCACUAAUCCGGUUAGAGAUUUAGCUAUCUCGCUCUAUCUAUCUAUGUAUCUAUCUAUCUCUCGAUAUCUUUCCAUAGGAUUAAUAAAGUUCGACCAAAUAAAACUAAAGUCAAACCGACUUAUUUAGAUGAUCACUUAGAUUUGCGUAUGUAAAGGAACCAAUUGCUAAAUUAAAAUGUACACUAUUGAUAUAUAUCUGAUUUAUUUUCUAUUGUGAAAUUAUUAAUCAAAAGUCAAAUUGCUCAAGAGCUUCCCACUAGAUAUUGUUUUUACAAGAACCGGAAUAUAACAGCCAGAAAAGAAAGAAUGGCAUCCAAAAAACCAGAAAAGAAAGGAGUAGGUGUGAUCAGGCACAGUCUCAAAUGUCAAUGGUUGUCUGCAUUUUCAUUUGUUAUCCAUGGACUUCAUACUACGUAGAUCAACCCAGCUAGUCAAAUCUAAUGUCAACUAUAAAAACCCACCGGAACUUAGUUUGUUCUCUCUGCAUGGAUUAUAAAUGUUUUUCAAGCAAUCAAUAUUGCUAGCUAUCUCGAUCGAUGAAUUCCUGCUCUAUGAACUUAGGUCAAAUAGUCGAUAGAAGAUCGAUCAUGUUGCACGCCAUGGUUUUCUUAUAUUAAUUAGUACCUGUAGCUGUAAAUUCCAUAAUCAACCAUUGUGAUGUAUUAUUGUAUCAUGAUUGAGUUAAACAAGCUGGUUGUAGCAAAAUUCCAUAAUCAACCAUUUCUUAUGCGUUAUAACAAACCCUAGCUAGCUAGCUAGUUGUAGCAUAUAUAUUUUGUAUUUUCUUCAUCAUAAUACAAAUUAAAUAUAUAGUCCAUUAGAUUGGGUUUUAAUAGAACGUGCGUUUGAAGUUGAAUAUUUGCCAAAUAACAUAUAUAUAUAUAUAUAUAUAUAUAUAUAUAUAUAUAUAUAUACUACUUACUUUANNNNNNNNNNNNNNNNNNNNCGAAGCUUCGCUCUAGAAUUAAAGUGUGAGGCUCCUCUCUUAGCCCUUGGAUCAAUUUACUUAAAUCUAAUGGAUAAUAACUAAUCUCUAUUAACUAGGAUAAAAAAACCAUGGGUUAACAAUUAAGAAAAAUAAAAUUAAACAAACGCACAAAGGUUUCCCUGUCCGAUCAAAAAAAAGAAAAAUAGGGUUUCCCACGUCUCAUAUUUUGUGCUAGGGUGCUUGAUUUUGUUGUGCAAUCAGACAUUCCUCGCAUAUGAGACUCCUUAAUUGUGAAGGCAUUAACAAGGAUUAAAAUAUCGGUAUCGGUGUAUCUAUCGGUCUUUUGAAAAAGGGAGAUUUCGUAUAUAUCGGGGAAACCCGAGAAAAAAUAUCGGGAUUUUAGAAAGAAUUUUUUUUUUCUGAAAUAUUUAAUUUAUUGGAUUUACAUAUAAAUAUUACAAACAUCAACUUCAUCUACAUCCAGAAUGGAAUAUAGGUUGUUGAUAAGACGCACGUUGGUCCAUAAAAGUACAAUAAUCAGACCAAGACAUAUGACUCAUAUAGUAUGAAUUGUAAUAUUGAAUAUGAUAAUCAUAUAUGUCUCUAGAACAGCCGACUAUUUUCUCUAUAAGUGGAUAGUAAGGAUGAAUCCAACUGGAUGACUGAUCACUGACUUCCGUGCAUUGAUUAUAACCAUAUUGAUUGUUGCCUUCUUGAGAUUCAUUUGAGGUUCUAGUCCCACUACCUAAACUGAUAGACUCAAAACUUAGCGCAACUGAAGCAACAUCUUGAUCAUCAUUUGGACCUCUAGUCCUCCUCCCAUACAUGGUAUCCUCUUGCGCUCUAUACCUAACACUUCUAUAGCCAUAAUCAUGGGAGACAUGAUCGUAAUUUUCUUCAGAUGAAAAAUUGUUCAAUCCACCAACUGUAGAAGAUAGUCCAUAUACAAACCCGAUAUUUCCACCACCUUUUCCACUUCCACCGUCUUCAUCAUCAUCUUCUCGAGACCGCCACUCUUCAUUGGGAUACACCCCGAGGGAAUUACUUAUCUUUUAGAAAUCACUCAAGAUAUCUUUUGGAAAUCACUCAAGACCCUCACUCUUCAUUGAGAUAUACCUCGAGAGAAUUACUUCUAUCAUAGAUAUCACUCUAGACCCAUACUCUUCAUUGAGAUAUACCUUGAGAGAAUUACUUAUAUUCUAGAUAUACCUCGAGAGAGUUUCUCUUCCAGAAAUCACUCAAGAGUCAAGACCCUCACUCUUCAUUGGGAUAUACCUCGAGGGAAUUACUUAUAUCCUAGAUAUCACUCGAGACCCACACUCUUCAUUGAGAUAUAUCUCGAGAGAAUUAUUUCUCUUCCGGAUGUCAUUUCAAUUUUUUUUACAGAUAUUUUUUUAAUAUAUCGGUGAUAUAUAAGAAAUAUCAUAAAUAUCGGAGAUAUUUCCUAAAUGUCGAAGAUAUUUGACGGUAUCGGAGAAAUAUCGGGAAAAUAUCGUUGAUACGGUGGAAGAUAAGAUAUUGACCCCUAUAGAUAUAUUGGUCAUUCAAAAAAAUAAAAUAUCGGAGAAUAUAUCAGAUAUAUCACAGAGAUUUUAAUCCUUGGGGAUUAACAUCCGAUUAUCCAAAUGAAGAGCUCUCACACAGUGUAUCCAAUGUUAGGCCUCAAUUUAAAAGGAUGCCUCUUGACUAUUACAAUAUACAAGGUGNNNNNNNNNNNNNNNNNNNNCAUAUUGUAGAUAUAUAUAAGUAUAUCAUAUAUGCAAUUUUCAGUAAUUUGGAGAUUUGUUAAGGUAUUGAAAAUGAAUUAAAUCAAUUAACGAAUUGAAACUAUUUAACCUGAAACCGUUCGUGUUUUUAGUUUUAAAUCACAUCUUUGAAUGCCUUAACGAUUAUCGAUUCGGUUGGAAAUUUGUAAAGAUGAUUUACUCAUAUAUACCUACAAUGUGAACGGUUAAAAUGAGAAAAUAUAAUCUAAAAGUGGGUCAUUUAAGAAAAUCCGAACCUUUUGAAUAAAUAAAGAUAUUUGGACUUGAUAAUAAUUGUAUGAAAAAUGCUAUAAUGUAUUAAUACAUGUGAUGCAUCAACUUUGUUAUAAAAUUGUAAAAUGAGUUCUCCAAAAAGUAAUAUUAGUUCUUGAAUUUGUAAUAUGAGUCUUUAAAGUUAUAAAAUUUUAUAGUUAAAACAUUAAGCAUCAUGUGUCCUUAAAAUGGUAAAAUGUGUGUUUAAAAUGAUGAUUGAGUCACCGGAGUGGUUAAAAAAAGUUGUUACAACUAUGAUGACUCAUAUUAUAAUUUGAGAAUUCAAUUACCACUUUAAGGACGCACGAUGAUUAAUGUUGUAACUACUUAAUUUUUGUACAACUUUGAGGACUCAUUUUAUAACUUGUAGACGAAAUUGAUACAUCACAUGCAUUAACACACCCUAGCCUUACCAUAUAUAUAUAUAUAUAUAUAUAUACUACGUUCCCUUCUAGAGCGGUGUCCUGCUUUGAAUUAAAGUGUGGACCUCCUUAUUUCGCUUACUUUCAAGUCGCAUUUCCACAUCUCAACCGUACAAUGUCUAGAACACAGUGUGUAGAUCAUUUUUGCAAAGUUCAUCCAAUUUGAAGAUCAUUUGAGCUUCCAUAAUCGUGAUUUACACGAACGGUUCUUUUUGAACAGUUUUUAUUCUGUUGAUUUAUUUAAUCUAAUUCAGUACCCAAAUGAUCUUCAAAUUUGAUGAAACUUUGCAGGAAUGAUUUACACACUGUUCUAGACAUUGUACGGUUGAGAUGUGAAAAUGCGACUUGAAAGUUAGCGAAAUAAGGAGGUCCACACUUUAAUUUCAAACCGGGACACAGCUCUGGAAGGGAACUGAUAUACAUAUACAUAUAUAUAUAUAUAUAUAUAUAUAUAUNNNNNNNNNNNNNNNNNNNNAAGUGGUGAUGGAAGCGAACUUGAAUGGAUUCUUGUCAUUGUUUGACUCAAUAUAUAUUUGAUAAAGAGAAAUUUAAUAAAUGUUCAAACAGAAGGUUUUGACCGACAUCAAACAUCCAAAAUUUAGAGAUUUAGGGACCCUGCAAAUUAUAUUUGGAUUUGGGUGCAUCUAAUCAAAUUUAUAGUUUGUGUGCAAGAAGCCAACUAUCGAGAAUUAACCCUAAAACUAAUGACAGAAGAGAAAAUCAAGCACAGAAGAUGAGACGAGGACGAGAAAAUCAAGCACUGGGAAACCCUAUUUGUAUAUUUUUAUUUUUCUUAAUUGUACGUUAACCCAUAGUUUUUUUAUCCUAGUUAAUAGAGAUUAGUUAUUAUCCAUUAGAUUUAAGUAAAUUGAUCCAAAGGCUAAGAGAAGAGCUUCACACUUUAAUUACAGAACGAAGCUUCGCUCUGGAUAAAAACUAAUAUAUAUGUAUAUAUAUAUACAGGCCGGAUGUGGAGCGGACGUCCGUACCAGCCUUAAAGUGCGGACGUCCGUCCGUUCUCCACCCUCCAGCGACGGCGACGGCGCGCCUCCACCCCAGAAGACUCCAGCAGCGUCCCCGACCACUUUCCCUCCCCGGCGAGUCCAUUCUUUUCCGGUUUUCCGGUGAGAUCACCGAAAACUUCAAACAAAGUCAAUCUUGCCGGAAACUGGAAAAAAACGGACUCGCCGGGAAAGGGAAGUGGUCGGGGACGCUGCUGGAGUCUUCUGAGGUGGAGGCGCGCCGUCGCCGGCGCCGGAGGAUGGAGAACGGAUGGACGUCCGCAUUUUAAGCCGAGUGCGGACGUCCGCUCUACAUCCUUUAUAUAUAUAUAUAUACACAUAGUAACAUAGAUACGCAUUUGAGCAUAAAUCAUGAUUCUAAAAGUAAGAACAUGAUAUAUUUGGAUAAAAACUGUCUACUACUAUAAUCCACAUUUCUGAGUGUAAAUCAUGAUCAUGAUUUUGUACAAACAAUUAGUUUCUUGAAAAAAGUCCCAAUUACGAAUCAGUUACGUAUUGCAAAUCACAUCACAUCUUCUCUUACGCAUUGCAUAAGUGUGGCCUCGUUGUUCUCAACUCCUCAAUGGCCUCGCUUGUUUACAAGGGACAUAUUUUUGUAAAAGACUACUUCAGGUACAACCAAAAAUUUAAGUACGUACCAUAACAUACUAUAAAAGCAUAAGUGUCGCUGAUUCGAUUGCUAAUAAGUUUCUUUCAAUUUUUUCAAGGGUGCUUCUAUUGCCACCCUACAAAUCAUUUUGCUCACCCCACAGGUUGUUGAUUUAUUGAACGACUAAUAUGCCCUAAUAUAAAAUUACAGCAAGGGACAAUAAAUUGUUAUAAAUUACAAAUUAUUAUUUUUAGAUAAACACACGUACUUCAUAAAUCUUAACCAAGAAUUUAUUAUAUUCGAUAUUUCUAUGAAGUCUAAAGAAGACACUAGCAUUCAACUGAAUAUGAGGUGAAUUGUUUGUAAUUUUUUUUUCUUUGUUUGAUGUUUCUUUUACUCAUUAUUUCUCAUAUCGAUUUGGUAUGUAAAUUUUCANGUCUAGUCGCUCAUUUAUAUAUAUUCAUUUUUUUUNNNNNNNNNNNNNNNNNNNNCCAAAUGAUAUUAAUCUUAUUGGUUUUCUUCAAUUUCAUUUUGUUUUUGAAGUUCAAUGACAUUGGAAGAGGCUGAUAUCGUGUGUAUUGCAAAUUGGUGAAUAGAGUAAAUUAAAAUUAAAAUUAAAAAUUAUAUAAGUGGGGUGAGAAGAGAUCGAAUGUAGGGUGAACAAAACAAAUCUGAAAUUGAAAAAAAAUAUAUGUAGGGUGAAAAAAGAAUUUAGGGUGAACAAAGAAAAAAUGGGAAAAAGGGUAUUUUAAGUAUUUUAAACGGGUGAACAAAGUAGACUUACAAUUAAAAAUAUAUAAGUGGGGUGUGAAGAGAACGUGGGGUGAACAAAGUGGUUUGUGGGGUGGCAAUAGACGCACCCUUUUUUCAAUGCUUCAUUUUCUUCUUUUACUCUGUUUUGUUCUUGCGUUAGGCUAUGAAGACACUUACAAAAAUUGUGGACUUCGCUCAAAAGAAAUUGAACACAAAUAAUUUUAGCCCGCCCCAUAUUCAAAUUAUAGAUACGUCCCAAUUUGUUUAAGUGCAUGAUUAUGAAGUGAAGCCAUUUGCCUCAACAAAGAUUUAUCAUUUUGCCCCAGUUUAAUUUUGGAGGAAGCAGUCCACCAACAAACUAUCCAAAACUGAAUAAAACCAGCCCUAUCCCAGUAAUCCACAAUCAAGCCCACAAUCUUGCUAAACCAUCAUCCAUGCGCCACCUGCCACUACAAAUCUCCGUGAAUAUAUUAUAGGUAUAUGUGUCAGUAUGUACUGACUAGUGAGUGACUCAUUCUCUCAAUCUCUCUUUGGAUCUUUUACCAUUCCGAUUUGAUCAAUUUGACAGACUGAGCUGACUGAAAGUGGCACUUCAAUCCUCCACCUGAAAGAGACAGCCUUGUUGGAAAACCCAGACCAUUUUCGCUCAGAGGUUCAAUCUGAUCAUACAUAGGUUGUCUUCCCUUUAGUCAAGUCUUACGUUUGUAUCAGCAUAGCCAGUCACCAUGAAUGGAAUUCUGGCUAGCAGAACCAGAGUGCCCAAAACAGCCCUAAGCUGGUUUACUUCUUUUAAUCUCUCAAGGUAUAAUGUUUUUUUUUUUUCUGCUUAGAUAAUAUUUUCUGGGUUUUCGAUGAUUAUGUCUGGGUUGGGUUUGUAUUGCGAUGAUGAUUAUGGACCAUUUUUGGAUGUUGGGUUUCUUAGAUGUGAUGAAGUUUCAAUCUUUUGCAUUGGCUGAAAAUAAUUUGAUCCUAAAUGAUGGAUGAGGGUUUAAAGAUUGGAUUUUGGUCAAGGAAUACGAGUUUUACAGUGGUUCAAUUUGUUUCUGUAACAAUGUAAUGAGUGAGUACUCAUUACAUGCUCAUAUGGGGUUUAAAUAUGAGGGGAUUGAUAUGAUAUUCGUCCGUAGUAGUUUGUUUUUGUAUUUGAAAAAACAUGCCGAGGAUUGGUUAAGAAAUGCUAUUGUACUUUAUACAGUUGAAUUUCUUUGUAAAGAUAUUUAGUUAUGUCUUAUGACAGAUCGGCUCAUUCUUUACCCUUUGCAACUGUUGAGGCUGAAGAAAUAUCGGGUUCCCUGCCUGCUGAAGUACAUAACAUAGGUAUGUUUCUGUAAAUAAUAUUGGUCUUGGAGAUUACCGGAGACUUAAACACGGGAGCAAUUAUAAGAUGAUUCAUCAAGUGUAAUUUAUUGGAGUAAUUCAUCAUUAUUGAUCAUUUCAUGUUACUUUCUUUGUUGCAUUAUGAUCUAUGGACCUUCACUGAUGUUGAUGUCUAUUGAAAAUAAAAUGUUUUCAUUUUUAGUGAAGGGUAAAUGGACGAAAUCUUCUACAUGGAACACUAUUGUGGAUCCAUUAAACGGGGAACCGUUCAUUAAAGUUGCUGAAAUUGAUGAAACAGGAAUUCAGGUAUGCCUGUUGAAUAUAGUGUACAAGUAUCCUUGUUGCUCUUUACAAACCAAUCAUUCUCAUGGCUGAGCCAAUAUAUUAGGUAACCAAAACCCUUCUGCGCUUAAUACUUUUAGAACUUGCUGGAACGCCUUCUGUCUUUUUAUCAAAACCUAUUAAUGUUAAUGCUUUAGGUACUUCAGUUUGUUAUGUGACUGUAUCUGUACCUUUACUGAAUUCUUUUUUACUGUUGGACUGCUGUUGCAGCCCUUUGUGGAGAGCUUGUCCAACUGCCCCAAACAUGGUCUUCAUAAUCCGUUCAAAUCACCAGAGAGGUUCGUGUUUUUUAUCCUCGGUAAAAAAAUUUGGGCAUUAUUUGUCGCCUAAUUCUCAAACAGAUAUCCUGUAGAGGGUAAAAAAAUUUUCAUCAAAAUUUUCCAUUUUGUAGAACUUGGUAGUGAUAUUCAUAAGCUUUCAAACAAAAAUGACGACUGAUAGACCCUUUAUUAUAGGUAUCUUAUGUAUGGAGACAUAUCUGCAAAGGCAGCUACCAUGCUUUCUCUGCCAAAGGUAACAGGUUAAUAUAAAAAGGACAAUAUUUUCUUUUUACCUCUAUCGUACAUUUAUCUAAAGACUAAUGCACUUUUAGCUUUUGAUGUAAAAAAGUUAUUUUGCGGCAAUUAACUUCACAUCAUACGGCUUUCAGGUUGCUGAUUUCUUCACAAGAUUAAUUCAAAGGGUUGCUCCAAAGAGCUACCAGCAGGCCUAUGGUGAAGUUUAUGUAACUCAAAAAUUUCUGGAGAAUUUCUCUGGUGAUCAGGUACAAUGAACAUAAGUAUUCAGUAUAAUACUAUAAUGUUGUUGGUGGAAAAGAAAGAAGAAAAGAAAGAUGCAGAGAGAGAUUAAGACUCAUAAAAGUUGGAAUAUUGGAUGAUCUGUGAUUGAUUGCCCCGUGCUCAUCAGUAUAGAUACAGUACUAACCAAGUAUCACAUGACAGUCUGUCACAUUUAUGCCUAAGAUUUUCCUACAUAGGAUGGCUGUAGAAUGAUAUUUUAAUCCUAGGUUUAAUUUCAAGUACAGCAUAGAGCUAUAGCUAUAAUGAAUUGGACGUGUUUUACAAAUUGUCUUCUACAACUCAAGUUUCUCUAACUUUGUUUACUUUUAACACAUGUGGCAGGUCCGUUUCCUUGCAAGGUCUUUCGCGGUGCCUGGAAAUCAUCUUGGCCAGCAAAGUAAUGGUUACCGUUGGCCUUACGGUCCUGUAAGUGCUAUCUUUGAACAUAAUAAAAUUUAUUAAGGACCAUUGUUUUUAGGGAUGUUCAAGGUAGACACUUACAAGAAUCCAGUAACUCCUGUUUGAGGAGAUACAAUGUAAUUGUAAGCGAUGUGUGCUUGAUGCAGUAUCCAGGUUUUGUUUUGAAAAAGGAAAGAUUACCACAUGAAGAUAGAUGCAUCCCUUUACUAUUCUAUGACUUUAUACGAACUUUUGAUUCAUAAGAAAGACUUGUUUGUGAGUAGUUCAUGGUUCAUAUUUUAGUUUCAUAUUUUGAUACAUAAAUAUCUUUUGUGCAGGUUGCAGUAGUUACUCCCUUCAAUUUUCCACUAGAAAUUCCCGUACUUCAGUUGAUGGGUGCACUUUAUAUGGGUAACAAACCAAUUCUAAAAGUGGAUAGCAAGGUAUGGAAGUAAAUGUUCUUUUGGUUCUGUUUUUGGAGGAUAAUUAUGGUUCUUCAGCAACUAGUGUUACAUUCUAAGUCAUUUACAUUACAUUUUAAGUUCCUGGUGAUUUUGUAGGUAAGCCUUGUUAUGGACCAAAUGAUGAGGCUGCUUCAUUACUGUGGGUUACCAGUAGAGGAUGUUGACUUCAUCAACUCUGAUGGGAAGACAAUGAACAAACUGUUAUUGAAGGUUGCUUCAAAGUGCUAUAUUUUUUUUUAUCCAAAAAAAAGUGAUAUAUUAUUUGCAAAUGUAUUAUUAUUAAUAAUAACAGAAAUUGCUCAUAGAUUUUGACAGUAUAUGUGUGGUUCAUGGAGAUUAUGCUACAUGGAGGUUAAAAUAACUUAUCUAUAGUGAAGUGUUUUUCUGCUAUUGCUUCAACAGGCAAAUCCACGAAUGACCCUCUUCACGGGUAGCUCAAGAGUAGCAGAGAAGUUGGUUGCUGACCUGAAGGGACGUGUUAAAUUAGAAGAUGCAGGAUUUGACUGGAAGAUAUUAGGGCCCGACGUCCAUGAGGUUUCUUGAAUCAAGUUUUGUGCUUCUGUAUUAUGCACAACUUUCUUUGUAAAGUGACUUUCAUCGGUUGUCUCUGUUUUUGGUUUCUGAAUGUCAGGAGGACUAUGUUGCGUGGGUCUGUGAUCAGGAUGCAUAUGCAUGCAGUGGUCAGAAGUGCUCUGCGCAAUCAAUUCUCUUCAUGCAUGAGGUGAGGUUCUCCUUUAUGUUCUUCCUAAUCUUAUAUUGUACUUUACAUCUGUAAUUGGAUCAUAUAUAAUAGUAGUUAGUUAGGACUUCGGGUAUGGAGAGGGGUUCAAAACCCUGGUAUUCCUAUCAAUACUUCGCCCCUCAUAUUUACUAGUCUUUAGUGCAACACUAGAAGCUUUAACUUUUAAGUGAUAUCUCCUUACGUUGUACCAAGUGUUGAAGUUAAAACUCUACACCAAUAGUGUAAGACAGUAGGAAGUCAUUGUUGACACAUUUUGAGAUUCACCAAUCUGUGUAUAUGUUUUGUUGAGUAUUCUUCUACUUUGUUAUGCAGAACUGGUCUAAGACUUCACUUCUUUCCAAAAUGAAAGAUCUGGCUGAGAGAAGGAAGUUAGAAGAUUUAACAGUUGGCCCUGUCCUAACAGUGAGUAUGGUUUUUGUCUUGCCCUGUACUAAUUUAACAACAUAUCUCUUACACGAGUUUAUACUGUUGCAGUUGACAACUGAAACAAUGCUAGAUCAUGCGAAUAAAUUGCUUCAGAUACCAGGUUCAAAGCUACUCUUUGGGGGCAAACCUUUAGAGAAUCAUUCCAUUCCACCUAUAUAUGGUGCUAUUCAGCCUACGGCCAUUUAUGUUCCACUUGAAGAAAUGUUGAAGGAAAAUAAUUAUGAACUUGUAACAAGAGAAAUUUUUGGGCCAUUCCAGGUAGCGAGAAAAGACAUGUAACUGAAGUUCUUCUUUAUUUACUGAUGUACCAACUUCAUCUUACCUUUUAAUUGCUAGAAGCUGACUGCUACUGAUGUUAAUAUACUUGUGACUAGGUUGUCACUGAGUAUAAGAAAGAUCAACUGCCAUUGGUGUUAGAUGCUCUAGAGAGGAUGAAUGCACAUUUAACAGCUGCUGUCGUGUCAAACGACCCCUACUUUCAACAGGCAAGAAUUCACUACUGUCCUUAUAUUGGUAUUCUAUACAAUCACAGAUUUCUGUUAAUUCUGCCCAACAUUAUUACAAGUUUACAAUUUAGAUGUGCACAAGAAGUCACUGUCCAUGUCUUUGCUUCUGCUCCAGAAGACUUUUUUUGUACAGUUUUUAUUUUUUAUUUUUAGAAAUUAUUCUGCUACUCUGUGCAGGAAGUUCUUGGCAACACGGUAAACGGGACUACUUAUGCUGGACUGAGAGCAAGAACAACUGGGGCUCCACAGAAUCACUGGUGGGUACAUUUUUUUUUUUUUUUAUAAUUUCAGUUACUCCCAUGAGAACAUUGCCAAGUACUUACAUAUACCAAAACGAUGAUGUGACACAGGUUUGGACCAGCUGGAGAUCCGCUGGGCGCUGGCAUCGGGACCCCAGAGGCAAUAAAGCUCGUUUGGUCUUGCCAUAGAGAAAUCAUCUAUGAUGUCGGUCCAAUGCCAAAGCAGUGGGAACUUCCACCUUCUACAUAAGAGUCAUUAGGGACAGGUCCAGAAGAGAAGAGCACAGCGGCCUUUAGUUUACUGUGUGAGUUAACAUCAUGUAAUCAUGGGGUCAAUCACAUCACUGUUGCAGAACAUUGAGCCUUUGGCUAUUUACUGAACUUCAGAAUAAAAGGGGUUUUUCUAGUCCUCUGUUUCAUUUCUGUGAUAUUGGCUUGUGAGAGGAACAUUGGAUAAUUACAAUUUGAUUAUGAAAAGCCCCAUCCGCAUGUAUAUGCCUCGAUGCUUAGAUUUAACUAGAUGAGAACCCAGAAUCCCAUUAUACCAUGAACUUAUAGUUCGAUUGUCUGAAGGAUUACAAAUUAAGGGGGUGAAAUUUGCCUUCCUGGUUUUACAAUCCACAAUCCACACACUCAUUUUUCUGUUUUAGUUAAAGUUCUCAUUUUUCUGUUUUAGUUAAAGUUUACACAAAAAGACAAAACAUCUACUAAAAACAAGAUUUAAGUUAUUAAAAAAUGAAAUAAUGUGUGGAUCGUAAAAUAGAGCUUAAAUUUAACUUUUUCUUUUUAACUUUGAUUUUUUAUUUUUUAUUUUUUAGAGUAUCAACGACGGUAUUCUCAAAAAAAUUUCAGGCCUAAAGACUAAUCCGCGUCGAGAGAUUAUGUCAAAACGUUUCAUCUCUCUGAUCAUCAAGAAUAAAUUGGGAUUUAACUCUAAUUAAUGUCGGCUAGGAUUUGAAUUUGGGUAUAAGGGUUUUACGUCUAGGUUCUUACCAACUUGACCAUUUGUGGACUGUGGUGGUUUUUAACUUUGAAACCUUGAAACAAGACAAGAAGAUGGUAUUGAUAAGUAGUAAAGACUGUAAAGAGUUGAAGACUGUUGAUUUCCAGUUACUCAACUAGUCAACUUGAUGAAUAGCCCAAGACAAUUGCUCUAAAAUGAAUAAUGGGUUAAGCCUAUUUAUGUGGUUAAACCCCUAUCUUCUUCAUAAAACCUUGCGUUUCUUUGCUCAACAAGAUCUCAGCUUUGCCUCCACAACCGAACCGGAAACUUCCCGCGCCUCUACAGGUUCGUACGUUUAAUAUAGGCACUGAUGUCUUCAAUAAAAAUAGAGAUUCAAAAACAAAGAAAAGGAAAAGAAGACAGUUGCCUUUUUCUUUGGUGGCAAAUUCAGGCUGGCUUGAAUACAAAUCUUUGAAUAUGCAUUUGCAGUAUCUCGCCCAAGUAGAUGGCAUCUCUUGGAGAAGAAUCAGAAGAUAAACCUAAUGAUGAUACCCUUAAAUUUAUGGAGCUUGCUAUAGAACAGGUAUUGUUUAAACUUCUCACAAGUACUAAGCUUUUCUGGUCAAUUAAGAACUAAAGGCUUUAAUAUUGAGGAUAUGAUGCGGCUUGAAUUUCAAUGGUGGACUACUAGUCUGGUUAAGUUACUGUCUGCUAUUCACUGAGAUUUAUGUACAACUCUGAGACCUCAUUCUGGUCCUUUUGUAGCUUGGUCAGGUGUGGUUGUUGGUGCUAUUUGGUAGUUCCAAUAAGCUGGCUGACAUUUCCAUCGAUAAAAGAAUUUUGCCUUCUGGCGAUGGAAAAUUGGAAAUAGUACUGGGCCUAAUGUGGAUAUGAUGUCUUUACUUUCUGCUGCUUUAUAAUUAGAUAUAUGCGUGUGUUUCUGUGUGUUUUUUCUUACUCCUAGUAAUAAGUUUGCUUGCAUAAACGGUAUUUAACUCCUAUAUCUGGUACUGAUUUAUGUAGGCAAAGCUUGCUUUGGAUAGCCUUGAAGUUCCUGUUGGGUAUGCCGUUUCUAUGUCUUAUAAACUGGUGUUGUGUUGCAUUAAAUAUUGUAUUUCUGUUUUAAGUUCACCUUCUUAUCCCUUUUCUUGUUCACAUAACUUUUAGAUUUUUCCAGUUAAGUCAAAAUAUUGAAGAUUGACUAGGUAUCAUUCUAUUGAUCAGGAAAAUUAGAAUGUUUAGAAUCUGCUUCUUUUGUUAAAUGUCAAGGUAACAAUACCAGUGCACUCUUUUCUCUGAUUGAUCAGCUGUGUGAUUGUUGAAGAUGGGAAGGUCAUAGCUUGUGGAAGGAAUCGAACUAAUGAGACACGAAAUGUAAAUUUCCCAUCAGUUCCUUUUAGUUUCAAACUUUGAUUCUGGUGUUGCUUUCUAUUGUUAGUUUCUGAAAACUUUAUCUACCUACUGACAAUUUCUGACUUAUACAUGGUCACCCCUCUUUAGUUUGCUUCAUACAGUAUUAAGAUAGCUUCCAAUAUUACAAGUGUAUCUUAUCCCCACACAGUUUUCUCUUGGAUUAGCAUGAAAGUUUAGGGCUCAUAUGAUGCACAUUUUCAGACAUUGUUUUUGGGAUGACCAAGACUACUGCAGCUAGUUGGAACUAGACUAUAUGUUCUCUGUACGUUUAAUUACAGGGCAUGCUAAAUGCUUAAGUAGAUGAUUCCAUUUCUUUUGUUUGGAUUUUGAUCUUAGAUUAAAGCAACUUUAGUUCCUUCCAUUUCUUUGUUUAUUUACGAUGAGUGUCUGCACUUAUGUAAUGAUCAUUUUUACAAGGACUUAGUAGCCAGGUGUAUUCCCUUCGUCUAUCAGGAGGGGAGAACACAUCAUUCAUGUCCAAUUAAAUAAGUUCAUUAAAGAAAAUGUCUGGUGAUGUAAUUAAACCCACUUUCUAGCCAUCACUUCCUCUUUCCAUAAAUUCCAGGAUACUGCAUACAAAAACUUCAAUGUGUUGAUUUGUUCUACAUCAAUCAGACUGCACCUCUCUUGUGUGUGGUGCGUCUACUAAUUUGUAUGAGCAUGAUUUGGAAAUUCUUUUCCUUGUUCGGAUGUAUCAAGUCCAUCCUUACAUAAGAAUGUGGAAAUUAAAAUCUAUGGGCUUCUGUGCUUGCCUAAAAGUGCAGGCUACAAGACAUGCAGAGAUGGAAGCCAUUGACAUUCUUCUUGAGCAAUGGAGAGAAAAGAGGCUUUCAACGUUAGAAGUUGCUGAAAAUUUUUCAAAUUGUAACCUCUAUGUCACAUGUGAACCAUGCAUAAUGUGUGCAGCAUCUUUAUCAAUUGUUGGUAUGCUCUCUGUGUCAUAGUUUUCUAGUGAUAUGAUGAAACUUCUCUCUUUCUCUUUUCUUUCCAAUCUUGAUUAUGUAUGGCUAUCUCCCCAUGGUCAGGUAUCAAGGAAGUAUUUUAUGGCUGUGCUAAUGACAAAUUUGGUGGGUGCGGAUCAGUACUGUCAUUGCAUUCUAGUAGCUCCGAGCCAGUCAUGAGGUCCAUAUCUGAACUUAACACCUUAGGCAAAAAAUUGACACAGAUUUUGGUGGUCUCUAGUAGUGGCAGACUGAUUGUGUUUAAAAUUGAUAUGGUUGUAGCUAGUUAGAUGGUAAAAACAAACCCAUCAUACAGAAACAGGAUUCACCAUUUAGUUGGCUGUAGCGGCAAGUUUAAAUUUUAUAUCCUUUUUGGUGAUUUCUUAAUUGAGUUUAGUGCUGUAGAGUUUUAUCAUCUUUUCGUAUAAUGGGUGUAAACAGAUGUAAGAAACAUUGAGUGUCAGCAGCCAUGAUGGGAAGGUUGCAUCAGUAACAUUUUCUAGGCACCAUGUUCUCUUUUACCUGAUUUGCUGGAAUUGUGCAUAAGUUGAAUCACAGUAAUAUUUAAGCCUUGAACAGUUCCUUGGUUCUGUUAUUUUCUACUCAAGAUGAUCGUUGCAUCAGUCACUUACUUUCUUUUUGUUGUAUAGCGAUGGAGUACCACAGGGGAAAAGUUUCAAAUGCACUGGAGGGAUAAUGGCAUCAGAAGCAGUCUCUCUUUUCCGCAAUUUCUAUGAGCAAGGAAACCCUAAUGGUAUCUUGUUUGCGAAUGAUUUAUGUUAUUUUUGACUGCAUUCAGAUUGGAUAAUUGUUCAUACUUGCUUCUCGAUUGAAUUCAUACUUCAUCCCAAUAUGUAGCAGGUUUAAAAUGCAUCCAAAUAAGACUUGUUACUAUUCCUAGUUGAAGUAUUUACUAUUCAUUAUUUAAGAUACUCUUGAUGUCUCUAAUGCAUAUUGUUUGGUUUGUUUCAGCUCCAAAGCCUCAUAGACCUCUCGUUCACCAGGCCAUAGAAUGAAUAUGUAAGGAUUUAGUAGUUUAUAGUGGCGAUUCUGUUCAAGUUCAUUUCUCUUUAGGUUUGUUAUUUUCUUUGGACAAGUUUAAUUUGCCUGGCUCAGUGCAGUCUCUGUUUCUGCAACUCUUCUGUUCUGCUCUUUUUGUGUUGGUUUCUAACUAGUUCUUGAGGUUCUCUGUUAAAAAAAGACUAGUUCUUAAGGUUUGCAGGAAGGGCUUAUAGAUGAAAGAGAAGACCCUUUUUUUUUCUUUUUUUUUUGUGUGUGUUCGUGUAAAAGUUCUGUUAGAACUUAGAAAGACAGUGAGAGGCGUUGGAGAAAUAUAUUGUAUAUAUGACUAAAUCUAGAAGAAUUGUUUGUCCAACUUUUCUUUCUAGAUCAUGUUCUAUACUUCUAUGCUGUUGUCAGAAAAUUUACUUUCUAUUAUAUGAUAUUUCUAUUAAAAUUUACUUUCUAUUAUAUGAUAUUUCAUAUGUGUGCCUUGAUCUUAUGCCAUCAUGAUAUGUAGUUAGAAUAGGACUAUGUAUUUUUAUCAUUAUCAUAUUGGUACUUUGUAAUUCUUUAUAUAAAAGGCUCAUAUCAAUGAAUAAGAUACAACUCUUUUCACGAUUCUCUCUACUUUGUAUUCUCAAACCUCUUUUACUAGAUCACGUUAUCAGUAUUUGGCUCAAACCUUGAGCUAAUAAUCAAUUUUUCAAAACCCUAAAAGUCGUUUUUCAAAAAUAACUUUUUUUUUUUUCGGCCCUGCCUUGGCCCCGUAUCUGUCGCCGCACCCAACCGCCGCCUCCCGGUCGUCAGCCUUGUUUCUGAUCGUUGUCUUUCCCGGUCCUCCUUCUCGACUUUCCCCGAUCAAGCAUCCAAGCUUUUCCUAAGAAUUUCUAAGGUACGUUUUCAAGGUAUAUUUUAAAAGUUCUUUAAAUUCCAACUAAAAUCAGGGGAGAUAAAUUGCCUUCUCCCCUUUUUCAUCCCUGUUCUAUGCUUGGGUCUGUGAAAAUUGUAGGCUAAAAAUCCCGGACUUUUUCCCCGGGUCCAAAGUUGUGUUUGAUCAACUUUGGUUCUAUAUUUCGAAGGUGUGUUUGAUCACCUUCACCUAAUUUUUCCUGGUCGGGUUUGAUCGACUCCGGACAUAUAUUAGAGGGUUGUGUGUGAUCAACCCUCGUGAGACAAACCAAAGUAAUAAGCAUCUUAUUUGAAUAUCCUUCAGGUCUCUAUAAAAGAAAACUAAUACGACUUGGCUUUUUCUUGUGUGCAGAUGGACAAAGGAAUAUAAUUUGAUGUCCUCGAUGCCCAUGGUACUGAGUACUAUCGAUGGAUCUCAGAUAUUGAGCAAACUUUUAUUGCUAAAGAUCUUACUAAGACCAUAUUCCCCAAUCUGAAUCAGGAAUCGCCUCAUAAAAGAACAAAAUCUCAGGCGCUUAUGUUCCUAAGAAAACAUAUCGAUCAUACAUUGCACAGGCAGUGUCAAUCAAAACAUGAUUCGAAAGAAUUAUGGGAUGCCCUCGCCGAACUUUCGGAAACAUUCAUUCAACCUUGCUUCCGUAGUUACUUGCUCGAUGGGAUGAAAUUCGACAAUUGGAUUACAAGUGGGUUGACGAUUUCAAUCGUGAUAUGCUUUGCCUACAAGCUCAAUUGAGCUCAUAUGAGGUUGAGAAAAGUGAAGAAGAUAUGAUAAAUAAAACAUUCUCGAUUUUCUCUACUGCUGCUAAGAUCAUGAUGACAUGUUAACAGAAAAACUAAACUUUGAUCGUAGGAGAAAAACAAAACCUUAUGCUGAUAUGUUACCUGUUGCCUUAGGUUCAUCAGGAUCUUAGUAACGGUAGGGAAAGUUGAGAAUGUUUUUUUUAUCAUAUCUUCUUCACUUUUCUCGACCCCACAUGAGCUCAGUUGAGCUUGUAGGCAAAGCAUAUCACGAUUGAAAUUUGAAAUUGUCAACCCGCUUGUAAUCCAAUAGCCGGAUUUUAUCCCAUAGAGCAAGUAACUCCAAAAGCAGGGUUGAAUGAAUAUUGCCGAAAUGUUCAGCGAGGGCAUCCCAUAAUUCUUUCGGAUCAUGUUUUGAUUGAUACUAUGUGCAUAAUGUAGGAUCGAUAUGUUUUCUUAGGAACAUAAGCGCCUGAGAUUUUGUUCUUUUAUGAGGCGGUUCCUGAUUCGGAUCGGGGAAUAUGGUCUCAGUAAGAUCUUUAGCAAUAAAAGUUUGCUCAAUAUCUGACACCCAUUGAUGGUACUCAGUACCAUGGGCAUCGAGGACAUCAAAUUCUAUUCAUUUGUCAAUCUAAACAUGAAAAAGUCAGUCGUAUUAGUUUUCUUUUAUAGAGACUCGAAGGAUACUCAAAUACGAUGCUUAUUACUUUGGGUUGUCUCACGAGGGUUGAUCACACACAACCCUAUAAUAUAUGUCUGGAGUCGAUCAAACACGACCCGAAAAAAAUUAGGUGAAGGUGAUCAAACACACCUUCGAAAUAUAGAACUAAAGUUGAUCAAACACAACUUUGGACACGGGAAAAAAGUCCGGGAUUUUUAACCUGCAAUUUUCAUAGACCCAAGCAUAAAAUGGGGAUGAAGAAAGAGAGAAGACACUUUAUCUCUCCUGAUUUUAGUUGGAAUUUAAAGAACUUUUAUAGUAUACCUUGAAAACUUACCUUAUAAAUUCUUGGGAAAAAGCUUGGAUGCUUGAUCGGGGAAAGUCGAGAAGGAGGGCAGGGAAAGACAACGAUCAGAAGCGAGGCCGACGGUCGGGUGGGGCAACAGAGACGAGGAUGAAAAAAAAUAUUUUUUUUUGUUUUGAAAAACGAUUUUUAGGGUUUUGAAAAAUUAACUAUUAGCUCAAGAUUUGAGUCAAGUACUGAUAACGUGAUCUAGUAAGAGAGAUUUGAGAAUAGAGAAUAGUGAAAAGAGUUAUAUCUUAUUUAUUGAUAGAAAUUUUUUAUAUAGAGAAUUACAAAGUACCAAUAUGGUAAUGAUAAUGAAUACAUAGUCAUAUUCUAACUAUAUAUUAUGAUGACAUAAAGCCAAAACACACAUAGAAUAUCCUAAAACAUUUUUUUCUAUAUUAAGAAAAAUUUCGAUUUAUAUGUGAAAGACAAGAAAAGAAUAAUUAAACAUUCAACAGUUUAUUUAGUCCAUACCGGAGACCUACGUACAUUCCGUUGUUACAACUUAGGAGAAAAAGUGGUCAAGAUUCUCUAUUAAACGAAGCUAAUUACCGAAACUCAAAAAAUUUGCAAUAGAGUUGUAGUUCACUAGCUUGCGAAGAAUUUAGCGGCAUUGGCAACAUUGAUAUUCUUCCUUGGGAGAAGGUUAGUGAUGUCAAACAAACAAGUAGUGAAAAUAACUGAUCAAAAUAACACAAACAAAUAAAAAGGUUAGACAACUUCUCCUUUUAGAAGGGCAGAAUAGUGUCGAACAAGUAGGUGUAACUGUUGUCCCGACGACUCUCCGUCGGGUUCAGGCUUCCCGACUAACAGAUCGUGGAUCAUGUAAACCAAAAUGAAAAAUGGGCUAGGCCCAAACUCUAACAGCGGCCCAUACUAGAUAUAAACCCUCUUCUUCUUUCUCCGCUAGACCUAAAACCCUGCGUGUUUCUUCUUUGCUCUAAACAUCAACUCAGCUCUACCUUUCCUUCUCUUUGCUGCCGCCACUUUACUCCUCUCCAGGUUCGUCAAUCUUCCGAAACCCUUUUCUUUCUUACAAUUGCCAAUCAUAUCUUCAUAUUCAUCUUACUUUCUCUGCAAUCUUUUAGAGUUUAAAAUCAUGUCAUUGCUGGAAGUAAUCACCAAGGCUUCAGCCGAGUCCCAAUCGCUCUAUUCCCCAUCAGAAUACCCAAUUGUUCUCGACCCAGAUUCUAUCUUCCCCAAUUUGAAGCCCAAACUCGACGAUCCAAAUCCCAUCUCAGCCGCAAUUCCUCUUAAUGGUUGGGAAAUUUCACAGACCGAUUCAGAGCUCAUUGAGUUGGGUAAGAAGUUCACUACCAAGCUCAAGAAGAAGCUCAAGAACCCAGUUAAGUUUGACAGAGCUGAGUUCUUGGGAAUGGUGAACGCAUUUCUUGAGAAGAUUAGGGACAAGGUCGGUGUUUCGAUUGGGGUUGUUGAUUCUAGUAAUGAGGGGUAUACAUUGGUUUUGGUUGAGAAGGUUAGGGAGUAUAUGGGGAAGGAUGUUGCUGGUUUGGUUUUGGAGGCUUGUGUUGUGUUGGAGGUUUGGGAGUUAGUGGGGACUUUGAUUGCAAAUGGGCUUGUUUCGAGUUCUUGUUAUAAGGAUUUGGUUGCAAAGAUUGUGGCAAAGAGGAGGACAGAGUUGGUUUGUAUGUGUUUGAGGUAUGCGUCUGAUCUUGGAUCGUCGGAGUUGGUGAUGAUCUUGAAGUAUUUUCUUAGUCCAACUAAGGAUGCUUAUGAUAGCAUUGUGGAGGUGAGGAAGGAAUGGGAGAGCCAAGCCUUGUUGGCCGCGGAGAAGGCUAGUGAUAGGAGUCUGUCCGGGAAGAAACUUUGCAUGGCAAAAGAGGCUGCGGUGUUGCUUAUGGUGGCGUAUGAUGGGUUCUCUUCCGCGGAACUCUGUUUGCAUUAUUUGUUGGUGUCAAAGAAUGUUGAUGAGGUGAUAUUGUCGUCUGCGGUUAGUAAGUUGAGUGGGAAAGAGAUGGUGAGUUUGCUUCGGUAUUUGGGGAAGUGGCUGAAGAAGUACGAGAGGUUUCCUCAGGCAGGUCCAUGCCACAAGGCAUCAACUACAUUGGGUUUGAAGGCUUGUGAUUGGGUUCCGAAACUUGAAGAUGUUCUGAAAUGCACUGGGGUGGUGCUGGAUGAGAAUUACUCUGCGUUGGUGUUGCAUCCGGAGUUUCACGAAGAGCUGAGGUCUAUAAACAAAGUUGUCGGUUCCUUGACCUUGGAAGCAAGGCUCUGCUACUCUGUGGCCAAUGUGGCUGAUAAGUUGAAAGCUGAAGUUUAAGGUCUCAAAACCAGAUUCUGUGGUGGUGUUUCAUCAAUAUUCUUUCUAAGUUUCUUCGGUGAUAUUGGGCUCCAUCAAUACUGUAGUAUGACUGGAAUUUUGUUAUGAAUGAAUUUUUGCAGUUACAGUGAACUUUGAACGUUCAUGAUUAUUAUGCUAGCUUUCAUUUUAUAAUUCUAUUUUGUUUGCCAAGUUUCUGUUGAAUAAAAUUAUGAAAUGAAAAAACAAAAAAACAAAGAUGAAAAACAGGCAGCUCCCAAGUCAUCUGCUAAAUGCAGUAGAAAUACCAGCAUCAUCUGAUAGGAAAUGCAUUUCAAACGCACCCUAACAAACCAUGAAAAUCAAAACCAGUAUAAUAGAUGAAUUUGGGAGCAUCAUCUCAUUGACUGUGACUGAAAGCAAUACCUUGCCAGUUUUUAAUUGUGAUAAACAUUGUUUGUAAGAUUAAGUGGAGCUACUGACAACAUGCGAUUUGCAGCAUUUGCUUAUAAAAAAAAACACAUGAGAUUUGUACAAGACAGACAUGUGUUUGUGAAUGAAAUAAUAAGAUUGCAACUAUAUGCUCUUGCACUCAUAUCUUGAUCUUAUGCGAGAAUAUCCGCGAUGCAUUGGUGGUUUCUCAUGUGCUUUUUCUUCAGCGCACAAAUUCAAGUUGCCAAAUUGAUGUCAUGAAAAGACAAAACUCUAGACCAGCUUGUCAUCAAAAACCUUCUGUAAGUGCAAAAACUCGCCCUGCUAAGGGAGGAGGCAACGCCGCUACAGCUUGUUGAAUUUCCUGGUUAAUCAGAAGUAUGGAGUUUAACAGGUCAUUGAUGACAAAGACAAACUGUGAAACUAAUCGUCUUACGUUUACAGUGUAUCGAGCUGAAAAGUGAAUAAGAAGAAUUGCUUUGUUUUCAAAUCUUUCUGCGUGAUUAAUUAUCUGGAAAAGAGUCAUCCAAAAAGGAGAAGGUUAAAUAGUUAGAGACUAGAUGGACACAUCAAAUAUCAGACAGAAAUUACGGCGAGCACUAGAGAAUCUAAAAGAUUUUGGAGAUUGAACCUCAGACAGAUGAACAUGUCCAUAAUCCCUUGCAUGCUCCACUGUAAUUGACUCAUCUAGGAAGGUGCUCUGCAAGAGAAAUAGGAAACACGUAUUAUACUUUGACCAUAUAAUAGCCUCACUAAUGCUCAAUCACUUGUGACAAAGUAAUGUACCUCCAUGACAAGUAUCUUUGCCCUCAGCACAUCAAUAUUGCUAUUGUCAACUAUGAAAUCAGCCGUGGUAUCUCCUGUGAAAGCAACUUGAGGUUCUAUCAAAAUGUUUGUAAUCUGCAAAAAAGUAAAGUCCAACUUGGUAAACUACUAAUGAGUAAUGACCCAACGAUAAGUGAAUGCAGAUGGAAAACUUGUUUACAAAUAAAACAAACGGAAUAAGGCAACACCACUACCAGAAAUGCAUAAAGUUUCAAAACCGGUAUGUCUAAAAUAUCAGGGUCUUAGAUUUCAACAAUCUUACACAUAACAGCUACUAGAGAGGUACAAUAUCAGAUUCGAUACCAGUGGUUUCAUUAACACCAUUAAGUAAUUCUUGUGUGUGGAGUCUGGUCCACCUAUUAUGUUUACAAAUUGUGGAUUUUGAUGUCAAUAACUUUGGGCUAAUAGUUUUGUGGGACUAGCAUGGUUGCAUCCCUUAAGUUCAUAGUGGGGCUUUUACCAUGAUUCUAACAGAGGGGAACCGUCUGCAAUGAUGAAGUAUUUUUAAGAUGGAGAAUUUUGGCUUUUUGGAAAGGUACAGUAAGAAUGACAACAUGAAGCUAAAACUAAAUAAUCUGAAUAAAGAAGAAGAAGAAAGAAUUUGAAAGAAGGAAAUCAGGGGAAAGAGCAGUCAAGUAGAUUCUGAUGCCAAAGUAUGGUAUAUAAGAAUUUCGAAACACACCUCCACACCUGAUUCUUUCAUUUUCUUAAUUUCAGUCCCACAUAGGCCAACAUACUCCUGCUUAAGUUUAUGUUUUACCGAGUAUACUACAUAACCCUGUCGCAAAUAACGCAUAGCCAGUUAGUACUAGAAUAACCCUCAACAGUUUUUGAUCUUCAAAAGAGAAAGAUGAUUAAUGUACCUGACUUGGUAUUCUAUGAUAAGUCCUAAAAGCUUUUACUUUGAGAUCCUUUCUUAUAUGGAAUUCUUCUCCUGCAAACAUAAACUGCAUUAGAUAAACACGAACUCCAUUCUGCAAGAAGGCACAAGAUACAAAAAGUGUCAAUUGGUGGAUGAAUUUGAAAAACAAUCAGCAAUUACCAGCAUCCAAGCCAAUCAAAUUAUGCUUCAGCUCCGAUUGGUCCAUUUUUCUGUGCACCUCAAAGAGUUCUUCAACCACUUCUUUAAUACACUUUGGUACAAUGAUCGUUGGGGGCUUCAUGCGGUAUAACCCACGAGUUGCAACAUACAUUGGCAGUCCUCCCUACGUAGAAGUGAAGCACAAUCGACAAUGAUCAGAUACUGAUAAAAAAAAAUGGUCAUCCCCCAACUGACGCUAACGGAAGGAAAUAAUGAAAACUGAGCUUAUGUAUUAGGUUUUACAAGAUGCAUAGGAACUGUACAUGCACUCAGGGAUUAUCUGAGAGGAGAGAAAUCACUAAAAAGCACAAUUCUAUGAAGCCCAACACAAAACCAAGUCCAUCUUCUCCAACCAUGUAAAAACACAGUGCAUUAUAACCCAGUGAUUGAGGUAGUUCUCUCAUUUACUAUAUUCAAUAUACAUCACUAGCAAAUUGAAAACACAAUAUGCAUUACCAGUCAAGUCAUGUUCAUCAUCCAAGUGGAUUCAGUGAGCAGUGAUUUCAGAAAGCUAAAAUCUUCCAAGAUCACAGGUACAAAGCAAACAAUACAUAACCCAAAAUCAUCAAAGAACUUAUCUUUAUCAAUUCACUAAUCAGAAACACCCAUCAACAUAAAAACAAGCAAUGACAAAAACCCAAAUAUGAAAGAAGAAAGCUCAUACAAUGUGAUCCAUGUGGGCAUGUGAGAUGAAGAGGAAGUCUUGGGCAAUUGCGCGUUGUGGGCAUCGUCCAAUAUCAAAUGACAAUUUGAGAGACGGAAAGAUGACACAGGUUUCUUGGCCUCCAAUUGAUAAACCCUCAACUGGGUACCCUUCAAUGGUUAAACCCCUGGCUUUCUUGGAAUUUGGGUCUGGGGAAUCUUGGAUUGGCUCUGAGCCUAUGCUUCUGCUUCCGGCCAUAUUAGACUAACCAGUGAACAAAAAGAAUUGGACAGAACAGUUUGAAGAAACCUUUACUAGAUGAGGUCUGAGUCUGAAGUUUGAAACUUUAAGCGGACAAGGCUAAUAGGCAUGAGUGUAGAGUUCGUGUUGUGCUUGUGUCCUUAAAAACGACUAAAUAAAAGAACACGUUAGAUAAUAUUAAAUUUCUAUAAUUUUAACGUAUAAUUGGUAUUUCAUUGAUUCAAGUUCAACUCUUUGUUCAAAGGUGAGUGUUUAUAAUACAUAUUACUUGGUAACCAAGCUACAGCUAAGAGUUUACAUGUUAGAUAUCAAACCAAUUGAGGAGAUUACAACUUAAUGAGGUGUAUAGAGGAAGUCUCGCUGACAUUUUAGGAAUCAAAAUUUCCAGUAAAAUUGAAUUUUUGAGGUUAGAGAGCUCUUCAGAUAUAUAAAUUUGUUUAACUUUGUUGUGGUAUAGUUUUUUGGUUAAGUUGGAUUUGACACAGUCGAUGAACUUUUGCAAAUCCAGAUUUCCAGUAAUGCCAGAACUAGACCCUUUUCAAUACUACGAUAAAGUAUAAACCAUUAAAUAUAAACCCUUCUUGAUCUAAUUAAAAGAAAGGAAAACAUUUUGCUGUAAUGAUAUAUGAGCUAAUCAAACAGAUGCAAUAGUACUUAGAAAUCAAGCAUAAACAACAAGCCUAUAGCUUAAGCUUCUUCAAGGCUUUGGAGCCAGUGCUCUAAGAGCAGGUUCAAAAUGCUUGCUUGCAACAUCAGGUGGUGGCGCAUCUUCCCCAGGGAGCACAAGAAACCCAUUCUCGCGAAGAGGAGAUGGCUCGUUGUAGCAUGCAUCCCACAAGGAGUCUACCAGCUGCCUCUCCUCCCUACCUGCUCCAACAUCUUCAAUUCGUUUUCGGAGAACUUGCUUCAAUUUCUCAUCUUCUAUGACCCCUUCAGUUUUCCCUCUAGCUAGCACAAGAAGGCCCUGGAGUGCACCUUCUCGCACGUCUACAUCUGUACUAGAGGCAAGCUGCACCAUUAGGCCUGGAACUCCUAACUUGUUUACUAUGAUGCAGUCAGAACUAUUCUCGCGGAGUAGGUAGUUGAUCAAACUCAGGGAUUUCCUCUGAAAUCUUGGACUUUCAGAAGCUAGACCAUCUCGCAAGGCUUCAUAUGCAUUGUUUUCUUUGCGAAAGGCAAUGACACCAGGUUUGUUGUGCCGGAUCAAAGAGGAGAUUGCACCUAGCGCUUUGGUUCGGACAUUAACCACAGGAUCAGAUUUGAGCAAAGAAAACAGACAUGUAAAGCCAUUUGCUUCCAUAACAAGUUUCUGGCUCUUUGGAUUGUUCUGCACAAUAGUGGUCACAACUUCUGCAGCCUUUGCUCUAAUAUUAGCAUUGGAGUUCUUUAAGUAAUCAAGUAAUGGAACCAACCCGCCUAUCGAGUGAAGAUCAUUGGCCAUGUCAAUGGUCUCAACAUGCUCUUGCAACUCAUCUAACAUAUCUUCAAUGUCAGCUGGAGUAACUCCUUGAUCUUCCAAAACAUGCUCCGGAGUUUGCAUUACUAGAGAGAUCUCCUUCAUUCGCUUCACCACAUCGAUGGUCUGCUCUUGCACUGCUUCCAUGAACCACUUACGGUCCUCUUCGGUUAAACUGCGGCUAGGGCUAGUCCCAUCAGAAUGAGCUAGGCUCCAUUUCAGCAAUCCUUCCCAAUUGGGUCCACCGCUGGCCAUUGUUUUUCCUAUCGUUUGAAUUUCUUCUUGAAGUAAAGAAAGAACUAAUCUUGAUUUUUGGAGAUGUAAUAUGAGGUUAUAUAUAUGCUUUAUUAGAUCCUGAAUCCUAUAUUCUCAAGGCCUUGCUAGGUAAGAAGCAAAUAGGUCAUCAAUCAAAUAUUUUUCUUUGAGACAAGGAAAACGAGUCCUUUUCCUAGUAGAUUUAGGCUUAGUUUCAAAACAAUCCUAAACUAUCUAAAAAAUUAUUACUCUUCUUCCUUUUCCCAUUGGAUUUAGGAAUCGUUAUGCAGAAUUUAUGCUAUUUUUAUUUUCCCAGUAUGCUGAUAUAAACCUAGGCUUUAUGAAAAGAUCACUGCAAAACAAAAACAAAAAGCUUAUUUUUAGGUGGACUUAACUCUGGCGCUAGGUGGCUUAACUCUGACGCUAGGUGGACUUAACUAUAAAGCUAGCGGUGGACUUGGCUAUGACGCUAUGUUGCUAUGUUUUUUGUCUAUAUAAAGAGCCAAUCUUGAUGUCUACAGAGCCAUACACUCUAAAUCAGAUCAUUGUCUUUUCUUGUUCUCUCUGAUUUCGAACAAAAACCAAAUAUGUUUGGCCAAACCAGCAGCAACACAAGCAAGAACCCUUUUGGUAGCACAACCAAAUUCCAAUUUGGUGGCCAAACAAGUACACCUUUAUGGGGAGCUCCAACCGGAUCAUCAUCCUCUUCAACCGGAAUCGCAACCUUUGGUGCUUCAUCUGCUGAAACAAGUAGAUCUUUUGGUGAAUUUGUAACCACAACUCAGUCGGCGCCGAGAGGCAAUACUGGGUUUGCUUUUGGCACUACAAGUCCUGCUUUUGGCACUAGUACUCUUCCUGCUUUUGGCCAAAAAUUUGGUGCUUCGAGUUCUCCCUUUGGGGCUCAACCAACAAGUCCUGCUUUUGGCCAAGCAUUUUGUGCUUCAAGUUCUCCCUUUGGGGCUCAACCAACAAAUCCUGCUUUUGGCACUAGUACUAUUCCUGCUUUUGGCCAAAAAUUUGGUGCUUCAAGUUCUCCCUUUGGGGAUCAAUCAACAACACAAUCUAUUGGAAACACUGUUUCUGCCGGAGGCCAACGCCAGGGAAGUAGAGUGGAUGCUUACAAAUCCACACUUGAACAAGACCUCGGGACCGUGAAUACGUGUCGGUUCCAGUCAAUAACAGCAAUGCCAGUUUAUGAGAGCAAAAGCUUGGAGGAAUUACGAUUUGAAGAUUAUGAGUUGGGGGAUAAAGGCGGCAAAACUACCAUGAAGGCAAGCACCCCUUGCAAUACUACACCAUCUUUUCGCUUUCCUCAAACAUCUUCAUCAACUCCAGCAACCAAUCUCAUUAGAACACCAACACCUGCACCACCUUUUUCUUCGAUUUCACAGCCUUUUUCAAAUCCAUUUAGUACCUCCAAUACUUCUCCAUCUCCCUUUUCUUCGAUUUCACAGCCUUUUUCAAAUCCAUUUAGUACCUCCAAUACUUCUCCAUCUCUCUUUCCUUCUCGGACUUCUUCUCAAGCAACUCAAACAUCUUCCUCUUCGCCUUCACCAUCAGUUGCUUCAUCAACUCCGGCAACCAAUAUCUUUAAAACACCAACUCCUACACCACCCUUUUCUUCGAUUUCACAGCCUUUUUCAAAUCCAUUUAGUACCUCCAAUAGUAUUCCUCCUCCAUCUUCUUCUUCUUCGUCUUCACCAUCAAUUGUUUCAUCAACCCCAGCAAUCAAUCUCUUUAAAACACCACCAACUCCUACACCACCCAUUUUUUCGAAUACACAACCGUUUUCAAAUCCUUUCAAUACCACCAAUAUUACUCCUACUCCAUUUUCCUUUCCUUCUUGGACUUCUUCACAAGUAACUAGUCCAUCACCUCCAGUGACUUAUACCUUCACAAGACCUAUACCUUCAAUUCCACCGACUCAAACAUCCAUUAGUACUCCGGCUCAGUCUCCUUUUUCUACUCCUGGCUCCAACAUUGUCAAUCCAACACAGCCACAACCAAGCAACACACCUGUUAUUCAGCAGAAUGACUUGGUACAACAGCAACAGCAGCAGCAACAACAACAACAGCAGCGGCAGCAGCACCAACAAAAACCAGUACUAGUAGUACCUGCUACAAAUCCAUUUGGAACCCCUCGCGCAACGGCUCAGGUGCCGCAUGGUGGUACUGUUCAGUAUGGAAUUUCAAGUAUGCCUGUUGUGGAUAGACCUGCGAGGGCUCGUGUUAAUGUCUCAUCUUUGUCAGCUGCAAGAAGCCAGAUACGAAGGCAAAUGAUUGGUUUUCCUGCUGACGGCUGCAAAUCAAGAAGACAUGAUCUUUACAAGAAUAAGAAUGGUACUAGUCAUCCGAAGGUUCCUUUUUUCAGUGAUGAUGCUGAUCAAGUACCCAAGACUCCCAAGAUCAGGCUCUAAAGAAGAAAACAAGCAAGUGAAGAUUCAGUUAUGUAGAGUUGCUGAAGUCGAUCGACUCGUUAGAGUAAGAGUCAUGUAUGUCAUAAAUAUCAUGUUGCAAUGUUGAUUUUGAAUGAGAUUGUUUGUAAUCUGAAAAAUAGUCAUUGUUUGUUCUGUAUUUAGACCAUUAUUGAUUACUGUUUCUCCAUAGAAAAUCCGAUAUUUUGAAGAACCAAUAACUCUGUUGAACAAGCAAAGCAUGCAUCUAACAAGAUAUAGCAAGGUAAUCAAUGUAUAGGGUUGCUCUUGCUAAAUCAAAAGAAAAAAAGUUCUGGUGCUAGAAAAACUGACAAAAACUUACCUUUCAUAGACACCUGAAAGCGGAAGCUCAUCAAAUUAAUAAUUCAAUACACUUGGAUAUGGAAAAAUCCACACAGUUUAUCUAGAUUGAUUAUUAUACCUUGUAUUUCUUUUGAAAUAUGACAACAAAUCCAGAAAAAAUUGGAUUAAACUUCCCAUAUGGGCUAUAUAAUGUUACAUUGACCAAGUCUCCUAUCUGCCUAUAGUCUCAGUUAGUAUAUACCAAUCAACCAUGUCAAACGAGAGACACUACUAUCGUAUCAAUGUGUCUAAGUCCCAAAAAGUCUUUGAAACCUUCAUCGACUGGACUCGAUUCUCAUCAUCACUGGAUCGGGUUCGACUUGAGUUCAAGCUCUUCAAGGCGGUAGAAAGCGUUUGGGUUGCAGAUGAUUGUGAUGUUGGUGUUAUCCAUGACCAAACCAUUAACCUGCUCAAAGCUGAAAAACCAAUCAUGGUUACUCAGACCAAGCUGUUUUCUGAUCAAUGUAGCUUGAUGAUUAGAGGCAUUCUCUCCGGCAUGCAUGUCCCAGAAGACGAGCAGCAAAAUAUAAUCAUGCAAGUAUUUCAUGGGAUCAGAGUUGUUCAAACAGAUCAGAGGGCUCGUGGCCUCGCCACCAUGCCUAAUGUUCUUGUGGACAUUUAUGAUGUGACUCUGCAGUUGCAGAAUAUCAAUGAUGAUCAAACAUUUGGUCAGAAACAAGAUUGACAUGAAAUUAACAGAUGAUCAUGAUGGGGUUAUAGAAUAUUAGGAUUGCUUAAUUUCUGUAAUGUAUCAUUAUAUCUUGAUUAAUUCAUGAGUGCUUAGUCAAAGUUGGGGAUGAUAUAUAUGGCUGCCUAACCUUCUGAUUGUUACCCUAGCUUGUUUCUCAUUUAACAGUUGUUAAUUCUAAACAAACAUAAAUAACAAGACUAUAUGUAUCUGUUGAUUAUGAUUAGGUCCUUGUUGUGCAUCUGUCCAUUUUGAAUUCUAUUUAUCUAGGUAUAUUUUGUUUAAACUAGUUGUCAUUAGCUUUUUCAAAUGCCUUUGCGCGGUAAAAUAUCUUUUUAAACCAUAUACGACCGGUCGUUGGUCGCGCCAUUACAUGAGUAUUAAUUACUAUAUUUUUUUAAAAUUAGUUGUAUAGAUUCCGUCGCGCUCUUUUGCAUCGAUGUCAAUGUAUAUUUCUGCUUAUAAAUUAUGAUUUGUUUCUUUGUCCGCUCUUACGAUCACCCUCAUAUGAGUUGUGCAUGUAGUUUGUAUCAACUCUGACGAGAUGAACAUUACUGCAUAACGUAAAUAACUAUUUACGGUAAUAAUUAAAAAAAAGAAUUUCUACACCAAACCCCCACGGUAACAUAGGUAAGGACGCACGCACUAGAAAGUCUUCGCGGGUUUCAUCAAAAUUUACCUCCAAAGCUUCCACAGUCAACUCCUCCUCCUUCAUUCGAACGCUUCAAUCCCCAAAUCCACUGCAAACCCUAAAUCUCAAACCCUCUCCAGCUCCUCUAACCAAACCUCAACUCAUGGACCAAUGGCGUCCCAGGGCUCCAAUCCAAGGUACCCCCUGCCCUACCUGCUCAAUUUCUCACUUCCCCUUUUGCCCUCCCCACCUUCAAAACCCUAACUUCCCUCCCGAUUCCUUCCAAAGACCCAAUUUUGAUCCCUAUUCUAGACCCAUCGCUCCUCCUCCGCCGCCGCCGUGGCUGCGAAACCCUAAUCUCGCUUAUCAAGGCUUCGCGCCUCCUCCGCCGCCGCCUUCACAACCACAACCACCUCCACCGCCGCCGCCGUACGACUACAGUGGCAAUGGCUACGUUAAUGACGGUGAUCGGAGCUUCAAGAGGCCGAGGAUCGAUGAUUUCGGGUCCGGUCCGGGUUUUCGGAGCGAGUUUGACCCGAACAGUAGUGGUGGGUAUCUAUCGGAAGAUGAGCGGAGAUUGAAGCUGAUUCAUGAUCACGGCGGUAGUAAUCAGGGUUUUGAUGGUAGUGUUAAACAUAGUGUUAGUAAUAAUGUGCAGAGUAAUGGGAGUUAUGCUGUUAAUUAUGAACCACAGCAUUCCCAUUUGCAAAAUCAUAGCAAUCAGCUGCCGCAAGGUUAUGGAAUGCAGCGGCAGGGAGGCUACUUUCAACCCCGUACGCCGGCAUUGCGGCCAAUCAGUGGGCAGCAGCCUCCUCUUCCUGUUUCUCCACCGCCUCCUCUCCCGUCGAAAGGGCCACCUACAUUGUUUCCUGUUCAUAAUGUUUCAUCGCCGAUGACAUCUGCAGCCUAUCAACCGAAUCAUGAGGCCCACCACUCCAUGCCGCCGCCUUAUUUCCAUAGUAAGCCAUUUUCACAUGCUUCUACUGGAUAUGUUAUGGAGGUAUAGUUGCUGACUUAGAUAAUGCAUUUGUGCUUUUGUUAUGUAUUGUUGCAUUGUUGGUUAGGGUUGCGUUUCUGUAUUGGUGUCGUUGUGAUUGAAAUCGUUUUGUUUGUAGUUUCCCAAGGAGGCUCAUGUGUUCCAUCAAACGUUACCGAAGCAGUACGUGGGAGAUGGUCAGCCAUUUCCACAAAAGCGGUCAUCUUUGGAUAAGCCAAAGGUUGUGGAUGCUUUGCACUUAUUUAAGCAGCCACAUCGAGUCACCCGCCCUGAUCAUUUUGUGGUAAUCCUACGAGGGCUUCCAGGUACCAAUAUUAGAAUUUGAUCUGUGGAAAUGGAGUUUCUUGAAUUUUUUAUGUGUAUACUGUGCUUCCCUAGUGUCUUGGGCAAUUGAAUCUGCAUAACUUGCAGUCUGCUUGAUUCGUGGAGAAGAAAUCUUAUUUAUUCUAUAGCUUAAAUGGUGGUGAAAAACUAUUUCCAUAUUGAGUCAUGGACAUGUGUGAUGGAUUGGUGAUUGCAUUGUAUGUUAAUUUUCACACGGAUGAUUAUAUAGUAAGCAUGAUGAAGUGGCUCAAGACAUGUAUGGAAAAGAUGUCAGGCCAUUCUCUUUCUUUCAGUCUUUUAUCUUUCUCAAACUGAGGAUAUAUAAUGAAUUUCUAUAUCAGGUAGCGGAAAGAGCUACUUAGCAAAGCUGCUGCGUGACUUAGAGGUUGAAAAUGGUGGUGGUGCUCCACGAAUUCAUUCCAUGGAUGAUUAUUUUAUGACAGAAGUAGAAAAGGUUUGCUAUUGUCUCGUCUUAUAAUUUUUUAUAUUUUGUUUUGAUCAUCUUGCUGUUAGUUGCUUCCUCUCACUUUCUUAUUGGAUAUUUUUUAGAAUUAUCUUGGUAGUUGAGAUAAAUUAACUUAGUAUUUUCUUAUGUCCCGAAGGUGGAAGAAAGUGAUGCUUCAAAAUCUUCCAGUUCAUCUAGAGGCAAGAAGCCUGUAGUGAAGAAGGUGAUGGAGUAUUGUUAUGAACCUGAAAUGCAGGAGGUAAUACAAAAUAAUUGAAAUUCAGAAUUUUGGUUUGAUAUGUCUAUCUUGCGUUUUAUUCUUGUCAUUUCUAGUUCUAUGAUUAUGACACUUGAUUUGUUUGUGUGUGUGUGUCUGUCAGGGCAAGUGUUAUCUAUAUUGAAUUAUGUCAAGCAUUUAUGCUAAUCAUGUCUUUGCUCACAGGCUUAUCGGUCGAGUAUGCUGAAGGCAUUUAAGAAGACCCUCGAGGAUGAUGUUUUCACCUUCGUAAUCGGUAUUUCUCUAUUUUGAUAUUGAUGACAACAUCAAACUUUAUCUCUAUGUCCCACUAAAUUUUUUGCCUUUGUAAUUAUCUUGGGUUGGAAUUACUUGCAGCUUGUUUUGGGUCCAAAUGUCCAAUGAUGUAUACGCAGUGUUUACUUUGAUUUUCAGCAGCUCACUCUGAUGCUUUCUUAGCUCCAGUGAGGCCUAUGUCUCCUAUAAAACAUGCGUGCAUAGAUAACCUACCUGAAUUACUCUUUUGAUAGGAAGCCAAACUGGUCUUUUGUUAUUGUAGAUAUUUUUAAAUCAUGAGGCAUUAAAAUGAUAAAGUCAUAGGAUUCUAAGUGCUAGAUUCCAAUAAAUAAGCAAAAGUACAUUUAAUAAGAAAAUGAUCUAGUUGCUGAUAGAUUAGGUGGUAAUGCAGUGCCCAUGCACUGCCUUCAUUUUCACUAACUACAGUUGCAGUAUUAUUUGGAAAUUGACCCUUUUGGUGGUGGUAUGUGUUCUUCGUCUUAGUGGAUGACCGCAAUCUGCGGGUAGCUGAGUUUGCUCAAUUUUGGGCAAUUGCAAAGGUAUAUCCUCACUUCUCUCUUUCUCAACACCUCUGCCAUGUGUUCUGUAAGUGUCAGCUCUGUUUCUAAAAUGCACUGACCAUUUUCAUGAGAAAAAGUGGUGCUGUCAUGUUCCGUCUACGUUGUCCGUUAGAGUUGUGCUUAGGUGUGGGUGUAGAUUUGAUUAGUAGUAGGCAGCAGGAUCCUGUCAUUGUCAAUUCCCCUUAAAAUUAUGCUCUUUGUUUGGGUGUAUUUAGUUUGAGUGUAUUUCUAUCACUGGUCUUAGUGCAUCAACUGUAGGUUUGAUUGAUUUUUUUUAGUUUUUUGUUUCAUUUGUUCUAUAGAUGUUUAAAUUUUCUCUGUUGGUGGAUGAGGUGAUCUGGUUCUCUGUGCAAACAUUUCUGAUAAUUUUCAUGCAAUGCAGUAACCUACUCUUUUCUUUUAUGGUAUGUUUCAAUAGAUAGACAUUGCCACAUAAACUUUUACUUGUCGAGCUAACCUUAAUUGGUUAGUGCUGUAGACUCUGCUUCUUAUCCUACUUUGUUGAUGCAAUGUAGGAUUUGGAUUUAGGCAUUUUUGGUUUGUUUAUUUGUUCUGGUACUUCAAUGUGUGACUGCUGUUUAUGUAAGGAAGCUGAUCACUCCAGGAACUAGACCUGGAUUCCUUUUAAUUUCUCCAUCUGGAAGCUAUUUCCCUCUCUUACAUUGUGACUCGUAAUUUAUGGAAAAGGAUGCCAGUCAUUAUUUUAUUUUCAAUAUCCAUAAUGUUGAUUAAUCAUAUAGUGAUGUGUUCAUUGUCUGUUUUUUCUUUACUCAUUUUUUCCCUUCUUCUUGUCAGAGUUCGGGGUAUGAAGUUUAUAUACUAGAAGCACCAUAUAAGGAUCCUGCGGUGAGUAUUAUCUGUUGGUACUAUAUAUUGUUCAGUUCUUUGUGUCACAACAAAGGCAUACAAUAAAAUCAGUAUCUUGUAUGUAUUUGUUUUGAAUAAUUGACAUGUGAUUAUUAUCUUUCUUGAAAAGAAGCCAAAACAGACAUAACUUGGGUGACAACUUCUUGAAGCUUUGUGAAAUUUCUUGCAUUUUUAGGGCUGCGCAGCUAGGAAUGUGCAUGGCUUCACUCAAGAAGACAUACAAAAGAUGGCUGAACAGUGGGAGGAAUCUCCAUCCAUAUACUUGCAAUUGGACGCCAAGGUUAGUCAUUUUGCUCAGGAUUAGGAUGGAGGAGCUUGAAGUAAUCCUCAGCUGUAUAUGCACACAAUUAAAGAUGGAGUCGAGUUAACACUGUUACCUUUAAUUAUUGGGGGGAUGGGGGAAGAAAAAACAAAGAGCUUGUGUUGAGUUGGGAAGGCUAUUAACUUGAGAAUGUUAGAGUAACUUCUUUCAGUGAGGCUGGCUAUUAACUGUGACUGUAAGAGCAACUUAUUUUGUUCCCAUAGGAGGAUACACAACGCUGAUCCCUCUUCUCUACUUAACACCCUCCUUACCUUUUCAGGUUCAACUUCCCUUUUAACAAGGGGUGAUUGCACUUGGCUACAAGAGCGAAUUAGAAUAAUAAGUUCUAAAUGUUAAUGUGACAUGCACUUGAUUCUGGGUUUUUGGUUUAAUGCUGUGUUUUUCUGGCUUGACAGUCAUUGUUUCAUGGAGAUGAUCUGAAGGAAAGUGGUAUUCAAGAGGCAAGUUAAUUACCUGCCUGUGACUCUUUUUGCUUUUCGUUUACUUGAUCGCUACACACUAGUAGAAAUGAAAUAUAUAUGUGAAAAGUCCGCGGGCAUGAAUUUCUUGGUCACCGACAUGUUGGAGUCCAGGAAGAUAAUACUUAAUAUGUGAAAAUUGUGAUCUUUUCUCUAAACCAUUCUUUAUUUGAUGUCUACCAGGUAGACAUGGAUACAGAAGAUGUAGAUAAUGAUGUAAUAUCCGGAGCGCAAGAGAGAAAGCCGGAGAAGACCAUGAAACCUCCUGCUGAAGACAAUGCGCCUGAUGGUAUUUUUGGUCUUAAUUCUUCAAGUUUAGUAAUUCUGUAUGAGCUACGGUAAAAUUGAAUAAUCAGGUUUACUAAAUUUUAAGCCUUAGGUUCUUCAAAGGACGUGAAGAGCUUGGAUGCCGAAGAAGAUCACCCAGGAGUAGAAGUAAAAGAACUAGGAAGGAGUAAAUGGUCAGAAAUUUUAGAUGAAGAUGAUACAGAUAAAACUGAAGAAGUGAAGAGUAAUGCUCUAUCUGGAUUGAUUCAAGCUUAUCGCAAGGAAGUGAAAUCUGUAUGCUGGAGUGACCAGGUAUGUCUUAUCACAUCAUUCAGUCAAUGUAUUUGGGUGGGGGUCUGAUUUUGUUAGCUCUUUUCUUCAGAGGCGCAAACAGCUUUUAUGUAUUACUUUUGAGGUUCGAUUUCUUACAUGCCUGUUCACAUCUUGAUUGUUGCAACUUUUGCACUUUUUUUGUCCAGGUUGGCAAUACUGGCUUUUCAAUAACAGCAGCAAAGAAGGCAAAUGUAUCGUCUUUGGUGAUUGGUCCAGGUGCUGGAUACAACUUGGUAAGUUACAUGCCUUCCACUGAAACUACUGCAUAAUGCCUUCCAUAAUGUUUAGCUAGUACUUGUAGUACCAUGGGCUCAAGACUCGCAUUGUUAAAUUGCCUUAAUGAUAAUGGUCUCAUUGUGAUUUACUUUCAACACCUGCAGAGGUCCAACCCCUUGCCUGAAGAAGAGAACCCAGUUCCACCCCGUAGCACUGCUAAACCAAAGAGGCAGAACGUAUUCCAAGAUCAGCUUCGUGCAGAACACGAAUCCUUCAAAGCUGUUUUUGACAGGAGACGACAUCGAAUUGGUGGGCUAGACCUGGAAGACGAAUAAAUCAUAGGAGCCACAGGAACUUUUCCUGCAAAAUUGUUGUUGGAAUAUUGUUAGAUCGAUAUUUGAAUGAAUGCAAGCAAAUCCAUGUAACAUGUACAACAUUUUCCAAACGUUCAAUGAAAAUCCAUCCUUAUCUACCUUCCACAUUAUCAGCUUAGAACCCUUCACUCUUUAUCUAUGUUUUCAAUACAACUUGCUCGCUACAGUAUUUUUAUCUAAUCAAACAGUACUCAUCUUAUGGUCUAUAGUAAAAUCAAAAUUAAGAAAAAAAACCACCACCCAUCUGGCCUAACGACUUUCUUAACAGUGCAGUCACUGCUCGUGUAUGUUAUAACACAAAGCCUCCCUCUCAUUUUAUAAUGGCUUAGCCUAUCAUAUCUUCCAUCUCUCUGGAAGCUCUCACUUUGUUUCUCUCAUGGCUACUGGUUCUGCUGCUGCUGCUGUAGGGCGGCGCUGCCUCACAGAUCUCAUGGAACCUGAAGCAGCCAAACGCAGCUCCACAAUAUCCAGCAGCAGCAGACCAACCAUUCAUUUCCCCAACCAUGUACUUCUUCCACUUCUUGUUUUUGUUACUUCUUUCAGUUGCUGCUCUUUAUGUUUUGCAUAAGUAACUAUUUUGUGUGACAUGACAGAGGAGCAAUCAUCAACGUUUAACUCUUUCGAUGAAUGGAUGCCAAGGAGACCACCCUGAGCUCCCUUUAGGAACCGUCGAAACGCGUUCAUUUCCGGCAGUUUCAUCACCGCCAUUGGCCGUGGAGGCACUCAGCUCCGCUGUUUCUCAGUUGCAAGCAAACCCACCUCCUUACACCUCUGGCAUUAUUCGUCUCCAAGUAAGCAAUGGCACAUGUUUCUGUGCUCUUUUCUUAUCUGUUAACUGCCUAGUAGGUCAAAAAGCUUCGAAAUCUAGAGCAAUGGGUUCAUGCCACGUGGUUGGUGAUCUUGAACGGCAUGGCUAUUGGCCCAUAGUUCCUUAUCUUGCACAUCACUUAAGGGAAUACAUGCAACUCUAAGAUCAGUAAGAAGAUGAUAUUGUAUGCUGGUAAACAUCACAAACAUACCUCAUUUGGUUCGCGAAAAUGAUAAAAACUCUUUUGUCUUUUUCGUGGGAAGGGAAAUGAAAUUUCUCAAAGAACUUUCUAUUCCGAUGUUUGAAAAUUUAAACACCCUGCUUGAAAAUUUCACUAUAAGUAAUGUAAGAAAGUUUCUGGUUUUUAGUUGGCCUUAACAUACAAUAGGUGCAGCACGGAGAAAGGAGGAAGAUCCCGUCAAGUCUUUUUUGUUUUUGUUUAGGUUAACGGCAUAUUAACAGUGUUUAGAUCAAAAUUUUAAAAAUUAAUGAUAGAAUGACAUGUCAAUUGUUUAGACGGUUAGAUUAUAUGAAACAUCUAGAUUUUAAGAAAUUUACAAACUUUACGGUUUCCUCACUUUAGAGGAGCCGGAUCCGUGCAGGACUACUAAGGCUAGUUACCAUUUUUGAAAGAGUGAUGCUUAUGCAACUAGCAUUGUAUUUGUAGGUACCAAUCCAGCAGCAAAUUGAAGCAAUUGACUGGCUGUAUGCCCAAAGUAAACUUCUUCCCCGCUGUUACUUCUCAGAUAGAGCUCACACCAGCAAUUCUAAGCUUGCCAUUGAUUGCGCCAAUGGGAAUGGGAAUGGCCAUAUUUCAAAGAAGCAUAACAAGUUGGUCAGUGUUGCUGGUGUGGGAUCUGCAGUCUUUUUCCAGGAUCUGCAUCCAUUCUCAUACAGGCAUUGGAAGUCCUUAAAGAGGUGAGUUAAGUAUAUCGAAUUUGGUUUUGUGAUAGAAUACAUAUGUCAAGAGUUAAACCUCGAGUCUAAUCACGCUUCUUGGUUGCAGGUUCCUGUCUACAGAAUGUCCUCUAAUUCGGGCAUAUGGAGCAAUCCGGUUUGAUGCAAGAGCCAACAUAUCAUCCGAAUGGGAGGCCUUUGGCUACUUCUAUUUUAUGGUCCCUCAGGUAGAAGAACAUGAAUUUGUUUGCAUUGGUGCAUAGUUGUUCAAGCCUAAUAGGUUAUGUUUCUCUGUAAGUAUUUAUACCAUCUGCUGCUAGAUACUGAAUGACAGGUUGAGUUUGAUGAGCUUGAAGAUAGUUCAAUACUAGCAACAACUAUUGCAUGGGACAACUCCCUCUCAUGGACUUUAGGAAAUGCAAUUGGGGAACUUAAAGCCACACUAAACCAGGUUCACAUCUAGAAUUGAGUUGAAAAAUUCAUGUUUGGAAUCACUUAAGAUUUUAUUUCAAGCCACCAUGUUUAUAUGAAUGCUUGAUCAUGCAGAUAUCUUCCAUUGUUAUAAAGCCACAAAAAGAAGUUCCUACAUUGCUAAUGUUAAGCAAUAGUCACAUCCCGAGUAAGACAUAUUGGGAUCUUGCUGUUAAUAGAGCUUUGCAGAAAAUAAGAAGUGAUUCAGCACUUAUUAAGGUACCUAAUAAACCAAGUGCCAAACUUGUUUUCACAACUGAGACCUACCUCCUUUUUAUCUCUCUUACAAUUAUUAACAGAUCAGUCUUGUCUCUGGAACUCAGGUUGUACUCGCACGUAGCAGCAGAGUAAUAACAGCUACUGAUAUUGAUCCUAUUGCAUGGUUAGCUUGCUUACAGGUAUUGGCUUCUACUUAGUGAACUUUCUAUGUGUAGUGUCCAGAAACAAGUUAUGACCGGUGCAUCUGAUAUAUAACUUAAUGCAGGUUGAAGGUGAAAAUGCUUAUCAGUUUUGUCUCCAGCCACCUGGUGCACCAGCUUUUAUUGGAAACACGGUAAUUGUCUUAAAAGAGACUGGAUUCACCAUAUAAUCUAUCACUAUUUCCUAAUGAUAUGAUUGGAUUAUCUUUGUGAAUAGCCAGAGCAACUGUUUCACAGAACAUGGCUUGACAUUAAUAGUGAAGCUCUGGCUGGAACCCGUGCCAGAGGUAAAUCGCUGUCUGAAGAUCUUCAAAUAGAACUUGACCUACUUUCCAGGUUUAUCUCAGAAUCUAAAAUACAUUGUUUUGAUGUUCUUACAAUACUCAAGAAAAUUUCUCUUAUAGCAGUAAUCCAAUUAGCUUUGACCUGAUAAUAGCCAAUUUGUUCAUUCGAUUUGAACUUUUUAUUUACUUUGCAGUCCCAAGGACCACCUUGAGUUUACUAUAGUACGAGAAAGCAUAAGAAAAAAAUUAGAGGCAAGUUUUUGGUGCUUAUGGAUGAGAUUUAUUGUUGAUCUGUUUAUAAGGAGAGAAUAUUCACACCAUAUUCUGUUUUCACUCAGGAUGUAUGUAACAGUGUAGUAGUUGAACCAAAGAAAGAAAUCCGAAAACUCCCUAGAGUCCAACAUUUAUAUGCCAAAUUGUCUGGCAGGUUAAGAAGUGAAGAUGAUGAGGUAAAAGUAUUGCAUUUCUUGUGCAGUAAAGAAUUAUGUUUCCUUCCAAUCUCAUAGGUUCUGGAAUAAUACUUAAAGUAGAUUAAAUGUAGGUUCUGCAUCCACUAGUUUAUUGUCCUGAAUCAUGAUUGUUUAAUGCAGAUUGCUAAUUUCUGGAUUAUAUGUUUCCUUGUUAUCUUGUUUGUUAUUCCAGUUUGAAAUACUUUCUUCUCUUCACCCAAGUCCAGCCGUUUGUGGAUUUCCGACAGAGGAGGCACGAGUUCUUAUUGCAGAAACAGGUAAGAUCAAUAUCUUGUUUCUAGUCAAAACUUUUUGUUCCUUCACAACUUCUAAACACUUACAAUGAUUUUCAGAAGUAUUUGACCGAGGGAUGUAUGCUGGUCCAGUUGGUUGGUUUGGAGGAGGAGAGAGUGAGUUUGCUGUUGGUAUUAGGUCAGCCUUGGUGGAAAAGGUAAAAAACAAUUAUGUAUAUUUUUAUCUGCUAGCGGAAUCGUUGAACUUCUAUGUUGUAGAGUUAUUAGAUAUACCAAGUAAUCUCGAAGCGCUGACAAUUUUGAAUUCCAGGGUCUCGGUGCAUUGAUAUAUGCUGGAACCGGAGUUGUGGAAGGAAGCAAUGCAUCAUCAGAAUGGGAUGAACUAGAACUUAAAAUUUCUCAGGUGUGUUAAUUAGGCUCAAGGUUAAGUCAUAUUGUGUAUAUAUAUCUAAGCAUUGUGGGAAUAGGUGGUUUAUUAAACACGGUAGUGUUUCAAUCAAUUCUGCAGUUCACCAAGUUACUUAAACUUGAAGGGAUCAAAAGCUGAUACUGCAGAAGUGUAUAUCUACCUGAGAAGCUCAGUGGUGUACAAUUGGAAAUUAAAGGAUGGAAGUCAAGUAGCAGAAGAUAUCAAAGUACAUAUCUUGUGACUAAAAAGAAAAACAGUUUAGACGAUCAAAAUUUAUCCAUUUUAUUUAUUCAUAUCUUGUGAAAACUGCCCCAGUCACCUGUCUUAUUUCUAUAUUGAAAUACAAAUGCAAUAAGAGUGACAGCAUUGUGUCUUAUAUUCUUCGCUGUCUACCGCUACAAAACCCGUCUUUCCUAACAGGGUUCAGUUUCAGCUUCAUAUGCACUAACAUCCCUGGCCUUUUCUACAUUUAAGAGGACCGGCAUAGCGUGUGAGAAAGGUCACGGCUGUCCCAGCUUGCGCUUCGAUCAUAUCCUUCGUGUCGAUACUAUGAACAGGGCCUCCAGAUUCAGUAAAAGUCGCUCCAUUCACAAAAAGAUCUUUAUCUGAUUGCCAAUUCCAGUUUUUCCAUACGCUCUUAUCUGUGUUGACUCUAUAACAUACCUAGACCACAAGAACACCAACACCAGCCUUAGAAUACAUUUAAACUACAAAAAAGAGCAAUGUAGAUAGAUAUAUACCUCUUUAGCUGCCUCAUUUUCUGGAGCAAUGUAGCGAUUUCCCUGGCUUAGUAUGGUAGGAUGGCUGCUGCCGCCGAUGGCAUACAUAAUCCAGUGUGUGUAGUCAUUGUUCACAACAUGGAAAAAACCAAAUCUGCACCUUGGCAUCCUCUGAACCAAUCCCUGUCCGAAAUGGUUGAAAGCUAAAGUUAUCUGCAUAAUUUCAUCUUUGCUGUUGCUGUCACUUGAACCAAACAGCAUCACCUGCAUCCAUCCACAACAAGCAUCACUAAUUAGCAAGCGUCACUAGUUAGUACCAUCUUGGUUAUUAGACUUUCACAGAUAGGUUUAUUAUUACAUCAUUAUGAUCGGUGAAGUGAGAGUUGGAUAUGGUAAUGGCGGUAGACGCUUGAAUGACAUCAAUAAGUCCAUCGGCACAAUUUGAUGCAGAAACAUGGUCUAUCCAAACGUUUGUGGCACCAAACAAGGAUAUUCCAUCACCAUCGCUUUCUGUUCGUAAUCCAUAGUGAUUGAUGGAAUCCCUAAUCAUGCCACCAUUCUUAGGAAUGGUGUCACGAACGUGAAUGUUACUGAUAAUGAUGUUGCGCACAUACUGCAGAGUUAUUUGGCCACCACCCUGAAUGUGCACAUUAACCCCUCGUCCAUCAAUGGUCUUGUCACUAGCCAUCAUGAGCUCUUGUUUCAGUUCAAUCUUCAUGUCUUCUUCAAAUAUGAUCCACAGCGGUUCAGGUCGAGUCACAGCAUACCGCAAUGUCCCCUCUUUUGGGUUCACCAUGUCCUCAUCAGUAUCAUCUGUGACCACAUAGAUUUUUCCACCUUUGCCUCCGGUUGUACCAUGUCCAAAGCCAAGAGCACAAUCGGCUAGCUUCUGCCGAUUCUCAUGCCAGUUUGGGUCGCAUCUCCAGCAUUUGUCGAUCGGGUUUAUAGCCUCACAUGGACCAUCAACAUGGUGUCUCAAGUUCCUUCUUGUGUCGUUAUGACCCUUCAUCGCCCUACAAUUAGUUACAAAAACAAAACCUUGUUAAGCAUUAAUGAAAAAAUAAUGUUUCCUUGCUGGACAAGGAAUUAUAACUUACUUGUGCACUUGCUUGUUUAAAUGGACUACAUGCUUUAGAGGAUCAUGUUGGUAGGCAGCCUUCGCAGCCUGCUCAGCUUCUUUCUGUCGUUGCUCCCACACAUCAUCAAACAUCCCUAUGUUGGCCUUCAAGACUGGAAUUGCUAUUGACAUGAGAAGACAUAAUAUAACCAGCUUCAGCUUGCGAUCAGCUUCCAAUGCCAUCUCUCUUGUUUCCAAAAAAUAAGCUUUUGUUACUAGUUACCGACUUCUUUUCUUCAGUAAUUAACUACCUUCUAUGUACCUCUUCUCGAUCUUCCGAUAGGGAUGACAAAUGGAGCAAUGUUAAUGAGGUCUCUAUCUAUGUUGCCAUUGUUCUUGUGGUUCAGUGAGGAAGGUCUGGGAGAGUGAGAAUAAAUACCAGAACUGAAAUCUAAAUGGGGCAAAGACAUGAAAAUGAGUAGAGAGAAAAGGGAGGAGAGCCGUCCAAUAUCGUUUAUCCUGGAAAAUCGACAUAUGCUCUUGGGGUUAUUGGCUCUCCUCUCUUUCCUCCCUAAUUAUGGCUUAAAAAUAAAAACAGAAAAUUCGCCAGAACUUACUUUGACCUUUUACACUGAGACAGACUUGUCUCUGGCUUUUCCAAUGGUUAUCUACAAAUACAUAGUUUUCAGAUUUUCGACCAUUUACCAAUACUAUGUUCGUUUUCAAGAAACAUAUUUUUUUUGACAUAGAGAAUAGAAUAAAAAAACUAAAACUACAAAAAAAAAUGGUUCAUUUAACAUUACUCGUAUUACUUGUAUACUUACGAAAUGUCAAAAGGCUUCUUUACACUCUUGAAAGAAGUCCUUGAAGUUUCGUAAUUUCGUUUUGUCUCUAAGAAACUACAAAAGUAGGGGUAGCAAGCAUGGCAUGAUGUUGAAGCUACACACACACAUCCUCCGCCGCAAAGACUCGGAAAGGGAGUUGGUUUGGAAGAAAGGAAAGCAAAGAAUAGUCCUUUUUUUCUCCAACCUGUUGGAAACCAAAUAAUCCACCACCCAAUUAACUUGACAUGGCUGCAGUCCAACUGGGAAAGUUUGGAAUAAGAACCGCAUCAUUCAUUCCCCCACAAGAAAAACUUAUAUAAAUCAAUUAGGAUCAUCAUCGACAAGAUAAUAACACGCAGAGCAAAACAUACAUAACCCCUUCUUCAUAAGGUCAAAGUACAACCUAAUUCGACCAUUAAUGGCAAAUGUUAGAGGAAGAACAGCAGGGAUGCUCAUGGGAGAGAAAGUGUCACCAAUGACGCCCACGCGUGUGAAGAUUGUCCCUGGUUCUGGCUGGACUGAGGACUCUAAUGGCCAUUAUCUUCUUGUUGACCUGGAAGGUAUUCAUAUUGGUUUUUGAUCCCCAAGACAUGGUAUCUGCAUUCACACUUCAUUUUGGCUCUUAAAUGUGUUUUAGGUUUCAACAAGGAGAAGGUGAGGCUGGAGGUGAACACCACAGCUGGACAUCUAACAGUCACCGGAGACAGGCAAGUGAACGAGAGGGAACACGACUAUAUUGAUGAAAAUUUUCCGCUACCAGCAAACUCAGAUGUCAAUAAGAUCACUGGGAAGUUUGAUGGUGAGAUUCUCUAUGUAACUGUACCAAAGGUUGUGGCAGUGGUAGAACCAAAGAAGGAUCCUGAAAUAGCAGAAGCAGUGAAGGAGCCUGAAAUAGUAGAAGCAAGGAAGGAGCCUCAAAUAGUAGAACCAAAGAAGGAGCCUCAAAUAGUUCAAGAAAGGAAAAAACCUGAAAUAACGGAGAAUCAGAAGAUUGAAGCUGCUCCAGCAGCAGAAUACACAAACAAAUAUGAUGGCACAGAUGAUGCAGAGCCAAACAGAUUAUUAGGCAAUGCUUGGAUAUUCUUUUCUGCAGAGAAUAUAAAGAAGUGGGAGGAAGAUAAUGGCAUUUUAAGAAGUGCAAGGGAGGUGUUGAGCAAAAACAAAGGGAUAGUUAUCACAGCUAUAGUAGCAUUCUCGUUAGGGAUGUUUGUUUCUCACAAGUUCGAAACAGGAGAAUGAUCUAAGGCUAGCUGUUUAAGCUGGUGUGUGUGUUACAUACUACUUUCUCUCUGUAGUCUCUUGUUUAUACCAUAUUGUACAAUCUCUAACAUGUACAUAUGUAAAGAAUAAGAAUUUCAAUGAAUGAUAUCCCAUCAUUGUAUUAUAUAUUUAUCUCUUAAGUUUCUAACACAUUAGUAGAAAUUACUUGAGUGUUCAGUUAACAAGAAUCUGUUCCUCAGUUACCAUAUCAAACACAAGAAAAAGAAAAAGAUAUAUACUUCAUCUCAUUGUCAAUUAGCAUAGAUAGAAUAAGAUAUAUACCCCAGUAUCACAUUGUCUACAUUUGCAGAUUUGCUGACUUAGCAUAACAAACACAAGAAAGAAAGAAAGUACACCCUCAACCUCUCUACUAAUAGCUAAGAAAUCUGGUGCUAAAAUUGAGAAUGUGUGCCAAAACCCCUCUAUAUAUCAAAGUCUGACAUUUCUAAAACACAAGCUUAAUAGUGAACUCAAACUGUAGUUGUAAUAAAUACAUUUGAACUGAACCUUGUGUUUUCUUCCUCAGGACCUCCACCUUAAACACUGCAGUGUGACUACCCAUUGGAAUAUAUAAGGUGGAGGUUCCUGAGGAAGAAGGCACAAUGGGAUCAUUUCUAUCACUACAACUCUUUACGCUGCAGAAAGGUCAAACUUGAUAUAUUAAGAUUACGACUCUUAGCAACAAUUGAAACACUCUCUUAGCACAAAACUUAGUCGUUCAGAUAUUGUCCCCAUUAUCGGGUAGUUUCACUUGGAGACAUGUGUCUGAGUUGUCCAAAGCAGAUUAACAAGGCCUUUGUAUGGAACUUUCUGGCGUCUGCAAUCCUAGGAACAAGAAUAUAUGUGAGGAAAGAGUACUUUCGCCAGUUCAAAGGGCUAGAGUAGACUAGUCAAGUUUAAUAAAAUCUAGCUUUUCAAAUCAAUCUGUAUGGGAAUUUAACUGGAAUCAGUAAAAAAAACAACAAGCUAGUAUAAGCAAAGGACACAACUUCAUAACUAGAUCUUACACACCAAAACUCAGUCUAUUCCAAAGUUGUCGACCCUUCAUAAAAAACUUGCAAUCAUAGCUCAGAAAACAUAGAAUAUAUGACCUUAUUUAAAAAUAGUGAUGAUGGGUAUUGGUUUGAAACUUUGAAUCAUAUUUUCCAAGAACAACCACCACAGGACGACUUCUGCUAAAACAAAGAACGGAACUUUGUAGAUUUGGAAACCCAAAUUUAUGAAUCGAGAAAAAGACUCUGAGAGAGUUUACAGAGCCAUACCAGAAGCGCCUCUUCCUCUUCUUCUUCUUCCAUUGGAUUGGAAACUCCGGAGCAACUCGAGAUGUACGGCUUCAGUUGGCGGCUGUUUAUUUAUAUGGGUAAUGGGCUUGGUGACCCGAGUUUAUUGGAUGGCUUAAUUUGGGCCGAAGAUGGGCCUAUUUUUAAGUUUUCACUCCGUGGAUCAAAGUCAUCAAACGAAAAUGUGGACUGUCGUGUUAUGUAUCGAAGCAUGAAAGUGUAAUGAUUAGCUAGUCCCCAAAUGCUUGAAGAUAGAACCACAGUGCAUGAGAAUUAUUUCAAUUGGGUUGUGAAUCUUUGGGUUGCAUAGAAAGCCCCAAGGGCGCCAUAUUCUAGGAGCCUAAAUUAUGUGAUUGAAUAAACCCUCCUCUAUCCGUUGCAGGUCAAGGACUACUUCUCCUUCCCCUUCUUCAAACUCCGAUUUGUAUUGUUUAUAGAAAAAUCUCUGAUUAACGAUAGAACAAAAUCCAUUUUGCAUCAUAUCCAAGAGAUUCCUUGGUUCGAGCCGAAGAAGCAAUGUUACUCGAUCAUUAUCAAAUUGACUGUAAUCUUUUUAUGUCCGGGAGGAUCCCACCAUGUAUAUACAUCUAUUACAAAAUUGCAUAAGCCUUCCUUAAUGCUCAUGAGAUUGAUCAAAGUUUUUGGACUAGCGAGCCUCUUGUGCAAGUUUUGGAAAUGUUAGAAAGGUGAAGGAAGAUGUGGGCACAUUUCCAAAUUGGUAAAUAUUCAUAUUCUAGCUUUGAUCUCAUUCUAUGUGAGAUGAUGAGGUGACACAUACCCGAAAAAAUAUGAUGCUGAAAAACAGAACAGGGCAUCAAAGAAUUCAAUUCAAAAAUGACUUUAUGCUGUGGGAUUGGAUUCCUCAAGCAACCAAUUUCGAAAAGGUUGCAGCAGACCACUUCAGCAUGAUGCGGGAUAGAUCGAUGGAGAAGCUUCUUUGAUAUGCGCGCCACUUGCCCAAAGUUGCCAUUUGCCAUUUCACCCUUCACUAACCCUAACCCUAACCCUAACCCUUAAACGGGUGUUUGUUCGUAAAUUCUUUACUUAUUUUGGAUAAUUGAAAUUUCAGAGUCGUUCCGAUUAAUUCUAAUAAUUCAUGUCUCCACAGUUUCAUAACCCGAAAUAUUUAAUAAAUCAUCUAGAAAGUCGUACAAAACUAUGAAAUGGUUGUAAAUAGUGAAAUUGCGAUGGGAUGAUGGACUAGAAUUAUAUCACUCUGCUUUUACUGUAUAUAAAAGAGCAUUAGCUGUGAAUCCAGGUGCUUCAUCAAGACUGUGACAUUCAUUCAUAGCCAUUCGCCAAUAUGGUAGAAAGGAAAAGCAGAUGCAUAUAUAUAGCAAUAGCAGCACUUUAUAAGAAGGGAGGGAAUUUUAGAUUGUUUGACAAGGGAAGGUUGAGGUACAUAUAUAUGAGAAUAAGGAGAGAGGACCCAACUGGGCAUAGGAAAUAAAAGGGCCAUUGAUGCUUUGUCAUGUAACAAACUUUUAUUCAAAAUGUGGGUGCUUUACACAAAAAGGGGAGGGGUUGUGGAAUCAUGUGCCUUCUACCACUGCACUGGCAUCUCUCUCCCUUUCCCUAUCUGCUUGCCCCAAACUAUGUUCAUAUAUGUGUCCCCUUCAUAUCAGAUUCACCAAUUUGUGCUUCUCUUUUCCACUCUAAUCCCAACCCCCAAAUUCUUUGGGACUGAAUAUUAGAUUUGACAAUAUUAAAUGGUAAUCAUCCAUUGUUGAGAUGCAUGCAAAGCUUUUGACAAUUAUUUCUCUAGAUUUCUUAAACGAAAAUACAACUCAAUACGAAAAUCAAGUAUUACUACCUACUUCUCUAAAUUGUAUACUAAAUAACAAACAUUAGAUGAAGUAAAAUAAGUUGAUUUAUGAACUAUUCAGACUAUCAGGUAAACAUGAGCGAUGAAGUAUUGAAGGAUCAAAUUCAAUCUAAAAGUGAUGUCAUAACCCAGUUUACAAGAUUGAUCAGUAUCUUAAACAGCAUUUGCUUAGGAAAAAGAAUUGAGAAAAAAAAAAAGGGAUAUGGUUAAUUAAUUUAUAAGCAAGCAAAGCAAAGCUAGAAAAGUGAAUUGAAAACCUUCAAGAGAGAGAAUGGAAUCUACUCUCUAAUCUCCAAUCUCUUCCCCAACAUCAAAGAGAAAAACAUUCUUCCCUUCAAGAAAAUCUAGUAGAAAAAUAAUGGAAAAUAUCAAUGAAACUCAAAGUCCCAAAAUUUAAAAAGAAAUACUAUUCUAUGUAAUAAAAAAAAACAAAAUUAGUAGGAACCAUGCAGAAUAGCAGAGUGUACAGAAACACAGAAAAGCAAACCAGAAAAGCAGGAAUACCCAAAACCCCAUCACUACUACUCCCUUCACUCCUUCCCCGCUAUCAACGCAAACCCUUCCCCCUUUUCUCUCCCAACCCUCGAUUCCUUUCACAAUGACACCAUGACUGUGUCGUUUCAGCAACCCCCACCUCCCCAAUCCCAAUCCCAAUCCCAAUCCCAACCCCAACCACAACCCCAGCCCCAACCAGAGCAGCCACCGCAACCGCAACAGCCACAUCAGCCGCAGAGGACGAUCAGGAAGCUCAUUGUGGAAGUGAUCGACGCACGUGACCUUCUACCUAAAGAUGGCCAGGGCAGCUCCAGCGCUUACGUGGUGGCGGACUUCGACGGGCAGCGGAAGCGGACGGCGACCAAGUGCAAGGACCUCAACCCGGUCUGGAACGAGCCGCUCGAGUUCGUCGUCUCCGACCCGGACAACAUGGACUACGAGGAGCUCGAGAUCGAGGUCCUCAACGACAAGCGCUACGGCAACAGCGGCACCGCGCGUAAGAACCACUUCCUCGGGCGCGUCAAGCUCUACGGCACUCAGUUCUCCAAGCGCGGCGACGAGGGCUUGGUCUAUUUCCAGCUCGAGAAGAAGAGCGUCUUCAGCUGGAUCAGAGGCGAAAUCGGCCUAAGAAUUUACUACUACGACGAGCUAGUCGACGAGGCUCCGCCGCCGCCGCAGCAACCCCCGCCGCAGGAGGAUCCUCCGCCGGAGCAGCCGGCGGUGAUGGUGGUCGAGGAAGGGAGGGUGUUUGAGGUCCCCGGAGGACACGUGGAGUGUACUAGAAUCCACGACGGCUCGUACUCGCCGCCGGUUGUUGUGAUGGAGCAACCGCCGCCGCAGAUGGUGCAUAUGCACUCCGAGCCGCCGGGACAGGAAAUGCACGGUCAUCCGCCGCCGCAGGAGGUUCGUUUUCAACCGGAGGUGAGGAAAAUGGAGACUCACCGAGUUGCUCCGAUGGGGGAGAGAGUGAGAAUUCCCAGGAGGCCGAACUGCGACUACUCUCCGAAAGUGAUUUCCGGAAAGUUUGGGGCGGAGAACACCGCGGAGAGGAUUCACCCCUGUGAGCUCGUCGAGCCUAUGCAGUACUUGUUCACCAGAAUCGUCAAGGCGCGUGGCCUCGCGCCGAACGAGAGCCCCUACGUAAAACUCCGUACAUCCAGCCACCUCGUCAAGUCGAAAACCGCGGUUCACCGCCCCGGAGAGCCGACCGACUCGCCGGAGUGGAACCAGGUCUUCGCACUCGCUCACAACCGGCCUGACUCAGUGAGUUCGACAUUGGAGAUCUCCGUGCGUGACUCGCCGUCGGAGCAGUUCUUAGGCGGCAUUAUCUUCGACCUCUCCGACGUGCCGGUUCGAGACCCGCCGGACAGUCCUCUUGCUCCGCAGUGGUACAGACUAGAAGGCGGCGCCGGUGAUCAAAAUUCCGGUAAAGUCUCCGGCGAUAUCCAGCUCUCUGUUUGGAUUGGGACACAAGCCGAUGACGCUUUCCCUGAAGCGUGGAGCUCCGAGGCCCCUAACGUGUCCCACACGCGCUCCAAGGUGUACCAGUCCCCGAAGCUCUGGUAUCUGAGAACGACGGUUAUGGAGGUUCAAGACCUCCACAUUGCAUCGAAUCUACCUCCCUUAACGACCCCUGAGAUUCGAGUCAAGGCUCAGCUGGGGACUCAGUCGGCUCGGACCAGGCGCGGGUGCAUGAACAACCACUGCGCCUCGUUUCACUGGAACGAGGACCUCAUCUUCGUGGCGGGUGAACCACUAGAGGACUCACUGAUUCUCUUGGUGGAGGACCGCACCAACAAGGAUCCGGUACUCCUCGGCCACAUCGUUAUUCCGGUGAGCUCCAUCGAGCAGCGAAUCGACGAGCGCUACGUGGCGUCGAAAUGGCUCCCUCUUGAAGGCAGAGGAGGAGGCGGGCCCUACAGCGGCAGAAUCCAUCUACGGCUUUGCUUGGAGGGAGGGUAUCACGUGCUGGAUGAAGCGGCGCACGUGUGCAGCGACUUCCGACCCACGGCAAAGCAGCUGUGGAAGCCGGCCGUGGGAAUUUUGGAACUUGGGAUUCUCGGCGCGCGCGGCUUGCUUCCGAUGAAGGCGAAAUCCGGUGGGAAGGGGUCCACGGAUGCUUACUGUGUGGCCAAGUAUGGGAAGAAAUGGGUCAGGACCCGGACCAUUACGGACGGCUUCGACCCGCGCUGGAACGAGCAGUACACGUGGCAAGUAUACGACCCCUGCACGGUGCUCACCAUCGGCGUGUUUGACAACUGGCGCAUGUUUGCUGACGCUUCAGAGGAAAAGCAAGACUUCCGUAUUGGAAAAAUACGAAUACGUAUCUCUACGCUGGAGAGCAACAAGGUGUACAAGAAUUCAUACCCGUUAAUGGUGUUGUCCCGGACCGGGUUAAAGAAAAUGGGGGAGAUAGAGCUAGCGGUCAGGUUCGCCUGCCCGUCGUUGCUGCCCGAGACAUGCGCGGUUUACGGGCAGCCAUUGCUUCCGAGAAUGCACUACCUCCGCCCUCUCGGGGUGGCCCAGCAGGAAGCGCUGCGAGGGGCAGCCACGCGCAUGGUGGCCGCGUGGCUUGCACGCUCCGAGCCGCCUUUGGGGACGGAGGUGGUGCGGUACAUGCUGGAUGCUGACUCGCACACGUGGAGCAUGAGGAAGAGCAAAGCGAAUUGGUUCCGGAUCGUGGCGGUGCUGGCAUGGGCGGUCGGGUUAGCUAAAUGGUUGGAUGAUAUAAGGAGGUGGAGGAAUCCGGUGACGACGGUUUUGGUGCACGUGUUGUAUUUGGUUCUGGUUUGGUACCCGGAUUUGAUAGUCCCGACCGGGUUUCUAUACGUGUUUCUUAUUGGGGUUUGGUACUACCGGUUCAGGCCCAAGAUACCAGCCGGAAUGGACCUCCGUCUCUCCCAGGCGGAUACGGUCGACCCGGAUGAGCUAGAUGAAGAAUUCGACACUUUUCCGAGCUCAAAGUCGCCGGAUGUCAUUCGGGUCCGGUAUGACCGGUUGAGAAUGCUGGCGGCCCGGGUCCAAACAGUUUUGGGCGAUUUUGCGACCCAAGGAGAACGGGCCCAGGCCCUUGUGAGCUGGAGGGACCCACGUGCUACAAAGUUGUUCAUUGGAGUGUGCUUGCUUAUCACUGUGGUGCUAUAUACUGUGCCACCCAAAAUGGUGGCUGUGGCAUUGGGGUUUUACUACCUGCGCCACCCUAUGUUCCGAGAGCCAAUGCCGCCGGCGAGCCUCAACUUUUUCCGGAGGCUUCCGAGCCUGUCGGACCGGUUAAUGUAGAGAGGAAGAGUGGGAAGGGAGAAGAGUUAGCUAUUACAGCAUUUUUGUGAGGUGCCUAGUUAGAGGGAGUGUGACAUUUUCAAUCUAAACACUGUUGGUGUUGAAAAAUGGGGUCCUUGAUAAUCUCAUAGCAUUGUGAGGAGUGAAAAAAGGGGGAAAAGGAAAGUGGCAAAGUUGUCAUCAUGGUCUGUAAGUUUUGUUGAAUUGGUGGACUUUGGACUACUACAGAAACAAACUUUGGUACAAGAGAAAGGCAAUUGAGGAAAAUUUGGAUGCCAGUGAGUUACAAAGAGAGCUUUGUUUCUGUAAUCAUGAUGUGUAGGGUAAAGUAUGAACCUAUGAAGUAUGAACAAUGAAAGUUUCUUUCUAACAUAUAACAUUGAAUUCACAUUCUUCAUGGGUGUUUCUUUAGGUAAUUUUAAUGGCUAAACUCCAUAAGGUACUAAACCCAGUAUAGAGGCCCAUAUUUCAUCAGUCUUUGUUUUCAUUUGUCAGCACAUAUUAAGGAAAUUUCCUCUUACUUCUUGGUGGCCUUCUCCCUUUGUCAAUUAAUUGUGAGUGCCACCCUAUACAUAAACACAUUUGUUCUACCAAUUAAUCAAGUUUGAUAAAAUUUUAGAUUGUAAAGCUUUGAUUUCCAUUGCAAAUGAGUAACACUCCAAGUGAAUUCUAUGACAUUGGCAAGAAAGCCACAGGUUAUACACUCUUGACACCAUCCUCUCUCUUUUUUGUGUUUCCCUUUGUUCAAUGCUUAACAUUUACUUUUAUGUCUACUGAUUAACACAUGUUCUUGUUCUUCUGGUUAGAUCUUCUUCAUAAGGACUAUGCUCAUCAACCACGCUCGCCAAUUCAUUUUGAUUAUCGUAGCCUCAAGUCGAAUACUGAUAUCUCAUGCAGAGGUUAAUCUGUCACUGUAUGCAAUCAUGUAAUCUUUACUUUAAGAUCAUUCAAAAUGAUGGAGAAGCUCAAAUUUUAGUGGUUGUUAUUUCUGUGACUAUUUGCAGUUAAAGAUAUUGUUCCUGGACUGAGCACCCUUUUCAGUUUUUUCAUGCCAAAUUAUGGCAAGGUAAAAAGGUCCAUGACUUCCCGGCUCAGUUCUCACUUUUAUGCUGUUCUGAUAGGCAACAUUGUGCUAACAGGUGGAUCUAGAAUACCUAAAUGGUCUUGCUGGUAUUAGUGGAGGCAUUGGACUGAUACGAAACGAUGCUCUUGGAAGAUUUGAUCCGAUAGCAAACCUGUCAGGUGUUAUAGGACGAGACGCUCUUUUCUCCCUCGGAACUGACCUUGCAUUUGACAUAUCUACAGGGGCAUUCAACAAAAUCAAUGCUGGUUUGAGCUUGAACAGUGGCUUCUUUGAUGCUUCCUUGUCCUUGUGAGCAAUCCUGUGAGAACUUUAGAGUUAUAGAGCUUUCAUUUUGUACCAAUUUUAUUGACAUAGACGUAAUGUGUUCCAAAUUAUAUGCAGAGAUAGGUUUGACAGCUUGACAGCAUCAUGCCACUUCAUGGUGAACCCACAGACCAAGACAGCCAUUGCAGCAGAGUUAAAACACAGGUUUUCAAUCAACGACACUGCACUCGCAAUCGGCGCCCAGCAUGCGUUUACACCCUCCACACUGGCCAAGGGUCGAAUUAGCACACAUGGCAAGGUUGGGGCUCUUAUACGGCAAGGAUUGUGGCAGAGGAUUUUCCUGUCUAUAUCUGGAGAAGUGGAUUUUACAGACACAAGGCCAAAUGCAGCUCUGCAAAUCGGAUUAUCUUUGGCUGUUAGGCUCCAAAUGAAUAUCAUUUAGAACUUAGAAGCCAAUCUUUUGCUGGAGUUCCAAACUGGAAUAAUCUUCCCUUUCUGUUACGUGUGGCAUAAGCAAGGGAGAGACCGGGGUUUUUAUUAGUUGUGAGGCCAAAUAGUGGAGAAAGUGAAGGGAAACAUAUAUGUACAAUCAGAUCAAAUAUGUAUGAUAAAAGAAGAAUUAAAAUUUGUUUUGUCCUUGUGGUUUAAAGUCGACAUCUGUUUAGUCCUUAUGGUUUUAUUUUAAUCUGAAUAAUCCUUAAAGUCACAUUUUUUUCAUCUAAAUAGUCCUUAUGGUUUAAUUUUAAUUUAAAUAGUCCUUAAAGUCAUGAUUUUUCAUCCAAAUAGUCUUUCCGAUUCAUUUUUUCUUAAAGGUCAUAAAGACUAUUUGGAUAAAAAAUCAUAACUUUAAGGACUAUUCAAAUUAAAAUAAAACCAUAAGGACUAUUUGGAUGAAAAAUCAUGACUUUAAGGACUAUUCAGAUUAAAAUAAAACCAUAAAUACUAAACAAAUGUCGACUUCAAACCACAAGGACUAUAUAAUAUUUUACCCAUAAAAAAAUAUGACUGUUUGAUGAAAUUUGAUAAGCUGGCCAUAUAAAGCAUUUCCUAGUCGACCAAAAACUAUACAAGAUUCAAGUUUGAACAUGAAGAACUAGGUCAUUGUAUAAGAUCGAUUUAGGACUAACCACAAAUCUUAAAAGAUCGCAUUUACAGCAGCACGAACGAAGAAAUAAGGUUGAUGAGAAAACAAAAACUGGAACAUGCUUAACAUCUCAAUGAUCCCAAAGAACUAUGUAACAAGAAGUUUGUAGAAGUGCCCAACUACUGUUGAGAACCCUGAAGAAGUCCAUCACGGAUCUGAGAAGCUACAUCGCGGACGGCACCAGGUCCAUGGGGAAUGAACACAGCAGAGGAUUUAGAGCUGGCACCAAUUUCCUUCAUUGUGUCAAAAUACUGAGUCACAAGAACCAUGUCCAUGACAUCCUUCGCGGUGGUCCCUGGAACAUUAACAGCAAAGCCCAGCACACUGUCUCUCAAACCAUCUACAAUUGCUUGACGUUGACGAGCUAUACCAAGCCCGGACAGAUACUUAGACUCAGCCUCACCCUCAGCUCGUUUAAUUUGCAAAAUCUUCUCUGCCUCUGCCUUCUCAUUAGCUGCCACCCUCAUUCUUGCAGCUGAAAAGAAUAUACAGGAAAAUGGUAAAACAACUGAAAUUGAGCAGACAACGCAUUCUAAGAAAUAAAUAUGUUGGAAUUCACUAAAUGCAAAUGCGACUUACCAGCAUUGAUUUCAUUCAUUGCACGUUUCACAUGCUCAUCUGGUUCUAUGUCAACAAUGAGAGUUUGUACAAUCUCAUAACCAUAAGCAGACAUGGCCUGAAAAGGAGGAUAAGUGCAACAUGGUCACUCUCAAGCUAAAUUUAGAGUCCGUGGUACUAAAGACGGAAGGAGCUUAAAUACAACAAUACUUUUGUGUUGUCACAUUACCUUCUCCAACUCAUCUUCCACAGCUUUUGCAAUUUCAUUCUUUUGCUCAAAAGCAUCAUCCAGAAGGAGCUUAGGAACGCUGGCUCUAAUCACUAUAAAGACGGAAUAAUGUAUACUUUGUUAGUUAAACGCACUUCAAUUCAAGUAAACCUAAAAUUGUAUAUCUCAUUAUGAAGGAUUUAGUUCAUACCAUCAAACACAUAGGCCUGGAUUUGAGACCUAGUGUUGCUGAGUUUGUAGAAAGCAUCAUUUGCUUUGUCUGCCAGAGCACGAUAUUGAAUUGAUGCAACAACAUUGACAAAGACAUUGUCCUGUAGAAGAUAUUGAACAGUCACUCAAUAAGAAAAAAUAACAGAAUAUCAAAUAGUGAACUCUUUGACCCAAAAAUGUUACAAUUAAGCCACCUCUACUUAAGAAAAUUGAGAUACCUUUGUCUUGGUCUCACACCGCACAUCCAACUGCUGCAAACGCAGAGAGAGAUGACCAGCAACCUGAUGCCCAAGAAACCAAGGCAUGCAAUGGCAUCCUGGCUCCAUUACGUCCACAAACUUACCAAAUUGUUCCCUCAUAGCGACUGUGGAUUGAUCAACUUGUACACAACAUAGUAGAUUACCCAUGUUCUCUUUACUAUUGUACCUUCAAGAAAUAGCAUAAAGAUCAGUCUCUUGAAAUAGACAAAAGGUUUAUCUGUUAAAACUAAAACUUGGUGGACAUGAUAUAAAACUAAGUUUCCAUCCAUAUUCAGAAGUUAAUCAGAGAUAGAUGUUUAAACACACACAAAAAUCUCAGAAAUAGUAUGCAGAAGUCCAACGCCAAAAUAGUCCACAAUUCCAUAUUAUGAACCUCAAGGACAUGUUUGAAAGAGCUAAAACAAAACAGCUAAUUCACAGAGUUCAACACCCAGAGUCCCUCCCAAGAACUCACCAACCCAAAGUUCAAUUCACCCAAGCCAAUUGUGUGUGUGCGUCUGUGUCAUAGAGAGAGAGAGAGAGAGAGAGAGAGAGAGAGAGAUGGAGAGAGAUGAGAACUGUCAAUCAUAUGCAAAGCAAAACAUUAAGAAAACAGAACAGAUGCAUGAUUUCAAGAUGCAAUUAAUAGUCUUUCAGAACAACAUCCAAGUAUUUAAGUAGUCUACAAAAUACGAUCCUAAGGACAUGAACACAGACAAGCUACUUGUUCACCUUACUUCCAAGCAGAGAGAGAAAAAGAGACUUGCAGUUAACAGCAAAGCAAGACAAGGGAGCAAGGAAAGCAGAAAGGAAGAUGGGAAUGAGAUGAUCUAAACAAAUCAAGACUCAAGACAUAUAUAUAAACUCUGAAAACAAUGACUUGGGAAACUAUCCAAAGGCUCCAAAGCAAGAAAUACUCAUCGGACAUAUAAAAAAUAAAACAAGUCUACAGAAGAACAAAAGAAACUCACAGGAAUAUUCAUACACUAUGAAGAGAACCACAUACGCCCUAAACUCAAAGUCAACAAUACCCCAAUUGCAACUAGAUAAAACUACAAAAACCUAAUCCAAUAAGCUGUAACAACCAAGCUGUGAUAAAACAAACAUCUCGGCAAAAUAUACGCCUCAAACGAAUCGUCAAAGAGUAUCUUAACUAGAAACAAUCAUGGCAGCACAUAGCAUACUCAUCAAGAUACAACCAAGACAUAACCCAAAAGUCCAAUACACAAUAAAACUCAACAAAAAUUCCAAGUUGCCAUUUAGAAUGGGAUCAUGACAGCAACAUCAAACAGCUCAGACCUUGCCGUUGUAAGUAAGAAGGUCACAUAUGGGUUAAUGGGUAUCCAUCAUUCUUUAUAUAUCUUAAUCACCAUCAUUGUUUCUAUAAAUAAAUGCAAUUCAAUUCUUUUGGAUACAAUCAAAGACUGAGUCUUUAAGCAUUCAUUAUCUUUAUAAUGCAAUAUACCCAAAUUGCCAAUUUCAGAAACAAGCAACGUACGCAGUACAAAGAACUGGGUUAGGUUAAGAUACGCAGCAAAUAGAAAUCGAUGAAUUUCGCCAUAGUUUCCAAACAGGAUUGAAGAAAAGCUUCAACUUUAUGACAAUUUCGAAGAAACCCAUAUCAAUAAUCUUGAAUUAAGACGAAGGAGGCGCGGGAGUUACCUCCUUGGAGAUUGACGAAGAAGAUGAAGAGACGAAAGUGAGGAGAAGCUCUGGGUUUUUGGGUCACAGAGAAAGAAUGAGAGGGGGUUUUCUAUCUUUUUAUUUCUUUUUCUUUUUACGUAAAUUAUCCAAUCACGGAUAGCCACGUCUCUUAUUGGGUCAGCGGCCUGUCUAGUUCGUCCGGUCCGGUCCAAUAUGUUUCUUGGCGCCUAGGUUUUCUUUUUUUAUUCUUUUUUUUAUUCUUUUUCGUAAUUUGUUGUGUUUUUUUUAUAACUAAAUACGUGAUAGAUCCCUGUGUCUAUAAUCUUAUAUUCUUAAAACAAAUCACUACUUGGAGUUUGGAUACAUUUAUAAAGUGAUAGCAUGACUGUGGAGAAACUCACUAAUUGAUUGGUGUAGUGGAAGUCUUCUUCUCUACCUGAAUACCUUGUUUGUGAAGCAAGAUGAUGAAUUUCUUGCAAACUGUACAUGAGAGCAUCUACCUUUCUAACGAGAAUAGAGUUUAUCUCGUAAAGAAACACUUCUUGUAAAGUCCUAAUCCAUAUCCAUUUUGUAAAGUCCUACUCCAUAUCCGUCUUUCACUUAGCCAAUUAUGAAGAUUUUGUUUUUGUUUUUAUUUUUCAUAGGCCAAUUAUAAAGUUUUCUUUUGCUUACUCUUUCAAAACAAAGAAUAAUGAAUCAAAUUAAUUGGUUAAUGGAGGUGAUGUAUUAUAUAUUAGAGAAAGUUUCCUUAUUGGUGGGUGUUGGAUUACAGAGCAUCUCUUAUGUUUCUCAAUGUGCAAAUGGCGCUGCCCAUGUAGUAACGACUAAUAUAGCCCGGUUGGAGAGGCGUUUUAUAUGGUUAGAGGUUGGGGCUGAUUGGACAGACACAUAAUUAAUUUGACUAAUCAAAAAGCGUGUAGGACGUUUAUGUCUACUACCAAUAGUUCCAUUUAUUUGUAAUAUGUUUUCUUUAUUAAAUUUCUCCUCAUUCUCCAAAAUAAAAUCAAUGACAUUGAGUUGAAAUUUGAUUGCCUAAUUUUCUUAACAGGCCAAUAGGGAGAAUGUUUCUAAAUCUAGAAUAAAUAUUUUCUCAAGUUGGAAAGAUAAAGCUAUCACCAUUGAUCAAUUUGAUUGGUGGACAUAGCGUGACGUUGGAUUACACAGACGAAGCAAAGCCCCUUCUUGUGUUGUCCUACGUGGCAUUUAGAACAACCUCUAUCACACACUCAAUACACACACCCCAACCUUGAGCUCAGUUAUAGAAAUAUCAUCCAUGGCAGUGUUCUCUGCAACUGCUCCCUCAGCUACUUGCAUCAAUGGAAAUCUCACCCACAAAAACACCAACAACAACUUCCUUUCCUCUAAACACUUCUCCGAUUACAUCUCACCGGCCCGGUCGAGAACCUCCACGAUCGUUAACAUGGCACCCAAGAAGAAGGUAAGCAAUCCAAGCUAUUGUUUGGUGGCCAAGAAACUAAUUUACAUAGUUAUUUUCCAACACCCCUUUUUUUUGUUGUUGAGGAAUUAGAGCAUUGUGUUUUUCAGGUGAACAAAAUCGACGGCGGGUGGAAGAAGCAGUGGUUUGGAGCCGGAAUAUUCUACGAAGGGUCGGAAGACAUAGAAGUGGACGUGUUCAAGAAGCUCGAGAAGCGCAAGGUCCUCAGCAACGUCGAAAAAGCUGGGCUUUUGACCAAGGCCGAGGAACUUGGGCUGACGCUCUCGUCCAUUGAGAAAUUGGGCCUGCUUUCAAAGGCUGAGGAUUUGGGCCUGCUCAGCCUGCUUGAGACGGUCGCGGGUUACUCUCCCGCCGCUUUGGCCUCCGCGGCACUGCCAGUUCUGGUUGCGGCGCUGGCGGCGAUAGUGUUGAUACCGGAUGACUCGACGGCAUUGGUGGUGGUGCAGUUUGUGGUGGCUAGUGUGCUUGGGGCUGGGGCUGUGGGUUUGUUAGUGGGCUCGGUUGUCUUGGAUGGUUUGCAAGAAGCUGAUUGAGUAGACAAAUAUUUUUUUUCAUUGCUUUUUUGUUUUUGGUGUUUUCAGUUUCCUUAUUUUUUUUUUCUUAUGUAUUAGAGGAUGAAUAAUAUAUCAAUCUUACAAACUACACAGUGAAUUAAUGUGUACAUUGACUAUAGGUGUGAAGAUUUUAUAUCUAGCAAGACAGUAAUUUGUUUUUAUCAAAAAUGAAAUGUACGUAAUGUACGUUCAUUUACAUUAAUUUUCUUUACAUUAAUUUUCUUGGUCACAGAGUUUAGAGUAAUUUGGGAUGUGGUAUGAGUGUAUCGCUCACAACUUAACCGUUCAGAUGAUUUAAGUAAAUUUUCAACUAACUUUUGCGCCUACAUGUAGCAAUGCAACGAUUAACUUGUAUCCCGAAUUCCGUAAAUAAUAUUCAUAUUUCAUUCGCUAGAUAAACAACUUCUCAAUGCCAAUCUAAAUGGGAUACAAUCUCAGCUCAAGAGAACGAUAAAUCGGGAUUUUGUUUCUAAACAAGGUAAUAUGCAUAACAUUGAGAAAGCUAUAAUAGAUGGAUUUACUAGUACCAUCUACAAUAUUAUUUUUUCCCUACGACGAACAAAAUAUAAUAAAUACCAUCUCCUAAUACAUAUGGGAUUGAAAUGGCCAAACAUGGCUGUGUCAAAAUCAGCCUAUGUAGGAAUGAAUGACCCUUAGACAAGAACAAGCGGUACUCUAAUUAAUCCUUGAGAGUUGGAUUUUCAUGUUCCUUUAAAGCAUCAUCUUCAUCAUGAAGCCCUGAUCUGUAUUCAUAACGGCUUGCCCAUAAGAGAUAGUACAAGAAAUUCACCCCACUCAGAACACACAUCAACCAGUAAAACCUCUCAAGGUGAUACAUGUUCAAGUUGGCACCAAUCAGCCAAGGUCUAUGUCUAUAUGCUCCAGUGACACCAUUGACAAUGUUCACAAGCACUGAGCUGAGGUAGUAUCCCAUGGCCAAUGAAGCCCAAGACAGAGCUGUGGCUAGAGACCUCAUGCUUAGUGGAGCUUCAGUGAAGAAAAACUCCAUCAUUCCGGCUAAUGUGAAGAGAUCAGCUGAGCCAAGAAACAAGUAUUGCAAAGCCACCCAGAGAAAUGUGAUGGGUAAUGGCUCGGCAGAGUUGAGCAAGCCGUGUUUGGCUGCGACGUUUUUUCUCUUGAUUUCGACCAAGGCAGCAACUGCCAUGGCGACGAUGGAGAACAAUAAUCCUAUUCCAAUUCUCUGUAGGUGAGUGAUCCCCAUUUCGGUUUUGGUUACUUUUCUUGCAAAGGGGACAAUGACUUGGUUGUAGAGCGGUGCGAGGAUCAUGAUGAAGAGGACAGGGAAGACAGGGAGAGAAGCCGGUGGAACUUUGAGGGAUCCGAGGUUGGUGUUCAUGGUGGCUGCUUGUUGCACUGAGAAUGUGGAGAGCUGAGCAAGGCAGCAGUUUAGCAUUAUGGUGGACAUAAGGAUUGGGAGAAUUCUUAGGACUAUUUUGACCUCCUCAACUUGUUUUACAGUGCAUUGUAGCAUUGGGUGGACAGGUUUAAUAGUCACUGCUUUGUUAAGGAACUUGAGGUUUUCUGAUAGAGCUUGAUUUCUCCCUUUUUUUUGGGAAUGUCUAUUAGUUUCUCCCUCACUGGUUUCAUGUGUAUGAGAUGGGACUGUUGUGACUGUAUUGCUAGGACUUCUAGCUUCAAUGUUAUUGCACAUUGCUGCAGCAAAAACCUGUUUUUACAUUCACAUAACGAGUAAUAAAUAACUUGUAAUAAUAAUUGAUACAACAGCUAGAAUUCGCAAUCCAAGUUAUGUGACUGGAAAAUUGUACCAAAAAAGAGUGAGGGUUACCUUAAACAUGGUCGUGAUCGGACUUCCUGUAGGAACUUUGGUCCGGUAUGUAGGAGAGCCUAGGAGGAAGAGUGGGAUGGAGAGAAGAAUUGUUGCAGUCGCAAUCCCAAAACCCCAUUGCCAGCCUAUGUUGUCUUCAAUCCACACCACGAAAGUUACCGCAACAAGUGCACCACAAGAGAGACAGAACACGUAGUAGUUGAAAAAUGAAGAUCUCUGCUUCCUUCCUUGUGGGGUGGUCUCAUCAAACUGCUCCGCUCCGUGUGGAGGAAGAGAGCCUUUUAUUCCUCCAACUCCUAGUGCCACCAGAUAGAGGCCUGUGAAUAACAACACUGUUUUGCCGCCACUAACUUCCUUGCAUGGAUUGUUUGUGCUCAUUGAAGCGCAGGUUGGUGGUUUCAGUGAUGGUAAAUGAGCUUGGAUAGUGAGUACCAGUAAACCCUGUUGCAUCAGUUUAAAAUCAGUAAUGAACUAAUAAUCCUAGUAUUUGUUAGGCCUUAAAUUGUACAAAUACCCUGCAGAUAUUUCUACAAUGAGUCCCAGCUGUGUCCCACAGCGCGAACAAGCUAGGCUGUUGCUUCCAUAACUGUUCUACUAUAAGCAUGAAUUUAACUCUUCAGAAUAUUGGAUAAAUUUGAUAACCAAUUCAAUGAAGUAAAGAUGAUGAAAAAAAAUUAGUUAGAGUGUGUACUAGAACUCACUGUAAAUUCUAUUGCAGCACUAAUCAAAUAGAUGCAGUAAGUGGUGAAGAAAGCAUCUGCUAGAAAUCCACCAAGUAGAGCAAGUAGGAAGGCUGUGCCCAUGAAAUUGGUGACAAUGUUGGCAGAAGCGGAUGGAGAGAAAUGCAUGAAUUUCGACAAGUAUAGCACAAGGUUGCUUGCAUUGGCCAGGUAAGCCAGGUUCUCCAGUAUCUCCACCACUAAAAUUUUCGACACAGAAAAAAGAAGUUAGACAUUCAUGUCAGCUCAGUUCUGGAUUAUGCUUAGUAUACAGUGCUAGAUAUAAUGCAUACUAACCUAAAACAAAUGAAGCAGCAAGCAUUCCACCAUGAAGGCCUCUUAUGGCAGGUCUGUUCCUCCAAUCCACAUAACCUUCCCAUAUGUUCAAAUGGUUUGCUUCGUCCUACACUCAUAGCCAAUGCAAAAUCAAGCCAAAAUAAGCAGCACGUAAUAAAUCUAAGCAUAUAAUGAGAACUAUGAACUUGAAACUCACCAUCUUCUUUAUAGAGCUUCUAGGCUUAUGUGUGUUGUACAAAGGAAUAAUUGAUUGGAAACUUUGUUCUUACAGGUUGGAAAUGAUAGAUAUAUGGAGCCGUAUUUAUAGACUGAGAACAUUACCUAAGAAGAAAGGUCUAGACUCCAUGAAAAUGAUGUUGUUGACAGUUUUUACUUUCUACUUUUCAAAUGGCAAGAGAGGGGAGUGAAGCAUAUCUUGAAUGUCUUGAUUACCAGAGAUAAGGAAAGUAAGACCGGAACCAAAUCUUCAUCGUCAUAAUUCAACUUACUAGAAAUGGAUAAGCUAAUCAUGCUCCUCACCUUGAUUAAAAUAGGUUAAGAGGCAAACGUGAAGCAGAGUUUACAGAUGUAAGAAAAUGAUUAUAUAAAAGCCUACCAACUGCAAAAAUGGAUCCAGAUGUGGUGUUAGAUGAUUGCAUGAUCAAACCAUGCUUGCUGUUCUUGUCAAAUGGGCAAUGAUCUGAAAAAAUGGAGUAAAUCUAAAACCAAGUGGACUACAAACAUAAAUGUGAUCUUAAUUUUCUGGUGCUCUACUUGAAGGUAAAGCUUUGACAAUAGCUUUCACAUACCCCACAGCCAACUUACUUACUCUUGUAGUGGUAGCAUGCACUAAGAGCACUAUGUCUUGAGGUAAUCUGGAACUCUUAUGCUUAAGGUCCUGUUUAGUCCGCGGAAUGGAAAUGAUUCAAUUUCCGAAGGAAUGGAAAAGAAAAUCAAAUGGGGAUGAACUUUCUUAGUUAAUGUCCUCCAAUUUGGGGCAUCCUUAUCAAAAAUGCAAGAUAGUUUCAGCUUCCCCAGCUUGCAUUAUGAACUCACACACUAAACUAGGUCUACGGAUGAAUGCUUUACCUACUUUACUACAUAAUACCGGUAAUGUGUCUUCAGUAUCCGAUUUCAAAUCAGAUAUGGUAUUUCUAAUAGGGACUCAUUCCAGAACGUUUGAGUUUGGCUACAGGACAAAUCCCUGUCAUGGCCUUUUCUUAGGUGAAAUCAAAGUCAGACAAUCAAUUUUCAUGUACAUCUUUCAUGUAAUUAUUGUCCUUUGUCAUGCUCUAAUAGCGCUUGUAGCUGGACUGAAAUAUGCUUCUGCUUACUACUAGAGUCAUCCCGACUGGUACUGUUACCGACGUCUAUUGGCCUUAUCAUACUAAUGUUGUUGCCUUGUAGUGUAGGUUUCCUCUCUCAGCCAUUCGUAUACUUGAUCAUAGAAAUGUGUGGGUGUAAUUUCUCAAAAGAAAGAUGCGGGUGCAUUGUAGUGAUCUUAGAAACCUCCAAAUUGGGUCGCUUUAGGCCUUUUCAAUUGGGAAACUUUGAUGUACUGGCAAUAUAGGCCUUUUCUUCAUCUAAGUUUCCCUGUAUCUGAAGAAAAUGUCUAAAAGUUAAAUGAAAAAAAAUUAUUAAAGUUCAAAAUAUAAUGAAGGGAAUCCAAGUUUUGUAAUGUUCACUAUCUUUUGGCUCAGAGUCUGAACAGCUUAUGAACAUAGUUAGUUGUGUGAGUGUUCUGUUUUCGAUUGGAAUAUAAUCUGAUUCUCCAAGUAAAAUGUAGGUUUUGCCAGGUAGCGUUUUUGUCAGGGAGAACAUGAAAAAUGGUAAUGCUAAUCUAAAUACAAUAUUCCCUGACUAGUUUCAAAAAGUAGUGGCUGAUAAAUAUAGGCAGGUUCCUGCAAUGUUUGAGAAUAGGAAUGCAGAUAACAGCGGAACAAAUCGAUACCUUUGACACCCUUUUUCCUAACAUAAAAUCCAUUUUUAUCAUCAUACUCGUAUCACCUAUGCAUUCUUUGAUUCAAGUUUAUCGUUUCUGCAUAUGGAUAGGAAUUUAUCAGUAUUCUCUAGCAAAACACAGCCUUGAGGUUUAUCAGUAUCUAAAUUAAGAGUCUUCUGGAAGUUGUAAUGACUAAGAUUUAUUCGGCUAAAAGCAUCUUUUCGGCUUUGUUACUAUACAACUUUGCUAAUUAGCAUGAAAGAGGGCAAAUGAUAAUGAGCGCUUAGCAAUUAUAUUUUCUUAUCUCGUUCCAUGUUGGAAAGCAACUGAUGAGAAAGAGAGAAUGUUUUUGGAAUGGAAUGGCAAUAUCUUUGCCACAAGUCACAAACAAGACUCCAUGACAAGGCAUGAGUGGUCUUUCUCACACAGAAAGCUACAAAAGUAGAGUUAACUUAUCAUUUCGAACAAUCUAGCCUUCCAAGUCUAAUCACCUACUAAUUAUAUAUCAACACAUGCACUUUAUAUUCUAAUCAAUCAAUUACACAGGGGAUAGGCACUGCUGAGAUUACUUGCUGGUGCUGUUGGUUAUAUUUUCAGGUACUCGAAAGAAAACCAGAAGUCGAUUAAGCUUAGUUCUUCACAUGACUAGGUUGCAGUUUAUAUGAUUUGAUAUCUUCGAACCCUUUUAAUAUUUUUAGCUAUGGUGAUCCUAGCAUUGAACUAACAAUUCAGGAGCUAUGCACAUUGCACAAUCACUGGCCAAGAAAAAUUUCAAUGGUGUAUAUAACUCUUAUAUUGACUACAUUGAGUUCCAGAAUCACAAUAGUGGAGUUUCAGCUAGUUUGUUCUACCAGAAAUGUGUCUACCCCCAACAGCAAAUGUCCUGAUGAUCCCAAAACCAACAAAAUGGCAAAAGAGGGUAGAAAAAUGAGAGCAAUGUGAUGGUGGCCGGAUUGGACAGUGAGGUAGUGAUGAACCACUUCUAACCGAAACCUAUAAGUCGGUGGAUAGUGGUUUUCAGUUUGCCCUGAAAUAGAAAGAUUGAGAGAAAAAUUCAUACGGCAUAUGGUGGUGGCCAACAUGAAGGGUUGAAAUCAAUUUUGCAUAUUACCUAAGGCAAUGUGCCCCUCCAUUGAAUAUGCUCUUUGUUUUCAUGCCAUAUGCAGCCCUCCACAACACACAAGUUGGAGCUGCCACUUGCAGAUAUACUUAGACACGCUCAAUACUCAAUACGUUCUAAGUAUGUAACUUUGUUUCUUAUUUAGACGUGUUUGGAUCAAUUUUAAUAUACAAUUCAAGAGUUAGGAAACAUAACCGCGAUCGCAUAGACUAUAGAGUUCUUGACAACAUUGUUUCUUUCUUUUACUUCAUACCUCAUUGAAGUAAACAAUAAAGGCAAAGAAGAUUAAACGUUGAUGACAUACAAAUAAGAACCAAGUCAAUUGGGUGCACAGAUAAAAGAAUUUGCUGACAAUGAGGAAUUGAGGACCAACUGUAUUGGGUUCAUAUAUAUCAAGAAUCUUGAUCUUUUUCUCAAAUGGUUCCUAAAUGGGCUUAGAUUGCUGCUCACAACAAGUCCAGCGCCAAUGAUGGGCUUAUAUAACAAGUUAGUUCAAAUGAAAAAUCAGUGAGAAAAAUGAGCCAACUUAUGCAGAUCAAUGGUAGAAGAAAAUUGGCCGAGGCUCUUUUGGUCGAGGAAUAUGCCAAUAUGGUAUUGUAAAAAGGAAAAUCGAUACUAAGCAGUACAGAAAUGACAAUCCCAAUCUUUAGAACAAAUAGGGCAAAAAGAAAAUUUAGAUAGGCAAUGAACUCGUUGCAAAUUCAUUAUAAAAGUUGUGUUAUUCGUAAUGACUAUCAAACGAGAACUACAUAUGUCCUCAUAGUCGGAUCCAUGAGUCAUAUAAGUGUAUAAAUCCUUUGAAUCCGUAUUUAUAAACAAGGAAACAAGCUACAAUAUGAGCAUUUCUAUUUCUUGCGAAAUAGACUAUCCAAACUUAAUCCAACAAAAAAAAAAAGGCAAAAAAAAAAGCUUAAAUUCUUAAAUUACUAGUUUUUUUACCCGUGUAUAUGCACGUGAGUAUACAAAUAAGAGAAGUUUAACUUGAACUGCUCCACUUAAAAUGGAAUGAAUAUGAUUAUCAUAUUCUUAGAUAAUUACUCCACCAAAAGUGGGAACAGCCCACGUCUUUUUUUCUUCAUAAAAUUUUAAUAGUGUUUUACGGUUAUACCUAUAAAAACUUAUGUUUAUUUUCUUUAAAAUUUUUUAUUAUCUUAGAUUUUUUGGUAAUUCAGAAAAAGAACUUCACCAUAACACCAAAUUAGGUGCCUGUCUUUUUAAUAGUAUAGAUAAGUUGAAAAGACGCAGAUAAUUAGUUGAAGCACAUAGCCGGAGUAGAUAAUCACGGCCGGUGGCGAAUGACAUUUGGCGGGACCCACAAACUGUUCAGGUGGCCCAAUGGGGGCCUGCCGCGUUGAAACGUGAGCCGAGUGAGUGGUGGGAGUAGCACCAGCCGCGAGCGAGUCGGAGUGAUAGAGAGACUCGGGCCUGAGUCGUGAGUCAUUUGUAUGUUGACUCGGGCUCACGAGAUGAAAAAUCCAAUUCAGUCCCUUUUGUCGUUUUCUCUUACUCAGUCACUGUGGUGCCUCGUUUUCAUCCAUGACCCUACAUUCCCUGCAAAUUUACUGUUCUACCCUUGGCAUAUGUUCCACGCUCUCAUUAGAUAUUAUAAACUUGUAUUUGCUAGGAGAAAAUUAUAAAUCCGUAGAUGGUUGUUUGCACGUCUUAUUUAACUUUAUGAAAUAAUAUUCUCCAUGGGAAAGGGAUUCUUAUAAUUAUUAUGGAAAAUGUGCAUAAGGGGGAAGUGUUUAUGGAGAAACUUGUGAUUUUAUAUGAUUUUCAGACAAAUUUUGACUCGUUUUUCAUUAUGGUUAAAUCUAACUAAUUAUUAUACUAGUUUACAUUCAUAUUUGAUAUUUUGUUUGCUUAAUUUCAUUAGCUAAUGUUUGCAUUGGUUUAUUAGUGUUUCCAACAUGUUAAAUUCAUAUAUUACGAUUUAAGCAAUGAACAGCUCAUUUGAGUCAUGUAAGUCGUCGUAGUCCUUUUAAAAUAGUACAAGAAUGAAACACAACCGAUAUUUGUUAGUAUGGAAGUGGGAAAAGUUUUAGUUCUGCAUGUUAUAUUUUUUUUCUCUUAUUUUGUAUAUCUUUCUACAUUAACGUGGUAUAUUAUAAUAUAAAGGUAUUUACUUAACAAAUAUUAUUUUUUUUCCAAACAAAAACCUCUUCAUUCAAAUAUAGUCCUCCAUGAGUUAAACUGGACAUGAUCAUCUAUGCUAGUAGAUUAAGCUAUUGUUUUGUUAAUAUGACAUAAGGUCUUCUUAAUUUUGUUUACCAAUACUUGUAUUUUGUUUUUGAUUUCUGUAUGUAGGUUUGAGUUUGACAAGGCCUUGUCAACCAAUGAGUAUUAAACUAUGAAAUCAUAUAGGACAAGAUACAAUACCAAGAGCCUUCUUGUCAUUCCAUUGUAUGUAAGAUUCAACACCAAAUGCUUCUUCAUUUAAAAAUACCAAAAGAUAAGAAGAGAAAAUGAAAAGCGAUUCUUUCUAAUUGGGUUAUGGCCAAGGACAUGAAUGUGAUGCUUUUGUAAGGAAGGGCAUCAUGGUAAUUAAACCCUCGUUAUGUCUAUCUUCUGCUAUAUUACCAUCAUCAAGCUUAGAACUUCAGAGAGAAAAACACUCUGUCUCUGUCUUCCUCUGUUUCCAUCUCUCUUGUGUUUUCCAGCUUAGACAGAGGGAGCUACUUCUUCUUCAAAACCCAAGAAGGUCAAAGAACCUCUGAUUCUCCUUAUUCUGAGUGAUGGGUGUGAGCAGCCGUUGUUCCCACACUUCCCACAUCACUGAAAUCAUCAUCACCAGCUUCUUUCGCCACAAGCCAUAAGCUUCUUUUUUCCGGCUUCGGAUCAUCAUCGUCUCAAACCAGGCUUGUGAUGUCAGAUUAAAUUUUCUUAAAAACUAAUAUUGAACUAAAGCAAAUUUGAAAGAGUAAACAUGGCCGGCGGUGGGAGGGUCUAUAAUAGUAGCGGUGGUGCUUCGUUUUUGCUUCGGAAUCAGAGAGGUUCUUCCGCUUCCGAGCCUCUCGAUUCUCUUUUCCUUUCUGGGUCCUCUAAUGCUUCCUCUACUUCUCCUUUUCUCGGUACUUCCUCAGUCCUUAAUCCUUAUUUUCAACUUGCUUACUCUGUUUUGUCUUUCUUGAUUGAUUGGUUAGUUUGUAUAUGAAUGAAGAAAGGUUUGAAUUUACGUGGUUUGGGCUCUUGUUAAUGUUUUGUGCCUACUAGGAUCACUAUGAUCAGAAUUUUAUAUGAACUAGCAAGAAAUGAGUGUAUAUCUAAUUUACAUGUUAUGUUAUAUUCAGGUUCAUCCAUGGUGAGUUUCGAAGAUGUUCGUGGAGGAAAUGGAUUGAAGAGGUCCAUGUUCCACCAAUACGAGCACGAAGACAAUUGUGAUGAGGAAUUUGAUGACUACUUCCAUCAACCUGGAAAGAAGAGACGGCUUACUGCUGAUCAAGUCCAGUUCCUCGAGAAAAGCUUUGACUUGGAAAACAAGCUUGAACCAGAAAGGAAGAUCCUGCUUGCAAAAGACCUUGGCUUGCAGCCUCGGCAGGUUGCGAUUUGGUUCCAAAACCGCCGCGCAAGGUGGAAGACUAAGCAGCUGGAGAAGGACUAUGAUGUUUUGCAAGCCAACUAUAAUAGUCUCAAGGCGGAUUGCGAUAGCCUUUGUAAAGAAAAUGAUAAACUCAAAGCUGAGGUAGACAUUUGUGAGCUCUAAUUUUCACUGCCUUUUUGUGUGUACAUUUAUAUCUGUUUUGCUUAUUAGUGUGAAUUGUUUCUCUAGGUUCUUCUGCUCUCGGAGAGGCUGCAGCUCAAAGAUAAAGAGAGGGCAAACUCAGAACAAUCGGAUACAAACAAAUCACAUCAAGAACCACAGCAGAUGCCAAUCGCUGAAUCUGUCUCCUCGGAAGGUGAAGUAUCCAAACUCUCAGUUGUGGCAUGUAAGGAAGAUCUUAGCUCAGUCAAGAGUGAUAUAUUUGAUUCGGAUAGCCCACAUUACACUGAUGGGGUUCACUCUUCUCUCUUAGAGCGUGGUGAUUCUUCAUAUAUAUUUGAACCAGAUCAGUCUGAUCUUUCCCAAGAUGAAGAAGAUAACUUGAGCAAGAGCCUGUUGCCAACAUACAUCUUUCCGAAGCUUGAAGAUGUCGAUUACACAGACCCUCCUGCAAAUUCAUGUAAUUUCGGGUUCCCUGUGGAAGAUCAAGCCUUUUGGUCCUGGUCUUACUAGGAUUUUCUUGGUAUAUACAAUUCCUGCGUCAUCGUGUUCUUAUCUGAUAGUAUGGCAUAUGAGUGAGAGAAUAAGUAAUGAAUCCAAGAUGCAUCAAUGGCACACUCCAAUUCAGAUGUGGUGGUGGUUUUAGGUUCCUGUUGGAAAAAAAAAUGGUAGUGUUUGCCCCAUUGGGGUCUCUAGUGUUUCAUGUACCAGUUUUGUAAGAAAGUGUAAUUAAAUAAAAAUUCUCUUUUAUGUAAAGCAAAGCUUGAUGGAAAUGCAACUUCAUUUCAGCUCCAGACCUCCAUUGCUCAUUGUCUCAUUUCAUAUGCUCCCUUAAUCAACUGCCUUUCUGAUGCAAUUUUGUCAAUAAUGUUUAACCAAAGAAAACAGAAGGAACAUGUAGAUGAUUAGUAGUGUUCUUAAGCUGCAGCUUCUUCUAUGAUAUAGUUGGAUCUGGUCUGUAAUAUUGAAGCGGUGUCAUAUAUAUACAUACAAUCUCCUAGUUGACUUGCAUGGUGUUGCAAAUCUAGCUGCAUCAUUUUUUCUGUGUGAAGAUGAUGGAAGAAAGCAUCAAACAGGUAUUGCUCUUUUCCUUUCUUGUAUUGGGGGUCAACUUCAGCAUGGCUCACUCACAAUUUUGUUUCCUUUUUUUAGUUUCCCUUGUUUGGUGGAGGCCAAGAUCAUGUUUUGGCUUUUGUCCUGCACUCUUUGAAAUCUCAACCAUGCUAGCCAAUAUAAAUUCUCAAAAAAAUUCAGUUUCUUCUCUCCUGUCCAAAAUUAUUAUGCUUUUAAAAAAGAUUAGAAUCAUGUUAUUUACUAUAAAUAUUAGUCACUAAUCACAAUCGAAAAGGGUCCAUGAGAAGAGAAAGAAAACUAAACUUGGCAAGCAACCCCUCUCUAUCAAAUGAGAUGGUGAUUUCUUGCUUAUCUUGUUGAGGAUUACAAUCCUUGGCCAAAUUGCAUAGAAGGUAAAGUGUUUUAGAGGACUUGCUCUUGUGUGAUCAUUUUGGCAAAUAAGUAAUUUGGUUUUGUUGGCAACUACUUGUUGUGACACCAAAACUGGGUCUAUGCAAGCACAUCAAACGUGCAUUUCAUGUCAAGGUAAAGGUUUAUUUAACAUCUUAGAGUAAUAUUGAGGAGGAUGAUCGAACUCCUCCACAUGAUGAUACAUCUUUUUCUGUUCUGGUUUCAGAGUUCCCUCUUUACCAUCUUUUUCUUUCUUCUUUUACAUCCCUGGCCAAAUGAAUUAACAAGUGAUGAUUACCAUAUAUAACUAUAUAUCUGAAGCUGCAUGUCAAUUUUUGAUAGAUUCAUCAAGCAUUUUGAUAAUCACUGGCCAAACCAUCUCCAUCACGCGUGGUUUAACUGUUUAAGUUUGCAUGUCAUCCUGAAAUAGGAGACUCUCCAAUAAACUUCAAGUCAUUUGGUCAAGCCAUUAUAUAUAUUAAUCAAGGAUAUUUUAGUUCAUAAAUGAUUAUUAAACUAGCCAGAAUAUUGGAUCCCAACAUAUACGACUAGAUUUUCUAAACUUAUAUAACCAGAAACCUGAGUAAUAUUGGUCAGAUCAUAUCAUUUCGGUGUUUUGAAUUCAUUCUCAUUCAGUCAUUCUAUAUUCUUAACAAAUUUGUUUAAUGCACAAGGAUAUGAGUAAAUUGUUCAAACAAUACCCUUGUAAAGUUAACGGAGUUAAAGCCAUUAACGAUAGAGAAAUUCGUCUGAAUGGUAUACAAACUUUUACUCUUUAUAAACUUUAGUAUAUCAAGUUUUGAAAAUAUCAGAAUGAUAUCUCGUGUUUCUAUCCCGACCUAAGAUUGGUAUAUAUGGUCAUUAAGAUGACCAAUUUACCAUAAUUUCUCUUUUUUUUCUUAGUUUUUUUUUAUUUGUUUUCAUAUUCUAGAAAUAUUAGAAGAGGUUCUGGAAUUUGAUGAUUUGGGUUGACAUUUAUAAACUUGAAAAAGAUUGAAAAGGGGAAACAUACAGAAGUUCAAUUUUUAUUGUUUCCGCUGACACUCAAGGAUCUUGUUGUUGCUGUUAACAUUCAAGAAUGAUUGAGAUAAAGAAUUGAUUAUUAGCAAGGAGAAAGUGACGAUUAAUUUUUUCUCUACGUUCUUAAAAAUAUAAAAAGCCAAAAAAAGAAAAUUGGAAUAUGAAAAAGAAGAAGAAGAGAAUUUAAGGGUAAAUUGGUCAUCUUAUUUUUUUAGUUUGAGGGUAAAUUAGUCAUUUUAAUGACUAUAUAUUCAAAUCUUAGAUCAUGAUAGAAACAUGAGAUAUCAAUCUGAUAUUUUUAAAACUUGAUAUACCAAAAUUUAUAAAGAGUAAAAAUUUAUAUAUCAUUUAUACAAAUUUCUCUUAACUAUAUCAGAUACCAAAAAUAGGUCGGUGUUAAAAGUUGAGAUACAAUUUUAAUAUUUAGUAAAAUUGAGUCAUCGAAGUUAAUAGUCGAGCAAAGUUGACAUACAAUUUCGACAAAUUUUCUCUAAAGAUAUUGAUAGGACUUAAAGAACGUUUGAUUUUAGUUUUUUUGUUUGACAAACAUUGAAAAUAUUUUGUAGCUUAUAUAUAUCCUGUGCCCUAGGGGCCUAGGGCAUAUACAGUUUGCCCACACGCUACAUGCUAGGUGUCUCUUCCUUCGAAUCACGAGGCACUCCAAAGAUUUUGUUACCGACCAUCCAUCUAUAAACUCGAGAAUUUGGGGCUUCGACAUAUGGUCACCACGUGGACGGCUUGGAUGAAAGCAUCGCCUUCACAGACCCCACUCCUGGAAUCUUCCAGCGCGAUUGGCCACACAAACGUCGCCGUCUUGACCCACGUGGCUGGCGGUCUAUCACCUGAUUGGAGUAUGAUCAGGUCAAAAACAAGGGCUAUUGUUUUAGCAGGCAAAUAUUAAAUACUAAAAAGUUUAGCCAUAGAUAAACAUCGGAAUGGAGGGUGGGUCCCAGAGAGCAUGGUGGACGCAUCUGUCCCCAAUCAAAGCUGAUGUCAUACGGGUCGGGUUGCUUUCUGUAGGCCCACAUCGCACGUGUCAAUGGGCCUAGCCUGAGUAGCCUCAUUUCUUCAAUAUUUAUCUUUAUUUAAAAAAAAAAAUUGGUGGAGGCUCCUUUGAGAAAAGAAUAUCAAAGCUAUAAAGCUAUCGAUUCUGUUAGACUGAUUUUUGUUGAAUUUCUUAUGCAUGUUCGGAUCAUCGUGUUUUAUUCAGUGUUGUGUUAUAUUAAUGUAAUCAUGCUUUUGUUUCGAUUAAUUGAGAUUCAUUGGUUGUUUGUUGCAUAAAAUCUAUUGAAAUAGACAUUAAAAGUUUUUUGUACUUUAACUACUGUCGGUGAGUCGUAACUUGGUUGGUUAAGGUGUUUAACUGACAACUUUAAGGUGAGUUAUUAAUAAACGUUUUUUUUAUUAAAAAAAAAAAACUACAAAAUGACAGGCAUUUCUUAAGAAAGAAAUACCUUAGAUUUUGUUAGAGGUUCAAAAGGUAACUUUUAUUUCGAGUACAAUUGAUUAAUAACCUGUUUAUUUUGAUCGUGGAUACCAUUCUUGUACAUGGAUUCUUUGAAAGUUGUAAGGCAUUUGGUGCGUACAACUCUCGAUUAAGCUCGAGGGAAGAUGAUAUUUUCACAAGAAACCCGGUAGUACUACUCUGCCACUUUCCGCCAAUUUGAUGAAACAAUGAGGUUUGUAUUGAUAUAUAAUGGGAGUUUCUUACAAAAUUCCAUGGUCCGUGGCAAGCAGAUAUUUGUAUGACGACAUCAACUUUAGAACCUGGAACCAUUAAUCCACAAAGGACCACAGUCGACCGAUCCAGGCGUAUGAGAGAAAACUAUUAGAUCACAAUCUUUACAGAACAAAUCAUUUAGGGUUUCGUUUUCAGAUCAGAAUUUGAAGUUGUCCUUCAAGUAUAACACCAUCACUUGCUGCGAGAAUUGGAACCGAAAAGCAAAAGAUAAGCAAGACCGAAUCUGAAGUUUGUUAUGGAAGAUAUAUAUGCCUCUGUCACAGAAGCAAGAAAACAAUGUAUUGUAGUUGGAAUGGAGUAAUUAGUACACAAAGGUAACUUACGAUCAAGCAAAGAAGAAUGCAUCCGGCCGCACCGGGGAAGAAAGCAUACCAAUAAUUCAGGUGAUGCAACUUUGCUGCGUCAAUGAAGAGUAUCGGCAAGCUUGCAGCUGCAUCAAUUGAGCAUAUACUGAGAAUCAAGUAAUGAGAAAGUUAGCACCAGCAACCACAUUUGAAGUAUUACCUGGCGGAUGCGUGGAACGUGUGAAGAUCAUGAAACCAAUGGAAGCAGCGAGGGCAAAACUCCGGGCAAGCCAUCCUGGCCCUAAUACAGAAAAUGCCAGUACCCCAAUGGCUGCACAACCAAUUUGUGCCAUGAACAUGUUGUACUUCUGUAACACCAUAUAGCAAAACAAAUACCUUAGCCUAGUGAUCAUUGUCUACAUUCUACAACUGCACUCUGUAUGUGUUAAGUUGGAAUUGGGCCUAUUAUCUCCAAAUAUAACGUUUUUUUCCUUAACAUUGGACUUCCAAAGCUAUUUUUACCAAAGAUUUCAAUAGAGUCUAUGGUUCGAAUCCAGCACGUAAAAAUAAUAUUACUCUCAGUCUCACAAUGGUAACUCACUGAACCACCAUUUAUAUUAUCUAAAAAAACGAUUUAGAGACUUACACAGCUACACUUAAAACGAUAUCAUCAGCAAUGGACGACUAACGUUUACUGUAGAGAAGACGAGAAAAGAGAACAUACCCGGGCACCUGGAGAGGUAGGAGUGGCAAAGAGGACAGCACAAACAGCUCCUAAAGGUGCAAUUGUCAUUGAAACUCCUUUGGGUGUUAGCAUCUCAUCCAUUCUCCCCAAUAUCGCCAUUGCUGCAAAUGCCCCUAUAUACCAAAAAUUCCUCGAUUUUAAUGGCUUUGAUUCUAAGGAAUUAUAAGCAUUUAUUUCCACCAAUUACAGGUAAACACAAGACUAACCUGCAGAAGGCCACAGAACGUCGCUGAGGGAAGGAGCAGAAGAAGCCUUGUCAGGUUUCCAAGUCUCCCAAAGCGGCGCACCCACGUUGCUUGAGGCCACAAUCCCAUAAUUGCGAUAACUACUGCUUCUUCCUUUGGUCGUUCUGAUUACGCUUCCGUCGCUCAAGUUCUUCUGAAAUCGGAAUAAAAUUGAAGAAGAAGAAGAAGAAAAGGGGCGUAAAGACGUAGAGACUGCCGGAGCUGCAGAAGCACUGUGAUGAAGGAGAUGAUUGUGGUAGCCAAUCCUCAUUUGCAUGCCCAUUUCUCCAGCUUCUCCGCCGGCCGCCGCUUCUCUUUCUCUGUGUUGUCUAGUAGUUCCCGGUAGAUAUGGUUGAUAUCUUAGAGAUGGAGGGUUAGGGUUGACAAACGAGGUGGUCUUUUGGUGAGGUCGAAGAGACGUUGAUGAGGGCCAUUUUAGCACACAGGCUUGCAUAUCUUUCAAUUACAGAUAACAUUCCUAGUAGAGCGUGACAUGAUACGAACAUUGUUUUUGAUAGAAAUUCACAUGUAUUAGAGGCUUAGAGCAUGAUACACAUAGCAUUAUUCGCUCUAUAGUCACUUAAUUUCCCACUAGCCCACCUAUUGUGGAAUAUUGUAUUGAAUAAAGUGUUGAUUUGGGACAUAUGAUACAAGAAGACACCGACAAUAUACAUGUCAGCUAUUUUAAGAAUACAUUUGUCAUGCAACAUGUUAUUUACAUACAGAAUACAUAGAAUGUUUAGAUUUUUUCGUAACUAUUUUAAGAAUUAAAAUAUAUCGAUUCAUCCAAUGUGAAGUUUACGUCAUUAGAUUAACUUCUUGUGCGUAUAUAACGUCAUUUUUCAUUUCACGUAUUCAAAAAUGAAAGACUAUUUUGACAUUCCUAAAUUGUUAGUAAAAUAUGAAAUUUAAGAAUGACUUGUGGAAAUUUACAAGAACAACUUCUGUAAGUCAAGAAGCCAUGAUUUAUACAAACACCUCAGUUUAGAACUGGCAUCACUCACUACACAAUACAACAAGAUGUUAAACAAAAGUUGAAAACAAAUCAGUGGGCUUUUUAUUGGGCCUCUUCACACCACCACCAAAGGAACCAGUUGGGCUUAUCAUAAAGAGAGAUACUUGGGCUUCAUGGGGGAACAAAGGAUCCAUCAACAACCAAAUCAUGCCCAGAAACAAACUCAGAAUCAUCACUCGCAAGAAACAGCACCGCCUUCGCCACAUGCUCCGCCUUGAGCGCCACUCCUCUCAGCCGCGCGAACUUCUCAUAUACUUUCUGAAGCUCCGCCAUCUCCAUCCCACUCGCCUUGCACGUCAGCGGCGUCGCCAUCCCAUUCGGUGAGACGCAGUUCACCCUAAUCCCAUGCACCCCCAGCUGCAAGCUCGCCGACCUCAUCAGCCCCAACACGGCAUGCUUCGACAUGCAGUAGUCCGUGUCCUUUGACAUCCCGUGGUUGGCUCCCACGCUCGCCGUGCACACUAUGCUCCCCCUCACGCGCCCCUCCACCAUCACACGCGCCGCGUGCUUCACGCACGACGCCAUGCCGCGCACGUUCACGUCGAACAAACGGUCAAAGGCUGUAAUGUCAAAGUCAAGAACGGUCUGCUUUUCGCUGCUCAUUAUCCCGGCGUUGCUGAACAUGAUGUCGAGAUGUCCGAAUUUAUUGACCGUUGCUUCUACCAUGGACUUCACUUGUCCUUCAUCGGCAACGUUACAAUGCACGUAACUGCAUCUGUGGUUGCCGAUGGACUCGGCUAGUUGGCAGCCGAGAUUGUCUUGGAUGUCCGCGAUUACUACCAUGGAAGCUCCAUUAUCGGCGAAGAGGCGGGCCGUGGCCUCGCCAAUGCCGCUUGCACCGCCGGUGACUAUGGCUACUUUGCCUUGUAAUUUGUUACUCAUGUCGAGGGGUUGAUGGAAUUAUUGUAAAACUAUAUGUGUGGUGGUGGAGUAGACUUCAGAAUAUAUAAGACUACACUUCCCCAAUAAAAGAACGUUUACUCAAGACUUGGGAGCAAGCUAGGUCCUUCUUUUCUGUCAGUCAACUAUGACCCUUUGUUAUGGACAAGUAGCUGAUAAAUUCACCAAAAUUAAAGAAUCGGCCAGUUGAUAAAUGAUAAUUCAUAUAUGAAUGUCAUCAUAACUUAAAAGGAUCGGGGUCGGAGAAGCUACUUGCAGUGAGAUCGAUACUCAUUGGCCAGGUCUUUUAGUUGAUGAUUAUUAUUAUUAUUUUUUUUAAUUUAUAAAAAAGAUUACAACAAAAACCCUCGUGCUACACCACUCCAGAAAAAUCAAGUUGGAAGGCAGGAGACGAGGACAAAGGAAGAGAGUACAUUCAGACAGAUUGGUUAGCCAGUAUAUGCCCUAGAGAGCCUAAACUAUUUAGUUGAUGAUUAUUGCUAUCAUAUAGCUUAUAAGAAAGUUGCAGUAAGAUACUCACCGGCCAUGUCAUUUAGUGAAUGGAUACCUCAAUCGGUUAGCCAGUUUUGAUUCCCAGUAUUAAAGCCAAUGUUGAUUAUGUAUAGCAAAACUGUAACAGUCACAAUUGAAUAGACAGUUUUGUAUUUAGUUAUUAUAUCAAUUACUAAUUAGAGAGUCCAAGUAAUAUGUUCACAUAUCAAAACCUUAUGAUGAUACCAAUAGAUAAAUGAUUUAAACUGAUGUCAUAGUACGUAUAUAUCAUCAUGUACAGUGUAGAAUUAUUUCGGGUUAAUUUAGAAUAUUCUGCUAAUUAAAUGUUGUUUUGUUCUGAAAUUCUAAUACAUUAACCAGGCAAGGGAUGUAAAUCUUAUGAUGCAACUGUACUGGAUCUAUCCAAUUCACAAGUAGUUUUCCACAGCAGGAAAAAAGACAGAGGAGAAAACAGAAAAGAAAGAAGCUAGGUUUAUUUCGUAACGCAUAUAUGGCCGCAUGAGUACGUGCCUAUUCGUUUGCGCGCGAUUCAUCAAGGUUGAGGACUUGAGGUGAACUGGUAUAUCAACUUUUCUGGCCACCGUCUACAACACCUUCUACGACCAGAUUGUGACCGGAUAUAAACUGAGAGUCCUCAGAAGCCAGAAACACGACUGCGUUUGCCACAUGCUCCGGCGACAUAAACUCUUUCCCUCCAUCUAUCCCUAACGACGCCGUAAACUUGGUCAUCUGCUCUACAUCUUUGAAGUUAACCAAGGAGUCUGUGAUUGGCGUCUGAACAGUUCCCGGCGACACGCAGUUGACGCGUAUCCCGUACGCGCCGAGCUGGAUACUCGCCGACCUCAUCAGCCCCAAAAUGGUGUGUUUUGACAUGGUGUAGUCUGUGAACCACUUUAAUCCAAUAGUCGCCACAACGCUCGCCGUGCAUAUAACGCUCCCCCUAACUCCACCUUCCACCAUGGCUCGCGCGGCGUGCUUCACACACGCCGCCAUCCCACGUACGUUGACCACCAUGAGCUUGUCGUACUCUGAUAACUCAAACUCCAGCACGGUCUGCAUCGACGAGCAGAAUAUUCCGGCGUUGCUGAACAUGAUGUCCAGGCGACCGUGCAUCUGGACCGUUGAAUCGACCAGGCUCUUCACUUGUUCCUCGUCUGUGACGUCGCAGUGGAUGAAGUUGCAGUGAGGACCGAUCGAAGCGGCGACGUCCUGGCCUUUCUGGUCUUGGACGUCGGCGAUGACUACCGCACGGGCACCAUGCAACGCAAAUUUUCGUGCGGUGGCUUCGCCAAUGCCGCUGGCGCCACCGGUGACUAUUGCCACCUUGUCGUGAAGCUUCUUCUUGAGUUCUGUCAUUUCUUGUGAAAUUGGAAUCUAUAUAGCCUUCUGUAACUUUGGUGCUUGCUUUAAUAGGAGUGCUGAGUGCAUAGGCCGGCCUCUCAAAAUAAUACCACAGAUGCCUCAAGAAAGCCACUGGCCACUGGGGAUUAUUAUUUCGUUUUUGGCUAUUUAAAUUUGAUGGUACGUUACAACGUUUGGAUCGAAGCAUAAGCUAUGAAGAAGAAGAUGCUAUAUUGCUGUUGUUAUUUUCGUUUUUGUGUACUCAAAAUAUUUGACAAUCUGUUUGGAUUACUGUUUAUUUUUUAAUAAGCAAUAAAGAGAGGAAGAUGAUAGGUUAAUGGAGACCGAUCAUUUCUAGUAUCUUAUAUCUUCGCUUCCGGCUCCACUGCAUGCAGCAUAAGUAUGUUUUUGUCAAUAAAUAAUUCAUAUAAAAUAAGUAAUUUAUUUUGAGUCGUACUUAUGACUUAUAUAUAUACCAAACUAUAUUAAGGGCAAUACACGUAGUUUUAAUAAGAAAAAUGAUUGUAGGCCAAAAUUUGUAUCGUCAAUCUGCUGUACUUGUCAUGACAUGUAUAACUUAAGCACAUCAUUUAUUUUACUUCCAUAAUCUAAUGACUAUGAAAUUGUGCAGUCAACUAUUGUCAUGUAAUAGCUGUAAUAGCUAAAAAAGACAAUCUUAAUCAUUCCAUAAUCUAAUAAUGAUUAUAAAUUAUUUUAGAAGUUUUAGCAGUACCGGUACCCCAACUCUUGUGACACGGUCAAAAUGAUACCCAGAUUUUAAAAACUAUUAAUUAAUGUAAUCCACACAAAAUAGAGAUAUGAAAUCCACACUCUCCAAAUUAUAAUUCACACACCUAUUUUCUAUUUUUAGUCAUUAUUUUCAUAAGAAGACAAAAGUUAAGUUAUUAAAGACAAAAUUUAAGUUACCACAAAUAAAAAGUGAGAGUGUGAAUUACAAUUUAAACCAUGCCGUCACCAUCAUUGCACACAUCAACCCAACAAGGCACGACACCAACAUCACAAGAAACAAGACCCCAACACCACAUGCAAUCAGUCCCUUAUCGAGAGAGAAAGAUCCCUUAUCGAAUCUUCCUCAAUCAAUGAAUCCAACAACGACUGUAUCGAACCACCCGUUCACAUUGACAUGGCAACCACGAGCUAGCAACACCAGCCCACCAGACCAAAAUCCCAUGGACCGUAGUCCCGCUAAGAGGCGGAUCCGACCUCACCAAGCCUAACUUGUCGCCUUAACAAAAGCAAGCUCUGCCAUCAGUCGCUAGGAAAGCAAGAAAGAGGAAGCUCCACUCCCUUUCCUUUCGGCUAAAGUAUUUGGAAGCCUGCAAACAUUUGAUAGUCGGGCCUCUUGAUGAUUAAGAGUCUAGAUGCUGACACUUUUUACCAAUGUCUUAUGGGUCACGCAUGUCCCUAGCAUUUACCAACCGAACCGGGAUCCUCUCCUCAUAAAAAGUUCCUGAUAUUUCCUCAUAAAGAAAUCCUGACCAUCUAUUGUUAAUCAAUGGCGCAGAUCACUUCUAUCUAACUUAAACCUAUUUCUCAUAUGUUUCAUCUCAUUCUCCCUCUCGACCUAUUUCUCGUUCUUCUUCCUCACUAAAACCCAAAGACCUCACUCCAGCGUUUCCGGCGACCUCCGCGUCGCGGCUCCAACGUCCUCCAUCGAAACUCCAAGAGAUAAGUGGACCGCUUCUGAGUGAAAGAUCCUGUAUUGUGCAAAGCUUGUUUCCCGCAUUGAAGGGCCUUGGAUUCGAAAUAGGGGUAAUCUAAAGUGGUUGGAGAAAUUUGAGUUUACAAAAAGUGGGGAGUAAAUAAUUGAUUUGGAAAGAAAAGGUGGAGAUGGCUGCAAAACUUUUGCAUUGUUUAGCUGAUGACUACCCAAAUUUGCAGAAGAAAAUAGGAUGCAUGAAUGGGAAUUUCCAAAUUUUUGAUAUGACACAAAGUCAUCACUCUGGUAGGAGGAUUAGCCACCACAACAGGUUUCCUCCAGUUAAUUUCCUAGUGACGAAUUCAUUUCAAACUGCUCUAGCCCUUAGUUCCUUAUGGCUCAAUCACCAACCCUGUCACUAAUUAUAGAUUUGUCUAUAUGUUCUUGUUGUCAGAUUAGAUAAGAGUCAUAAGACUCAUAGGAGUUGGUAUUGCAUCUCUAAGUACAUACCUUGCGCACUUCAGCUUUGGUUUGUUCUUCAAUUUUCAGUUUUGGUUUAUUCCUCAGCAAUUCGUUCUCUGCAAGAGGAGAGAGAGAGAGAGAGAGAGAGAGAGAGAGAGAGAGAGAGAGAGAGAGAGAGAGAGAGAGAGAGAGAGNNNNNNNNNNNNNNNNNNNNGAGAGAGAGAGAGAUGGGAGACGAGAAUUUGAGCAGAGAAGGAGAUGGCCCAAAAUAUCACCUAAAAUAAUCUAAGAGAAAUCAUGACCAUCUGUUAAAUAUUGAAUGGCUCAGAUCCAUUCAUGAGGCAAUAUUAGGCAACCUCUCAUUAGGAGAGGAUCCGGGUUCUUACCAACCUACCAAUAACGGACUUGUUAAUGUUGAAGCUCUAACUUGGGUGGUGGUUUCACUCAAGUAAAUGUCUUUCCAUUCCUGCCAGCCCUCAUUGUCUCCAUUCCCCUUUCUUAGUUGCAAGUCUUACCGGCGAUAAGGGAAGCACCACACCGCAUCCAACCUUAGUACGUCUCUCAAGAGAAAACUAUUCAUGUUUUUCUUUUAAUAAAUUUGUAUCAAUAAUAUUAACAAUAUUAUUCAAAUAACAAAUUCACCACCAACAUUAUAGAUUUGUAAUAGCAACUUUAACAGAUUUUCUAUUUUAGCUUUUAGCUAUUUUAGAGAGCGUGUUUAGCUUUUUUGGAUGUUUUAGAAGCUCUAGCAGACUAGCCAAACUUUAGCUAUUUUAACUUUUAGCUAUCUCCUAGCUAUAUUUAGCUAGCGAGAUGACUCAAAUGAGGCUAGCUAUAAUUUAAUACAUUUCUUGUAAGAUAUUUUAUGUGAUAUAUAAAUAUAUUUAAAUUAUUUAAUUUCUAUUUGAAGAAUAAUGUUGAUGUAAUGCUAGCUAAAAUAGAGAGCAUUGAUGUAGCCACAUUUCUAAAACGGCUAACUAAAAUGACAUUUUAGCUGCUAAUUUGAUUAAAAUUUAACUUAAAAUGGCUACCAUUGUUAAUGAGACUAAUGAGACACCUAGCUACGUACUAAUGAGACUAGUUAAAUUUGCUUUGAAAUUAAUCAAUCGAUUGCGAGGAGAAAUACACCGCCAUCAGAAUUUUUAAACAGUGGAUCGGAGUAAAUGCUCGGAAAUAGAUGACAAUUGCAGUAACUCACGCAAGAAAAGACAGACAUGCCAUUGUCAGAAGAAAACAAAUAUGCAUAAACAGAAAAUUUUGAAAUUUUUAGUAAGACUGUAUACAACGAGAAUACUUCUAACUUCUUGGUCAUAUAUGAAGAAGAUGAGGUACGUAGACAACAAACUAUUAAACAAAGAGAUGUCCCUAUAAUUAGUCUAAGAAGAACCAGUCUAUUGAAACAAGACUAACUCAAACCCAAGACCAAAUCGUUGGGGAGAACGGAGAACCAUUACCGGAAUGAAUGAAAUAAAAGAGAAAGAAAAAGACUUAGACCGGAAAUUAAAAACAAUUUCAAUUAAUUUCAUAACAAGUAAUAAUCAAUCCAAUCCAGCUUUAUUUUCGAAGUAUAUAGGACGUGUGAGUUUAUAAUGAAAAAGUUAUAAAAAAAAAAAAGCUUUAUUUUCGAACGUGCAUGCAUGCUGAAACUGAUCGAUCAUGAACACUUGUGGCGAUCUAUCUUAUGUUUUGAAUCCACCGUCGAGGACCAAAUUAUGGCCACUCACGAACUGAGAUUCCUCGGAAGCUAAGUAGACGACGGCGCUGGCCACAUGCUCCGGAAUCAUCAACUCUUUGCCUCCCUUCAACCCUAGCGUCGACUUCAGCUUAUCUACCUCUUCCUGACUCUGAAACUGAAAAUUAGAGGUGUUCAUGAUCGGCGUCAUCGUCGGCCCCGGAGAUACGCAGUUCACGCGUAUCCCGUGCGUCCCGAGCUGUAUACUCGCGCACCUCACCAGCCCCAAAAUGGCGUGCUUUGACAUCGUGUAGUCGGUGAAGAUUUCCGUCCCGUUAGUCGCCCCGACGCUUGCCGUGCAUAUCACGCUCCCCCUCACUCCGCCUUCCACCAUGGCCUUGGCCGCGUGCUUCACACACGCUGCCGUCCCUCGUACGUUGACCGCCAUCAGCCUGUCGUAGUCGGACAAGUCAAGGUCCAGAACCUCCUGCUUGGUUUUGCUGAGUAUUCCGGCGUUGCUGAACAUGAUGUCCAGGCAGCCGUGCGUCAGGACUGUUGACUUGACCAGGCUCUUGACCUGGUCCUCGUCGCUCACGUCGCAGCGGAUGUAGCUGCAUUGAGCGCCGAUGGAAGCCGCGACGUCCUGGCCCUUCUCGUCCUGGACGUCCGCAAUCACUACUGCGCGCGCACCAUGCAAAGCAAAGAGGCGUGCAGUGGCUUCACCGAUGCCACUAGCGCCACCGGUGACUAUUGCCACCUUGUCUUGAAGCUUCUUCGUGAGCGUGAGGUUUGCCAUUUUCCGUUUAUUGGGAUAUCUCUGCUUGUUUGAUAAGAUGAGAUUUUUUGUGCAAUGUGUGAAUUCUUGAACGCUAGCUACGUUGCCUUUUAUAGUCGAGCUUGCAUUGAUAGUGGCUAUGGAAUAUGGCUAAUUUUUUUUUAAUCAUGGUCUAAAAUAACUAAAUUCGAUUAAUCAAAAUCAUACAAUUAACUAUCGAUAUACUCAAUGUGGUCUUCUAUACUAUUGUUUAGAAACAUACGAUUAUGUCAAACUAUAGACCAUAACAACUCUUAUGUGUUUGACAUAUUUUCUAGUGUCAUUUGGAUUAUAAACUUCCAACUAACAUGUACAAUAAUAUUAAAGCAAAAUUCUAGCUGCUAGCGUCUAAAUAACAGUGAGCUUCAAGCAAGGCUGCUGGUUUCAUUGAUCUAAAUUGAAAUUAUAAUUGAACUUUAUGUGACCAUUUUUCGAUUGGUAUUGGUUGGUACGUUGGAGGUGGAUUUCAAAUUGGUCCAAGAUUAUCUUUGCUCUCCUUUAGCAGCUUAUGCUUUUGAUCGGUCACUAACUGCUAUCGUAUCAUAUAUACUUCUCAAAUGCAUCUUAAAGCUUCUUACAACUCGUCUGCUUUGAUCAGAUGAUGAGAUAUAUAUGUUUAGUGAAAUUAUUUCUUCUUUUCACAAGAAUGAUGUGGAGUAGUAGCAUGCAAAACUAUUUUUUAAACUAGAUUUGUUGAUUAAAAGUCUUAGAUUGGUUUCGUUGCCUUUCUUCGGCUGUUUCCUUUUGUUGUGCACAUCAGUAGCAACAAUUCUAUAUUGAUUAGACAUCCUUUCUCAGUCGAGGUUUCGAUUAUAAAAGAAGAAGAAAAAGAAGAAAUUCACAGUACGUUGUUGCCACCGUUGUUAUCUCCAAAGUCAAUCUGUUCAGAUAGUUGGAUUCAAACUAUAACUUAGACGCAACCAUUAGUUAUAUCCUUGACUCGGCACUUAGAGAUUAGCAGUGUUGAUAAACUCGUCUGUUUUAUACUUAAUUAGAGAUUAGCAUUUUAUAAACUGUCUGAUUAGCACUUAGAGACUACCAUAUUUCUGAUUGAUAGAGUGGGAAUGUACAACAUGCAUAUUCAAAAUAUGCAGGUAUUAUCUUAGUACGUAUAAUGUCAUCAGAGGAAGAAAAACUAGAUGAUAACACAUGAGGAUCUAUUAUUUAAAGUUUUAGUUCUUCCUUAACCAAUUGUUUACGUAAAAUAUCAUAUCUAUCGUUGAUCUUGUAGUUGACUAAACUCGCAGAUACCAAGCAACCUCAAGAUUCUUUCAACAUAUUAAACUAGAAACUAUGUAAUUUAGUGAUCAAUGAUCGCCAAUGCACAACACGUACAGAAUUUCAUGAUGCGAAAUUAUGGACUCGUUUUCGAAAACGGAGAUUAUUCCACACUUUCUUCAUAAUCGUCAAAAGCCGUGCAAUAACCUUUUGGAAUGCAUCUUGAGACGCAACUCGUGUCGUCGGCAAAUAGGUCAUUGCAAGGCUUAUUAAGAUCAGCUAGACACAACUCGUGUCGUGGUCAUCAAAGAGGUCAUUACACGGUUUAUUAAGAUCUAGUUAGCCGAUCGUUAAUUUAGGUGUAUUUGGAAUUGGAAAGGAGACUAAGAUGCAAUUACCAUGUAACAUAUGCAUCUUUGACUCGAAUUGUUUAAGGACGAACGAACCCCAGUUUGAUUUGGCCGGCCGGGUAUAAUCCGUUUGUCAAUCAAUUACAACAUUUAGUUUAGUUUGCUCAAGUAAUUAGACAAUCUUGCAUUCCAAUACGAACAACGCGUACGGUAGCUAGCUAGGCUGCAUUGUCAAGGACGUACAAAGACUUUGGGGGAUUUAGAUACAAACAAUAUAAUGUCAAUGAGACAUAGCGAUAAGCUAGGUUUGGCAAAAGACAAUUGUAGCGUUUGAUAGAAACCCCAGAUAACCCAACUUAUACAAUGUUAUUAGAUUAGGAGGAAGUAGAGCGGCUACCUUAAUUUUGGAUAGCUCCUGUUGUAGUAGGAGACACUAGGAGUUACAGUCUGCUACUAGAGUCUGGAACCAAUUACUGUACUUAUUCCUAUUUCCUAAUUACCCUUUUCCAACGGCGACGUCUUGUGGCAUCUUAUCAUGCAUCUAGACGUUGGACCAUGAGUGCGGCAUUGUCUUAAUAUGCAUUUGGUGGUUUGGUUGCUGUACGUCACAGUGGGUUGCGUUAUUUGUGUAAUUAACUAGUUUUAAGAAACUUGAUUUCUUUGCUUCUAGCUAGUGUCUGCAGAGUGCAAUUUGCAUUCAUGAUCUUUAAAGAAGAGGAUUAGAGAGUAUACUAUCCAUGGACUUUAGGAGUGCGCUUAAAUAUCGAAGAAGGGUGUGUUUUAGGUAUUACUGUGGGUUGUCAUCAAACUCUGGGGUUAGCAAAGUGGAAUUUGUCAAAUAGCGACAAACGUGGCUCUUGGUACAAUUAGGAAUAACUCACCCACUUAUGAGUUAUAUUUUCUUUGUCACUUUUCCAAUGUGGGAUCUCUUAUCUUCAACACUCCCCCUCACGUGCAGACUUAAAAGACGUGCAACCUAACUUUUAGGUCUGCACAUGAAACUGAUUAACAAACUGAACCCGGGUCUCAUGAUAACCGAAAGAACCCCAAACUCUUAAUGACAACUGAAAAAACCUUAAACUCGAAAGAACCAAACCAGGGCCAUGACCCCUGAAAGAACCAACCCAGACUCAUUGGAGAUGCAACUGGCAGGUAAGGACCCGCUUUGAUACCAUGUCAAACAGCGACAAACGUGGCCCGUGGAUCAUCCUUGUACCUAUACUGUCCCAAUUUAACCACCUUUAAAGUGUUGGGUUUUAAUCAUAAAAGACAUCGGUACAAUUAGAAAUGAUCCAUUCACUUAUAAGUUAUAUUUUAUUUAUCAUUUUCCAAUGUGGGAUCUCUCCUCUCCAAUACUCCCCCUCACGUGCAACCUAACUUUUAGGUCUACACGUGAAACUGAUUAACAAACUGAACCUGGGCCCCAUGAUAACCGAAAGAAUCCCAAACUCCCCAUGACAACUGAAAGAACCUAAAACUUGAAAGAACUAAACCAGGGCCAUGACCCCUGAAAAAACCAACCCGGACUCAUUGGAGACGCAACUGGAGAGGAACCCGCUCUGAUACCAUGUCAAACAGCGACAAGCGUGGCCCGUUGAUCAUUUGUGUACCGAUACUGUCCUAACUUAACCACCUUUAAGGUGUUCAGUUUUAAUCACAAAAAGGUCUCGGUACAAUUAGGAAUGACUCACCCACUUAUGAGUUAUAUUUUCUUUGUCACUUUUCCGAUGUGGGAUCUCUCAUCUCCAACACUCCCCCUCACGUGCAACCUAACUUUUAGGUCUACACGUGAAACUGAUUAACAAACUGAACCUGGGCCCCAUGAUAACCGAAAGAAUCUUAAACUCGAAAGAACUAAACCAGGGCUAUGACCCCUGAAAGAACCAACCCGGGCUCAUUGGAGAUGCAUCUGGAGAGGGACCCGCUCUGAUACCAUGUCAAACAACGACAAGCGUGGCCUGUGGAUCAUCCGUGUACAAAUAUUGUCUCAACUUAACCACCUUUAAAGUGUUGGGUUUUAAUCACAAAAGACCUCAGUAUAAUUAGGAAUGACUCACCCACUUAUGAGUUAUAUUUUUUUGAAUUAAAUUCAGUUUACCCUUAUGACGUUUGGGAGUAACGUUAUGUUAAUCCCUGUAUUUUCAAUUUCAUCAGUUUACCCCUCAAAUUUUUAAAUUUUCCUCAACCGUGACCAAUGUCCUAUCUUCUGUCAAAUCAGACGUUAACUGCUGAUAAUUUUAACCUUAACUGUUGGGUCUAUAUCUAGAAUUAACGAUAAAUUCAAACGGAAUAUGAGAAUUUGGGUACGGCAGCCGAAAUUGAAGAGUUCAGGGGGUAAACUGACGAAAUUAAAAGUAUAAGGGCUAACAUGAAGUCACCCCCAAACCACAAGGAGGUAAACUGAAUUUAAUUCUAUUUUUUUGUCACUUUUCCAAUGUGGGAUCUCUCCUCUCCAACACCCCCCCUCACGUGCAACCUACCUUUUAGGUCUGCACGUGAAACUGAUUAACAAACUGAAUCCGAGUCCCAUGAUUACCGAAAAAACCCCAAACUCCCAAUGACAACUGAAAAAACCCCAAACUCGAAAGAACCAAACCAAGGCCAUGACCCCUGAAAGAACCAACCCGGGCUCAUUGGAGAUGCAACUGAAAAGGGACCUGCUCUAAUAUUAUGUCACAUAACGAUAAGCGUGGCCCGUGAAUCAUCCUUGUACCGAUACUGUCCUAACUUAACCAUUUUUAAGGUGCCGGGUUUUAAUCACAAAAGACAUCGGUACAAUUAUGAAUGACUCACCCACUUAUGAGUUAUAUUUUCUUUGUCACUUUUCUAAUAUGGUAUCUCCCCUCUCCAACACAAUCAGCAUUGCUGUUCAUUAAAGAAGAGCAAGUUUAGUAUCUAUGGACGGUUAGUUUAUCACAGCGAUGAAAGUAACAACAUGAAUGAACGAUUGGUGAAACAAGUUGAGCAAAUUUUGAUUCAUUGACAAACAAAAACCGUGCAAAGCCAGCAGGUGCAAUGACUACCAAGACAAAAAUCCAGUUGGAAAGUUAUGUCAUUUACAAGCAUAUGCCCCCUAGAGAGGAGCAACGAGAACAUCACAUAAUCUACGGGGCAGCCUUUUCUUCGUACUCAACAAUGAUCUGAGUGGGAGUCGUAGAAAUCACUUGGGCAAGGUGACAUGACUUCUUGCUCUAGCAACUGUAAUACCUGAUUCAUUGAUGGCCUAUCAUCUGGAUUUGCAUCUGUGCACCUUGCAGCUAUUUCAAGAAUUGCUUCCACACUUUCGGGAUCUGCAUCUCUGCACCGCUUGUCAACAAAGUCUUUCAUUCGGUUCUCCCUCAAUAGCGUGUUCAUCUGCACAGGAAAGUUAAGUCUGAUUCCGAGUACAGAACAAGGCUCUAUUUUUUGGUCAAUUGACAAAUGAAGGAGAACUUACCCAACCAACUACAUUUAAGCCUUUCUGGACAAAUGUUGGAUCAGUAGGUCUCUUUCCAGUCACAAGCUCAAGCAAAAGAACUCCAAAGCUAUAUACAUCUGACUUCUGUGUUGCUCUCCCGCUUUGCAAAUACUCUGCAACAGUAGCAAAAACCAAUUAGUACAUGUUGCUAACUAAUUAUAAGAGAUGGUUAUUCUGUUUUUCAAUUUGUAACGUUCAAUGGUUAUUCUGUUUUUCAAUUUGUAACAUUCACCAAGAGGAUACUCGUACACAUACAAGAAUAAUAUGACACAAAAACAGACCUGGUGCAAGAUAGCCAAAAGUGCCAGCAACCACUGUGGUAACAUGGGCAUCCUCAUCAACCAAAAGCUUUGCAAGACCAAAGUCCGAGACAUGGGGCUCCAAGUUUUCAUCAAGCAGAAUGUUGCUAGAUUUUAUGUCACGGUGCACUAUCUUUGGACAGCAAUCAUGGUGUAGGUACGCUAUCCCUCUGGCAGAACCAAGAGCUAUUCUUAAACGGACACUCCAAUUCAGAGGUCGCUCUUCCUGCCCAUCUCCUGAAGAAGAGGUAGAAAAAGAAAAAAAAAAAUGUUCAAAGAUAAGCAUUCAAUCCUGAAGCAAACAUGUUGUGAAACAAAUAUUUACAUAUAGAAAGUCUUACCAUGCAAGAAAUCAUCUAAGCUCCCCAUAGCUACAUAAUCAUAUAUAAGAAGCUUUGAAGUAGGGAGCCUGCAGUAGCCUCGCAAGUUAACUAGAUUUAUAUGCUUAAUGCUACCCAAGAUCUCUAACUCCCUCUCGAAACAUUGAUCUGAUCCUUCCCGACUUCUGUCAAUUCUUUUUACAGCAAAUGUUCCACAAUCAUUCAUGACCAUUCGGUACACAGUGCCAAACCCUCCUGAUCCUACAACAUCCUCUUCAUCAAGUGACUCUAAUUUGUCAAUAAUCUCGCAUGAAGGGUAGGGCAGAUCUCCAUGGAAUGUGAUAAGUUUUGUGCCUGUUCAAUACAAUAUUUUCUCAGCAACCUUAUUACAGUUCCAACCUUAAUUGAUUGAAGUGGGGUAAAUGUCCCAAGUGGGGGUAAAUGACCCAAGUGGGGGCAUUAAGGUUGGAUUUGUAAACUGAGUUUAGGUUAAUAAUUGAUUGAAGACCAGAAAGCAUUCGGUUUACCUGCUUCUUGAUUCACUUGCUUUGUAACUUCUGUAUACUUCUUGGCCACUCUUUCCUUUUUCGAUAGUAACCGAGCCCAAAGGAAGCCAAGGAGAAUGAAGAGUGCAACUGCCAUGGUGGACAUGACACCAAUAAGCAAUCCCUUAAUGUAAUGUGAAGAUCGCUUGGGAGGGGCUACAAUAUCCACAGUAAAUGGACCAGAGUUAGUACAGCACAUUCUUACUUGGCACAGGUUCUCAAGUGACUAUAAGCAAAUGAUAUAGAAUCCUGAACUUACCUGCUGAUUCAUCACUUGCCGCAUGAGGCAACACAGCAGGAAAUCCCAGUGAGGUUCGACAGGGCUUGUGCACUUGUUGGCCACAAAGAUCAAGAUUCCCAAUAAACCUAUGCAUGUUGAAGCAAGUUCAGAAGAGAAUCAAUGGGGUGGACAACUAAAGACUAUGCACCUGUGCUUAAAAAUGGAAGACAGCAGGUAUUGAUGUUUCUAUUUACUGUACUACAUAUAGUGCACACCUGCUAUUUGAGAAAAGCAAAUUAAUGCAUAAGUUAUCAAUCCUAACUUCUCCACAAACUCAAAAGUUUCACAGCCUGGUCAUUCAAAAUUGGCCACUAGCUUACAUGAAUAUGCACAUAUGCCUAUUGUCUAAUUCUAACAAGCUUAAAACUAUAACCAACAUAUAUGGAAACCUGAAUGUGUGCAAUACAAAUUUUAUGAAUGAGUGAUGGGAUGAACAUAUGAAUACUUACGACUUAUUCCCAAAGUUGCUCAGAACUCCAACAUCUGGGAUUUCCCCGGAGAAGAAGUUAGUGGACAAGUUCCUAAGACAUACAAAAGCAAUGAAUCACUUAUGCUAUUGAGAGACCAUCUAAUGAAAAACUGAAGGGUAUAUAAUAAUAAUACCAUUAGGUACUAAGCUAUAAUUGGCACUUACAGAGAGCGGAGUCGUGAUAAGCGGCCGAUAGAUGAAGGUAUUGCACCCUUUAAUAAAUUACUUGAUAUAUCCCUGCAAAUUUAUAUUAAGUUCAUCAUACUGGAGAAACAACAAUUAAAUUAAUUGUAAAUAGCUCAAUCAGCAUUGGAUGACUGCCCUUGGUAAGUUGUAAGCUAUAGAGUGAGCAUUUAACUAUCAUCGAGUGUGUGGUGUGUGUGUGUGUGUGUGUGUGUGAAAACUUAGUAAACCUGACUAGACAAAGAAAAAACAAAAGUCUUACAAUAUGGUUAGAGCAGAAAGGUUUCCAAUAUCUGAUGGUAUGCCUCCUUGCAGAUAAUUAGCCCUCAAGUACCUAAUAGAAAGGACAGCCAAAAGUGAGUUCUAGUGUCAUACAAGCAGAUUCACAUGUUACAACUCAAACGAAAACUACAAAAGAGAAAGGAAUGAUUUUCUCUUACAAAGCUCUAAGCUCAGCACAUCUGGCAAUUUCAUUAGGAAUGAAUCCGUGUAAGCUGUUCUGGUGAAGCGCCCUGAUUCACAUUGUAAUACAAUAAUAUAAGCAAAAUUAGAAAAGUGCAGAACUUCUCAGUUAAAAUGGGUAUUCAAAUUAGACUCACAGUCUCUGCAAUCUACUGAGUUUGCCAAUGCUGGGAGAUAUAGUCCCUCCUAGUUCCAUAUAGGGUAGGUUACUGAAAAGAUCCCAAUACAUAAUCUUUGAGAAUGAGUGAAUCAGAGUAAAACUUAAAAGUGAGGAAAUAAAAAUGGGUUUGACAUACAUUGCGCUGACUCUUUGGUCCUGAGGAUGGCAAGAAAUACCAGUCCAAUUACAAGGUGAUUCAUCAGAAUCCUGCCAGUUACUGAGCAUGUUCCUACUGUCAUUCAAAACGCUUUUCAUUUCCAGCAGUAUAAGACCUGGAGCAAAAAGGUACAUCACUAAAUGAUCUAAUAAGAGAAGUAAAAUAUACAAAACCCCAAAUUUGAAACUUGAAAAAAACACAGAAAAGUAUAUCUAAGCACAUUAAAGAUACAAUCUUUAUAUGUAAAACAUCAAAAUCAAAAACCCAGCUCAACAAAAUGCAACUAUGACUACUGCAAGAUAACUUGUCAUCAUCAGCAGAUGAAAAAGAAGAAAGCUUUAACCCAAAAUGAGCAAAAGAAAUGAAUUGGGGAUUUGGUUUACCAUCUUGGGUGAGAGCAAGAGAACAAUGAGAGCAAACAGUUGCUGCUACAAUGACUGAGAGGACCCAAAACAGAACACCCUUCUUCAUUUUCUUGAAAAUGAGCUGUUUCUGAACUUGGUCUCUUCUUCACUGAACAAUGGGAGUGAAAGUAUUGAAGUUUGAAGUAUGAUGGCAACAGUGGGUUAGAGUGAAGCUGAAGCUGUGAUGGAGGUGGGGUACUACUUCCAUGAUAGAAAUAAAUUAAUCAUAAUUUUUGAAGCACGAAGAGAGAGACAGAGAUAGAGAGAGGAAAAGAUUGCUUUUUUCCUAUAACUUAUGUGCAGAGAGUGAAGGACAGACUUUUUGAAAUAUAGAAAGUUGUGCAUGGAAUAGCCGUUGUCUACCAAUUUCAAAAUAUUAACUCGUAGUUAUGGAAUUACAGCAAAAUAAGAACACCCAGAAGAAAAAAUGAAAAAUAGCUGAAGGUUGGUUUUCAUCUUUCAUUGUUUGGGUAGUUGAUGCAUUUCCUUGUUGCUGCUAUAAAAGAUCUCAGAAAAAAUUGGGUUUCACUGGAAAUAUUAGAGCAUUCUUCAGUUCUUGAGUAAUUGCAAAAUUUUUUUAACAUGUGGUCACUACUGGCUGGGUGCUCAGUGAGACAGAUGCUGAACGAUACAAACGGGACCCUACCGUACUUAUGGGUUUGGCUACGAUAAGUUUGGGCCGGUAAGUUUAUGUUGGUUUGAGAAGUGAUAUUGGGCCUGUGGGCAAUGAUAUGUGUUCUUUGAUGUUUAAAUAUUUUUGGUGGUUGAGUUGGUGUUGAUAUAAGAAACUAAAGUAAAAUGGGAAGAACUUUUUAUUAUGGAAUCAAAGAAUUCAAGUUGCAUGAUCAUACAAGGAUAUGAGAAAGUUUGGAACUAACCCAAAUGUUUUAGUGCAAGUAAUCAUGAUUAGGAGGAUUUACACCAACAACAAUUCAAAAUGAUAUGAUUGGGUGUAUCUUCCACUUGAUUCUACUUUCUUCUACAUUUUUCAGGGUUUUCUUUUUGAAGUGGGGUCUCAAUUUUAGGCUUUGUAUAUAUGAUGUUUUGGGCUAAACUGCAUUUCGUCGUUGAAUAUAGUAUUCAUUCAUUCCCUCUUAAUUUUAAGUAAAAUCAAAACAGCAUACAAUUGUUCAAGGUGACAUAUAUGAAUAGAAUUCAAAUGUGUUAUAAAAGAUACAUAUUAGCAAUACCGGUCACAACCAAGAAAGAAACUAAUUUACAAAUUGGUACAUUCAUUAUUUCUUUUUUCAAAUGAAACUACUUAAAAUUCCGAGAAAUACAAACAAUACUUAAAUUUUGCUAAUAGUGAUAUCAACAUUGUCAAUUGGCUUCGGAUGUGAAAGAUAAACCAUCCCUACAUCUGGAUUCAGCAACUUCCACCUGAGUUGUGACAACAAAAGUUCAUGAAUACCUAUACCAAUAUAUUUCCCUGUUAAAAAUAUACACUAUAUCAAGCAAAACUAUUAUUACGGUUCAUUUCCUUACUUGUAUCCAACAGACAAAUGAUGCAAUAAGAUUGCAAGUUGUAUCCUAACAAGCAUAUUUCCUGCACAAACUCUUGGUCCGCCACCAAAAACUUGGUAUGUUCCUGGUUUAGCUGGUUGCUGAGGCAAUCAAUUAAUUGAUGAGUAAAUCUAUGUUUAUUGAGUUUAGUUAUAUAAUUCUCUAAAUGAUGUGGACUUACAUCCCAUCUAUCUGGAUUAAAACACAUAGGAUUAUCGAAAUUUUCCGAGUUUGUGUGGAUAUAUCGAAUCCAAAGAAUCACUUUCCAACCCUUUGGUAUCCUAUAACCUACAAAAAUCAUAACGACCUUGAUUACAUACUUAUGAACUAAAAUUAAAGUUGCAUAAUGUAUAAUAUACUCGUUAAUUCCAACUACCUUUGUACUCGGCUUCCUUAGUAGCCAAACGGAAAAUGAACGCAGCAAGGUUUGCCAUUCUUAUCGUCUCUUCCACAACCUGUAUAUCUCAUUCAGUAUUUCUGAUCAGUAUUUUCUUAUUCUUGUUAAAACCCUGACAAGCAAACUUGGACUUAAUUAAUAUACACCUUGUUUGUGUAUUUCAUUUUUGAAAUAUCAUCGCUAGUAAUGAGAUCCCCUUUCUUCUUCUCACUUAAGCUCAUAUUCUCCUCCUGUAAGUACAUGAUGAGAAUCUCAAAGAUGAUAAAACUUAAUAAAUAUCAUUACUAAUUAGUUAGAUUGUUUUUCAGUGUUAGGAAAAUAUGGAUCGAUGUUGAUAUUUACCCGUAGCUUUUGGAGAACAUCGGGGUUUUUGGCAAGAAAAUAGAUAGCCCACAUUGAUGCAAGGGAAGUUGAGGCAUAUCCAGCAAUAACAAGGCUCACAAUGUUAUCUGUCACCUCUUCCUCACUUAACUGAUUACCUGCAUCAUCUUUGAUUUGCAUCAACCCAUCCAUUACAUCAUUUGUCAAAACUUCACUUUGGUUCUUCUUCUUUUCCAGCUCCAUCCUGAAAAUAGCAUCAAGCUUUUGUCUGCACUGCAAAUUCAGUCACACAGUAUUAUUAGAGCAUGUGAUAAUUCUUCUCCUAAUUAGACCAGGAGAUAACUAUAGAUAUAUAUUGAUAUUUGGACUUGCAAGAGAUUUCAAUUUAAAGUUUUAAACCGUGUACCUGACGAGCAUGAUGAUAAGCGAAUCCGGGAAUGUUGAUGGGUUGAGCUCUAACUCCUUUCAGCAAGCCAGUAAACAAGUUAUCGAUGGUAUCUAAGAGAGGCCCUGGAUCCAUACUUAUGAAUAGUUGUCCGAUAUUCUCAAAUGAUAACUGUAAAUUAAAGCAUACACAUGUAUAUUAGUUGGUUUUCUUUUGAAGGUUGAAGCUUGGCUAGAAUAUACUGCAUGUCAAUGAUGUCAUGGUGCUGCGAUCUACAGGCGAUCUAUACCUUGUUAGCUUCAUCAAAAGCUUUGAUUCUACCCUUUUGCGCCCACGACUCAAGUGCAGCGAUGAUGCGAGGUUGAACAAGGAGGGCAAUGCGCCGGAGAGCGUCCGGCCGGUUUAUUACAUUGGUGACGUAGCUUCUAACCCUAGUAUGAGACUUUCCACUAACUGAUACCAGUGAAGUUGGACCCAUAAGAUCAACAUUAGGCCAUACUGAGGUGAAUAUGUCAUCAGAUUGGAAUACAUAUUUGUUGACCGCAGGGAAGCAUGUUAUGAUGGAUGGUGAUCCGAAGAGGUGCGUUCUAUACAUGCCUACUCCAUCGCCAUACCUGGUUAUUCAAAUUACAUUAUAUAUCGUCUAAAAUACCAAAGGAAAUAUAGUUAUUAAUACGUACUUAGUCCUCUUAGCGUUGAUGAAAUCAUCCGGGCGACGAAGUACUUUGAAAUACCAAAGGAAAGUGAGCAUUUCACCGAUGAAAGGAAAUCCCAUGACGCCCGGUGGUAGCUUGGCGCCAGUUGGUGACUGUCGCAUUUUGAGAGGAAGAACGUACCAAAGCUCGUUCCACCACCACAAGAGAAACCCUAAAAAUGGGAAACCUCCCAAAACCAAAGCCAUCCACAUCCCCGAAGAAAUAUCCAUAUGAUCUCCACUAUAAUACUAAUUAGUAUGCUUAAUAUUAGCCCCUCUUGGCUCUUAAUCUGUCACAGUACGUUGGAUUGAUUUAUAUAUAGAGCAAGUUGUGUAGAUAAAUUUCGAGUUGAUUUCUAGGGUGAGCUAGUAAGACAAAGGGAAUCAAUCUUACUUGAAAGCCAUAGAACUUGAGGAAUAUAUGUAUCGGGACCCUAGUUUCCUAAUUUGGGAAUUUUCUUCUAUUAAAAUUGGCACAAUUGUCAGAAUGCGUCAUGAGUUUUGGCUUAGUAUGUUAGUACCUUUUUUUUUCCCCUAAUUCGGAAGAUGUCAAGAUUGGAUCGUAGCUAGUUUACUGCCCUAGAUAGUUUUGGCUUAAUUGAUACCAUCUGUUUUACUAAAUUAGGAAGCCUUGCGUGCCCUAGAUAAUGAUUUAAUUAGGCCUAAUUCGGGUAAGAUCAAAGAGGGAGUCUCCUUUAAGGAUACAGCCAGAGACGGUAUAACAAUUGGGCAGCGCAAUGAGAAUGUUACUGGAGCCUGCUUUUUGUCCCUGAAACUCACUCUCAAGAUUUGGUGAGUGGCUCUUCUGUUUUGGAAGAGCCAAGUUCUAUCCAUUCUUUUUCUUCUUUAACUGAUAUUGUUCAUCUUAUGCAUUCUCUCUGUCUAAAUAAUUCUUUCCCCCUUCUUAUGGACCCAAAUUCUAUCUAUUCUCCUUCCUCCGCGGUUGACUUUUUUAAUCACUUUUAUGGACUUAUUCAUCACUCCCAGGAGAACUUUGAGGAUGCCUAUGAGGAGGACAAGAUGAUAAAUAACAAUGUUAUGGAUGGUGAUUAUGGCGCUAAUGGUAUGUUUGGUGUUGUGAAUGAGAAUGAUGAAAUGGAUGUGAGUGCUGGGUUUCGCAGCCCUUUAAAGAGAACCAGAGAGAUGUUCAAAGAUGAAGUGGAUUCUCAUCAGGCUAGGACCAUGGAGGUUGGCCCCUCCAAGAUGACAAACUUCUCUACUCCUAAAUGAAGAUGAUGAUUUGGAAUAGCCAGGGGAGUUCCUGGUCUGGAUUUCAGGCACAGUUGCUCUAUUAUGCUUCUACUUUUGGUUUAGAUGUUUUUUGUGUUGUCGAUACAAGGACUUCAGAUGAUCUAGGAGCAAAACUUUUAAAUUUAUUACCUUUUGAUAACUAUUUUGUAGUGCAUGCACAAGGCCAGUGUGGUGGCCUUUGCCUGUUUUGGAAAUCCAGUUUUAUUAAUAUGAAUGUUGUGUUUACUCAUGAUCGGUUCAUUCACUGUUAUAUUACUGAUAUUAGUAGAAAUUCUAGCUGGUUCUCUACCUUUGUUUAUGCUUACCCUCAUAAGCGUCUUCAACUGAAUCUUUGGAAGGAAAUCUCCAAGUGGAAACCUUUUAAUGAUGAUCCUUGGUUACUUAUGGGAGAUUUCAAUUGCAUUGUGUACAAUUCAGAAAAAUUAGGUGGUUCUGUGGACACUAACAAAUACAUGAUUAAUUUUGGUGAUUUUAUAAAUAGCAAUAAUCUCUGCACAAUCCCUAGUACAUGAAUUCCUUUUACUUGGACUAACAACCAUAAAGACCAUACUGUCAUUUAUGAAAAAUUGGAUAGGGCUUGUGCUAAUCCUAACUGGAUGAUUAAUUUCCCUGAUGUGGAGGUUGAAAAUCUUCCUAUUAUUGGCUCUGAUCAUGGUCCAAUUUAUGUUGCUUGGAAUCAUAGGAAUGUUUCAUACCAAAGAGCUUUUAAGUUUGAAGCUAUUUGGAUGUCUCAUGCUUCGUUUAAAAAGCUUGUCACGGAUUCUUGGCAGUAGUAUUGGAUUCCAACUCUAUGAGAAAUUUUACUUCUCUGUGUGGCAAAUUUGCUACUUUGGCUAAAGUUUGGAAAAAAGAGGUGUUUGGUAAUUUUUUCCAGAAAAUCACUGAUUUACAGGAUCAAUUGCAUGUUGUCCAGUAUCAGCUUAUGAAUAAUCCCUCUUCAGUUUUGUUAUAGGAAAGGAACUUAAGCAUUUCUCAGGACCUCCAAACUCUGCAACAAGAGGAAGAGCUUUUCUGGGCUGAAAGAGCCAAGGCAAAUUGGCUAAAACUAGGGGAUCGAAACACAAAGUAUUUUCAACUGAAGGCAAAUUUCAGGAAGAAGUUAAAUCAUAUUGGCCGAAUUAAAGACGACAACAAUUUUUGGUUAACAAACCCAGAGGAUAUCAUCAAGCACUUUGUGCAGGAUUUUAAGAAACGUUUUACUGCUAAUAACUUCCCUGAUAUGAAUUUGGAGAAAUUAUUGGUCACUCCAUUAGCUUUCAUGCGCUCGACAGUUUACUCCAUUAACUUUCAAUUUCAAUUGAUUACCCCAUUAACUAUCCAAUGUCACACAAUUUGGUCCAUCCGUUAAGUCGCCGUCCAAAUCAGUGGUUAAGUUGCUGACUGGACAUAUUUUUCAACUGGAAAUUCCAUUUAACACCCCACCUCUCUCUCUCUCUNNNNNNNNNNNNNNNNNNNNAGAGAGAGAGAGAGGUGGGGUGUUAAAUGGAAUUUCCAGUUGAAAAAUAUGUUCAGUCAGCAACUUAACCACUGAUUUGGACGGCGACUUAACGGAUGGACCAAAUUGUGUGACAUUGGAUAGUUAAUGGGGUAAUCGAUUGAAAUUGAAAGUUAAUGGAGUAAACUGUCGAGUGCAUGAAAGUUAAUGGAGUGACCAGUAAUUAAUUCUAUGAAUUUUAUGCAAAGUUUUACUGAUAUUAUCUCUCCCACUAUUUUGGAUGUAGAAAAUGAUUUGUUGACAAAACAGGUUUCUGAUGAGGAAAUUUGGGAUGCAAUCAAAGCUAUCGGACCUCUAAAGGCUCCAAGUCCUGAUGGCUUACAUGCUCUCUUUUACCAAGCUUAUUGGGAAGAUGUCAAUUAAGCACUCUGUAAGUUCAAUGAUCAAAGACUUUUUCCAAAAUAAUUCGCCCUUAGCUACUAUCAAUCAUACAAAUAUUGCUCUGAUUCCCAAAGUUGAAUCACCUGAUUUGGUUUCUCAUUAUUGGCCUAUUAGUUUAUGUAAUGUUAGUUAUAAAAUAAUUUCAAAAAUUUUAGUCAACAGGCUCAGGCCUCUUUUGGAUAAGUGUAUUUCUAGGAAUCAGGGUACUUUCUCCCCGAGAAGAUCUAUUCAUGAUAAUAUCCUUAUUGCUCAUGAACUGUGUUCCGAUUUCCAAAGGAAAAAAAGCAGAGUUGGUUCCAUGGCUAUUAAGCUGGAUUUAGAAAAAGCUUAUAACUAUCUCAAUUGGAACUUAUUGAGACUUCUCUUUCUAAAUUUGGUUUUUCCCCUGUUUGGAUUAAAUGGAUUAUGGAAUGCAUUACAUCUGUGUCUUUCUCUGUGUUGAUUAAUGGCAAGCCUGAGGGUUUUUUCCAUCAUACUCGCGGAAUUAGACAAGGUGAUCCCCUUUUGCCGUAUAUUUUUAUUCUUUGUAUGGAACCUCUCAUUAGGCAUCUAAAUAUGGUUGCGGAAAAACCAAGUAGUCAUGUGGGAAUUUUAUCUUCUCCCAAUGGUUUUAGAAUUGCUAACCUUCGUUUUGCAGAUGAUUGCCUAGUCUUUGGGAAAGCUUCUUCUAAAGCUGCUAGAAACGUUCUGAGAAUCCUUAAUAAUUUUUCUGAGGCUUCUGGUCAAAGGAUUAAUUUCUAUAAAUCUUCUCUUUAUUUCUCCCUUCAGGUUCCUAAUCAAACUAGGAAUAAUAUUGUUACUAUUUUGCAGAUUCAGCACAAAGCUACCAUUGAUAAGUAUUUGGGUGUCCACAACAUUGUCUUCUGGAAGGAUCCUGUUAAUGCUAAUGGCCUUCUUCAAAAAAUUAAUGACAAGCUUGCAGGAUGGAAGAAAGGUUCGUUAUCUAGAGCUCAUACUUACCUUUAUCCAAGCAAAUAUUUCUGGUAUGUCAAAUCAUAUUAUGUCGUGUUUUAAAUGUCCUGCUAAAAUUACUAAUGCUAUUGAUAAAAAAUCCCGAGACUUUUUUUGGGGCUCUUAUUCUAAAUCUCAUGUUGUUGCUUGGAACAAAGCUUGCACCCCCAAGAAUGUUGGGGGAUUAGGUAUUAGACCUUCUGCUCAUGUUAAUAAUGCAGCGAUUGCUAAGUUGGGAUGGAAAGUUAUUACGGACUCUGAUAACUGGUGGGUGCAGAUUGUUACUCGAAAGUACUUACGCAGACAUUUUUUUUUUCAGGUCAAACAAAAUAGAUCGGCCUCUCUAGCCUGGAAGAGCAUUCUUAAUAAUAGAGAAAUUCUUCAGAAGGGAAUAAGAUGGAUAGUUGGAAAUGGUCAUGAUAUCAAUUUUUGGACAUUUAAUUGGGUUUUCCCUGUUCUUUUAGUUAGUAUGAUUUCUGAUUAUCAGAAUACUCUUAUUAAUUGGAAUGAGGUUGUUUCUGAUUAUAUCCAGGAUGGUAAUUGGAGUAGAACCAAGCUGCUGGAAUUCUUGGAUGCUUCGAUUGUGGAUCAAAUUUGUGGUAUCCCUAUUCCUUCUACUAACCAACAAGAUGCUUUCAUUUGGGGCCCCUGCCCGAAUGGUGAGUUCACCAUAAAAUCAGCUACUUGGCUUCAAUCUUCAGAUCUUGAUCCUCAUGAUCAAUCCCCUCUUUUAAAGAAGGUUUGGAAAUCUACCUUGGCUCCUAAAAUAAAAAAUUUUAGCUGGCUUUUAUGCAGGGAAAGAUUAAAAACAAGGAACAGAUUAUUUAGGUUUGGUAUGAUCCAAACUAAUCUUUGUCCUCUUUGUAAUUUAGAGGAGGAAACUAUUUCCCAUUUUUUUUGCAAAUGCCCAAUUGCUGGUCAAGUUUGGACUAUUGCUCAGUGCAAUGACAUCCACAAUGCUGAUAACCUGGUUCAAAGGUUGAAUGAUAUUUUUGUUAAUGCUCUUUUUGAUGCUACUAAAUUUGAGAGAAUUCUAAACCUUUGCAGGCAGAUUUGGCAUAAGCGCACCAACCUAAUCUUUAAAAAUGAGGCCUUCUCUCCCUUUGUUGUUGUUGUUGUUGCUGCUGUGUUUCAGAAUCGUAAUCAUCUCCACCAAGAGAUGGCUUCCCAGUUCCCCUUGGCUCCCUCUUCCAUCAGAUGGACUCCUCCUCCUCAAAAUAUAGUCAAAGAGAAUUUUGAUGGUUCGGUGCUUCAACAUGAUUCUAGUGCUGCUGUAGGUUUUAUUUUUCGAGACUGCUCGGGUUGCCCUUUCUUUGCUUCUGCUCGAAAGUUGGGGAAAGCCAAUGUUCCCAUUGCAGAAGCUACUGCCCUUAGGGACAGCCUUUUAAAAGCCAAAAAGUUAAACUACUCUCAUCUUAUGGUUGAAGGAGACUCUGCUCUCAUAAUUAAUUGUGUUACUGAGCGUUUCAAGUGCCCCUGGAAGCUGCUCCAAAUUGUCCAAGACAUAAAAAAGAUUGCCUCUUCCUUCAGUUUGAUCUCUUUCCACCAUGUUCUUCGUGAGGCAAACUUUACAGCCAAUGCCUUAGCAAAUUUGGGGCAAAAUCUGGAUACUCAGCAUUGUUGGGAGUCGAAUUUGCUGAGCUCUGUUAGGGUAACAGUGAAUUUUGAUUUAUUUGGUGGUGGUUGCCUGAGGGGUGGUUCGUUGUAAUUUAGUCUUUUAGCUUCAAAAAAAAAAGAAAAAAAAAGACUUAAUUAUAAUUUAAGAUUAUAAUAUAUUGUCUUGUUAUGUGAUUUCGUUUUCGUUUUUUUGUUAUGUGAUAUAUAUAAUAUAUUAUACUCAAUCGGAUCGUGUGUGGGUAUGAAUAAUUAGUCUAGCUAGCUGUAUAUAUUCUUAUAAUCUAGCUUUCCAAUAAUAGUAAGGAUAUCCUAGCAUCGUUGUUGGAUAUAUUCUUGUCUAAGAGUAUAUUCCCAAUUUAGAAGUAUAUUGUUCCAUGAUUUUUGUCUAACAUGAUUAUUGCAACUGACUUGUAUGUUGGCAGCAUUUCAAACAAGCGCGCGCAUAUGAUAAGUGGAGAGAAAAUUAGCUAGCUAUCUAGGUUCAGGCAUGUCUAGCUGUUCAUCUUCAAGUUUAAAAGCCAAUUGUAUUACGAAUCCCAAACUUAAUUAGUUCCACCACCACAAGAACAACCCAAGCAAUGGCAGACCUCCGAGAAUCACAGCCACGCAGACCUUAGAAACAUCUAUAUCUCCAAACAGAAAAUUUAGCUCAUAUGAAUCCUGUUCUAAUGUAUAUGAUUACGUAUAAGUGUAUAACUUAAUGUUGUCGUAGCUAGGUACUGGAUACCGAGUCGAUACUCGUCUGAACUCUGACGCAAGUAGACAAUUGAAGAUAAUGAAACCUACUAGCUUUGUGAGUCAAAAAAAAAUACAUCACUGCUUUGGUCAUGCUUACAAUAGUUUGGAGAAGAUGCUUCAUGUUGAAAGAUGCACCGUACCCUUUCUUUUGAAAAUCUCUGUCUUAUUAUCCCAUUUCAAUUAUUUGCAGUGAGGAUGGUUGAUGCCUUGCAAGUGUCUUUCGGGGGAGCCAUGUAUGCCAAAAUAGGAAGCCACACUGGUCUCAAACGAAUGAUACCAUUUCACAUUUCCUAAACCCUGUUAUGCCAUCUCUCAUUGUGUUAUUGUAUCGAUCAUUGACGCCUUUAGACCUUUUUUUUUGGGGUUAAAUGAUGCCUUCAGACUUUAGACAAGAUGUUGUUCUUUACGCAAUAAUCAUAUAAUUAAAACAUUAUUGAAUGAGAAACCUAGCUAGUUUUUUUUUUUUGAGGAAAAAUGAAAAAACUCCAUUAAUCAAAGAUCAUGACGACCAAAACGGUCAAGCAUGAGUGGUCCGAAGACCAUACAAAUGCAAGUGAAAGUCAAAACUACAGUCCAAAAAGGUGGACCUUAAACGACUAGAAAGUGAAUGCUAAAUAAUCUUGAAAUAAAGCAGCAUUCCAGUUGAAUGUGACGCCUAAGACCCAAUGAUGUACGUUUCCGCUCAAACAGACCAGCAUAACAGUUUCACUCAAAACAGUAUAGACUUAUAGGUGUCACUCCUCCAGAAGCCCAAAACAUAGGCCAACCCGAAUAAGAAAAGGAAAAGAUAAAACCCUGAGGCCCAGCCCACCUAAGCCACAUUGCUGUAGCCUAAGGUGACAUAGGCCCAUGAGCCCAAUCUUCCCUUCCUCUCCUCCUUUUGGAAUCGACUGUCGCUGGGACUCACCGGAGGAGCCUCAUGCCGCCUGUUCAAUCUGGCGGCUUCCCUUUCCUCCAACCCAUGGAUACUUAAUUACUUACUCGGAGCCUUUGGUAAGAAUAUGAGAAGAACCCUAGCCUCCCUUUGCUCAAAUUGUUCAGCUAUCAACCUUCUGCAAACCGAUCAGUGAUCACCCGUCGACUCCCAGAGAUCACCGCCUUGUCGUCACAAAUCAAAGCCUAUCCCCUCCGUUGACGUAGCCGCCCUGUCGAUCUAAAGCUUAGAUUUCCUUGAAAUCGUCCUCCCCGAUCUGUAUCUCCUCCGCACCUCGUCAAUAACGAAAGCCAGAUCAACCAAAUCGUCUCCAAAUUGGUCCUCCUCUUCACCUCUGGUAAAGAUCGACACCGAGGUGCCCUAUAGCAGACGAAAUCCAUCGAACGCUGCCGCCGCUAAACUACCCGAAACCUAGGGUUUCGUCUAUAGGACCCUCAGCUCCGAUAUUAGUGGAGCGAAUGUUUCGAGAAACCUAGCUAGUUGAUGACCAAGGUGUUGAAGAAAAGAUUUUUUAAUUAAGGUCUACAGUCGUAGAAAAGAAACGAGGGAAUUACUACUAGCACGACUUGGCCCAUUUAGCAUCUGAUAAGCUUAUCAUUCAGACCACGGAAAAGUUUGUAGUACCAUAUUUACAAUAACUUUAUUCAUAGUUCAAAUAACAAUACCAUCAGAGUUUUUGUAUGAAGUUUGAUCAGGAAAGAGUAUAAAAUCACUCACUUGUUGAAGGUGUAUUCUAGCAGUACAAGCUCCAGACCCAAUAUCAAGUGGACUCUUCCCUCGGGUCAAGUAAAGAUCAACUUUGAUGACUCGGUUAUUCAACAAUCUUCUGAUGCCGCUGCUGGUUUUAUCAUUCGAGAUGAAGUUGGAUGCCUCUUAGUUGCUUCUGCGCGAAAGAUUGUGAAGACAACUAUUCUCAUUGCAGAAGCCACUGCUCUCAGAGAUAGUCUUCUACUCAUGCUAUGGGGAUUCAAGAUCUCAUAGUGGAAGGUGAUUAUGCUUUAGUAAUUAAUUGUGUGAAUGAGAAGUUUAAGUAUUCCUGGAGGCUCCUUUAACUAAUUCAAGACAUCAAGAAGAUUGCAAGAUCCUUUCGGUACAUCAGGUUUCAACAUAGUUAUCGAGAGGCCAACUUUGUGGCCGAUGCUCUUGCCAACCUUGGUCAUCAAUGUGCAAGGGCUAGAAUCUGGGACUCAAAUUUCCCUCCGGUUGUUGGUUCUACUAUUAAUUUCGACCUCUUUGCAGUUGGGUACGUGUUCUAAGGGUUUUGUCUUGUAAUAGUCUUUUAGCAUUAAAAAAAAAAAGGGUGUAUUCAUGGCAGGGCCGGUCCUGAAAGAUUUAAGGCCCCUUGCGAAAAAAGAGAAUGGCCCUAACAAAUAUUUUUUUUAAAAGAAACUUUUUUUUUCGAGAUUUUGAACCUAAUCAAGUAUAAUGUUAGAAGACUCAUCUCCACGCCUAUAUUUUUUCAUUAAUAUGUUAACUCAUGAGUAUACAACUAGGGGAAGUGAUGGGGACAUAAACCAAUACUUCUUGAAAUAAAAGAAAAAAAAAUUACAAUGCAUUUCAUGACACUAAGUGCUUCGCGUUCAGUUCAACAACAUGAUUUAGGUGCAUAACAAAAUGUUUGAUUAAUGGUUGCAAAGAUUAGUCAAAAAAAUUAAAAAAAGACAUUCAGAACAUAAUUAAUUAUCUAAAGAAAAAUUAAGAAGCAUUAAGUAAAAAGAUUGAAAUUAAAUAACUACUUUAAUUGUGUUUUAAUAUUUUAUUACAUUUUUUUCAUUUAUUAUAUAUUAUUAAUUAUAUGUCAAAACAAAAACAAAAAAGUUAAGCCCUUCGGUGUUGGGCCCGUGCGACAGCACGGCCGGGCAAGACCAGCCAUGAUUCAUGGAAAAGAGUGUCUAUAGAUCAGAAUAUCAGAUGAUAUGUUGAUUAUAAUCAAGUUUCAUUUAUUUAUCCUCCCCGUACACAUAUAAAUUCUAACAAAUAAAGCAAUACAUAAAGCAAUUUAAUACCAAAAAAAUACAUAAAGCAAUACAUGAGACAUGACUUAAUUAAUUAUCAUCCUAAUUCACAUAUUACAAUGAAAGUGUUAGCUAACAGCUGGUGUAACAUAUUCAUUUCUUGAUUCUUUUAAACGAGACAUCAACCCUAUCGAUUGGUGUUGGAUGCGGAAGAUAAACCAUUUCUGCGUUUGGAUUGAGCAAUUUCCACCUAAACGUCCAGUUAAAAAUGAAAAUUGAUCAGUAGUUAAUUUGAAAAGUUUUGAUGAAGUAUGGAAAAUAAGAAACAAAUUUAAGAUUAGUUUUGUUGUCCUCACUCGUAUGCUGUAGAUAGAUGGUGCAAAAACACUGCGAGUUGAAUCCUAACAAGCAUAUUGCCUGCACAUAUUCUUGAUCCACCGCCAAAAACUUGAUAAGUUCCUGGUCUAGCUGGAUCCUGAGAAGUAAAGAAGGAGUCAGUAAAAACUCUCUAGCCAAUCGUAUAUAAUUUACGAAAAUUUCUACAAUGUAUAAUACAUGACAUCAACUUUAUUUUUAACUACUUACAUAAAAAAUGUGGGCUUACAUUCCAUCGAUUUGGGUUGAAACACAUAGGAUCAUCAAAAUAUUCCGAAUUUGUAUGGAGAUACCGAACCCAAACAAUCACUUGCCAACCCUUCGGUAUAAUAUAACCUACAAAAAAAUAUAUAUAUAUAUACAUAUAUAUAUAUAUAUAUGUAUGUCAUCAGAAAAAUAUAACCUACGAGAAAUAAUUUGUGGUCACUAGCUAUAAAAAAAUUAACAUCGAUCUUUGAAAAUGAUCAUAUACCUUUGUACUCAGCAUCCUUGGUAGCAGUCCGGAAAAUGAAUGCUGCAAUGUUAGCCAUUCUUAUUGUUUCUUCCACCACCUACAUGUAACAAUUUGUAUUCAUAUGAAGCAUCGAAACAUUUGUAUUCAUAUGAGGAUAAAUUUCUGUCUUUAGAUUACUUCCUUAUAAUAGAAAGACAUACUUUCAAGUGAAUUAAUCUUUUAAUUUUUUUUUUAAGUGAACUAAAAAACACACUUUUUGUGAACUCGUAUUGUACUUGUAUUUUCAAGUGAAUUCUUACUGUCUCGUAUUUUCAAGUGAACUCUUCAUCUGAAAAACACACUUUUGUAGCUGUAUAAACUGUUCUUGAUUUUUUUGGUAAUACCUUGUUUGUGUAUUUCAUUUUGGAGACAUCUUCACUUGUAAUGAAAUCUCCUUCCUUGGUCUUACGUAUAGCCAUAUUCUCCUCCUGUAUAAAUUCCACGCACAUAUAAUACAUAUAUGAGAACCUCAAGAAAUGAAGAUACAUAAGUAAUUGCUUUUCGUUUUUCUGUAUAGGAUUUGUUCGAUCAUCGUUAGAGUGAUACAAAACGGUGAGGAAAUUUGUAUAUACCCGAAGCUUUUGGAGGACAUUUGGGAAUUUGGCAAGAUAAUAUAUCGCCCACAUUGAUGCAAGGGAAGUAGAUGCAUAUCCAGCAACAACAAGACUGACAAUGUUAUCUAUCACUUCUUGGUCACCUAGUUUAUUUCCCUCAUCAUCUUUAAUCUGCAUAAGCCCAUCCAUAAGAUCAUUUGUGCUAACUUCUUUUUGGUUCUUCUUUUUCUUCUCUAGCUCCAUCCAGAAAAUGGCGUCAAGCUUCUUCCUACACUGCAUAUUAAGCCAAUGAUUCGAUUAUCCGGCCCUCUUAAGUUGAUCAAGCGGAUCAAACAAUCAAAGAUUCAUAUCAUUUAUUAGCAAAUCAAGAUCAAAACCUGACGAGCAUGGUGACAAGCAGAUCCCGGAAUAUUGAACGGUUGAGCCCUAAUUCCUUUGAUCAAUCCUGUAAACAGGUCAUCAAUUGUAUCUAGGAGAGGUCCGGGCUCCAAACUUGCAAAUAGUUUCCCAAUAUUUUCAAAUGUCACCUAAAGUAAAACAUAUGUUAUUCAUGUCAAGCGACAAAUUUGUAUCUUAUGUACAUUUUCUAAGUUAGCUCCAUAAAAGGUAAAACCAAAACACCAUCCUACCGAUUAUGGAAACACAGAAAGUGCUAAAUUUUUAUAUGAAGAGUGUGGCUAAUGUCACCCUACUAAACAUAGUGUAUGAGACGAUACGAUAGAUUUAAUUUUUACCUUCUUAGCUUCAUCGUAUGCUUUGAUUCUACCCUUUUGGGCCCAUGACUUGAGUGCUGCAAUCAUCCGGGGUUGGACUACUUGAGCAAUGUGUCGGAGAGAGUCGGGCCGAUUAAUCACACCAAUAACAUAUCUUCUAAGUCUUACAUGGGCCGGUCCAUGAACCGCAACGAUAGAGUUUUGACCCAUGAGUUCAACUCUGGGCCAAUCGAGAAAGAAUGUCUCCUCCGAUUGGAACACAUACUUAUUCACAUCUGGAAAGCAUGUUAUAAUGGUUGGUGAUCCGAAUAGAUGAGUUCUAUACAUUCCUACUCCAUCACCGUAUCUGAUCAUAUUUUAUACACAAACAUCAUCAAACCAUUGCAUUUCAUAUAAAUUUGAAGUGAAAUAUAACAAUGUACAAUACUUACUUUGCUCGUUUAAUAUUGAUAAAUUCAUCUGGAUGUCGAAGAAUUUUGAAAUACCAAAGAAAAUUGAACAUUUCGCCGAAAAAAGGAAAUCCCAUAUGACCUGGGGGCAAGUUGCCUUUGGUGGCCGGAAGUCUCAAUUUGAGAGGAAGCACGUACCAAAGCUCAUUCCACCACCACAAGAGCAGCCCUAAUAUUGGCAAACCACCGACUAAGAAGGCUACCCCCAUUCCCAUAGGGAUUUCCAUCUCCACUCUCUAUCAAGCUACAAAUGUACAAAUCCUUUGUGGACUAUAUAUACACAUAUACGUGACAAGUUGAUUAAGACAUGUACGUAGUAGAUUAUUUGUGACAACUUGCAUGUUAUAGAUUCUUAGUUCUUAUUCUUCUAAAAUGGAAGACAAUAAAGACAAAGAGAACCAAAUUCACCGGAAAAUGUCUGAAGUCUGCUUAUUGGGCGAGUCAUUGGAUUUGCUAUUCAAAUUAGAGAGCAUCAAUCACAUACUUAACAUGGAUCCUAUUGAAACUGCAUGUGCCAAAGCACGUAGGUAAGUUGUCUUGGUCGCCAAAUCAAAUGAUACUAAUGUGUCGGUCUUACUCCCCAAUUAUUUUUUAUUUUGUUAUUUACCAUAUUAACUCUUGUUCUUAAUAAUCUGAAAUUCUGAAUUAACUUAAUAGAAUAAUAUUGUUAGAACAUAUUUAAUAUUGUCAAAACAUGAUUUGGUGAUUUAUUACGUAUCUACUUGAUGUUGAUCCAUACAAUCGUCUUGGCACGGCGACUGAUCGAUCAAUACAUGAAAAUUAUUGGCUCGACCAAAAUUAUUGAAGGUUUUUUUUUUUCGAUCCAAAAAAUUAUUGAAGGUUGCCAUAUUUGGAGGUACUGUGUGAUCCAGCAUUGCAUGCAUGCGUCGAUUCCUUGACUAUAAGAUCACUCACUUAUUGGAUCGAAAAGAUUAACUUCAUAACUUCAUGGAAUCAUUGUAAGAAAACAACACUUACAAAGUACAUAACUUCAUGAAAUCUAUGUGACAAAGAAGGAAUAAUACAAUAAGGGAUGAGCCGGGAUGCUCUUAGCUAAGCUAUUUCUAUGUCUUUCUUUUUAGGAUUCUAAAUAUCAGAGAGGAUUUUAUGCACUAAGGUGCACUUGCAUUAUUAGUGUGCAAGUCCUCAAAUCGUGUAUGCGAAGAUCCAAUAAAGAUUAGAAACCCUAAAUUUUUUCCUUUCAUUUUCAUUUUUGAUCCAAUCAAAUUAAGCGCCCAUAAUAAGAAUAUAUUUUAUUCGACCUCAAGUCAUCAUCUCUUGUGUUGGAAACACUUGAGACUAUUUUUUUUUGUUUCAAUUUUGUUAACAAUAUUAGAAAACAUGCAUGAUAAUGCGACGUGGAUAACCGGAUCAAAAUAUUGCAUAUUAAUUGCUCGGUUCACUUGCACCUUGAUGCGUAAAAGAAUUUUCGAAAUUCUAAUUUCUAAAUUUUGCUAAAUAUGACAUCGACAUUAUCAACUGGUCUUGGAUGUGAUAGAUACAUCAUAGGGGCAUCCGGGUUGAGUAACUUCCACCUGAGAGUUCAUUUCAUUCCCAAUAAAAUUAGAGAAUUGAACAUUAAAAUUUUGUUGUAAGUUUGAAAUAAUUAAUACACAAAAAUCUAAUAAUCCCUAGGAUAGGCCACUUCAGUCGUAGCAUAAAAAGAUAAACUUUAAUAUCAAAACUAAAGUUUUAGCCAUAUUACAUGUAGAACUAUGAUAAUUUUUUAGUGAAAGACAUAAUGCAUUGUUACUAAAUAUGUUAUAGUAUGGUUAGGAUGCGUUAAGUUUAACUAUAUGGUGAUAAAUCUUAUGAUUGACGAUUAUGAUUUUCUUACUUGUAUCCAACAGACAAAUGGUGUAAGAAAAUUGCGAGCUGUAGUCUAACAAGCAUAUUUCCUGCGCAUAUUCUUGAUCCACUUCCAAACACUUGGUAUGUUCCAGGUUUAGCCGGAUUCUGUGAAAGUUCAAAUUAAUUGAAUUAUAAAUUAAUUAACUGAAAAGUUAAUUAACUUGUUUGUGAGAGGAAUCGAUUUGCGUAGGCUUACAUUCCAUCUAUCUGGAUUAAAGCACAUAGGAUUAUCAAAGUGCUCCGGAUUUGUAUGGAGAUAUCGAACCCAAACAAUCAUAUUCCAGUUCUUUGGUAUUAUGUAGCCUGCAGCAAUAAGUUUAACAAGUCCAUAAAAUGUUUAAUCAGCUGCAGAAACUUCUCAACUACAAAGUCGAUCACUUACUUAGACGUACCUUUAUACUCAAUUUCCUUAGUAACUGAUCGGAAAACAAACGCUGCAAUGUUGGCCAGCCGUAUAAUUUCUUCCACCACUUUGUUGGUGUAUUUCAUUUUCGAAACAUCGUCGCUUGUAAUGAAUUCCCCGUUCCUGUUCCGACUUACAAUCAGAUUCUCCUCCUGCAUUUCAUGUACACAGUUAAAACAUUAGAGAAGCGAACCUGCUCAAAGACAUUAAUUAAGAUGAUAAGGGAAAUGUGUAUGUAUAUAAUAUACCCGAAGCUUUUGAAAAACAUUGGGGUAUUUGGCAAGAUAGAAGAUAGCCCACAUUGCUGAAAGGGCAGUGGAAGCAUAUCCGGCAAUAAUAAGGCUCACAAUGUUAUCUAUCACCUCUUUGUCACUUAAUUUAUCACCAUCAUCAUCUUUGAUUUGCAUAAGCCCGUCCAUCAGAUCACUCGUCACUGCUUCUUUACAGUUCUUUUUCUUCUCCAGCUCCACCCUGAAAAUCGCCUCGAGCUUCCUCCUACACUGCCAAUUCACAUUCAGGUACAUAUUAUUUAGGAUAACCUGACAGAAUAUGCUAUAAGAUGAUCAAAUCGUAUCCGAAUGUUUACGAACAAUUUAGAAGCAAGGUUUAUGUUUUCGAACCUGAAGAGCAUGGUGAUAAGCAGUUCCAGGAACAUUGAAAGGUUGAGCUCUAAUGCCGUUGACCACUCCCACAAACAAUUCAUCAAUGUUAUCUAGGAGAGGCCCGGGCUCCAAACUUGCGAACAAUUUUCCAAUAUUUUCAAAAGUUACCUGUAAUUAGCAUAAGAUGCAUCUUAGAACUGAGAAAUUAAUUGAAAAUGAAAACAAGCUCGGCAAUAUAGGAAAUAUUAAUAUUUCUGAAUAAUUACCUUCUUAGAUUCAUCAUAUGCUUUUAUUCUACCUUUGAGAUUGCAGCCACCAUUCGUGGCUGAACUAGUCCGGCAAUGCGGCGCAAAGCAUUAGGUUUGUUAAUGACAUUCAUAACAUAAGUUCUAAGCCUUGCAUGGGAGCUUCCUUGAACUGCUACCAAAGAACUAGAGGCCUAGAGCCUACUACAUCAACAUUAGGCCAAUUUAGAGGGAAGAUCUCCUCCGACUGGAAUACGAAUUUGUUGAUCGCAGGUAAGCACGUUAUGAUCGAUGGCUUUCCGAACAGGUGUGUUCUGUACAUUCCUACUCCAUCACCAUACCUGAUUCAAAUCAAACGUAUAUUCAUCAAUACCUAUAUUAUGUUGAAAUAUGAUAUACAUGACAUGAACAUAUAUGAAAGGUCUUAUGUUCAGCUUUUCAAAUGUUAAUAACUUUAAUCCAAUUGGUAUUGUAGUUCUCUUGUAGUUACUGGCAUGGAUUGGUUAGGGACUGAUAAAACCAAAAGAAACAAAACAAGGAAAAAAAAAAUUGAACCUACUUAGCUCGCUUGGAGUUGAUAAACUCAUCAGGACGACCAACGGUUUUGAAAUACCACAAGAAAGUGAGCAUUUCACCGAGAAACGGGAAACCCAAGUGACCUGGAGGCAAUUUGGCUCCGGUCGGAGACCCAUGUAACUUAAGAGGAAGAACAUACCAGAACUCAUUCCACCACCACAACAACAACCCCAAAAAUGGCAGACCUCCCACAACCAAGGCCACCCAUACCCCCAAAGAGAUCUCCAUGUCGAUCUAUAUGUGAAGUAUGCUCAACUCCUCUUAGCGUUUAAGAUACAUAGUGCAGCAUUGCCACCCUAGCUAUAUAUACUACAUGCACUGACAUGACACAGCAAGAAUAUAUCAUUUACCAUAUACCUACAUGCAGAUUCGUAAUUGAAAAUUCUUCUUCCCGGAUUGAGUACGUGGACAAAAAGAACACCAAAUCCCGCUGCAAUACAAAACUCCUUGGGUGAGCAUGCACGUGAUUUAGAUGAUUCACUACCAGAAGAAAGACUUUAGCCGACGAAAAAAAAAAAACAGGCCGACGAAACAAUUUUUCGUCGGCUAAAGUACACUUUAGCUGACGAAAUUUUCCUUCGUCGGCUAAAUUAUAUUUUCGUCGGCUAAAGUCAACUUUAGCCGACGAAAUUAAAAUUUCGUCGGAUAAAGAAUUUUUUUCGUCGGCUAAAGUCUGUGACUUUAGCCGACGACUUUAAACUUUCUUUAGCCGACGAAAUUAAAAUUUCGUCGNNNNNNNNNNNNNNNNNNNNNNNNNNNNNNNNNNNNNNNNNNNNNNNNNNNNNNNNNNNNNNNNNNNNNNNNNNNNNNNNNNNNNNNNNNNNNNNNNNNNNNNNNNNNNNNNNNNNNNNNNNNNNNNNNNNNNNNNNNNNNNNNNNNNNNNNNNNNNNNNNNNNNNNNNNNNNNNNNNNNNNNNNNNNNNNNNNNNNNNNNNNNNNNNNNNNNNNNNNNNNNNNNNNNNNNNNNNNNNNNNNNNNNNNNNNNNNNNNNNNNNNNNNNNNNNNNNNNNNNNNNNNNNNNNNNNNNNNNNNNNNNNNNNNNNNNNNNNNNNNNNNNNNNNNNNNNNNNNNNNNNNNNNNNNNNNNNNNNNNNNNNNNNNNNNNNNNNNNNNNNNNNNNNNNNNNNNNNNNNNNNNNNNNNNNNNNNNNNNNNNNNNNNNNNNNNNNNNNNNNNNNNNNNNNNNNNNNNNNNNNNNNNNNNNNNNNNNNNNNNNNNNNNNNNNNNNNNNNNNNNNNNNNNNNNNNNNNNNNNNNNNNNNNNNNNNNNNNNNNNNNNNNNNNNNNNNNNNNNNNNNNNNNNNNNNNNNNNNNNNNNNNNNNNNNNNNNNNNNNNNNNNNNNNNNNNNNNNNNNNNNNNNNNNNNNNNNNNNNNNNNNNNNNNNNNNNNNNNNNNNNNNNNNNNNNNNNNNNNNNNNNNNNNNNNNNNNNNNNNNNNNNNNNNNNNNNNNNNNNNNNNNNNNNNNNNNNNNNNNNNNNNNNNNNNNNNNNNNNNNNNNNNNNNNNNNNNNNNNNNNNNNNNNNNNNNNNNNNNNNNNNNNNNNNNNNNNNNNNNNNNNNNNNNNNNNNNNNNNNNNNNNNNNNNNNNNNNNNNNNNNNNNNNNNNNNNNNNNNNNNNNNNNNNNNNNNNNNNNNNNNNNNNNNNNNNNNNNNNNNNNNNNNNNNNNNNNNNNNNNNNNNNNNNNNNNNNNNNNNNNNNNNNNNNNNNNNNNNNNNNNNNNNNNNNNNNNNNNNNNNNNNNNNNNNNNNNNNNNNNNNNNNNNNNNNNNNNNNNNNNNNNNNNNNNNNNNNNNNNNNNNNNNNNNNNNNNNNNNNNNNNNNNNNNNNNNNNNNNNNNNNNNNNNNNNNNNNNNNNNNNNNNNNNNNNNNNNNNNNNNNNNNNNNNNNNNNNNNNNNNNNNNNNNNNNNNNNNNNNNNNNNNNNNNNNNNNNNNNNNNNNNNNNNNNNNNNNNNNNNNNNNNNNNNNNNNNNNNNNNNNNNNNNNNNNNNNNNNNNNNNNNNNNNNNNNNNNNNNNNNNNNNNNNNNNNNNNNNNNNNNNNNNNNNNNNNNNNNNNNNNNNNNNNNNNNNNNNNNNNNNNNNNNNNNNNNNNNNNNNNNNNNNNNNNNNNNNNNNNNNNNNNNNNNNNNNNNNNNNNNNNNNNNNNNNNNNNNNNNNNNNNNNNNNNNNNNNNNNNNNNNNNNNNNNNNNNNNNNNNNNNNNNNNNNNNNNNNNNNNNNNNNNNNNNNNNNNNNNNNNNNNNNNNNNNNNNNNNNNNNNNNNNNNNNNNNNNNNNNNNNNNNNNNNNNNNNNNNNNNNNNNNNNNNNNNNNNNNNNNNNNNNNNNNNNNNNNNNNNNNNNNNNNNNNNNNNNNNNNNNNNNNNNNNNNNNNNNNNNNNNNNNNNNNNNNNNNNNNNNNNNNNNNNNNNNNNNNNNNNNNNNNNNNNNNNNNNNNNNNNNNNNNNNNNNNNNNNNNNNNNNNNNNNNNNNNNNNNNNNNNNNNNNNNNNNNNNNNNNNNNNNNNNNNNNNNNNNNNNNNNNNNNNNNNNNNNNNNNNNNNNNNNNNNNNNNNNNNNNNNNNNNNNNNNNNNNNNNNNNNNNNNNNNNNNNNNNNNNNNNNNNNNNNNNNNNNNNNNNNNNNNNNNNNNNNNNNNNNNNNNNNNNNNNNNNNNNNNNNNNNNNNNNNNNNNNNNNNNNNNNNNNNNNNNNNNNNNNNNNNNNNNNNNNNNNNNNNNNNNNNNNNNNNNNNNNNNNNNNNNNNNNNNNNNNNNNNNNNNNNNNNNNNNNNNNNNNNNNNNNNNNNNNNNNNNNNNNNNNNNNNNNNNNNNNNNNNNNNNNNNNNNNNNNNNNNNNNNNNNNNNNNNNNNNNNNNNNNNNNNNNNNNNNNNNNNNNNNNNNNNNNNNNNNNNNNNNNNNNNNNNNNNNNNNNNNNNNNNNNNNNNNNNNNNNNNNNNNNNNNNNNNNNNNNNNNNNNNNNNNNNNNNNNNNNNNNNNNNNNNNNNNNNNNNNNNNNNNNNNNNNNNNNNNNNNNNNNNNNNNNNNNNNNNNNNNNNNNNNNNNNNNNNNNNNNNNNNNNNNNNNNNNNNNNNNNNNNNNNNNNNNNNNNNNNNNNNNNNNNNNNNNNNNNNNNNNNNNNNNNNNNNNNNNNNNNNNNNNNNNNNNNNNNNNNNNNNNNNNNNNNNNNNNNNNNNNNNNNNNNNNNNNNNNNNNNNNNNNNNNNNNNNNNNNNNNNNNNNNNNNNNNNNNNNNNNNNNNNNNNNNNNNNNNNNNNNNNNNNNNNNNNNNNNNNNNNNNNNNNNNNNNNNNNNNNNNNNNNNNNNNNNNNNNNNNNNNNNNNNNNNNNNNNNNNNNNNNNNNNNNNNNNNNNNNNNNNNNNNNNNNNNNNNNNNNNNNNNNNNNNNNNNNNNNNNNNNNNNNNNNNNNNNNNNNNNNNNNNNNNNNNNNNNNNNNNNNNNNNNNNNNNNNNNNNNNNNNNNNNNNNNNNNNNNNNNNNNNNNNNNNNNNNNNNNNNNNNNNNNNNNNNNNNNNNNNNNNNNNNNNNNNNNNNNNNNNNNNNNNNNNNNNNNNNNNNNNNNNNNNNNNNNNNNNNNNNNNNNNNNNNNNNNNNNNNNNNNNNNNNNNNNNNNNNNNNNNNNNNNNNNNNNNNNNNNNNNNNNNNNNNNNNNNNNNNNNNNNNNNNNNNNNNNNNNNNNNNNNNNNNNNNNNNNNNNNNNNNNNNNNNNNNNNNNNNNNNNNNNNNNNNNNNNNNNNNNNNNNNNNNNNNNNNNNNNNNNNNNNNNNNNNNNNNNNNNNNNNNNNNNNNNNNNNNNNNNNNNNNNNNNNNNNNNNNNNNNNNNNNNNNNNNNNNNNNNNNNNNNNNNNNNNNNNNNNNNNNNNNNNNNNNNNNNNNNNNNNNNNNNNNNNNNNNNNNNNNNNNNNNNNNNNNNNNNNNNNNNNNNNNNNNNNNNNNNNNNNNNNNNNNNNNNNNNNNNNNNNNNNNNNNNNNNNNNNNNNNNNNNNNNNNNNNNNNNNNNNNNNNNNNNNNNNNNNNNNNNNNNNNNNNNNNNNNNNNNNNNNNNNNNNNNNNNNNNNNNNNNNNNNNNNNNNNNNNNNNNNNNNNNNNNNNNNNNNNNNNNNNNNNNNNNNNNNNNNNNNNNNNNNNNNNNNNNNNNNNNNNNNNNNNNNNNNNNNNNNNNNNNNNNNNNNNNNNNNNNNNNNNNNNNNNNNNNNNNNNNNNNNNNNNNNNNNNNNNNNNNNNNNNNNNNNNNNNNNNNNNNNNNNNNNNNNNNNNNNNNNNNNNNNNNNNNNNNNNNNNNNNNNNNNNNNNNNNNNNNNNNNNNNNNNNNNNNNNNNNNNNNNNNNNNNNNNNNNNNNNNNNNNNNNNNNNNNNNNNNNNNNNNNNNNNNNNNNNNNNNNNNNNNNNNNNNNNNNNNNNNNNNNNNNNNNNNNNNNNNNNNNNNNNNNNNNNNNNNNNNNNNNNNNNNNNNNNNNNNNNNNNNNNNNNNNNNNNNNNNNNNNNNNNNNNNNNNNNNNNNNNNNNNNNNNNNNNNNNNNNNNNNNNNNNNNNNNNNNNNNNNNNNNNNNNNNNNNNNNNNNNNNNNNNNNNNNNNNNNNNNNNNNNNNNNNNNNNNNNNNNNNNNNNNNNNNNNNNNNNNNNNNNNNNNNNNNNNNNNNNNNNNNNNNNNNNNNNNNNNNNNNNNNNNNNNNNNNNNNNNNNNNNNNNNNNNNNNNNNNNNNNNNNNNNNNNNNNNNNNNNNNNNNNNNNNNNNNNNNNNNNNNNNNNNNNNNNNNNNNNNNNNNNNNNNNNNNNNNNNNNNNNNNNNNNNNNNNNNNNNNNNNNNNNNNNNNNNNNNNNNNNNNNNNNNNNNNNNNNNNNNNNNNNNNNNNNNNNNNNNNNNNNNNNNNNNNNNNNNNNNNNNNNNNNNNNNNNNNNNNNNNNNNNNNNNNNNNNNNNNNNNNNNNNNNNNNNNNNNNNNNNNNNNNNNNNNNNNNNNNNNNNNNNNNNNNNNNNNNNNNNNNNNNNNNNNNNNNNNNNNNNNNNNNNNNNNNNNNNNNNNNNNNNNNNNNNNNNNNNNNNNNNNNNNNNNNNNNNNNNNNNNNNNNNNNNNNNNNNNNNNNNNNNNNNNNNNNNNNNNNNNNNNNNNNNNNNNNNNNNNNNNNNNNNNNNNNNNNNNNNNNNNNNNNNNNNNNNNNNNNNNNNNNNNNNNNNNNNNNNNNNNNNNNNNNNNNNNNNNNNNNNNNNNNNNNNNNNNNNNNNNNNNNNNNNNNNNNNNNNNNNNNNNNNNNNNNNNNNNNNNNNNNNNNNNNNNNNNNNNNNNNNNNNNNNNNNNNNNNNNNNNNNNNNNNNNNNNNNNNNNNNNNNNNNNNNNNNNNNNNNNNNNNNNNNNNNNNNNNNNNNNNNNNNNNNNNNNNNNNNNNNNNNNNNNNNNNNNNNNNNNNNNNNNNNNNNNNNNNNNNNNNNNNNNNNNNNNNNNNNNNNNNNNNNNNNNNNNNNNNNNNNNNNNNNNNNNNNNNNNNNNNNNNNNNNNNNNNNNNNNNNNNNNNNNNNNNNNNNNNNNNNNNNNNNNNNNNNNNNNNNNNNNNNNNNNNNNNNNNNNNNNNNNNNNNNNNNNNNNNNNNNNNNNNNNNNNNNNNNNNNNNNNNNNNNNNNNNNNNNNNNNNNNNNNNNNNNNNNNNNNNNNNNNNNNNNNNNNNNNNNNNNNNNNNNNNNNNNNNNNNNNNNNNNNNNNNNNNNNNNNNNNNNNNNNNNNNNNNNNNNNNNNNNNNNNNNNNNNNNNNNNNNNNNNNNNNNNNNNNNNNNNNNNNNNNNNNNNNNNNNNNNNNNNNNNNNNNNNNNNNNNNNNNNNNNNNNNNNNNNNNNNNNNNNNNNNNNNNNNNNNNNNNNNNNNNNNNNNNNNNNNNNNNNNNNNNNNNNNNNNNNNNNNNNNNNNNNNNNNNNNNNNNNNNNNNNNNNNNNNNNNNNNNNNNNNNNNNNNNNNNNNNNNNNNNNNNNNNNNNNNNNNNNNNNNNNNNNNNNNNNNNNNNNNNNNNNNNNNNNNNNNNNNNNNNNNNNNNNNNNNNNNNNNNNNNNNNNNNNNNNNNNNNNNNNNNNNNNNNNNNNNNNNNNNNNNNNNNNNNNNNNNNNNNNNNNNNNNNNNNNNNNNNNNNNNNNNNNNNNNNNNNNNNNNNNNNNNNNNNNNNNNNNNNNNNNNNNNNNNNNNNNNNNNNNNNNNNNNNNNNNNNNNNNNNNNNNNNNNNNNNNNNNNNNNNNNNNNNNNNNNNNNNNNNNNNNNNNNNNNNNNNNNNNNNNNNNNNNNNNNNNNNNNNNNNNNNNNNNNNNNNNNNNNNNNNNNNNNNNNNNNNNNNNNNNNNNNNNNNNNNNNNNNNNNNNNNNNNNNNNNNNNNNNNNNNNNNNNNNNNNNNNNNNNNNNNNNNNNNNNNNNNNNNNNNNNNNNNNNNNNNNNNNNNNNNNNNNNNNNNNNNNNNNNNNNNNNNNNNNNNNNNNNNNNNNNNNNNNNNNNNNNNNNNNNNNNNNNNNNNNNNNNNNNNNNNNNNNNNNNNNNNNNNNNNNNNNNNNNNNNNNNNNNNNNNNNNNNNNNNNNNNNNNNNNNNNNNNNNNNNNNNNNNNNNNNNNNNNNNNNNNNNNNNNNNNNNNNNNNNNNNNNNNNNNNNNNNNNNNNNNNNNNNNNNNNNNNNNNNNNNNNNNNNNNNNNNNNNNNNNNNNNNNNNNNNNNNNNNNNNNNNNNNNNNNNNNNNNNNNNNNNNNNNNNNNNNNNNNNNNNNNNNNNNNNNNNNNNNNNNNNNNNNNNNNNNNNNNNNNNNNNNNNNNNNNNNNNNNNNNNNNNNNNNNNNNNNNNNNNNNNNNNNNNNNNNNNNNNNNNNNNNNNNNNNNNNNNNNNNNNNNNNNNNNNNNNNNNNNNNNNNNNNNNNNNNNNNNNNNNNNNNNNNNNNNNNNNNNNNNNNNNNNNNNNNNNNNNNNNNNNNNNNNNNNNNNNNNNNNNNNNNNNNNNNNNNNNNNNNNNNNNNNNNNNNNNNNNNNNNNNNNNNNNNNNNNNNNNNNNNNNNNNNNNNNNNNNNNNNNNNNNNNNNNNNNNNNNNNNNNNNNNNNNNNNNNNNNNNNNNNNNNNNNNNNNNNNNNNNNNNNNNNNNNNNNNNNNNNNNNNNNNNNNNNNNNNNNNNNNNNNNNNNNNNNNNNNNNNNNNNNNNNNNNNNNNNNNNNNNNNNNNNNNNNNNNNNNNNNNNNNNNNNNNNNNNNNNNNNNNNNNNNNNNNNNNNNNNNNNNNNNNNNNNNNNNNNNNNNNNNNNNNNNNNNNNNNNNNNNNNNNNNNNNNNNNNNNNNNNNNNNNNNNNNNNNNNNNNNNNNNNNNNNNNNNNNNNNNNNNNNNNNNNNNNNNNNNNNNNNNNNNNNNNNNNNNNNNNNNNNNNNNNNNNNNNNNNNNNNNNNNNNNNNNNNNNNNNNNNNNNNNNNNNNNNNNNNNNNNNNNNNNNNNNNNNNNNNNNNNNNNNNNNNNNNNNNNNNNNNNNNNNNNNNNNNNNNNNNNNNNNNNNNNNNNNNNNNNNNNNNNNNNNNNNNNNNNNNNNNNNNNNNNNNNNNNNNNNNNNNNNNNNNNNNNNNNNNNNNNNNNNNNNNNNNNNNNNNNNNNNNNNNNNNNNNNNNNNNNNNNNNNNNNNNNNNNNNNNNNNNNNNNNNNNNNNNNNNNNNNNNNNNNNNNNNNNNNNNNNNNNNNNNNNNNNNNNNNNNNNNNNNNNNNNNNNNNNNNNNNNNNNNNNNNNNNNNNNNNNNNNNNNNNNNNNNNNNNNNNNNNNNNNNNNNNNNNNNNNNNNNNNNNNNNNNNNNNNNNNNNNNNNNNNNNNNNNNNNNNNNNNNNNNNNNNNNNNNNNNNNNNNNNNNNNNNNNNNNNNNNNNNNNNNNNNNNNNNNNNNNNNNNNNNNNNNNNNNNNNNNNNNNNNNNNNNNNNNNNNNNNNNNNNNNNNNNNNNNNNNNNNNNNNNNNNNNNNNNNNNNNNNNNNNNNNNNNNNNNNNNNNNNNNNNNNNNNNNNNNNNNNNNNNNNNNNNNNNNNNNNNNNNNNNNNNNNNNNNNNNNNNNNNNNNNNNNNNNNNNNNNNNNNNNNNNNNNNNNNNNNNNNNNNNNNNNNNNNNNNNNNNNNNNNNNNNNNNNNNNNNNNNNNNNNNNNNNNNNNNNNNNNNNNNNNNNNNNNNNNNNNNNNNNNNNNNNNNNNNNNNNNNNNNNNNNNNNNNNNNNNNNNNNNNNNNNNNNNNNNNNNNNNNNNNNNNNNNNNNNNNNNNNNNNNNNNNNNNNNNNNNNNNNNNNNNNNNNNNNNNNNNNNNNNNNNNNNNNNNNNNNNNNNNNNNNNNNNNNNNNNNNNNNNNNNNNNNNNNNNNNNNNNNNNNNNNNNNNNNNNNNNNNNNNNNNNNNNNNNNNNNNNNNNNNNNNNNNNNNNNNNNNNNNNNNNNNNNNNNNNNNNGACGAAUAACUUAAUAUUUCGUCGGCUUUAGUUAUUUUUUUAAUUUUUUAAUUACAUACUAUAGCCGACGAAUAAGUUAGGGUAUUCGUCGGCUAAACCCUAAAAUUUUUCUAUUACCUACUAUAGCCCUAUCUUCGGUGGUUAUUUUCCGUAAAAUUUUUAGACGACUUCUUGCGUCUCAUCGGUUUGAAACUAUUUUCAGUUGGAGGUCCGGCCAAAAUACGUAAUUUAGACAGUCGAACGACCUUUUCCGUGCGUUUAGGGGUUUGACUUACGAGAUUGACCAUCCGGAUCGAGCCCUUAUUCUUUUCGGAUCAAGUUGAAUUUUUUCCCAUACAUGUAUUUUGUCAUGAUGGUCAGAUCUGACGGUCGGAUUUCUGUUUCUCAAGUUUGAUCAUCACAAUCACAACAUGCAUACUAAUGUUGUAUAACUUGUUUACCAAGUGCUAUGUAAAUGUUCCGUUUCAAAAACAAACUAUACGUAAAACCUUCAAACGCCAAAAAGUCAUGAAAUAAGAUAUGACGAGAAUGUUGAAAUACAUCCACGGUUAAAAAAUCACACUAUUCCGGUAAAUAUUCGGUGCCGAUAGUUGCGGUCAAUGCAAUUUUUCAUUUUUUCCCCCUAUGAGUAGCCCUAUAUUCAGUGGUUAUUUUGUGUAAAAUUUUUAUACGACUUGUUGCGUGUCAUCGAUUUAAAACUAUUUUCAAUUGAAGGUCCGGCCAAAAUACGUAAUUUAGACGGUCGAACGACAUUUUCCGUGCUUUUAGGGGUUUGACUUAGGAGAUUGACCGUCCGGAUCGAGCUCUUAUUCUUGUCAGAUCAAGUUGAAUUUUUGGUCAUACAUGUAUUUUGUCAUGGUGGUCAGAUCUGACGGUCGGAUUUCUUUUUCUCAAGUUUGAUCACCAAAAUCACAAUGUGCCAAAUGUAUAAAAAUACUUUAGCCGAUGAAUUUCAAAGGUUUAGCUGACGAAUUUCGAAAGUUUAGCCGACGAAUUUCAAAGUUUUAGCCGACGAAUUUAGAAGGUUUAGCCGACGAAUUGAUUCUUAGCCGACGAGAUUCUUAGCUUUAGCCGUAGCCGACGAAAUAAUUAUUUCGUCGGCUAAAGUUUUCGGGUUUAACUGCUCGACAGCAGAAAAACCCUAGCCUCCUCCCUCCUCCCUCCCUCUCCCGUCUCUGCCUCCUCCCUCCUCCCUCUNNNNNNNNNNNNNNNNNNNNNNNNNNNNNNNNNNNNNNNNNNNNNNNNNNNNNNNNNNNNNNNNNNNNNNNNNNNNNNNNNNNNNNNNNNNNNNNNNNNNUAUAUAUAUAUAUACACACACAAGUCUAGUACUCUAAUGUGAUAUCUUUACUUGCCUUCUUCAAUUCCUCACUCUUAGCUAUUCGUUACAAUGGUACAGGAUUAACCGUGUUGCACAACUACCUAGGGUUUAGGCCUGCUCAAGUCAUCAUCAUCUGGCAGACAGUUGGGAAAUGCUUCUCAUAUAAUUAGAAUCUCAUACAUUCAUUCUGAUCUCCUAUAUAGGAGGCGGUUUAGAAGAUGGGAUUAAACAUCCAAGAUAGUUUCAAAGAAGCUUCUCAGGACAAAACUAAGUCGCUCCAUCUUUUUCUAUGAAUAUAGGAAACUUCCUUGAAACUAGCUUGGAUGAUACUGUUCCGAUUUGGGUUCGAUCGACACUCCGAUUUGAACCAGAGUAGUUGUUGUACAUCAUACAAGCAGAUAAUGAUGGCCGAGGAUAGUGUGCCGGAAGUGACAACGAGAAGUCUUGAAAAUAAAGAAGGGAAUAAUCAGUACUCUUUGUAGUCUUGGUUUCAAGUCCUUGGUUUCAAAGUAUGUUACUGUCUUUCCAUAACCAACAAAACCAAUGAGGUUAAAAGCUAUUUGAAUUAUUAUGACCUCAAAACAGUGCCUAUACAAACACAAAGUACAGAAGGAUUGGAUUUGAGCUAGGGCUUCAACUUGUAACAUUUUAUUUUCUGCAAGAAAAAUUGGAGCCCAAUAAACUGGAACUUCAAAGCCUUUUAUGAAAAACUCAAGAAUAUUAGUGCUCAGACAAACUUAGUGGCUUUACUUUCCUCCAGAAAUCACUGAGCAUAUUUCUUUGAGUACCAACUAAACCAUAACAUAGCAUGUAAGUAUGAACAACUCCAGCUACCUUAAUGAGUAGCAAUCUAAGGCAAGUAAAUAAUUAGCUAAAUAAAAAGUGAUCCUAUAUUAAAUCCCCAAAAUUAGGAGUUUUGACAUUCUUGGUAAGAGAAAGCAACAAACAUUAGCCACUAUUAAGGAACAAGUUUUUUGUCAAACACUUGAAAAACCCCAAGAACUAGGAAAUUGUCCACACCAUUAAGGUCUAAAAAUAGCACUUCUGGGUCCAUCUUCAUCUUAAUAUUCAACUCCCAAAUCCCACAAGAAUAUAUUUGUAACCCACAACCUACCACUCACCACCAAAUCCUAUAAUCCCAUAAAUUGAGGAUUCUAAAACAUUAGACAAAAGGGAGACAAGGAGAGAUUCGAUCAUAGUCUUCAUGAUUGAUUUAAGAACACAACCUCUUCUUUUUAACAUUUGUUAAAAUGACAUUAUAAUUAGACAUCAACACUUUACAUCAAAAGUCCUCCUCUUCCUUCUUCCCUUUCCUUUACCCCUACAAAUUGUUUAUGGAAAAAGGGGGGAAGAAAUAUUAGUAGCACCAUCAAACCCUAAUCUACAAAGGAAGAUGAUGAAGAACAAGAUGAGAAUGAUGGGUCAAUACUACAAAACACAUAAGACCCACCAAAUCACAUAUUCUACCCACCAUAUCUGAAGACACCUAAACUUCGAGCUGAGAAUAUUUAUCAGAAUCGGUACGCUAUUACAACCGCUUCUUUUUUCGCACAUAAUCGGUACGGUGAUAUAUCCGACCCACCAAAAUAACCAAAACACCCUCAGCCAGAUCACGGCCGGGCGGUGCGGAAGGGUUCGAACUGCCGUUGUUGUUGCAGGACAGGAGCGGCGGCCGCCCACGGCCCGGCGACGGGGAUGGCCCGAGGAUGGUGCACGGGCACCAUGGGGUGGUGGUGGUGGUGGUGGGCCCGGGGAUCGACGGUGGCGGAGGGUGAUGUGGAGUUGGGUGGGACCGCGACACGCUCACACGAGGGGCACAUGGUGAGGGUGGUUGGUGGGGUCAUCUGCAUGUAGAAUUGUGGGGAGAGUUUCAGUGCUCUCAGCUCCUGAACUUCUUUCUGCAACCGCCGGUUCUCCUCCGUCAGAUUCUCGCAGCACCUCUUUAGGAACUCACAGUCCACCUCAGUUUGCUUCAGCUUAGUCCUGCAAAUCACAAAGAACCCAGUAAAUAACCACAGUCCAGAAGGGUAAAAAUGACCCAUUAAAUUUUAUUUUAUCACCCAAAAUACCCACGAGACAUGGAAGAAAAUUGCUCACCUUGCCCUUCUGUUCUGAAACCAGACCUCCACCUGUCUAGGCCUGAGCCCGAGCUGCUUGGCCAAAGCUAGCUUUUGCUUCUGCAACAAAGACGAAACCAUUCAUGUCAGAACCAAAAGAGAAGCUUCCUUUUUUGAUAAACAAAAACCCAACUGAAAAUUUUAUCUCUCUGUUCAGUUUUCGCAUCGUCCACUACUUACAGGGUUGAGGGUGUUGUGCUCCUUGAAGCUCUCUUCGAGAAUGGCCGACUGGUCCUUGGAGAGCCUGAGCUUCUUUCUUGAGGUCUCCCCGUCCUCUUCGUCGCUCAUGCCUCGUGAGCCGUCUCUUUCGAGGUCAAGUUCUUCGCCAUUGGCCUCUCUCUCGCUUCGCUUCCCGCUUACGCUUGAUACGGUGCUGUUCGGCGACGACACGUCCUCGCAGUCGCCUGUCGACGGCAGACGGUUCACGUCGAUGCCCCGGAGAAAGGACCGGGCCGGUCCACGACACGUGUCCGAGCUCCGAUCUGCAUGUUCGGAUCAAGAUGCAUUAGUGACGAAAACAAGUAAUGGGUAUUGGAAUUGGAGGUGUAACAAAUCAUGGGUCUGGUUUUAAUUUGAUCAAAAGUUACACAGAUCUGAAAAAAACUGAGAAAAAAGGAAAAGGGGGAAAGAUGAGUAAAGAAAACAGAUGGAAAGGGGUGAAGGAAAGCCAGAUCUGAAAAUGGAAGCCAUGCAAAUACAUAAAAGUGAUGAGAAAACUCCAUGGGAGAUGUACAAACCUGAAGAAGCCAAGGCAUCAUUCCAAGAGGGCUUUUGGGGAUUGAACCCAGAAUGAGGAGAAGAUGAAGUUGGGACCAAAGAGGGCAUGAGAUUGAGCUGAAAGGUGUGGUUGUUAUUGUUGUUGUUGGGAUGAUGAGUCUGGUGAGGGAAAGCACUCAAGCUCAGACUCAGACCCAAAUCUUCUCUUUCAACCAUCAUGGUUGGUUGGCUGGUUUUCUCUGUCAAAGAAAAAGAACCCUCUGAGCUUAGCUGCUUGAUUUGUGUGAGCUUCUUGUUUGCUUCAAGAGGAAACAGAGAGAGAGAAGGGUUUGAAGGAAGAGGGUUGAGAGAGAUGUUUGGUUUUGGAGAAGAGUGGUGGGGAUGUUGAAUGGGUUUUAUAGAGAGGAAAUGGGUGUGGAAGUUCAAUCAUGACUAAGGUGUCAGGGAAGGAAGCCCAAUUAUCUCAAUCAUGGCACUUGUAGUCUUGUUCCCUCAGAAAAUAAUACCCUCUCUCUCUUUAUCUCUCUCUUAUCUCUCUCUCUAGGCCCUUCAUUUAACCAUGGUAAAUAAGGAUGGGUGAAUUAAGGACCCGCCCUUUUAACUGGAUUUGGGAAACAUUACUGUGCUGUCUGUGCAUUUGGUACACAUUGCUAUCAUGGUAAAUUGGGUACUAACUAGUGCUUGACCAAAAACAGAUACAAUUAUUGGUUACAAAUUAAUUUCUAUUAAUUAUAAGAUUUUGACAUAGGAGUUGGGGGAAUUAAAUUUUUAUAACUUUCUUUUGGGAAAUGAAAUCAAAAAUAUAAUCAGUAAUCACAAUUAAUGUUUAUCGAUAACGCUGCAAUAUCAUUUACUUCGGACCGGACUUAUAAUCAUCAAUCAACCCUAAAUGGAGCAUUUUCCAUAAAAGUUGGUAGAUAAUGUCAACAAGGUUUUAAAGAAAAUGUUGGGUAUUUCAUGUAACGAAUUUGGGUUACUUUUUACAAUGGGUGGUAGUGGACUAGUGGUUGAAGUAGAUUGGAAUAAAACUUACUUAAAAAUUUUACCGAGUGCUAAACUAAGUAAGUUCAUUUUCUAGUAUAUCAGAAAUCUUUCUCUUUUUUUUUCUCUUGGUCCCAACAAUUAGUCACUUUUGAUACUAUCGUUAAUUGAAACUAUAAAAGUUCAAUCAACUUCAUUUGAGGAUGUAUAAUAGGAAAAAUAAGUGUAAUCAGGUUCUUUAAAUUGAUUCACUUUUCUUUUAUUAAAAAUAAUUAGGAAAAAGUGAUAUGGUAUAAGAUCCUUUUGUAGUGUUUUUUUUUUCUUAUUUAACUAUUUUCUCUAUUUAAUCCAAAAAAUAAAACAUCGAACGCAUGAUAUUAAGCAUAAAGUAAGAAUGCACUCAAUCACUCCAAAAUCAAUAACAACAAGUUAGCGGCAAAGUUUCAGUUCCUGCAAAACGACUAAUUCAAACGUCACUGUUAACAUCUCAAUGUUGCCCGCACUUUUAUAUUUGUAAUGCCAAAAACUCACAUGAUUUGUUAUCUCCGCACACACUAAAUUUAAAACAAAACUCAUAGUAUUUAUAGCCACUUGUGAACCAUUAGUAAACAUGUCAGUAAGCAUACGUUUUACUCACUGAAGUUCGCCCAUUGAAACGUUAAAGAUUGCAGUUCAAGUUCCGAGUUUUGCUACCACCUUGUUGCUACCUAGCUACUCAUAUUCAGAGAAAACAAUUAGAUCAGUCAAAAUUCAACUAACGACAUAAAAUUUGUUACAUCUUUUUAUCAGAUUAACAACUUAGAAAUCACAGCUAAUAUUACAUGAGUUCAAAUAUGUAAUCUCUGAAUUAUGAACGAAAUAUUUAUCACUAGAGUGACUAGACAAAACGAUACUAACACUAUAAUAAUUACCAAAUGAUGUAAGAAUAUGUUAGAAGAGUUAAUGGUAAAUUUAAGUCCCACAUACCAGCCCCUAAAAGUAAAUGUAACCAAACCAAAUUAAUGCAACUCGGUUGCACUCAUAACCCACCCCGAAAUGCAAAUCACAACCGUAUCCCAGGCAUUAAUGUCCUCCCGGGCCCACCCCCACCAUCAGAUCAAUACGGUAAAAAUCGGACGGCUGAAAACACCUGGGACCCGCAACAUUAUCUUCUGUGGCUUCAUUAUUAGGACCAGAAGCUUGGCAAACCAUCAAAUCAGGUGGAACGGAUGGUCAUGAUUGGCGGGAAAACAGACAGAUCAGCUUUUCCCUCCUGCUUCUCUCUCUUCUGGUUCUUCGUGGUGGGGGCCCCCUUACCCAAGGUGCUCUUUAUCUCUCUCUUUUUUCUUUUCUUUUCUUUUUUUUUAUCCAUGGCCAUCUUUUCAAUCCCUUCCUUUUUUUCUUUCCCAUGCGAUUCCCACGAGGGCAGUGGGUCUUGGAAUAAGGCAUCGCUUUCUCAACCUUUUCUCCCGGUUCAAACCGGUGCGUUUCGUGCCCCUAUACUGUUACGGAUAGAAGACUCCGCCCGGUUGCACGUGUUGGUCACGCUCUUGGAACUUGGGCGUUGAAAUUAGAGGUGGUUUUGCUACUGGACACAGCGAGAGUGCGAUGGACCAAUCUGAGCCGAGGCUGUAAUUAUGUGGCUUUGUAAAUUAGGUAACAUUAAGUAACUCCCGCUCUUGGUUGGUAUUGGAAUUAUGUCUAUUGACUUUAUUGACUUUAUUAAAAUUCUUCAGUAAAAGUCAGCUCUAGAGAUUUAAUUAAGUCAAGUAACCGAACACGGGAAAUCAAUGCCAAAUAACCAAUAUUUUUGCAUGAAAAUGGUGACAAAGUUGUCAAGUUUUUAUUAAGACGGAGUUAAGUAACGCCCUGAGACCAAAUGUAAUUUAGAUACAACCCCUCUUUAAAUUUAGUAACACUUUGAGACGGAGUUAAGAGAUGUUAUUUAGGUAGUGCAAGUAUGUCUUUGUAGGUAAAACCGAAGUGUAAAAGGGACCGGUAAAUGUAAAGGAAAAAAGUUACUUUAACAGAGCUUUUACAGCUGAGCCAAGAGUCCAAGACUGGAAAAAUGUUUAAGGAAAAAAAAAGGAAAAAGAAACAAAGAGACAGAGAGAGAAAGGACUGGGGCAGAGGAGAGUGGAGUUCACGUGGGGGAGAUAGGGAGUUUGAAAAUGAGGGGAAAGCGUGGAAGAAAGAAACCCCAACUCUCACGUGGACCAACAUGUCCUGCGUGGGCCUUCCGAACACGUGCUCUCCCACGCUCUUCCUCCCCACAUUGGUGGGCCCCACACAAAAACCCCACAUCUAGCAGUCGUGCGUGUCAUCUUGUCCCUCCACUUCCCGACACCCUCCUCAUCACAAUCAUUUGAACUCAUCACUUCCCAAGUCUCAACUCUCCCAACUCUAGCGCGUGCAAGACACACUCUCCCAACUGGCCCCCGUUUCCGAAGUCGCGUGUGGUCACGGUCCCUUGAAUUGGUUGGGCUUUCUGGGGGAUCUGUAUCUACAUCUCCAGGUGUUAAACUCAGGCAAGUUGGAGGUGAUCAGUGGCCAGACCUGAUGAAAUGACAACUCUGUCCUGAGAUAAUGAGCCAAUCAUUUAUCCCUUCAGGAAAAGAAAAAUCAGCCAAUCAUUUAUUUCAUUUUCCAAAUUUUUUUUAUCUAUUUUCCAAGUGACUUAGUCUAAUCAUUGCAGAUAGGGAAGUACAAUAAUACAAGUAUCUACAAAUAAUCAAGUCAGCCCUAAUUAUAGACCGAAUUCAAAACAAAAAUAAAUUAUUAUAGACCGUUAGAAAAUAUUAGUAUGAUUUAAUAUUUCAGAUUGAAAUUAGUUUGCAUAGAGAGAUACUUUGUUAACAUGUUCUAAUCUGCGAAAUCAAAUAAUGUAAUUCUAUAUUCUAGACCGUAGUAAUGGAAAAAAAAAAGAUUUGUAACAGAGUGAAUCGUGUAGGUAAAAAAUGGUGAUUAUAGAUCAUUACAUAAAGAAAUACUUGAGACACCAAAAAGCUAUCCCAAAUAUUAAUACUAAAUAAUGUGGCACUUGUCAUAUCAUCAAUUUUCCUACUAAUUAAGUGAUGAUAUAGAUAUCAUAGUAUUUGUACCUAACGAAAAAUGAAUAAAAAGAUAAGAAUGCAUUUGUACCUAAAGAAAAAUUAAUAAAAAUUUAAGAAUAUAUCCUAAAUUUCUUCUUUAAUAGAAAAAAAAUAAUACUAUCUUAUUUUUUUNNNNNNNNNNNNNNNNNNNNNNNNNNNNNNNNNNNNNNNNNNNNNNNNNNNNNNNNNNNNNNNNNNNNNNNNNNNNNNNNNNNNNNNNNNNNNNNNNNNNNNNNNNNNNNNNNNNNNNNNNNNNNNNNNNNNNNNNNNNNNNNNNNNNNNNNNNNNNNNNNNNNNNNNNNNNNNNNNNNNNNNNNNNNNNNNNNNNNNNNNNNNNNNNNNNNNNNNNNNNNNNNNNNNNNNNNNNNNNNNNNNNNNNNNNNNNNNNNNNNNNNNNNNNNNNNNNNNNNNNNNNNNNNNNNNNNNNNNNNNNNNNNNNNNNNNNNNNNNNNNNNNNNNNNNNNNNNNNNNNNNNNNNNNNNNNNNNNNNNNNNNNNNNNNNNNNNNNNNNNNNNNNNNNNNNNNNNNNNNNNNNNNNNNNNNNNNNNNNNNNNNNNNNNNNNNNNNNNNNNNNNNNNNNNNNNNNNNNNNNNNNNNNNNNNNNNNNNNNNNNNNNNNNNNNNNNNNNNNNNNNNNNNNNNNNNNNNNNNNNNNNNNNNNNNNNNNNNNNNNNNNNNNNNNNNNNNNNNNNNNNNNNNNNNNNNNNNNNNNNNNNNNNNNNNNNNNNNNNNNNNNNNNNNNNNNNNNNNNNNNNNNNNNNNNNNNNNNNNNNNNNNNNNNNNNNNNNNNNNNNNNNNNNNNNNNNNNNNNNNNNNNNNNNNNNNNNNNNNNNNNNNNNNNNNNNNNNNNNNNNNNNNNNNNNNNNNNNNNNNNNNNNNNNNNNNNNNNNNNNNNNNNNNNNNNNNNNNNNNNNNNNNNNNNNNNNNNNNNNNNNNNNNNNNNNNNNNNNNNNNNNNNNNNNNNNNNNNNNNNNNNNNNNNNNNNNNNNNNNNNNNNNNNNNNNNNNNNNNNNNNNNNNNNNNNNNNNNNNNNNNNNNNNNNNNNNNNNNNNNNNNNNNNNNNNNNNNNNNNNNNNNNNNNNNNNNNNNNNNNNNNNNNNNNNNNNNNNNNNNNNNNNNNNNNNNNNNNNNNNNNNNNNNNNNNNNNNNNNNNNNNNNNNNNNNNNNNNNNNNNNNNNNNNNNNNNNNNNNNNNNNNNNNNNNNNNNNNNNNNNNNNNNNNNNNNNNNNNNNNNNNNNNNNNNNNNNNNNNNNNNNNNNNNNNNNNNNNNNNNNNNNNNNNNNNNNNNNNNNNNNNNNNNNNNNNNNNNNNNNNNNNNNNNNNNNNNNNNNNNNNNNNNNNNNNNNNNNNNNNNNNNNNNNNNNNNNNNNNNNNNNNNNNNNNNNNNNNNNNNNNNNNNNNNNNNNNNNNNNNNNNNNNNNNNNNNNNNNNNNNNNNNNNNNNNNNNNNNNNNNNNNNNNNNNNNNNNNNNNNNNNNNNNNNNNNNNNNNNNNNNNNNNNNNNNNNNNNNNNNNNNNNNNNNNNNNNNNNNNNNNNNNNNNNNNNNNNNNNNNNNNNNNNNNNNNNNNNNNNNNNNNNNNNNNNNNNNNNNNNNNNNNNNNNNNNNNNNNNNNNNNNNNNNNNNNNNNNNNNNNNNNNNNNNNNNNNNNNNNNNNNNNNNNNNNNNNNNNNNNNNNNNNNNNNNNNNNNNNNNNNNNNNNNNNNNNNNNNNNNNNNNNNNNNNNNNNNNNNNNNNNNNNNNNNNNNNNNNNNNNNNNNNNNNNNNNNNNNNNNNNNNNNNNNNNNNNNNNNNNNNNNNNNNNNNNNNNNNNNNNNNNNNNNNNNNNNNNNNNNNNNNNNNNNNNNNNNNNNNNNNNNNNNNNNNNNNNNNNNNNNNNNNNNNNNNNNNNNNNNNNNNNNNNNNNNNNNNNNNNNNNNNNNNNNNNNNNNNNNNNNNNNNNNNNNNNNNNNNNNNNNNNNNNNNNNNNNNNNNNNNNNNNNNNNNNNNNNNNNNNNNNNNNNNNNNNNNNNNNNNNNNNNNNNNNNNNNNNNNNNNNNNNNNNNNNNNNNNNNNNNNNNNNNNNNNNNNNNNNNNNNNNNNNNNNNNNNNNNNNNNNNNNNNNNNNNNNNNNNNNNNNNNNNNNNNNNNNNNNNNNNNNNNNNNNNNNNNNNNNNNNNNNNNNNNNNNNNNNNNNNNNNNNNNNNNNNNNNNNNNNNNNNNNNNNNNNNNNNNNNNNNNNNNNNNNNNNNNNNNNNNNNNNNNNNNNNNNNNNNNNNNNNNNNNNNNNNNNNNNNNNNNNNNNNNNNNNNNNNNNNNNNNNNNNNNNNNNNNNNNNNNNNNNNNNNNNNNNNNNNNNNNNNNNNNNNNNNNNNNNNNNNNNNNNNNNNNNNNNNNNNNNNNNNNNNNNNNNNNNNNNNNNNNNNNNNNNNNNNNNNNNNNNNNNNNNNNNNNNNNNNNNNNNNNNNNNNNNNNNNNNNNNNNNNNNNNNNNNNNNNNNNNNNNNNNNNNNNNNNNNNNNNNNNNNNNNNNNNNNNNNNNNNNNNNNNNNNNNNNNNNNNNNNNNNNNNNNNNNNNNNNNNNNNNNNNNNNNNNNNNNNNNNNNNNNNNNNNNNNNNNNNNNNNNNNNNNNNNNNNNNNNNNNNNNNNNNNNNNNNNNNNNNNNNNNNNNNNNNNNNNNNNNNNNNNNNNNNNNNNNNNNNNNNNNNNNNNNNNNNNNNNNNNNNNNNNNNNNNNNNNNNNNNNNNNNNNNNNNNNNNNNNNNNNNNNNNNNNNNNNNNNNNNNNNNNNNNNNNNNNNNNNNNNNNNNNNNNNNNNNNNNNNNNNNNNNNNNNNNNNNNNNNNNNNNNNNNNNNNNNNNNNNNNNNNNNNNNNNNNNNNNNNNNNNNNNNNNNNNNNNNNNNNNNNNNNNNNNNNNNNNNNNNNNNNNNNNNNNNNNNNNNNNNNNNNNNNNNNNNNNNNNNNNNNNNNNNNNNNNNNNNNNNNNNNNNNNNNNNNNNNNNNNNNNNNNNNNNNNNNNNNNNNNNNNNNNNNNNNNNNNNNNNNNNNNNNNNNNNNNNNNNNNNNNNNNNNNNNNNNNNNNNNNNNNNNNNNNNNNNNNNNNNNNNNNNNNNNNNNNNNNNNNNNNNNNNNNNNNNNNNNNNNNNNNNNNNNNNNNNNNNNNNNNNNNNNNNNNNNNNNNNNNNNNNNNNNNNNNNNNNNNNNNNNNNNNNNNNNNNNNNNNNNNNNNNNNNNNNNNNNNNNNNNNNNNNNNNNNNNNNNNNNNNNNNNNNNNNNNNNNNNNNNNNNNNNNNNNNNNNNNNNNNNNNNNNNNNNNNNNNNNNNNNNNNNNNNNNNNNNNNNNNNNNNNNNNNNNNNNNNNNNNNNNNNNNNNNNNNNNNNNNNNNNNNNNNNNNNNNNNNNNNNNNNNNNNNNNNNNNNNNNNNNNNNNNNNNNNNNNNNNNNNNNNNNNNNNNNNNNNNNNNNNNNNNNNNNNNNNNNNNNNNNNNNNNNNNNNNNNNNNNNNNNNNNNNNNNNNNNNNNNNNNNNNNNNNNNNNNNNNNNNNNNNNNNNNNNNNNNNNNNNNNNNNNNNNNNNNNNNNNNNNNNNNNNNNNNNNNNNNNNNNNNNNNNNNNNNNNNNNNNNNNNNNNNNNNNNNNNNNNNNNNNNNNNNNNNNNNNNNNNNNNNNNNNNNNNNNNNNNNNNNNNNNNNNNNNNNNNNNNNNNNNNNNNNNNNNNNNNNNNNNNNNNNNNNNNNNNNNNNNNNNNNNNNNNNNNNNNNNNNNNNNNNNNNNNNNNNNNNNNNNNNNNNNNNNNNNNNNNNNNNNNNNNNNNNNNNNNNNNNNNNNNNNNNNNNNNNNNNNNNNNNNNNNNNNNNNNNNNNNNNNNNNNNNNNNNNNNNNNNNNNNNNNNNNNNNNNNNNNNNNNNNNNNNNNNNNNNNNNNNNNNNNNNNNNNNNNNNNNNNNNNNNNNNNNNNNNNNNNNNNNNNNNNNNNNNNNNNNNNNNNNNNNNNNNNNNNNNNNNNNNNNNNNNNNNNNNNNNNNNNNNNNNNNNNNNNNNNNNNNNNNNNNNNNNNNNNNNNNNNNNNNNNNNNNNNNNNNNNNNNNNNNNNNNNNNNNNNNNNNNNNNNNNNNNNNNNNNNNNNNNNNNNNNNNNNNNNNNNNNNNNNNNNNNNNNNNNNNNNNNNNNNNNNNNNNNNNNNNNNNNNNNNNNNNNNNNNNNNNNNNNNNNNNNNNNNNNNNNNNNNNNNNNNNNNNNNNNNNNNNNNNNNNNNNNNNNNNNNNNNNNNNNNNNNNNNNNNNNNNNNNNNNNNNNNNNNNNNNNNNNNNNNNNNNNNNNNNNNNNNNNNNNNNNNNNNNNNNNNNNNNNNNNNNNNNNNNNNNNNNNNNNNNNNNNNNNNNNNNNNNNNNNNNNNNNNNNNNNNNNNNNNNNNNNNNNNNNNNNNNNNNNNNNNNNNNNNNNNNNNNNNNNNNNNNNNNNNNNNNNNNNNNNNNNNNNNNNNNNNNNNNNNNNNNNNNNNNNNNNNNNNNNNNNNNNNNNNNNNNNNNNNNNNNNNNNNNNNNNNNNNNNNNNNNNNNNNNNNNNNNNNNNNNNNNNNNNNNNNNNNNNNNNNNNNNNNNNNNNNNNNNNNNNNNNNNNNNNNNNNNNNNNNNNNNNNNNNNNNNNNNNNNNNNNNNNNNNNNNNNNNNNNNNNNNNNNNNNNNNNNNNNNNNNNNNNNNNNNNNNNNNNNNNNNNNNNNNNNNNNNNNNNNNNNNNNNNNNNNNNNNNNNNNNNNNNNNNNNNNNNNNNNNNNNNNNNNNNNNNNNNNNNNNNNNNNNNNNNNNNNNNNNNNNNNNNNNNNNNNNNNNNNNNNNNNNNNNNNNNNNNNNNNNNNNNNNNNNNNNNNNNNNNNNNNNNNNNNNNNNNNNNNNNNNNNNNNNNNNNNNNNNNNNNNNNNNNNNNNNNNNNNNNNNNNNNNNNNNNNNNNNNNNNNNNNNNNNNNNNNNNNNNNNNNNNNNNNNNNNNNNNNNNNNNNNNNNNNNNNNNNNNNNNNNNNNNNNNNNNNNNNNNNNNNNNNNNNNNNNNNNNNNNNNNNNNNNNNNNNNNNNNNNNNNNNNNNNNNNNNNNNNNNNNNNNNNNNNNNNNNNNNNNNNNNNNNNNNNNNNNNNNNNNNNNNNNNNNNNNNNNNNNNNNNNNNNNNNNNNNNNNNNNNNNNNNNNNNNNNNNNNNNNNNNNNNNNNNNNNNNNNNNNNNNNNNNNNNNNNNNNNNNNNNNNNNNNNNNNNNNNNNNNNNNNNNNNNNNNNNNNNNNNNNNNNNNNNNNNNNNNNNNNNNNNNNNNNNNNNNNNNNNNNNNNNNNNNNNNNNNNNNNNNNNNNNNNNNNNNNNNNNNNNNNNNNNNNNNNNNNNNNNNNNNNNNNNNNNNNNNNNNNNNNNNNNNNNNNNNNNNNNNNNNNNNNNNNNNNNNNNNNNNNNNNNNNNNNNNNNNNNNNNNNNNNNNNNNNNNNNNNNNNNNNNNNNNNNNNNNNNNNNNNNNNNNNNNNNNNNNNNNNNNNNNNNNNNNNNNNNNNNNNNNNNNNNNNNNNNNNNNNNNNNNNNNNNNNNNNNNNNNNNNNNNNNNNNNNNNNNNNNNNNNNNNNNNNNNNNNNNNNNNNNNNNNNNNNNNNNNNNNNNNNNNNNNNNNNNNNNNNNNNNNNNNNNNNNNNNNNNNNNNNNNNNNNNNNNNNNNNNNNNNNNNNNNNNNNNNNNNNNNNNNNNNNNNNNNNNNNNNNNNNNNNNNNNNNNNNNNNNNNNNNNNNNNNNNNNNNNNNNNNNNNNNNNNNNNNNNNNNNNNNNNNNNNNNNNNNNNNNNNNNNNNNNNNNNNNNNNNNNNNNNNNNNNNNNNNNNNNNNNNNNNNNNNNNNNNNNNNNNNNNNNNNNNNNNNNNNNNNNNNNNNNNNNNNNNNNNNNNNNNNNNNNNNNNNNNNNNNNNNNNNNNNNNNNNNNNNNNNNNNNNNNNNNNNNNNNNNNNNNNNNNNNNNNNNNNNNNNNNNNNNNNNNNNNNNNNNNNNNNNNNNNNNNNNNNNNNNNNNNNNNNNNNNNNNNNNNNNNNNNNNNNNNNNNNNNNNNNNNNNNNNNNNNNNNNNNNNNNNNNNNNNNNNNNNNNNNNNNNNNNNNNNNNNNNNNNNNNNNNNNNNNNNNNNNNNNNNNNNNNNNNNNNNNNNNNNNNNNNNNNNNNNNNNNNNNNNNNNNNNNNNNNNNNNNNNNNNNNNNNNNNNNNNNNNNNNNNNNNNNNNNNNNNNNNNNNNNNNNNNNNNNNNNNNNNNNNNNNNNNNNNNNNNNNNNNNNNNNNNNNNNNNNNNNNNNNNNNNNNNNNNNNNNNNNNNNNNNNNNNNNNNNNNNNNNNNNNNNNNNNNNNNNNNNNNNNNNNNNNNNNNNNNNNNNNNNNNNNNNNNNNNNNNNNNNNNNNNNNNNNNNNNNNNNNNNNNNNNNNNNNNNNNNNNNNNNNNNNNNNNNNNNNNNNNNNNNNNNNNNNNNNNNNNNNNNNNNNNNNNNNNNNNNNNNNNNNNNNNNNNNNNNNNNNNNNNNNNNNNNNNNNNNNNNNNNNNNNNNNNNNNNNNNNNNNNNNNNNNNNNNNNNNNNNNNNNNNNNNNNNNNNNNNNNNNNNNNNNNNNNNNNNNNNNNNNNNNNNNNNNNNNNNNNNNNNNNNNNNNNNNNNNNNNNNNNNNNNNNNNNNNNNNNNNNNNNNNNNNNNNNNNNNNNNNNNNNNNNNNNNNNNNNNNNNNNNNNNNNNNNNNNNNNNNNNNNNNNNNNNNNNNNNNNNNNNNNNNNNNNNNNNNNNNNNNNNNNNNNNNNNNNNNNNNNNNNNNNNNNNNNNNNNNNNNNNNNNNNNNNNNNNNNNNNNNNNNNNNNNNNNNNNNNNNNNNNNNNNNNNNNNNNNNNNNNNNNNNNNNNNNNNNNNNNNNNNNNNNNNNNNNNNNNNNNNNNNNNNNNNNNNNNNNNNNNNNNNNNNNNNNNNNNNNNNNNNNNNNNNNNNNNNNNNNNNNNNNNNNNNNNNNNNNNNNNNNNNNNNNNNNNNNNNNNNNNNNNNNNNNNNNNNNNNNNNNNNNNNNNNNNNNNNNNNNNNNNNNNNNNNNNNNNNNNNNNNNNNNNNNNNNNNNNNNNNNNNNNNNNNNNNNNNNNNNNNNNNNNNNNNNNNNNNNNNNNNNNNNNNNNNNNNNNNNNNNNNNNNNNNNNNNNNNNNNNNNNNNNNNNNNNNNNNNNNNNNNNNNNNNNNNNNNNNNNNNNNNNNNNNNNNNNNNNNNNNNNNNNNNNNNNNNNNNNNNNNNNNNNNNNNNNNNNNNNNNNNNNNNNNNNNNNNNNNNNNNNNNNNNNNNNNNNNNNNNNNNNNNNNNNNNNNNNNNNNNNNNNNNNNNNNNNNNNNNNNNNNNNNNNNNNNNNNNNNNNNNNNNNNNNNNNNNNNNNNNNNNNNNNNNNNNNNNNNNNNNNNNNNNNNNNNNNNNNNNNNNNNNNNNNNNNNNNNNNNNNNNNNNNNNNNNNNNNNNNNNNNNNNNNNNNNNNNNNNNNNNNNNNNNNNNNNNNNNNNNNNNNNNNNNNNNNNNNNNNNNNNNNNNNNNNNNNNNNNNNNNNNNNNNNNNNNNNNNNNNNNNNNNNNNNNNNNNNNNNNNNNNNNNNNNNNNNNNNNNNNNNNNNNNNNNNNNNNNNNNNNNNNNNNNNNNNNNNNNNNNNNNNNNNNNNNNNNNNNNNNNNNNNNNNNNNNNNNNNNNNNNNNNNNNNNNNNNNNNNNNNNNNNNNNNNNNNNNNNNNNNNNNNNNNNNNNNNNNNNNNNNNNNNNNNNNNNNNNNNNNNNNNNNNNNNNNNNNNNNNNNNNNNNNNNNNNNNNNNNNNNNNNNNNNNNNNNNNNNNNNNNNNNNNNNNNNNNNNNNNNNNNNNNNNNNNNNNNNNNNNNNNNNNNNNNNNNNNNNNNNNNNNNNNNNNNNNNNNNNNNNNNNNNNNNNNNNNNNNNNNNNNNNNNNNNNNNNNNNNNNNNNNNNNNNNNNNNNNNNNNNNNNNNNNNNNNNNNNNNNNNNNNNNNNNNNNNNNNNNNNNNNNNNNNNNNNNNNNNNNNNNNNNNNNNNNNNNNNNNNNNNNNNNNNNNNNNNNNNNNNNNNNNNNNNNNNNNNNNNNNNNNNNNNNNNNNNNNNNNNNNNNNNNNNNNNNNNNNNNNNNNNNNNNNNNNNNNNNNNNNNNNNNNNNNNNNNNNNNNNNNNNNNNNNNNNNNNNNNNNNNNNNNNNNNNNNNNNNNNNNNNNNNNNNNNNNNNNNNNNNNNNNNNNNNNNNNNNNNNNNNNNNNNNNNNNNNNNNNNNNNNNNNNNNNNNNNNNNNNNNNNNNNNNNNNNNNNNNNNNNNNNNNNNNNNNNNNNNNNNNNNNNNNNNNNNNNNNNNNNNNNNNNNNNNNNNNNNNNNNNNNNNNNNNNNNNNNNNNNNNNNNNNNNNNNNNNNNNNNNNNNNNNNNNNNNNNNNNNNNNNNNNNNNNNNNNNNNNNNNNNNNNNNNNNNNNNNNNNNNNNNNNNNNNNNNNNNNNNNNNNNNNNNNNNNNNNNNNNNNNNNNNNNNNNNNNNNNNNNNNNNNNNNNNNNNNNNNNNNNNNNNNNNNNNNNNNNNNNNNNNNNNNNNNNNNNNNNNNNNNNNNNNNNNNNNNNNNNNNNNNNNNNNNNNNNNNNNNNNNNNNNNNNNNNNNNNNNNNNNNNNNNNNNNNNNNNNNNNNNNNNNNNNNNNNNNNNNNNNNNNNNNNNNNNNNNNNNNNNNNNNNNNNNNNNNNNNNNNNNNNNNNNNNNNNNNNNNNNNNNNNNNNNNNNNNNNNNNNNNNNNNNNNNNNNNNNNNNNNNNNNNNNNNNNNNNNNNNNNNNNNNNNNNNNNNNNNNNNNNNNNNNNNNNNNNNNNNNNNNNNNNNNNNNNNNNNNNNNNNNNNNNNNNNNNNNNNNNNNNNNNNNNNNNNNNNNNNNNNNNNNNNNNNNNNNNNNNNNNNNNNNNNNNNNNNNNNNNNNNNNNNNNNNNNNNNNNNNNNNNNNNNNNNNNNNNNNNNNNNNNNNNNNNNNNNNNNNNNNNNNNNNNNNNNNNNNNNNNNNNNNNNNNNNNNNNNNNNNNNNNNNNNNNNNNNNNNNNNNNNNNNNNNNNNNNNNNNNNNNNNNNNNNNNNNNNNNNNNNNNNNNNNNNNNNNNNNNNNNNNNNNNNNNNNNNNNNNNNNNNNNNNNNNNNNNNNNNNNNNNNNNNNNNNNNNNNNNNNNNNNNNNNNNNNNNNNNNNNNNNNNNNNNNNNNNNNNNNNNNNNNNNNNNNNNNNNNNNNNNNNNNNNNNNNNNNNNNNNNNNNNNNNNNNNNNNNNNNNNNNNNNNNNNNNNNNNNNNNNNNNNNNNNNNNNNNNNNNNNNNNNNNNNNNNNNNNNNNNNNNNNNNNNNNNNNNNNNNNNNNNNNNNNNNNNNNNNNNNNNNNNNNNNNNNNNNNNNNNNNNNNNNNNNNNNNNNNNNNNNNNNNNNNNNNNNNNNNNNNNNNNNNNNNNNNNNNNNNNNNNNNNNNNNNNNNNNNNNNNNNNNNNNNNNNNNNNNNNNNNNNNNNNNNNNNNNNNNNNNNNNNNNNNNNNNNNNNNNNNNNNNNNNNNNNNNNNNNNNNNNNNNNNNNNNNNNNNNNNNNNNNNNNNNNNNNNNNNNNNNNNNNNNNNNNNNNNNNNNNNNNNNNNNNNNNNNNNNNNNNNNNNNNNNNNNNNNNNNNNNNNNNNNNNNNNNNNNNNNNNNNNNNNNNNNNNNNNNNNNNNNNNNNNNNNNNNNNNNNNNNNNNNNNNNNNNNNNNNNNNNNNNNNNNNNNNNNNNNNNNNNNNNNNNNNNNNNNNNNNNNNNNNNNNNNNNNNNNNNNNNNNNNNNNNNNNNNNNNNNNNNNNNNNNNNNNNNNNNNNNNNNNNNNNNNNNNNNNNNNNNNNNNNNNNNNNNNNNNNNNNNNNNNNNNNNNNNNNNNNNNNNNNNNNNNNNNNNNNNNNNNNNNNNNNNNNNNNNNNNNNNNNNNNNNNNNNNNNNNNNNNNNNNNNNNNNNNNNNNNNNNNNAAAAUAGUACAAAAUCCAUGUAGCUAUUCCUUUCUAAUAAAGUUAAUGAGUUUGAACAUGCCACAUCAUUUGGUAUAAGAUUUUGGUAUAAAAAUUUGGUGUCUCAUUCAUUUUGAAAUAAAUAGUGAUUAAUUGGUAAUGCUACAAUAUACUAAUUAACCAUCCUGAAUCAUUACUAACAAACAUUUAGGUCGAUCAUUGUCAUCUGGAAUUGGAUUUUGUGAGAUUCAUAUUGAUACGGAGAUCUAAACUCUAUAAUUUACUGAAGAAAAUAAAAUAUAUGUAAAUCCCAAGUUAGCAAACGUGUUAUCGAAAUUGUGCUCUCAAAACUUAAAUUAAGCAAUUCUAAAAUCACUCAUAUGGCUAUGAUUGAUAUCAAAGAGGUGCAAUGUUGAUCCGACUUACGCGGAGCGACUUAGGGUUUCAAAGGUUUUUCCUAGCAGCGGCGUCAAAUCUUAGACUCUCUCGACCAUCCAAUGGUAGGAAACCGAAGGAGGUGUUUUAGAGAGAGAAUAUCAUCUUCACAGACGGCACCUUCCGGAUCCAGACCAAACUAGGGCUCUAUCCAUGGCUUUUGUUUGUGGCUGAGCGUUGUUCUGAUGAGAGAAGGUUGGUGUCCAUAACACUGCAAAGAAACAACUUACAAUAAGUGGUUUCAGGUCGACGACUCUUCAAAGAGGGAUGGGAUUGCCAAAUAACCCUCAAUCUGAGAUGUUUGCCAUGCUUGCUAACAUAUGGCGAAAAGCUAAAUCGAGAAAGAUGAUGAUCAACCUGCUAAUUUCGGCGAUCUGUGUGCCGAGAGAAGGACCUUGGAAGCCGUCGAAAUCCAUGGUUGUUGCGAAGAUCCGACCACUGCCUAAUAGGGUUUUGGCUUGGCCUAAGGUCCUUGGGCCUGGGCUUGGACAUGAGUCCUUAGGCCUGGACUUAAACAUAAGUCCUUGGGCUCGGGCUAGGGUUUGGGUUUGGACUCGGCUCCUGGAGCUAGGUCCAGGCUGGGAUUGAUGAUGAUAUCAGUGUGCUCAAGGGUGAUGACGGUUAAGCCGUCUUGGCUGUCGUCAAUGUUGGUGGAGAUCGGCUACAAGAGAUGUGAAUCUUCUAGGGUUUGGGAAUGGGCUCAGGUCUUUAGGCCUAGGUCUAAACCCGAACCCUAAAAAAGUUAUGUUUGGAAUUGGGUUGUUGCGCCUGAUUUCAAACUAAUUGUGGCUUAAGUUGCGGUGUUUGAACAACUUGGCAUACUGAGCAAGCCUGAUGCAGCUAGAUGAAUUCUUGAAAUUUGGAGUACCGCAAUUGAGACGCCUUGACUCCAGUUUUUAUGUUUCUCUUGUAUCUUGUUUUGUAUUUGGUUUAAUCUUGUGUUUAGCUUAAUUGAAUAAAUGAGUUAACUGUCUAAUGUAAUAGUGCUUUGUUGCCAUUAUGACUUGAGCCUUAUCAUUGAAAUAUUUAUCUUUCAAAAACUAGUUCAUAUGGCUGUCAAUAAUGUAAACGUAGCUUUGCAUUCAAAAUCAAAUGUAGUCAAAUGUUCGGAUUUGAAUUUGCCAACCAGCAAAGGAUGGUGGUCUCCAUGACCAUCUAAUCAAAACUCUCUCUCUCUCUCUCNNNNNNNNNNNNNNNNNNNNUCUCUCUCUCUCUCUCUCUCUCUCUCUCUCUCUCUCUCUCUCUCUCUCUCUCUCUCUCUCUCGAUUGGAUGGUCAUGAUUGAAUGGUCAUGGAGACCAUCAACCUUUGCUGGUUGGCAAAUUCAAAUCCCAAAUGUUCUCACUGUGACUCAAUAAUAAGUCAUAAACAAUUGCUAAUGAUGGCACCACCAAACAAAAGGAAAGAAGAAUCUAUAAAAUUAACAAUUAUGAGUAAGGCUAUUGUAUGUUAAUAGUUUGAGUUUCCAUACAUGUCUUAUGUAAUCUUUAUCACUUCAAGAACUCCUUUGAAAACUGAUCAUGUAUUCACUUAUCACUUUGAAUCCUCAUAUCACGGCUUUAAUGACUCAUGUAGUAUUGUAGUAAACAUAUGAAAAGUUCAUUGUAACUGUAAAAUAGUAUCCUUAUUCGAGUAAACUCAAUUAAGACUAAAAAAUGAUAAUGACAUGUAGUUUAUACGUUAAACGUAUUGGAAAAUAUCCAAUUUCUACUAAAGUCAUUCAAAUUAGUAGCAUUACAUUUACUUUAGAUUAAUUUCAGUUUAACUUUCUGAUGUUUAGGUUAACAUCAUUUAAUGCUCAUACUUGUAAUUUUGAAAAUUUACCCCUUAUGGUGUCUAAUUUUCAUAAAUUAUGCUAAUUGUUGUAAUUCUGUCUAAUUUGGAUGUUAAAUGCUCAAUUGUUGAAAUUUCGUCUAAUUUGAAUGUUAAAUGUUAAAAUAGAAUCUUAGAAAAAGUGUCAUAAAAGACGAUUUUUGUUUUUAUAUGAUUAUUUGAACUAAUAAAAUGAGUUAUAAAGGUCAAAAUUAACGUUCAAAUUAGUCGGAAUUUCAGCAAUUAAACAUGAUUUAUGAGAUAAAUUUUUUAAAUUAAGUAAACGGACACUGAAACGAAGUUAACCCCAAACUUUAAAUGGUAAAAUGAAUUUAUAUAAAUCCCACUCAUGACAUAUGGGUGUGAAAUUGUUAGUCACUUUUCUUGGGAAUUCUUGCCGUCACUACAAACACAUGUUGGUGAUGUUUUUUUUUGAAAGUAUGUUGGUGAUGUUGUCCCCAAAUAAUUUUUAUGUUGAAGUUUUAGGUCAUACUUCCAGUUUUGUUACAGCUGACAUGACACAUGCACCAAACGUACAUCUAAGUUUGAUUGAUAGUACAAUAAUUCAAGGUGGUAGUCACGCUCCUAGUCUUGUUCUCUUAAACCCUAAUGUAUCGUUAUUUAGACAUUUCAUAAAAAUAUACAUGUUUUUACGUGUGUAACAACUUAACUUGUACUAAUUUGACAAGCAUGUAAUGAAACACAUCGCACAAUGCGGGUGGAUAUGUUGAUGAUUUUCUUUUAUUUUUGAAAUCAGAUUUCGACAAAAACGACAUAGACUUUAGAAGGAGAAGACCAAUCAAUAUCUUUUAUAGGCCAAGCACAUCCCUAAAUUCGGUCCAAUGAUGACGGCAUGACAAACCAUGAUUUAUGGAAGCAUUAUUGUGACAUCUGCUAUAGUGACUACUGACCAGUGCCCAAUUUCGAAGGCCUUCACCAUCGUUUAGCUAAUAGUGCCAUCUACUAUAUGGGAUAUUAGCUUCGACUUGUUGUCGGUUUAGUGUUCUUUUAUCUAUAGGUAAUUGGGUAUAGUGAUUCCUACUCACUAGCUUCUCCUUUUCAUUGAGAGAUGGCAAAUAUUAAAAUGACUACACAUGAAAAUGCUACAAUAUAUCAUGGAAAAGUUAGAGAAUCAUGAAACUAAUACAUUUUUUUUAUACGAAUUAUAGUUAGCUAGUAGCAACGUGACGGAAACCAAUUCACAAGUAAAAAAAUGUUUGCGGAAAACUCAUAUCAUAAUUGAAUUAGAAUUUUAUACGGAACGGAUUUUACGCAUCAAGGUGCAAUUACACUAUUAAUAUGUAAGUUCUUAAAUUCCCGUAUGCGAAGAUCUAAUGAAAACUAGAGACCCUGAAUUUCUUUAUUUCAUUUUAAUUUUGACCCGAUCAAAUUAAGUACUCAUAAUAAGAGAACCUCUUAUUUGAUCUCAAGUUAUCACCUUUUGUGUUGGAAAUACUUAGGACUAUUUUUUUUAGUUUUAAUUUUGUUAACGGUAUUAUAAUAUAUGUAUGAUAAUGAGACGUAGAUGACCGAAUCAAAAUAUUACAUACUAAUUGCUCGAUUAACUUGCACUUUAAUAAUUAAUAUUUUUUUCGAUUAUCGGUAACCUAGCUCAGGGGCUCAUUGCCUCAAUUCUUUCCCCCGACACCCAAAAGGCCGCCCCUACGAGAGCGUGGGCUAUAAAAUUGCCCUACAGAAAAGGCAAAGAUGAAGUUGAAACUCAGAAAUACCAUGAUGAUGAGCAUGAUGGGGUUGAAUGAUGAUGCUAAUAAUGAUGGUGAUGAUGAUAGAGUGGGCAUAUCACACAAAAUUAAUUAAAAAGAAAAAGAGGUCUAAUCUAAUAUAGGAAAUUUGAAUAAUAAUUGGGGAAAGGAAGGCAGACAAGAUGUCGGGUGAUGAUUAAGCGUGUCCCCACGGGUGCAUGCUAGCUGUCCCACGUGUUCCCCCAAUUGCCACGUCAUAAUUAGUCGUUAUUACUUCAUUAAGUCAUUUGGCCUUCACACUACCCGACAAACCACGGCCCCCAUCAUCAUGCCCUUCGCUUGGCCGUACGAGGCUCCCUUUCCCUACUUCCCACCUGAUUCUCACGUGAACCAGGUCCCUCCCCUAGUCCCUUUGCACUUGUUCCAUCACCCAAUUUGACAUUUACUUAAUUUUUGCCUAUUUUUUGCCAAAUUAAAACUCAAAAUAAAAAUUUAUUUUCACAAAAGAUGACACUAAUAUUAGUAAUAUACGAAUUUAUUUAUGAUCUCGAUUGUUAUUAAAAAAAAGAAGAGAAAAAGUAAGGACGUACGUGAUAACUGAUAAGAAGCUAAUUUUGUCAUAACUUGUUGACGAAAAUUGUCAACUUAUUCGCCUUUAUUCCUCUUAUGAUGUAUUUUACGAGAGCUAGACUCUCUAGAGUGACUGGCCCUUUUCAUAUUUCAUUUAGGAAAACUUUUAUGAGCUGUAUCCAAUCAUAAACAAGUAAUUGUCACAUAUAAGCAAUAUUACAGUUGAACUGACUAAGAAAUGAUAGAAGAAAUUUGUUUAAGCAUCAAAAUCGAAAUACGUUUUUAAUAAAAUUAGAAGAGUUUGUUGAAGACCUUGGCUUCGAAUUCUUGAGUGUAAGAAACUUCUCAUUCCUAUAAAUACUUUGGAUUGUUCAUAGAAUGUAUAAUAUUGAGUAUUGAUUAUCUUCUUUUUAUGUAUAACUGAUUUGUUUGUUGAUACCUAUAUAAUGUAAGGAUAUAUAUAUAUAUAUAUGUUAUCAAAUAAACAACAUAAAUGACAGAAUGAGUCUAUCGUAAGUCGAAUUCACGACAUUUCACUUACUCAUAAGAGCAUCUCCAACAGCUUCCUUAAAAUUUAUUUAAAAUGGGGAAGCAAAAGCUAAAAUCUCCAAAAAAAUUAUGAUCAAAAUCCAGCAACUUCUCCAUUUUAGAGAUUUCAGCAUUUAAUACAACAAUAAAAUAUAAUAUAUCAUCAUUAAUUAUAACAAAAAACAUUAUAUAUUUCAUUGUAACAAUAAACUACCCAAUAAAAUAUUUUAUUAUUGUCUUAAAUUCGUUGUAGCACGUGAAGAAUUUAAUUUUGGGGAAGGAAAGCUUUGCUGUAAAUUUGGGGAAUGAAGACUUCUUUUUCUUCUUCAUCUCCAUUUUGGGGAAUGAGAUGGGGAAACUGUUGGGAAACUGUUGGAUAUAAAAAUAGCUCUAUAUUCCUCAAAAUUGAGAAUUUCAAGAAAAUGAGGAAGUUGUUAGAGAUGCUCUAAGAGAAUAGAUCAAACGGCACUAGGCAUGUGAGGGUAUAUACGAUAAUUAAAAAACUUAAUCAUUUCCCAAUGAAACGUAAGUAAAAUUAUUUAACAAGCUCCACUAAAUUGAUCUGAAAUGAAAUACAAUCAUUCACCCCGACCGAUUUGACCAUACAAGGAGCUUCAAAAACUGUUGAAGAAUGUUGCAGAUGCCUUUCUCAAUGUCGAAAUUGUCGACAAUGAGGACGAUGAUUGGAAGCCCAUAAAUCUUUCCCAAGUACAAGUGUACAACCAUGCAAAUCGACAAUGGAAUUUCGACGUUUUUACCUCAUAAUUAUUUAUUUAAUUAUUUAGGAUCCAAUUAUUUAUCUCCAGAAGAAGAAUUAGAUGAAGGAAUGGAUAGGUUUUGUCCUUUUUACCCGACAACCCGAUAAUAGGACCCGCCCACCAUUUCCCCACACGGUUCCGUCCCAUGUGGACGGCACGUGAAGCGCGACCCCCCUCUCUUGGGUGCUUGUUUCUAUCUGGUGAACUCAGAAUGACCAAAAUACCCUUAUGAUAAUCUCCUUCAGAUGGACUAGGACCAUCAGGCAUUUUCAAUGAUUUGAGCGACUGGGAAUUUGGGGGUCUUUUCGGAGAGUUUGAUAAGACGCUUCAGUUGGCUUGUUAGUCUUGUGUUGGUCACAGGAAUUUCAUGCCCCUCUCGCGAUCCCCACCUCCGCCAAUCAUAUUUAUAUGUCAUCUUCCUCUAGACCCCAUCCAUAUGAGCUUUUCCUUUCUUUUAGUUCUUGCAACUAUGAGGAAAGACUAGACGUGCUGUGUAAUCUGGAUUGUAUCUUAUCCUGUUCUAGUCCAAGAGAUUUUCAUGAUCUUUGUAGGGGUCAGACUGAUCUCUUUCUUUUUGGUAUGCUACGAAACCAAUCCCAUGCCAGAGAAUUUCGGAUUCAGGGGUUCUGUAUUCAUAUGUGCAAUUAAUUAAUUUUAUCAAUACAUUAUACAUGUAGGUUUCAAAAUCACUAUUGCCACCGAAUUUCAGCUGAACUCUAUCGUACAGCAGUACAGGGUCAUAGAUCGUUGCAAGUAGCUAGCCUGCGGAAAUCAUAGUCAAGAACUCGAUCUCUUUUAUAACUAUACGCGUUCGACUCAUGAAGUUGUUAAAAUAAGUUGUACAUUGCCGCAUAUGAAUUAUUAAGUUUUAUUGUACCGUGAAAUCACAUAUAAAAUUUUAUUUCGUACAAUAGUUUUAAGCAUGAUUCAAAUAGUUAAGUAUGUUGAAAUCUAUCUCCAAUGACAUGAGCGUACGACCAAUAUCUUAAGAACUUCUAUCCCUCUUUUCUAUUUUUUCUCAUUAUUCCAUUAGUAUAAAGUUAUUCGGUGCGCCUAACUUUAUAUCACUCAAGUCAUAAAUGUUAACUUCUUUCAUAUUCAAUGAAAUGAUAUAUGAUUUUGGAACCCCUUUCACGAGAGAAAUGACUUUUAGCAGAUUAAAAUCUGGUAUGUUUAUAAAAUGAAAGUGGAUUUCGAUAUUCAUUUUUUAAUCGAAUCAUGUGGUUUGAUCUACAAGUACAAUCUAUUUUUCUUUAUCAAUUUUGCUAACUCAAGUUUUUAACAAACAAAUCUUGCUCGUACCGAUACUAUAUUAUUCAACUUAAUCAAAAUCAGAUACCGAAUCCAAAAUUAAUUGAAUUCUCCCAUCAAUGAUUUGAAAGUAAUGACGAGGACCAAGAACACAAGGAAAUAAAUUUAGGUUAUGAACGUACGAACAAGGGCAAAUAAAUAAUUUCUUAAAAACCCUGAUAACUUCCUAGACGGACCUUACCCAACUUGGGCCUCUCUCUCUAUUAUUACCACUCAUGUGGAACCUACGUGGAGCACAGUUCUCUAUGAAAACAGCAAAGCACACGUCUAUCCCUGCCCGCCCACACGUGCACUUUCGGUCAAAGUUACCCCCUCUUUCUUUGCUGGAUCUGGUCAAUGGUCAACAGCCCAACCCAAAUCAUUUGCCACCCAAUUUUUAUUUUCUUUAUUUCCCCCUACCCCCGUUCCUUCUCACCUUCUGAACCGGCCGAGUCGGUUCCGCGACCCUCCCUCACCGCCUGAUCUAAUCAGAGCCGAUCCCGGCCGUACUUCUACGAUUCUCCGCACGUGCACGUGCGACCAUUUACCCCAAGGCCAGCUUUUGCUUUGAUACCCCGUUCAAGCAUUUUUUGUUGGGGCCCACGUGUCUGACCUGCUGAGCUGGUCAUCAUGUGGUUAAUGCUUUAAUUCGGUUUUUUCCGUUAAUCGAUGUUUGGGUUGGGUCGCACGUACGCGAUUUUGAGAUGUGUGGACGAUUAUACCCAUGGGUUCGUUUAAUUAUAGGGCAGGAACAUGCGGGGCAUGUAAGGGUGGUAUCGGAAUGCGGAAAAGUAUGUAUGAUUUUAAGGAUUGUGUUUGGAAAAGCAUGUUUUGUUGGUGGGCUUGGGAUUAUAUAAUUGGGGAAUGACAGGGUAUAUUAGGCUAUCAUUAGUUUAAUCAUUUGAGUUUUUUUUAUUUGUUGGGUACAAGAGGCUAAUCUUUGGAAAUGUAAUUAGCACUCAAGCUCAAUCAUGCUCCCUUACUUCAAAUGAUUAAAGUCCCAAUUAUCGGAAUAUAAAUAUUGAGUUCUCUAAUACUCAAUAUUAUGGUAAUAUGUGUAACCAAUAAAAAAAAAAUUAUGGUAAUAUGGUUCGCAAUAUUAUUAUUCGGUUAUUAGAUUUGAAAAAAAUAAAUGAAGAGUGUUUAGGUAAUAUUUUCGUUCUUACUUAUAGCUGUAUCACUAUUUUCCGCUGAUUGCUGUUAAAAUUAGAUCAAAAAUAGUCAAAUAAAAUUAAUUAUGUUAAUAAUUAAUAUAUUCCAGAUUGAGAAAUCUAAGGAGAAAUAUGAGAAAUGGUAUGAUUGUUUAGGUGAAACUGCUAAUCAUUAUUUAGGAGACAACCUAUUUAUUGCCUUGUUGUAAGCAUGAGGGAGACCAUGUUGAAUAAACAAAAGUGCCCAUUUGCGUUUCUUCUAUUUCCAUAUUCUAGGUUUCCUUGCAAGGAUGUUUCCUCUGACCUUGAGUAAACUAAACUAGUGAGCUCUCUUUUGAUUUAGGGGCUUAAACGUGGUCUAGUUGCAUUAUUAAACUAAGUGAAACAAUCUUAAGCUGGCAUGAGCUUUUCCUUGUGCAAAAGUACCAUUUUUUAACAUUAAUAACAAAGGCUCCUAAUGGUUGCACGAGGUUACCCAAUAAACUAAAGCCCUUCAUCAUUAGCCAAAGUUUAUUAAUCUUUGUUUUUGGGUGUUCAAAUCUGUUGGUGUUUGUGUGGUCCACUUGAUCUUGUAGGGAUUUUGUGUUUAAUCAUAGAAGUGAUGGGAUUUUGUGUUUAAAAAUGAGAUUAGUAUGUUGGGCUUGAUAUACAAAAAUGUCUAUCCAAGCUUGUAGUUCUCUAAAUUUCUAGCCCAUUAAAUCGGGAACAGCUAGAAGCCCACUAACUGUUUUGUUCAAUAUUGAUGAGCCCAAUCACGAAUUAUCGUUUUUGGUUGGUAUCCUAACUCAUAUUAGAUCUAACUGUUGGACCCGGCAAUAAGAUGAAAUGUAUCUUAAGAAUCGAAGGCACAUCAAAUCAUUUGCAUCCUCAACUUAGCUUUAGUGGUAUGAGCAUUUAUAUAACAUUGACAACUUCAAACUCUUGGCUAGUAGAGUUUCUUGCUUGACACUCGACGACUAGACUACUUGCAGUGGUUGUAAAAUUCAGUUUUCUAGAUCACUCAAUGUUGUUAGAGAUGAUCCUCGAAUGAGAAAUGUGCAUAUUGUGUUCAACCCAAUAUAGUGGGAUAGAUAGUGCUCCUCACUAUUUUUUUUUACAGAAAAUGAUCAUUGGAUGUUAUGUAAGGAAUGAAAUAAUUUUCUUCCUUAUAUUAGACUCGAGUUCAACCAUUAAGAACGCGGAUAGAGGCAUAGAGUUUAGUGACGUUACUAUAUUACUCAUGUUUUUCUUCUUUAAAGAAGGAAACUUAUAUGCAUAUAAUCAAAUAUAAGAAUCAGUUCAUUAUUUUUCCAGAAAAGUUUUAAAUUAAAUUGUCAUGGAUAUGGAGUAUGGUUUUCACCAGAUACCAUGUAUACGGAUCUUGUAUAGAAACUAUUCAUAAAAUUUAUUUGGUUCGUAGAAUGUAGAUGCACCAGUACAAUGUGCCAAUAAAUACCUACCCCAAGACAAUGCUAUAAAUAGAGGAACAUGAGGCUAGAGCUACCAUGGCAAAUCAUCCAUUCACAAAAUCCUCCAUUCCUCAUACAUGUAUCUUGUUUUCCAGAUUUUCUCUCUUCACUUUACUUGUCCUUUGUCUUCAAGUUUCUCUUACAUCCUGAGAAAGUAAUGGAGGGAAGAAAAACGAGUUUUCUUAUACAUUCCAAUAAAAACAAGUUUGUCUCAGUGUUUCCUCAAAAUCUUUUGAGAUCAUAUAUCGGAUCUAUGAUUUACCAGAUAAGUUUUAAACCUCUUUUUCCUGAUUUCGUAAAAGGAAAAGAGUCUCCCUUUAAAUAUAGGGAUGAUAAACUUUUGGCUUCAAACCGUGUUCUAGUUUGAAUGCCAAAAUUGUUUCAAAGCCUAAGAGAUGGAGAAACUUCAACUGCUCUCUUUUAAUGAGAAAGUCUUUCAGCCGGAGGACGUUGAUUACUUGAUUAUAAAGUGUCAUAUAUGGCUCACUUUAGUUGGUAUUUUUAUUUCGACUCACUGUCAUUGCCUUCUGGGAAAAUGAAGCAACAUGCGAGCUUGAGGUACAGUUCCACUGUUUGAAUAUUGAGAGGCCAAUCCACUUGCCAUAAUAGCCAUGAUAAGUUGAUAACAAAGGAAAACUAAGUUCUAUGUACAAAACCAUUUGUUGGAUAUAGCUGCAAUAGUUGGAUGUUGAUCAAUGAUCAUGGUUUGUUUUGAGAAGUUGGCCAAAUGUUCAAAUCAUUCUAUAAUUUGUAAUAUUUCCAUAUAUUCCGAUCCUGACAAAUUUUUUUUUUUCUUUUUUCUUUUGAGAAUAUUUUGUAGGGCCGGGAAUGGGACAUGAUGAGAUGGGAUAAAACUAAUCCCACGGCCCGUUCCGUACAAUGAAAUCGGGAUGGGACGAGACGAGUUUUGGUUUUUUUAGAUUUCAUCCCAUCCGGGUCAUAUCCCGGUCGGGAGGAGACGGGAUGGACCCAGUCCCGGAUAAAAAAAGUUGAAAAUAAACUUAUAAGUAAAAGAAAGAGUUCUAUAGUUUUAUAGUGCUCUUUACUCUAUUAAGCAUUAACAAGUACUUGUAACAUAUUUACAAGUACAACACGGUGUAAUAAGAGAGUUUAUAUUGCUUGAUUUCUCUAAACCUGUCAUCACUACUAGGUGCAAGAAGAGAGCAUAAAACAAUCAAUAAAUUAAAGUAUUAAACAUCAUUGUUAUUGAAUCGAAGACAACCUAGUAACUUAAAGAAACAAUAGCAAGUCACAUACACCCCCUUCAAAAAGAUUUGAAACACAAAUACAUCUAUCUACAAAAUUUUUAAACAAAUAAAGACAAUUUUUAACAAAUAAGGACAAACUCUUAUCUAUUUGCCAUGUGUUGUGGUUUAAUUUACCAAACUAACCCUAUACUAAUUAAAUAUAUUUUUAGAAGAUAAAAGUUUCCCUUUUGAGAUUUCCAGUAAAUGCAAUACAAUAGCAGAUUUUCAUUAACUUAGUGUAGUAACAGUUAACUCCAGUAGAACUAGUAGCAUGACGAUAACUUAGUGUAGUAGCAGUUAAUUCCAAUAGAAGUAGUAGCAUGACGAUAACUUAGUGUAAUAACAGUUAAUUCCAGUAGAAGCAGUAGCAGUUGGAUAACAGAAGACUAAGACAAUAAAUGUUAACUCUGUUACUACCUUAUCCUUCACUUCUGCUACUGUAGUUCUCCACUUCUACUACUAUUACUUGAAAAUUUAUCCUCUAAUUAUGCUAAUGCCUUAUCCUCCAAUUAUGUUACUGCCUUCUCCACUUCUACUACUAUUGCUUGAAGAUUUAUUUUUCAAUUUUGCUAUAUUGCCUUAUCCUUCAAUUCUUCUACUGCCUUAUCCUCUAAAAUUGAGAAUUUCACGAGCAGUAGCACUGUAACAUCCUAAAUUUUGAAAUUUCUCAAAAUUAAUUUUUCUUCUUAGAAAUAGAAAAUAGAGGUCGCCACGAGUUAGCUGUAUUUUUCAGUGAAUUUUUCGGACUUCCAAGCUAUUUUAAAAGAUUUUCCAAAAUUUCGUCGAAAUUAAUUCGAGAUGCUGAUAUGACAUCUUCUCAUUAGUCAAAAGCCGUUACUUACCGAGUAAGAAUAGCAGCCAUACGUGUCUACCUAUCACAUAGUCAUCUUUCAUGUGUUUCAUGGGAUGACAAAGGAUGGUGUGGUCCAAUUAGGUGUGGACAAGUGUCAUUUUUUAUUUAUUUGGGAAACCAUCAAACCGACUUUACCAAGUCGGCUAACUCUCCUAUACAUAUAUAGGUAUAAUUAGGUAUAAUUAGCAGCUACGUUUAUGCCUCUCUCUCUCUCUCCAUUUUCCUCUUGUUUUUCUCUCUAGAUGUUUCUCUCUAUAAGUUUUCAUCAUAAAACUUUGACGGAUCAUAACUUUUAUUCCAUAACUAUGAUUCUCAAUCCAAGAAGGGUUACGGGUUCGUAUCGAUGUCCUUUUUCUAUCCUUGAGGUUUGGGUUAGAUCCAACGGUGAGUUCUAGAUGGCUCGUUUUAAGAGGUUAGGUUUACGAUCGCUGUCCUUAGUGAGGAUUCGUAUUGACGAGGUGAGUAGAUUUGUGUAAUAUGUUUCAAAUAUUCUUAUUUGUUAUCAACAUCGUCGAAAACAUGAUUUUGAUAUAUUUAUGAAAUAUCUCUCUGUUUUCGAGUGAAGCAUGUCUAUUUGCGAAUUGUGCGGAGUUUAUAUAUAAUUAUGUGUUGGAUCCAUUAUUUGACUAGUCAUGGAACAUGUGAACUUCUUGAUUGGUUAUGCUGAAGUAAUGAUGUGACACAUGGAGGUAUAGGACUUGAAGGUCAUUAGGUUCCCGUGGGGAUCACUAAAUUGAAGGAUAUCUAAUGAGAAGGGAUUGUGCGAUGUGAUGAAUUGCGUGAAGUGAUGUGUAUACGAUAUACGUAUUUUGUAGCGUGUGUAAAAUGACAUGACUACGGGCAUAUUACAUUGGUCUACUCACUCAGCGCGUGGUUAUGCUCACCCACCCAUCUUUGAUAUUUUUGCAGAAAAAUACUUAGGUUGUACCGAGCCGGGAAAAGGAUUUGACGAGCCUAGAGUGAAGAGCCUAGAAGAUAGUGCUUUUGUUUACAUUCCACUUUGUAACACUCGUUCAAGCUUCGAAAUCGGCGUCCGGUGCUUAAAACCUACCGACGUCAGGACCGGGGUGUGACAAGCACCCACCCCAAGAACAAUGAAGAUCUUUCAUCUUCCGAAUUCGAAGACGACAAUGGCAACAUCGAAGAUCUCGACGUCUUCCGACCCCACCCCAACAAUGAUGAAGCUUACACCCCACCUAACACUGCUGCCACUAAACUCCAACACAAUGGAAUCAAAAUAGAUCCUGAAUAAUCAAUUGAAGAAGACGCCCAAACGGAAGCUGCAACUGUCGCCUCUUUCCUUGCGCUACCACCAUCGCCUGAUCGAUCAGCUUCUCCCCCGGUUGCAAUUGAUCGGAGCCACCUGAUCACUGAUUUGGUCAAUCAUUGAUGGUGUCCAAUGAAGAUGAAGAAGAGGAGGAGUAUGCGGUUGAUGUUAUUCGAUACAUCCCGAUGCGACUUCUCAACAAAUGAAUGAGAGAGAGAGAGAGAGAGAGAGAGAGAGAGAGAGAGAGAGAGAGAGAGAGAGAGAGAGAGAGAGAGAGAGAGAGAGAGAGAGAGAGAGAGAGAGAGAGAGAGAGAGAGAGAGAGAGAGAGAGAGAGAGAGAGAGAGAGAGAGAGAGAGAGAGAGUAGUACGUAGUAGUANNNNNNNNNNNNNNNNNNNNAGAGAGAGAGAGAGAAUCAGAUCAGGGAAGACUAGAAGAGAGAGAGAGAGACAGAGAAUCAGAUCAGGGAAGACUAGAAGAGAGAAGGAAGUGAGUGGCAUGAUAUGUAAUUUUAUCAAAAUCCUGGGCAUUAUGGUCAUUGUGCAUUUAUAAUUUGGAUUAGGCUUAAUGUUGUUUUGUUUUGGGUUUGGGCUUCUGUCUUUAUUUGUAUAAAUCUUUUGAAAUGUGGGUUUUAUGUGUUUAACAACUAUUUAUGGUAGUUAGAUAUCAUUUUCUGAAAAGAAAAAAAAAAGAGCUAAGAUUAAAACACUUAAAUGAAAGGCUCAAAUCACAUCUUAAUCAAUAAAAAAUCAAUCAUUAAAAUAGUCGGGACAAGACGGGCUUAAACGAGAGUUGAAUUAUCCGUCUAGUGUCCCGUCCCGUUGUAUAGGGAGGGGACGGGACGAGCCUGACGUUUUGAGAUUUAAAUCCUGUCUCAUCUCGGUAAAUUUCGGGACGAAACCGGGAUGUGUUCGAGAUUACGGGAUUUUUUACCCACCCCUAAUAUUUUGGAAGAUAAAAGGGUUUGAAUGUAUUUAUAUUGUAAGGGGGACUAAAAAAUAUUUCUUAAUAAAUCGAGCUUAAGCGUGCAUCAGUUAUCUCUACUUUAAUAAAGGCUACAGUCAUGUUAUUUACCAAAUUGUGAACUACUAUAAUUAUUAUUAUUAUUAUUUUUGAAUUAAAGGACAGUUUUGCAUUAAUUAAUAAAUGCUCCAACGAGCAUGAGUACAAAAUAGAGCUAGAAAACAAGCAUAUCGAAACACAUUCAAAAAUAGUGUAAUCGAAUUUUGAGAAAAUUGUGAAAGCCUAAAGCCAGAGUGGCCAUUAAAUCCCCGUCCGCUGCCAUCUAUAGACAAAACAAGAUGUUGUGAUAGUACCCACGGUGGUAAAUAUCUCGUGGUUCACUCAUUUGACAUUCCAUGGUCCGCAUAAGAACUUGAAUCAUUCUUCAGUACUACUGUAGAAGAUUCAAUAGUGACACUUGUAACAAGGAAUUCAUUUCUUCCUAGAUCGACACCUCUCGGGUCUAAAAUAUGAAACCCUAGCAGCUUAGGGCUCAUUCGGUUGGCCCAUUUCCAUCUAAAGGCUCUAAGAGGAGUCCACAUUGAAACCCUCCCCGAUUCUAGUCCCAAACCUCCAUUGGGCUUCAAAACAGAAGUUAGUUUGUACACCCAACUUGGCUUGGGCCUCAAAACCAGAUUGGGCCCUAAAAAUGAUGUGAGCACCCAAUCUAAAUUGAGUACACCACCCGAAUAGAUUCUCGGCUGCUUUCCGAGACGGGCCAUCGCUGCCACGCUGAACUGCAUCUAACUAGUAGUAGGUACAGUCAAGUCUCUAGACCAGAGCGGCAUUAGAUUCACUGCUUCCGGUUUUCAAUUACUCAGUACCAAGCCUAACAACCAUGAUCUGGUAAUCAUGGUAGGGCUUGAUCCAUUUCAGACCCAGCCUUGGUAGUAUAGAGAAGUGUUUCGCGGUGAAGGGCCGACUUGGGAGUAAGGAGAAGUGAUCCCAACUUAGACUGGAGACCGAAAAUGAUCACCAAAAUUAAGAACCGUAGCCCCGAUGGCUAGGUUUUGGAGAGAGCUGGAGCCCCAUUUAGGUUAAUUUGGUGCGAUAUGUAAACUGUAUGACAAUUAUACUGAACUACUAUAAUUAUCCUUAGUGAGCCAACUGAAACAAAUUAAAACAAAGGUUAUUAUAGUAAACAACAAAAUAAAUAAAUAAAUAAAUAAAUAAAAAGAAUAUAAAACAUAGAGAUAAUAAAGAAGAACUACUUGGGUAAAGGGACGUAUAACUGUAUAAUAUAAUAAAUCAAAAUUAACCACUCAAGUUUCUUUUUAGGUGAUCGUGGUUGCGUGCAAAUGCACAAGUAAAAAGUUAGUCAGUUAUAAUGCGCGCUUAAUCUUAUAUUUUUUAAGAUCAUUAACAAAUGCCAUAUUUGAUAUAUAACGAUUGCUGUAUAAAGAAAACACAUUUUACUUUAUCUUAAACUCGAUUAAAGAGUCUUAUUACGAUAUUACUCAAUUCAUUUAAACGAUGAGAAAAGAGUCUCAUAUACACAAAUGAGUUGUUAUUUUAAUUGUAGAUAUAUUCAUAAGUUUAUUAUUUUUCCAAAAAGGGUUCAAUCUUGAAUUUUUAUUUUGAAUUUCACCAAAUACCAGUCAUCUUUGGUCUUGUAUGGAAACUAUAUAUUUCAUACAAUUCGUUUCUUUUGGUAGAGAUUCAUACAAUUUGUUGAUCCAUUGAAUCCAAUACAAUACCGUUGUAAUAUGCCAACUCAUACUUACUCAACACAAUGCUAUAAAUAGGGAAACAUGCAAGUCAUCCUUUCACAAAGAUCGUUCAUCUUUCUAAUAGGCUAGUAUAGAUCAUAAGCUUUCUCUCCUCUCUUCUCUUUUCUUCACUUCAUUUUUUUUUUCUUUCUUCUAGUCACCUUUUCUUUUACCUCUAAAAUUGUAUUAACUUAAAGUACAAUGUCUUAUUUUCAAGUUGGGUUUUCAUUCACGUUUUAGAGUUGUUGGUUUUUAUUUAUUGAUUUUCAAAAUCAUGUUUUUCUGAAUUCGAGUUAGAGAUAAAGAGAUUAUGAGAAAGUGAUGAAGGGAAGAAAAAUAAGCUUUCUUAUACAUCCCAAUAAAAUUGCAUGGAAUAAAACAACAUUGUUUUCUCAAAAUCUUUUAAGAUCAAAUAUCGAAUCUAUGAUUUACCAGAUAUGUUUUAAACCUCUUUUGCCUAAUUUGGUAAAAGGAAAAGAGGAGCAACCAAGUACGUUAUAUAGUAAGAAUGCUCAAACACAUACAUGUAUGAACAUUGUUACUUGAACUUACUUUUGGCCCUAGAGGUCCUCUACGCCACAUUGGAGUUUCAGAUGCCGACAGUUGAAAUUGAAGCAAGUCCUAUUCCGAUUUUCGGGUUUCGGCACGGGGCGUUCAGAGUGCGUUGUCUUCCUUUUUUUAGAUCCCCCGAUCUUUCCUUGCGUGAUGGAGACGUUAAUGAGAUAAUUAUAUUUCAUUGACUCCCUUGAAAUUUAGGCUUCAAACCAAGUUCCAAUUUAAAUGCCUAAAUUGUUUCGAAGAUUAAGUGAUGGAGAAACUUCAACUUCUCUCUUUAGAUGAGAACGUCUUUCUGCUGGGGGACGUUGAUUAUAAAGAGUCAUGGGCUAAUGGCUCUCGCUCUAGUUGGUAAUCUUAUUUCAACUCACUGUCAUUGCCCUCCAUGAGUCCAGGCAAAUGAAGCAACAUGCGAGCUUGAGGUGUAGUUCCACUAUUUGAAAGCUGAGAGGCCAAUCUACUUGCCAUAAUAGCCAUGAUGACAAAGGAAAACUAGUUCUAUGUACACAACCAUAUAUAUGUGAAAUAACUGCAAUUUUUGGAUGUUGAUCAACGUUGGCGUUUUUUUUAUUAGUACUUGGUCAAAUCCUCAGAUCAUUUUAUAAUUUGUAAUGUUUACAUACUUUCCACAAAUUUUUUACUUUGAGAAUCUUUUGAAAUUUAAAAGGUUUUGAAUGUAUUUAUAUUGUAAUCUGCAAAAGGACUAGAAGCACAAAUGAAUGAGAGACUCUACUGUUCUAAUUGGGUUAUAAUUUGAUUUGAUCUUCUGAUUCACCUUACCGAUCUAUAUGCAUUCACUAUGUAUGAUCACUAGCUACCUGAAGUAUAGCUAUUUCUCUGUUGGACUUCUAAUAGUUUUCCGUAUAUUAUUUUCAACUUGUACUGGACUUGUUGCCAUCAUGUGCACCUUUAGACGAUAAGUUUAAUUUUGAUUAUGAGGAUAUCUCCAGUGAUGGUUUCAUUUCUAAGCGCAAGAAAUUCAAUUAGUGACUCCAAAAAAGUAUUGGUUUUAAUCGGAAUGAGAUGAAAAGCGGACUUGGAAUGAGUUUGGAUUGAAGAAAGCUUCAUUGACUGAUACUUUGCUUUGUGUUGUAGCGAAUACAAUGCAUGUCAUGUAAAGUCCUAUAACAGGGGAUCACACAAAAACACAUGGAAACCAUUUGAGCUCAAUCAUAUGUUGUUAAAUGAGAUGCGGCUUUCCUGAAUUUGGAUUGACGGUGGUUGCUUUGAUAUGCUUCAAAGUCCACACAGAACAUGAAGAGGUAGCGGAAAUUGAAAACCAUAACAAAGAUGGUAAAGUUUUAUUAUCAAGAACAUGUAAUUCUAUUCAUAUCAUGAUUAUAAUUUGAAACAAAAGCUAUAAUAUAUCAAGUCAAUUUGAACACAUAAAAUUAUCAAUUGUCAAGGAGAGGCUGCUUAAUUCAUGACUCAAAUGUCUGGGAGAAAAUGGAUAAUCUCUUCUGUACAAAAAAAAAAAAAACUGGAUAAUCUCCAGCAAGGCUUUAAUUGGAAAGAUUGUUCCUAACUUUCGAUAUCAGAUUAGAACAAGACAUUAAGAACUAACUAAUCUAGAGAAAACUAUGUUUUAUACUAUAAUCUGAGAAGAAUAUGCAUGGAAAAUACGGCCAAAUGCAAUCUGACAACCUUUUCAAGUGUAAUUCAAAGGUAUCACCUGACUUCAUAUGAUACCAAUUGCCAAACUAUAAGCAACAUGUACUAAAAUGAUUUGGGGCAAAAAAAAACAUUGAAAGAAUUUCAACCAAUGCUGACCUAAAAGGGUAAAACAGCUAGAAUGCUAGUGAGGAGACUAUGGCUAGACCUUUAAUUAUUUAUUUCUCCUGAAUACGUAUAUGGUGUCAUUUACAAGAAGACUUGAACUAAAAACGGAGAUUACCACAAAACUAGCAUAUCUCCUUGAAAAACAUAAAUAUGAAAGCCUGACAUCCACCAGAAGUGUUGGAGCUUGCAUAUCUGCUCAUGUUUUGGUGAAAAACUUAAUUAACUUUCUUUAAAGGUUAAUUUAUUUGCUAAGCUUGACGUACGAUAAAAACAUGAGAGAAAGCAUUUUCGCUCCUUGGGAAAAACCCUAGCCGCUUGUUUGGGAGGACGGCUGCAUGGCGCUGGAAUCCAUCGGCAAGCUCUUCGCCGAUGAUCCUCUCAUCGGUUUUGGUGGCUGAUACGUAUUUCGGUUUCAAGGAAGACUUGGCCAUCUUCAAGUUCCAUUGUUUUGUGGGAAUAUAUUCGUGAUCCUCAGUUUAUGAUGAUUUGCGGCACUUUCGGUUUCAAUAAGUUCCAUCUACAUCAGCAUACAGUGGCGGAUCCAGGAUUCAUAAAUUGGGUGGGCUUGAAAUUUUCUUUUUGUUGUCUAUAAAUUUUGUAAUAUAAUAUGAUAAUUUUAAACAAAAUUAUAUUAUCGGCAACCAAAAUAAUGAAAAUAUAUUAUAUGUACACUCUUUUGAGACGCAAAAUACGAGAAUGUAUCUGAAAUUACUGUUUAAUCGAUUAAAAGAGAAAAAAAAAGGAUUGAGAAUCUCAGAUGAAAAUAAAAGGUAAAACAAAUGUGUGAUAAUAUCUCAAAGAAAAAUUAUAAUCACCUGAAGAUAGAGACCCUAUGAAAAUGGAAGAUCCAAAACUAUCCAAAAGAGAAGCCCAUUGACCAAUUUGUUCCUAGAAAAAAGGAAAAAAGGAAGCCCAAUUUGAGCCUAGUAUGCAAGAGGAGAAAAGAAAAAGAUGAUUCCUAGAUGAGUAUGGACAAGUUCGAACUCGGGUGGGUUGGGAAUUAACUAAAAUGCUAAACCACCACUGCAAAAGCUUGAGAUGCAGUUGAAUGACACAUGCUAAAAAAUUUAUUUUUGAAAUCUCAGUUGUGCUUGAGCCUUACCAAUGUUGCACCUGGCUCCGCGCCUGUUUUUAUACCUAGCUUAGUUUCAGUGUUUACGAGCAUUUAUAUCACAGGGUUCGGGGGUUCCCUCCUUGACACUCGGCCAUUAGGCUACUUAUAGUGGUUGUAAACUUCAUGUUUCAAGAUCACUUGAUUUUUUGAAGAUGUUUGUCCAAUGUAUAAUGUAAUUAUUGCGUUUAAUCCGAUAUAGUGGGAUAAAUAUUGCUUCUCACUAUUUUUUCGGAAAACGAUCACUAGGAUGAUUAACGUCUAAAUACUGUUGUUAGUUUAUAUAUUUCCACGGAAAAAAUAAUUUUGUUCCUUAUAUUAGACUCGAGUUUAACCGAUAACAAUGCGGUUAGAGUUUAGUUGACGUUACUAUAUUACUCAAAUUUUUUUUCUUUGAAGAAGGAAACUUAUAUGCAUAUAAUCAAAUAUGACAAUUAGUUCAUUAUUUUUCCUAGAAAAGUUUCAAAUUAAAAAUUCUCAUGGAUUUGGAUUAUGGUUUUCACCAGAUACCAUGUAUACGGAUCUUGUAUAAAAACUAUUUAAUAAAAUUUAUUUGGUGCAAUAUGGCAAUGAAUGCCUAGCUCAAUACAAUGCUAUAAGUAGAGCAACAUGAUGCUAGAGCUACCAUGGAAAAUCAUCCUUUCACAAAAUACUCAUUCAGUUCCUCACACACACAUCUUGUUUUUCAGAUUUUCUUUCUUCUCUUCACUUUUACUUUGUCUUCAAGUUUCUCUUACCUCCUGAAUUGUACUAACUUGGAGUUAAGUACCAGUCUUGCUUUCUUUCUCAUGUAGUAUUAGUUCGGUUGUCCUUAAAAUCAUAUUUUUGAAUUCUUGAGCACUCUCUUUACUCCUAGGUUUCACAUAAUUAGUGGGGAAUAGGAAGUGCUCAGGAAGAUAAUGAAGGAUAUAACCACCAAGUUUCUUGUUUUCCAGUUUGAAAGAGAAUCGACUUAAACGACGGUUCAUCAAAAGCUUUCGGAUCAAUGAUUUACCAGAUGAAAGAAAUAGAAGGAUCUUUGAUGGCGGCAUAUUGAUCUUUCAGUGUAUAUAUGAAGCUUUUAAGAGAUCUCAAGUACAGGUCAUCCGUUUAUUGAGUGAAGCCACGAGGGAGCUUGCGAUAACGGGAGUAUAGGAGCCAGAGAAUUUGAGACAAGUAUGCUGGGGAAAAUGGCUCCAAAGUUAAAACUAUGUAGCAAGAAGUUUUAGUGUAGUCCAAGUUCAUCCUUCACGAGAUUAUCGUGGUCUCUGGAAUUACAAUUUUUGACUUUGAUGUGAUCGAAGUGGGAAGGUUUCAUAAAUCAUCAAAUGGAAUAUCAUUUCAGAAGGGUCUUGCAGUUGAUAGUCAUUGAAAAAAAAAGCCCAUCAUUUUAGUUAAGAGGAAUUGAGGAGAUCAAUUAUGUGGAUGAGUUGUACGAUUUGAUGAUUACAAUUCUAAAGACAUUAUAGAUGAUCAUAUUUACAAGGAUGAAGAUUAGAAAACCAAUUUGUAUCAACAAAAUGAGGAACAAUGAGAAACUUCAGUCGUUAGUUUUCGAAGGCUUCGGACAACAGAAGGAUGUUAAGGAGAGACGUAACAGUAAAUUUCUUAUUGCAUGGAGUGUUGUUAGAAGCAUAUGUAAACUAGCCACUUGUAUCAAUAUUAUUUAUCUAUUUCAUAUUUUAGGACAUAAUUUUUUUUUAAUCACAUAUUACAACUUCGUGAGUCGAAUUCACAAUUUCUUACUUACUAAAAAGAGACUAUGCUGUUAGACCAAAUAGUACUGAGCUUUUAAGAUGGAAUUAUUAAUUGAAUACAUGUAAUGAUUGUCGAUGGAUUCUUAGUGAAUUCCUUAUUGAAAGUAAUCAAAUAGACCUACCUUUUUCACUCUAAAUUCCUAACAAUUAUAUACAUGAAAUUCUUAAUCUGCAUAUUCUGCACCAGUCAUUGAAGUAUUUUUUUUUUUUAUUAUUUUUUUAUUUUUUAUUUUUUAGUCUUUACUAUAACUAUAUAACUCAUAUUGUCUUCCAAUCGUACGUAUACAGUAACAUCUUAAUCAUGAUACUAGCAAACUUGAUGGACUUCUAGUAACACUGGACUUUCGUUUAUUAACCCCCUCAUAUUGCGUUGAACAUGUCCACACGGACUUCAUGGACACUAUCAUGAGCAUUACCCCGGGCAUUUGCUUCGCAUGUGAAUUGUGAAACCCAGCCUGAAAAAUACAGGACAACAAUGGCACCUUCGGCCAUCGAAUACAACUCUAGCGUGUCCACAAAGGAAAGGAGCGCAUUAUCGUUUAUACAUAUAAGCUUAUUGAUUUCAAAUAUCAAAAGGCAGAAUCCACAAUAUUCUUCAUUUUAAAACCAAAUCCAGAUAUGAUUCUUACAGCCCUAGGAUCAGAAUAAAACUACAAACAAGAUAAUGAGUGAUGCACUAAGAAUUGAAAUUGUAAAACAUGCUAGCAGCAAAAUGAAAUUUUGAAGACGGAUAUUGAUUAAAUCACAUCCCAGAGUAUAGGACGUAUCACAAGAUGACUUCAAUGAACAUUUAUCUGCAACAAGUUCAUCUUGAAGGAAUUGGAGAGACCGUGAAUCUCUUCACUGAAAAAUAUAAAAAAACAAACCCCCUUAAUGAAACUUAUUAUCUGCACUUUAUGUGCACGAACAUGAAUAUAAACAUCAAUGAAAUUGAUAACAUUUGAAACCACUCACACACAGCAGUGUACCUAUUUUCUGACACUUCAACAAGCGACUAUAAGCUGACUGUUGUCCUCACUAAUUACAUCAGAUAGGUGAUCAGUGUAUAAAAAUGUCAAGUAGAGACUGCUCAAUCCAUGACCCAAAACUUCAGGGGGAAAUUGAACUAUAACCUCCAGCAAGGCUUUAAUUGUGAAGAUUGUUCCAAUAUCAAAUUAGAACAAGACGUAAAGAAUUUACUAAUCUGGAGAAAACCUACAUUUUAUACCACAUAAUCUGAUAUAAGAAUGCAGGGAAAAUACGACCAAAUGCCUGUCUGACAACCAAUUCAAGUGCAAUUCAAUGGUAUUACCUGACCAUAUUCAUAUAAUACCAAUUACCAAACUGUAUGCAACAAGUACUAAAAGGAUCUGGAAAAAAAAAGACAUCAAAAGAAUUUCAACCAUUUCUGACCUAAAAGAGUAAAACAGCUAGAAAGCUAGUGAGGAGAAGACUUGAACUAAGGGACAUAUAUCAUGAACUCUGGAGAUUACCACUAAGCUAGCAUAUCUCCUUGAAAAUCAUAAUUCAGAAAGACUGAUAUCCACAGGAAGUCAGUACACCUGAUGUCAGCACACCUGAUGAACAAGAUGCUAUCAAUUUGACUUCUUGGAGAUGCUAAAAAGAUCCCAGGUCCCUAAUAAUGAAGCAGAACACAGAUUCUUCACACUCCUUCAAGCCAUUAGGAAAAAAAUAUAACAAUGAAACUACCUAUGCAAAUGCAAAACCUAUAUGCUUGAAGGAAUACCAAGAAUGAACCAUGUGCAAAGAUAUUAGAUGUAAAAUCUUUUUGUUCUGAAUGUUUAACUGUUUAAGUUAUAGAUCAAACCAUUAUAUGCCAUUAUGCCUAACCAUGAGCAGCAAAACAUUAUAAGCGCAGACAUUAGCAGCAAACUAUUAGCAUGCAAAAGUAAUAAUGGCUACAAGCAAUAAUGCAAACUAUGAAAGGAUGUUAAAAAAUUACAGGUGCAGGCUUCACAUUCAACCUCUUGAAGCAUGCAGUCAAUAAACUUUGUAUCAAAAUCCGGUUUCCAAAUUAUGCUACUCUGCCCCCCAAUGAUGAGAAGUCUGUCAAACCUUGUAAAUUAUCAAACAAUCAGAAUUGCACCGAAACAAAAAAGUCCAAACAUAACAAAUCUCCCACAAGCCUAUUAGCACUGAAAGCCUGAAACUGACUCUAUCAUUUACAUAUAUAUAAGUCGUCCAUUUUUUACAUACUAGAACUACUUGAAUGCAAAGCAACUAAAGCGGCCCUGGAUCCUGCCCCUACGAGCAAUACAAAAUGAGACCCAAAAACAUUAAAAACAAGGAAAUUAGAUAACUUUCCCCCCUAAUAUACCUUCUUUUCAACUACUAUAGGUAACUCCAGUUCCUCUACUUUAAAAUUCAGCACAUUAUACCUCAAAUCGAGGUUUCCACACCACAGGGGCAGCCACACAAUCUUCUACUUCUGCAGACACCACCAAAUUACCAAUUAGCAACAAAACUAUCACAACUGAACUCCACAGAGAGAACAAGAGAGAGACUAUACCUUAGUUGGAGAAUCGGAACCGCGAUAAGCAUCAGCAGUAAACCCCACCAGCCACAAACCCGGAAAGCAGUUCUGCGAAUUCAAACCACAACAGAAUAUGAGUAAACAGAAUUACAGAAGCAUAAGAAAAAAGCAGGCAUUAGAUGAAAUCAAGAGAGAAGAGGUUAAGCACACACAUCGAGCUGCUUCUGGACGUUCUUGGGGCGCUUCUUGGGCCGCCGGGCGGGUCGAGACCCGGUCAUGAUGAAUAUGUCCUCUUCAAUUUCAUCCUUAGACAAAGCGAUCCAGAACUUCCUCUUCUCCUUCUUCUUCUCCAUGCUCGGUCCUUCCGCCGCCGCCGCCAACCCCCUCAGCCUCAUCGACUUCGGCGCCGGCUGCUCGCUCUGCUUCGUCCCCUCCGCCUCAUGCACCUCGCCGCCGGUGUUGUUAUUCGCCUUCGUCACCGGUGCUCGCCUCGGCCUCAGAUUCCACGGCUUCUGAACCUCCGCCUCCUCGGCCGCAGCCACCGCGGCGACGGCGGCAGCCUUAGCGUCGUCGUCAACGUCGUCGUCGCUCUCCUCGCUGGCUUUCUCGUUUCUCUGCGGAAGCUUCUCGGAGCAGGAAGCGAGCGAGAAGCGGUGGCGCGCGGUGCGGGAUCCGACGCGGUGGUGCUGCGGCGGAGACUCGGAAUCGUUGCGGUCGUCGUCGGCGGAAGGCUCGGGCUCGGCGGAGACGGGGCGGCGGUAGCGGUGGUUGGUGUUGGUGUGGUUCUUACUCCCCCAUUUCAAGAAGGAUAGCGGGAAGUUGUGCAGCGGCGGCUUCACCGGCGCUGUUGCCAUUGCUCCGUCGUCGUCUUCUUCUUCUUCAACCAACACAAACCACCACCUGUGCUUCACAUCAAUCAAUCUCUACCUACACGCCUACUAGUCUGAUUUCGAAACCCUAACGCAGCUCUGGUGCUUCGUCUUCUUCUUCUGGCUCUCUCUGGUUUUUAGAGAGAGAAGGUUUAUGGGAAGCAAUGGUUAGAGAGAGAGAGAGGCUUGUGCUUUAUAUACAUGAAUACCUGGUUUUCUCUACUCUAUACGAUCUGGAUUUUACUGUUUUACCCUUUACUCUAUAGUGUUUGUAUAUUCUCUGUUGUGGGACCGGGUUGGGGGUUCUUUGUGGAUUUUUGCUCUACUGUAUUUGUACGUAUUGACUAAAGAGGAGGAGUUUCGUCCAAGCCAACAAAGGUGUCAUUUUUCUCCGAGACCCGGUCUGCGUUAUGGUAUCUCUUCUUUUUUCUAUUCGGCUAGCACCGGAUUCUCGCCGUCGACCGGUUCGAUGGUGAGUGCUCUAAUAGAGAGUACAAGUUCGGUUAGUUUCUAAGAUAAUUUCUUGAUAUCUUAUAAAUAGAUACAUACAUAUUCAAGAUGUUAUUCGGUGAGUUAGAGUGAACGUAAAGAAAAAGGUCAAAAACAUGUCAUCAGCUUGUCAUGUAUUUGCUCUAGAUUAUAUAAAAAGAGAACGUAAUACAUAUCUGCAUAUCUAAUUAAUAUAACUAAAAUCUCAUUUGGUAAUCAAUGUAUUUCAGUGUGUUUGUAACUAGGGCAUAUUUUUGUUAUUGAACUUUUUAUUGUUAAUUUACGAGAGCUUACAUAUAUGAAAAUUUGAUCUGUUUGUACUUUUGAUAGGGGACACACUACUACGAUCUUAAAACCUUAUGCUGUUGCUUAUAGUCCAAUUCUUUCUCCAACUUUCUACAAUAUGAUGAGAUGUCUACCUAAAACUUGUUGGGAACGUAUUAGGGGUGGAUUGGGUGCUAGUAGUUUGGUCUCUGGCACUUGAUGUUUACCACACUUGAGAGAUAGGUAUCACAAUUCAAAGAUGUGAAAAAUGGUCAUAAAUUAUUGAAAUCGACAUAAUUUAGCUUAUUGUCCCAUUUAUGUUAAGUGAAGCUUCAAAAAUCUAAAAGACAAAUACCAAGAAAUGAAUGUGGUGUAAAAAUAAUUGAAAUAUGAAUAUAUGUGAUAGUUGAUUAGUGACACAUACAAUAUAUUUUAUUCAGUACAGUCAGUAUUUUUAAGAGCCAUGACCCACGAUUCAAAUAGAUUCAUAAGUGCAAACUAUGUAAUUUCACAUAUUUCUCUAAUGAAGCUACAAAUUUAAGUAACUUGGAGGAAUAUAAAGUAAUUACACAUAUACAAUUCUCUCAAGAAUAAAAAAAAAGAAAAAGAAAAAAAGAAAGAAAAAAAAUACAGACUUAAGAAGGUCGGGUCGGGUCUAGUUUUGUCUAGGAGGGUUGGGGCUAAGAUAUAUAGACUGGGCCUAUUUUCUGGGUCAAUUUUCCAAUUAUACCCAAAAAGAAAGUAACAGCUCAAAGUUACUGUGUGUCGUCCCAAACAUCCUAAUUUGAAACCCUUCUCUAGACCUGUAAAUAGAUCGGAUCUUAAUCCGGACCCGCUCUGGAUCCGUGGUUUUUAAACGGGUUUGGAUCGAAAAUUAGACCCGUUGAUCCGUUAAGGACCCGGAUCCGUUUACCCGUUUAUUAAACGGAUCGAGGUUGAUCCGAUCCGUUAAGGACCCGGAUCCGUUUAAAAAUAAUUAAAUAAUAUUUUUAUAAAUAUAAUAUUAUUGAUAAAUAUUAAAUAAUAUAAUAAUUAUUUGGAUAACCUAAACGUCUAAAUUGCGUCUAAAGUAUGAUCAUUUGAUGAAGUUGAAGGUCACGAUGCCUAUGUUUUUUUUAUGCUCUUUGCUAAAUACAUUGGAGGUUUAGUAUUUUGAAUAUAUUAGUUUAUUGUUAAGAAGUAUUUUGGCCAUGUAAUUCAACUUUUGAUGUAAACAUUUAUUUUGUUAUAAUAUUUCAUUAGUGUUUUAUGAAAAUUUAUGAUAAAAUUAAGAAAUUAUUAUUUAAAAUUUGAAAAUAUUUAUAAUCAUAAACGGAUCGAAUUAACAGGUCGGGUAUCCGUUAACCCGCCGGAUCCGGAUUUGGAUCUAGCUAUCAAAGAUCCGGCGGGUAGCGGGUCGGAUCCGGAUCCAAAAUUUCUAUUACGGAUCCGGAUCCGAAUCCAGGUAGAUCCGCUCCAGAUUCGGUCUAUUUACAGGUCUACCCUUCUCCCAAAACCCUCCCUCUCUCUCAGGUCCUCUCACUACUCUAAUGGCUACUUCGACUGAACCCUAAACCCACCACUCCACCUUCACACUCGCCAAUUCGUCAUCGCCGGAAUCAUCUCUCGCCGUCUCGGAGAAAUGGAUAGGAGAUUCAACGGCCCAACUGGACCUUCCAGCUCCGUCAACGGCGGCACAGCCACAAGAUCUGUUUCCCAGACUCCGCAACCUAACUACAGUAGUCUAGCCGUUCAGGUUUUAUUCCCUCAUUAGAUUCAUUCAUUUUUCUGUUGCCUAAAACCCUAGCUCGCUCUCUCUCUCUCUUGCUAUUUGGUUUUCCUAUUGGUUUUGUGUGCCUUGUUGUUCUAAAGCCCUAGAUAAGUUUUACCGAGGGCGAUAGCGAUGAGGGUUUAGGAGAAUUUGUAUGUAAAACGUGUUUUGGUUUAGGUAAUUUUUCGGUAUUGUGGAUUUGUAUAUCUGAGAGUUACUGAGAGAAGUGGACUGAGGUGGAAUUUGUCAAAUUGUUUAGGUUUUAGUUCUUACAAUCGCAACCGAGCAGGAAAUGGAUAGGUGAAGUUACAGUAUUGGGGUUUAAAUUACUUAUUUCCUGUUAAUAUUUAGCUUUACGAGGUUGUGAUUAUUGGAGACUAUAGCUAUUAUAAGUCGGAUAACUAGUGUAUGUUAAAUACAGUGUCAGCAGUUUCAUCUCCCGUGAACGGUCUGCAUUAUCUGGAGUUGAAUGUGAAUUCAUGUACUUCAACUAAAUUGUAAAUUUGUAUAUGUAGUGAUUUAUUGUUUCGUUUCAGGAAGCAUUGGAACAUUUGGCGUCAAUUGAUCUGAGUGAGCUGUGUAAUGAGGCUAAAGUUGAGCACUGUCGGGCAACAAGAGACUUGAGAAGCUGCGGACGUUAUGUAAUGGAUGUGUUGUACUCGUGUGGACAUGCUUCGUUAUGUGCAGAGUGUAGCCAGCGGUGUGAUGUUUGCCCAAUUUGUAGAAUUCCUAUUCUAAAUAAUGGCCCAAGGCUACGUCGCCGCCUUUACGAUCAAUGUUUAGAAGCCCGCCUUAUAUCUAAAAGAAGUGAUAAGAGAUUUCAAGAGAAAGAGGAUGGGGAGGAGCCUAUAACUAAUGACGUUCUGCGCCUUUAUUCUUUGUUUGAUGUUGCCCUGGAGAAUAACUUAGCGUCAUUGAUAUGCCACUGUAUCCUCUGAUGAAGUCUAUACCCGUUCUUCUUUACUUUUAUUUCAUUUUUAAGAUAGAACCAUACAGACUAUUAGUGUACUUAUACAAUCUCACAAGUUCUGCUAUCUUCUUAAUUAUAUGGUAAGGGAAGUACUGAAAAAAUAAUGAGAACUGUUGUUUUUAAAUUUUUUGUGGGGGUAAGUAGUUUAUAUGGUUCACUCUCUUAGAUUAAUUUCAAUAAUCUGGAAAAUCAACAGCUAAGAUAACUAGGAAUUAUUGCAUUCUUAUAGUCCCAUUGAAGCAUAUAGGAGUCUCUUUAUUUUCUUUGUUCUUUUCUGUAUAAUUGUCAUGUCUUUGUUGAGAAAUCUGUGUUUUCUUUAACAGAGAUUGAACAGAUGUUACAGAUGUUUGUUUGGAUGAAAGUGCUGUGUCCAGUGAUCCUGUUAUUGCCUUUUUGUUGGAUGAGGUGGUUGUUAAGGAUUGGUGUAAGCGAGCAUUCCAGAACAUCAUCACAGAACUUCAAGUGAUUUGUAUCCUUUAUAAACUUUUGAGUCUUUUUGAUAUAAUAUUCUGCUUAUUUAUACACUGCGUAUAUGAACAUUUUGUGUUUCCUAAUAUCAUAUCCUUAGAUAAUCUUGAAGCAGAACAAAUGAAAACUAUGUUGGGCCUACUUCUUAAGUUCUCAGCACAGUUGGCCGGCAUAUCUAAUGUUCUCGAAGUUUUGGAUUCAUCUUUUAAGGGGUCUCUUUCAUCGCAGCUUCACGACUUGCACCAACUUCUAGAAACCAUAUUAAAGACAAAGCAGGUUAUUGCUAUAACAAUUUACCUUUUUGGGAUGAUUUACCUGAUUUUACUAUUUGCAUCCUUCCAUAGACUCCAAGGGGAUAGUUUUAUUAGACACCAUGUUAUUGACCUGUACAAUAAAUGUAACAAAAGUGUAAGUGAUGGCACUACGGGGCUUUAGUUCAUAGAAACACCAUGCAUUUAUAGGUUUACAGUGUUGCAUAUUUUAAUCGUGCUCCUUGAGCUCUCUUGUAGAGUUGUAGUGAGGUCGCUUCCCUAUGCCAUUUUUUUUAACAUUUAUAACCUUAUCGGUGUGAUCAACUCUUUGAUUGGUUCCCUUUCAACUCUUUUAAUCAGGAAUUUCCAAAUGGACCAUAUGGCUAAUAACAUAUCUAAUAUGUCUGCAAAUAGUUUGUAAUUUGUCUUCUAAACUUGGGUUUUUGAUCCUCAGCAUAUGGAGAUUAUGAUGUGGUGCAUACGGCAUGAGUUCCUUGAGAAUGUGAAGCCUUGUCAUACUGAAAUCAUGACAUGGCGUACUCUUGUUCGUGAAAGGAGAUCAGCUGCAGUAAUGCGUUCAUGGCCUGAUGCAUUAAACAACUCUGAAGAGUCCACUGGACAGGAAGGUUCCCUUUUCAUUGAAGAUGCUUUAACAAAUCUUGAGACAGAGCAAGGAAAUACAAUGGUAGAGGAAUUGAAACUUGCAUUUGCACAGAAGGAUGGUCGUUCAUCUGUUUACAGGUCUAAGAUCGAAGGCAUUAGAGGUUGUUAUCCGUUUGAAAAUGUUCGAGCUGCUGUUGAUAUACUUUUUCUACGUGGUAAUUCAGAUUUGGUUGUUGCAAAGCAAGCAACUGUAUCCUCUUUUAUUUUAUUUUAUUUUUCUUUACAUAUUUUUGGUUUCUCCAAAAUUUACACAUCUUCCUGUCCAAUCACAUCCCUCCACAUUCAAAUCACUACUUCCUUAAUUUAUGAUAGUUUCUAUAUUAUCUAUAUGAUCGGCAUUGGACGCUGCCUGAUGAUGACUGGAGACACAUUCUAGAGGAUUUCGGAGCCACCUUUGGUAUCUCGAGGCAUUUAUUACUUGAAUCCUUAAUAUUUUAUCUCUUGGAUGAUCACACAAAUGAGGCUCUGCAGGUAAGUUCUGCUUCAAUUUCCAGAUGGUCAUUGCUUUGUAAUGCUAGUUUUGAUUUCUGUCAGUGUCAUCUGAGUCAUUUUUAAACAGCUCAGUCAAUAUGUUUUUACUUCAAGGACUAGGUACUCAUUGCAAGUCAAUGAUCAGGCAUGAAUGGGUUCUUGAAUUUUGCUAAUGUAGAAGUUCAGAUAAAGUUAACACAUGUCCAAUACAUUCAAACUCUCACAUUGGGUUAUGGUACUUUAUCAAUAUGAGUUGAGCUAAAGGAUAUACAUAUUUUUUGGAUCGUUAAAAAUUUGAAAUUCAAUAGUUUAUGGCUUCAUUAUGGGUAAACAUAAUGGAAUAUUGCAGCAUUGUUGCAUGUUUUACUGGAAGUAUGUUAGUUCUGGAAUCAUAGAAGAGGUCAAGUUUGUUGUCAGUACUGGAAUUAUGUUAUUUUCUCUGGAAUAUAAAUGCUGAAUUAUUGAUAAUAAAUUCUCAGGAAGCUUGUCACCUACUUCCAGAGAUCUCAGGCCCAGCAACUCAUCCUAAGAUUGCACAAGUACUAUUAGAAAGGGGAAAUCCUGAUACUGCUCUUUCGGUGUUACGGUGGUCAGGGCGUGAUGGUACUUCAAAGUCCGUUUCACUUAGUGAGGCUGUAACUGCAGUUCGGGUGAGGGUAGAGUGUGGACUCUUUACUGAAGCAUUUAUACAUCAAAGAAUGCUGUGCACCAAAGUCAAGGAGAAGAAGUUGAAGAUUGGUCAAUUAGGGGGUGUCACUGAUGAUUCAAACGACAGAUAUAAGUGGGAGGACUGGGUGGAGAUAUUGGUUUCUGAAAUUUGUUUCCUUUGUAUUCGACGGAACAUGGUGGAUAGAAUGAUAGAGUUACCUUGGAACUCCAAUGAAGAGAAACAUCUUCACAAGUGUCUGUUAGAUUAUGCUAUUGGUGAUUCUUCCUCAACUAUUGGAAGCCUUCUUGUGGUAUUUUAUAUCCAGGUAAUUUUCUGCUUGCUUCCGUUCGUAAUUAAGUACUAUCGUGGCUCUGAUUCUGACAUUAAUAUUGCUGUUUAAGUGUGGAUUAUAAUCUUUAAGAGGCAUCAUCAUUUCCGUUUUGCAAUUUGUCUCUGAAGCUUGGUCCGUUCCUGUCUUUUGUUUUUGUUAUUUUUCCUUUUUCUGGUACCCAUCUUGGUGGUGUAAGAAGAGCUAGCCUAGUUUUGAUGAAAGUACAUGCUUUAAACUUCCUGGGGUGAUCUUGAUGCUUCAUUGAACUUUUAAGAAAGAGUAUUUAGCUUUUGUUGGUUUAGGAGACCUUAAUUGCUGCAACAAAUUAUCCACAACGUGUGUUGGGAGUGUGGUCUGCAACUGAAAGUGAUUGCUUUCCUUAGAAUUUACUUCAUGCAAUAUAUGUAUUUAAAGGAGUCUUGCUCUUUCCAAAACUAUUGUCUCAGUUUGUUGAUUUAUUAACUCUUAUCUUUUUAUUGUAACAAUUCAGUGAUUGCUGUUCUUGAGAGCAAAUUCGCUGAUGAUAUUUUCUGACAACAAACACUUUCUGUCAUUUCAGCGCUACCGGUAUUCUGAAGCUUACCAAGUUGAUCAAAUACUUCAAAACUUGGAGCAGGAGUUCAUCUCAAAGAAUUCUGUCAGUGAAGAUGAUUUAUCUAGAAUGAAAUCAGUGAGUCGCUGGAGAGCAGGGUUAAUUGUAAGUGGUUUUUUGCUUUAUUCUUUAGCUUUUAUGAUAUAGUAUUUUGUAAUACCAUAUGUAAUACAAUUGGAUAAAAUUAGUUUAUUUGAGUCAAUGUUAGGCAUUGGGCUCUUAACAAGUGACAAUAGUUUGAAGUCGGACAUAAUUUGGCUUGCUAGAAAGAGCUUAAUUAAGUGGCUCUAUAAUGCUCAACUCUAGUGUCAAGGGUUAAAACUUCAAUGAUUUUCUAGUAAAUUCUUAAUGCUCAACUCUUCCAAAUUGAAGCAUAUUUGGAAUUCUCUAGGGUAUAUAUCAGUGGCGUAGCCACAAUAGGGCCAAAGGGGUCAAUUGACCCUUCUCAAUUUUUUACCAUGUUUCUCAUUGGUUGAAUUUUUUACAUCUUAUUAUACAUAUUAUCAUAACACUAUAUAUUUGACCCCUACGACACAAAGACAAAGAUAGAAAUAUAAGCCAAUCUAUAUUUAUUUUCUUAAAACACUGGACUCAAAAAUAAUAGAUGUCUUCUGUCAAACACUUACAAAUCUACCUAAAAGGCUAAACCCUAUCAUGUAUUUAUUUCUUUUCUUCAUUUUUAUUUUCAACUAUCUUUUUCUUAUUUUUCUGUCUUAAUAUUCCAAGACUACGUACAUCGUCGUCGCAUGUCAGCCUUCGUCUCUAUUCCAUUUCGGCAUUUCCCAUAAUUUAGCAUUAGCUAAAAAUUGUUACUACCCAUGCGAAAUAAAUUAAGAUUAUGGGACUAAGUUAUACAUGGGUUCAAAUCUACUAUAAAUCUCAAGCCCUGUUUUCUUUGUUGUUGAAAUUUUUUUCAAAUUCCUUCCCAAUAAUAGCUCUAGAAUGACUAUUAUGCCUAAGAAACCAUUAUCUAGAAUUUUAUGCGGUAUAUGAAAAGUUAUAUAUCUAAAAUUUGACCCUCUUGUAAAAAGUUUCUAGCUACGCCACUGGUACAUAUUGUAUUUGGUUGAUUUUUUUUAUAACAAUUGGAUGCUCUUGAUGAACAGGAUAAAUGCAUGGACUUGCUGCCAGAAGUUCAACGCCAACAAGUGAAGGAUGGAAAAGUGCCUGAGAUAGCGGUCACCACCUCUAGUGGUGUUGAAAUGUUAGAAACAUCUUCUAUUCCCGAGGUUCAAGAAUCAAAGUCGACUAGUUUACUGAUUCCUUCGUCCAUUGAUUCUUCUGUUCCACUGUGGACGGAUCAUAAGUAUCCUUCCUGGAAACCAGCAAUAUCUGAAACCCCCCAAAAAAGAGGAGGAUUGGUUGGCAGUUAUCGGUCUGAACUUGGAAACUUUAGUUCUUCAGUUUUGCACCAAGGGUUAUCUACCAAUUCUGAAACAAGAUUGAAGGCUGACAUUAGUCUAAACAAGACUUUCAAUUUUGAUGACGCAUCAACUCCCCUUGGUCAUCGAGUUAGUUCCCCCUCAGCAGCUAGGGACAUGAACAGAAGUUCAUCAAAGUUAUUUUCAAACAACCGUCCCCGCAACAAUCAAUACGGUACAUUGUCACCAGAAAUGGAACAGGAUGUGUUUCUUACUCCAUUCCAAACAUUCCAAAAUACAAGUCCUUCACACUACCAAAGGGUUACUACAAAUCCAGUAACUACAAGCAGCUGCAACAAUUGCUUAUUUGAAGAUUCCUCAAAGAACCUAUAUCCAAAUUUGUCUAGUAAGGGUUUCCUAUCAGAUAGGGAUGUUAGACCUUGGCAUACAGCUUCCAAGGAGGAUCCAAUGGACACAUCCAUGAGGUGAGGAUUCAAUUUUUUCUUCACAUGACUUUUUCGUCAAGUAGGUUCCUCUUAAUAUUUUGUUAUUAAGUGUGUAUGUGUAUAUUGUAUAUCCCUUUCUCAUGCAACAUUUCUGUGAUCUUCAGCUAUGGAGGUGAGGACAAAAUUCUGAACAAUGGAGUAAGAUGGAGGUCCGAUGAAACUAGUGACGAGGAAGAGGAGCAGAGUCAAGAGGAUACCUUUGGGAUUAUUAUUCAUACUCCUACCAAAAGAGGACGUAGAAGCAGGUUUUCGAGGAGAUGAAGAUUUCUUGACAUAAAAUGGAACAAUUCUUAAUAAAUUUUCCUUCUGUUGUCAUCCCUCAGUUAAGGAAACCUUCAAGGGCGAGUAGGAACACAGCUGCUAUAUUGUACAUCAGGUUGGUGCUGAUUGAGUCAUAAAGGUUCCCAUUGGAGGGGCAAAUGAUCAUACUAUACAUGAUACUGUCAUAGUUUUGUUCAGUACAGCUAAGAUGGAGCGGUUAGUGAGAUGCCUAAUUUGACGGGCCAGUUUUUCUUCUUCAUGCAAUUGCAUUCGUCGAGUUAAUGAGAACUGUAGGGAUUUGUGUUUCUGGAAGUAAUCUAAUCAAGCAAAAUCCUUUCUGUAGUUUCAAAUUUUUGCUCAGGCAAAAGCCUUUUGGUAUUUUUCAAAUUUGUAUUCUGGCUGUAUUGAAUACACAAUUGUGGAUCAGAUCGUUAUGCUCAGUUAACAAAGAGAAAACCCUGUUGUAUGUAUUCAGCACAAGCUUUUAAAAGGCCCCGCCUAGGAUCGCCUAGUCCUCGCCUAGGCUCUAGGCUGUAACAAGCCGCUUCGCUCUUCUUCCAGGCCUUUGUGUCAGGCUGUGGGCGAUUAGGCGGUUGCUUAGCUCGUCUAAAUGCCGCUUAGCCCGCCUAGAUGCCGCCUUGCCCGCCUAGGUUGCUAAGCUCUACGGCUAUUUUUGUUUUUUUUUGUGGUGAGAUUGUUAUAUUGUGGGGAGUAUGAGAGUAUAAGAGUUAAUUGUGUGUUUAAAAUUAGAAGUGUAUAUGUUUAUUGCUGUUGUUGCUCAUUUUUACAGGAAGUUAUGCUAAAUUUUAGUUAUAAUUUAUUUUAUAAAUAAGUAUGACUAGAUUAUGUUGAAUAAUUUAUUUAUAUUUGACCGUUUUUAAAUAUUAAAUUACAUAAAAUAUAUAUUUUUAAUUAAUAAAUCUUAAAAAUACAAAUCGUCUAGUCCCUGCCUAAUCCUUGCCUAGUCUGUCCAGGCUCUAAGCUGUGGGUUACCGCCCGCCUAGCGCUUAGCGCCUUUUAAAACAUUGAUUCAGCAAUGAUAAAACUUUGGAACAUGGAAUCUAACAUGGUAUUGCUACAUCUCUGCUUGUUACUGUGUCAUUUCCUGUUGUCAUACUUUUCUGCAUCCCCAACCUCAUGAUAGGAUCUAGCCGCUCAAAUAUUUUGGCUCCUCUCCUCUUGUCACCUAAGCUAAAAGUUUAGUAGGGUAAUUUCUGGCAUCAAAUAAUCCACACCACAUAGAAAACAUAGACAACUUUAUAAGUAAAUUGAAAAAUUCCAUAGUUCGCUACUUGCUAUUUGCCUCUAUCGUAAGAACAAUGAUCAAAACUAGCUGAUUACAAAAACCACUCAUUGAAAUCAUUGAAGCACUAAAUCAUUCACAUUCUCACAAAGAUUCAAUCUUUCACAUCUUGGUCAUAUCAGUUCAUACACAACGGUGAAUACCAAAUCGAGAAAGGAUGCUUCAUUCACUCACACAUGACAGAAUGCGUCCACUCCCUCAAAGAAAUUGCAACCUGAUCGAAGCCUUCUCGACCAGAUUAUGAAUGAACAAGCUCAUCAGUUCCCUGCAUCAAGUGCAGACAGUUUUUGGUACAUCAGAGUUUCUGCUGGAGUUCUUUCUUUUGUUUUGUUUGGUCGAUGGUGGGAUUAUGAAGUUGAUCCACUUGAUUUUGUAUUCGUGUAACUAGAAAUGCCUAUUUUCAAUAAUUUCAGUUUUUACUGCUUAAGUAUUGAGAACGUAUUAUAAAUUUGGGUUAUUUAGUCAAUAAUUGCUGCUAUAUCAGCUUCUGUUUGUGUGAAUGUGAUGUUUCUCAGCGCAGCGGCUACUAUAUAUAGUGUGAUAUAUAUGAUGCAUCUCUAUAUAUAAAGCAGAUAGGGGGUAUACUGUUCACAUGAACAGUACCCGGACCCGUUGACUUUUCAACACUCAGCCCACGUCUUUGUAUUUGCAUGAUACAAUUGAUACUCAUUCCGCCACGUAUUGCCCACCAGUCCACCACCAUACUAAAAUAAACCAAGAAAAAACCUAUCAUAUUAACCACCGGCCGCCCUUCUAAAAAAAUCUGGUACGCUGUGCCUCCAUAUCUCCGUUGCGAUUUGAUUCGUUGGGGGCUGAAACCUCUGGAACUUGAAUGUUGAUGGGUGUUUAUACACUUGAUGUAUAUAUAUGUGUUAGAUCAAGAUUUCCAAAAUAAUCAGUUAGGAUUUUUUUAACCAAAUCAUAAAACAAAAUUCAAAACUCGGUUAGUUCCGUAGUUGUAAUUAUUUAAAAAUUUCCUUUGUACUUUGAAAGCGAUAUCUGUUCACAGAAAUUUAUGAAAUAAUGAAUUCAAUUGUUGGGUGAGGGUGUAUGGUUUUUCCCCUGUUCAGUUUUGGUUGCAGUAUUGCUGAAUUGAUAUUUACCGUGAAAAGCACGUUGCUAAUAAUGCACGAUAUAUGUGUGUGUAUAUUUUACCCAUGUUUGCCUAUGAAACCUUCAGAUUUCUUUUUGCAAGUCAGCUAGAUAUUGUUGAUGUUUUUUGUAAAGGAAACUCCCACACCUCGAUUAGUAUGUCCUGAAGUGAAAUUAGUAGCCAUAUGACUUUGAAUUCAUAAUUCCAGUUUGUUAUAUUCACAGCUUAUUAAUUUGGAUUGGCAUGUAUGGGAAUUGUGGUCAGAAUUGUCAGAAAUGCUAAUAUGAUUGCUCAAAUUUGCAAUUAUAGUUAAAACUGAAAGAAUUGUAAUUCAGGGAUCCGUGAGAAUUCUGUAAUCUGAAAUUUGAUAGCUUGAAAUCAAGCUUUCCUCUAAAAGAUAGAUGAAUCCCUUUCAUGUUAAAGCUAGCUUGGUACUUUUUUCUAUUUUUUAUCAUCAUUGUCUUAUGUUCAAGAGACCUGGCUUCUUUGGUUUGAUUGGGUAUAGAUUUUUUUUUUGGAAACUACAUCUGUUUCCUUACAAUCUAAUUUGUAAAGUUGCAUUCCAUAGCAGUUGUGUUAUUGUAUAGAAAGAAAGAUGGUUGUUUAAAGGUUGCAACUAUCAGAUUUGUAAAUGUUGCAUUCUCUAACAGUUUGUGAUUGAAAUUAUUUGCAUGUUUACAUGUACAAUAAAUAUAUAAAACUUAGCCAGAAAGAUGACUUUGGUUAUCGAUUUGUGAUUCAAAUUAUCUGUAUGUCAAUGUAAAUGUAUAAUUAAUUAGUAAGUCUAAGGUUGAGACGCGUUAUCAACUGAGGGUUAUAGACAAUGGCAUAAAAACCAAACAUUUAGCAGGCACGAAGAAAGUCCUUCUGCACGCGCGAAGCGUGUGUUGCAAGGCUAGUAUAUAUAACAUCCAUUACCAAAUUACUCAUUGACUUUGCCACUUUUACUCUUUGUUACUUCGAUUUCCUCUUGUUCUUGUAACAAAAUGUAGUGCAAUCUAUUCAAUCAAACUACUAUGAGAAAAAAAUUAGAACUAGUAGCCGGGAAGAAGAGAUACCCCAGCUUGCUUCAAAAGUGGUUAAUUCAAGGGGAACUAAUGUUUUUAUCGUUGAAUUAGAUUGUUAGAAGCAUUUUCGCUAUUUUAGUUAGUUUGAAGCAUACAUAGAAAAACUACUUGUCCUUCGAUGUAAACUACUAGUCCUAUAAAGCAAAGAAAGGUCCAAAAGUAUAUAAAUUUCACUCCCCAAAACCUAUUAGAGCAAAGAAACAAAACCCUCCUUUCAAAAAAGAAAGAAAGAAAAAGAAACAAAACCCUAGCUCGCGGAAUGGCCGAGUCUUCAAUCAGAACCCGGCGACGGCGGCGGAACUUGAGGAAUAGGCCCAGAGAAGCAAAGAAACAAACCCUAUCAAAGUCAGAAUCCUCAAACAAAACCCUGCAUGGUGGCCGGAACUGGAUUGACCUUCCGGACGAUGUCACCGCUUCGAUUCUGUCACGUCUGUCAAUGUUUGAUAUCCUAGAGAGAGCUCAGAGGGUGUGCCUCCCAUGGCGCCGGAUCUGCAUGGACCCUCUGACGUGGCGCACCAUCCGCAUGGAGUUCGAUAUUCAUCUCCGCCAACAAAAGCAGUGGCGUAGCCAGAAACCACAAGUAGAAGGGUCAAGAGUUUAAACAAUAAUGCCACACAAAAUAAAAAUAUAAUUUUUAUUGAAUAAUAUAAAAACUUAUAAAUCAUUAGAAUACUUUGAAAACAAAAGCUAAAUAAAAUAACAAAUCUCUCUAAAGUAAUUAUAAUUGUCCUCGACGAUUGCUCAUAUUUUGAAAUUUUAGAGGAGCUUCAGAUGAAGUCGACUGUUUUGUUGUUUUUAUCUUACGNNNNNNNNNNNNNNNNNNNNAUAGAGGUGCACGAGAAAUCAAUCACAAUAAUUGAUUGAUUAGGAAAACAUAUUAAUUAAAAAGACAAAAAAAAGAAGACUAGGAAUAUGUUUUAAUUGUAAUAUUAAAGGGAGAUGCAAUAAAUCAUUGAUUCGGAUUAGAAACCUAUAUUAAAAAAAAAGAAAAAGAAACCACACGUAACAAACACACGUGAGGAGUUAAACACUCCUCUGUCCAAAUUGAUUGUUGUAAUUAAUAUUUUAUAUGCCAAAUUUUUCUUUAAUUAGUUAGAAGGGUCAAAAUAGUGCCAAUAUCACAUUUCAAAUGACAAAUUAGAUAACAAUAUGACUUAAUAAAAAAUGUGAGAGAGGUCAGCUGAACCCCUUGACCCCCUCUUCCCUACGCCCCUGAACAAAAGAUCAAUGGAAAUUUCACUUCCGCCAGAAGAAGAAAGCAUCUGCGCAAAUUCCACAACUUCAACGCUCAUAAGAUGUGCCACCACGCCGUUCAUCUUAGCUUUGGCAAUCUCGUGGAUAUCAGAAUCCGCAACUGUGGCACAGAUGAGCUCCUUCAGCAUAUGACUGAUAGGUAUUUUGGGUUUAUAUAUAUUUAUCUUAAAGUUUUGCAUUAUGUACGUGGUUCUGCAUUUUGGAAGUUCUAUAUGUUUAUUUCGAUGAAUGUUUAUGUUGACGUAGUGCAUUUUGUCUGUUUAAUAAAACAGUUCGAGGGGAAUCAGACGCCUCAGUAUUGUGUUUUCAGCUUACAUAACAAUGGAGGGAGUGGGUAAAGUGGCUUCAAAGAUUCCGCUGUUGGAGGAUCUUGAAAUCUCAUACACCCCAAAGCAGGGGCGUAGGGAAGAGGGGGUCAAGGGGUUCAGCUGACCUCUCUCACAUUUUUUAUUAAGUCAUAUUGUUAUCUAAUUUGUCAUUUGAAAUGUGAUAUUGGCACUAUUUUGACCAUUCUAACUAAUUAAAGAAAAAUUUGGCAUAUAAAAUAUUAAUUACAACAAUCAAUUUGGACAGAGGAGUGUUUAACUCCUCACGUGUGUUUGUUACGUGUGGUUCUUUUUUUUUUUUUAAUAUAGGUUUCUAAUCCGAAUCAAUAAUUUAUUGCAUCUCCCUUUAAUAUUACAAUUAAAACAUAUUCCUAGUCUUUUUUUUUUGUCUUUUUAAUUAAUAUGUUUUCCUAAUCAAUCAAUUAUUGUGAUUGAUUUCUCGUGCACCUCUAUAUAAACAGUUUUAGUCGCUUCUUUAAGUAUUUCUUUUUGUUAUCCUUCAAUAAAUUUUUCCCUGUCGUUGACAACCUUCAUAAUUAAAACUUUGUAAUUAUGGAUGUUUUAGUUUUAUUUGAAAAGUAUCGUAAGAUAAAAACAACAAAACAGUCGACUUCAUCUGAAGCUCCUCUAAAAUUUCAAAAUAUGAGCAAUCGUCGAGGACAAUUAUAAUUACUUUAGAGAGAUUUGUUAUUUUAUUUAGCUUUUGUUUUCAAAGUAUUCUAAUGAUUUAUAAGUUUUUAUAUUAUUCAAUAAAAAUUAUAUUUUUAUUUUAUGUGGCAUUAUUGUUUAAACUCUUGACCCUUCUACUUGUGGUUUCUGGCUACGCCACUGCCCCAAAGAGCUGUAACCCUUUCGAAGAUUACACGGCACACGAAUCUCUUGAAGCCAUUGGCCGUUCUUGCCCUCUUUUGAAAUCUUUGAGAUGGAACAAGCAGGAAGGGGAUCGUUUCGAACCCAAUGACAAUCGUGAUGCAUUUGCGAUAGCCGGAACAAUGCAUCGGUUACAGAACCUCCAGCUUUUUGGGAAUUGGCUGGACCAUGAGGGUUUACACGCCAUUCUUGAAGGUUGUCCGAGUCUUGAAUCACUUGAUCUCCGUCAAUGUAUACAUCUUCGUCCUUCGAAGCAAUAUGGUUGGCGCGUCCGGUGUGAAGAACAAAUUAAGAAUCUGAGGCUUCCUGUGGACCCUAUAGAUGAUUAUGAGCAUAUUGUCAUUCAUAGAAUUGUUAACAGAAAAUACUGGGAAUAUAUGAAAGAUAUGAUGAUCUAGCUUAAUUAGAUAUAGAUAUAGACUCGUGGAUUGCUACAUGCUGGAAUGUUGUGUCACUUGAUCGUGUUUUCGUGGGAAUUCUUUUGUUUUGUUUUGUUUUCUCGAUGAUGGGGUUACAAAUUUGAUCACUUGAUGUGUAUUCGUAUAACUAAACUGCCAUGAGCAGUUAUUUAUAUGAACAUUCAUCCCCAUCUAUCAUCCAUCUAUCAUGUACUUUGUUCUAGCUCUUUCGAUUGAAGAUUACAAGUGUCCAUUCUGCAUCCUUUGAAUCACAAGAGCAAAAAUGAAAAAAGAAAGAAAAGAUUAGGCUAGGAAACAAGUUUGAGGUCUAGAUCGACCAGAAAGAGUAGGCAUAUAAUCAUCAGCAAUGAAUUCUCAAUGGCAUGAGUACGUCUCCCUAGGCAGUUGAACUGAAAUAAUCUCAAACUUGGCACUCUAUGUUCGUCCUAUAGGAGAUGAUCUAGGAGAGAAAAAACAUUGAUAACAAUUAUCAAAGACAACAACCCAACAAUUGGACGCAGAGCAUACUCUGUAUUGCGGAACUCAACAUUUCAUAUAAUUGUAUUAACUAUUAUAGAGAGACAACUCAAAAUCAGCUUAGGUUUAUGGAAAAAACGAGGGUACGCUUGGUAGCAGAUUCACCAGGUACAAUCGAUGAUGUCGAAUUCAUCAGUGGACUUAACCGAGUAAAUAUAUGUAUUCAAAUACUCAGCUCUCUGUUUCUGUCUUGCUGGACAUACCUAUAAGAAAUGCUCAGUGCAACGUUGUGGACUCGACUUCAGACUGGAAAGAAAGAGCACAUUUUGCUGAGCUCAGGGCUUCAAUUUCUCUCAAGUCAUCUAUUAGAUUUCUCACAUCAGCCAUAUACUCUUCAGGAGUCUGCAAUAAAAUAAUUUGAGUCUCGCAUCACACUACAAACCAAGCAAAGAAAAAUUCACACAGUACUGCAUAAAAGAAUAUUGAAAUACUAACCAUUUUUGGAGCACCACUCUCUGGCAUUCUGGAACAUCCGUAGCCAUGGACUAGGGCCUUUCUUUUCAACAUCCCACUGCUUGGGAUACCAUGGGUACUGCCACAUUAAGAAGCAGCGCUCUGGAUGAGGCAUCAUGGCAAGAUGCCUCCCAUCUGGUGAACAAAUUGCCGCAACUCCUAAGGGAGAGCCAUUCAGGUUGAAGGGAUAAAGCUCCGUUUCAAUCCCAUCAUCAUCACAAUAUCUUACUGGAGCCAACUUGGAGUGGAGCACACGGUCAAAAACACCAUCAUCAGGGAAAUAGGCUCUUCCCUCACCAUGGGCAGCCCACACGCCCAAGGUACUGCCUUCCAUUCCAUUUAACAUUAUAGAUGGUGAGUCAGUAAUUUUUACACUAGUAAAGCGGCACUCAAACCGUCCCGACUCAUUGUGAAUGAACCUCGGCUGUGAUGGAUCCCCACCACCACCAUGCACGCCCCCAACUUGAGGACCUGGGACCCACCCCAAAAGAGCCAUAAGCUGACACCCAUUGCAAACCCCAAGACUGAAAGUGUCGUGCCUCUUGUAAAACUCCUGAAAUUGAUUUAGAAGGGGCUGAUUAAACCUAAUUGAAGCAGACCAGCCUUUUGCAGAAUCAAGGACAUCAGCAUAGCUAAAACCUCCAACAAACACAAUUCCAUGGAACUCUUGCAGUGAUACAUUUCCUUUAAGAAGGUCUGACAUUGUAAUAUCCCAUGGUUCAAAGCCAGCCGCAUAAAAUGCCGCUGCCAUUUCUCUAUCCCCAUUGCUUCCUUCUUCUCGAAUAACUGCCACUUUCGGUUUGGAGGUUGCGGUCAUAUACUUUUCAUCUGUGAAGGACGGAGUAAAAGACAACUGCCACGAAGGCUCAUGCCUAUCUUUCAACCCAUCUUUCUCUAAAUCAACACAAGAAGCCAAUCUCUGAAACUUCUCCAGCUGAAAACUAGUUUCCUCCCACAUGUCCCUUACAAAAGAAGUACUUUCGUUCAAGUGAGUUACCCCAUCCACCUUUAAUUCUAUUGAAGGUGUGGCAGUUACCUGUCCAAUAAUCUCUGCAGAAAUACCUCCACUGCUUAGCUUUCCCAUUACCAUAUCUAAGUUAUUCUUGCUUACCUCAAUAAUCAGACCAAGCUCUUCAGAAAAGAUUGUUUGGAAGAGGCUCUUCCCGUGUGAAGUCAAUUCCAAAUUAAUACCACAAUUCCCAGCAAAUGCCAUCUCAAGGGCACAGACCAGAAGCCCACCAUCACUGAUAUCAUGGCCAGCAGAGAUCAGUUCAUCAUCAAGAAGGCCCUGAACUCCCUCAAACACUUGCUUCAGAUACGGAACAUCCUCAAGGUCAGGACAAUCGUUCCCAAUUUGGUCAAAAACCUGAGCAAGAGCAGAGCCACCUAAUCGCCGCUUUCCUGCGGCCAAAUCAAUGUGAAGCAGAACACCAUCAUCUGCAAGCUUCAAAUCUGGGGUUACUGUUUUUGUUAUGUCAGGACAAGUACAAUAAACACUGAUUACAAGAUUUCCAGGAGCCUUAACAACCUCUCCUGCAGCAUGGGCUGCCAUGGAAAGACUAUCCUUUCCACCAUCAAUAGCAAUACCAAGUGUGAUCAUUGUGUCUGAAAGAGCAUUAGCAGCAUCAUACAUUGCUGCACCUUCACCAUCAAGCUUGGCUGCAUACAUCCAAUUCCCACUUGCUUUAACAUCAGAUAGAGAAGUGACCUUUGCCCAAACAAGAUUUGUGAGUGCUUCUCCAACUGCCAAUCUUGCCAUUGCUUUUGGAUCCAACAAACCUUUGAUUGGCUGCUCCCCAAUGGCACAUGCACCUCCAGUCAACCCGGUAAAAGUCUGAGCAAUUACUCCAACAUCAGAGAGAGGAAUUUGCAGAGGCCCGACAGUUUGCUGCUGACCUACCAGACCUGUAACACACCUGUCUACUUUCGAUGUCAAGAAGCGCUUUGAACAGAUGGAUGGAAGUCUUAAAACUCUCUUCAGAGCAUCCAUUACAGUGAUACCAGGGGCAAUAUCAAGUGGCUCUCGUGCAUCAGCCAUCCGCUGGAACUCAAAGCUUUUUUGUGGCAUAUCACCAAGUACUUUCUCAAGCUCCAAAUUGACAGCAGGAUCAGGAGGAGGGAGGCCACUUGAUUUAGAUUUUUCAAUAGCUAAGCUAUCAAUCAAAACAAUUCGCCCCUCACCAUUUAUUGUUCCAAUAACUGCCAUGGAACACCUUUCUCUUUCACAAAUUGAUUGCAAAAGCUCACGACUUUCAGGCUUAACCAAGAUGGCAUCUUGUUCCUGAUAUUCUGCACCCCAUAUCUCCAAGACAGACAUUGUAUAAUCACCAACUACAAUUGCCCGGAUAUCAAUCUCCCCACCCUUUGGGUAAAUAAUUUCCUUAACCACAUUGCAGUUUCCGCCAGCUCCUUGGUCAUGAAUACUAAUGAUCGGGUUACCCUCCCCCAUCUCAAUGCAGGCACGAACAACACGAUACAAUUUUUGUGCCAUCUCUGCAUCCCCACGCUGUACAGCAUUGAAAUCAAGCUCUGCGUCAUUUUGACCACUAACCAUGCUUGAUGCAGCCCCACCACCCAUACCAAUACGAUAAGCAGGGCCUCCAAUCUUCACAACCAGCAUGCCAAUAUCAGGCUCUCCUUUUGUUAUAUGAGUGUGAUCUAUCUGUCCAAUCCCUGCACUGAACAUGAUUGGCUUCAACCAUUCCCGUCUCUCACCGCUUGGGAGUCUCAUUCCAAAGGUUCUAGUGUAUCCCUGAAUCAAGGGCUCACCAAAUUUGUUGCCGUAGUCUGAUGCACCAUUACUACCAUCUAUGAGGAUCUGCAAAGGCGAGGCCAAAUUUGAUGGAUACAAGAAAGACGAAUCUUCCCAAGGAGCAUAAGAUCCUUCCAUAUUGAGAUUCCCGACACAAUAACCAGCAGUAGAUGCUACCACAAAAGACCCCCUUCCAGUUGCAUGUGUGUCCCUGAUUCUACCUCCUGCACCUGUCUCUGCCCCAGGGUAAGGUGCUACAGCACAAGGAAAAUUAUGGGUCUCUGCAGUAAAUAAUAUAUCAAGGUCCCGUGUAGACAUCUGCAAUGGAGAUGUUGAACCUGGCUGAACUGGUCGCAAUUGCUUCACAAGAAAUCCCCUGAUUGCACUCGAGUUGUCCUUGAAACCAAUGACAGAGUUGUUCGGGUUUGCUUGCAAAGUGCUCUUCACAAUUUGCAUGAGUGUUUUGUCCAUAGGCUGUCCAUCUAUAAAAAUUUUACCAGUGAAAAACCAGUGCCUGCUAUGCUCACUGUUGGACUGUGCAAUAUCGAAGAGUUCAACUGUUGUUGGAUUCCGCUUGAUAUCUUCCUUGAAUAGCCUGGUGUAGUAUUGGAGAUCUUGCUCAUCAAAUGCCAAACCCAUCUCCUGAUUAAUCUCCUCUAACGCUUUCCGACCUCUCUCCAUGACAGGAAUAUGGCGUACUUUGUCGGGGACCACACUCGUUUCAAAAGAAGUGAGCUGCUGGGUGUAAACACACUCUGUCAUCCGAUCAUGAAUCAUUGCGGCAAACUCAUUAAUCUGUUGAUCCUGCAAGUUACCCUUACUAAACAACAAGUACCUCCUUGACCGUUCCAAACGAGUGACUUCUGUCAAGCCGCAAGCUCUACAUAUUGAGACAGCAUUGGAUGACCACGCUGUUGUAAAUGACAACCGAGGACCAACCUCAACAAUAACUGUGUUCAGUCCUUCCUGCCUUUUCUUUACAAGAAAGCUGUCAACUCCCAAAUUCUCCGGCUCAUAAGUCUCCUGAAGAAGCCACUUAAGCACCGCAACCUUUUCACUAGAAAGCUGCGAACUGAGCCCAAUGUUGAAACACUGCUCAGUUUUCAAACCAACUAUCUGGCUCGAAAUCUUUGACUGCACGGUUUUGAGAAGCUCAGACGUUGCACUCUCCUGAAUCAGAGGAACACGAUAAAAAUGGAUAACUGAGGACGAAGGCUUCUCAACCACACUCGGUAGUGCCUCUACUGAACUGCUCACAGCCGAAACAACAGCUGUGGGCUUCUCCUUAGCAUGACAUCUCAAUGAAGCAUUUCUCCUAGUAACAGAACCCCGCACUGAAUUGUGCAGUGUCCCCCAAAGCACUGGGCUUCUUCCUUUCAAAGGACCUCUGUGAGAAAACAGGCCCUGUCUAUGGCCACCCUGUAACAAAAUCAAAGUCAUUUUCAGAUUUUCAAUCAUCUACUACUUUCAACAUAAACUUUAACUUCUUAGUAUCCGAACACGGGUAAUGAAGAACACAUACUUUUAUGAGUUCACCAGCAGUUAUCUCCCGCACACCAGCCAUCUCCUCAACCUUCAAGAACCCCAAAAAACCAAACAAAUUAAUUUACAAUCUGUUUUCAAAUGAAACAAACAAACCUACAGUAGAAACUCAUCAUCUAUUAAUCAUUCAUCUAUAUCAAUCCAAAAGUACUAGAAACUACAAAACUCAUCAAUCAAACACUAAAAUCUAACUCUAGAAAAAAUAAUUCCAUAAUAUUACAAAAAAGAACAAAAGUUUAACAUUUAGGGUUAAAAUUUUACAAUAAAGAGAGCUUACCUUGCACUGUGGCUGUGAGAGGUUGAAGAAACAAGAGACUAUAUGACGUCUGUGAAGACUGUAAUGAACAUAAACUUAGAUUAAUAGAUUAAACCCAAGAGACUAAAAAGUAAUGGGUAAGACUUAAAAGAUGAAAACUGGUGAAAAACACACCUGGGUCUUUGCGGCUUUAGGGGUUUAGAGCCAAACCCUCAACUGAACCAAAAAGUGGUGGCGUCUGUCUCAGUGGAGAAGAAGACCAGCACGCUCAAAACCACACAUAUAUAACCAAUGUAAUUUCCAUAAAAAGACAAGGAUAUUAUAGACAUUCCAAACAUUUAGUCUUCUGGUUUGGCUACUCUGGUCGUGCCAAAUCGGGUAUGAGGGGUAGGCUAGUAACUUCAACGAAAUACCUUUUCUCUUUAAAUGAAUGGAGUCAAAGGUUGACUAAGCUUUGAGGAAGGAGAUGGCAGAAGGUCUGAAGCUGCCUAUCAUAGACUUGUCCUCACCGGAUCGGAACUCCUCCGCCAGUUCAAUCCGUCAGGUUCUUCUAGUUCUUCCAUUACUGAACCAAAGCUAUGAACUUUUGUUAUUUUUUUUAUUGAAGCUUUGAACUUUACCCAGAAUUGUUUGAUGAAUAAAAAACACAGGCUUGCAUAGAUUGUGGUUUCUUUUACUUGGUGAAUCAUGGUGUUGAGGAAGAGUUACUGGGCCAAGUGUUUGAUCAGAGCAGCAAGUUUUUUUCACUUCCUUUGAAAGAUAAGUCCAAAUUGACGCGCAAACAUCACAGAGGCUACACAGCGCUCUUUGCUGAGAAUCUUGACCCCACUUCCAGCUCCAAAGGUUUUGCUUUGUGUUUCUUUUGCUUAAAGUUUUGAUCUUUUUAGUAAUUUUGAUUGUGGGUGAGUGAGAGAUGAGAGAUUAGGAGUGGAAUGUAGGAACCCAAUUGGAAGUGGGAACUAUAGAGUGGAAUGUGGUGAGGGUUUUGUGUUGAUUAUGAUGGUGUUGAUUAUUGGUGACUUUAGUAUAAUGUGCUAGUUGCAAUUUGAAGUAUUAUUGGAAAGCUUGAUGUAGUAUGUAUGUGGGAUUGUUCUGGUUUUGUUUUGAGUUGAGCUAAAUGGGAAACAAGAAAAGGAUGUUGCUUUUGAUUUUCUUGUGUUAAUUUGGAAACAGGUGAUUCAAAAGAGAGUUUUUACAUUGGCCCUUUAGAAGACGCAACUCAAGAUAAGUUGAAUCAAUGGCCUUCAGAAGGUAUGGAGCAACUUUUUGAAACGUUAAUUACGAUACAAGGAGAGUAAAAUAUUUGUUAUACAGAGGGGAACUGCUCUUAGGUACGGUUUCACUUUCAUGUUAUGUACAGAUAUCCUUCCAUCCUGGAGACCUACAAUGGAAACUUACUAUAAAAAAGUUCUGUAAGUUUCAUAUUAUCACCUUGAUGACCAUUUACUUCCUAGCUUUCUAUAUGUAGGUGGUAAAAGUUGUUCACCAUUGACAAUAUAUAGUUGUUUUCAGUUCUGCUGGGAAAAGAUUAGUAUCUCUGAUUUCCCUGGCUUUGAACCUGGAUGAGGACUUUUUUGAGAAAGUGGGGGGUCUGAAUAAACACACGGCAUUUCUUCGCCUUUUGCACUAUCCAGGUGAACUAGAUAGUUCAGCUUUUUAGCUGCCUUUUUUAUGUUUUAAUUACUAGUCUUGUUUAUAAUUAUUUUAAAUUUGCAAAAAUCUCUACUGUACUUGAUUUCCAGUUUGUUUCAUCUUUCAUUUCUAUCUGUCAAUGCUUCGGCUUACUUAUAUAAUUUCAGGUGAACGGGGAUCAUCUGAUGAAGAAGUACUUGGUGCUUCUGCUCAUUCAGAUUAUGGGAUGGUCACACUCCUCAUAUCCAAUGGUGUCCCAGGACUUCAGGUAUGUUUCUGCUAGUUAGUUGCUGUUUCCACCAAACAUUUAGUCUUGUUUCCCUACUGCAGUCUGAUACUCUUAUCUGGGAUGUAUUUUAACACCUACAGGUUUGUAGGGAUAAAUUUAAGCAACCACGGGUUUGGGAAGAUGUUCCUCACAUAGAUAGGUAUGUACCAGGACACAACUUAAUUGUGAUUGGUAGUUAUUAGUAGUUUGGUACAGUAAUGAUGAACCCUUGUAAUUGUUCUUCAAAGAUGUCCAUCAGUCCAUGAAUCUGUACUGGCCUGCAAUAUUAACAUAUAUAAUAAAAUGGACACAGAGUUCCAUUGCUUUUGUUAGAUGUGGAUCCUUUAGAUUGUGAUGCUAAACUCUCAUAUAGAUUUGAUAUUGUUAGACUGUUAUUGAAGAAGGAUUUUCUUCUGAAUAUUAAAUAUUAAUACCUUUAUUCUUCAUAUUUAUGGAAGAGCAUUUGUAAAUGUCCAAUUUUACUUUGACCUUUGAUGUUCAAAUUUGAAUAUGCAGAGCAUUCAUUGUUAACAUUGGGGAUAUGAUGGAGAGGUGGACUAAUUGUUUGUUCCAGUAAUUCCUUAUCCUAAUAACUUGAAGGGCUUUUUCGUCUUUCUUCUUUUAAAGCUUUUACACUUUCAAAUUCAAAAAUCUAAGCCAGCAGAGAUGUGCUCUUCUCCUAUUUAUUUUUAGGUCAACGGUGCACAGAGUUAUACCAGCAGGACAAGAACGCUACUCUGUAAUUAUCUCUCGAUCGAUUUCUUUCAUUUACAUCUUCAUAUUAGAGAAAUUUUUGGCAUUUUUUCUCCCCACUUAAAUGAUUAGUAUCCAAUGGUUUGGUGAAGAAAUCUUCCAAAUUCAAUUUUAUUUUGGGGGUCUGAUUUCUCCUAUUGUGUCACUAAUGAUUGUGAACUAAAAAUUUCUUUGUUUCAGAUGGCUUUCUUUUUAGACCCCAAUGAAGACUCUGUGGUAGAAUGCCUCACAAGUUGUUGCAAUGAAUCAUUGCCGCCAAGGUAACCGCCCAUGGUGUUGCACUGCAUUGCUUUCAUUUAGCCUUUCUAUGAUUAACUUUGUGUUUUCCUAGUUGUCAGGGUCUAUGGGUAUCACUCUAUUGUGAACUUCUCCUUGCAAAAAUGGUUCAGUGGGGAAUGGGGAUGGGUACCUUACUACUCCCGCAUAGAAUACAUAAUGGGUGUGUGUGUGUGUGUGGUCUCACUUAUACCAAAAUUGGGAAUAUGAAAGUCCAGCAUGCUUCCGUCUCUGGAGUCCUCAUCAGCCAUUCCAUUAAGACAGGCCCAAUAGCUCUGUGUGUGUGUGUGUGUGUUCUGCGUGUGGUCUCACUUAUACCAAAAUAUGAAAGUCCAGCAUGCUUCCGUCUCUGGAGUCCUCAUCAGCCAUUCCAUUAAGACAGGCCCAAUAGCUGGACAGUAACUUUCACUCACCUACCACUUACCAAUACUUGAUGAAUUGGUAUGAUGUCCAUACAUAAUACUAAUGCCUUUUAACCAAACCCAUAUGUUGAUCCUCCCAUGCAUUGAAGCUAGCCUCAUACAUGUUCUGUUGAUACCAAUUGUUAUGGGCCAUGUUACCAUUCAAUAGAGUUCCACUUCUUUUUUGAACUAAACUAAUAAACAUAAACUCUACAUCUAAUCUAACUGAUACUAAAUUUCUGUUACAAACUAGUUAUGCAUAUGUGAGAAUUGUUUUCAUGGCUUUGUUGCUGCAAUCUAAGUUCAAGGUUUUCAGCUACUUUCUUUUGUCAUGUUUUUUUAUUUUUGUUCGUGUUCCUUCAACACACAAAAAAGAAUUAGAGAGCAAUCAAUAAACAUGAAAUAUAAGUAUUGUUCAGAUGUUAGCUUGUUUUGAUAUCGAUAUUAGAACAUGAUAGAAAGCUUUCUUCAAAGUAUUUGGGCUGUAAAUGUCAAUAAAUAAGAACUACCUUUUUACUCAGUUUCUUUUCCUUUUUCUUUUUGCUUGUCCUAUUCGGUUUCUCUAAACCCGUUGCAUUGGAGAUUAUCUAACAAGUUUCUGCUUGCAGAUUUCCUCCCAUCCGCAGCGGGGACUACCUGAAAGAGCGGCUGAGGCUUACUUAUGGCUCAUAAGAAUGACCAACAUUAAGAUGUGGCACGACUUCGAAGAGUUCUUUCUUCUACUUUUAAAUACUAGACGAAUUAGAAAUGGGUGAAGAAGUCCGGAGCCCUGAGAAGAAGAAUGUAGCAUAUGGAUGUAGAAAAUUAAUGGUAUCAUUCAUGUACUAUUAAUAUGUGAAACCUGUAUCAGUGUAUGCACACUAGCAUUACAAGGCAGUUAAAACAAUAUUUCAGACAAACAUAACACUGACUCUGACAUGCACCAAUGUGUACACAAAUGAAAGUUUCCUCACACACACAACGACCACCCAGGAUUGCCUUCUGGAUUAGACACUUGAUUGCGCAACUAGCAAGCUUUUAUUCUACAAGAUUAAAAGAUCGGGCCAAUGACUAGCUAGUACGUAUACACAUAUCACCAAUAAGUAUUGGGUAUUUUCUUAGCACUUUGUUAGUUUGUGGAGACGAGUACUAGAAGAAUGUUUGCAUCUGGAAUGGAUAUAUAGAUUUCUAAACCAAUUAGUUGAGAUAAUUGCUUGAGCUCUGAAAGGCUUGCUUUCUUUGUUUUCAGUUUUUCACCCCCGACCCUCCAUUCACUAAAGCUGUUUCUCAUUCUCAAUUCUUCCACCAUUUUCAACCUCGACACAUUUAAGGAUGUGCAGAGUAUACAUGUCCAUAUUCUUUAGUUGUCCCUAACUAUACUUUGCUCUGUUUUUCAGGGGAGACCAAUAUCCUGCAGAGCUAUAAACAGAUUGUUACCAGAGGAAAGAUAGGCUUUUUGUAACUUGCUCCACAUGCUUUAAAUAAAUGACAAAAAAGCCACAGUCAACUCUCAGAACAUUACAUUAUGUGCAACAAGCUCUUUAAAGGUAACAAACCCAUAUAUAAAAAGGAAUAGACAUGUUUUGAUCAAUUGUUUAUGUCUAAUGUGUUAACUUUGCAUGGAUGGAUAUGUAAUUGAUUCUUUGAUGAUUGACAUUGACCACAGACUAAUGAUUUGUCCGAACUCUUUGAUUAGAUUUAUCAAAGAUCGACUAGAAGCUGGAACAGCUGAAAGAAGAUACUGACUUUUACUUUUUCUGCUCAUUUUAUUUUUGUCCAACGAACUGUGAUUUGCAGCUUUUGAUUUAAGGAUUUAAAGAAAGGGAUCUUGGAGGCUUUGAUUGUUUUGCUUUAAAAUUAAACUCUUAGGGGGUGUCUAUAUCUUGCUGGUUGUUAACUUUCUUAAAGUCUCCCGGUCAUUUUGAGAAUUUUAAUUUUGAGCUCUGACAAAUCUCUCUUAUUGAGUGUUGGUAUUAGAAGACCAAGUGGGUAUAGGGAUGUUAACAAAGAAAAUGAAUAGUCAAAGGUCCAAAUCUGGUAGAUUCAAAAGUGCGUGCUAGGUAUGAUAUUGAUAUUUCUACACUCAAACAUAGUUACUAAUUCCAUCUCCUUCAAAUAGUUAAUGAAUUCCUAUAAUUUUGUGUGUGUGUGUUGUGUGAAUGAAAGUUGAGUUUUUAUUCAUGCUAUUUACUGAACAACUAUUUUCUGUGUAUAAUUGCAGGUCAGUUCUAACUGGGAAACCUUUGUCAUUUUUAUGUGUAUGGCCAAUUUGAACUUCUUAGCUUGAGUAAUGUUGAUUGCUCAAUUAGGUUGUUUCAUGUAUAUACUUUUAAAACAUGGUCAACCUAAUUUUGAUAGAAAACUAAUGUCUUUACAUUUUUUUGGGGUUAUAUUAUUGUAACAAAACUAUAGUUUUGUGAUUCAUCUGUGAUUAAUUGUUGUUCAGUUUGUCCUCUUCAGUUCUCAAGAAUUAAUAGAUUGGUUUUGUUUUUGAUACUUAAAAACUCUUUUGUUCAACGCUGAUGAUAGAGAACUCUUAACAGUUUUUUUCUUUUUCUUUUCAAGCUUUAUAUUUUUGUUUUACUAAAUCAUGUUUCUCUUAUGCAUGUCUUAUGCAACAAGCUGUUAGUGUUAAUCUUCUGUUGUUGUCCCUCAUUUUAGCAUUAUGCAUUAUCUUUGUUCCCCCUUUUGAUACAAGUAUGCAUUCGUCUUUAAUUAUAUGCUUGGUUUUUAAUUAAAUGAAACUGUCAUUUCAGAAACAUAAUUAGCAAAUUUGGGAAGUACGUAUAGUUGUAUUUUAUGGUGAAUUAUGUAACUAUUUUUCUUUUUUUCUUUUUGCAUAUCUGUGCAGUCGUUGCAUGCAGAAGCUAAUUUGCGAAACAUUGAGCUCUUAUACAGCUUCUUUGUAUUCAGGUUAUGAGACCUCUUCUGUAUAUUCGAGCUGAAAUCGCAAAUAAACUUUUUGAAUGUAUACUAGAUCAUUGUAAUCAUCCUUUUACAAUACAGCUUAUCUGUUCUGCUCAUUGACUCAUUUUUUCUGCUUAAGUGUUAUGAGUUAUUGUCAUUUCUUGGAUUUCAAGACAGUUUGAUGAAUGUGGAAGCUAGGUUCUGUUGUUCAAUAAUAUAUAUGGGCAUGUAUGAAAGUUGUCUGAUCCAUGGAAAAAUAGUGGCUUGGAUUUGAUAGAUUCAUGUUUUGAUGAUUACUAGAUUUUAUGAGCAAGACCAAAACUUAUAUAUAUCUACAGUCUUUGGUUUCUAUUUAGAAAUCAAUGCAAUGUCAAUUUCUUAAGUUGGAAAAAAGUUUUCAUGCUAUAAAUGAAAUACUGUCAUAUCGAUCAAGUUAAUCAGCGAUUAACUUAAACGUUUGAUUGACUAAAUGAAUAUGGUCAUUGGUUGAAGGCUUUAAGUCCAUUUUAAGUUGAAUAAUACAGGAUAUUGCACCCGCAGCAAAACGCGGGCAUACUGUCUAGUCUUCUCUAAACACCACAUAAGUGAAUGAAUAUAAUCAAAAUUACUAUCUUUCUCCUCUUCACUAAGAAAGUUAUCGAUUUCUUCCGAACACCAACUCUCACCACUUUUGCUCAUAAGACUAGUCCAGAUUCCACGGCUAAGCCAAAUUCCACGAAUAUGCUUUAUUGUUUCCAUACUCAAAAGCAAUAAAGCAUGUAGCACAAUGCUGAGAUUAUGUUUUUGGUCCUUGGCGAAGUCUUCGUCGCCAACUGUUCCGGCUACAAUCAAGAUGCAACUUGUUUCGAAGAGUUGCGAACAAGGUCCUUGGUCAAGCAAUAGCCUAAAGGAAUUAAGUUUAAUUUGAUCAAGAUCAAUGUCUUCAAGACUUUAAGUCUUCGUCAAUGUUUUGUCAAAGUGCCUUGUUAGUUUUACAUAUUCCAGUUUUUCUUUCAAAUGGUUAUUGGCCAAUCAUCCUAGCCAGAUCAGUCCUGCCUACUCUUAGCUUUUUACAAGUACUUCAGAAGUUGGAUCCUAAAAAAAGGAUUAGUAAGUCAUAAAUUGUUCAAGCUCUACUUCAAAGUUGUAAAACUAUACUUGCCUAUUAAACUUGAUUGUUUUUCAGAUGGAAGAUCAUGGCAGUAGAAAUAUUGAUGUUGAAGCAUUGGAAAAGAGCCUGAAAGCAAAACUUUGCAGCGAUUCACCCUUGUCUGCUAAGUGCUGCAUCUUCAGAGUUCCUGAGUUACUCCGGAGGCACAAACCAGAGGCAUAUCAACCUGAUAUCGUCUCUAUCGGACCCUUUCACGGAAGUGGUGAACUUUUUGAACCCAUGAAAAAAGUGAAACUGUGGUAUUUAGAUACUCUACUCUUACGAAAGUGUGUAUGUUUAAAAUCUUUGAUCCAAGGUAUUGAUAAAAUUACCGGGUUUGAGGAACGCGCCCGUGAUUAUUAUGCAGACUCAAUUGAUCAUCUUAACCAUAAAGAAUUUGUAGAAAUGAUGAUAAUUGAUGGCUGCUUCCUAUUAGCACUAUUUUGGAGAAGUUACUAUGUUUACCCAGAUUCAGAUACGGUUGAUGAUCCCCUAUUCCCAGAUUCAGAUACGGUUGAUGAUCCCCUAUUCAAUAUGAGUUGCAUGUACCAGUAUCUUUGCCAUGAUCUCCUGCUACUAGAAAAUCAGCUGCCUUGGUUUGUUCUCGAGUCUCUACAUAGCCUUAUCUGCAACAAUCAAGUCCCCCUCACUACGCUUGUGCUUAAUUUCUUCAGCAGAUUAUCAUCAAUGUCCGAUUAUUGCGAGGGUUAUACCAAUCACACUCAUGAUGAGGAAAUUCUACACAUACUUGAUCUGAUAAGAAGUGCUAUUGUUGUUCCAUUCCGCAAAUUUGAAUCAACAGAAUCCAAAUAUGCAAUGCCCCAUGCAACUGCUCUCUUGGAGGCAGGCAUUGAAUUCAGAAGAAGCUCAGUUGAUGGGUUAAUGAAUAUUGAUUUUAAAGAUGGAGUUCUCACAAUUCCACAGCUUGCAAUUGCAGAGAUGACUGAACCUUUGUUCAGGAACCUCAUAGCCUUCGAGCAAUGCUAUCAUGGUCGCAUGCAUCAAGUGGCUUCUUAUGCAUUUUUAAUGGAUAAGCUUAUUUCUUCCAGCAAGGAUGUCGUUUUUCUCUGUGACAAACAAAUAUUCUAUAACUGGUUCAGUGCUGAAGAGGGUUCCUAGUUCUUCAGUAAGCUUCAUACUGAUACAUUUAUUAUUGAAUUUUGCUAUGGCGGACUCUGCGCUGAAGUGAAUAAAUAUUAUGAGGCUAGAUGGAACAAGUGGCUAGCCCGAUUGAAGCGCGAUCACUUAUCUAAUCCAUGGAAAAUCACUUCUUUGGUUGCAGCCUUUAUCCUUUUGGUUCUCACCCUAUUUCAGACAACAUAUACCAUUCAGCAAUACUAUCAUCCUCGUUAGUACUGAUGUUUGUUAAUUAGUUUACUUAAUAUGUGCCUUUCAUUCCUUUGGCAAUGUAUUUUCAUGAAACUACUUAUUAUUCUACGGAAUUUCAAAUAAAAGUUGGAUUGCACACGAGUGACAACGUCACUUGAUUAUAUAGUAGGCAAAUACGUAGUCCUCAUCUGUGAUGUUGUUACCUAUAUUGAAUCUAGAAGUCAUUUCUCAUUUGUUUUCCAAAAUUGUUGAAUUUAAGCUCACAAAUCAUGUCUCAUUUGAUGUUAUCCACUUAUUCUCAUAUCUCAUCAGUAGUUCUGAUAACAUGAUCGAGGUGGAGAGAUUGGACAGAGAAAUGAUUUAUAGAUAUUCAUCCUUGUUAACAUUUUAAGCAGAACAAUGAUACACCCUUUGAUUUGAUGAGCUUGGUCUUGCUCUCAUCGCCCAUCUUAUCUCGACACCCUUAAAACAGUACACUUUGGUAAAGGGUUAUGCUUGUAAAACAAGUCUGAUCAUUUGCUUUGUUUGAAGAACAAGCAAAACAACGAGACCUAAGUCACCUAACCCACGUUUUGUUAUGCAAUUAGAUACAUAAACACUGCCAUUGUGGCACAAACACAGGAAGGGUGAUGGAGAAAUAGUAGUGUUAAGAUACGGCGUCGUUUUUGGUGCAACGCGAAGGGGAUGGCCGAUGGCGGCAGAUGGAUGGAUCUAAGAUCGGUCAAGUUUUUAGACUGAGUGGGGGCCCAUGAGGAUAAGAGAUAAAUUAUCCGAGGCUUUUGGAUAAGGUGGGUAACGAUUUUUUAAUCCUCUUUCUACGAUAGAUAAUUUGAUUCCCUCAAGUGAUCAUAUGCCGGAAUCUGCACCGACCACUAAAUUCCACAGGUACGGUAAAAUAUGUUUAAGUCGUUUUUACAGUCAUUUGAAAAGAAAUUACAUUUUAUCUGUCACUGUUAAUAUAUAUAUAUAUAUAUGUAUGUAUAUAUACAGUCCGUCUCAGCUGCGGACGUCCGCACUAAUGGUUUUGGUGCGGAUUUUCAUUUUUACACCACUUUUCGAUCAAAUUUCCUUAUCCCCACCGUAUUUUCCUUAUUCCCACCGUAUAGUAUCUAGAUAAUAUUGUGUAGAUCAUCUCUGUAAAAUUUCAGCCAAUUUGGUAAUCGUUAAGGCCCUCAAAAUUGUGUUUUUCUAGUAUAAACAUGAAUCGGACAGAAUUCAGUCCGUUCAUUUGUUUUUCAAGUUUGAGGGCCUUAACGAUUAUCAAAUUGGUUGAAAUUUUGCAAAUAUGAUCUAUACAAUAUUAUCUAGAUACUAGACGGUGGAGAUGAGGAAAUUCGAUUGAAAAGUGAUGAAAAAAUGAAAAUCCGCACCAAACCAUUAGUGCGGACGUCCGCAGCUGAGAAAAAUCCCAUAUAUAUAUAUUUUAAUAGGGGUUAAGCGGCCACCUCAUGCCUUAACAAAUCACGUAACUUAGAUAUAAAAUUAACUACCUCACUGUACCAUGGUGACAUAUUUACUUUGAAUGCAAAACAAUUACUGAAAACGAGCUCUCAUGACAAAUUUAUCUUUGUAUCGACACAAAAUGAAUCAGAAUGCACCCGUAAAGUUAACAAUUAAGGAGAUUAAUCCACUUUGGACAUGAACUUCUCUAACCGCAUAUGCUUUUAACUAAAAUCAAUCUUGAGAUUCGAGGUUGUCAAAAAUAGAAACUUGUCCAGACUAAAACUAAGUUUGCCAACUCGACCACACUUGAUGGUUCACUUGCAUUCCUAUUUUAUACAGAUGAGCAAAUGUGCGACACGUAUACUGAAUUAUACACAAAAAUGUGUAGUAUUCAAUAAUGCAUUCCAUCAUCAACCCUCUUAUCACAGACAAAUGAAAAUAAAAAUUAACCCCCCUCUUGGCUUAACCGAUCCAUAUAGGUUAAUCUUUGUCCAAAAACCACAAAACCAAGUGUGAAGUGUUUGACCAAAUGGAUAAGCACUCAUCUUGCCAAAACUAGCUCGCGAAACACCAAAUCGUAGUCUCUCUCUCUCUUUCUUUCUCUUUAUCCACGCCAACCCCGAUUUAUAUGGAUAGUGUUCUCCUCUCUUCUUACACAUAAUCCUAAAUCCUCUUCAUCUCAACUUGUUCCUUGUCUUCUGUCUCUGCCGCCAAACCCAACGCCUCCUACGAACACCACCAACAACCUCUUCAAGACUUCCACACAACCCCCAAAACUCGUUCAUGUAAUCCGGAUCCUCCGAUCCAAACCCGCUUCCCUGAUCCGAUCCGACUCCACCAUGACGCGGCGGUGCUCGCAUUGCAGCCACAAUGGCCACAACUCCCGCACGUGCCCCAACCGCGGCGUCAAGCUCUUCGGCGUGCGACUCACCGACGGCGGCAUCAGGAAGAGUGCUAGCAUGGGAAAUCUGACCCACUAUGCCGGGUCGGGUUCGGGUCUGCUCCAUAACAACCCGGACUCUCCAGGCGAGGCUGCUGAUCACUCUGCUGCAGCUGACGGUUAUGCUUCCGAGGACUUCGUGCCCGGAUCGUCUUCUAGCUGCCGGGAACGUAAAAAAGGUUCGAGCUUUUGAUUUGAUGAUCUUUAAAGUUUGUGGCUUUUUAUUGGUUUUGGUUAAAGAUUGGAUUUUGGGGGUGUUUGGGUUUGUGAGUUUAUGUUGGAAUUUGUUUUGGGUUAGUUGGUUAAUAAAGAUCACAGUACUGGGUUUAGUGGGGAUUAUAGUUGUUGGAUUUACUGUUCUAUUAGGCUCCUGAUUUGGGUGUCUGGCAAUUUGUGGAUAUGAGUAUUAUUCUUUUUGGGUGUUUGCAUAGUGAUCUCAAGUUUGGUUUGUCUAUAUUGGGUGGUAGUAUGGUAGUUGAUAAUUACUGGAGAAAUGGAUCAUUAAUGAAGCAUAAUAAAAAAAUUAUGGUAGUUGAUAAUUAGGCAAUAGGAUUUUGUCUUAUCAAGAUAUAGGCUAGAGUUACAUUGUUCGAUUACUAGUGAAACUCAUAUGCUUUUUGCUUCAAUUCUUUAGUCCUACACUCCUACUGGCACUGCUCAUACUGGAAUUUUGAAUCUCAAUGUGAAUGUAUCUGGGUCAAAUUUUAGAUGUGGUACUAUAGUGUUCCAGGAAUUUUGGAUCAUCUGGGUUCGGACUAGUAUUUAAUUCAUUCUGUGGGUGCUGGUAAUAUGUUUGCCUCUAAAAUGCUUUUUUAUUUUUUUGAAGGCGAUAGUUAACAUAACAUAGAGUUACACUUUUAGUGUCUUAAUCUUGAAGUAUGCCAUAUUGAUUCAUGCUUUGUUGAGGUCCAAUUGUUCUUUAUGUUAUGGUCAGAAGAACAUUGUUUGGUUUAGAUUGAUUAAUUGAUUGGAAGUGAGCAUAGAUCAACACAUAGGGUAGCACAUUAUGGUUUUGACAGUUUAGGCAAAAGAAUCUUAUAAAAGAAAGAGUGUGUAGGGCCAAAGAAUGAUCAAGAUGUUUUUGUGGGUUUAUUUUCACAUUUCCAUUUUUUGUUGGUAAAAGAUUUUGGUUAGGUCCACAUAUUUUGUUCCAGUAUUUACAAGGUGAAGGUGCAUGAAAAAUAUUGACUAUCCACAAUAGAGGCAUAAGCCUUUCUGGACACUAAUUAAAAAAAGUUUCUGGUUUAAUCAUAAAGUGUGUUGCAAUCUAUGUUGCACCGAAACGCCAUUUCACUCGCAUUUCGCGUUUCGUUUCCGAAACGCGGCUGAAACACGUUUCCACAAAAGCAGUAUUCUGAAAUGUCACCGAAAUGCGUUUUGCCUUUAAUGGAAACGUUUUGUAUAAUUGUCUCCGAAACGCGGGGGCAAAUUUGACCAAACCUUUGUUUGGGUUUGGGUUUGGGUUUGGAUUUAGAUUGACUAUUAUGUGAUGAAGUACUUUGUUAUUUGUAUUGUGAUUUGAUUAUACAUGCUUGUUUGGAUUUGGAUUGAUAUUUUUUUUUUUUAAGAAACUAUUUUGUUGAUGUUCUUUUUUUCAAUUAUAUUUAUUAUAAUAAAUAUUAUAUUUAUUUUAAUUUUGACGUUUCCUUCACGUUUCGUAUCGGACUAUAUUUUGAUUUUGACAUUUCCGCGUAUCGGAUCGUAUCGGAAACCAAAACUCGUUUUCGUUUCCGUGCAACAUAGGUUGCAAUUUUGGAAUUGUACUUGUAAGAGAACAUUGAAAAUGCACUAAGCGCUUACCUCUUGUCUCAGCAGAUUAUAAUUUUCUGUAUCAUUUUUCUUGUUGUUAGGCACCCCAUGGACAGAGGAGGAGCAUAGGAUGUUUUUGCUUGGACUACAGAAACUUGGUAAAGGCGAUUGGCGUGGAAUCGCUCGCAAUUAUGUUAUUUCGAGAACGCCUACACAAGUGGCUAGCCAUGCUCAGAAAUAUUUCAUUAGGCAAUCUAAUGUAUCAAGGAGAAAAAGACGAUCUAGCCUGUUUGAUAUCGUAGCAGAUGAUGUAAGUAUCUUUGGUCAUGUAUAUUUUAUGUGCACAUGUACUCACAUAUAGGCACACAUCAUGAAGUAUUUACUCUAUAAUGUGCUACAAUUUCUCUUGACUAGUUAUUCUAGUUGGUUUAAAACUCAUGUCCUUAACAUUUAUCAACAUUUAAAAUACAUGGCCCUUGAUGUUUUAUUUUAUUUUAUUUUGUAACUAGCUCUUCCUUUCCUACUUGAUCUGGAAUGCAGCAUUUGUCUGAUUCAAACUAGGGUUGUAGUUUAAUUACACCUGAUUUUGCGACAUGAUUCCUAUUUGAAAUAUCUGAUAAGAUUGUCAAUACUUUUGUUGAUGCAAUAUCAUGAUAUGCUUUGUUGAUAUUUUUUUGCAGUCAGUUGACACUCCAAUGGAACAACUGGAUUUAUUACCUGAAAACCAUCUAGAAGAUGAAACUGAAAACAACCACCCAUUGCCUGCUCCUCCAGCUUUGGAUGAAGAAUGCGAAUCAAUGGCAUCUACGAACUCAGAUGGAGAACCUUCCCCUCCAAAGCCUGAUAACUCACAGUCAUGUUAUCCAGUGAUGUAUCCUGCUUAUUUCUCACCUUUUCCGUUUCCUUUUCCAAUGUGGCCUGGAUACAGUACUGAGCCACCUAAGGUGGAUACACAUGAGAUACUUAAGCCAACAGCGGUACAUUCAAAGAGCCCUAUUAAUGUGGAUGAGCUAGUAGGCAUGUCGAAUCUGAGUUUAGGAGAGCCUAAAGGUCAAGCCGGUCCCUCCUCGCUUUCACUAAAUCUUGUUGAAGGUUCCUCUAGGCAAUCGGCUUUCCAUGCAAAUCCAAGUUCUGGCAGUUCGAAUAUGAAAUCAGGUGGUAGUCCAAUUCAUGCGCUUUAGUGAUUAGCCUUCUUGGCUUGGAAUUUCACAGGUUAUGGUUGUUAAUACAAGAUUAGUCAUGUGUAGUAUGGUUUGGGUGUGAGUUGUUGGAUCACUUCAAUAAGGGGGUUUUAAACUUUAAUCUAUAGUUGUUAUAGUAUUUAGGUUGUAUCAAACUACCAAUUAUUUAAAUCUUUUGACAUUUUGUGUUGCCUCCAACUCAAGUGGUUGUUCUUCCCUUAGCGUUAGUCAUGUAGACAAUAUAAAUUAAGGAAGGAACACCUCUGCACCUGUAGAAUGGUAACUGUAAUAUGAAUAUGUUUGAUUAUCUACUGUCUUUUUGUUUCUCGUUCAUCCACGGAUAUAUUGUUUCAUUCUAGAAAGACAUUUUUGUUCAUCAAGGGUUUGGUAAGUGGAGACUUGUAGUCUACGGGCGGAGGUGCCUCAUAAUAAAACAGCCUCAUAGGAGUUCAGUAAUAAUGAAAUGCCGCGAAUCUCUUUGCACCCAUUUCAACUGUAGCAUUGCCAAAUCCGGUGUUCUAUAUUUGAAAGAGGUUGACCCGGUGCCAACAGUUGAUCACACUGAUCACAGACUUUGCCUGUCAUCCAAAUGAAAAAGAAAAAAAAAAACCUUCUGUAAUCUGCUUGCCCUUUUCCAGGGCUGCAAAGGAGGUGAAUCUAUAAUUUCAUUCUCAUGUAAUUAAUAAAAGGACCAGCUCUUUUUGUCUUCUCAAAAAUUUGGUAAAAACCUAACAAGUCUAGAGAGUAAUUUGUGCAAAUGAUCAUAUGUCAUAGCGUUUCUUCUUUAAGAAUGAAUUGAGAUUUAACUUCAAUCAACAACUGGUAAGGUUCAAGUUGAUUCGUACUUGUGGCGGUCAUGAGGCUCUCACACAAAGACUCUUACCUAGGGACGGAUCUACAUCAUCAAAGAAGAGUCCAAUUUGGGAAUUAUUUUUUUUUGCAUAAAUAUCAACUAUCUUGACUAUUAUUUUGGACUAUCACUUUAGAGUGAGUCUCACUCAAGUCCCACUCAAUUUUGGACAACUACUAAACUCGAUGCAAAUAUAUAUGCUAGGCAGGGUUGCAUUCUAAACAUUUUCUUUCGUAAGGAGUGAUAAAAAUGUUAUUUCUAGUUUUUAGACAUCUUCUAUAUACUCUAAUUAACAGAUCACUAGUUCAAGAGUGAAGAACCACCUCUCGCUUAAUCCUCAACACCAAACCUACAAUCUGAAUGAGGUAGCUAGUGUCAUUUUUAUUUACCGUGCAUUUAUCAAUUUCCAGGAAAAUAACUACGGAAUUUUGAAAUUAUCAAGCUUACAUAUGUGUGUUUAGUUUUCUUAUGAUUGGCAAAUCAAACAAGUUUACGUUGAUUGUUUUCCUCCUAUAACCAUUAAAGGGCACCAUUUUUAAAACUCGUCUUAGAUCUUUAAAUCUCAGAUCCGGCCAUGUAUCAACACAUAACUUUAAAGCACUACACUCAUAAACAAACAUAAUAUACCAGUGUCGACAGCCAUGCACCACCUGUUUAAAUCAUUCAAAUUGAGAACCGAUUGUUCAUUCCGACUUAUCAUAAACAUUCUUCUUGUCUGUUAAUUCGACUAUGUGCAUCUUGAUUUUUCUAAUUUUUCACAUUUCCUCUCGGAUAUUUUAUGACAGACCCAUACCCGAAACCCGUAACCCGUUCAACCCAGUUACCCAGAUCCAGUCUCUCCUCCCCACAGAUUCAUAAAGCUUCAGUCUUUCUCCCCCAAUUCAAAAAACCCAGAAAACCAUGAACCUCCAAACCCUAAAACCCACCUUCCUCCGAUCACAGCACCCCAGAAAGCACCCUUCCUCCAAAAGAUCCCCACUCCUCUACGUCACCCUCAUCUCCUCCCUCC
rnacentral:lncRNA from 1 species